AAAUAGUUUUCAACUAAGAUUUGAAAUUACAUUCACAAACACACCCAACUAAAAAAGAAAAAUUCUAAUAAUAAAACAUUUCAGUCAUCAAAAACCCAUUUAUAAUUUAUUUCAACACGCGGUAUAUGGGUUAACAAGUCCCAAUAUUGUCCUCCAUCCUUUCUGCACUUCUCUUCUAUCAACGGACAUCCCUCGAUGUAUAAACACAAAAGUGAGGAAGGCAGGCCCUUCUCCGGAAAGUAUUUGAGCUUGGGACAAUCCCAGAGAUGCAAUUGAGUGAGGUUUUGAAGAUCAACAAUUGAAGAAGAUAGGCGUUCCAGAUUUGGAAAUCUGAAAAUCCACAGAGAUGUUAGAGAGGCAGGAAGAGGAAGCGCGGUCCCCAAUCUUAUGUCCUCCGGUGGGAACGACACCGUGUCCUCAUCACAUCCUUCGAUUCUAAGUUCUCGCAGAGAGGAGAAUCUGUGAAAUCCUCUGCUCCGCUCAAUCAUUGACUUCCAAAUUUUCGUAUUACCAUCAAUCUCCAGUGAAUGAAGGUUGGUGGGAAGGCCAUCUUCUUCAAGGCUUGGAAGCUCACCUCCUGUUCCUAUUCUUAAUUCUUGAAGAGAGCUCAGAUUGUGCAAUCCCUUGGGUAAGGCCUCUAGUCUCUCACAAUCAGAUGUCUCCAGCGUCCUGAGUUUCGCACAAGGCAAUCCCCCUUCGGGAAAGGACACCAGAUUUCCACAAUUCCAUAUCUUAAUCUCUUGAAGCUGGCGGAGAUUAUGUAAACCACUCGGUAAAAUUUUCAGAUUUUCACAAUUAGAAAUGUCGAUUGUUUCAAGAGAUGUGUUGUUGUCCAACCUUUCUGCUAUUGACUCCAGCUUUGAACAACUCCGAACAUUAAGGCUCUUAAGAGACGGAGGUAGAUUGCCAACUUCAAGGGACUCAAGCGUGGCAGGUAACUCGUUUUUUGAAAAUAUACAUGUCAGUGAUGGACAAACUGCAAUUAAUAAGUGCUCAAGAAGAGAUGAGGUGUACCUUCUGCUGCUGCUGCUGCUGUGGAUGCCCUCUUCCACUGUCAAAGUCCUUAUGUUACUGCACCACUGGAUGUCCAACCUCUUAAGGCUUGAUGGUAGCUGGACUCCAGCAAUAUAUGUCAACGAACGGCAAUCCUCAAUAUACAAGAUCUCGAGAGACGAAUUGGUGUCGCACAUCCAUGCCUCCGGUAACGAUUUCAGUGCGUCACAUUCCCUAAUCUCAAUUUGCUUCAACUUGGAAGGCAGAGCAACCUCAGGAAAGGAAACAAGGGAACUGCACUUGUAGAUUUCUAUCUCUCUCAAGGAACUGAGGCUGAGAGAUGAUUGUGGCAGCUUCACAAGGCCUUCGCAAUAUCUCAAUCUUAGAUAUUCGAGUCUGCAUGACAACUGGCAGAGCUGCUGUUGUUGGUCUUUCUCUUCCUCCGCCACCAAGGAUUGAAGUUUGGGACACCGUCUAAUCGUCAAUCUUUUGAGAGAGCAAAUGUCUUGUAGUAAUCCGUCAUGACUCUUCCAUAUAUAUGUUUGCUCUUUUGUCGACAAAAUUAAUUCUUCCAAUUUCGAUAGUUGUGGCUUCAAGGGCCCCGCAAGAAACACUUGAUUUGAUGUAUCUCUACAAACCACUGAAUUCUGUGAUCCGAGAUGACCAGUUGCACUUUCCCACACAACCUUUUUGCAUCCACCAAUCUGUAAUUUGCAAAGAGCUGGAAGACUCGAAACUGAAACUACCAAUUCUUCACAUCCUUCAAUAACAAGCAUCUCCAAUGCAGGAAGGUGCUCUGGAAAUGUUCCUUUCAGUUUAGAACAUCUUAAAAUGUGAAGCUCUCUCAAUUUAGGAAACCGUUCAACUCCCUGACUGGAUCCAUGAGGAAUCCAGUCUUCCCAUUCUCGCAUGUUUUCAAAACGAAGAGUCUCCAAACAUGGAGGAUCAUUCCCACAGAACUCUGAACCCAACCUUUUUACUCUGCUCAUUCCACGCACUGUAAGAUGCUUUAGAGAGGGCAGUUGCCCGACAGACGGCAGGGCAGUACACAUGCCGCAAUCUUCAAAUUCAAGUGUUACUAAAUUUGAGAACAAGGAAUCUCCUAACCAUGUUGGAAAUUUCAUACCUCCAUAGCCUUUGAUACAAAAUUGCUCCAGAUUUGUAUGAGGUUUUAGCAUGUCAAGCACGCCCAUUUCAGUUUCUGCCUCCCUUGAAGAAGAACCAUCGGUACUGCAAGUCCAUUUAAGCGAUAAUUCUUUCAGAUUCUUCUUUCCAUCCAUUUGAGCCUCCAUGGCAUCACCAACGCAUUUUACAUUCUCCAAUUUUGAAAUGCUAAGUGUCCCAUGAAGGUGCGUCAACAACUUUAGCUCUCGUAAACCGGAACCACUGCCUUUUCCCACAACAAAAUUACACAACGUCUGAAGACUAGUCAACCUACCAAUUCCUACUGGCAUUUCCUCCAACGACUUCGUAUUUGAAUUCUUAAGAUGAUGCAAUUUGAUGAGGUUCCCCAUGUCUGCACACAACUUCUUCAGCCGAUCACAAUCUUCCAACAAAAGACUAUGCAAAUUGUAAAGCUUGUUGACUGAUUCAGGCAGAGUUCUAAUCUCAGUUCUAGACAGGUUAAGGUACCUUAAAUACCUCAAAUCACCAAUUGAAUCUGGCAGCUCAGGGAUGCGGUAUCCACGCAAAGAGAAGACCCUCAAGCGUUGAAGUUUGAGCAACUUAGGAAGAAUGCUAGGAGCCAAGUAGCCAGGCCAUCUAUUUGUCAACAUUACUGGUAAAAAAGUUCUCAAAUGUUGGAUAUCAUACAAGUCCCCAAACCUUUGAACGCCAUCAUAAUCUCCACAAAUGUAUGAUAGAUGACGAAGAUUUCUGGAAAAACAUUGUUGCUUGUUAACCUCCGAGGUAUACUCCAGUGUGAAGUAUGUCUCCCCUGCAGCCCAACGGGCAAGGUCGUUGAUAAGAUCGUGCAUAACAAAUAGUGAUGCAUCGGUGGCCGAUUGCUGGAAAAAAGAUCUUGAACAUAGCUCCUUAAAGAAAUCACGACCUAAAUCUUCACUAGGAUUCUCAUCUUCUUUGUGAUCCAAAAAACCGGAGGCACACCAUAAUAAAAUUAUCUCCUCCUCUUCAAAUUCAUAAUCCUUUGGUAACAAUGAGCAGUAUGCAAAGCAUUGUUUCAAAGUUGGAGGAAGAUAAUAAUAGCUCACUGCAAGGGCUGGUAUAAUGCGACACCUCUGUUCUGGUAAUUCCCAUAUCUUGCUACCGAGCACACCUUCCCAUACCCGUCUGUCAUGUCUUCCACGUAAUAGUCCUCCAAGUGUUUGUGCAGCUAAGGGCAAGCCAUCGCAUUUGGUCACUAUCUUCUUGCCAAUUUCCUCCAAUAACUCAUGCGGCCCCAGAGAAUGUUGAGCGAAUAUAGCUAGACAGUCAUUAUCUGACAAUUUUUUUAAUGGAUGAGGUGGAAGAGUCCCCAUGAUUGUUGCAACAUCCUGAUUGUGAGUAGUAACAAUAAUCUUACUUCCCUGUGCACCAGCUUCAAAUGGAAGGCUGAGCUGAAUCCAAUCAUCGUAACUAUCAUUCCAUACGUCGUCUAAAACAAGCAAAAAUUUCUUUCGAGACAACUGCUUCUUUAGCUCCUCUUGAAGAAAAUUUAAAUCAUUAUUAUCAACAGUCUGCUUAGUAAUGGAGCUUAGAAUUGUUCUUGUUAGCCUGAUAAGAUCAAAAUCAUCAGAGACACAAGUCCAUGCCUUGAGAUCAAAAUGAUCCUCCACUUGCUUGUAGACAAGCUGAGCAAGAGUGGUUUUACCCAGCCCGCCCAUACCUAUAAUGGGAAUAACUGCGAAUCCACCAUCCUUUCUUGAAUCAUCCUUCAACAACAAUUCAACAAUUUCCUUCUUUUCUGUUUCCCUGCCAUAUACUUUGGCUUCCUCCACCAAAGAGGUUGUCUCUUGCCUUUGCCUGGCUUUUUUGGACCCCCCAGCUAAACUUUUUAUCAAAUUCAGCGAGCGUAUUCCUUCUUCAAUAUCUUGAAAUCUGUCGUUGAUCUUUUUGAUUUUGGACAUCAAGGCGAAAUCGAACUGAAUCGAUUGUAGAGUAAAAGUGGUACAGCAAGUAGGAAUGAGCUUCCGAAACUUACUCUUCGUGCUUGUACGACUGCUGCUGGGUUGAUCAUGAGCAGCAGCUGGUUCUCCAUUUCCAAGCAGCAACUUCCUCCGGAAAGCCUCAGUUUGGAACUCAUCCAACAAGUCUUCAACGUCAUAAGCCAAGUUCUGAAGCUCGCCAAGCCACAACUUCACAUAAUCAUCAGUCGUCUUCUUCUCCUCAGCAUCAUCAAGCACCGCCUUGAUCGUCACCAACUUAUUCUUCCACUUCACUAGAUCGUCUUUGAUUCGACCUUGGCGUGCAAAACGCAGAAUCCCCUUUGAAGCUAACUUAUUGACCAGCAACUCAACGGACGCCGUCAGGAUUGCCUCUCCGAUGAUUGACAUUUUUUCUUUUUUCUUUUUUUUUGGGUUUUUUUGGACAAAGAAAAAAACUAAAUUAUGAGUUUGUGGAAAGCAAAAUGAGAAAAGUGAAUAAGCGGAAUGUGUUUGUGAUUGUGUCUAGCAAGCCUAGAAAUCAAGAAAAAUCCACCGUAAAAGUGAAAAGUAAAACGGAGCCCACCACAAAUAUAAAAUCAGAGGAGCACAGAAUAAAAAAAAAAACAAAAGAAAAGAAAAAGCCAAGCCAAGAAUCAUAUGCCAUUGCUUUACAUAUUAAAUUAAAACAAAAGCCAUGCCAGGAAUCCUGCCUUUGCUUGAUAUUUGACAAGAUUAAUUGGACAUUACACAUUAUUUCACAGAGAAUAAAACUUGUAAAGAACCAAACCCAUCAAACCCUUUCUUUAUCUUAAAUGUCAGAAAUAUAUAAUUAGCUUGGAAUAAAGCUAUACUCUUCUCCUUUUUCCAUUUCUACAGGUUCAUAUAGGCAUAUCAUAUGGAUUUUGUUUUAUGCUAGGUAAUUAUUAAUUUAUAUAAUAAUAUAUUUCCCUCAAAAUAUACUAUUUGAAUUUGAAAUAAUUUUUUAAAAUAAUUUAAUAUCACAAUAAUAGUCAUGAUUCAAUUCGGUUCAGUUUAAUUUUUUUAGAGAAAAAAUUUGAGAAAAUAGACAAAUAAUGAAGACGCAAUUGAAGCACAGCCAAUAAACAGGGUAAAGUGAAUUGCGUCCUGUCCUUGAGCACUCAAUUCUCUUCAAUCUCAAAUUUAUACGUACAUUUUUGUAAAUUCAUGUCAUAUACUAGAGUCUUUUGGGUUCUGUUACAUCAAUUGUUUCGUGUCUAUCUUGUUUUAUUAAUUUAUGGAGCAAGAUUGCUAGUAGCGAUAAACCUGGAAUAAAACGAUUUAUUUAUUUUAUAUAUAUAUUGCGUUGUUAUCAGCAAAAAAUAUGAUGGGUUUCGUUUGUAACAACUAGCUAAUUGCUUAAUACAUUUUUGUACUUCUCGUCAUGAAGUCACGAGGAACUUGUAAAUAAGAUCAUAGACGUGGUACGAUGUGACGUGAUAAAUUUAAAUCAAAUCUAAACUAAGAUGGUUCAUAUAUAGGUACAUACUGAAUAAAGAUAUUUAAAGCAUUCAAUUUUAUGACAUACCUAAUAGUCAUUGGCUUAUUGUUAUUAAAGGAAGUGAAUAGAAAUAGAUGUAGAAAGUGAAAAAGAUGAACUAGCGCACAUGAUGAUUUCUCAGAUAAAAAGUUAAAUUUAUAUUCUUUUUUUUAAUAAGUGUGAGAUGAUUUACACCCUAAAAUUUAUUUUGAACACUCAUAUUUUUAUUACAAAAAACCCCAUAGUUCAAUUUACUGGUAUGGACAAUUCAAUAAAAAUACAUAGAACAAUAAUACUUUUGACACCCAUCUGGCUAUAUUUAACAAGUUUGCACGCACAGACUCUAUGAUUCUAAUUUCUUUGACUUGGUUUUAGUUUUUGUUGAAUAUAUAUCUACCUAUAUAAAGUGUUAGUGAUUUUUCACUUCUCUACCAAGGAGAUUCUACACGAAUAAACAACCGCAGAAAAAAAAAUAUAAAAAACCUGAUACAGGUGAAGAAGAUAUUCAUCAUAACAGUUUUUUAAAGUUGAUGAGUCCAAAUAUCCAAUAACUGAUAAAUUGUGUUAAGAAAUAAAAAAUAUUAAUAGUGAUGACACAAAGGAAGUCCCGUGUUUUGAGUUUGACUAAAAUAAUCUGAAUAAUUUAAAAUAAUCGAUCAGGCCAAAUUGCUGAAGAGAUGAACGGCCUCUGUUUUUUACCAUAAUACUAGGAAUUGACUUCAAUUGGGAAGUCAGGCCAAUCGAAGGAGCUCCCCUGUUUCUGACUGAAACAUAAUCCUAACAAUUUACAAUUAAAUAAAUCAUUCAAAAUUUCUCCUUUAAUCGAACCCCCACUUCUAUGACUUAAUAAAAUAUUACAAAAGUUCUUAAUACAGUGAAAUUAACGUUCAGCUCAUGAAGUCGCCAUUAUAUAUAUUGAAAAAGAGAUUAGUACAAGACAUUGAAAAUUAAUUGACAUUGAAUCACGUUGGAUCCUUAGUUGUUAAUUAUGAUCUUGGUCUUUUAAUUAUCAUCUAGCCAACGCAGGUCCACUAGUUUCAUUUGUGUCAAUCACUGAAAAGUAGAGCUUUAUUGAACACCGCAUAUUACAGAAACUCACUCGAUUUUCAUUGCCAUACAUGUAGCUCAAAAGUACAUAUUAUAUCAGUGAACAUGGAACAUUCAGCUAACCUAUAACAAAUAUAAUAAAAUCUCAAUAAAUUAAUAGUUCUGGGACCAAUGAAAAAUUAGUUAAAAUUUCAUGAAUAUCAAUUAGUCGAUAAGUUAAUAAAUUAUUAAUUUAUGAAAAUAUUCAUUAUUUUGGAAAAAAAUGAUUACGUUUAUAGUAUUGAUUUACGUUGAGUUAGAAUCUAUUAUUUUUUAUUUGAAUAUUAAUUUUCUUUUAAGAAGAUUUUUUAAUAGUUAACUACUUUAUAAUAAGACUAUUGUAUGAUUUUUAUUUUUCCAUGUUAGAGAUGAUAGUUCUGCUAUGCAAGCUGUUUCGAUCAAAGGAUUAGAUGAUAUUGACAUUGAAUAAUUUUUUGUUGCAAAAUGACAACACCAAUUAGAAUUUCUUUUCGCAUUACAAAAGAAAAAAAUGAGAUCCAAUUCUAAAUUAAUUUAAAAAGAAAUAAACGAUGCUGAGAAUAAAUUUUACACAAGCCAUAUAGACAUAUCAUAUGGAUUUUGUUUUAUAUUAGGUAAUUAUUAAUCUAUGUAGUAAUAUAUUUCCUUCAAAAUGUACUAUUUGAUUUUGAAAUUAUUUUUGAAAAAUUUAAUAUCAUAAUAAUAGUCAUGAUUCCAUCGGUUUGAGGUUUUUUUUUUUUUUUUGGUUUAAGAAAAAAGAUGGGACAAUAGUCAAAUGAUGAAAACACAAGCUAAGCAGAGCCAAUAAACAGGGGAAAGUGAAUUACUGUCCUUGAACACGUUCUCUAAUAAUCUCAAUAUUCUACGUACAUUUUUGUAAAUUCAUGUCGCAUACAAAAGCCUUAUGGGUUUUGUUGCAUCAAUUCUUUGGGGAUUUAUCUUGUUUUAUUAUUUUGCGACGCAAGAGUCCUCGAAGCAAUACAUUUGGAAUAAAACGAUUCAAUUUAUUUUUCGUUGUUAUUAACAAAAACUAUAUAUUAUUAAUUAAUCAACUCAUCGAGAUAUUGGUUUCAUUUGUAACAAGUAGCUAAUUGCUCAGUACAUUGUUGUACUUACUCAUUAUCAUAUCAAGACGAACUUGUAAAUAAGAACAUAGACGUGGUACACUGUGAUGUGAUAUAUUUAAUUCAAAUCUAAAUUAAGAGAUGAUUCAUAUAUAUAGGUACAUACUGAAAAAAGAUAUUCAAACAUAAACACUCCAUUUUAUGAUAUACCUAACAAUAAUCGGUUUAUUGUCCAUAGGAAAUGGAGUGAAUAGAAACAGAUGUAGAAAGUCAAAAAGAUGAACGAGCGCACAUGACGAUUUAUAAAAUAAUAAAUUAAAUUUAUAUCGUUUUUAAUAAGUGUGAGAUUAUUUACAUUUUCAAAUUUAUUUUGAAUGCUCUUAUUUUUUACUACAAAACCUCAUAAUUCAAUUUACUAUUAAGAGCAAUUCAAUAUAAAUAAAUAGAACAAUAAUACCUUUGACACCCACCUAGAGCGCACACACCCAUGUAAAAUUAUUAAACCUUAAACCGAAGAACAUUCUUCCUCAACAUUAAAACUCGUGCAUUAUUUAAAACCAUAUUUAACAAAUUUUCACAAAGAGACGCCAUGAUUCUAAUUUCUUUGACUUACAUUUCAAUUUUUGUGGAAUAUAUAUCUAUUCCAUAUUAAGAGAUUCUGAAUCUUUCACUCGGCUGUCAAGGAGAUUGUACUGAAUAAACAACAGCAGAAAAACAAAUAAAAAACUUGAUACACGUGUAGAAUAUACUCAUUAAAUUUUAAUUUUCGGCACAAUUAUGAGCUGCAUAUUUAUACACACACACAAAUAACUGUUCUGCAAAUAUGUACAAAUCAAUUUCAGCCAUCCAACUUUUUUUCGAAUUUUAAUGAAUAUAAAUUUUAUAAGUUGGGCAACUAUGAAACAUAAAAUUAGCAAAAUGAUAUUAUUAACAAAUAAGGAGAGCAAAAGGUAAUUAUAUCUUGGUGUGCUAAAUAUUUUUAUGGGUGUAGUGAAAAAACUAAAGAUAAUGGAAGAAAUGUUAUUGAGGAGUAAGUGAAAAGUGAUUUCCUAAAAUCUAUUAACUAAUGCGCAAAAUAGAAGGGCAUUUUGAGAAAAUUUUAGAUUAAAAAUAGUCCCAUCCUUUUAAUAAUAUUCUUCAAUCAAUCUGUUUAUUUCAAAAUAAAAAUCCAUCUCAUUUUUACUUUCUAAUUAGUCAUAUUAAUGUGUUAAUAAUUACGAAGAACCAGUAUUAUUUGUAUGAUGUAGGAAGCCCUUUCGACACAAUAACCCAAAUUUCUAAGAGUAGCGGCUGGACUUGAUUGGGAACAACUUCGAUUCAGUUUAAAAGGUUAAUCUCAAAAUUUCGUGAUAUUGUGCCUAAAGAGCUUCCUGCAUCAGUAUAACAGUUUCUAAAUUAAUAUAAUUGUGUGUUCAUUUUUUAUGAUUUUCCUUUAAUUUUUUUUUUAGAAACUGUUGUUCUUCAAUAAUUAUUCUAACAAUGUUGCUUUAAAGUGAUGUUGAUACGGGAGUCGAUGAGUCUUUAUCUGAAACAAAAAUUUACAAAAAAAAAUAUUAAAUUAAAAAAAAAGUACAUCAAAUAUUGGGCUCCCCCAAGUUUUACAUUUGUCUUCCACAAUGAGACAAGCCCUUUUUUCAAGUGAAGACUUUUGAUGUACAAUUUGUAAAGGAAAUUUGCCCCAUAUAAUUUUCCUUUCUACAACUUGCAAGCUUAUGUAAAUCAUAUCAACUUAAAAGAUUCCAAGAUUUGGUAUUUUGGUGAUUUGAGUAUCCAAUGGUGAUGACACAUACGCAUGGAAGUCCCCUGAUUUGAGUUUGACUAAAAUAAUCUGAAUAAUUUAAAACAACACAUCAGGCCAAAGUCCUUAAGAGAUGAACUGGAUUUCAGUGCAUCACAUUCCGAAAUUGAUACUAACCUUAACUGGGAAGGCAGAACAGCCUCUCUUUCCUACUGUUGCACAAAAUGGCAAGUCAAGCCAAUUCAAGGAACUUCCCUGUUUUUUACUGAAAAAUACAUAAUCUGAACAAUUUAUAAUCAAAUAAAUCAUUCAAAAUAUCCUUUAAUCGAACCCCCGUUUCCAUGGUUUAAUAAAAUAUCACAAAGGUGCCUAAUACAGUGGAAUUAACACUCAGCUCAUGGGAUUGCCAUUAUAUAUAUUGAAACAGAAAUUAAUACAAGAAACUGAAAAUUAGUUGACACUGGAUCACGUUGGAUCGUUAGUUGUUAAUUAUGAUGGAAAUAUAAUCUUGGUCUCUUACUUAUCAUCUAGCUAAUGCAUGUGCACUAGUUUUAAUUGUGUCUAUCACUGUAAAUAGUAGAGUUGCUUGAUUGAAUAGUAUCAUAUUACAUCACAGAAACUCGCUCAAUUUUCAUUGCCAUAUGUAUCUCAAAAGUGCAUGAACAUUGAACAUUCAGCUAACUUAUACCCAACAACAUCCAUCAGUCAGAGUGAAACCCCAAUUGAUUUCAUAAAUACAAAAUAAAUAACUCGCAAAGGCAAUCUUUGACAAUCACAAAAGCAACAACAAUUCACUCCAACAAACAACAUAACAAUUAUAUGGUCUAAAUUGCAGGUCUUUUUAUGAUUUUAAUUGAAAGAGAAAGCACGAGGGACAUAUUAUAUAUAAUUGAAUGUUAUGAUUGAUAAUUGGGCAAAAUAAUACUAAUCUAGCUAACUAGUCCAAUCAUCAUAAUAAUCUGAUUUUCAUUAUUUAAUUAUGUUCAAUCAUGUUAUUUUAAUAAAGAACACUGAACGCUUGAGUAUUUAUAUGUUCAACAACUUCGGCUAAAUUUGAAAAAAAAAAAGUAUUAAUUAUGAAUAGUAAUAAAUUACCCUACAAGCCACAUAUUGCGUACAUAUGCAGUUGCAACAAAUAUAUGUGUAAUAAAAAGAUCAUAUGUGCUUAGAAAAUGAAGCAUCAUUGAAUAAAUGGAAAAAAAAGAAAGAAAAUUAAAAUCAGCGUCCAGCGGAAAGAAUCCAUCUUUACGUGUUGCCUCCAAUUUGGUACAUCUAUCUGACUUUAAAAAAAUUGCAGUAGAAAUUAGAGCUCAUUUUUUUAGAUAUGGCUCAUAUACAAUACAAGUGUCAAGAUGUAAUUAGAGUUUACAUAUAUACACGUGUCUAAUUCUAAUUGACAGACAAACUAAUCAUAAAUACUCAGGUGUUUCUAAAUGAUUGAAUAAUGAUAUUGUAGUGACUUGAUUGCUUUGUUCUCUGAUUAGAAAUAAAUCACUGUCCAAGAACCUUUGUCAAGAUCUGUUCAAGUUGCAAUUAAACCAACACCAAUCUGAGGCUUCAAUGCUGAUUCACACCAUAGCUCUAGGUUAAUGGAGGUUGAAAACAGAAGAUUAAAUUGAACUAGAAGCAGCACACACUCACACAAAGAACAGGAUUUAACGUGGUUCGAUUAUGCAUAAAUGCACAAUCUACAUCCUUGGGAGAAGCCACAGAGCUAAUACAGAGGAGAUUACAAGGAACAAGAAGACUCUUUCUCUCUUUCUAAGAUCUCUCUGGAAAGCUCUCAAAAUCCUAUGCAAUGUUUUUCAACAACCAGCCUCUUUACACCCCUGAUAUUGAAACCCAGAUUGCAUAGCUUUUGGACGCGUGUAUAACGGCUUCAUAACGAAUUUGAUUCCCUUCUCACAUGCGGUCUCACGUGCUUCACUUAAACUUGCUCAAAACGACUGAAAGUAGCGUCGUUUUUCCUUAAGAUUAGUGAAGAAGAUAGCAUGUGUGUUGCACGUGAGUCGUAAGUGGAUUCGCUUACUCAAAACACAGCCGCUUUAGGGCUUCGAGUUUUGGAUUCAUGGCACUCUAGUCCAGAGAUAUUAUUGGUAUUUAUAAAUUUCAAAGUGGUGAUAACAGAUUCACAACAUAUUGGAGUUUUGGAUUCAUGGCACUUAUGGUUUCUCAUCAAAUAAUGUUAUAAAAAAAAAUACAUAAGUUAGAAGAUUCACAACAUAUUGGAGUGUAAUUUCCACUUGAGUGACAAUGAAUGAAGUUAUGUUAAUUUAGAUUAAGUACAAGCCUUCCUAAAUAGGAUUAGAAAUACUCUAUUAACAUAUCGAAUACUACCUUAGUAAAAAUUUAGUUGACAAAAAUUAAAAAAAAAAAAGCCUUGAAGGCUUGAAACAAUUAACACCAACUAAAUAAUUGUCUUACAUCACCAAUUUUUUUUUUUUCAUUUUAAUAAGACAUCACCACACUCCUGACUUUAUAAAGUGACUUUAUAAAGUAAAGCAUAAAAUAUAAUAGAGAAGUUUGAGUUUAAAAAAAUAAAGUUGGGAGAAUGACUUGUCACGCUGUCUUUGAUCAUUGAGCACACAAUUAUCUGAGAAAAAAAAACUCUAUUGUAUUUGUGUUUGUUGUAGAUUCAUGUCAUUUACUAGUCCUUUGGGUUUUGUUGUAUCAAUUCUUUGGUAAAUGUUUAUCUCGUUUUCAUUCUUUUAUGAUGUGAGAUUCCUGGUUAUAUUAGGAAUCAGAGUGAAAUCCAAUCUUAAAAUUUGGAGAAAUAAAACGUAAUAUGAUUUUUAAAAUUUAGAGAAAUAAAAUGUAAUAUGAUUUUUUAAUGAAUAAAACGAUUUAAUUUAUUUCUUUUCUACUAGUAAAAAUUAUUAAUUUAUUAACCCAUCAAGCUAUUGGUUUCAUUUGUAAGCUGGUCAGUCAGUUUUUUAUUUUGAGUUGUUAUCUUUCAAAAGAUAUUAGAAAAAUCUUACUUUGAGUGUACUUGAUCACUUCACUAAUUAUAGGGUAUUUACAAGUUAGAAAAAUAAAUUAUUUCUGGCCGAAGACACUAGAAAUUAAAGUUCAUAUGACUUUGUAAUACUGUUUGGUAAGUGAGAAAAUUGCCGAGAAAAUACAGAGCAAAUAGAAUCUUUAAGAAGAUCUAAAUUUCUGUAUUUUAUUGAUCUAAAAAAAUGAUACAAGCUCUUAUAUACAAUUGUAAGAUUCUACACACUCACAAUGAAAUAUCACGCUACUAGUAAUUAACAACCCUUAUAACAAACUCAACUGAUUCAGGCUGACUCCAGAGAAUGUCGAAAAGCGUUUGGCUAAUUUUUGUAUACACACACAUAACACAAAAUUAAAUUAGUUGGCAGCGUUGACAGUGAGUCGUUUUUGGCCAUCCAUAAGUUCACAUGUGCAUGGACAUCUGUUGCCAGCCCUUUCAUUAUUUUAAAUCUCCAUAACAUUAUUAGAGUCCCACAUUUAUCACACAUCAUUAAGUAGAAUGCGCUAAUUAGGAAGAGCUAGUUUCUUUGUUCUGUUUUCUUGCAUAUGUUGCAAUUUUCGAGUAUCACUGAAAAUUUUAGACCGUCAAACCUGCAGGAAAAUUAUAUACAUAUUCUAUCAUUCAACCUCAACAAAUAAAUUCUUUUCACUGGAAUCCAACAAUCGUUAAGUGUUAACCUUGUAGUUCUCAAGAGCAGAAAUUGUUGUAUUAAUUUUUUCAAAGUGUCUCUCUUAAAAGAACACUAAAGAUAGGAGAGUGAAAUUUCAACUGAGAUCUUGCCACAUAAGACGAUCGAUUUAAUCCGACAAAAUGUGCGUUAGGUUAAUAAGAGCCAAUACUGCCCUGAUCCUUUCUGCAUCUUUCUUCUAUCAGCGGACAAUCCUUGAUAUACAGUUGCAAGAGCGAGGUAGGCACGCUCUUGUCCAAAAAGUAUUUUGGCUUCGGACGAAUAUAAAGCCAAAGAUACACCAACGACGUGAGAUUUUGACCAAUUGAAGGCAGGCAUUCCAUGCUUUGGAAAUCAUAAAUCCACAAAAGGGUUCCUAACUCCUGUGGCGAAAUGACACCACGUCAUGAAGUCCUCCGAUUGACAGUCGUUGUAGAGAUGAGAAUCUGUUCAAUCCCCCUUCCCCCCCACCCCAUCGAUGGCUUCCAAAUCUUCAUAUCAUGAAUAUAAAGUGACUGAAGGUUGCUGGGAAACCUACCAUCAUCUGCCUCAACUGGGAAGCAAUACCAUAUAUGCUUGCCAGACCUCCUCUGUUUCAUUCUUGAAGACUGUGCAUGUCCUUGGGUAAGGCCUCUAGCUUAUCACACCACGUUAUCCGGAGCUUAGACAGUUCCGCAGAAGGCAAUCCUCCUUCAGGAAAGGGUCAUUUCAAUAAAAGCACAGUACAAUUGCUUAACUAAUUUUUUGAAAACAGAGAUAUGAGAGAUUGACAAUUUACAAUUGCUUAACUGCUCAAGAAGAGAGCACGCUUGAAUUAUGAAAUACGAAAAAGAGAGCACAAAUGAAAAAUCUUAAGGAAUCAGCAGGAUUCACAUCCGACCAACUCCACGCUGCUAAAGCAAAGGAUUAAUUUUUGAGAAAUUGUAAAGAAAUUAAUACAAGUGAAAUGAGAGCCUGUUCAUUUGAUUAUUGGCCAAGGGUGAUUUCAAUAACGUUUUCAAAGAAGAUAUAGGACAAAGAUCAGAACGAAAAAUAAGUAAUUUCAGUCGUUGAAAAAAAAGAGCAAGCUUCACACAUGCAUGCAUGUGUCGGACCAACAGAACAUGGCUUGUGUCAAGGAUCAAUCAAAGACAUAUAAACUCAGUUUUAUAAAGUAAGCAUCAAAAUGUUUGACAAGUUUUAGAUUUGUAGAAUAUUGGGAAAGCAGACAAAUAAUCAAUGAAGACACUGCAAGUUAAGCAGAUCAAUUAAACAGAGGAAAUAGCUGAUCAAUUCUUUGUGCAAUGGCCACAGCAACUGUGAGGUUAUAAGUUGCUGAUGUGUUGGGCUUCAAUACAAGAUUCGAAGAGUUCUUGGGGCUGUGUGAAGACUGACUUCAGUUGGAGGGGUCUUAUUGUAAAUUUUAUGCUGAUGUGGCAGAGUUCGUUGAGAAUUCGUUAUGCCUUUUCCAGAAAUAUCAGAAUAAAAGGCGCUGGUGAUUAGCCCCUGAUCUGAGAUCAAUAUCUUCUUCAUUUCUUGUUCAUUUUGUUGGAAAUUUGGUUCUCUGUGAUCCUUGUAAUUGCCUCUUCAUAAUCAACCUGUAUCUAGAUUGUUAUGAUCAACAAAAGAGCAGUUGUUUCCUUCAUUGAUUUGUGUACUUGAAACAGUGCUCUGUGUUCUAUUCUUGGAAUUGCUUUCUUGUUUGGUUGAUCUGGUUUGAUUCUUUCAAGUCCGAUUCAUCAAGUUCUUCACGAAUUAACUUGUGUAGCCAUUAAAGUUUCAACAGCAACAGAUUAAAUAUAUCUACAAGACUACAUUAAUCCUAAUGGCAUGGUAGCAUCUCCAUGCAACAUUACAUUAACAUUUCAUCAUCAAUCAAUUUUGAUGAUAUGAUAUUAAAAACAUUGACUUCAUAAUUUAACAUAUAAAGAAAAAGUAAUACUUAUUUGAUGAGUAUGAUAGACAGCAAAUAUGGAUCAUGCAAUAAUGAAACAUGUAUUUAUAGAAAAAUGUUUGGGAGUAAAAUGAUGCUAUAAAGUUUAAUAUUAGUUGCAAGAAAAAAAAAUUGGCAAUUAAGAUUAACAGAUACAUAUGCAAUGCUUCGAGUUUAUUUUAUGACUUCCGUAACGAUUUUGUAACUACAUAUUGAUUAGAAGUUCGAUUAAUUUUGACCAAAAACUCUAGAGCAAGUCGAAAAGAGAUUUGAUUUUUUGUAUACAAAAAAAAUAAUCAAUAAAAGCAAGCUCUGGUGUUGUUAAGCUAAGGAUACAGGGGUUAAAAUUACUCACCACUCAAUGGAAUCCACCAAAGAGAUACAGAGUUUGAUAAUAACUCAAAGUUCAUCCAAUUUCCAAAAUUAAUCUCUGUCCUUUGGUUACAACUACAUAAGCUUAAAUAGCUUUCUUGGAACAAUCCUCCAAGCAUAGAUUUACUACAAAGAAACCCUUCAAAUAACUUGACUUUAAAGACCAACAUUAAAGCUAGACAUUAAUAAAACAUUGGUAUGCUUAAAACACAACAAAAAAAAUUAAAAAAAAAUCCAAGUCCCGAAAUAUUCUUCUUGACUCAAAACUGAACAGUCUGCACUUAACUGAUCAUAACUUACUGUAGAAAACUCCAAAUUUAGAUUAGUAAAAUUCAUUGGAAAACUAACAGAAAUAUCUUUCCAAUGAUGUAUGGCUCGAAAAUUAAUUCGAUCUCAUGCAGUACAGUUGAAUUCCCAAAGAUGCCCCUUCUGCACAGAAAUUCUGCUCACUUGAUUAAUGUAAGAACUUGAGCUGCACUUGGUAUAACUUGAUUACCAAAUAUUUCAAACGCCCGUGUUAUUUUCACUGGUGGCCGUAGGUCUCAUGACAGACUGAACCACGUUGUCUCUGUUUUCCCUGUGAUUUUGUCUCUGAUUCUUCUUGUUCUUUCUUCUUGAUUCUAUUUCUUGGAAGUUUAAGUCUGGUUUGUUGAAUAUUGAGUUGAUUCAGAUUCGGUUCGGUGCUUGUGCAUCUUGUGUUAGUCUCAUUCAAGAUCUUGGGCAGAGUCUUUGGUUUGACAAGUUAAUUAGAUCGUCCAAAGCUCUACGUUUUUUUUUUUUUUUUAAACAAAAAAGAAGCACAGUCUGCUAUUAAUACUGUAGCAUGUUAGCUACUAUAAAAGCUCGUGUCUAAUUACCAAAUAAAUUCCACUUUAACAAAGAAUAGAAGCUAAUUUUAUUUUUUCUUUUUGUUAUUGAAGUUACCUCGCAAACUUCUCGGAAGCUUAUUACAAAAUUUCCUUUUACUCUAGGAUCUCUUGAAUGGUCCUGCAAUUUGUAUUCUUUUAUGUGGGAUUGGUUUUUUCUUUAAACAAAAUUUCAAGGAUAAGAAACCUUUCCCAUUGAAUACCAACUUUGAAUUUUAUUAUCAUUUGAACUUAGAAAACUGCAGAAACAAAGCGCGUUCAUAGCACCAGCUAAGCUAGCUGUGUCUUGGUACCAUGCUGGUUCUAUUUUUACUUUAUUAAAUAUAUACAAAAUUAAAUCUCCUGAGCCUCUAGCUUCACUAGUUUCCAACUUGAAAUUAAAACGCGGAAUUAAUGGCAUUGGAGUUCGUUAUUUAAUUUUGCUUUGGUUCAUGGGGAAUCAGAUGGCCAUCCAAUUUUUUGUCUAUUUUAAGUACUAUUGGCCACUAAGUAGCUUGCUUAUAUAUGUGUAUUGGGAUGUCAUAGGCCUUAAAGCUGAAAAUCAAUCCCCAAUCUAAAGUGAAAAACAGUAGCUAGAACAUAAUCUAUGUUUUGAUGUCUUAGUUUAUAAGCUCAAACAAUUAGUAGUAUAUAGAAAAUGCCCGAUAGAACCCAAAACUUGUAGUGAUUUUUAGUUUCGAAAUUCAUUUCAGAAAAUCUGUUCCGUUCAACACAUUCAACUAAACUCUAGCCAUGUACUUGUAUGUAUACAGGUAGAGCACUAGGGCAACAAAGGAGUCCAUCCUUAAGGCCUUGUCUAAGACUGGUUGUCUUUUUCAUGAGCUUCUGGCUUUCCAGCUUGCUGAGCGACGUACACAUAAAGAGGUUAUCCUUUUCUUUUUUUCUUUGUUUUUAUAUGACAGAAUCCAUUUUUGAAUAUAUAUAUAUAUAUAUGUUUAGGUACACAAACACACACAUGAAUAUGCAUGUUUUUAUGAGUUCAUUUAAGUAUAUCCAAUGUUGAAUAACUCUUCCAUUUGAACUUGACAGUAAUCAGGUAGUUGAUAUUUAUGUUACAAAAAUUGGAAGUGUUAGAUAUGAGACUCAAAUCUGAACUUGAGAACACAUACGACAAGUCACGUGGAUCUUUGUAUUAAAUGUGACAUGUCAUGCGUAGGAGUUCACGGAGCUGUAUGACAUUCUUGCUCUGUCGGGAAAACGAGUAAGUAACACACGUGACGUAACACGUGCAUAACUUACUCAAAACGACAGGAGUUUGUGCCGCUUUGUGCUCAAGAGCUUGUGAAGGUGUAACACGUGGCUACCAGAGGUUCAAAAGGCCGUUAAAGGUUGUUAUGACGCGGGCAAAAACUGGGGUUCUUCACAAGCAGCCCAGGUGGCGUUAACAGCUGACUGGUGAAGGGUCUUUCUAGAUCCUUUUCUUACUAUAUAUAUGCCUUUAUGGUGAGAUCUCGCGUAGAGUGAUUCUGUAACACCUUCUUAAGAACUUUGUAUCUUUAAUAAGCUCAGAUAGUGGAAUUCUUCUUCUCCUUCACAGUAGAUGUAGGCUCACUCUAUGGCCGAACCACUAUAAAUCAUUUAGUGGAACUCUCCUUCUCCUUCACAGUGGAUGUAGGCUGACUCUGUGGCCGAACCACUAUAAAUCAUUGGUGUCAAGUGUGUGUGUAUUUUUGUCUCGGUUCUCUUUGAGUUUCUUGCUUUGGUUACAACUGAUUCAUCAGCCAUUAAAGCUAAGUAUAUUCUGAAAUCUUGAGUUCAUAAAGGUCGUUCUUGGGGGGUCUAAAUUGGUGCUUAAUCCGGUUUAGUUUCAACAAGAAGCAACAAAAGCAAUUCAGAAUCAUGCAAGGACUUGGAUUUUUUUGUUAAUUCACUGGGCAUAUGUUUAUCCAACCUCUGAUUUUUCUUAAUAUGUCUCAGUAGUUCAUUUCACGCCACUUUUAGCCGCUCCAUUGGCAUUUUCUGCCAUUUGCUUUUGUUCAUUGGAGCAAGUUAGCUUAUUAAAUUGCUUUUCGAUAAAUGUUCUUCAGAGGGAAUGUGAAAAGGCCAAAUGAACCGAGAUGAUCGGGUUUUCUAGAUCAGCCAUCUCUGUCCUCAACGGUGCUGAACCGUCAAUUACUGAGACACCAAACUCUGACCUGAUUCAUAUGGGAUGUAGACCAAAGCUUCUUGCCAUACCAUCUCUGGUCAAAGCUGCUAUCUUUGAAAGUUUUGCAGGACAAAACAUGUCGGAGUCAGAAAUUGACGUCACCCCUAGCAUAAAACGGUGUAUCAAGAGCAAUUUUGGUUUCCCAGUCGAUACAGAUACAGAAUUCAUAUAAGCAGGUUGCUCUCAAUCUCUGUUUAAUAAGCUUCCUCUGCUGUAUCCUAGAACGUUAUGCUUCCCAGCUGGCUAGAAUGGGAACUAUGUUUCUGCUGCAAAAUUUUUGAAAGCGAGCAUUGUGAAUAUCCCGACUGUGUAUGAAGUGGGCCUUAAGAAGACAGAGAGGACACUUGUGACAAUACUCGAGACUGUAAAGAAGCCGUGGGUAUACAUUUCUGGUCCAACAGUCAAUCCAACUGGCUUGCUUUAUAGCAACAAAGAGAUAGAGAAUAUAUUAACUGUUUGUGUAAAAUAUGGGCCAAGAGUUGUGAUUGAUGCUUCAUUCUCGGGAUUGCAAUUCAAAUACGAGGGUUGGGGUGGCUGCAAUCUGGAAGGCUGUUUAUCGAAGCUGUAUCGUCUCUCUCUGUGUCUCUGCUGGAGGGCUGUCUCCGAAGAUGCUUACUGGAGCCCUCACAUUUGGAUUUCCGGUUCCAAACCAACGUCAUUUAGUUGAUGCAUUUAGUAGCUUUCCGGGAUUAAGAAUAUAUUUUAUGCUAUGAAGAAUACAUUUUUGAUAAAUUAACCUCAAUUCUGAAUUUUAAUUUAGAGAAUGUCGAGAAGAGAUUUGAUUUUUCAUAUAGAAAAAAAUUAGACAUGAAAUAAGUCAAAAUCAAUUACAAGAACAACAAUAAGAAUGUAUUUUUUAAAAGCCACAAAUACAUAAAAUAUAAAUUUAGUUUAAGAUUAGGUAAUUAUUAAUUUGCAUAGUAAGAGGUUCUCGUUGGAGAAAUCCAUUAACCUUCGGCUAAUUUGAUGCAAGGUAUAAUUUUGCAAUGCCCAAUAAUAUAUAGCUGUAUGGUAUUUCUGUAUUAUAUAUACUCCUAAUGAAAAUGAAGCAAAUACGUAAUACUACUACUAUGACAUAACUUUCAUGAUUGCCAACUGCCAAAACCAGCCACCUCUCAUACGUGCCUUAUUGAGCAUGGAAACACCUUAUAUUAUAAUUUCCGUUCACCCAUAGAAGAAUUUCAGGGCCAUUAAUUCAACAAUUACCAAACCAAUAUCCCAAUGAUAGUUGGAUUACUAAUCUUAGCAUUAAAAGAUCUACAAUUUUUAUUUGGCCAAAAUAAAGGUUUUCUUACUGCCUUCUUGAUCUUUUCCUGCCUGGUGAUUCCUGAAUGUUCCUCCCAUUCUCAUAUGCUGAGUCGCUUGCUGAGAUGAUAAAUACUCGAGGGUCCUUCCAUAAGACAAUUCAGCAGACACCUGAUUCAUUCUAUCAAACAUCAGCAUCACUAAUAACUAAAUGGUGUAAGAUAGUCUGGUUUGAAAAUUCUAUAUAAAUCAAAUUUUUAUUUUUCAUCAUUAUGGUUAAUGGCUUAGCAAAUGCAGGAGUACGGAUCAGACAAAAUGAAGCACUUUCUCUCGUAUUAAGCUUUAUUAGUCGUUGAAGCUAACAAAUUUUAAAACAAGUCAAAACAGUUCCAACUCAGAAUCAGUAGGCCGUAAUUGGGUUGUUAUAAAUAUUUCAAAGUUUCAGUUUAAUUUAAUUGUGUAUGCACAAACUAACUUUAUCACUUCUUUCAUAUUAAUAUUCAUAAAUUUCAACCUUAUUUUAUGUUGAUGCACAAAAUGUUUUUUUGUUAUAUAUAUAUUCAAAUAGUCAAAUUUCUUCUUCUUUACUCCAGGAUCCAGCUCUGUACCCCACUUUUUUGUCGUCAUUCUACCCCGCUGUUAGAUUUUAAUUCCGUUGAUCUAAUGGUUGGGAUUUGUAAGUGAAUAACGAAGUGCUGUUUGGCUACCGUCUGAUAGCAAAUCUGAAGCAAAUGUAAUCACCACCAUGCCGGUAUAUUCAUUCAAAUAUUAAACGUACAGAGAAGAAAGCAAAUUGUGGCAGGAUAGCGAAAAUUGCAAACGGUCAUUCCCAACACGAACACCUGUGGCUGUUUUCCUUUAAUUUUCUUCUUUGAAUUUUCCUUUGAUUAAUCAUUAGAAAAACUGCUUUUUUUUUUUCAAAAUCAUGUGUUAUUAACAUUUACAUAGUUAAUUCAUCAAAAUCAAAUGGUUGUUAUCUACGAAAAGACAUUGAAAAUUUCCUUGUCACAAGUCUUUUCGUAUUACAAAAGCAUAUUUAACAAAAUUGCACUCACAGAUUCUAUGAUUCUAAUUUCUUUGACUUGAUUUUAGUUUUUGCUGAACAUAUAUGUAUCCCAUAUAAAGUGUUAGUGAAUUUUUCAUUUCUCUAGCAAGGAGGUUCUGCACGAAUAAACAACAGCAGAAAAUAUAUAUAUAUAAAACGUGAUACGAGUGUUUGUACUUUGCUAAUGGCGUUGCACUCUCCAAACAUGAAGAGUGCAUUAAGGUGCAUUAAGCAUUGGCUGAUUAGAAUCAUUCAUGUUAAGAAAUAAAAAUAUUAAUAGUGAUGACUCAAAGGAAGUCCCGUGUUUUGAGUUUGACUAAAAUAAUCUGAAUAAUUCAAAAUAAUCCAUCAGGCCAAAGGAAGUCUCGUGUUGAACUGCAUUGGGAAGGCAGAGCAGCCUCUGUUUUUUCACUAUAAUACUAAGGAUUGACUUCAAUUGAGAAGUCAGGCCAAUUGAAGAAGCUCCCCUGUUUUUGACUGAAACAUACUCCGAACAAUUUAUCAUUAAAUAAAUUAUUCAAAAUCUCCUUUAAUCGAACCCCCAUGUCUAUGGUUUAAUAAAAUAUUAAAAAGGUACCUAAAACAGUGAAAUUAACACUCAGCUCUUAAAGUUGCCACUUUAUGUAUUGAAAAAUGUACUUGAAAACGAAUGUUGAGAUUUUUUUCCCCAAUGAUUUCAUAAACACAAAAUAAAGAUCAUAUAUACUUUGAAAAUGAAGUUUCAGCAGCUGAGAAAGCUAGCCGUUACUAACAUAUUACACCCACCCACCCCACCAAGAAAUCCAUUAAUCUUGGGUUAAUCUGACACAAGGUAUAAUUUUGCAAUGGCCAAUUAUAUAUAGUUGUAUGGUAUUUCCGUAUUAUAUAUACUCCUAAUGAAAAUGAAGCAAGUACGUAAUACUACUACUAUGACAUAACUUUCAUGAUUGCCAACUGUCAAUACCAGCUACCUUUUAUACGUGCCUUAUUGAGCAUGGAAACAUCUUAUAUUAUAAUUUCCGUUCACCCAUAGAAGAAGUUCAGGGCCAUUAAUUCAACAAUUGCGAAACCAAUAUCCCAAUAAUAGUUUGAUUACUAAUCUUAGCAUUAAAAGAUCUGCAAUUUUUUUUUGGCCAAAAUACAUGCUUUCUUACUGCCUUGUUGAUCUUAUCCUGCCUGGUGAUUCCCGAAUGUUCUUCUCAUUCUCCUAUGCUGAGUCGCUUGCUGAGAUGAUGAAUGCUCGAGGGUCCUUCCUUGAGACAUUUCAGCGAACACCUAAUUCAUUCGGUCAAACAUCAGCAUCACUAAUCACUAAAUGAUGUAAGAUAGUUCUGGUUUGAAAAAUCAAUAUAAAUCAACCACCUUAGAUUUUCUUAGUCUCAGAGCACAAUGGGCGAUGAUUUGAUGAGAAAUACUAAUAACAUGCAUCCCCUGUAUUAGUUAGAGCUGCUUGUCAUUUUCUUUUUUCUUUUGGGUACUGUUUUAAAUUUUUAAUCAAUCGGAUUGAGCUGCAUGUUUGCUUUCAGUCCAAACUGAAAUCAGACAUUAAGUAUUUUUGCUAGAAUGAAUGCAACCAAGAUUCUAUGGGAUAUGUAUGAAGAUGAUGUAAUAAAGUGCUUUUGAUAUAUUCCCCUAGUCGGUUUACUUCACUAACCAUUAACGAGCAAAUCCUCCCAAUGACCCUCAAAACUCUUGUGCACAAUUAAAAUAAUUUCAAUUAUAUAUAUAUAUAUAUAUAUAUAUAUAUAUAUAAAUAAACUCUCAAAUAUGUUAUUUGAUAAUCACCAAAAAAAAAAACAAUUCACCCCAAUAAAUCACAUUACAGUCUAUGUUGCAAGUCUUUUUAGGACUAAUUCAAAGAGAAAAUGCGAAGGACAUGUAAUUGAAUUUGGGACACAGAAUAUAUUCCCAAUUACCCUUUAGUGUAAACAGUUCCACUUCAGAUAUAUAUAAUGAUGAUGAAAUUUUGUUUUCUCAUAGCAAUCAUUCUAGUGUUUUACAAUGAGUAAUUGGUUCAAUAUUAACACAACACUAUUUUAACAUGUGACAUAUUCUAUCGUAGUGUGCUUCAACUCAUACUUCUAACUCAAAUAGAAAAGUUUCCAUUUUAAUUUUAUUCAAUCUAAUGGUGCACGUUUUUAGUCAAAAAGCCACAAUAAGUCAUCGUUAUUCUUCUACUAUUGAAAUGAAUAUAUCAAAUGGAUGAAAAUUAAAUUAAAAGAUUGAAAUGACUAUGUGGAAGAAAAUUGAUGUAAAAUGUUGAAGUUAAGAAGCCCUCCGAAUUAUAGAAGAAACGAAAUAUAUUGACACACAACAGUUUAUUUAUUAAUUAAGAGAGACAAAAUAUAUAAAUACAAACAAAGAAAAUCUCUUGCAUAUAUCAAACUUACGCUCACGUAAUUGACAGGUAAUAACAAUACCCAUUUUUUUUAUUUCAUAAAACAUAGUAUGAAAGAGAACACUUCAUGCAUUUAACCACUAUAAUUAGGAUUUCUCUCAUAUUGAGAGACUAUUAAAAGAUCAAGAUUGUCAUCUUUUAUAUCCUCGUCACGACAAUACUAAACACACGAUGAUGCCUUCAACCCUCCAACCCAUCGAUCUUACCUGAAAAAAUUAUAAUUAAUAGGAAACUUAUUCACAAAUGCAUAUAUUUAGAAAAGAAUUACAAAUGAACGAACUCAGCCUAAAAAUUAACCUGCACAAGCAAAGAAAUUAUAUACCAUUUUUGACUUGCGAACAAAAGCGAAGCAAUAAUGCAUGGUAUAGACAUAAGCCAUUUUUAAAAGACUAUAUUCAUCAUGCGGAAGUUAGAAAACUUACCUCCUGCCAUAGUUAUCAGAUUUAAUUGUACACAACUUUUCUACUAGAAUGCAAACAAAACCAACGAAAACAAGCGAUGCUUUGUAAUCAGAAUUUUCUAGUCUAUCUAACACUUAAUUCCUGAGAGUAGAUGGUAUACACAAGCUCUGUUGUUAGACCAGGGACCCUCAAUAUUUUUUUUGAAAAAACUUGACCGUAAGUCAUCUCCCAUCAAGAUGACAUGUUUAAAUAAAAGAGGAAGUUAUGAGCCAUUAUCCCUUUGAUUUUAGGAAACCACCCGUAACGUGUAUGAGAGAUAUUAAGAAGAGUUGUUUUAUCUUUAUUCCAAUUUUAAACCAAAACCAACGUUUUGAAAUUAAACUAGAUAAAGAUAAUUAUCAAUUUAAAUUAGAAAACUAAUAAUUAAAAUAAAUUAGAUGGCCAUAUUAUACACGUUUUGAAAACGUGUCUAACAAUUUUUACUUUAUUGCAAAUGUGAUCAUAUGGCCUGAUGCGGUCCACAAAAUAUAUAGUUGUCAAAAAGAAGACGAACAAAGCAAUUGAUCAUAAGCCAUUUUUACUUUAUUGCAAUAAAGCAUGAUUAACGCUUAUUGCAAUCACUAAAGAAAGAGAGAUUCUAGAGUACAUAGAAUUAUUACGCUUGAUUAAUAUAUAUAUAUAUAUAUAUAUAUAUAUAUAUAUAUAUAUAUAUAUAUAUAUAUAUAUAUAUAUAUAUAUAUAUAUAUAUAUAUGUAAUUUCCCUAACGAAUAUGUCUAAUUCAGGAACUAAUUACUUUUUCAGGCCUAUGAAGUCAUUUCAAUAUUUUAAUUUUUUAAUCAUUUAUUUACUAUUUACAUAUUAAUAUUUUGAUUGUUAAUUUUUUACAUUUCCAAUUACUUAACAUAUAUCAAUUAUUUUUGUUGCCUUUACAAAGUCGUUACAAGAAUAUUAUGUUAGAGUGGAGAUACUUUCAUACUUUCAUGAGUUAACGGCGGUCAAUGGUUAAAGAUAACGAGUUUUGGGGUAGAUUGAUGUUUUCAAUAGUAAGAGGGGGAAAUUUGAAGAUUGUCAAUUCCCUAAGGGUAAUUAGAAAUUAACCCAUAUAUAUAAUAGGUACAUUUGAUAUGAAACGUAUAAUUUAAUUAAAUAUAUCUAUUAAUUACAUUUUAAUUUUUUAAAAUAAAUAUACACAUAAUAUAUAUGUAUUAAUUUAUAUAAAAAUAUAUAAAGAAAAUUAUUAUGUAGCACAAAUUCCCGCCCUAUUAAAGAUCUCAUGAUAUCCAAAAAAAUAAUUAUAUAUUUAUAGCAAAGUGUUGGUAUAUUUUGAAGGAACGAGUUCGGUACGGAAAUGUAAUAGUAUGUGUUUUUAAUGACGUUUAUAAAGUCAUUAAAUGUCAAAAGGAAUGAAUUUAGUGAUCAAUUAAUAAUUAGAUAGGUAAACAUGAAAUCUCUCGGUCUAUUAAUGUAGUAUAGUUUCUCCCUCAGUUAUUAUCAUUAAAUUAAUUUGUAAAUCUCGUUUCCCGCUACUCCUUCCAAAUAUACAUGAGUAGUGAUAUUUGGCCCUUUUAUUAUAACUCACAAUCUCCUAUUUUUUUGUUAACCCCAUUAAAUAUUUUUAAAUAAAUUUUUAUCUCUCAACAUAUCACACAUAAUUAUGGAUUUACAUUUAUUAUAAUUUCUAUCUUUUUUUCCAAGCACUCACUAUAUAAAAUUUAUAAAAUCUAUUUAAAAAAAAAACUCUCAUAAUCACUAUAAUCUCUUUUUUUAAAAAAAAAAAAUUUAUCCGUCGUUGUCAUAAUCAUUAAAAAGAAAAAGGCACCAUCCUUUAUUGAAAUCUCUCGGUCUAUUAAUGUAGUAUAUUUUCUCCCUCAGCUAUUAUCAUUAAAUUAAUUUGUAAAUCUCCUUUCCGGCUACUCCUUCCAAAUAUACAUGAGUAGUGAUAUUUGGCCCUUUUAUUAUAACUCACAAUCUCCUAUUUUUUUGUUAACCCCAUUAAAUAUUUUUAAAUAAAUCUUUAUCUCUCAACAUAUCACACAUAAUUAUGGAUUUACCUUUAUUAUAAUUUCUAUCUUUUUUCCAAGCACUCACUAUAUAAAAUUUAUAAAAUCUAUUUUAAAAAGAGAAAAAAACUUUCAUAAUCACUAUAAUAUCUCUUUUCAAAAAGAAAAUUUAUUCGUCGUUGUCAUAAUCAUUAAAAAGAACAAGGCACCAUCCUUUAUUGAAUAUUGAGUACUGUAAAUUAAUUUCUUUCACGAUUACAAAAAAAGAGUAUACAAUAUUUGAGAAAAAAAUAAUGAUUUAAAAAGUUAAAAAAAUUAGAGUUUAAGAAAUUAGAUUAGCUAAAUUCGAUAUUAAUAGAAAUUGUCAUAUGAGUGCACUUAAAAGUUAUUUACCCUUUUAAAUCAUUUCACAUAAUAAUAAAAUAUGUACUAACAUAAAAGUGAUUAGUAGAGACUGAUGAGAUAUAAUGAGUCAAAUAUCAAAUUCUACAUAUAUAUAAUAGCUAAUAUAAUUGUUUAAAUAGGAUUGUAAUUAAACUCAUUAAUUAACUACCUUUAAUUUUUCAGUAGGCGAUAUUUUUGAAACGUGAUGAUCAUGUGUGAAUAUUAUUCGAAAGUAAUGAUUUUACUAAAAUCUUCGUCUACAAUGAUGUUACAGUACUGAUGCUCAUUUAUUAGCUGUUGUCUUACCUCUUAAUUAAUUUUUUGCAUUUGCACUUGGAAUUAAUCAUUUGGCCGUGAUAGUAAUGCUACAGCCAGCGGAAUUUGAGCCUCCCUUCUUCAAUGCCUGGUACGAGAAUGAAGCUAACAAUCGGGAUGGACAGAACAUUCUGUUAUGGCAAACGUGUUUACUUCACUUUCAUUAACAAGACUUAAGCAACCCACAAAACCAGAGUUUGCAGAAACAAGAUUAAGAAACAAAACAAAAGAAGUAUCAAGCAAUCAAAGAUACUCAACACACCAAGAAUCUAACGUGGUUCAGCUCCACAAAGGAACCUACAUCCACGGCUGUAAAACCAGCAAGGGCAGAAGCUUUAUUGAACAACAAGAAGAUCGUUUACAACUGAGUCACCAAUUACAGAUUAAAGCCUAUCGAAUGUUUUCUCUCUGUAAAUCCUCUCUGUUUUUCUAUAUAUGUUUUACUAGCUUAGAGACAACUUAUAUAUGUAAGCUUCUCACGUGUGUUCCACUUGCAAUGAGUCAGUCUGUUAUUUAACUAACUAACCAACUCUUGACUUGAAUCCCACUUAUGCCAGCUCAUACGACACCUCAGCAUGUCCAUAACAGAUUAUAACUAAUCUCGGCUUCACAAAUCUCCACCUUAGUUCUAAUCUGAUUAUGCUUCUCCCUUCACUGCAACACAUCACCAGAAAGCUUGUUUCAUAAGCUAACACUUCCAAUCAGAUUCAGUAAGUCCCUGAACCUGACUGAUGGCAAAGGCUUGGUUAACAUGUCAGCUGGAUUUACUUCAGAUGGCACCUUAACUACAUUUACUACUCCUUUGCUGAUUUCAUCCCUUAUAAAGUGCAUUCUAACAUCAAUAUGUUUAGUUCUCUCAUGAUACUUAGGAUUUUUACUUAGCUGAAUAGCACUUAAGCUAUCACAGCCAACUACAACAACUUCUUGUUUAAACCCCAACUCAGAGACUAGUCCUCUCAGCCAUAUUGCCUCUUUGACAGCUUCUGUAAGUGCAAUAUAUUCAGCUUCUGUUGUUGAGAGGGCAACCACUGAUUGCAGGGAAGACUUCCAACUUAUAGCACCUCCACACAUGGUAAACACAAAACCUGUGAUGGAUCUUCUUCUAUCUUUGUCUGCUGCAUAGUCUGAGUCCACAAAUCCAGCUACUUCAGGUGAUGCUCCACUUAAUUUCCCAAACAUAAUGGCAGUGACAGCAGACCCUUUGAGAUACCUUAGUACCCAUUUCACUGCAUUCCAGUGACCCUUCCCUGGAUUCCCCAUAAACCUACUGAUGACUCCAACUCCAUGAGCCAAGUCAGGUCUGGUGCACACCAUGGCAUACAUGAUGCUGCCAACUGCACUGGAGUAAGGUAUCUCCUUCAUGUAGUUGAAAUCAUCAUCAGUGGUAGGUUCCAGUGACUUGGAUAACUGAAAGUGAGUUGACAGAGGUGUUGAAACAGGCUUUGAAUCUUCCAUAUUGAACCUGGUUAAUACCAUCUUCACAUAAUCCUCCUGAGAUAGAUACAAAACUUUGGACUCCUUAUCUCUCUUUAUCUGCAUUCCUAGAAUCUUUGUAGCUGCACCCAAAUCCUUCAUUUCAAAUUCAGUGCUGAGCUCCACCUUAAGCUUCUUUACUUCUUCCUUUUGUUUACAUGCAAUAAGCAUGUCAUCCACAUACAGAAGUAAGUAGAUGCCUCUACCAUUUGUCAGGAAUUUAAAAUACACACAAUUAUCAAAUCUGCUCCUACAGUAUCCAUGGCUUAGCAUGAAUUCAUCAAACUUUAAAUACCAUUGCCUUGGAGAUUGCUUGAGGCCAUACAAACUCUUCUUCAAUAAGCACACUUUAUCCUCUGAUCCUCUCUCAAUGAACCCUUCUGGUUGUGCCAUGAAAAUCUCUUCAUCAAGACUGCCAUGUAAAAAGGCAGUUUUAACAUCCAUCUGCUCCAGCUCCAGGUCAUGAUAUGCAGAGAGGGCCAGCAGCAACCUAAUUGAGCUAUAUUUGACUACAGGUGAGAACACUUCAUUGAAGUCAACUCCCUCUCUCUGUGUGAAUCCCUUUGCUACAAGUCUGGCUUUAUAUCUUGGUGGUUCAUUUUCUGAAGCUCCAGCCUUCAACUUGAAAAUCCACUUGCUGCCAACUAGUUUCUUGUUAGAUGGUCUGUCCACUAAGAUCCAAGUAUUAUUUUUCUUUAAAGAGACUAUUUCAUCCUGCAUUGCAGCAUACCAUUUCAGCUUAUCCUCACAUCUCAUAGCUUCUUUAUAGCUCAAAGGUUCUCCACCAGUUACUUCAUCACCUACUGUUAGUGCAUAGGAAAUGAGGUCAGCUAUGCCAUACUUCUUUGGCAUUUUGAUGGCUCUCCUCUCUCUGUCCCUAGCAAGCUGAUAUGUUUCCAGUUCUGGUGGUUGUUUUCUUUCCUUGGUCUGGUCUGAUGGUUGUUCAGGAGGCUUACAACUAUCAGAAUGCUUUACCAUCUGUCCAGCACUUUCUUCUUCCUCUGUUUCAGCAGCUUCAAUCUCAGUUUCUACCUUUGACUGGAGCAUUUGCUCUUCAUCAAAGGUGACAUCCCUGCUGAUUAAUAUCCUAGAUGGUUUCCCAUUAAGGGUCCAUAUCUUGUAUCCAUUAAUGCCCUCAGGAUAUCCCAAGAAAUACCCUUUAACAGCCCUUGGUUCAAGCUUACCUUGCUUUAAGUGUGCAUAAGCUGGACACCCAAAGAUCCUCAAAUUGCUCAAGUCUGGUGGCUUUCCAGACCAAAGCUCCUAAGGUGUCUUGAAACCUAAAGCUGAGGAUGAGCUUCUGUUUAUCAGGUAAGCAGCUGUGGUGACUGCUUCUGCCCAAAAACCUUUGGAUAUGUUUGCAUUCAGCAGCAUGCAUCUUACCCUCUCUAUUAUGGUUCUGUUCAUCCUUUCUGCCAGUCCAUUUUGUUGUGGAGUGUAGGUGACAGUUCUAUGCCUUGCAAUGCCCUUAUAUUUGCAGAAAUCUUCAAACUCUUUUCUGCAAUACUCUAGCCCAUUGUCUGUUCUGAGCCUUUUUAUUUUCUUACUAGUUUGGUUUUCAAUGAGAGUAACCCACUCUUUGAACUUCCCUAGUGCUCCACUUUUGUGUUUCAACACAUAGAUCCAAACCUUCCUAGAGUAGUCAUCUAUGAAGGACACAAAGUACCUAGCUCCACCUAAAGAUGGAACUUGUGAUGGCCCCCAAAGGUCUGAGUGGAUGUAAUCUAGUGUCUGUUUGGUUUCUUUUCUCCCUGAACUGAAUUUCAGUCUUGUGGCCUUCCCAAACACACAUUUCUCACAGAAUUCUAAGGAAGUAACUUUAUCAUUACCAAGCAAACCUUGAUUGCUUAGCUCCUUGAGGCCUCUUUCACUGAUAUGAGCUAGUCUCAUGUGCCAGAGUUUGGUUUUAUCUCUGGUCACACUUGCUGAGAUCCCUUGCACAGGUGAGGAUCCAACUAGUAUGUACAGCCCAUUUUUCCUAACCCCUUUCAUAACAAUUUUACCCUGAUCCAAGACCUGUAUCUCUCCAUUUUCAGCCUUAAUAGUACACCCUGAUUGGUCAACCAUUCCUAGAGAUAUCAGGUUUCUUUUCAGUUCAGGGACAAAUCUCACUUGGUGUAAAUCUCUAGUGACACCAUCAUGCAAUUUUAAGCUAAUGGUUCAUAUCCCAGCCACCUUGCAAGCUAGGUUAUUUCCCAACAACACCUUUCCACCAUUUACACUUUCAAAGGUCUUAAAGAAACUUUUAUUUGGACACAUGUGGAAUGAGCAACCAGAGUCCAGAAUCCACUCACCAGUUGGGUGCCUCUCUGCAGCCACCAAGACAUCUGCUUCAUCAUAGUCACAUUCAUCUUCAGAGGCAACAACAGCCUUUCCAUUUGAUUUCUUUUAUAGUUCUUCUAAUUUCUUUUUCUCGAAGCAAUCUUUAAUGUAGUGUCCCUCUUUCUGACAGAAGUAACACUUCCUCUUCUUCUUUUUCUUUUCAGCUUUAUCUUUCUUGUUGUUGUUCUUUGUUUGCUUAUUGUGUUUCUUUUCUGGCUUUCCUUUGACAACCAAACCUUCUACAUUAUUUUGAUCUUUCAUGUCUGAUCUUUUCUUCAAAUCCUUGGAUUCCAGAGCAUCUUUGACAUCUUUCAAAGAGAGGGUUUGUCUGCCAUAGAGGAGGGUAUCUACAAAAUGUUCAUAAGAUUCUGGAAGAGAACUUAAGAGGAUGAGUGCCCUGUCUUCAUCUUCAAGAAUUAUGUUGACAUUCUCGAGAUCAAGAAUGAGUUUGUUGAACUCAUCCACGUGAUCUUUCAUGGCUACUCCAUCUUUCAUUGAGAAUGUGUAUAACCUCCUCUUCAUAUACAGUCUCUUAGCCAAUGAUUUUUUCAGAAACAUUUCUUCUAACUUGCUCCACAAACCAGCUGCAGAUCUUUCUUUGGAUACUUCUCUCAAGACUUCAUCAGAGAGGUGCAAGAUAAUGGUGCUAUGGGCCUUAUUGUUUAUGAUCCUCUGAUCUGCACUAAAGCUUGAAGAGCCUUCUCCAUUCUCUUUCUUGGCCAUCGGAUCUUCUCCAUCAUCGAGGGCACUGUCAAGCCCUUGUUGAAUAAGUAUCGCUCUCAUCUUCAAACUCCAGAGAUAGAAAUCAUUGUCUCCAUUGAAUUUUUCAAGAUCCACUCUGGUGCUUGCCAUCUUUGAGUCUGAUCCCAACCGACACCAGGCUCUGAUACCAGUUUGUUAUGGCAAACGUGUUUACUUCACUUUCUUUAACAAGACUUAAGCAACCCACAAAACCAGAGUUUGCAGAAACAAGAUUAAGAAACAAAACAAAAGAAGUAUCAAGCAAUCAAAGAUACUCAACACACCAAGAAUCUAACGUGGUUCAGCUCCACAAAGGAACCUACAUCCACGGCUGUAAAACCAGCAAGGGCAGAAGCUUUAUUGAACAACAAGAAGAUCGUUUACAACUGAGUCACCAAUUACAGAUUAAAGCCUAUCGAAUGUUUUCUCUCUGUAAAUCCUCUCUGUUUUUCUAUAUAUGUUUUACUAGCUUAGAGACAACUUAUAUAUGUAAGCUUCUCACGUGUGUUCCACUUGCAAUGAGUCAGUCUGUUAUUUAACUAACUAACCAACUCUUGACUUGAAUCCCACUUAUGCCAGCUCAUACGACACCUCAGCAUGUCCAUAACAGAUUAUAACUAAUCUCGGCUUCACACAUUCUUUAGACAUAGAGGUCAAAUUAAGAUAAGGGGGGUCAAGAUUUUUUGUUAAAUUUUAUAAGAUAUGAUGAUGGUUGCUUGUAAUAUGUUGUAAUGGGCAAACUAUGGAAGCAUAACAUCUGCAAAGACUUGCUUUUGUCUUUAAUGGACAACUAGCAAGUAAAAACCUUGCUUGAUAUGCUGCUUUUAGAAACCAAUUUGCAAUCCAAUUCAAUAUUACUAUUCAUUUUUCAGGUACAUACAAGUUGGGAAUGCUGUAGCAAUUCCAGUUGGUAUUGUAUUGGGAUACGCUUUUGGUCAAGCUUGCCAAGGAUUAGCCGAUGAUGAUCAGCCAUUGACUAUACUCCCUUUCAAGUUUCCCAAUUGUCUUGCACAGUCAUCUUCAACACUUGCAGAAGAAGAUUCUGAUUGAAAUUGUAAGGAAAACAUAAAUAUGAUUCAUCAAAUUAUACUCUUGUUAGUUGCGAGUUAUUACCAAUUUGAUUUUUAAUUUGCUAUUGAUGUACGGACAAGCAUGUUCAAUGCAUUAUUUGUUAUUGAAGAUGUUUCGAGGUAGGAAUUAGAAUAUGUUGCAUCUUUUAAUUAGUGUUUUAGAUAUAUAUACUUUAUGCUUUUUCAGUCUGUAAUCACAUGUAUCAAAUAAAAGGUUUAGUUUUAGGGUUAAUUUUGGUAUCAAUCAUAAAUGUCUAUAUCAUUAUUGAAAGGGUGUUAAAUUAAAUGCUAAAAGGAUGAAUUUUUUUCCCUCAAGUGUGAGGGAUGUUUAUGAAAGUGACACCAUCAUAUGGCAUGGAGUCAUACUAUUAACAUAUUAUUUGAAUAUUAUUCACCAAAUAUCACAUAAUCAUGCCUUUUAUACAAGUGUAUAUAUGUAGAUGUAGUACAUACUCUUAUAUGUAGCCAUGAGAUCGAAUCAUGUCUUAGUAAAUGAAAAGUUGCUUCUUGUAAUCUUAUACUACGUUCUUUGAUAAAGACUUUCGCUUUUUGCUUUGAAAUGGUAACUAGGGGUGGGCAAAAAAAACCGUAGUCUUAAAAAAACCGAACCGAAUAGACGAUUUUUUCUAAUUCGGUUCGGUUUUUAUUUAAAAAAAAAACCGAAUAUACCGUUUGUAAAAAACAACCGACCCGAAAAACCGAAUUAUUGAUGAAGAUCGGAGAAUGUUGUUGGCGUUUGUUUGUAAUUUUAUUUUUUAUUUUUUGUUGUAAGUUGUAAUUGUUGUUAUUUUUAUUUCUCUUUAUAACAUUAUGAUUAUGUUUAUAUAGAUGGAGUAUUGGAGUUUGGUUAUGUAUUUUGAAAUUUUAAUAUUUCAUAUUUUGGGAGUAUCUUAUUAAUAGUUAGUAAAAUAUUAGUGAUAAAAUGUGUUUUGAAUACUUUGUAUUUAUUGUUAAUAAUUGUAAUAAAAUUAGGAUAAAUUAAUUGUUGAAAAAAAUUAUUACAUUCAUGAGGCCCAAUGGGCUAAAAAUUUAAAAAUUCAAAAUAGGCCCUAUGAGCCCAUAACCAAAAAAACCGAACCGAACCGAACCGAACCGAACCGAUUCGAAAAGAACCGUUUGAGUUCGGUUCUUAUUCGGUUCUACUUAAUUUCGAACCGAACCGAACCGAACCGUGCCCACCCCAAUGACAACUACAUAAUAAAGUAAAGACUUUCGCUUUCAUUCUUUAGUGGCAUUCUAUGAUGAAUUGACACAUUUUGUGACCCAUGCUUAAACCAUGUGGUGCUUUUUAUCAUCAUUAUUCCCAUUUCCAUUCUGCUUUUGGCUUUUAGGAAUUAAGGGUAUGCAACUUGCGAGCUUCUUUUGUCACCAACCCAAAAGGCCAAAACCAAUAAAAGAAAGCAACUCUCCUUCUUGUUCUAUCAUUCAUGUUUCAUUCUCUAGAUUGCCGUGCUCUUUGGUUUAUGAAAACGACAAAAUAUAGAACUUUAAUUAAUUUGAUAUGAUUUCAAAGCAUAAUGAGGAUGCAAUACGACAAAAUAUAAACAUUUAUUAAUUUGAUUAAAUUCCAAAGGAUAAUGAGAAUGAGGGAACAAUGCAUUGGAAAUUGCACUAGAAUUGGAUGUGGAUAAAAAUAAAAUGCGUUUUCUUUGGGGUUUUAAUUCAAAAGAGAGAAAUAUAAGUUGUAUUUUACUAAUUAAUCGAAAAAAAAAUUUAAAAAGUAUUUAUUCGUCAAUGGAAAAAAAAUUAUGAAAAGAUUUAAAACAAAUUUCACCAGUAUUUUCUCAAACCAAGAAUGGUUACUACGAACAUCAGGCAACAAACAGACAAUUUCCAAUUUAAUUAUUAGUUUUAUAUUUAUAUAUAUAUAUAAGUUCGUUUUGAUUUUUUAAUGAAUUAUAUAAGUGGGCCAUUUGUCUAAAGUCAGACAGUCAAUAACCACCGGCAUUGUUAUAUAAAACUUCUGUUUUAAAAUUUUUAACACCUAAUGUGAAAAUAUCCUCAAGGGGCCCUAGACUUUAUAAAAUAUAAUAUUAAAUCUAGUGCUAAAAAAUACUACAACUUAGAUCUACCUUAUAUUCUUGUUAUUACAAGGUGAUAAAAAUCUGUUUGCAAUUUUUGCCAUGUAGUUUGGAUUCAUAAUAAAAACACUAUUUUUUAGAUUUAUUUUGAUGUUCGAACUUGGUAAAAAUAUUUAUUUAAAUUAUUAGUACAUAGCUAGGUUAUUUGAUAAAUACAGGCAAAUUUUCUAACCAAAAUCGUCCAAAGAAGUUGAAAGUGUUUAUUGUUGUUAUUUCAUGACAUUCUAACAAACUGUAAGGGGUCACAGAAAGGUUGGUACCCCUACUUCUUGUUCUUUUUCUUUUCUCACUUUCUCAUAAGUUGACUUUAAAGGAAUACCCAUAAAAAGUGAUUGAAAAAGAUAUUCCACGUAGACUACACCAUCCACUCAGGAUGCACCACGUGUAAAACAUCAUGACCUUUUCUCUUUCUCGGCAUAAAAAUAUUUAAAAAAAUAAAUAUUAAAUAAAUAAAAUAAUAGAUGUAUGUAUAUAUAUGUGUGUACACACGCACGCGCUAAAAUACCGGGAACGAGAAAACAGACUUCCUACUUUCUUCUUUCAAUUUUCUAAGCUCACGCUAGCUUUCUCUCUCUAAAAGUAGGAACCGUAAAUUGAGUGAACGUGCGGAAUGACGGCAGCGACGCCGGCGGCGGAGGCGGUGGAGAAGUUCUUGAGGAAAUGCGAGGCGUCGGGUGACGAGGCGUACGGUGCGUUUCGGUCGGUGUUGGAGAAGCUGGAGGAUCCGAGUAGUCGGACGCAGGCUCGGGUCUUCCUUUCGGAUCUUCAGAAACGGGUCGAUGACUCGGACGAGUGUCUAAACAAGUACCAUUUCCGGAUCCAAGAUGUCGUCUUGGACCAAUACGAAGGUCCAUUUCUCUUGCUUCAUUUUUUCUUGUUUAAUUCGGUUGAUUUUUUUUUUUUUUUGAGCUAGUGGUUUGACUUUCUUUGAAUUAGGGACUAAAAAGUGAUUGUUUGUUUUUUAGUUUGGGGAGUGGUUUUAUGGAAGAUAGUUCGGAGGAAAAAGUGCUUUUGAUAUUAAGUGAUUUUUGGGAAAGUAAUUAAGUGCUUAUGUGACAUAAGAAGUGCAUUGUAGAAAAGCAAUUGUGCUUUUCGUAUGUUUUAAAGAAUUUUUGAGUAGUUCAGUUUGGUGCUUCUAAUUAAGUGUUUUUUCAGAAUGUGAUUUAUGUUCUUUUUUUUCUUCAAUUCAAGAAGUGCGUUUUAGAGAUGUAACUGUUAGAAAUUUUUCUGAAAGAAGCCCAAAAAAACGUAUGCUCUUUUUUUUUUUUUUUUUGUAGUUCAGCUGGAAACUUAAAGAAAAUGCAGAACUUACUUUUUUUUAAGAAAAAUCUGAUUUGAUUACUUGAAAACAUUUAUGAUUGUGAGUGCUAUUAAUUAUUUGCAUUUUUUUUAUGCAUUAACUUUCUUAACUUAGGGUGUUUAUUUUAUCAUGAUUAUUUUCAUUCAACAAUACAAUAGACUUUGGUUGGGUCCACCUUAGUUGGGUGUUUCUGAGCAACCAAUUAGGGUCUGGAGAAAACUUGGGUGGAGUGCCGAUCGUUUUCAGGAUUCAGUCCCAAGAAAAUACAAACGAAGUCGUAGUUGUAGUUUAAAUUAAUUUAUAUUUUUGUCUUUUUCUGUGAGCCCAGUGGGCUUUUGUUUUUACUUUGUUCUCUUUUGUUUCUUCCCCUUCUUUUCCUACUGUUUCUUGACAAUCAAAACAGACCAGGAUUUGUUUCAUUUAAACGUUUACUUUUGGUGUAAUUAUUCACUCUAACUCGAAUAAUGCAUAGGUUUAGUGCUAACAAAAUAGAAAGUGAAUUAAUAUCUAAAGCUGAUUUGGGAGUGGAAUGUAUGUUACUAAAAAUAUACUAUAUAGUAGAUAGAAUUUGCUUUUUAGGUAACACUGAAAUAAUAACUGCUGUUAACUUAUUUCAAUAAGCUUGUAAAUCAUUUCAUAAUAAGUCCUAGAUUUUAAUGGUUUUUUUUCCUGAAAUUUUUCGUCAGUGCAUGAGCAAAGUUCAAUGGAUGAACUUCUCUUUCAAUGUCACUGCUCCUCAUAUUAACUGUAUGAAACAGUAAUCUUGCUCUGUACUUUGGAGCAUUUUAAUAGUUGUUGCCAAUUCCUUAGCCAUUUUAUUCACCUCGUGCACAAAUUAUGCAAUCAAUAAGCCAACUCAACUUUCAUCUUUCUUCAGUGAAAAAUUUGCAAGGCCACUAGGAGGUUUUUGUACAUCUUAUGUAACUUGGCCGCCGUGGUUUUACCAUGUAAAUUUUCCCUAUUGGAAUUCAUGAUCCCUCAUAUGCCACUCGUGAAGCUGCUUCUGCCGCUUUAAAAGCACCAAAUUUCAGUUUUAUCCUUUCUAGCUUAUUAACUUGUCUGCAUACGCAUUAUUAUCUUUGUUAUUGUACGAAAGUUUCAUUUAUCAUCUUCCCAACAUAAACAUCCAUAGGUCAUUGUUCACUUUUUUCCUUUAGAGUCAUGCCCGAUUAUGGUUGCCGGAUUUUCUGCUCUGACAAUAUUGUUUCUAAGUAUAGGCUACCAAGGGAGAAAAAAAUUGACAAUGAUGGUCAUCCCCAGCAUUUUUAUCCCAGAAGACUGGUAGUUUACUUUCUAUGAAGGACUGAAUAGACAUCCUGACUCUAUUUUGAAGGACAAGACUGUUGCUGAGCUUGGUUGUGGAAAUGGAUGGAUAACCAUUGCCAUAGCUGAGAAGUGGUUGCCUUCGAAGGUUUGUUGGUUUGUCAUCUUUUGCCAUGUGGGAGCUUUUGUUUGCUUCCUUACCAGUGCCUUCAGGAGCUCCAUCGUGAUUUCUCUCCUCAUCGUUUUCUAUCUCCUUGUUUUGCAAGGCCACUUGUUAUUUAUAAGUAACAGUGUUGGCACCAGAUUAUGGUGUUUUAGUGCCCUCCUAUUCAGAAAAAUUACAUAUAAAUGAACAUGUGAAUUAUCAAGUCUGUCCUUGUCCAAAAGUCUUGAUUGGAGAAUGUUGAAAAUAUAACCUUGUAGCAGUUCUUUUAUGCUGUCUGAAUAUUCUUUUGCAGGUCUAUGGCCUUGAUAUUAAUCCCAGAGCAAUAAGGAUCUCUUGGAUAAAUUUGUACUUAAAUGCAUUAGAUGAAAAAGGUCAGCCCAUCUAUGAUGCGGAGAAGAAAACUUUACUGGACAGGGUGGAGUUUCAUGAAUCUGAUCUUCUCGCUUAUUGCAGAGAUCAUGACAUUCAACUUGAACGAAUAGUGGGAUGCAUACCUCAGGUAUUAUCACUAUCUGCAACUCAUGAUAUUUCUCGGGGCUUAAAUUUUGGUGAAGUUUGUUUUUCCAACACCAUGUUCGAAUUUUAGAGUGGCCACAUGGAUAACCUUUUAACUCCUAGUUUAACUUAUUCUGUUUUCUCCAUGCAGAUUCUUAACCCCAAUCCCGAUGCAAUGUCCAAAAUAAUCACUGAAAAUGCAAGCGAGGAAUUUCUGUAUUCAUUGAGUAACUAUUGUGCGCUGCAGGUUAGAAGAUAUUCUAAAUAAUUUAAUUGUGAUUGCAAAUUGCGGGGAAGUUAGCAAUUAAGUUGACAGGCUUCCUCUACUUUCACAUAUUUAGAAGUAUACAUGUUAUAAUUUUGGUUUGAAUCUUGCAUAACUUAGUUAAGGUUGAUGUCUUUAGUUGUUCAAUAUCAAUUGGGAAAUAAAGCAAACCAGUGAAGACCGUGGGAAAAGGAUAAUGUGAGUUUGACAGAUGCUGAGAGGAGAUAGGGAAACUUGAUCUAAAAGAUUUUUUUUCUUUUUCUUUUCCCUGAUUUUUGUUUUUUCUUAGUGUUUAGCCUCUUUACAAUAACAUUGAUUCCCAUAGUUCAUGUUUCUUGUUGAAAAUAAAGAUUCAAAGUUAGGAUUUAUUUGUAAUCUAGGCUAUUUUAGGAAUAAGUUAAAUUAUAAUGGGAAGAUUCAUUAGGAUUCUUUCCAGAUUUUGUUUCCUAUUAUUUAGGAAAGGAUAGAUGUAGUCUCCUAUUUUCUCUCCUAUUUUGCUGUAUAUAUUCCCUGUACAUACUGUUCUGGAAAGUAAGAAAAAGAGGAACCAAUUCACCGUUUUCUUCAUAGGUGCACUCAACAACUAUCUGUUAUGUCUUGUGGAUGACUGAGAAAGUUUAUUCAUUUUGACAAAUUGCUUUUUGAAUAGAGUACAAGUAGAUUGACUAAUAAUGAAUAUAUUGUAUCAAGUUGUUGCAUUUGAAAACUGUGCAUGACUGCGGUCUUUAUCACUUUUAUUCUCAAGGUUCAUGUUGACCUAAAUUUAAAAGCCUUGGACGUUUGGAAAAUCUAUAGCACUGAGUUUGCGAAACCUUUUAGUGCCCUGAAAGAUUGACUGCUUCAAUUGUGUUUUCAAUAUCUUGUUAUUAACAUAUUUGUAUAUAUGUUAAUAUCUUGUGGAUGACUGAGAAAGUUUAUUCAUUUUGACAGAUUGCUUUUUGAAUAGAGUACAAGUAGAUUGACUAAUAAUGAAUAUAUUGUAUCAAGUUGUUGCAUUUGAAAACUGUGCAUGACUGCGGUCUUUAUCACUUUUAUUCUCAAGGUUCAUGUUGACCUAAAUUUAAAAGCCUUGGACGUUUGGAAAAUCUAUAGCACUGAGUUUGCGAAACCUUUUAGUGCCCUGAAAGAUUGACUGCUUCAAUUGUGUUUUCAAUAUCUUGUUAUUAACAUAUUUGUAUAUAUUAUGAAGGCUAAGCUGUGUAAAUGAGAGAUAAAACAUAAAAGGUCAAUACACAGCUGUGUCACCUUUUACUUCUUCUUUAUUUAUUUAUUUAUUUUCUCUGUAUGCAGGGUUUUGUGGAGGAUCAGUUUGGCUUAGGUCUAAUUGCUAGAGCAGUUGAGGAAGGAAUUGGUGUCAUCAAACCUUCCGGGAUUAUGAUCUUCAAUAUGGGUGGUCGUCCAGGACAGGGCGUUUGCGUGUCGACAAGCUUUGGCAGACUAAAAUUCUUCAGGCAAGUGAACCUUUUUUUGUGGAAAUUCAUUAUCUAUCCCAAAUAUCCACCUCUUGAAUGUGUUUUUGCAGGCUUCUGACACAGAUAUUUCAGCUUUAGUUGAAAUUGAGAAGAAUAGUCCUCAUCGUUUUGAGUUCUUCAUGGGACUUUCUGGUGACUUACCUAUUUGUGCUCGAACAGCAUGGGCCUACGGAAAGGCUGGUGGACGUAUCUCUCAUGCUUUAUCAGUUUAUAGUUGUCAACUCCGUCAACCAAACCAGGUCUACAUUUCAUUUGGGUUUUAUUGAUAAAGUGGGUAAUUGCUCUGACCAGGGAAGUGAGCUAAAAUGAUAUCAACUUAUAUUUAUGGACAGGUUAAGAAAAUUUUUAAGUUUCUGAAAAAUGGCUUCCAUGAGAUCAGCAGUUCUUUGGAUUUAUCUUUUGAAGAUGAUUCAGUUGCUGAUGAGAAGAUUCCAUUCCUGGCUUAUCUUGCCAGUGUUCUGAAAGAGCGUUCUUUUUUCCCCUAUGAGCCACCAGCUGGAAGCAAAAGAUUCAGGAACCUGAUUGCUGACUUCAUGAAAAAGUACCACCAUAUUCCGCUCAAUGCUGAUGUGAGAAAACCUUAACUACUCAUCUAUUUUUGUACUUCUCUGGACAAGUAACUUUUGUGUUCUGUCCGUCCUAGGUUCUGUUUUCCCUGAUGCAUUUUUUCAAUUUCUUUGCAUGUGAACUCCUAGGUUCUGUUUCUCCUGAUGCAUUAUCUCAAUUUCUUUGCAUGUGAGCUUGGUGCAUUCAUAUUAGUUUAGGAGGGAAUCUAUUGGUCAUUUACUUGUUUGUGACGAAUAACGUAUGAAACAAUCUUGUUAUUUUUUGUUCUCAAUACGUAGAGCUCUAUGGACCAAUUGCUUAUCUUCUUUUAUCCUCAUUAGAAUUUCUUCAGACAACUUCUACUUCAUGCAAUUUGUGAUAAUUUGCAUUGUUUUUGUGGUCAUUCUUAUGUCUAUUGGACAAAUACUGUAAUGUGAAAUUCUGUCUAAUGGUAUCCCUUAUUCCUUUUGCAUCAUGUCCCCUCAAGUAGUUAAAUGCAUUUUUGGAUUUGUCAAUUUUUUUGGUUUGAUGAAAUCUUGAUUCUCAUGUUACCUAUCUGUUCAUUUAAUUUGACCGUGGAAUGUGUUGUUGCUGUGAGUUAUGCUGCACAUGCUUGUUAUUCGUCCAGUCUUUUUGUGUAAACAUAGAGUUUUGUACAUACUUAUAUAUGUACUGGACCUGAGAUAUUUGCACCUGACCUACUUAUUAAUGUACAUGACAAAUGAAGAACUUUUUGAGAUCUGGAAUGGAUCAAGACCUGCAACUUUCUACUUGUAGAUUUUCCACUGUCCAGUCCAAUUGUAAAAUACAGUUUGUGAUUGCUGCAUGCAUAAAUUAGCCAAACUUAAAGAUGUUGUAGUUGCCUUUUUCUCUUUUUUUGUAUGAGUAAAACAAUCCACAUUCUUAACUUUUCUUCUCCACUUGUUUCUCAAGAACGUUGUUGUUUUUCCUUCAAGAGAUGUGGCAAUUGAGAAUGCUCUUCGAUUAUUUUCACCUCGCCUUGCAAUUGUUGAUGAACGUCUAACCAGACACUUACCAAAGCAAUGGUUAACAAGUUUAACAAUUAAGGUAUGAUCUAUUUCUGAUUUAUUUUCUGUUAUUUUUGACAUAGUUGAAAAUUUCAUUUUUGGGCAGAUUUUCUUUGCUAUUCUUGGAACAAGUAAUAGUGCUCAUUCCCUUGCUUGAACACAUACUAGUUCAGUCGCACCGCGGAAUUUGUUAGAUGAUAAAAUAUCAGAUAUGAACUCAGCACAUUGUUAUACUGUUGCCUUUAUUCCUCAAGUGACAGUAAAAACUAGUAAUUGCAGUAGAUGAUAUAUUUAAUGAAAAUUACUGGGGCGACCAGACUUUUGUGUUGACAUUGAAGGGGGAGAUGGAGAAAGACCGCAGGAACAUAGCGAGCAGGGAUAGCUUUGUCUUAUGUUGUGAUGUUUGAUUUUCGCAGCCUUGACUAGUGGAGCUAAGAAGUUUAUUCCAAUCCCUAGUGCACUGAGAACAUUUCAUUUUUAUUUGUAGUUGCUGCAUUUAUGGUCCUGGCUACAAUCUUGUUCGAAGACCUUUCCUCAACCCACUUCCUUUGAAUUUCUUUGUUGUCAGUUGUCAUCUUGUGCUGCAUAACUACAAAAACAUCCUUCUUGCAGGGUACAGAUACUGAAAACUCUUCGGAGCAUGAACUAACAGUAAUUGAAGCACCACGCCAGUCAGAUUUGAUGGUGGAGCUGAUAAAGAAGCUGAAGCCUCAGGUGGUAAUUUCUGGGAUUGGUGAUUUUGAGGCUGUUACCAGUUCAGCCUUUGUACAUCUUCUAGAUGUUACAAGAGAAGUUGGAUCUCGUCUUUUCUUGGAUAUAUCUGAUCACUUUGAGCUCUCCAGCCUCCCAAGUUCCAAUGGGGUCCUUAAAUAUCUUGCUGGAAAUGUUCUUCCUUCACACGCGGCAGUUAUUUGUGGCCUUGUUAAAAAUCAGGUGAUUGUUUUUCAUUAUACUGGCCACUUGACUGUUAUGCUAUUACAAGAAGAGAUUUCUGUUUGUUCUGAUCAAGUCAUAAGAUGGGUUUCAAGAUUCGUUCUCAGUGGUUAUCUGUUAGCUUUUUGUUCUUAUUUAUGGAAGCCAAAUUCAUCUUUGCAGGUUUAUUCAGAUUUAGAAGUUGCUUUUGUAAUCUCAGAAGAAGAGGCCAUCUUUAAGGCCUUGUCUAAGACUGGAAGUACUAGAAGGGACUACUGCACUGAUUAGUCAAAACUACUAUGGUUGUCUUUUUCAUGAGCUUCUGGCUUUCCAGCUUGUGGAGCGACAUACGCAUAAAGAGGUUAUCCUUCUCUCUUUUUUUGCUGUUUUCAUAUCACAGAAUCCAUUUUUGAAUAUAUGUAUUUAGGUACAGAAGCACAUGAAUAUUCAUGUUUUUAUGAGUAUAUUUAAGUAUAUCCAAUGUUGAUUAACUCGUCCAUUUGAGCAUGAGAUAAUUAGAUAGUUGAUAUUUAUGUUACAAAAUUCAGAAGCAACAUUAGCACUGCAGUAUCAUGCAAGGACUGUAACAACCUGGAUUCUUUUUCCACCUGGAUUUUUUUGUUGAUUCACUUGGCAUAUGUUUAUCCAACCUCUGAUUUUUCUUAAUAUUUCUCUGUAGUUCAUUUCACGGCACGUUUAGUUGCUACAUUGGCAUUUUCUGCUAUUUGUUUUUAUUCAUUGAAGCAAGUUAGCUCAUGAAAUUGCUAUUUGAUAAAUGUUGUUCAGAGGGAUUGCGAAAAGGUCAAAUCAACUGAGAUGAUCGGGUUUUCUAGAUCAGCCAUCUCUGUCCUCAACAGUGCUGAACUGUCAAUUACUGACACACCAAACUCUGGCCUGAUUCAUAUGGAUGUAGACCAAAGCUUCUUGCCCAUACCAUCUCUGGUCAAAGCUGCUAUCUUUGAAAGUUUCGCAAGACAAAACAUGUCUGAGUCAGAAAUUGAUGUCACCCCCAGCAUCCAACAGUAUAUCAAGAGCAAUUUUGGUUUUCCAAUUGAUAUCAAUGCAGAAUUCAUAUAUGCAGAUUGCUCUCAAUCUCUGUUUAAUAAGCUAGUCCUCUGUUGUAUCCUAGAAGGUGGAACAUUAUGCUUCCCAGCUGGCUCAAAUGGGAACUAUGUUUCUGCUGCCAGAUUUUUGAAAGCGAACAUUGUGAAUAUUCCUACUGAGUCUGAAGUGGGCUUUAAGAUGACAGAGAAGACACUUGUGACGAUACUCGAGACCGUGAAGAAGCCGUGGGUGUACAUUUCUGGUCCAACAAUCAAUCCAACUGGCUUGCUUUAUAGCAACAAAGAGAUGGAGAAUAUAUUAACUGUUUGUGCAGAGUAUGGGGCAAGAGUUGUGAUUGAUACUACAUUCUCAGGAUUGGAAUUCAACUACGAGGGUUGGGGUGGCUGGGAUUUGGAAGGCUGUUUGUCAAAGCUGUAUUCUUCCGCCAAUUUGUCUUUCAAUGUGUCGCUGCUCGGAGGGCUGUCUCUGAAGAUGCUGACUGGAGCACUCAAAUUUGGGUUUCUGGUUCUAAAUCAUCCUCAGUUGGUUGAUGCAUUUAGUAGCUUUCCGGGAUUAAGAAAGCCUCAUAGCACAGUCAGAUACGCUAUAAAGAAGUUGCUUGGUCUGAGAGAGCGAAAAGCAAGAGACUUGAUGAAUGCUGUUGCAGAACAUAUAAGAAACUUGGAAAGUAGAUCAAAGCGCUUGAAAGAGGUACUUCUAUCUGUCCUCUUACAAGAAAUUUUGAAUUAACCAAUUACAUGUAGUACAUAAUCUUUGAAUUAUAUUACUCAAUUCUAAAUAUAUGUCCUACCAUUUUCUCCAUGGUGAUCUUUCUGCAACAGGCACUUGAGAAUUGUGGGUGGGAAGUGGUUCAAUCCUGCAGUGGUGUUUCAAUGGUGGCGAAGCCCUCUGCCUAUCUCAACAAAACUGUAAAGAUCAGCCGGCAUUCAGCUGGCAGUGGUGAGAAAACUGCUACAGAACAAAUCAAGCUUGAUGACUCAAAUAUCAGGGAAGCCAUAGUCAAGGCAACUGGUUUGUGCAUCAACAGUGGUUCGUGGACCGGAAUUCCUGGCUAUUGUCGCUUCACAAUUGCACUGGAAGAAAGCGAAUUUGAACGAGCUUUGGAUUGCAUAGCUAAAUUCAAAAGCAUCGUUCUUACACGUAGUUAACUAAAAAAUGGUAUUGUCAUUUGUCAUGAUUUAUUUCUAUUGCCUGAUGAUGGUACCCAUCACGCCUUAGUUGUCGUGAAUAAAUCGAAAAUCAAAUUGCACUGGUUUUUACCGGUUAUCAACAAUUGUGAUGUUUUGAGAUUAUAACAUACUUGACAACGUUGACUAGCGUUCUCUCCUAUGUGAAUUGGGACAAAAAUUAUUUUCCCAAUCACGCUUUCGUUUGAACAAUUCUACUUCAGAUAUAUAAAAUAAUGAUGAAAUUGUGUUUUAUAAUUAGUUACGAGUAAUUGGUUCAAUAUUAAUACAAAACUAUUUUAAGUAACACGUGGCAUAUUCUAAUUCCAGUGAGCUUCUAACUCAGAUUCCCAAAUCAAAAGAAACGUUUCAAUUUUCUCCAGAACAUUCUGCAAAACGUUUCUUCGAGUCUCUACGCUGUGCUAUAAUUUUCUCUCAGUUUCUUUUGCAAAGACUUCUAAAGAACUGUCCAGAUACCGAAAUAUAAGGGGUUUUUAAUUAAAUACCCUUUAAUAGUUUCAAAAUUAUUUAAAUAUCCCCUCCCUUUUUUGUUUUCAUGGAUACCCUAACAAAUGUGAGUAAAGUCGGAAAUACCCUUAAUGAAUACAUCAAAUUCACUCAAUGAAUUAUCUUCAUAUUUCUUUCCUCAUUUCUUUCACCCAACUCCAUUUUUGCUGCCGAUUCUUUCAAAAUCUCUUAGAAUCUCUCAAAAUCUCUCAUAACUUCUUACACAAAUACAAUUAUGUAUUCAUUUCUUUAACACCCACUCUUUCUUUAAAGGUGCAUUGCUUAUUAAACAACCCAAUAAGGUAUGUUAAUGUUGUUGGGUUUUAAAUUUUUUAAUUUUUAGGAAAAUUUAGAAAUUUUCCUCACAUUACAAUGUUUUAUUUUCACCAUUUUUUCUUAUACGUAGAAAUAUAUGCAAUGUAGGUUGUUUAAUUAUUUUUUUCAGCAAUAUAACUUAUUUAUGGCGAAAAUGUUUCGAGUCGUGCAUUCUUUUGAUACCGUGUACGUCAUAUAGUUAGUUAUGUAGGUCGUGUAAGUAAUAUAGUCGUGUAAGUCGUGUAGGUCAUGUAAGAAAUAUAGUCGUGUAGGUCAUGUAAGAAAUAUAGUCCUGUAAGUCGUGUAAGUAAUAUAGUCGUGUAGGUCAUGUAGGUCGUGUAGUUACUUGUAUAUGAAAUUUAAUAUUAUUGUUUUUAUUGUAUCAUCAGAUAUGGUUUUGGUACGUGUGCCUAUUCUCUUCAAUGGUGAAUGGAUUGAGCAAAAUGACGAGUAUAAGUUCAAAGGUUCAAAAGCUAAAGGGAUAAUGAUACCACGAUCGACAACAUAUGCCGAAUUGGUGGAGAAGAUAGCUGAAGUUAUUGAUAUAGAUACUUCGGAAUUCGAAAUCACAAUGAAGUUCAAACUUAAGACAUCUGAUCCUAUGCCACUAGUUACAAUUCAAACCAAAAAAUUCGUGUAAUUUUAAAGUCGCAAUUAAACAUAUUACAGCUAUUUAAAAAGUUUUUUUUUUUUUUAUCUUCAAAGUGCUUUCUUCCUCUGGCCAAGCAUACAAGCAUACAUGAGGAAUGUCUGCAUAUAAUUAAUCCAUGAAAUCAAUUAAGAAAAAAAAAUAUCAACCAUAGGAAAUUAAUGUAAUGUUAUACACAUAAGAACACCAUUCGCAGUGAUAAAAUAUUUCCACUCAUAACUAGACAUAUCAUGACUUACCAUGGCUUAUAAUUGGAAAUUAAGAAUCUCUCUAACUAAUGAUAUUUCACAAGGUAAAGGUAUAUGCACCAUUCCAAUUUAUUGUGAGCCUAAUUAAACUAAAUGUAAUGUGUAGAUUCUAUUGACAAGAAACAAAAUGUGGAAUUGAAGGUCGUGUAAUUGUGUAAUACAAGAAGAUCGUGUAAUUGUAUAAUACAUGAAGGUCGUAUAAACAUGCAAUACAUGAAGGUCGUGUAAACGUGCAAUACAUGAAGGUCGUGUAAACGUGCAAUACAUGAAGGUCGUGUAAUCGUGCAAUACAUGAAGGUCGUGUAAUACACAACCUUGAAUAUUACAUAACCUUACACGACCAAAUCUUAUGUUACAUAACAAAAUUAUAAUCAGCACAAUCCAUUAAUUUUUCACAAUUUGCAUGCAGCAAAACAACUAGAAAUUUGUUUUCGAACAUGUUAUGAGAGACCCACAACUAAUUAAUCUAUUUUUUCAAUAUAAAACCCUAACUUUUUAUUUUUUUUCCCUUGAAUAUUAACAAGAAAACUAAUUACACGGAAUUACUUGUCUCAACUAGUUACAUUCUGACAAUUUUGCAGUAAAUGAUCAACUCUCUCCGGCGAUUAUGUAGUGACGAACUAUGCUUCACUUUCUCAGUUGUGGCAGCUUCCCCUUCUCAGGCUUAGUUUGCUCGUGUUGAAGUUCGAUUUACCAUGUAUGGAGAAUGAAUGUUUGUUUCGGUAGAGGUGAUGCCGGUGAGGGAAUUGUAGAGGUGAUGUCGAUGAGGGAAUUGCAGUAUUUGUUUGUUUGAGUUUGAUAAUGGAGGGAAUUGCAGCAGAUGAGUGUUUGUUUGCUUCAGUAGAGAAGGGAGAGGUGCUGUCUAUUGAGUUGAAAUGUUUUAAAAUGAGGAUAGCUUAGUAAUUUCCUAUCAGUUUUUAAAGGGUAUCGAUGAAAAUUUUGGCAAAAACAGAUUUUAGGGUAUUGAGAUAAUUUUUGAAGUAUGGAGGUGUACCGGGCGCAAUUGGCUCGAAAUAUAAUCCAAUCUAAGUGUAUAUAUCUCUCUACGUAAAGAUAUUCUAAUUCUAAUUAUCACAUUCUAAUUCAUAAAGAUAUUCCUCUUCUGUCAUAUUAAUGUGCUAAUACGAAGGUCUAUUGGAAUUAUAAUAGUUCAGAUGAAUCCAAAAUAUUCAAUAAUUGAUAAAUAGUAUAUAUAAAUAUUAAUAGCAAUGGCACAUAAUCAAUUAAUUCAAGAACUUGCCCAUAGUGCAUUAAGUUAAAAGAGUAAAAAUAACAUUGCAAAACAUGCCAGACCUUACGUGUUUAAUUAGCAAUUGAAAACUAUUUUACCGUACAACACCAUAAAGAGAUAUUUAUAACACUGUUGCUGCAGCUGUUAAUUCUUUUGGUGAAGAUGUUAAGGCCACUAAAGCUGGAACGUAAUUAGGGAAAUAUAAUGCAUUCACUUAGUUUGCUAUUUGUGUUUUUAUAUUUGUUUGGCUAAUUCUUUGCUCAGAUUGCUUUUUGUUUGAGAUUUUAUUGGCUUAGUCGUGGGAUAUUAUUUAAUCUUUUAAUUUUGUGUUUUUAUUGUUAUGGGAUUUGAUGAUGGUAUACAUAUAGGAAAAUUAUGCAAGAAAGUGCUUUUAAUAAAUUAUGGUCGGUUUACUAUUAAUUAACCAAAUUUAAUUUACUCAAAUUACUCCUAUACACGAUCAAAAUAAUUUCAAUUCCAUGAUAUAAAUACGCGCGUGCGGACACACAAAAUGUAAAUAACUUUCAAAUAUAAAAUAUUUAAAAUAAUCAUCAUACUCACAAUUCACAAGUUAGAUUAUAUUAAGGCCACCAAGGCUUAAAUGUAAUUGAUUGAAGAAAGAAGUGCUUGCUUUGCUUGAUGUGCCAUUUGUCUAUGAUGUUUUAUAAAUGGCCGAAAUAAUGAUAAUCUAGUGAAUCUGGUCAUAUUAAUUUGAUUUUCAUUUAUAUUAAUUAUGUCGAAUCAUACUAUUUUAAUAAGAAAGAGCACUCGAGAAUAUAUAUAUCUAACAACUAAAAUUUCAAAACAAUAUUUGCCAAAGUCUGAUGAAGAGAAUACAUAUAUAUAUAUAACAUGCACUCGCACACAUUCUAUUGUUUAAUUAAAAAAUUCGAAAGCCCAUUAUAUACAUGAUAAAGACUCACCGACACCGAACCAUAUUCAUUUAAAGGAAUUGUUUUCAACUGAGAUUUGAAAUUAUAUACACAAACACACCCGAUUUUUUAUUUUUUUUAAAAAAAUUACUAAUAAUAAAAUAUUUCAGUCGUCCUCUGUUCAGCUGUCAAAAACGCAUUUAAAAUCUAUAGCAACAUGCGGUAUAUGGGUUAACAAGUCCCAAUAUUGUCCUCCAUCCUUUCUGCACUUCUCUGCCAUCAACGGACAUCGAUAGAUACUUAAUCGCAAAAGUGAGGAAGGCAGGCCCUUCUCCGGAAAGUAUUUGAGCUUGGGACAAUACUGGAGAUCCAAGUGAGUGAGGUUUUGAAGAUCAACAAUUGAAGAAGAUAGGCGUUCCAGAUUUGGAAAAUUAGAAAUCUCCAGAAAUGUUAGAGAGGCAGGAAGAGGAAGCGCGGUCCCCAAUCUUAUGUCCUCCGGUGGGAAUGACACCAUGUCGCCAUCGCAUCGGCUGAUUGUGAGUUGUCGCAGAGAGGAGAAUCUGUGGAAUCCCCGACCCCGCCCAAUCGUUGACUUCCAAAUCUUCGUAUUACCAUCAAUCUCCAGUGAAUGAAGGUUGGUGGGAAGGGCAUCUUCUUCAAGGCUUGGAAGCUCACCUCCUUUUCCUAUUUUUAAUUGUUGAAGAGAGGUCAGAUUGUGCAAUCCCUUGGGUAAGGCCUCUAGUCUCUCACAAUCAGAUAUCUCCAGCGUAGUCAGUUUCGCACAAGGCAAUCCCCCUUCGGGAAAGGACUCCAGAUUUCCACAUUUCUCUAUGCUAAUCUCUUGAAGCUGGCGGAGAUUAUGUAAACCACUCGGUAAAGUUUUCAGAUUUCCACAAUCAGAAAUCUUGAUUGUUUCAAGAGAUGUGUUGUUGUCCAACCUUUCUGCUAUAGACUCCAGCUUUGAACAUCCCCAAACACCAAGGAACUCAAGAGACGGAGGUAGAUUGCCAACUUCAAGGGACUCAAGCGUGGCAGGUAACUCGUUUUUUGAAAAUAUACAUGUCAGUGAUGGACAGCUGUUAAUACGCAACUGCUCAAGAAGAGAUGAGGUGUACCUUCUGCUGCUGCUACUCUGGAUGCCCUCUUCCACUGUCAAGGUCCUUAUAUUAUCGCAAUUGUAAAUCACCAACUGCUUAAGGCUCCGUGGUAGCUGGACUCCACCAAUAUAUAUCAACGAAUGGCAAACCCAAAUCUCCAAGAUCUCGAGAGAUGAAUUGGUGUCGCACAUCCAUGCCUCUGGUAACGAUUUCAGUGCAUCACAAGCCGAAAUGAAUAUUCUCCUCAACUUGGAAGGCAGAGCAACCUCAGGAAAGGAAACAAGGGAACUGCACUCGUAGAUUUCUAUCUCUCUCAAGGAACUGAGGAUGAGCGAUGAUUGUGGCAGCUUUACAAGGCAUUGGCAACGGCUCAAUCUUAGAUAUUCGAGUCUGCAUGACAACUCGCAGAGCUGCUGUUGUUGGUCUUUCUCUUCCUCCGCCACCAAGGAUUGAAGUUUGGGACAGCAGUAGAUCUCCAGUCUUUUGAGAGAGCAAAUGUCUUGUAGUAAUCCGUCAUGACUCUUCCAUAUAUAUGUUUGCUCUUUUGUCGACAAAAUUAAUUCUUCCAAUUUCUGUAGUUGUGGCUUCAAUGGCCCCGCAAGAAACACUUGAUUUGAUGUAUCUCUACAAACCACUGAAUUCUGUGAUCCGAGAUGACCAGUUGCACUUUCCCACACAACCUUUUUGCAUCCACCAAUUUCCAAUUUGCAAAGAGCUGGAAGACUCGAAACUGAAACUAACAAUUCUUCACAUCCUUCAAUAACAAGCAUCUCCAAUGCAGGAAGGUGCUCUGGAAAUGUUCCUUUCAGUUUAGAACAUCUUAAAAUGUGAAGCUCUCUCAAUUUAGGAAACCCUUCAACUCCUUGACUGGAUCCAUGAGGAAUCCAGUCUUCCCAUUCUCGCAUGUUUUCAAAACGAAGAGUCUCCAAGCAUGGAAAAGGAAUUGGAGCAUCAUUCCCAUAGAACUCUGAACCCAACCUCUUUACUCUGCUCAUUCCACAUACUGCAAGAUGCUUUAGAGAGGGUAGUUGCCCGACUGACGGCAGGGCAGUACACAUGUCACAAUUUUCAAAUUUUAGCGUCACCAAAUUUGACAAUGAGGAAUCUCCUAACCAAGCUGGAAAUUUUGUACCUCCAUAGCCACUGAUACAAAAUUGUUCCAAAAUUUCAUGAGGUUUUAGCAUGUCAAGCACAUCCUUUUCAGUUUCUGCCUCACUUGAAGAUGAGCCAUCGAUACUGAGUGUCCAUCGAAGCAAUAAUUCUCUAAGAUUCUUCUUUCCAUCCAAUUGAGCCUCCUUCGCAUCACCAACGUCUUUUACAUUCUCCAAUUUUGAAAUGUUAAGUGUCCCAUGAAGGUGCGUCAACAACUUUAGCUCUCGUAACCCGGAACCACUGUCUUUUCCCACAACAAAAUUACACAACGUCUGAAGGCAAGUCAGCCUGCCAAUUCCUAGUGCCAUUUCCUCCAACGAAUCUGUUUUUGAAUUAAUGAGAUGAUGCAAUUUGAUGAGAUUUCCCAUGUCUGCACAUAACUUCUUCAGCCGAUCACAAUCUUCCAACAAAAGACUAUGCAAAUUGUAAAGCUUGUUGACUGAUUCAGGCAGAGUUCUAAUCUUAGUUCCAGACAGGUUAAGGUACCUUAAAUACCUCAAAUCACCAAUUGAAUCCGGCAGCUCAGGGAUGCGGUAUCCACGCAAAGAGAAGACCCUCAAGCGUUGGAGUUUGAGCAACUUAGGAAGAAUGCUAGGAGCCAAGUAGCCAGGCAAACUAUUUGUCAACAUUACUGGUAAAAAAGUUCUCAAAUGUUGGAUAUCAUACAAGUCCCCAAACCUUUUACCGCCAUCACAAUAUUCAGGAAUGUAUGAUAGAUGACGAAGAUUUUCGGAAAAACUUUGCUGCUUGUUAACCUCUGAGGUAUACUCCAUUGUGAAGUAUAUCUCCCCCGCAGCCCAACGGGCAAGGUCAUUGAUAAGAUCGUGCAUCACAAAUCGUGAUGUAUUGUUGCUUGAUUGCUGCAAAAAAGAUCUUGAUCGUAGCUCUUGAAAGAACUUUCGACCUAGAUCUUCGUUAGGAUUCCCACUCUCUUUAUGAUCCAAGAAACCCGAAGCACUCCAUAAUAAAAUUAUCUCCUCCUCUUCAAAUUCAUAAUCCUUCGGAAACAACGAGCAAUACGCAAAGCAUUGUUUCAAAAUUGGAGGAAGAUAAUAAUAGCUCACUGCAAGAGCUGGUAUAAUGGGACAUUUAUCUUCUGGUAAUUCCCAUAUCUUGCUACUGAGCACACCUUUCCACUCACGUUUGUAAGGUUUUCCAUGUAAAAGUCCUCCCAGUGUUUUUGCUGCCAAGGGCAAGCCGUUGCAUUUGAUCACUAUCUCCUUGCCAAUUUCCUCCAAUGACUUAUGUGAACUGAAAUCUGCUGUCUCCAAAGAGUGCUGAGCGAGUACAGACAGACAGUCCUCAGUUGACAAGCUUUUGAGUUCAUAAGCUUGAUCCAGGCUCAUGAUUUUGGCAACCUCUUCAUUGCGAGUGGUGACAACAACCUUACUUCCCUGUGCGCCAGCUUGAAAUGGAAGGCUGAGGUGAACCCAAUCAGUGUAAUUCUCAUUCCAAACGUCAUCUAAAACAAGCAAAAAUUUCUUUCGAGACAACUGCUUCUUUAGCUCCUCUUGAAGAAAAUUUAAAUCAUUAUUAUCAACAGUCUGCUUAGUAAUGGAGCUUAGAAUUGUUCUUGUUAGCCUGAUAAGAUCAAAAUCAUCAGAGACACAAGUCCAUGCCUUGAGAUCAAAAUGAUCCUCCACUUGCUUAUCAUUGUAGACAAGCUGAGCAAGAGUGGUUUUACCCAGCCCGCCCAUACCUAUAAUAGGAAUAACUGCGAAUCCACCAUCCUUUCUUGAAUCAUCCUUCAACAACAAUUCAACAAUUUCCUUCUUUUCUGUUUCCCUGCCAUAAACUUUGGCUUCCUCCACCAAAGAAGUUGUAUCUCGCCUUUGCCUGGCUUUUUGGGACCCCCCAGCUGAACUUUUUAUCAAUUUCAGCGAGCCUAUUCCUUCUUCAAUAUCUCGAAAUCUGUCGUUGAUCUUUUUGAUUUUGGACAUCAUCGAGUAAUCGAACUGAAUCGAUUGCAGAGUAAAAGUGGGGCAGCAAGUAGGAAUGAGCUUCCGAAACUUACUCUUCGUGCUUGUACGACUGCUGCUGGGUUGAUCAUGAGCAGCAGCUGGUUCUCCAUUUCCAAGCAGCAACUUCCUCCGGAAAGCCUCAGUUUGGAACUCAUCCAACAAGUCUUCAACGUCAUAAGCCAAGUUCUGAAGCUCGCCAAGCCACAACUUCACAGAAUCAUCAGUCGUCUUCUUCUGCUCAGCAUCAUCAAGCACCGCCUUGAUCGUCACCAACUUCUUCUUCCACUUCACUAGAUCGUCUUUGAUUCGACCUUGGCGUUCAAAUAAACGAAGCCCCUCCGAAGAUAACUUAUUGAUCAGCAUCUCAACGGACGCCUUCAGGAUUGCCUCUCCGAUGAUCGACAUUUUUUCUUUUUUCUUUUUUUUGGGUUUUUUGGACAGAGAAAGAAACUGAAUUAUGAGUUUGUGGAAAGCAAAAUGAGAAAAGUGAAGAAGCGGAAUGAGUUUGUGAUUGUGUCUAGCAAAGCCUAUAAAUCAAGAAAAAUCCACCGUAAAAGUGAAAAGUCAAACGGAGCCCACCACAAAUAUAAAAUCAGAGGAGCACAGAAAUUAAAAAAAAAAAAAAUCAAACAUGUAAUGAUUUGUAAAGUUAUUAGCGAUUUGUAAAAAUCAAACAUGCGUCUUCUUCCUCUGAGUGUAUUUUUUUUUUCUUUUUCAAAAGAGAUGGUGGGGUUGUGUUGUUUGCAAAGUUAAUAGCGUGGGUCUAUUUGUUUUUGUUUUAACUUUAUUAAUUAAUUAGUGAAGCAAACAUGUAAUGAUUUGUAAAGAUCACCGGCAUCAGAUUAUUGAGAGGUAUUGCGCUUAGUAUUCACAAUUUCUUGUAAGAAGAAUUUGUAAGACUUAUUAAUUUCGAUGAAAAUGUAUCAUUAUUAUUUAAUUCAUUAAGUUAACUUGAGGUAUUAAUAUUCACUAAUUGUGGUGCUGGUGAAUUUACUUAACUUGUCAUUAUUUGUAAUUAAAGAAUGAGGUUCAAUCAAUUUAUUGGAGAAAAAUUGAUUUUAAUUCUUAGUAUUUGAUUUCACUCUCUUUUACUUUUUGACGUUGCUAAAGAGACAGUAAAAAACUUGCUAAAUGUCAUCAAAUACUUGUAUCUCAUCUCACAAAUUGGCAAUAUUUGUUUGGUAUUUCAUCUUAACGGGACGCCGUAAGGAUUGCCUCUCCAAUGAUUGAUAUUUUUUUUUUCUUUUUUUCCCGCACAGAAAGAAACAGAAUUUUGAGUUUUAAAGCAAAAUGAGAAAAUUGAGCAAAAUGCAUGUGGCAAGUCUCCUGCUUGAUUAUUCCAGUAAAGUGAAAAUAAAAGCAGAGCCCACCACCCAUUGAUAAUUGGAAAAUGAUAAACGAACGAAAAGCGCGACGAAGGGACGACAGAAAACGCGUUUCCUCAUCAAAUUUUGUUUUUGUGUACCGACAAUAAAUAAUAAAAUAUUUUUUGUGAGAGCGAUAACAAAUAGUAAAAUAAAGAAUUAAAAAAAAAGAUAGUGUAAACGAACGAAAGCGCGACGAAGGAACGACAGAAAACGCGUUCCCUCAUGAAAAUUUUUUUUUGUGGGAUCGAUAAUAAAUAAUAAAAUAUUUUUUUGUGGGACCGAUUAUAAAUAGUAAAAUAAAGAAUAAAAAAUAAAAAAAUGGAUGGUGAAAACGAACGAAAGCGCGACAAAGGGAUAACAGAAAACGCGUUCCUCAUCCAAUUUUUCUUUUGUCGGACCGAUAACAAAUAAUAAAAUAUUCUUUUGUGGGACCGACUAAAAAUAGUAAAAUAAAGAAUGAAAAAAAGGAUAGUGUGCAAUUUUUCUUUUAAUAGAAUUUAGCAAUUCACCAAUCACCAAUCACCACCACUUGUUACCAGAUUCAAUAAAUGUAAAAUCGCACCUGGACAUUUGUAGGGUCAAGCAACAUUAAUCCAGUGUCCGGGUAAAUGCUGAAUAAAGGGGAAAAUGGGAUGUAAAUUUACUAUUAAAACAAAUAAAAUUUAUUAAUAAAAAUAAGGGUUAUAUAUAUUUUUUAAAAUGUUAAGAAGUUUUAUAUCUUUUUUGGAUUAAAUUUUCUAUUUCCUAUUAAGCAAAACCCACGUCAAAAGUGAAAAAGAAAAAUAGAGCCCACAGAACAGAGCCCAUUACAAAUAUAAAAUCGGAGGAGCUCAUGAUCAUGCCUUUUGUUUUACAUACUAAAUUUAAUAAAAGCCAAACCAAAAUCUUGCCUUUACUUAACAUGAUUAAUUAGGCACUGCAUCAGAGAGAACACGAAAGCUAUGAACCAUUUUGUUAAUCUUAAAUGUCAGGAAUAUAAUUAGCUUGGAAUAAAGUUGCAUUCUUCUCCUCUGACCGCAAGAUAUGGACUGGGCCACUCCAAAGAGAUUGGUAAUGCUGUAUCAGUAUAAUUAGCUUGGAAUAAAGUUACAUACAUUCUCCUCCUCUUACUGUCUCUUUAGGUUCAUUUCAAAAGUUUGAAGAGAGUAUCAAUUCUUCUACACUUUAGAAUGUCAAUGUUUUUGCUUUCUUCAAAUGUUGAAUAAAGAGAAAAAAAAAAUGUUGAAUGUAGAAGGAAAAUGGAAUGCAUCCACCUUCGCUUUGGAAGUCUUCUACUUAUAAAAGCAAGCUAAAUUAAAAGAUUUAAAUCUCUCUUUUUAUUACUAUAAGUGCACUGCAUUUUUUUUUUUAAAUAAUCACCUAUACAAAUUUGUAACGUAAUGAAAUAUUCAUAUUCCUGUCGUGUCGAAAUGAGAUAAAAUGAAAUUUUAAAUAACACAAAUUCGACUCAUUUGUUAAAAGUAUAUACUUAAUAAGCUAAUAACAUAAUUAACAUAACGCUAUUAUUAUACUAAAUGAAAUAAAAGACGGUAGCCACCAAUAAUUACACUAGCAAGCUUCGCAUGCUCGUGUUUAAGGAAUUGGACAUUGGUGAAUUAAUCAAGGAUAAGAAACAAUUUCAAAAAACAAAAUGGAUACUAUACAUUUUCUUUUUUUAAUUGCACAGAAAAUGGGACUAAUUUUCAAAUAUUUUCAAAUUCACUUAUUAACAAAAGCUAUACAAAAUAAUUUCCUUUUUAUUUUGAAACAUUAUACGGAAUCAAAUAACAGUGAUUCAAAGAGUGUAAAGUGGUAAUUCUCUGAUUGUAUUUUCUCUCUUUUUUAAAAGGAGAUGGUGGGGUUUGGUUGUUUGCAAAAUUAUUGGUGUGAGGGUCUAUUUGUUUUUGUUUUCACUUUAUUAAUUAAUUACGAAGCAAACAUGUAAUCAUUUGUAAAGGGGUCACUAGCAUUGGGUUGUGUAAGAUGAAUUCGUAAGACUUAUUAAUUUCGAUGAAAAUGUAGCGUUAUUAAGUUGUCAAUUCAUUAACUUGAGGUACUAAUAUUUACUAAUUGUGGUGAUUAAUUUAUUUAACUUUGUCAUAAUUUUCAAUUGAGAAUGAAGUUCAAUCAAUGUAUGAAAAAAAUAAUUUUUUUAGAUUUUUAACUCCUAUGAUUUAAUUUCCAUCUGUUUCGAUUAUUGACGUGUUAAAAGCUUGUAGAAUAUCAUGAAAUGCUUGUAUCUCACCUCACAAAUUGACAAAAAUUGGUUGGUUUCUCCAAAGGCUGCCAUGACGAAUUGAAAGUAAAAACAACCACCAUUGAAAAUUAAUUUUAAAAAUCUUUUUUACUUGAAAAUUUUUAAAAGAAAAAUUAAGCAAAUUAGAUUGCAGAUAUCAAUCUUAAUAUUUUGUUGAUGAAAAUUAAUUAAUUAAUCCCAGUACUUUCUUAAUUUUGUGUUGUGCACCGCAUUGGCCACUUCUGAUUGUGUUGCAUAUUUGUUAAUUCAAAGAAAUAGAUCUUUUGUAUCGAUCAAACUUAUUUUAUUAGUAUUAUUCAUCAUAUGGUUAAUGGCUUAGCCAAUGAAGGAGAAGGGGUCAGCCAAAAUAAAUAAAGUACUUUCUCAUGCAUUAACCUUUAUUAAAAAGCUUUAUUAACUGUUGUAGUUAAAACAAUUUUAAAACAAGUUAAAACAGUUCCAACUCAAAAUCUGUAGGCUGCAAUUGGGUUGUUACACAUAUUUCUAAAUUUCAGUCUAAUUUAAUUGUGUAUGGACAAACUGACUUUAUCACUCCUUUCAUAUUAAUACUCAUAAAUUUCAACCUUUUUUUAUGAUGAUGCACAAUCUAACUUAACAAAAAUAAUGUUCAAAUUGUCAAAAAAUGUUCUUUUCUUAAAAAAGAAAAGAAAAUCAUAUAUAGUAGUUAAUUUUUCUUCCUCUUUACUCCAAGAUCCAACUUCGUACUCCACUUUUUUGUUGUUAUUGUACCCAGCCGUUAGAUUUUAAUUACAUUAAUUUAAUGGUUUGGAUUUGUAAAUGAAUAACGACGUAGUGUUUGGCUACCAUCUGAACCCACUGCAUCUAAUUGGUUUUGUGAUUUUUUGCUUUCUUCUCUGUAACACUUGACUAGUUCUGAAAAUAUCGACCGCCAUCAACAAUAAAUCUGAUCCAUGUAUUAUUUCUUAGUAGUGGGCAAAUUAAUAAAGUUUCCACCACCGUACCAGUAUGUCGAUUUGCGAAUACAUUCAUUCAAAUAUUAAACAUUCAGAGAAGAAAGCAAACCGUGGCAGGAUAGAAUGCUGCGUUCUGUGCUAACUAUAAAUUCUCACAGUGGCACGCAUAUCACAUGACACACAGAGCUCAGACAACACGCUCAACUGCCACAACACUCACCAAAUCUUCACCCAACUCAUGCAUCUCACCUCUCUGUGCUCUCUCUGUUGGCUCUCUCUCUCCCUCUCUCUCCCCCCGUCGCUCACGCAUCUCACCAUGCUCUCUUUUCACCGUCGACUUUCUCUCUCUCUCUCCCCAUGGGUCUUUCCACAGCUGGCGCGGGUCUCCAUCGAGAAUGCUUCGAACUCAUCAAGAGUGGUAGUAAAAGCAACAGUUUCAAUCGAGAACGGCGUCGUCUCGGCUCGGAAGAAGUAAUAACAGUGGUAUUUGGCGGGGGUUUUGGGUACUUUUUGUUCCUGUUUGUCCAUUAAUUAAUUAAUUUGGAAAAAGAACGGUGUAUUUGACAAAUAAAUAAUGGGGAUGGUUGGAUGUAAUUAAGGGGAUGAUGAACAUAAUAAUGGUUUAAGAAGACCAGGAUUUUGUUAACUUUUUUCUAGGUUUCUUGAAGAAUGUAACUUAAAAUAAAUGCAUCAAAUUAAGUAAACAUAAAAUCAUAAUAAUAAUAAUAAUAAUAAUUGGACUCAAUAAUUAUAUGUGAAAUUUACAUAUGUGUCAAGUAGGAGCAUGAUAUCAUCAUUUACACACACACACACCACACACACACACACACAUAUAUAUAUAUAAAUGACAAUUUAUUUAAAAGUCAAAUAAUUGUGACGUUUUAUCAAAUAAGUGACAAAUAUAUAAUAUAUUACAUAUUUAUUGAAUAAUUAUCAUUUACCUUUUCCUUUUAUUGACUUAAGAAAAAAAACAAAAAACUUGCUAUACCGCUUCUGUUUUCGUUCUUAGAACAUAUUAGUUUCUUUUGAGAAAAGUCAAACUCAUUCCCAUUACUUUCUUUUCAAUAAUCACCUCUCAGUUUUUCAUCAGUCACUCAAUUUCGAAUUUCAUCUCCAUUCUCUUUCAAAGAAGAACACACGAAGAAUUUUAGCUUGCUUUACCUGCUUCUCGAAUUUCAGGUAUUGUUUCCUUUAAUUUUGAUUUUUUUUUUUACCUCUCUGUUUCUAGUUUGAUAAUUUAGGGUUAUACUUGAAUUAAUUGUAUUUUUAAUCAUCCUAGGUUGAUUUAAUUGAUUCCAAGUCUCAAUUUCCUGUUCAACAAACAAGGAACGCACGAGUAAUUUUCAUUUUCAUUCUCAAUUUUGAAAGAAUCAAUUUAUUUUAUGUGUUCAAUUUUGUUUAUUUAACUUAGGAUAUCUUUUUCAUUCUCGUCUUCAAGCAGACUAUAGCGUUGCUCCUCUCAUUGAUUAUAUUGAGAACAAUGCUUUCUCCUUAAUUCCACCAAGAACAACGUUGAUGUCAGGUGAUAAUUGAAUGUGUAAUAUUUUCAAUUGAAAUUAAUUGAGUCUCGUAAUAAUAAUAGGGAUUUGAGAUUUACAUCCUGUUGAAAUGAUUUUAGAGUGUUCUGCUAUUUGAAUGGGCAUUAUUUUUUUAUUUUCAAUUAAUUGAGUCUCUUUAAAAGAUUAUUUUUGUUUUUAGCAAACAUCUUAAUGCACUUUGCAAAUUGAAUCCAACAAGGGAAAAUUACAGAACUGCAACAGUUUUCAAAUUGAUUGCAUAUUAGAAGUAAUGUUAAUUUAUGCUGCAACAGUUCAAUGGGCUGGGCACAAGUUUAGGACUUUAGUUGCUCAAUUAAUGAAUCCACCACUCAUCGGACUUGGAACUUAUAUCAACUGAAUCAAUAAAAAUAGUUGACGUAAUCAAUACUGAAAGCUUCAUUUGAUUAAUAAUGAACUACAGACAUUUAUUUAUAACAUCUGCUAGAUUCUGGACAAUCACAAAUAUAUAGUAGCAGAAACUAUGUUAGAGACACUGUAGUUGCUUAAUUAGUGAAAUUGUGAUCUCGUUGCCCCCUUUUUUUGGUUGAUUCUAUAAUUUUAUUAGUUGUUCUUGUGGUUGUAAACAAUAUCAAUUUCUAAUAUUAAUAAAACUGAAUGAAUAAAAUGCGAUACAUUUGCAGGAAAGUUAAUAGUUUAAAUAUGGAUAAAUCUUGGAUGUUGAUGGAUAGAAGGUCUAAAGAAUAUGAGAACACGGUAAAUGAGUUUCUCAAGUUUAAUGUGUUAAUAAUUAUGAAGAACCGGUGUAAUUUAUAUGAUGUAGGAAGCACUUUAGGCAAAAUCAUCUGAAUCUCAAAAUUUCGUGAUAUUGUGCCAAAUAUCCAAAACAGAGCUUCCUACAUUGCUAUAGCAGUUUUUAAAAGUUGAGGACUCCAAAUAUCCAAUAACUGAUCAAUUCUGUUAAGAAAUAUAAAUAUUAAUGGUGAUGACACAUACGCAUUGAAUUCCUUCGUUUUGAGUUUGACUAAAAUAACCUGAAUAGUUUCAAACAAUCCAUCAGCCCAAAGUCCUUGAGAGAUUGAACUCGAGAAUAUAUAUAUCCAACAGGUAAAAUUUCAAAACACCAUUUGCCAAAGUCUGAUGAAGAGAAUACAUAUACACACACGCGCGCUCAUAUGUAUAACCGCACAGCAGAAGGAUAGAUAAAAUAAAUUGAAGUUUCAACAGUUGAACAAUGCAAACUCAUUUUAAAAAAGCAUUCUAUUGUUUAAUUAAAAAUUCGAAAGCCCAUCAUAUACAUGAUAAAGACUCACCGACACCGAACCAUAUUAAUUUAAAAUUGUUUUCAACUGAGAUUUGAAUUUUGAAAUUACAUACACCAACACGCCCGAUUUAAAAAACAAACUAAUAAUAAAAUAUUUAAGUUGUCUAUGUUCAGUCAUCAAAAACCAAUUUACGAUUUAUUUCAACACAAACACACCCGAUCUAUAAAAAAAAUCAAAAUAAUAAUAAAAUAUUUCAGUCGUCCUCUGUUGAGUCGUCAUCAAAAACCCAUUUACGAUCUAUUUCAACAAGAGGUAUAUGGGUUAACAAGUCCCAAUAUUGUCCUCCAUCCUUUCUGUACUUCUCUGCUAUUAACGGACAUCUAUGGAUGUAUAAACGCAAAAGUGAGGAAGGCAGGCCGUUCUCUGGAAAGUAUUUAAGCCUGGGACAAUUAUAGAGUUCCAAUGAAGUGAGGUUUUGAAGAUCAACAAUUGAAGAAGAUAGCCGUUCCAGAUUUGGAAAAUCUUCAAUCUGCAGAGAUGUUAGAGAGAGGCAGGAAGAGGAAGCGUGGUCCCCCAUCUUAUGUCCUCUGGUGGAAAUGACACCAUGUUGUCAUCACAUCCUGUGAUUCUAAGUUCACGCAGAGAGGAGAAGCUGUGAAAUCCCCGGCCCCACUCAAUCAUUGACUUCCAAAUCUUCGUAUUACCAUUAAUCUCCAGUGAAUGAAGGUUGGGAGGAAGGCCAUGUUCUUUGACGCUUGGAUGCUCACCUCCUAUAAUUAAUUGUCGAAGAGAGUUCAGAUUGUGCAAUCCCUUAGGUAAUGCCUCUAGUCUCCCACACUCAUACAUCAUGAGCUCAGUCAGUUUCGUACAAGGCAAUCCCCCUUCGGGAAACGACACCAGAUUUCCACACCCCUAAAAUCUAAUCUCUCGAAGCUGGCGGAGAUUAUGUAAACCACUCGGUAAAUUUUUCAGAUUUUUACAACUAAUGAUAGUGAUUGUUUCAAGAGAUGUGUUGUUGUCCAACCUUUCUGCUAUUGACUCCAGCUUGGAACAUCCCCAAACAAAAAGUGACUUAAGAGACGGAGGUAGAUUGCCAACUUCAAGGGACUCAAGCGUGGCAGGUAACUCGUUUUUUGAAAAUAUACAUGUCAGAGACGGACAACUCUCAAUGUGUAAGUGCUCAAGAAGAGAUGAGGUGUACCUUCUGCUGCUGCUACUCUGGAUGCCCUCUUCCACUGUCAAAGUCCUUACAUUAUCGCAAUUCCGGAUGACCAAGUUCUUAAGGCUCGGUGGUAGCUGGACUUCAGCAAUAUAUGUCAACGAAUGACAACGCGAAAUCGUCAAGAUCUCGAGAGAUAAAUUGGCGUCGCACAUCCAUGCCUCCGGUAACGAUUUCAGUGCAUCACAACGGUGAAUUGAAAUGCUCCUCACCUUGGAAGGCAGAGCAACCUCAGGGAAGGAAACAAAGGAACUGCAGUUGUAGAUUUCUAUCUCUCUCAAGGAGCUGAGGCUGAGCAAUGAUUGUGGCAGCUUCACAAGGCCUUUGCAAUCAUUUAAUAGCAGAUAUUCAAGUCUGCAUGACAACUCGCAGAGCUGUUGCUGGUCUUUUUCUUCCUCCGCCACCAAGGAUUGAAGUGUGGGACACCAUCCAAUCGUCAGCCUUUUGAGAGAGCUAAUGUCUUGCAGAAAUCCGUUAUGACUCUUCCAUAUAUAUGUUUCAUUUUUAAUAUUGCUUAUCUCCAAUUCUUCCAAUUUUGGUAGUCGCGGCUUCAAUGGCCCUGCAAGCAACACUUGAUUUAAUGUAUCGCUACAAACCACUGAAUUCUGUGACUCGAGAUGAUCAGUUUCACUUCUCCACACAACCUUUUUACAUCCACCAAUCUCUAAUUUGCAAAGAGCUGGAAGACUCGUAAUUGAAACUAACAAUUCUUCACAUCCUCCAAUAACAAGCAUCUCCAAUGCAGGAAGGUGUUCUGGAAAUGUUCCUUUCAGUUUAGAACAUCCUAUAACUUCAAGCUCUCUCAAUUUAGGAAAUCCUUCAACUCCCUGAGUAGAUCCAUGAGGAAUCCAGUCUUCCCAUUCUAGCAGGUUUUCAAAACGAAGAGUCUCCAAGCAUGGAAAAGGAAUUGGAGUAUCAUUCCCAUAGAACUCCGAACCCAAUCUCCUUACUCUGCUCAUUCUACGUACUGCAAGAUGCUUUAGAGAGGGUAGUUGCCCGACCGACGGCAGUGUGGUACACAUGCCACAAUCUUCAAAUUUAAGUGUUACUAAAUUUGAGAAUGAGGAAUCUCCUAACCAUAUUGGAAAUUUUGUACCUCCAUAGCCACUGAUAAAAAAUUGCUCCAGAUUUUUAUGGGGUUUCAGCAUGUCAAGCACGCCCUUUUGAGUUUCUGCCUCCCUUAAAGAUGAACCAUCGGUACUGUUUGUCCACCGAAGCAUUAACACUUUAAGGUUCUUCUUUCCAUCCAAUUGAGCCUCCUUGGCAUCACCAACGUAUUUUACGUUCUCCAAUUUUGAAACGGUAAGUGUCCCACGAAGAUGCGUCAACAACUUUAGCUCUCGCAACCGGGAACCACUGUCUUUUCCUACAACAAAAUUACACAAUGUCUGAAGACAAGUCAACUUGCCAAUUCCUAGUGGCAUUUCCUCCAACGAAUCUGUAUUUGAAUUAUUGAGAUGAUGCAAUUUGAUGAGAUUUCCCAUGCCUGCACACAACUUCCUCAGUCCCCGACAACCCUCCAACGAAAGGGUGUGCAAAUUGUAAAGCUUGUUGACUGAUUCAGGCAGAGUUCUAAUCUGAGUUCCAGAUAGGUUGAGGUACCUUAAAUACCUCAAAUCACCAAUUGAAUCUGGCAGCUCGGAGAUCCAAUAUCCACACAAAGAGAAGACCCUCAGGCGUUGAAGUUUGAACAACUUAGGAAGAAUGCUAUGAGCCAAGAAUCCUUGCGAACUAUUUGACAGACAUACUGGUAGAAAAGUUCGCAAAUGCUGGAUAUUGUACAAGUCUUCAAACCUUUUAACGCCAUCAUAUUUUCCACAGAUGCAUGAUAGAUGACGAAGAUUUUUGGAAAAACUUUGUUGUUUGUUAACCUCUGAAGUAUAAUCCAUUGUGAAGUAAAUUUCCCCCGCAGCCCAAUGGGCAAGGUCAUUGAUAAGAUCGUGCAUCACAAAUAGUGAUUUAUUGUUGCUUGAUUGCUGGAAAAAGGAUCUUGCACGUAGCUCUUGAAAGAACUUUCGACCUAGAUCUUCACAUGGAUUCUCGCUCUUCCGAUGAUCCAAGAAACCCACAGCACUCCACAAUAAAAUUAUCUCCUCCUCUUCAAAUUCAUAAUCAUUUGGAAACAAUGAGCAGUAUGCAAAGCACUGUUUCAAAGGUGCCGAGAGAUAAUUGUAGCUCACUCUAAGCGCCGGUAUAAUGUCACAUCUCUCUUCUGGUAAAUCCCAUAUGUUGCAACUGAGCACACCUUCCCAAUCACUUCGGUCACAUUUACCACGUAAGAGUCCACCAAGGGUUUUCGCAGCUAAGGGCAGGCCGUCGCAUUUGAUCACUAUCUUCUUGCCAAUUUCCUCCAAUGGCUUAUUUGAACUGAAAUCUCUUGUCCCCAAAGAGUGGUGAGCGAACACGGACAAACAAUCAUCAAUUGACAACUUUUUUAAUUGAUAAGCUGAAGCAGUCCCCAUUAUGGCUGCAACCUCUUGAUUGCGAGUUGUGACAAUAAUCUUACUUCCCGGUGCGCCAGCUUCAAACGGACGGCUCAUGUCAACCCAAUCAUUGUAACUCUCAUUCCAAACGUCAUCUAAAACAAGCAAAAAUUUCUUUCGAGACAACUGCAUCUUUAGCUCCUCUUGAAGCAAAUUUAAAUCACUAUUAUCAACAGUCUGCUUAGUAAUGGAGCUUAGAAUUGUUCUUGUUAGCCUGAUAACAUCAAAAUCAUCAGAGACACAAGUCCAUGCCUUGAGAUCAAAAUGACCCUGCACUCGAUCUUCAUUAUAGACAAGCUGAGCAAGAGUGGUUUUGCCCAGCCCGCCCAUACCUAUAAUAGGAAUAACUGAGAAUUCGCCAUCAUUUCUUAAAUCAUCCCUCAACAACAAUUCAACGAUUUCCUUUUUUUCUGUUUCCCUACCAUAUACCUUUGCUCCGUUCACCAAAGAGGUUGUGGGUAGUCUUUGCCUGACUUUUUUGGAUCUCCCCGCUGAACUUUCUUUCAAACCCAACGAGUCUUUCUGUGUUGCAACAUCUUGAAAUCUGUCGUUGAUCUCUUUGAUUUUGGACAUCAUGGUGUAAUCGAACUGAAUCGAUUGUGGAGUAAAAGUGGUGCAGCAAGUAGGAAUGAGCUUCCGAAUUCUGGUAUGACUGCUACUAGGUUGAUCAUGAGCCGCAACUGGUUCUCCAUUUCCAAGCAGCAACCUCCUCCGGAACGCCUCAGUUUGAAACUCAUCCAACAAGUCUUCAACAUCAUAAGCCAAGUUCUGAAGCUCGCCAAGCCACAACUUCACAGACUGAUCAGUCUUCUUCUCCUCAGCAUCAUCAAGCACCGCCUUGAUCAUCACCAACAUAUUCUUCCACUUCUUUAGGUCGGCCUGGAUUUGCUCUUGGCGUCCGAACAACCGAAUCCCCUCUGAAGCUAACUUAUUGACCAGCAAAUCAACGGACGCCGUAAGGAUUGCCUCUCCGAUGAUUGACAUUUUUUUCUUUUUUAACGCACAGAAAGAAACAGAAUUUUGAGUUUCAAAGAGCAAAAUGAGAAAAUUGAGCAGUAAGUGUGAAGGGUCAAGCAAAUUGCACGCAACAAGUCUUCCACUUGUUGUUUACUCUAGUAAAGUGCAAAUAGAAACGGAGCCCACCACCCAUUAAAAAUUUAGCGAUUCACCAAUCACCAGUCACCACCACUUGUUACCAGAUUAAAUGAAUGUAAAAUCGCACCUCGACAUUUGUAGGGUCAAGCAACAUUAAUCCAAUUGUCCGGGUAAAUGCUGAAUAAAGUGGACAAUUGGAUGUAUCUACUACGAACCUUCCCUUUACAAAUCUUCAAACUCAUAAACCAUGUUAAAAUGAAAAACGUUUCUCUCUUUCUCUCUCCCUUUCUGCCGUAAAAUUACUUUAUGGAUUGAAUUAAUUUCCAUGCUAAAACGAAGACUUAAAAGUACGAUACAAUUUUUUAUAAUAAUCCCAAUGGAAUUUCUACCGUCACGUUACAUUACUGUAGUGUCAAAAUAAAUUAUAAUAAAAUUUUAGCUGAACAUAAAUUCGACUCAUUUAUUAAAUAUAUAUACUUAAUAAAAUAACAACGAUAUUUUAUUACCUGGCUUCUCCCCAAAAAGAUAAUUUUCAAAAUUGUUCAUGGAGAAGUCUAUGUUGCAGAUUCUGUAACAUACGCACCCAAUGCAUGCACCACACUUGUUCUGUGCAUGGAGAAAAAGCAUGCAAAUGCUUUUGUUAGGUAGCUGGCUUAAAGCAGAAUCAGUAAGUUACAGAGUCUGUAACUUAGCCUGCUCCAUGUGAAAACAAAAAAAGUCCUGCCACCAAUAAUUCAGAAAGCUUCACUUUAUUACACGAAGGUGAAAGCAAAAAGCCAAAAACAGCCCCCACCACCAUCAAUAAUUUAGCAAGCUUCACAUGCUAGCGCCUGUCUACCUGACGAACUGCACACAGCACAUGGGUGGACCAAGCAUCAUUGAAUAGUUGUAAAAAAUAAAAAAUAAAAAAUAAAAAUCAGUGUCCCGCAAAAAGAAUCCAUCUUUAUGUGUUGAUAUGCACAUCUACCGAACAUCCAAAAAAUGGAAGUAGAAAUUGAAACUUACUUUUUUAGUUAUGGCUCAUAUAUAAUACAAGUAUCAAGAUUUAAGUAGAGUUCACAUAUACACAUGCGUCUACAAAAUUUUUAGGAAGUGAUAACUAAUAUGUUGGGAUAUAUAUUUGUGGGAAAUGACAAAUAUAGAGAAUAGCAGUAAAAAUGUUGGAAGUUUAAUAUAAUGAAAAAAGGUAAAUUGCAAAAAAUUAAUAUGUAAUUUAAAGCACAUUACAAAUUGAGUAAUGUACAUGGGUUAAGCAAAUAUACCUCAAUGAUACAAUGAGACACUUAUUUGUUUGUUUGCUUUGUGCAUCGACAAAAAUAAAUUAGAAUACUCUUUAAUGUUGCAAAAACAAUAUAUUGGAUAUUUGAUGCAUAAAAAAGAAAGUUAUUUGAUGAAAUUCAUUCUAGGAAAUAGAGCUAAGAAAAGAGCGGUGUAGGAUUAUCUUAUUCAUAUUUAAAAUUCUAAAUAUAUUGAUUUACUUAUCAUAGUGAUAUAAUAGUAAUUGUAAAUUAAAAAUAAAUUUAAUAUUAAAACAAAUAGAAUUUACUAAUAAAAAUAAAGUUAUAUAUCUUUUUUCGAAAUAUUUAAGAAUUUUAUGUCCUUUUUUUUUUCAAAACGUUUGGAGUGAAUUUCCAUUUCCCAUUAAGCAAAACCCACCGCAAAAGUGAAAAGAAAAAACAGAGCCCACUACAAAUCUAAAUCAGAGGAGCUCAUGAUCGUGCCUUUGCUUCACACACUAAAUUAAAUAAAAGCCGAACCAAGAAUUGCCUUUGCUUAACAUGAUUAAUUAGGCACUACAUCAAAGAGAACACGAAACCAAUGGACCCUUUUGUUAAUCUUAAAUGUCAGGAAUAUGAUUAGCUUGGAAUAAAGUUACAUACUUUCUCCUCCUCUUACUGUCUCUUUAUGUUCAUUUCAAAAGUUUGAAGAGAGUAUCAAUUCUUCUACACUUUAGAAUGUCAAUGUUCUUGCUUUCUUCAAAUGUUGAAUAAAGAGAAAAAAAAAUGUUGAAUGUAGAAGGAAAAUGGAAUGCAUCCACCUUCGCUUUGGAAGUCUUCUACUUAUAAAAGCAAGCUAAAUUAAAAGAUUUAAAUCUCUCUUUUUAUUACUAUAAGUGCACUGCAUUUUUUUUUUUAAAUAAUCACCUAUACAAAUUUGUAAUGUAAUGAAAUAUUCAUAUUCCUGUCGUGUCGAAAUGAGAUAAAAUGAAAUUUCAAAUAACACAAAUUCGACUCAUUUGUUAAAGGUAUAUACUUAAUAAGCUAAUAACAUAAUUAACAUAACGCUAUUAUUACACUAAAUGAAAUAAAAGACGGUAGCCACUAAAUGAAAUUUUGUUGUUAUUGUACGUUGAUUUAAUGGUUUGAUUUUCCACUAAAUGAAAUAAAGCCGUUAGAUUUUAAUUACGUUGAUUUAAUGGUUUGGAUUUAUAAAUGAAUAACGACGUGGUGUUUGGCUACCAUCUGAACCCACUGCAUCUAAUUGGUUUUGUGAUUUUUUGCUUUCUUCUUUGUAACGCUUGACUAUUUCUGGAAAUAUCGACCGCCAUCGACAGCAAAUCUGAACCAUGCAUUAUUUCUUAGUACUAAGAAAUAAAGUUUCCACCACCGUACCAGUAUGUCGAUUUGCGAAUACAUUCAUUCAAAUAUUAAACGUUCAGAGAAGAAAGCAAACCGUGGCAGGAUAGCAAAAACUGCGAAUGGUCAUUCCCAACACAAACCCCUAUGGCUGUUUUCCUUUUAAUUUUCUUCUUUGAAUUCUCCUUUUAUUAAUCAUUAGAAAACUCCCUUUUUUUUUUUUAAAUCAUGUGUUAUUAACAUUUACAUGGUUAAUGUCAUCGAAAUCAAAUGGUUGUUAUCUACGAAAAGAGAAUUGCUAGAAAUUUUGUUAGUCCCAUUGCAACAAUAUAUUGUUAUAAAUUGCAUUGUGUCCCAUAUAACAAAUAUAAUAAAAUCUCAAUAAAUUAAUAGUUUUGGGAACCAUAAAAAAAUUUAUUAAAAUUUAACAAAUAUCAAUUAAUCAGUAAAUUGAUAAAUUAUUAAUUUAUGAAAAUAUUCAUUAUUUUGAAAAAACAUGAUCACGUUUUUAAUAUUGAUUUACCCUGAGUUAAUAUCUAUUAUGUUUUAUUUGUCUAUUAGUUUUAUCUUGGGAAGAUUUUUUAAGAGUUAGCUGCUUUAUAUUAAGUUAUUAACAGUAAUAAAAUUAUUAGUUGAUACAGGCGAAUUUUCUGACCAAAAUCGUACAAAGAAGUUGAAAGUGUUUAUUUUUGUUAUUUCAAGACAUUCUAACAAACUAUAAGGGGUCACAAAAAGGUUGAUACGACGUAAAAUGUGGCAAGUCUUCCCACUUGUUAACAGUAAUAAAACUACUUCUUGUUCUUUUUGUCCUCAAGGGUCAAGCAAAAUACGACGUAAAAUGUGGCAAGUCUUCCCACUUGUUGUUCUUUGCAGCUAAGAAAAGAAAAACAAAUCCCGCAAUGGAGUCCCCUUAAGUGGCUUGCCUGGGUUUGCUCCCCAGUUCGAGUCGCAAGGAAGUCGCCUUUGUUGGGAGAACCUGUGUCCUCCAGUUCGAGCGGGGACUUCUAGUCUGAGUUGUGGUACGGGCUUAAAGGCGUCUCCCACAGUUGGGCCCUCCCCAGGAUACCUCGUGGUUAAGAAAAAAAAAAAAACAAGAAAAAAAGAGCCCGCCACCCAUUAAUAAUUUAGCAAUUCACCAAUCACCACAAAAUUCCAUUAGAUAUUCGUCGAUCAAGUAGUUAAUCCAGUGUCUGUUACGUAGAGCCUUCACUUUACAAAUCUUCAACUCAUAAACCAAGUUAAAUCAAGACGUUUCUCUGUAUAUAUAUAUAUAUAUAUAUAUAUAUUUUUUUUUUUUAACUCCUAAAACGUUUCUUUUUAGAAAUAUUUUACUUUAUUCAUCUAAUAUGUUAUCUAACAAAUAGACACAGAUGAAAUCACUCUAAAGUGAAGAUGAAAGGGGAAAAAAAAACAUUCCAACCACCAAUAAUUUAGCAAGCUUCACUUUUAUUCCACCAAAGUGUAAACAAAGCCAGCCCCCACCACCAUCGAUAAUUUUGCAAGCUUCACACGCUUGUUGUCUUCUCCUUGACGAACUGGACGUGGGUGGACCAAGAAUCAGUGAAAGAAUUUUAAAAAUAAUAAUAAUAAAAGAAAAACCUAAACAUUUUCGACUUAGAGUAGAACCGUAAUUAAUGCUAAAAUUUACUCCGCUAACGUUUUCAAAAUAUUGUUCUUUAUCAUUGUACAGCAAAUAAGACUAAGUUUUGGACAUUUUCAUUAUUCACUUACUUUCAAAAGUAGUAUUUCAAAACAUUUUACAUAAUCAAGUUACAGUUAUAUAACGAGAAAAGUGCAAAGUUGUGUAAUUCUAAUGUUUUUUUUAUCACAGACACUCAGAUCAUUUUUUAUUUGGGUCGCCAACUCGCCAAUGAACCCAUGAUUGAAUGAGUGUUUAGAAAGAAAAUCAAUAAAAAACAGUUUAUUUUUUGUCGUCGAAAUAUAGUAAGUGAGAAAGAAUAUUCUUUUUUUUUUUUGUUAGUAUUUAUGAUUGAGUGACUCAGAACUAUAUUUUAGAUUGAGAAUCAAUGGUUCUCCCACACUGAGAGGCUGUAAGUUUAAGAUUGUCGUUUGCUAUUUCAUCGACAAGAGAACACUUGAAUUUUAUUAAAAGGAGAAGGCCAUAAAGGUUUUCCUUUAUGAGAAAUGUAUCUGAUCAUUCAUUUUUACUUGAAAAUUUCAUAUAUAAAAACUCAUUAAUAAAUGACAGAAUAUGUUGAAAAGUCAUGCAUGUGGCAUCCAAAUUCAAGAAAGCAUGCAAAUUUCAAAGUGCUACCAAACAAUUGAAGAAAAAAAUGAAAAGUUGGCAAAUUUUGCAAAUUUGCCAAAUGGACACCAUUGACAAUUUGCUUAAGUUAGGUGGAAUAGUAGAGGGGUUGGUGCACUUCUUCCAUUUUAAUCAUCUCAAAAUUGUUAAGCUUAUAAGUUUCUAAGCUUUUGAGAGAAGUGAGAGAAGUGUGUAUGGGGAAUUUAUCUUUCCUGCAGAGUGUGAGAGUAUUGGGUAUAUUUGGGUUUCUGGGAAGUGAGAUUCGUUACUCAAAUAUUGUACUCUAUUAAUUGUUAAAUAAACAAUUAUUCUUUCUUGCCUCCGUGGAUGUAGGUUUAAUUACCGAACCAUGUAAUUCUUGUGUCCUUUAUUUUUCUAUAAUUAUUUGGUGCGCUUGAUUUCGCAUUCCGCGCACAACAAAAUAUACAUAAAUUAUUAAUUCAUUUGAUAGUUGAUUAUCGAAGGACAUGUGACCCAUGGGAGCAUGCAGUCUAUAAAAUAAUUCUUUUUUUAUUAAACAAAAAAUUGGUGAUGUUGAAAAGCAAUAUUAUUAUUAUUCUAAUUGGGGUGAACAUUCAUAAAAAGAAUGCCGUAUGAAACUAAAUUAUUAAUUCGUUUGAUAGUUGGUUAUCGAAUGACAUGUGACCCACAAUAAAUAGUUAAAUUUGGCGGCAACAAUAAUUACAAGACGAACUUAAAGCAGCGCAUAGUUUUUUCUUAAAAAUACAUAAACAAUUCGAUAUUUGAAAUUCUAAUAUCUCAAUAAUAUUGAUCAUGAUUCAGUUACCAAUUAGAUCCACUUACAAUUUCUUUUUUUCUUUUUUCUGGUUUCCAAUCUUUACCAAAAGAAAAUAUUUAGUGAUCCCUUUUAUCAACUUGGUUUUAUUGACUUUCUUCCAAUCAUAGAAGUGUUACCAGAUUCUGUAAAGACAAGAUCAGUGCCCAGCAAAAGAAGCUAUGUUUUCGUUUAUAUGCUGCUUCCUAUUUAGUACAUGCAUAUAAAGAUAUACACGUGCACAUGCAGCACAUCUAUCUAAAAUUUAAAAAACGGAAUUAGAAAUACAGGAUUUAUGGUAGAAAUACAACAGGAAUAAGAGUGAAAUUCCAAUUUUAAAAUUUGGGAGAAAUGAAAUGCGAUAUUUUUUUUAUUAAUAAAAUAAUUUAAUUUUUUUUAAUUCUACCAGCAAAAACCAUUAACUUAUCAAGUUAUUGGUUUCAUUCACAGUUGACAGUCGGUUUCUUAGUUUCAUUCCUUAAUUCUACAAGAAAAAAACAGAAUACUUGACAUUUUUUAUUUGACAGUUUUUAAGAAAUGUCAAACAUAUAUGACAUUUUGUGAAAAACUGAGUAAUUGUGAAAUAUAAAUGACAAUUUAUUUAAACGUCAAAUAAUUGUGACGUUUUAUCAAAUAAAUGAUAAAUAUAUUACAUAUUUAUUGAAUAAUUAUCAUUUACCUUUUCCUUUUAUUGACUUGAGAAAAAAAACAAAAACAUUGACUAUACUGCUUUUGUUUUCGUUCUUAGAACAGAUUUUAGUUUCUUUUGAGAAAAUUCAAACUCAUUCCCAUUACUUUCUUUUCAAUAAUCACCUCUCAGUUUUUCAUCAAUCACUCAAUUCCGAAUUUCAUCUCCAUUCUCUUUCGAAGAAGAACGCACAAAGAAUUUUAGCUUGCUUUCGCUGCUUCUCGAAUAUUGGGUAUUGUUUCCUUUAAUUUAGAUAAUUUUUUUUUUUAUAUCUCCCUUUCUAGUUUGAUAAUUUAGGGUUAUACUUGAAUUAAUUGUAUUUUUAAUCAACCAAGGUUGAUUUAAUUGAUUCCAAGUCUCAAUUUCCUGUCCAACAAACAAGGAACGCACAAAUAAUUUUCAUUUUCAUACUCCAUUUUGAAAGAAUCAAUUUAUUUUAUCUUUGGUUAGUACACUUCUGUUCAAUUUUUGUUUAUUUAACUUAAGAUAUCUUUUUCUUUCUUUUCUUCAAGCAGAUUAUAGAUUAUAUUGAGAACAGAGCUUUCUCCUUAAUUCCGCCAAGAGCAACGUUGAUUUCAGGUGAUAAUUGAAUGUGUAAUAUUUUCAAUUGAAAUUAAUUGAGAUUUACAUCCUGUUGAAAUGAUUUUAGAGUGUUCUGCUAUUUGAAUGCGCAUUAAUUGUUCCUCUGUUUCAAAUCCAAAUCCACUGGUCUACUAUUCAUUAUGACAAUGCAUAUGCCGAUAUUGUCUUCCAUCCUUUUUGUACCUUUCAAUUAGUGAGGUUUAGACAGGGGUUCCAGAUUUGGUAAAUCAACAAUCACCAGAUAUGUAGAGCGGCCGGAAGAGGAAGCAUGGUUCCUAAUCCUAAUCUUGAUUUAGAGCAGAUUAGGUAACAUGUGGCAUUCUACAUUCUUGCAAUGCCAUUUCUUGUUAUGGCAGCAGCAUUCUUGGUCAUGGCAUCACAAGCAAAUGCUUUGAUUUGAAGACUUGCUUGGCUAUGAAAAAUAAGGAGAGCAAAGGUAAUCAAUCUUGGUCUGAUCAACAUUUUUAUGGGGGUACUAAGAAAAAUAAAGAUAAUAUAAAGAAUGUUGUUGAGGAGUAUUUUCAUAUUUACACAAGUGUUCAAAGUAAAAAUUGAUUUCUUAAAACCCAUUAGCUAGCGCACAUAAUAAUGGGGAGAAAAUUUUAGACUACGAAUGGUCCCACCCAUUUAAUAAUAUUCUUCAAUCAAUUAUGUUUACUUCAAAAAAACAAACCCAUCUCUUUAUUACUUUCUAACUAUUCAUAUUAAUGUGUUAAUAAUUAUGAAGAACCGGUGUAAUUUAUAUGAUGUAGGAAGCACUUUAGGCAAAAUCAUUUGAAUCUAAAAAUUUCAUGAUAUUGUACCAAAUAUCCAAAACAGAGCUUCCUACAUUUCAUUGCGCUAGCUAAUUUCUUGUACCAAAAUUAGGAAUCAUUGAAGAGUGGAGUUACGUGACUGAAUAGUAUCAUAUCACAGAAACUCAAAACUCAAAAGUGCAAUAACAUUGAACAUUCAGCUGGCUAGCUUAUAUUAAUUAAUUAAUACUACUACUAGUUCUUUAUGAUUAAUUAAAAGAUAAAAUAUUUGACAAUCACAAAACAUUAUUCCAUCACUCAAGAGUAGAGCUUCCUACAUUGUUACCCAGCUCUUUUAUAUCUCCCAAACAUUAUUAGAGUCCCACAUUUGUGGCACAUCAUUAAGUAAAAUGUGCCAAUUAGGAAGAGCUGGCUUCUUUGUUUUGUUUUCUUGGAUGUGCUGCAAUUUUCAAGUAUCAUUCAAAAUUUUACGCCAUCAACACGGGAAAAUUAUAUAUAUUCUGUCAGCACUUGCAUAUGUUGCAAGUGCUGACAGAACUUUUCAUUUGAUUUGAUAAUUGGCUAAGGGUGAUUUCGAUAACGUUUCCAAAGAAGAUAUAGAACAUAGAUCAAAAAGAAAAAUAAGUAAUUUGAUCAGUAGAUGCAAAAAAUGAGCGAGCUUCGUAGUCUGACUAACAGGACAUGGCUUGGAGCAGGGAUCAAUGGACAAGUUUGAGGUUUAUGAAAUAUUGGGAAAACAGACAAAUAAUAAAGCCACUACAAGUUAAGCAGAUCAAAUAAACAGAACAGAGGAAAUAAGUGAUCAAUUUAUUACUUUGUGCAAUGGCCACAGCAACAGCGAAAAUAUGUCUACAUGACUACAUUAUCCGACUGGCAUGGUACUAUAACCGUGCAGCAUUACACUAACAUUUCCUUAUCAAUCAAUUUUGAUGGUAUGAUAUUAAAAACAUCGAUUUCAUAAUUUUAUGUAAUUCAAAGAAAAGAUAUAAUUGAUUUUAGUUAGUUUAACAUAUAAGGAAAGAGUAAUGGGGAAUGAUGUCGAUGUGGCACGUGAUGAGUAAAGAUAGACAACAAAUAUUGAUCAUGUAAUAAUGAAAUAUGUAUUUAUUGAAAAUAAAUUGACAAUUAAAAUUAAUAGAUAUAUAUCCAAUGCACCGAGUUUAUUUUAUCACUUCGCUAACCAUUUUGUAACUACAUGUUAAUUAGAAGUUGAAUUAAUUUUGACCAAAGACUCUAGAGAAUGUUGAAAAGAGAUUUGAUUUUUGUCUUUAAAAAUAUUAGAAAUGAAAUAAGUCAAAAUCAAUCACAAGAACAACAAUAAGAGCAUAUUUUGUAAAACCACAAAUACAUAUUAUAAAUUUAGUUUCGAAUUAGAUCAUUAUUAAUUUGUAUUGUAAGAGAGUCUUAUAGAAAAAUAUGAAUUUUUUAAAAGGAGAUUUGCUUAAGGAACAACUUUAGUUUGGUUUAAUUUGUGAAGGCUCAAGUAAUUGAAAGCAACGCAAUGGAAGGAAAUACAAGUUUGAUUUUGACAAAGUAAUCACUAAAAUAUUUGACAAGUUUGAGAUGUUAAAAAACUGGAAAAAUAGACAAAUAAAGAAAACCCUACAAGUUGGCAAAGCAAAUAAACAGAGGAAAACAGAGCAAAUAUUUACCGUUAUGCAUAUAUAUUUUUUAAAUUUCCGAAAAAGAAUGUUGCGAUAUUUUUUCCCAAAAAGAAGCACAGUUUGGCAUAUGUUGUGCUUUAUUUUAUUUUAUUUUAUUUUAUUGAAGUUACUUUGUAAACUGCUCCAGCAAUUUGUAUUUCCUUUCGGUGAGGUUGGUUUUUUUCUUUAAAUAAAAUUUCAGGGAUGAGAAUGCAAGUUUAGAAAGUACUGCAGCAACAAAGUGCAUUCAUAGCCAUAGCCGGUUACACUAUGUCUAGCUACAAUGCAAGUUUCACUUUUACUUAAUUAAAUAUACAAAAUUAAAUCACUUGAGCCUCUCGUUUCAUUAUACUUCAACUCAAAAUUAAAACGCAGAAUUGAUGGUAUUGGAGUUUCAUAUUUAAUUGUGCUGUAGUCAUGGGGAAUCAUAUGGCCAUCCAUUUUGACGUCUGUUUUAUGGCCAUCCCCACUAAGUAGCUUGGUCAUAUACAAUAUGUGUGUGCGUGUAUGUAUGUGUAUAUUGGGAUGUCAAAGGCCCUAAAAGAUAAAGCUGAACAUCAAUCCCAAAUCUAAAGUGAAAAACAGUAGCUGGAACAGAAUCUUUGUUUUGAUGUCUAAGCUCAAACAAUUGAUAGUAUAGAAAAUGCAUGAUAGAAUAGAGAACCCAUAUUUUAGCAAUAAUCCUAAGCUCACUGGCCCUUAGUUCAGAGUGGCAGUUCUUAUUCGUCAAAGAAUCAAAUUUACUUUUAGUUGUAUACAAGUAGAGCACUAGAUCAACAAAUAAUUGAAGACUUGCUUGGCUGUGGAACCAUAGGAAGGCAAUUCGUGAACAGCCUUGAUAUUUCAUUUGGUUUUAUCUAAUUCUUUGUAAAGUUGUCUUGUGUAUAAAAUUUUUGUUACAUGAAAUCGGUAGGUGAAGAGAAUUUUUAAAAGCAAACGUCAAAGUCACGAUCAAAGGGACGAAAUCAGUAUAAAUAUUGAUUGUCUCAAGUUAGAUUAUACAAAGAUGAAAUAAUGCUAAUCUAAAAAUUCGAUGAUUAUAAUUUGAUUUCCAUUAUAUUAAUUAUAUUCAAUCAUACUAUUUAAAUGAAGAACACUCCAGCAUUUAUAUACACUCAGCUUAUGAAAUUAAUUACAAAAUGAUAUUUGACAAAGUAUGAUGAAAAAGGUACAAAGUUAGACUUCCCGAUCAUGCAACCACCCAUCGAAUUGUGUAUUGUGUCAUCGUUGAGCUCUUAGAAGGAUUCAGCUGCUGAGGAGAAGAUAUAAUCGGUUUUUGUGUGAGAAGCUAUGUACUAUGCUUUUAUGGUGUUUCUCUUGGUAGUUGUCGGACAAACUGUAAUGUGAAUUUCUAUCUAAUGGGUAUCCUUUUAGUUAGUUUGGGAUUGUUGAUUUAUAUAUGAUGUUUGGUAUCUAAAAUUCAGAUGAUGAUAAUCUUGGCAGUACUUUUGUCAAAUUUUCUUGUGUUGUUGUUGGUUUAAUAAAAUAUCACAAAGGUGCAAAAUACAGUAAAAUUAACAUUAGAUAUAUUGAAAAAGAAAUUGACACAAGAAACUGAAAAUUAGUUGUUAAUUAUGAUGGGAAUAUAAUCUUGGUAUUUCAAUUAUAUCAUUUGCACUAAUCUCAUUGUGUCUAUCACUGAAAAGCAGAGUGGCUUGAUUAAAUAGUGUCAUAUUACGUCACAGCAAUCACAGAAACUUACCCAAAAGUGCAUGAGCAUUGAACAUUCAGCUAAUUUAUACUAAUUAAUUAAUAAUACUAACAAGAGAAGUUGGAUCUCGUCUUCUCUUGGAUAUAUCCGAUGACUUUGAGCUCUCCAGCCUCGCAACCGGAAAUGUUCUUCCUUCACAUUCGGUGAUUGUUUUUCAUUAUUGCGGCUACUUGACUCAAAUAUGCUAUUGCAAGAGGAGAUUUCUAUUUUGUCUGAUUUAAGCCAUAAGACGGGUUUCAAGGUUCAUUCUGAUUGUUUAUCUGUUAGCUUUUUUUGUUUUAAGAACUUCUUAUUUACGGAAGCAAAAUUCUCCUUUCCAGGAUGAUCUAGAUUUAGAAGUUGCUUUUGUCAUAUCAGACGAAGAGGCCAUCUUUAAGGCCUUGUCUAAGAUUGUUGAAUUUAGUAGAAGGGACUACUGCUCUGAUUGGUCAAAACUACUAUGGCUGUCUUUUUCAUGAGCUUCUAAUAUCGAAUCAGUUUUAAUGGUAUGAUAUUAAAAACAUCGAUUUCAUAAUUUUAUGUAAUUUCAUAGAAAAGAUAUAAUUGAUUUGAGUUAGUUUAACGUAUAAAGAAAGAGAGAUGGGGAAUAAUGUCGAUUUGGCAUGUGAUGCGUAAUAAUAGACACCAAAUAUUAAUAAUGUAAUAUUGAAAUAUAUAUUUGCUGAAAAAUAUUUGGCAAUAGAAUAAUGCUUUAAAAAUUUAAUAUUUUUUGCAAGAAAGUAAUUCGACAAUUAAAGUAAAAGAUGUAAAUGUUAUGCUUUCUUUUAUUUUCUUUUAUUGAAGUUACAUUGUAAACUGCUCGAAGCUAAAUACAAUAUUUACUCUUACACUAGGAUCUUUGCAAUGGUCUAGCAAUUUGUAUUCCUUUCGGUGAGGUUGGUUUUUUUCUUUAAAUAAAAUUUCAGGGAUGAGAAAUCUUAUCCAUUGAACAUCAACUUUGAAUUUUGUUAAUAUUCAAACUUAGAAAGUACUGCAGGAACAAAGUGCAUUCAUAGCCGGUUAAACUAUGUCUAGCUACAAUGCAAGUUUCACUUUUACUUAAUUAAAUAUACAAAAUUAAAUCACAUGAGCCUGUCGUUUCAUUAUACGUCAACUUAAAAUUAAAACGCAGAAUUGACGGUAUUGGAGUUUCAUAUUUAAUUUUUCUGUACUCAUGGGGAAUCAGAUGGCCAUCCAUUUUUACGUCUAUUUUAUGGCCAUCCCCACUAAGUAGCUUGGUCAUAUACAAUAUGUGUGUGCGUGUGUGUAUGUGUGUACUGGGAUGUCACAGGCCCUAAAAGAUAAAGCUGAACAUCAAUCCGAAAUCUAAAGUGAAAAACAGUACCUAGAACAGAAUCUUUGUUUUGAUGUCUGGAAAAUGCAUGAUAGAACAGAGAACUCAUAUUUUAGCAAUAAUCCUAAGCUCACUGGCCCUUAGUUCAAACUGGCAGUUCUUAUUAGUCAAAGAAUCAAAUUGACUUUUAGUUGUAUACAAGUAGAGCACUAGAUCAACAAAUAAUUGAAGACUUGCUUGGCUAUUGAACCAUAGGAAGGCAAUUCGUGAACAGCCUUGAUAUUUCAUUUGCUUUUAUCUAAUUCUCUGUAAAGUUGUCUUGUGUGUAAAAUUUUUGUUGCAUGAAAUCGGUAGGUGAAGAGAAUUUUUAAAAGCAAACAUCAAAGUCACGAUCAAAGGGACGAAAUCAGUAUAAAUAUUGAUUGUCUCAAGUUAGAUUAUGCAAAGAUGAAAUAAUGCUAAUCUAGAAAAUUCGAUCAUUAUAAUUUGAUUUCCAUUAUAUUAAUUAUGUUCAAUCUUGCUAUUUUAAUGAAAACACUCGAGGAUUUAUAGACACUCAGCUUAUGAAAUUAAUUACAAAACGAUCUUUGACCAAAUCUGAUGAAAAGAUCAUAUUAUAAGUGCAAAGUUAGACUUCCCGAUCAUGCAACUAUCUAUCGAAUUGUGGAUUGUGUUAUCGUUGAGCUCUUAGGAAGAUUCAGCUGCUGGGUAGAAGAUAUAAUCUGUUUUUAUGUGACAAGCCAUGUACUCUGCUUUUAUGGUGUUUCUCUUGGUAGUUUUUGGACAAACUGUAAUGUAAAUUUCUAUCUUAAGGGAUUCCUAAUCCUUUUAGUUAGUUUGGGAUUGUUGAUUUAUCUAUGAUGUUUGGUAUCCAAAAUUCAGGUGAUGAUAAUCUUGGCAGUACUUUUGUCAAAUUUUCUUUUAUGUUGGUGUUGUUUUAAUUAAAUAUCACAAAGGUGCAAAAUACGGUAAAAUUAACAUUGAGCUCAUGAGAUUGCCAUUAGAUAUAUUGAAAAAGAAAUUGAUACAAGAAACUGAAAAUUAGUUGUUAAUUAUGAUGGGAAUAUAAUCUUUGAAUUAUAAUUAUAUCUAUCUAACGCAUGUGCACUAAUCUUAUUUAUCUCUAUCACUGAAAAAGCAGAGUGGCCUGAUUGAAUAGUAUGAUAUUAUGUCACAGCAAUCACAAAAACUCACUCAACAUUAUGCUAAUUUAUACUAAUUAAUUAAUACGACUAACAGGAAAAGUUGGAUCUCGCCUUGCUAAAAAUCAGGUGAUUGUUUUUCAUUUUUGCGGCUACUUGACUCAAUUAUGUUAUUGCAAGAGGAGAUUUCUAUUUUGUCCGGUUUAAGCCAUAAGAUGGGUUUCAAGAUUCAUUCUGAUUGGUUAUCUGUUAGCUUUUUGUUUUAAGAACUUCUUAUUUACGAAAGCCAAAUUCUUCUUUCUAGGUUUAUUCAUAUUCAGAAGUUGCUUUUGUCAUAUCAGAAGAAGAGGCUAAGACUGUUUAAGUACUAGAAGGGACUACUGCGCUGAUUGUCUUUUUCAUGAGCUUCUAAUAUCCAAUGUUGAUUAACUCUUCCAUUUGAACAGGAGAGUAAUCAGAUAGUUGAUAUUUAUGUUAAAAAAGUUGGAAGCCACUUAAGCAAUUCAGUAUCAUGCGAGGACUAUAAUAACCCCGAUUCUUUUGCCUCUUGGAUUUUUGUGUUAAUUCACUUGCUGUAUGCUUAUCCGACCUCUGAUUUUUUCUUAAUCUUUCUUUGUAGUUCACUUCACAGCACUUAUAGCCGAUGCAUUGGCAUUUUCUGCUAUUUGUUAUUGUUCAUUGAAGCAAGUUAGCUUACGAGAUUUCUUUUUGAUAAAUGUUCUUCAGAGGGUUGUGAGAGGCCAAAUCAAUUGAGAUGACCGGGUUUUCUAGAUCAGCCAUCUUUGUCGUCAACAGUGCUAAACUGUCAAUUACUGAGACACCAAACUCUAACCUGAUUCAUAUGGAUGUAGACUAAAGCUUCUUGCCGAUACCAUCCCCAGUCAAAGCUGCUAUCUUUGAAAGUUUCGCAAGACAAAACAAUGUUGGUUUCCCAGUCGAUACAAAUACAGAUUUCAUAUAUGCAGAUUGCUCUCAAUCUCUGUUUAAUUAGCUAGUCCUCUGCUGUAUCCUAGAAGGUGGAACAAUACAUUAUGCUUCCCAGCAGGCUCCAAUGGGAUCUAUAUAUGUUUCUGCAGCCAAAUUUUUUAAAGCGAUCAUUGUGAAUAUCCCUACCCAGUCUGAAGUGGGCUUUGAUACUUGUUACAAUACUCGAUCGAGGCUGUAAAGAAGCUGUGGGUGUACAUUUCUGGCCCAACAAUCAAUCUAACUGGCUUACUUUACAGCAAAAAAGAGAUAGAGAAUAUAUUAACUGCUUGUGCAGAAUAUGGAGCAAGAGCUUAUUUAGUGUCGGGUCAAAAUAAAUAUAGCAAAGUUUUAGCUGAAUAUAAAUUGUUAAUUACAGGCAGAGCAAGUUGAGUUUAAAAAAUGCGAAACACCCAGUCCCAAAACAGAGAAGCUUGACGUUGGCCGGCAGGAUUAAUAUUAUUUUUUUUUAACAACAAUCAAAGCCAGUUGGGAAUUUAUUAAGAGGUUAAUUCGUUGAAGUAUAAAAAAGGAAUUAGCAGGAUUCACGCCCGACCAAAUCCACAUGUCCAAAGCAAAGGAUUAAGUUUGAGAGAUUAUAAUGAAAUAUAAGUAAGCGUCGUACAUGCAUGCGUCUGACUGACAGAACAAAUGAAGGAAACAUAAACUUAUCAUUUUUAAGAUGUAAGCAUCAAAACAAUCGACAAGUUUGAGGUUCGUGAGAUAUUGGGAAAAUAUACAAAUAAUAAAGCCACUACAAGUUAAGCAGAGCAAAUAAACAGAGGAAAUAACUGAUCAAUUUAGUUCUUUGUGCAAUGGCCACAGCAACAGAGAAAAUAUGCCUACACGACUACAUUAAUCCUACUGGCGUGGUACUAUCACCAUGCAAAUUAACAUUAACAUUUCAUCAUCAAUCAGUUCUGAUGACAUGAUAUCAAAAACAUUGAUUUCAUAAUUUUAUGUAAUUCAUAUAAAAGAUAUAUAUAGUCGAUUUGAGUUAGUUUAACAUAUGAAGAAAGAGUAAUGGGGAAUGAUAUCACUGUAGCGUGUGAUGAGUAAUGAAAGACACCAAAUAUGGAUCAUGUAAUAAUGAAAUAUGUAUUUACUGAAAAAUAUUUGGCAAUAAAAUGGUGCUUUAAAAAUUUAAUAUUGUUUGCUAAAAAAUAAUUUGACAAUUAAAAGUAAAAGAUGUAUAUGCAAAACUUUGACCUUAUUUUAUCACUUCACUAACCAUUUUGUAAGUACAUCUUAAAUCGAAGUUCAAUUAAUGCUGACGAAAGACUCCAGAGAAUGUCGAGAAGAGAUUUGAUUUUUGUAUACCAAAAAAUUACAGAUGAGAUAAGUUAAAAUCAAUUACAAGAACAACAAAAAGAAUACAUUUUAUAAAAGCCACAAAUACAUAAAAUAUAUAAUCAGUUUCGAAUUAAGUAAUUAUUAACUUAUAUAGUGAGAGAGUGUUAUAGGAAAGUUUGGAAUUUUUUAAAAGAGAUUUGCGAAGGAAAAAGUUUAGUUUAGUUUAGUUUGUGAAGGCUCAAGUAAUUCAAAGCAAUGCAAUUGAAGGAAAUAUAAACUUCUAAUUUUUACAAAGUAAUCGCUAAAAUAUUUGACAAGUUUGAGAUUUUCAAAAAGCUGAAAAAAAUAGACAAAUAAUGGAGACCCUACAGAUUGGUAGCGCAAAUAAACGGAGGAAAAUAGGGCAAACAUUUAUAUUUUCCAAAAAGAAUAAAAGCACGUGUCAAUUACCAAAUAACUUCCACUUUAAAAAAGAAUAAAUGCUAAUAUCAUUGUUAGCACAUGUUGUGCAUUUUUCAUUUAUUUAUUUAUUUCUUUGCUUUUACUUAUUGAAGUUACUUUGCAAACUGCUCCAAGCAAACUACAAAAUUUCUUCUCACUCUAGGAUCUUUGCAAUGGUCCUGCAAUUUGUUUUCCUUUCUAUUAGGUUAGCUUUUUAUUCCAAAAAAAAAAAAAAAAAAAUUGGGCAGAUGGAAACCUCACCCACUAAAUACAGAUUUUGAAUUUUAUUAUUAUUCAAAAUUAGAUAACUAUGCAAAUAAUGUGCGGUUAUAACCAGUGAAACUGUGUCUAGCUACGAUGCAGGUUUAAUUUUCACUUGAUUAAAUAUAAACAAAACUAAAUCACCUGGGCCUCUGGUUUCACUAUUUUUCAACUUGAAAUUAAAACGUAAAAAUUGAUGGUAUUGGAGUUCGUUGUUUAGUUUUGCUGUAGGUCAUGGGAAAUCAAAUGGCCAUCCAUUUUUAUGUCUAUUUUAUGUACUAUUGGUCACUAAGUAGCUUGGUCAUAUAUGUGUAUUGGGAUGUCAUGGGACCUAAAAGAUAAAGCUGAAAAUCAAUCCCCAAUCUAAAGCGGAAAACAGUAGCUAGAACAGAAUCUAUGGUUUGAUGUCUUAGUUUAUAGGCUUAAACAAUUAAUAGUACAGAAAAUGCAUGAUAGAACUCAUCUUUUAGCAAUAAUCAUCCGCUCACUGGCCGUCAGUUCAGAAUGACAAUUCUUAUUAGUCAAAGAAUCAAGAUGAUUUUUAGUUGUAUAUGAAUAGAGCACUAGAUCAACAAAUAAUUGAAGACUUGCUUGGCUGUUGAACCAUGCCGAUGGCAAUUCAAAGACUACAGCUUAGCUCUGCCAUUCAAAGUAAGCAACUCAGCUGCCCAAAGACUGCCAAGCCAUCAAGACAAUACCAAGAUACAACAUCAAGAAUCACGUACAGGCCGUCACAUAUUACAUUUGUCCUCUGUUUUAAGAGAGAUUUACGAACCCAUGCAGUAGGAGUAAUUAAUUAAUUUAUACGUUCAGUACUCAUUCCUCUUUCUUCUGUUUCAAAUCCAAAUCUAGUGCUCCAUCAUUUAUUAUGACGCAAGGUAUAUGGGUUAGCAUGUGUCGAUAUUGUCCUCCAUUCUUUGUGUACCUUUCUUCGAACAAGGGACAACCCGAGAUCUCCAAUCGCAAAAGAGAGGCAGGCAGGCCCUUCUCUGGAAAGUACUUGAGCUUGGGACAAUUACAGAGUUUGAUCAAAUGAGGUUUUAAUGAUCAACAAUUGAAGAAGACAGGCGUUCCAAAUUUAGUAAAUUAACAAUCACCAAAUAUGGUAGGGUGGCAGGCAGAGGAAGCGUGGUUCCUAAUCCUAAUCUUGAGUGAUAACUGGCUAUGUAACAUGUGGCAUUCUACAUUCUUGCAAUGCCAUUAAUUUCUUGUUAUGGCAGCAGCGUUCUUUCAUCAUGGCAUCACAAGCAAAUGUUUGAUUUGAAGACUUGCUUAGCUGAGGAAAAUAAGGAGAGCAAAGGUAAUUAAUUUUGGGGUGAUGAAUAUUUUUAUGGGUGUACUAAGAAAAAUAAAGAUAAUAGAAGUAAUGUUAUUGAGAAGCAUUUUGAUAUUUACAAAAGUGUUCAAAGAAAAAAGUUAUUUUUUGAAAUCUAUUUGCUGGUGCACAUAACAAAAGGGCAUUCUGAGUAAAUUUAAAACUACAAAUAGUCUCACUCUUUUAAUAAUAUUCAAUUAAUUCUGUUUAUUUCAAAAUAAAUAUUCUAUCUCUUUAUUACUUUCUAACUAGUCAUGCUAAUGUGCUAAUAAUUAUGAAGAACUAGUGUAAUUUAUAUGAUAUAAGAAGCCCUUUAGCACAUUAACCCGAAUUUAGCUAAUACAUGUGCCUAAUAUAGCGAAAUCAACAUUCAGCGCAUUAGAGUGCUAUUAUAUAUAUUGAGAAAGAAAUUAACACAAAAAACUGAAUAUUAAUUGACACUGGAUCAUGUUGGAUUGUCAGUUGUUAAUUAUGAUGGGAAUACAAUCUUCAUCAUUGCGGCUACUUGACUCAAUUAUGCUAUUGCAAGAGGAGAUUUAUAUUUUGUCUGGUUUAAGCCAUAAGAUGGGUUUCAAGAUUCAUUCUGAUUGGUUAUCUGUUAGCUUUUUGUUUUAAGAACUUCUUAUUUACGGAAGCCAAAUUCUUCUUUCCAGGUUGAUUCAGAUUCAGAAGUUGCUUUUGUCGUAUCAGAAGAAGAGGCCAUCUUUAAGGCCUUGUCUAACACUGUGGAAGUACUAGAAGGGACUACUGCGCUGAUUGUCUUUUUCAUGAGCUUCUCUUCCAUUUGAACACGAGAGUAAUCAGAUAGUUGACAUUUAUGUUUCAAAAGUUGGAAGCAACUUAAGCAAUUCAGUAUCAUGUGAGGACUAUAAUAAUAAGCCGAUUCUUUUGCUUGGAUUUUUUUGUUAAUUCACUCGCUGCAUGCUUAUCCCUCCUCUGAUUUUUCUUAAUAUUUCUCUGUAGUUCACUUCACAGCACUUUAGCCGCUACAUUGGUGAAAAGAUAUUAUGCUCAAAAUAUUUUCUUUGUAUAUCGAAGAACGAGAGAGUUACAAGCUUAUAUACAACUAUUAAGGUCAGCCAAAUCUCUUAGAGUAACGGCUAGACAGGCUGUCCUAUUUAUGACUACAUACAUUAAGGAAUGAAAUCAUUUGUACAUAAGGAAUAUUAAUAUUAUCAAGUGAUACUUGCUCAAAAUAAAGAUUGUGUCUAGAAUAAGGGAUUGCCGAUGCCAAAUCUUGCUGCUAAUAAUAUUCGGUGAGCUAUAGCUACUGAUUGUAUGGUUUAUCAUCCCCCCUCAAGCUGGUGUGCGGAAGCGGAAAAAUCCCAAGCUUGCGACGAAGAUUAAGAAACUGAAAUUUUGAGAGAGCCUUCGUGAAGACAUCGGCGAUCUGCUUAAAUGAAGGGACAUAAUGUGUAGAAAGCUGACCAGCAGUUACUUUCUCCCGAACAAAAUGAUAGUCCAGUUCUAUAUGUUUUGAUCGAGCAUGAAAAACUGGAUUUUUUGACAUGUGUAAAGCACUUUGAUUAUCACAUAGUAUCCUUGGGGGUUGAAGAAGAAAUAGGCCAAUGUCCAUAAACAAAUAAGUAAGCCAAGUGAUUUCAGCUGCAGUUGACGCCAUGGCACGGUAUUCAGCUUCUGCACUAGAACGGGAAACAGUUGGUUGUUUCUUAGAUGCCCAAGAUACACAAUUAGCACCAAUAUACACACAGUAACCGGUAGUGCUUCUUCUAGUGUCCUUGCAUCCAGCCCAAUCUGCAUCACAAAAGGCAACAAUUUUUAAAGGACUUUGAGAUGUAUAUCGAAUGCCAAAUUGAAUGGUUCCCUUUAGAUAUCGAAGUAUUCUCUUGACAGCUCGCAUAUUAGCCUCGUUGGGGGCUUGAAAGUUUUGACAAACUUUGUUUACAGCAUGUACAAUAUCAGGCCUAGUAAAGGUCAAAUAUUGUAAUGCUCCCACAAUGCUACGAUAUGUUGUUGGAUCGACUGGUGUAAGAUCAUUUGGAUGUUCUUGAGGUUUUACUGCAAUUGGAGUGGAGAGAUGUGUGCUGUCCAGCAUUUUAGUCCUGCAAAGUAGAUCAUAAGUAUAAUUUGUUUGAGAGAUAAAUAUGCCAUCAGAAAGAUAAUUUAUUUCAAGUCCUAAAAAAUAAUGUAAGGGGCCUAAAUCUUUGAUGGCAAACUCUUUGCUGAGAAGAGAGAUAAGUUUCUCUAAAAGUAGCUCAUUAUUUCCUGCAAGGACAAUAUCGUCAACAUAAACAAGCAUAAGAGUUAUAGUGUUGUGUGUGUGUAGGACAAAUAACGAAGAAUCUGCCUUACUGCAUUUGAAGCCAUUCUGAAGUAAAAAUUGAGACAACCUUUCAAACCAAGCACGAGGUGCUUGCUUUAGUCCAUAAAGUGAUCGCUUUAAUUUACAUACAUGGUUGGGAAAUCUAGCAUCUGUAAAUCCUGGAGGUUGUUCCAUGUAUAUUGUUUCUUUUAAGAAACCAUGAAGAAAUGCAUUCUUCACAUCAAGUUGUCGCAUCACCCAUUUUUCAGUUACAGCUAAGGAUAAAAUGACUCGAAUGGUGGUGUGUUUAAUAACCGGACUAAAGGUUUCUCCAAAGUCCAGUCCCGGUAUUUGAGUAUAUCCCUGUGCCACCAAUUGUGCUUUAUGUCGAUCAAGAGUUCCAUUUUUCUUGAAUUUAUUUUUGAACACCCAUUUUGAUCCUACAACAUUCAAGUCCUCUGGGCGAGGAACUAGAACCCAAGUCUCAUUAUGUUCAAGAGCUCGAAUUUCUUCUUCCAUAGCAGAUUUCCAAUGUGGCUGCUUAAUUGCGGAUUUCCAUGAUUUUGGCUCAACUUGAACAUUAAGUGCCAUUUGAUCAGCAAGUUCAGGAUUAUUUUUCAAUCGACGCCUUGUGAUCAUAUGGUGAGGAGCUGUCAAGUUUUGAUUUGAUGAUGAUGACUGAGAAGAGUGCCCGCUUUCAUGUGGUAUUCUUAGGUCCACAUAGAUGUUGAUUCCUUCUGGACUGGUCUCUGAAGAAUUUGCUGUGACAUCUUGAGUGCUUUCUUUAGAGUUAUCUGAUCUUGUGGGCUCAAUAGCGUCUGACACCACCAAAGGAAUGUCAUCACUUGUUAUAGGAAUAUUAAUAUUAUCAAGUGAUACUUGCUCAAAAUAAAGAUUGUGUCUAGAAUAAGGGAUUGCCGAUGCCAAAUCUUGCUGCUAAUAAUAUUCGGUGAGCUAUAGCUACUGAUUGUAUGGUUUAUCAAUUGGCAUUUAAAUGCUAUUUGUUAUUGUUCCUUGAAGCAAGUUAACUUAUGGAAUUGCUUUUUGGUAAAUGUUCUUCACAGGACUGUGAAAGGCCAAAACAACUGAGAUGACCGGGUUUUCUAGAUCAGCCAUCUCUGUCCUCAACAGGGCUGAACUGUCAAUUACUGAGACACCAAACUCUAACCUGAUUCAUAUGGAUGUAGACUAAAGCUUCUUGCCGAAACCAUCCCCAAUCAAAGCUGCUAUCUUUCAAAGUUCUGCAAGAGAAAACAUGUCUGAGUCAGACAUUGACGUCCCCCCAAGAAUCAAACAGUAUAUCAAGAGCAAUGUUGGUUUCCCAGUCGAUACAAAUGCAGAAUUCAUAUAUGCAGAUUGCUCUCAAUCUCUGUUUAAUAAGCUAGUCCUCUGCUGUAUCCUACAAAGUGGAACAAUACAUUAUGCUUCCCAGCAGACUCCAAUGGGAAGCAUGUUUCUGCUGCCAAAUUUUUGAAAGCUAUCAUUGUGAAUAUCCCUCCCCAGUCUGAAGUGGGCUUUGAUACUUGUGACAAUACUCGAUCGAGACUGUAAAGAAGCCGUGGGUGUACAUUUCUGGUCCAACAAUCAAUCCAACUGGCUUGCUUUUACAGCAGGAAAGAGAUAGAGAAUAUAUUAACUGUUUGUGCAGAAUAUGGGGCAAGAGCUUGUUUAGUUAUUAUAGAUAUUUAAUAAAAUAAUAACACGAUUAAUAUGUUACUAAACAAAUAAACACAAUUGAAAUAGCCGUAAUGUGAAAACAAAACAACUCCAUUGUUUUUGUGUUUUUUUGUAAAUUCUUGUCAUUUAGAGUUUUUUGGGCUUUACUGCAUCAAUUAUUUGGUGUUUAUCUUGUUUUAUUCUUUUACGAUGUAAGAUUCUUGGUAGUGAUACAUCUGGAAUAAGAGUGAAAUCGCAAUCUUACAAUUUGGAGAAAUGAACUGCGAUAUGAUACUUCAUGAAAAAAAGAUUUAAUUUAUUAUUUCUACUACUAAAAACUAUUAAUUCAUCAAACCAUCAAGAUUUUUUUUCUUUUUUUUUUUUGAAUUCAACCCAUCAAUCUUUGUUUGUAACUGCCAGACCGUCAGUUUCUUUCUAUCACUAUGCAACAUUACAUUAACAUUUCCUCAUCAAUCAAUUUUGAUGGUCUGAUAUUGAAAACGUCGAUUUCAUAAUUUUGUGUAAUUGCAUAGAAAAUAUGUAAUUUCAUAAUGAAAGAGUAAUGGGGAAUGAUAUCACUGUGGCGUUUGAUGAGUAAUGAUAGACAACAAAUAUGGAUCAUGUAAUAAUGAAAUAUGUAUUUAUUGAAAAAAAUUUUGCAACAAAAUGAUGCUUUAAAAAUUUAAUAUUAUUUGCUAGAAAUAAUUUGACAAUUAAAAGUAAAAGAUAUAUUUGCAAUCCUUCGAGUUUAUUUUAUCACUUCACUGACCAUUUUGUAACUACAUGUUAAAUAGAAGUUCAAUUAAUAGAAGUUCAAUUAAUCGUCGUCUUCGACCUUUACACGGUCCUCCCCUUCCAGCCUCUCUGAAUUUCUACUGAUCAUCACUCCCCACCAGCCAACCAGCUUCUCUAUGCUACCUUCUAGAAUUCUAAAGACUUUAAUUAACUUCUAGACUUGUUUCUGGGUUUAAUCAAUUUGCUCCCCCCCAGUUUCCAUGUAAAAAUUCUGCUUAAUUUAAUUAAUUGUUAAUUAACAAAUAACAGAAACGCUAAUUUUCGCGCAAGUUUCAACAUUACUUACUUGGUUGCCUUCUGUUCUCCUGUUUGCGUCUCUGUCUUCCAUUACGAGCACCCAAAGAGGUAUAAUCAACGGUUUGCGAGAUAGCUGCGACUGCAGUAGGUGCCAGCGUCGAUCAUCAACAUGGCGGUGCACGGUAGAAUUAGGUGAGGAGAGAUGGAGAGGUAUAAUCAACGGUUGCUGAUCAAAUUUGAAACUUUCCAGCGAACCGACGGUGAUGACGAGAUUGAUUCCGAUUAUAAAUCCUGUGCAUAUCUUGCAUAUUGAGUCUAUGUAAUCGUGACCGUCAGAUCGGAUUUUUAUGAUCGUAUGGCUGGUGUUAGUGGGCGCUACGUUGGAGCUGAUCCAACAUAGCCGAACCCUUCAAAUAAAUAGAACUUUUGUGUCAGUCAAACUUACUUCAUUAAUAUUCUUCAUCAUUAUGGUUAAGCCAAAAUAAAACACUUUCUCUUGUAUUAACCUUUGCUAGUCGUCGAAAUUAAAAAUUUUUAGAACAAGUUAAAACAGUUCCAACUCAAAAUCAUUAGUGCGCAAUUGGGUUGUUAUAAAUAUUUCUGAAUUUCAGUCUAAUUUGAAUUAUUUAAUUGUGUAUGCACAAACUAGUUUUAUCACUUUUUUCGUAUUGAUACCCAAAAAUUUCAACCUUAUUUUAUAUUGAUGCACAAUCUAACUUAACAAAAAUAAUAUUCAAAUUGUCUCAAUUUUUUUUAAAAAAAAUUAUAUACAAAGUUAAGUUUUCUUCUUCUCUAAGAUCUAGCUCUAUACUAAGUUUUCUUCUUCUCUAGGAUCUAGCUCUAUACCCCUCUUCUUUGUCGUUAUGCUGCUCAGUCGUUAGAUUUGAAUUAUGUUAAUCUAACGGUCCGGAUUUGUAAUGAAUAAUAUUAAAUGCACCGGUAUAUGGAUGUACAAUUUUGGUAAAUUCAUCUCAUAUAUUAGAGUCUUUUGGUUUUAUGACGAAAGAGUCAUGGUAGCGAUGUAUCUAGAGUAAAAAUAUUUAAUUUAUUUUUCCUUGUUAUUAGCAAAAAUUAUUAUUAAUUAAUCAGCCUAUCGAGAUAUAUUGGUUUCAUUUGUUACAACUAGCCAAUUGCUUAAUACGGUUUUGUACGUCUCACUAUGAAAUCAUGAAGUACUUGUAAAUAAAAUCAUAGGUGUGGUAUGUUGUGAUGUGAUAAAUUUAAAUACAAAUCUUAAUUACGUUGUGAUGUGAUAAAUUUAAUUCAUAUCUAAAAAUUAAGAGAUGAUUCAUAUAUAGGUACAUACUUAAUAAAGAUAUUUAAAUACAAGCAUUCAAUUCCAUGAUACACCUAACGAUCAAGGGGACUGAAUAGAAAUAGAUGUAAAAAGUCAAAUAGAUGAACAAGUACACAUGAUGAUUUAUUAAAUAAAAAAUUAAAUUUAUAUCCUUUUUAAUAAGUGUGAAAUUAUUUACACUCUAAUAUUUAUUUAAAACACUCAUAAUUUUUUAUUACUAAAAACUUCAUAAUUCAAUCUAUAAAUAAGAACAAUUCAAUAUAAGUAAAUAGGACAAUAAUAUUUUUGACAUUCAUAUAUCUAACGUUCACACACCCAUGUAAAAUUGCUAAACCUUAAAUCGUAGAACGUUCUUCAAAACUCAUCAAUUAUUUAAAAGUAUAUUUAACAAAUUUGCAAGACACAGACUCCAUGUUUCUAAUUUCUUUGGCUUUAGAUUUCAAUUUUUGUUGAACAUAUAUCUAUUCCAUAUAAAGAGUUUCUGAAUUUUUAAUUUCUCUGCCAAAGAGGUUCUAUGGGAAUAAACAACUGUUAAAAACAAAUAAAAAAUCAGAUACAAGUGUAGAAUAUACUCAUUAAAUUUUAAUUCUUUGCACAGACACGACCUGCAUAUAUACACAAAUAACUGUUCUACGAAUAUGUAGAAGCAAUCUCAACUGUCCAUUUUUUUUUUGAAAUUUUAACGAAUAUAAAUUUUAUAUGUUGGAUAACUAUGGAAAAUAAGAUUAGGAAAAUAAUAUUAUCAACAACUAGGGAGAGAAAAGGCAGUUAAUAUUAGUGCAAUGAAUAUUUUUAUGGGUCUAAUAAGAAAAAUAAAGAUAAUAAAAGGAAUGCUAUUGAUAAUAUUAAUAGCAUUCUUUCAUAUGAUGCACAAAUUACCUUAAUCACUUCUUUCAUAUAAAUACUCAUAAAUUUCAUCUAAAUUAUAAAAAAGGGAAGAAAAAAAAAUCAUAUAGUUAAUUUUUCUUCUUCUUUACCCCAUUAUUCAGUGGGAGUAUUGUUGCAAUGAUAAGAACUCCGGCAAGUGCUUAUUUCGGAUACAUGUGUGGCAUUCAUUAAGGAAUGAUAAGAACGCCGGUGACCAAGAAUAAAUGAAUUUAUUUGUAUUUUAACAUCAACAAAAUUUUUCCAUUCCGGAUAUUUAUCAUUUUCUCGUUAAAAAAAAUUGCAUAAAAUUAAGAAAGCAGCAGUCCCUGAACGGGAGAAACAGAGUAAGGGAGUUCAAAUUUCAAAAGAUGGAACCCCGUAGAAGAAGCCCUAGCAACAAUCCCAGAAGAAGAAGAAGAUGGUGAUGAAGACACGGCCAUGCCCAACGUUAAGCACAACCCUGCAAAAAAAAAAAAAAAACAAAAGACAACUCUUCGGACUCGAGCGAUGCUCUGACUCCGACUAGGAUUCUGACUCAGAAGACGAAGCAAAACAGAACAUGGAGCUUCAAAACCUAGAGUUUCAGCUAUCCAGUGAACCUUUCAAUUACGACAACCAUGUUCAAGUAACCUCAAUACGCAUACUUAUUGGGUGAUUUUGUGGAUGCCCAUUCGCUUUUCUUUCUUAGUUGGGUUGCGAUAAAAAUGGCUUUUUUUCUUUCAGUAUAUAAAGGUUUUGAGAAAAAUGGGUGAGAUGGAGAAGCUGAGACAAGCUAGGGAAGCGAUGAAGAGAUUUUUCCAUUGACUCCUGCUAUGCGGCAAUAAUGGGCGAGAGAUGAAACCUCUAUUUCAACUGGGUAUCUGUCAUUUCCUUUUUGCAGUGGUUUUCGAUUUUGUGAACAAAUAUUUUUUCGCUUAGAGAUAUAGAUGUUUAUAUUCGUUAUUUGCUAGUGUAAAAAGGAACAAAACCUGCUUAAAAGGUGUUAAAGAAAGAAAAAGGAACCAAUUUGCAGAAGGGGAUACUUAUAGUGGGAGUUCUAUUCUUUGGGGUUUAAUUGAUGGGAGAAGAAACAGCUUAUAUGUUUACAGAAUUAGACAUUUGAUCGCUGAGUUAGUUGAGGAAGAUAUUUAAUCACAAUGUCUGAUGUUGUUUCUGUUGGCCUCAGCUAAUUUUUAAGAUUUCAUGCUUUCAUUCAACAAAGCAAUAGGCUUUCGUUGGGUCCAACUUAGUUGGGUGUUCUGAGCAACCAAUGAGUGUCUUGAGAAAACUUGGGUGGAGUUCGGAUCAUUUUCAGGAUUUAGUUUCCAAGAAAACAAAAACGAAGUCGUAGUCGUAGUCAUAGUUUAAAUUAAUUCAUGUUUUGUCUUUUUCUGUGAGCCCAGUGAGCUUUUGUUUUCACUUUGUUCUCUUUUGCUUCUUUCCCUUCUUUUCCUACUGUUUCUUGACAAUCAAGCAGAUCAGGAUUAAGUGUUUACUUUUGGUGUAAUUAUUCUCUCUAACUCGAAUAAUACAUAGGUUUAGUGCUAUCAAAAUUGGAAGUGAAUUAAUAUCUGAAGCUGACUUGGGAGUGGAAUGUAUGUUACUAAAAAUAUGCUAUAUGGUAGAUAGAAUUUGCUUUUUAGGUAAGACUAAAAUAAUUACCGCUGUUAAUUUAUUUCAAUAAGUUCGUACAUCAUUCAAUAAUAAGUCCAAGAUUUUAAUAGUUUUGUUUCCUGAAAAUUUGUCAUCAGUGCAUGAACAAAGUUCAAUGGAUGAACUUCUCUUAGUUAAUUUGAGCUCUUUAUGAAACACUAAUCUUGCUCUGUACUUUGGAGCAUUUUAAUAAUUGAUGUUAAGAUUUGCUAAUGUAAAAAGGAAAAAAACCUGCUUAAAGGUAUUAAAGAAAGAAAAAAGGAACCAAUUUGCAGAAGGAGAUACUUAUAGUGGGAGUUCUAUUCUUUGGGGUUUAAUUGAUGGGAAGAAGAAAUAGCUUAUAUGUUUACAGAAUUAGACAUUUGAUCACUGAGCUAGUUAAAGAAGAUAAUUAAUCACAAUGUCUGAUGUUAUUUCUGUUGGCCUCAGCUAAUUGUUAAGAUUUCUUACUUUUUUCUGGUUUUUCAUAACUGUGACCUAAAGCUUAAUGUAUACUUUGAUAAUUACAUAACCGGUUUCUUGCUGAUACUUUUCUUUCAUUUGUAGACCUGAGGCUCUUUUGGGAGUUGAGAAGAUUUACGAAAGAGGAGUUUCUAAUUAUCUGGUUUGUUCUCUUUAUGCCUACAGAAUUUGAAUUCAUACUAUGCAUGGAUUUAUAAUUCUUUUUUUUUUUUUUAAUUUUGAGAAAGAUUUUAUGAAAUUGAAGCAUUAUAGUAAAGCGUACCACUCACAAGCUUGAUUCACUUUGUUUUUUUUUACUACCAAGAGGUGCUAACAGUUCAUGGUGCACAAAAAGAGGUGGGGAAAAAAAGAAAUCUUCUUGCUAGAUACAUAAAUUUUAAUAUUUGAAUCAUUUUCAACCAAAGAAAUGUGCUGAAGAGCAGCAUUUUUGUUUAUAUCAAAGUUCAAUUGCAUCUUAUAUCAUCUGUUUCCAUCUCCUUCAUGGUAAAUAAAGUCCUUGAUGAUGACAAUAAGAAACACAGAAGAAGUUGUUAAUUUCAUAUCUGGAGAUUUUCAUCAUAGUAGUUCAUUGAAAGUGAAGGCAGCUGAAUACACUUUUUUCUGAUGCAGUCUGUCCCUCUUUGGUGUGAUUAUUUGAAAUUUGUGCAAGAAUAUGAUCCAUUUAUACACGAAUGUGCCUAAUAAAAUAUCACAAAGGUGCCUAAUACAGUGAAAUUAACAUAUUCAUCUCAUGAGAUUGCCAUUAUAUAUAUUGAAAAAGAAAUUAAUACAAGAAACUGAAAAUUAAUUGACACUGGAUCAUGUUGGAUUGUUAGUUAAUUAUGAUGGGAAUAUAAUCUUGAUCUUUUAAUUAUCAUCUAGCUAAUGCAUGUGCACUUUCAUUUGUGUCUAUCACUGAAGAAUAAAGUUGCUUGAUUGAACAACAUCAUAUGACAGAAACUCAAAACUCAAUUUCGUUGCCCGAGCAUAUCAUGCCAUAUUUAGCUCAAAAGUACAAUUAACGUUGAACAUUCAGCUAGCUAGCUCAUACUAAUUAAUUUAUAGGAUUGCUAGUUCUUUAUGAUUAACUAAAAGAGAAAAUAUUUGACAAUUACGAAAACAACAACAAUUCACUCCCAUAAACAACAUAAUAGAUACAUGGUCUAUAUUGCAAGUCUUUUUAUGAUUUUAAUUAAAAGAGAAAAUGCAAAGGAAAUAUUAUAUAUAAUUGAAUGUUCUCCUUGAUAAUUAGACAAAAUGACACCAAUCUGGCUAACUAAUACAAUCAUCAUAAUUAUCCGAUUUUCAUUUUAAUUAUGUCCAAUCAUGCUAAUUUAAUAAAGAACACUGAAUACAUGAGUAUUUAUAUGUUCAACAACUUUGGCUUAUGCAAAAUAUAAGAGCUGCAUUUAUGCUUUGUGUUAUUAAGUAGGACAUGACCAUAUUAUGUUGCAUUUGUCAGAAAACUGAAACAGGAGAAUGUGACAUCUGUGUAUUGUCUUUUACUUCCAGUAAGUGAAUCACAUGUUCUUCACGUGAUUUGACAUACUUUUAGACGGAUUUGGCAGUUGUUUUGGUCACUUAUUGAAGCACGAGUUAAGCACGUGAUUGAAGGUUGUUAACUGACCGUUAUAAGGUGGGAAAAUUCUGGGUUUGUUACGACAAACCCAGAAGGCAGCUGGUGAGUGGGGGACGUUUCUAGAUUCUACAUCAUCUGUAUAUAUGGUCUUAGAGGCUAUAGUUGGGCCAUAUGAAAAGCUCCUAACUUCUUAAUGUUUGUAGCUUGUUCUUGGUGAUUGAAAUAAGAUUAUUACUCCGCCCCUCUGUUUUGCUUGUUUCUGUUCUUAUUCUUGUGAGGUGUGUGAUUUGUUUAUCAUUUCUAAAUCAUCAAUUAGAGAGAUCAACGAGAUCUUGGUGGUUUUAGAUUGAGUUUAAUCGAUCAAGAAUCAAUAAGAUGUAAUGAAAACAAAAUGACAGAAUAAUGCACGCACAUCACAGCAAUGUUUCAUUCAUUUUGAAUCUGUAUAUACAAAACUUGUAUCUGACAGUUUACAUUUGUUUAAUCUAGCGCUGUAACAUGCGUACCAUCAAAAGCUACAGCCGCCAUCUUUGUUUGUCCUCGUAGCAUCCUUGAUCUUAUUUUAUCCUGGUGAUUCUUGAAAGUUCAUCUCAUUCUCAUGUGCUGAGUCACUUGCUGAGAUGAUGAAUACUUGAGGGUCCUUCCUUGAGACAUUUCAGCAGAAACCUGAUUCAUUCUAUCAAACAUCUGCAUCACUAAUCACUAAAUGAUGUAAGAUAGUUCUGUUUUGAAAUAUUAAUAUGCAUGCAUCCCCCGCGUUAGUAAGAGCUACUUGUCAUCUUCUAUUUUCUUUUAGGUACAGUUUUGAAUUUUUAAUCAAUCAGAUUCAGCUGCAUGUUUGCUUUUAGUCCAAACUGAAAUCACAUAUUAAGUAUUUUUGCUAGAAUGGAUGCAAAAACCUGAUCACACUCAACAUUCCAGGGUUGAAGAAAGAUGAUAUGAAGAUUGAAGUUGAACAGAACAGGGUACUGAAAGUGAGUGGGGAGAGGAAGAGUGAUGACGAUGAGGAAGUUGAAGGAGAGAAAUGGCACAGAGCCGUGAGAACAUUGGGCAAGUUUUGGAGGCUGUUUAGGAUGCCAAUGAGUGCUGACUUGGAACAUGUUAAGGCUCAUUUGGAAAAUGGUGUUAUGAGGAUCACAGUGCCAAAGCUUGCUGAGGAGAAGAAGAGGCAGCCCAAGGUUAUUAACAUUGAUGAAGAGUCCGGUAAUUCUUCCGGUGAAGAUAGUAAGGCCACCAAGGCUCAAAUGUAACUGAUUAAAGAAAGAAGUGUUUGCUUUGCUUUAUGUGCCAUUUGUUUUGUGAUCGUCUCAUGGUUUUGUUGUGUGAUGCUUCUCUUUAGAUGUGUUGUUUAUUGUAUUUUGGUGGAUUUUUGAGGAUGGCUGUAUGUAUUAGCAACAACAAGGUGCUUUUUAUAAAUCCAGGUUCUAAUUUUGUAAAAGAAAUUAAUACUCUCGGUUUAUUGUUAAUAAAAAAGAAAAAAGAAAAAACCUUUUUUUUGUGGCAUAUAUUAUGCAUUUUAAGAAAGAAAAAAAAAUCACAUUCCAAUUCAUGAAAGACAUUCCUUCUGUCAUACUGAUGUGUUAAUAGAAAGAUUUAUGUGAAUUAUAACAAUUUUGAUGAAUCUAAAUAUUUAAUAACUGAUAAAUUGUAUUUAUAAAUAUUAAUACCGGUAGCACAUAAGCACUUAAUUCAAGAACUCGCCUAUAGUGCAUUAAUUUAAAGAGUAGAAAUAUUUAAUAAAUCAUGCUCGGUUUACUAUUAAUUAAUCAAAUUUAAUUUACUCAAAUAUACUCCUCUACAUGAUCAAAGUAAUUUCAAAUAUACAACACACAAAAAUGGAAAUGACUUUGAAAUAUAAAAUAUUUAAAAUAAUCACCCCGCUAACAAUUCACCAGCUAGAUUAUAAAUAGUCAAAAUAAUGAUAAUCUAGGGGGUCCAGUCAUAAUAAUUUGAUUUUUAUUUAUAUUAAUUAUAUCAGAAAGAGUACUCGAGAUUAUAUAUAUAUCCAACAGCUAAAAUUUCAAAAUAAUAUUUGCCAAAGUCUGAUGAAGAGAAUACAUAUAUAUAUAUAUAUAUAUAUAUAUAUAUAUAUAUAUCAUGCACUCGCACACAUUCUAUUGUUUAAUUAAAAAAUUCGAAAGCCCAUUUUAUACAUGAUAAAGACUCACCGACACCGAACCAUAUUCAUUUAAAGGAAUUGCUUUCAACUAAGAUUUGAAAUUAUAUACACAAACACACCCGAUUUUUUUUUUUAAAAAUUACUAAUAAUAAAAUAUUUCAGUCGUCCUCUGUUCAGCCGUCAAAAACCCAUUUAUAUAUCCAACAGAUAAGAUGUCAAAACAAAUUUUGCCGAAAGCAAAAAGUCUGGUGAAAAGAAAUGUUAUGUACAUAUAACCGUACAGGCGCAGCAGAAGGAUAAGUCAAAGAAAAACGAAGUUUCAAUAAGAAAUUAAUUACACAUUUACACUCAAUAAGAAAUCAAUUCAUUACUUUCUAGCGCUUUUAUUUAAAAAGCGCAGUCUAUUUUUUAAUAAAAAAAAUUCGGAAACCGAUUACAUGAUAAAAAACUCACCGACACCGAACCUUAUUAAUUUAAAAUAGUUUUCAACUAAGAUUUGAAAUUACAUUCACAAACACACCCAACUAAAAAAGAAAAAUUCUAAUAAUAAAACAUUUCAGUCAUCAAAAACCCAUUUAUAUAUCUAUAUCAACAUGCGGUAUAUGGGUUAACAAGUCCCAAUAUUGUCCUCCAUCCUUUCUGCACUUCUCUUCUAUCAACGGACAAUUCACGAUUCUUAAUUUCAAAAGUGAGGAAGGCAGGCCCUUCUCCGGGAAGUAUUUGAGCUUGGGACAUCCCCAAAGAACCAAUUCAGUGAGGUUUUGAAGAUCAACAAUUGAAGAAGAUAGGCGUUCCAGAUUUGGAAAAAAUAAAAUAUGCAGAGAUGUUAGAGAGGCAGGAAGAGGAAGCGUGGUCCCCAAUCUUAUGUCCUCCGGUGGGAAUGACACCAUGUCGUCAUCACAAUUCAUGAUUGUAAGUUGUCGCAGAGAGGAGAAUCUGUGAAAUCCCCGGCCCCGCUCAAUCAUUGACUUCCAAAUCUUCGUAUUACCAUCAAUCUCCAGUGAAUGAAGGUUGGUGGGAAGGCCAUCUUCUUCAAGGCUUGGAAGCUCAACUCCUUUUAUUGUUAAUUCUUGAAGAGAGGUCAGAUUGUGCAAUCCCUUGGGUAAGGCCUCUAGUCUCUCACAAUAAGAUGUCUCCAGCGUCCUGAGUUUCGCACAAGGCAAUCCCCCUUCGGGAAAGGACACCAGAUUUUCACAUGCCCAUAUUUUGAUCUCUUGAAGCUGGCGGAGAUUAUGUAAACCACUCGGUAAAAUUUUCAGAUUUCCACAAUUAGAAAUGUCGAUUGUUUCAAGAGAUGUGUUGUUGUCCAACCUUUCUGCUAUUGACUCCAGCUUUGAACAAAACCAAACAGAAAGGGACUUAAGAGACGGAGGUAGAUUGCCAACUUCAAGGGACUCAAGCGUGGCAGGUAACUCGUUUUUUGAAAAUAUACAUGUCAGAGAGUCACAACUGUCAAUGUGUAAGUGCUCAAGAAGAGAUGAGGUGUACCUUCUGCUGCUGCUCUGGACGCCCUCUUCCACUGUCAAAGUCCUUAUAUUAUCACAAUCCUGGAUGUCCAACCUCUUAAGGCUCGGUGGUAGCUGGACUUCAGCAAUAUAUCUCAACGAAUGGCAGUCCAAAAUCCUCAAGAUCUCAAGAGAUGAAUUGGUGUCGCACAUCCAUGCCUCUGGUAACGAUUUCAGUGCAUCACAAUGCCAAAUAUCAAUUUCCCUCAACUUGGAAGGCAGAGCAAUCUCAGGGAAGGAAACAAGGGAACUGCACCCGGUGAUUUGUAUAUUUCUCAAGGAACUCAGGCUGAGCGAUGAUUGUGGCAGCUUCACAAGGCCUUGGCAGUCGCUCAAUCUUAGAUAUUCGAGUCUGCAUGACAACUCGUAGAGCUGCUGUUGUUGGUCUUUCUCUUCCUCCGCCACCAAGGAUUGAAGUUUGGGACAGCUGUCAAUCGUCAAUCUUUUGAGAGAUCUAAUGUCUUGUAGUAAUUCGUUAUGACUCUUCCAUAUAUAUGUCUGCUCUUUCAUAUCAUUUAUCUCCAAUUCUUCCAAUUUUGGUAGUCGCGGCUUCAAUGGCCCUGUGAGAAAUACUUGAUUUGAGGUAUCUCCACAAACCACUGAAUUCUGUGACCCGAGAUGAUCAGUUGAACUUCUCCACACAACCUUUUUACAUCCAUAAAUCUUUAGUUUGCAAAGAGCUGGAAGACACGUAAUCGAAACUAACAAUUCUUCACAUUUUUCAAUAGCAAGCAUCUCCAAUGCAGGAAGGUGUUCUGGAAACGUUCCUUGCAGUUUAGAACAUCUUAUAACAUGAAGCUCUCUCAAUUUGGGAAAUCCUUCAACUCCCCGACUGGAUCCAUGAGGAAUCCAAUCUUCCCAUUCUUCCAUGUCUUCAAAACGAAGAGUCUCCAAGCAUGCAAAAGGAGUUGAAGAAUCAUUCCCAUAGAACUCUGAGCCCAAUCUCUUUACUUUACUCAUUCCACUCACUGCAAGAUGCUUUAGAGAGGGCAGUUGCCCGACUGAUGGCCAUAUAGUACACAUACCACAAUCUUCAAAUUUUAGGAUCACUAAAUUUGAGAAUGAGGAAUCUCCUAACCAAGUUGGAAAUUUUGUGCCCCCAUAGCCACUGAUACAAAAUUGUUUUAGAUUUUUAUGGGGUUUUAGCAUGUCAAGCACGCCCUUUUCAGUUUCAGCCUCCCUUGAAGAUGAACCAUCGGCACUGCGAGUCCAUUGAAGCAUUAACACCUCAAGAUUCUUCUUUCCAUCCAUUUGAGCCUCCAUGGCAUCACCAACGCAUUUUACAUUCUCCAAUUUUGAAAUGUUAAGUGUCCCAUGAAGGUGCGUCAACAACUUUAGCUCUCGUAACCCGGAACCACUGCCUUUUCCCACAACAAAAUUACACAACGUCUGAAGACUAGUCAACCUACCAAUUCCUACUGGCAUUUCCUCCAACGACUUCGUAUUUGAAUUCUUAAGAUGAUGCAAUUUGGCGAGGUUUCCCAUGUCUGCACACAACUUCUUCAGCCGAUCACAAUCUUCCAACAAAAGACUGUGCAAAUUGUAAAGCUUGUUGACUGAUUCAGGCAGAGUUCUAAUUUCAGUUCCAGAUAGGUUAAGGUACCUUAAAUACCUCAAAUCACCAAUUGAAUCUGGCAGCUCAGGGAUGCGGUAUCCACGCAAAGAGAAGACCCUCAAGCGUUGAAGUUUGAGCAACUUAGGAAGAAUGCUAGGAGCCAAGAAGCCAGGCCAACUAUUUGUCAACAUUACUGGUAAAAAAGUUCUCAAAUGUUGGAUAUCAUACAAGUCCCCAAACCUUUGAACGCCAUCAUAAUCUCCACAAAUGUAUGAUAGAUGACGAAGAUUUCUGGAAAAACAUUGUUGCUUGUUAACCUCCGAGGUAUACUCCACUGUGAAGUAUGUCUCCCCUGCAGCCCAACGGGCAAGGUCGUUGAUAAGAUCGUGCAUAACAAAUAGUGAUGCAUCGGUGGCCGAUUGCUGGAAAAAAGAUCUUGAACAUAGCUCCUUAAAGAAAUCACGACCUAAAUCUUCACUAGGAUUCUCAUCUUCUUUGUGAUCCAAAAAACCGGAGGCACACCAUAAUAAAAUUAUCUCCUCCUCUUCAAAUUCAUAAUCCUUUGGAAACAAUGAGCAGUAUGCAAAGCAUUGUUUCAAAGUUGGAGGAAGAUAAUAAUAGCUCACUGCAAGGGCUGGUAUAAUGCGACACCUCUGUUCUGGUAAUUCCCAUAUCUUGCUACCGAGCACACCUUCCCAUACCCGUCUGUCAUGUCUUCCACGUAAUAGUCCUCCAAGUGUUUGUGCAGCUAAGGGCAAGCCAUCGCAUUUGGUCACUAUCUUCUUGCCAAUUUCCUCCAAUAACUCAUGCGGCCCCAGAGAAUGUUGAGCGAAUAUAGCUAGACAGUCAUUAUCCGACAAUUUUUUUAAUGGAUGAGGUGGAACAGUCCCCAUGAUUGCUGCAACAUCCCGAUUGCGAGUAGUAACAAUAAUCUUACUUCCCUGUGCACCAGCUUUAAAUGGAAGGUUGAGCUGAAUCCAAUCAUCGUAACUAUCAUUCCAUACGUCGUCUAAAACAAGCAAAAACUUCUUUCCAGAUAGUGUCUUAUUUAGGUCCACUUGAAGAUUAUUUAAGUUGUGAUUAUCCACAUUCUGGCCAGGAGCAAUGGAAAUUAGGAUUGAUUUUGUAAGCCUGAUAACAUCAAAAUCAUCAGAGACGCAAGUCCACGCCUUGAGAUCAAAAUGAUCCUCCACCUGCUUAUCAUUGUAGACAAGCUGAGCAAGAGUGGUUUUACCCAGCCCGCCCAUACCUAUAAUAGGAAUGACAGAGAAUCCACCAUCAUUUCUUGAAUCAUCCUUCAACAACAAUUCAACAAUUUCCUUCUUUUCUGUUUCCCUGCCAUAUACUUUGGCUUUCUCCACCAAAGAAGUUGUAUCUCGCCUUUGCCUGGCUUUUUUGGACCCCCCAGCUGAACUUUGUAUCAAUUUCAGCGAGCCUAUUCCUUCUUCAAUAUCUCGAAAUCUGUCGUUGAUCUUUUUGAUUUUGGACAUCAUCGAGUAAUCGAACUGAAUCGAUUGCAGAGUAAAAGUGGGGCAGCAAGUAGGAAUGAGCUUCCGAAACUUACUUUUCGUGCUUGUACGACUGCUGCUGGCUUGAUCAUGAGCAGCAGCUGGUUCUCCAUUUCCAGGCAGCAACUCCCUCCGGAAAGCCUCAGUUUGGAACUCAUCCAACAAGUCUUCAACGUCAUAAGCCAAGUUCUGAAGCUCGCCAAGCCACAACUUCACAGAAUCAUCAGUCGUCUUCUUCUCCUCAGCAUCAUCAAGCACCGCCUUGAUCGUCACCAACUUCUUCUUCCACUUCACUAGAUCGUCUUUGAUUCGACCUUGGCGUGCAAAAGCCAGAAUCCCCUCUGAAGCUAACUUAUUGACCAGGAACUCAACGGACGCCGUCAGGAUUGCCUCUCCGAUGAUUGACAUUUUUUCUUUUUUCUUUUUUUUGGGUUUUUUUGGACAAAGAAAAAAACUAAAUUAUGAGUUUGUGGAAAGCAAAAUGAGAAAAGUGAAUAAGCGGAAUGUGUUUGUGAUUGUGUCUAGCAAGCCUAGAAAUCAAGAAAAACCCACCGUAAAAGUGAAAAGUAAAACGGAGCCCACCACAAAUAUAAAAUCAGAGGAGCACAGAAUAAAAAAAAAACAAAAGAAAAGAAAAAGCCAAGCCAAGAAUCAUAUGCCAUUGCUUUACAUAUUAAAUUAAAACAAAAGCCAUGCCAGGAAUCCUGCCUUUUCUUGAUAUUUGACAAGAUUAAUUGGACAUUACACAUUAUUUCACAGAGAAUAAAACUUGUAAAGAACCAAACCCAUCAAACCCUUUCUUUAUCUUAAAUGUCAGAAAUAUAAUUAGCUUGGAAUAAAGCUAUACUCUUCUCCUUUUUCCAUUUCUACAUGUUCAUAUAGGCAUAUCAUAUGGAUUUUGUUUUAUGCUAGGUAAUUAUUAAUUUAUAUAAUAAUAUAUUUCCCUCAAAAUAUACUAUUUGAAUUUGAAAUAAUUUUUUAAAAUAAUUUAAUAUCACAAUAAUAGUCAUGAUUCAAUUCGGUUCAGUUUAAUUUUUUUAGAGAAAAAAUUUGAGAAAAUAGACAAAUAAUGAAGACGCAAUUGAAGCACAGCCAAUAAACAGGGUAAAGUGAAUUGCGUCCUGUCCUUGAGCACUCAAUUCUCUCCAAUCUCAAAUUUAUAUGUACAUUUUUGUAAAUUCAUGUCAUAUACUAGAGUCUUUUGGGUUCUGUUACAUCAAUUGUUUCGUGUUUAUCUUGUUUUAUUAGUUUAUGGAGCAAGAUUGCUAGUAGCGAUAAACCUGGAAUAAAACGAUUUAUUUAUUUUAUAUAUAUAUUGCGUUGUUAUCAGCAAAAAAUAUGAUGGGUUUCGUUUGUAACAACUAGCUAAUUGCUUAAUACAUUUUUGUACUUCUCGUCGUGAAGUCACGAGGAACUUGUAAAUAAGAUCAUAGACGUGGUACGAUGUGAUGUGAUAAAUUUAAAUCAAAUCUAAACUAAGAUGGUUCAUAUAUAGGUACAUACUGAAUAAAGAUAUUUAAACAUAAGCAUUCAAUUUUAUGAUAUACCUAAUAGUCAUUGGCUUAUUGUUAUUAAAGGAAGUGAAUAGAAAUAGAUGUAGAAAGUGAAAAAGAUGAACUAGCGCACAUGAUGAUUUCUCAGAUAAAAAGUUAAAUUUAUAUUCUUUUUUUUAAUAAGUGUGAGAUGAUUUACACCUUAAAAUUUAUUUUAAACACUCAUAUUUUUAUUACAAAAAACCCCAUAGUUCAAUUUACUGGUAUGGACAAUUCAAUAAAAGUAAAUAGAGCAAUAAUACUUUCGACACCAUCAGGCUAUAGCGCGCUCGCACCCACAUAAAAAUGAUACAAAUUUAAAAGCAUAUUUAACAAGUUGGCACGCACAGACUCUAUGAUUCUAAUUUCUUUGACUUGGUUUUUGUUUUUGUUGAAUAAAUAUCUACCUAUAUAAAGUGUUAGUGAUUUUUCACUUCUCUACCGAGGAGGUUCUACACAAAUAAACGACCGCAGAAAAAAAAAAUAUAAAACCUGAUACAGGUGAAGAAGAUAUUCAUCAAACAAUUUUUUAAAGUUGAUGAGCCCAAAUAUAAAAUAACUGAUAAAUUGUGUUAAGAAAUAAAAAAUAUUAAUAGUGACGACACAAAGGAAGUCCCGUGUUUUGAGUUUGACUAAAAUAAUCUGAAUAAUUUAAAAUAAUCGUUCAGGCCAAAUUGCUGAAGAGAUGAACGGCCUCUGUUUUUUACCAUAAUGCUAGGAAUUGACUUCAAUUGGGAAGUCAGGCCAAUCGAAGGAGAUCCCCUGUUUCUGACUAAAACAUAAUCCGAACAAUUUACAAUUAAAUAAAUCAUUCAAAAUUUCUCCUUUAAUCGAACCCCCACGUCUAUGAUUUAAUAAAAUAUUACAAAAGUGCUUAAUACAGUGAAAUUAACGUUCAGCUCACGAAGUCGCCAUUAUAUAUAUUGGAAAAGAGAUUAGUACAAGACAUUGAAAAUUAAUUGACAUUGGAUUAGUUGUUAAUUAUGAUCUUGGUCUUUUAAUUAUCAUCUAGCCAACGCAGGUCCACUAGUUUCCUUUGUGCCAAUCACUGAAAAGUAGAGCUUGAUUGAACAGCGCAUAUUACAUCACAUAAACUCACUCAAUUUUUAUUGUCAUAUGUGUAGCUCAAAAGUACAUAUUAUAUCAGUGAACAUGGAACAUUCAGCUAACCUACACUUAUUAAUACAUACGACCAUCAGUUAAUAGUACCCAGCAACAUCCAUCCAUAAGAGUGGAACUCCCAGUGAUUUCGUACGUACAAAAGACAAUAUUUGACAAUCACAAAAACAAAAACAAUUUACUCCAAUAAACAACAUAACAAAUACAUGGUUGAUGUUGCAAUUUUUUUUUUUAUGAUUUUAGUUAAAACAGAAAGUAUGAAGGACAUAUUUAUAUAUAAUAGAAUGUUAUAUAUAAUGUUAUCCUUGAUAAUUAGAUAAAAUAAGACUAAUCUACCUAACUAAUCCAAUCAUCAUACUAAUCCAAUUUUCAAUAUUUAAUUAUGUCCAGUCACGCUAAUUUAAUAAAGAACACAGAACACUUGAGUAUUUAUAUAUUCAACAACAUUAGCCAUGGUUGAAAAAGACCAUAGCUGCAUCUAUGCUUUGCGUUAUAAAUUAGGACAUGAUCACAUAAAUAUUGAUUGUCUCAAGUUAGAUUACACAAAGAUGAAAUAAUGCUAAUCUAGAAAAUUCAAUCAUAAUAAUUUGAUUUCCAUUAUAUUAAUUAUGUUCAAUCAUGCUAGUUUAAUAAAGAACACUCGAGCAUUUAUAUACACUCAACUUAUGAAAUUUAAUUACAAAACAAUCUUUAACAAAGUCUGAUGAAAAGAUCAUAUUAUAGGUACAAAGUUAGACUUCCCAAUCAAGCAACUAUCCAUCAAAUUGUGUGUUGUGUUACGGUUGAGCUCUUAUGUUGAUUAUGGCCAGACCGUGGUUUGGCUAACAGUGAGACAUAUGCGGACAUAAGAUCUGCAAAUGAGGUGCUGCGAACAAGCUAUGUACUGUUUUUAUGGUCUUUCUUUUUGUGGUUGUUGGACAAACUGUAAUGUGAAUUUCUAUCUAAUGAACAUCCUAAUCCUUUGAGUUAUUUUGGGAUUGUUGAUUUAUAUAUACUGUUUAGUAUCCAAAAUUCAGAUGAUGAUAAUCUUCGCAGUAGUUUUGUCAAGUUUUCUUUUGUGUUGGUGUUGGUAUUUUAAUUUUGUACGUACCUAAUGUUAAGGUCAAUAGGGACCUAAUUUAAAAACUAUUAUAAUUUUACAUAUAUAGAUACAAAUUCAUGUUUAAGAAUCCAUUUAAUCAACCAUUCCAGUGUUUUAUAUUGAGUAAUUGGUUCAAUAUUAAUACAAACGAUCGAUUUAUUUUUUUCUUUUAUUAGGACAAAGAAAGAAACCAAAUUAUGAGCUUGUAAAAAGCAGAAUGAGAAAAGUGAGUAAGCAGAAUGAGUUUGUGAUUGUGUCUAGCAAGCCUAGAAAUCAAGCAAAACCCACUAUAAAAGUGAAAAGAAAAACGGAGCCCACCACAAAUAUAAAAUCAGAGGAGCACAGAAAUUUUAAGAAAAAAAGAAAAGGAAAAAGCCAGGCCAAGAAUCAUAUGCCUUUGCUUUACAUAUUAAAUUAAAAUAAAAGCCAAGCCGGGAAUCCUGCCUUUGCUUGAUAUUUGACAAGAUUAAUUGGACAUUACACAGAGAAUAAAACUUGUAAAGAACCAAACCCAUCAAACUCUUUCUUUAUCUUAAAUGUCAGGAAUAUAAUUAGCUUGGAAUACAGUUAUACUCUUCUCCUUUGUCCAUUGGUACAGGUUAAUCUCAGCUGUUUGAAGAGAAUCUAUCAAUUCUUCUUAGCUAAGAAUAUAAAAAAUGUAUAAACUUAACAGCUAAUGACAUAAUUAACAUAACACGAUUAUUACACUAAAUGAAAGAAAAGAAUUUAACAAGCUUCCGCACGGUCUUGUUUCAGGCUGGACAUUGGUGAAUUGACCAAAAGAUCAAUAAAAGAAUCUCAAAAAACCAAAUGGAAGUGGGACUAAUUUUCAGAUUUUUUCAAAUUACUCUUAUUUACAAAAGCAAUACAAAAUGAUUUCCUUUUCAAAUUACACUUAUUUACUAAUAGUGGUGAUUAAUUUAUUUAGCUUGUCAUAGUUUUCAAUCAAGAAUGAAGUUCAAUCAAUUUAUUUGUGGGGGGGGGGGGGGGGGAAAGAUAUUUUUUAUUUUUUGGGGGCGAAAAAAACAAACAUAAUUUUAUUUUUUUUUCUUUUAGAUUUUAAUUCCUAGGAUCUAAUUUCACUAUGUUUCGAUUAUUGAUGUUGCUGAAGAGGGCAGUAAAAGCUUGCUGAAAGUCAUCAAAUGCUUGCCUCUCAUCUCACAAAUUGGGCAAAUAUCGGUUGGUUUCUCUACGGGUUGCCAUCAUGAAUUGAAAGUGACAACAACCACCAACUUAAAAAUAAUUUCAAGUAUCUUUUUUACUUGAAAUCUUUGAAAAGAAAAAUUAAUCAGAUUGGAUUAUACAUAUACAUAAAUUGGCUACCAGUUUAAAAUGUGAGUAUGAUUAAUUAAUAAGAGAGAACAAUAAUUGAUCAUGUCCCAAAACAGAGAAAAUUAGAUUGUACAAACUUGUGUGCAGGCAUAUCAUAUGUUAAUCUUCAUAUUUUGUUGCUGAAAAUUAAUUAAUUAGUUCCACUACUCCCUUUCUUAAUUUUGUGUUAUGUACCACGUUGGCAACUUCUGAAAUAUAUUGCAUAUUUGUUAAUUCAAAGAAAUAGAACUUUUGUAUCAAUCAGACUUUACUUUAUUAAUAUUCUUCAUCAUUAUGAUUAAUGGCUUAGCAAAUGUAGGAGGAGGGUCAGCCAAAAUAAAUAAAGUACUUUCUCAUGCAUUAACCUUUAUUAAAAGGCCUUAUUAAUUGUUGCAGUUAAAAAAAUAAAUAAAUCAAGUUAAAACAGUUCCAACUCAAAAUCAGUAGGGUGUAAUUGGGUUGUUAUAAAUAUUUCAAAAUUUCAGUCUAAUUUAAUUGUGUAUGCACAAACUAACUUAACAAAAAUAAUAUUUAAAUUGUCACAAAAUGUUUUUUUUUUCUUUAAAACAACGUUGUACAGUAGUUAAUUAUGUAGUUCGCGACCUAUUUUCCUCAUAAAUAAGAGUAGAUGAUUAAAGCCUCCUUUAGUCGAUGGGCCAUAAUCAUUUGAAAUUUGCGUUACUUUUUUUAUGUAGGACUAAGAGAUGUACCCCAAUUCUUUUGAACGCAUGUAAAGUAAAUCCAUAAGCUUCGAAGAAGUAAAUUAGUCAAAUUAAUCAAAACAUCCAUUAAGCUGGUCAGAGGAUCAGACCGCUCUCUAUCCACCCUUAUCACCGCCUGGUCCAAACUCAUUUUUCUUUGAAAAUAGACAAAUAAUAAAGCCACUACAAGUUAAGCAGAUCAAAUAAACAGAGGAAAUAGCUGAUCAAUUCUUUGUGCAAUGGCCACGGCAACAACAAAAAUAUGUCUACAUGACUACAUUAAUCCGACUGGCGUGGUACCAUCGCCAUGCAGCAUUACAGCAACAUUUGAUCAUCUAUCAAUUUUCAUGAUAUGAGAUUAGAAACAUUGAGUUUAUAAUUUUAUGUAAUUUCAUAGAAAAGAUAUAAUUGAUUUGAGUUAGUUUAACAUAUAAGGAAGGAGUAAUGGGGAAUGAUAUCGCUGUGGCAUGUGAUGAGUAAAGAUAGACAACAAAUAUUGAUCAUGUAAUAGUGAAAUAUGUAUUUACUGAAAAAUAUUUGGCAAUAAAAUGAUGCUAUAAGAAUUUAAUAUUAGUUGCAAGAAAAUAAAUUGACAAUUAAAUUAAUAGAUAUAUAUAUGCAAUGCUUCGAGUUUAUCUUAUCAGUUCGCUAACCAUUUUGUAACUACAUAUUAAUUAGAAGUUCAAUUAAUUUUGACCAAAGACUCCAGAGAAUGUCGAGAAGAGAUUUGAUUUUGGUAUUAAUAAAAAUAGAAAUGAAAUAAGUCAAAAACAAUUACAAGAACAACAAUAAAAGCAUAUUUUAUAAAAGCCACAAAUACAUAAUAUAAAUUUGAUUUUGAAUUACGUAAUUACUAAUUUAUACAGUAAGAGGGUCUUAUAGAAAAAUAGGAAUUUUUUAAAAGAGAUUUGCUUAAGGAAAAAGUUUAGUUUGGUCUAGUUUGUGAAGGCUCAAGUAAUUGAAAGCAAUGCAAGUGAAAGAAACACAAAGUUCUAAUUUUUACAAAGUAAUCGCUAAAAUAUUUGACGAGUUUGAGAUUUUAAAAAGGCUGGGAAAAUAGACCAAUAACAAAGACCCUACAAGUUAGCAUAACAAAUAAACAGAUGAAAACAACUCAGCUGCAAGUUAGAUUUCCAAAAACGAAUGUCGCGAAUUUUUUAUGAUAAGAGAACAGAACUCAUGGUUCAGCAAUAAUCAUCAGCUCACUGGCCGUUAGUUCAGAAUGACAAUUCUUAUUAGUCAAAGAAUCAAAAUGAUUUUUAGUUGUAUAUGAGUAGAGCACUGGAUCAACAAAUAAUUGAAGACUUGAUUUUGCUAUUGAACCAUGCGAUGGCAAUUCGAAGACUACAGCUUAACUCUGCCAUUUCGAAGUAUGCAACUCAGCUGCCCAAAGACUGCCAAGCCACCAAGACAAUGCCAAGAUACAACAUCAAGAAUUACAUACAGGCCGUCACAUAUUACAUCUCUCCUCUGUUUUAAGAGAGAUUUACGAACUCACGCAGUAGGAGUAAUUAAUUAAUUUAUACAGUUCAGUACUCAUUCUUCCUCUAUUUCAAAUCCAAACCAUUUAUUAUGAGGCAAGGUACAUGGGUUAGCAGGUGCCGAUAUUGUCCUCCAUCCUUUUGUAUACGUUUCUUCUAUCGGAACAAUUUAUAAUUAAAUAAAUCAUUCAAAAUCUCCUUUAGUCGAACCCCCAUUUAUAUGGUUUAAUAAAAUAUCACAAAGUUAAUAAACACUGGAUCAUGUUGGAUUUUUACUUCUUGAUUACCAGGGGAAUAUAACCGUGGUCUUUUAAUUAUCAUCUAGCUAACCCAUGUGCACUAGCUUCAUUUGUGUCUGUCACUAAAGAGUAAAGUUGCUUAAUUGAAAGGUAUCAUAUGACAAAAACUCAUAACCCUAUUUCAUUGCCCGAGUAUACCAUGCCACAUAUGUAGCUCAAAAGUACAAUAACAUUGAACAUUCAACUAGCUAGUUCAUUCUAAUUAAUUUAGAGGAUUGUUAGUUCUUUAUGAUUAACUAAAAGAGAAAAUAUUUGACAGUCACGAAAACAAUAAUAAUUCACUCUCAUAAACAACAAAAUAAAUGCAUGGUCUAUGUUACAAGUCUUUUUAUGAUUUUAAUUAAAAGAGAAAAUACGAAGGACAUAUUAUAUAUAGUUGAAUUUUCUCCUUGAUAAUAGACAAGAUAACACUGAUCUAGCUAACUAAUCUAAUCAUCAUAAUAAUUCAAUUUUCAAUAUUUAAUUAUGUCUAAUCAUGCUAAUUUAAUAAAGAACACUGAAAACUUGAGUAUUUAUAUUUUCAACAACUUUGGCUAAGUUAAAAAAAAAUAUUAAAGCUGCAUUUAUGCUUUCUGUUAUUAAGUAGGCCAUGAACAUAUUAUGUUGCAUUUGUUAGAAAAUUAUUGAAAAAAAUCUUAAAAGAGGUGUGUUGAAUUGUGAGCCUGAAACUGAGUUUUACACGUUUCUGAGAUGUCGGUUUACAGCCCUGAUUGUGCAUGGCCUGUCGGUUUCUGGAUAAAACAAAAGAAUAUUGACAUCUAUGUAUUGUCGUUUACUUCGUGUAAGUAAAUCACAUGUUCUUCACGUGAUUUCACUUACUCUAUACGGCACAUUUGGCAGUCGUUUUGGUCACUUACCGAAGCGCGAGUUAGUACUUGAUUCCAGGUUGUUAACUGACCUUUACAAGGUGGGAAAAUUCUGGGUUUGUUAAUGUAGCUGGUGAGUGCGGGACCUUUCUAUAUUCUUCAUGAUCUGUAUAUAUAGUCUUAGAGGCUAUAUUUGGGACAUAUGAAAAGCUUGUAACUUCUUGGUGAUGGAGAUAAGAUUGCUACCUUGUUCUUCAGUGGAUAUGAUCGUCCAAGCCGAACCACUUAGAUUGUGCCUCUGUUUUGCUUGUCUCUGUUCCUAUUCUUGGGAGGUGUGUGAUUUGCUAGCAAUUAGAGAGUUUAGUGAGAUCUUGCUGGUUUUAGGUUGAGUUUAAUCGAUCAAGAAUCAACAAGAUGUAAUGAAAACAAAAUGAGAGAAUAAUGCACACACAUCACAGCAAUGCUUCAUUCAUUUUGAAUCUUUACAUACAAAAUUUGUAUCGGAUGGUUUACGUUUGUUUAAUCUAAUGGCUAUAACAUGUGUACCGUCAAAAGCUACAGCAGCCAUCUUUGUUUGUCCUCGUGGCAUUGAUUACGUUUAUAGUAUUGAUUUACCGUCAAAAGCUAUAACAUGUUUCAUUCAUUUUGAUUACGUUUAUAGUAUUGAUUUACCUUGAGUUAGAAUCUAUUAUGUUUUAUUUGAAUAGUCGUUUUCUUUUAAGAAGAUUUUUUAAUAGUUAACUACUUUAUAAUAAGACUAUUGUAUGGUUUUUAUUUUUCCAUGUUAGAGAUGAUAGUUCUGCUACACAAGCUGUUUCGAACAAAGGAUUAGAUGAUAUUGACAUUGAAUAAUUUUUUGUUGCAAAAUGACAACACCAAUUAGAAUUUCUUUUCGCAUUACAAAAGUAAAAAAAUGAGAUCCAAUUCUAAAUUAAUUUAAAAAGAAAUAAACGAUGCUGAGAAUAUAUUUUACACAAGCCAUAUAGACAUAUCAUAUGGAUUUUGUUUUAUACUAGGUAAUUAUUAAUUUAUGUAGUAAUAUAUUUCCUUCAAAAUGUACUAUUUGAUUUUGAAAUUAUUUUAAAAAAAUUUAAUAUCACAAUAAUAGUCAUGAUUCGAUCGGUUUGAGGUCUUUUUUUUUUUUUAAGAAAAAAGAUGGGAAAAUAGUCAAAUGAUGAAAACACAAGCUAAGCAGAGCCAAUAAAUAGGGGAAAGUGAAUUACUGUCCUUGAACACGUUCUCUAAUAAUCUCAAUAUUCUACGUACAUUUUUGUAAAUUCAUGUCGCAUACAAAAGCCUUAUGGGUUUUGUUGCAUCAAUUCUUUGGGGAUUUAUCUUGUUUUAUUAUUUUGCGACGAAAGAGUCCUCGAAGCAAUACAUUUGGAAUAAAAUGAUUUAAUUUAUUUUUCGUUGUUAUUAACAAAAACUAUAUAUUAUUAAUUAAUCAACUCAUCGAGAUAUGGUUUCAUUUGUAACAAGUAGCUAAUUGCUCAGUACAUUGCUGUACUUCUCGUUAUCACAUCAAGAAGAACUUGUAAAUAAGAACAUAGACGUGGUACGCUGUGAUGUGAUAAAUUUAAUUCAAAUCUAAAUUAAGAGAUGAUUCAUAUAUAUAGGUACAUAUUGAACAAAGAUAUUCAAACAUAAGCACUCCAUUUUAUGAUAUACCUAACAAUAAUCGGUUUAUUGUCCAUAGAAAUGGAGUGAAUAGAAACAGAUGUAGAAAGUCAAAAAGAUGAACAAGCGCACAUGAUGAUUUAUAAAAUAAUAAAUUAAAUUUAUAUCGUUUUUAAUAAGUGUAAGAUUAUUUACAUUUUAAAAUUUAUUUUGAAUGCUCUUAUUUUUUAUUACAAAACCUCAUAAUUCAAUUUACUAUUAAGAACAAUUCAAUAUAAAUCAGUAGAACAAUAAUACCUUUGACACCCACCUAGAGCGCACACACCCAUGUAAAAUUAUUAAACCUUAAACUGAAGAACGUUCUUCGUCAACAUAAAAACUCGUGCAUUAUUUAAAAGUAUAUUUAACAAAUUUUCACAAAGAGACUCCAUGAUUCUAAUUUCUUUGACUUACAUUUCAAUUUUUGUGGAAUAUAUAUCGAUUCCAUAUUAAGAGAUUCUGAAUUUUUUACUCGGCUGUCAAGGAGAUUGCACUAAAUAAACAACAGCAGAAAAACAAAUAAAAAACUUGAUACACGUGUAGAAUAUACUCAUUAAAUUUUAAUUUUCAGCACAAUUAUGAGCUGCAUAUUUAUACACACACACAAAUAACUGUUCUGCAAGUAUGUACAAAGCAAUUUCAGCCAUCCAAUUUUUUUUCAAAUUUUAAUGAAUAUAAAUUUUAUAAGUUGUACAACUAUGAAACAUAAAAUUAGAAAAAUAAUAUUAUUAACAAAUAAGGAGAGCAAAAGGUAAUUAUAUCUGGGCGUGCUAAAUAUUUUUAUGGGUGUAGUGAAAAAACUAAAGAUAAUGGAAGCAAUGUUAUUGAGGAGUAUUUUGAUAUUUACAAAAGUGUUCAAAGUGAAAAGUGAUUUCCUAAAAUCUAUUAACUAGUGCCCAUAAUAAUAGAAGGGCAUUUUGAGAAAAUUUUAGAUUACAAAUAGUCCCAUCCUUUUAAUAAUAUUCUUCAAUCAAUCUGUUUAUUUCAAAAUAAAAAACCCUAUCUCAUUUUUACUUUCUAAUUAGUCAUAUUAAUGUGUUAAUAAUUACGAAGAACCAGUAUUAUUUGUAUGAUGUAGGAAGCCCUUUCGACACAAUAACCCAAAUUUCUAAGAGUAGCGGCUGGACUUGAUUGGGAACAACCUCGAUUCAGUUUAAAAGGUUAAUCUCAAAAUUUCGUGAUAUUGUGCCUAAAGAGCUUCCUGCAUCAGUAUAACAGUUUCUAAAACUUAAUGAGUCCAAAUAUCCAAUGGUGAUGACACAUACGCAUGGAAGUCCCCUGAUUUGAGUUUGACUAAAAUAAUCUGAAUAAUUUGAAACAACACAUCAGGCCAAAGUCCUCAAGAGAUGAACUGGAUUUCAGUGCAUGACAUUCCGAAAUUGAUACUAACCUUAAUUGGGAAGGCAGAACAGCCUCUCUUUCCUACUAUUGCACAAAAUGGCAAGUCAAGCCAAUUCAAGGAACUUCCCUGUUUUUUACUGAAAAAUACAUAAUCUGAACAAUUUAUAAUAAAAUAAAUCAUUCAAAAUAUCCUUUAAUCGAACCCCCGUUUCUAUGGUUUAAUAAAAUAUCACAAAGGUGCCUAAUACAGUGGAAUUAACACUCAGCUCAUGGGAUUGCCAUUAUAUAUAUUGAAACAGAAAUUAAUACAAGAAACUGAAAAUUAGUUGACACUGGAUCACGUUGGAUCGUUAGUUGUUAAUUAUGAUGGAAAUAUAAUUUUGGUCUCUUAAUUAUCAUCUAGCUAAUGCAUGUGCACUAGUUUCAAUUGUGUCUAUGUAAAUAGUAGAGUUGCUUGAUUGAAUAGUAUCAUAUGUAUCACAGAAACUCACUCAAUUUUCAUUGCCAUAUGUAUCUCAAAAGUGCAUGAACAUUGAACAUUCAGCUAACUUAUACCCAGCAACAUCCAUCAGUCAGAGUGAAACCCCAAUUGAUUUCAUAAAUACAAAAUAAAUAACUCGGAAAGGCAAUCUUUGACAAUAAAAAAAGCAACAACAAUUCACUCCAACAAACAUAACAAUUAUAUGGUCUACAUUGCAAGUCUUUUAUGAUUUUAAUUCAAAGAGAAAGCACGAGGGACAUAUUAUAUAUAAUUGAAUGUUAUGAUUGAUAAUUGGGCAAAAUAAUACUAAUCUAGCUAACUAGUCCAAUCAUCAUAAUAAUCUGAUUUUCAUUAUUUAAUUAUGUUCAAUCAUGUUAUUUUAAUAAAGAACACUGAACGCUUGAGUAUUUAUAUGUUCAACAACUUCGGCUAAAUUUGAAAAAAAACGUAUUAAUUAUGAAUAUUAAUAAAUUACCCUACAAGCCACAUAUUGCAUACAUAUGCAGUUGCAACAAAUAUAUGUGUAAUAAAAAGAUCAUAUGUGCUUAGAAAAUGAAGCAUCAUUGAAUAAAUGAAAAAAAAAAGAAAGAAAAUUAAAAUCAGCGUCCAGCGAAAAGAAUCCAUCUUUACGUAUUGCCUCCAAUUUGGUACAUCUAUCGAACUUUAAAAAAAUUGCAGUAGAAAUUAGAGCUCAUUUUUUUAGAUAUGGCUCAUAUACAAUACAAGUGUCAAGAUGUAAUUAGAGUUUACAUAUAUACACGUGUCUAAUUCUAAUUGACAGACAAACUAAUCAUAAAUACUCAGGUGUUUCUAAAUGAUUGAAUAAUGAUAUUGUAGUGACUUCAUUGCUUUGUUCUCUGAUUAGAAAUAAAUCACUGUCCAAGAACCUUUGUCAAGAUCUGUUCAAGUUGCAAUUAAACCAACACCAAUCUGAGGCUUCAAUGCUGAUUCACACCUUAGCUCUAGGCUAAUGGAGAUUAAAACAGAAGAUUAAAUUGAACUAGAAGCAGCACACACUCACACAAAGAACAGGAUUUAACGUGGUUCGAUUGUGCAUAAAUGCACAAUCUACAUCCUUGGCAGAAGCCACAGAAAAAGCUUUAUUGAUGAUUCAAAAUGAAUUUUACAGAGCUAAUACAGAGGAGAUUACAAGGAACAACCAGCCUCUUUAUACCCCUGAUAUUAAAAUCCAGAUUGCAGAGCUUUUGGACGCGUGUAUAACGGCUUCAUAACGAAUUUGAUUCCCUUCUCACAUGCGGUCUCACGUGCUUCACUUAAACUUGCUCAAAACGACUGAAAGUAGCGUCGUUUUUCCUUAAGUUUAGUGAAGAAGAUAGCAUGUGUGUUGCACCUGAGUCGUAAGUGGAUUCGCUUACUCAAAACACAGCCGUUUUAGGGCUUCGAGUUUUGGAUUCAUUGCACUCUAGUCCAGAGAUAUUAUUGGUAUUUAUAAAUUUCAAAGAGGUGAUAACAGAUGGUCUAUUAUAAACACUAAGAGGGGUCCCUAGCAUAGCCUGAACAACUUUACUUAUGGUUUCUCAUCAAAUAAUGUUAUAAAAAAAAAUACAUAAGUUAGAAGAUUCACAACAUAUUGGAGUGUAAUUUCUACCUGAGUGACAAUGAAUGAAGUUAUGUUAAUUUACAUUAAGUACAAGCCUUCCUGAAUAGGAAUAGAAAUACUCUAUUAACAUAUCAAAUACUACCUCAGUAAAAAUUUAGCUGACAAAAAUUAAAAAAAAAAAACCUUGAAGGCUUGAAAUAAUUAACACCAACUAAAUAAUUGUCUUACAUCAACAAUUUUUCUUUUUUUUUUUUCAUUUUAAUAAGACAUCACCACACUCCUGACUUUAUAAAGUAAAGCAUAAAAUAUAAUAGAGAUGUUUGAGUUUAAAAAAUAAAGUUGGGAGAAUGACUUGUCAUGCUGUCUUUGAUCAUUGAGCACACAAUUCUCUGAAAAAAAACUCAAUUGUAUUUGUGUUUGUGGUAGAUUCAUGUCAUUUACUAGUCCUUUGGGUUUUGUUGUAUCAAUUCUUUGGUAAAUGUUUAUCUCGUUUUCGUUCGCUUAUGAUGUGAGAUUCCUGGUUAUAUUAGGGAUCAGAGUGAAAUCCAAUUUUAAAAUUUGAAGAAAUAAAACGUAAUAUGAUUUUUAAAAUUUGGAGAAAUAAAAUGUAAUAUGAUUUUUUUACGACUAAAACGAUUUAAUUUAUUUCUUUUCUACUAGUAAAAAUUAUUAAUUUAUUAACCCAUCAAGCUAUUAGUUUCAUUUGUAAGCUGGUGAGUCAGUUUUUUACUUUGAGUUGUUAUCUUUCAAAAGAUAUUAGAAAAAUCUUACUUUGAGUGUAUUUUAUCACUUCACUAAUUAUAGGGUAUUUACAAGUUAGAAAAAUAAAUUAUUUCUGGCCAAAGACACUAGAAAUUAAAGUUCAUAUGACUUUGUAAUACUGUUUGGUAAGUGAGAAAAUUGCCGAGAAAAUACAGAGCAAAUAGAAUCUUUAAGAAGAUGUAAAUUUCUGUAUUUUAUUGAUCUAAAAAAUGAUACAAGCUCUUAUAUACAAUUGUAAGAUUCUACACACUCACAAUGGAAUAUCACGCUACUAGUAACUAACAACCUUUAUAACAAACUCAACUGAUUCAGGCUGACUCCAGAGAAUGUCGAAAAGCGUUUGGCUAAUUUUUGUAUACACACACAUAACACAAAAUUAAAUUAUUUGGCAGCGUUGACAGUGAGUCGUUUUUGGCCAUCCAUAAGUUCACAUGUGCAUGGACAUCUGUUGCCAGCCCUUUCAUUAUUUUAUAUCUCCAGAACAUUAUUAGAGUCCCACAUUUAUCACACAUCAUUAAGUAGAAUGCGCUAAUUAGGAAGAGCUAGUUUCUUUGUUCUGUUUUCUUGCAUAUGUUGCAAUUUUCGAGUAUCACUGAAAAUUUUAGACCGUCAAAACCUGCAGGAAAAUUAUAUACAUAUUCUAUGAUUCAACCUCAACAAAUAAAUUCUUUUCACUGGAAUCCAACAACUGUUAAGUGUUAACCUUGUAGUUCUCAAAAGCAGAAAUUGUUGUAUUAAUUUUUUCAAAGUGUCUCUCUUAAAAGAAGUGAAAUUUCAACUGAGAUCUUGCCACAUAAGACGAUCGAUUUAAUCCGACAAAAUGUGCGUUAGGUUAAUAAGAGCCAAUACUGCCCUGAUCCUUUCUGCAUCUUUCUUCUAUCAGCGGACAAUCCUUGAUAUACAGUUGCAAGAGCGAGGUAGGCACGCUCUUGUCCAAAAAGUAUUUUAGCUUCGGACGAAUAUAAAGCCAAAAGAUACACCAACGACGUGAGAUUUUGACCAAUUGAAGGCAGGCAUUCCAUGUUUUGGAAAUCAUAAAUCCACAAACGGGUUCCUAACUCCUGUGGCGAAAAGACACCACGUCAUGAAGUCCUCCGAUUGACAGUCGUUGUAGAGAUGAGAAUCUGUUCAAUCCCCCUUCCCCUCCACCCCAUCGAUGGCUUCCAAAUCUUCAUAUCAUGAAUAUAAAGUGACUGAAGGUUGCUGGGAAACCUACCAUCAUCUGCCUCAAGUGGGAAGCAAUACCUUAUAUGCUUGCAAGACCUCCUCUGUUUAAUUCUUCAAGACUGUGCAUGUCCUUGGGAAAGGCCGCUAGUUUAUCACACCACGUUAUCCGGAGCUUAGUCGGUUCCACAGAAGGCAAUCCUCCUUCAGGAAAGGGUCAUUUCAAUAAAAGCACAGUGCAAUUGCUUAACUAAUUUUUUGAAAACAGAGAUAUGAGAGAUUGACAAUUUACAAUUGCUUAACUGCUCAAGAAGAGAGCAAGCUUAAAAUAUGAAACAUGAAAAAGAGAGUACAAAUGAAAAAUCUUAAGGAAUUAGCAGGAUUCACGUCCGACCAACUCCAAGUUGCUAAAGCAAAGGAUUAAAUUUUGGGAAAUUGUAAAGAAAUUAAUACAAGUGAAAUGAGAGCCUGUUCAUUUGAUUAUUAGCCAAGGAUGAUUUCAAUAACGUUUUCAAAGAAGAUAUAGGACAAAGAUCAAAACGAAAAAUAAGUAAUUUCAGUCGUCGAAAAAAAAAAAGAGCAAGCUUCACACAUGCAUGCAUGUGUCUGACCAACACAACAUGGCUUGUGGCAAGGAUCAAUCAAAGAAAUAUAAACUUACAAUUUUAUAAAGUAAGCAUCAAAAUGUUUGACAAGUUUUAGAUUUGCAGAAUAUUGGGGAAACAGACAAAUAAUCAAUGAAGACACUGCAAGUUAAGCAGAUCAAUUAAACAGAAGAAAUAACUGAUCAAUUCUUUGUGCAAUGGCCACAGCAACUGUGAGGUUAUAAGUUGCUGAUGUGUUGGGUUUAAAUGCAAGAUUCGAAGAGUUCUGUGUGGAGACUGACUUCAUUUGGAGGGGUGUUAUUGUAAAUUUUAUGCUGAUGUGGCAGAGUUCGUUGAGAAUUCGUUAUGCCUUUUCCAGAAAUAUCAGAAUAAAAGGCGCUGGUGAUUAGCCCCUGAUCUGAGAUCAAUAUCUUCUUCAUUUCUUGUUCAUUUUGUUGGAAAUUUGGUUCUCUGUGAUCCUUGUAAUUGCCUCUUCGUAAUCAACCUGUAUCUCGAUUAUUAUGAUCAACAAAAGAGCAGUUUUUCCCUUCAUUGGAUUGUGUACUUGAAACAGUGCUCUGUGUUCUAUUCUUGGAAUUGCUUUCUUGUUUGGUUGAUCUGGUUUGAUUCUUUCAAGUCCGAUUCAUCAAGUUCUUCACGAAUUAACUUGUGUAGCCAUUAAAGUUUCAACAGCAACAGAUUAAAUAUAUCUACAAGACUACAUUAAUCCUAAUGGCAUGGUAGCAUCUCCAUGCAACAUUACAUUAACAUUUCAUCAUCAAUCAAUUUUGAUGAUAUGAUAUUAAAAACAUUGACUUCAUAAUUUAACAUAUAAAGAAAAAGUAAUACUUAUUUGAUGAGUAUGAUAGACAGCAAAUAUUAAUCAUGCAAUAAUGAAACGUGUAUUUAUAGAAAAAUGUUUGGCAGUAAAAUGAUGCUAUAAAGUUUAAUAUUAGUUGCAAGAAAAUUGGCAAUUAAGAUUAAGAACUGUGCAAUUUCAUUCAAGCCUCAAGUAAUUUUUUAUCCGUAUUUUGAAUGUUUGGUGGAAUCUUUAUGUGCUUAUGCCUCGGUACGAAUGUCCAGCUUUGUGAUGCUGGCGUGUUUUGCCGAUUGUUUUCUAUUAUUUAGGUUUGGUUCUGCGUUUUAGAAUUAUCAUAACUUGUAUUCGUGUAAUGCAUUUCAUUGCAAGAUCUAGCUCUAUGUAUGGAGGGGUAAGGCUCACUGCAUCCCUGUGACUAGGUGCACUUUAAUUUUUCUAAUUAAUAAAAAUCCCAAGUACCAUCGCGGUUUGCCAUUGAAGAAACUAUACAGGAACUGGUAGUUAGCGAUAAUGCCACACCCAGAUGGCGAUGAGUAAUUUAUUCCUCCCUCAUCUCAAUUGAUUUUUUCAGAUUCAACAGAAUCUGCUCAAAAUUUUGCAGCUAAGCAGAGAUUCCCAAUUAUUGUCACCUUAACUUACAUUAAUAGUGAAGAGGUACACAUCUCGCCUUUAUGGUGAGAUCUCGUGUAGAGUGAUUCUGUAAUUCCUUCUUAAGAACUUUGUAUCUUUAAUAAGCUCAGAUAGUGGAACUCUUCUUCUCCUUCACAGUGGAUAUAGGCUCACUCUAUGGCCGAACCACUAUAAAUCAUUUAGUGAAACUCUUCUUCUCCUUCACAGUGGAUGUAGGUUCACUCUGUGGCCCAACCACUAUAAAUCAUUGGUGUCAAGUGUGUGUGUAUUUUUGACUCGGUUCUCUUUGAGUUUCUUGCUUUGGUUACAACUGAUUCAUCAGCCAUUAAAGCUAAGUAUAUUCUGAAAUAUUGAGUUCAUAAAGGUGGUUCUUGGGGGGUCUAAUUUGGUGCUUAAUCCGGUUCAGUUUCAACAAGAAGCAACAAAAGCAAUUCAGAAUCAUGCAAGGACUUGGAUUUUUUUGUUAAUUCACUGGGCAUAUGUUUAUCCAACCUCUGAUUUUUCUUAAUAUUUCUCAGUAGUUCAUUUCACGGCACUUUUAGCCGCUACAUUGGCAUUUUCUGCCAUUUGCUUUUUGUUCAUUGGAGCAAGUUAGCUUAUUAAAUUUCUUUUCGAUAAAUGUUCUUCAGAGGGAAUGUGAAAAGGCCAAAUCAACCGAGAUGAUCGAGUUUUCUAGAUCAGCCAUCUCUGUCCUCAACGGUUCUGAACCGUCAAUUACUGAGACACCAAACUCUGACCUGAUUCAUAUGGGAUGUAGACCAAAGCUUCUUGCCAUACCAUCUCUGGUCAAAGCUGCUAUCUUUGAAAGUUUUGCAGGACAAAACAUGUCGGAGUCAGAAAUUGACGUCACCCCUAGCAUAAAAGAGUAUAUCAAGAGCAAUUUUGGUUUCCCAGUCGAUACAGAUACAGAAUUCAUAUAUGCAGGUUGCUCUCAAUCUCUGUUUAAUAAGCUUCCUCUGCUGUAUCCUAGAAAGUGGAACAUUAUGCUUCCCAGCUGGCUAGAAUGGGAACUAUGUUUCUGCUGCAAAAUUUUUGAAAGCGAGCAUUGUGAAUAUCCCGACUGUGUAUGAAGUGGGCCUUAAGAAGACAGAGAAGACACUUGUGACAAUACUCGAGGCUGUAAAGAAGCCGUGGGUAUACAUUUCUGGUCCAACAGUCAAGCCAACUGGCUUGCUUUACAGCAACAAAGAGAUAGAGAAUAUAUUAACUGUUUGUGUAAAAUAUGGGCCAAGAGUUGUGAUUGAUGCUUCAUUCUCGGGAUUGCAAUUCAACUACGAGGGUUGGGGUGGCUGGAAUCUGGAAGGCUGUUUAUCGAAGCUGUAUCGUCUCUCUCUGUGUCUCUGCUCGGAGGGCUGUCUCCGAAGAUGCUUACUGGAGCCCUCACAUUUGGAUUUCUGGUUCCAAACCAACGUCAUUUAGUUGAUGCAUUUAGUAGCUUUCCGGGAUUAAGAAUAUAUUUUAUGCUAUGAAGAAUACAUUUUUGAUAAAUUAACUUCAAUUCUGAAUUUUAAUUUAGAGAAUGUCGAGAAGAGAUUUGAUUUUUCAUAGAGAAAAAAAUUAGACAUGAAAUAAGUCAAAAUCAAUUACAAGAACAACAAUAAGAAUGUAUUUUUUAAAAGCCACAAAUACAUAAAAUAUAAAUUUAGUUUAAGAUUAGGUAAUUAUUAAUUUGUAUAGUAAGAGGGUCUCGUUGGAGAAAUCCAUUAACCUUCGGUUAAUUUGACGCAAGGUAUAAUUUUGCAAUGGCCAAUAAUAUAUAGCUGUAUGGUAUUUCUGUAUUAUAUAUACUCCUAAUGAAAAUGAAGCAAAUACGUAAUACUACUACUAUGACAUAACUUUCAUGAUUGCCAACUGUCAAUACCAGCCACCUCUCAUAAGUGCCUUAUUGAGCAUGGAAACACCUUAUAUUAUAAUUUCCGUUCACCCAUAGAAGAAUUUCAGGGCCAUUAAUUCAACAAUUACCAAACCAAUAUCCCAAUGAUAGUUGGAUUACUAAUCUUAGCAUUAAAAGAUCUACAAUUUUUAUUUGGCCAAAAUAAAGAUUUUCUUACUGCCUUCUUGAUCUUUUCCUGCCAGGUGAUUCCUGAUUGUUCUUCUCAUUCUCAUAUGCUGAGUCGCUUGCUGAGAUGAUAAAUACUCGAGGGUCCUUCCAUAAGACAAUUCAGCAAACACCUGAUUCAUUCUAUCAAACAUCAGCAUCACUAAUAACUAAAUGAUGUAAGAUAGUCUGGUUUGAAAAUUCAAUAUAAAUCAAAUUUUUAUUCUUCAUCAUUAUGGUUAAUGGCUUAGCAAAUGCAGGAGUACGGAUCAGACAAAAUGAAGCACUUUCUCUCGUAUUAAGCUUUAUUAGUCGUUGAAGUUAACAAAUUUUAAAAACAAGUCAAAACAGUUCCAACUCAGAAUCAGUAGGCCGUAAUUGGGUUGUUAUAAAUAUUUCAAAAUUUCAGUUUAAUUUAAUUGUGUAUGCACAAACUAACUUUAUCACUUCUUUCAUAUUAAUAUUCAUAAAUUUCAACCUUAUUUUAUGUUGAUGCACAAAAUGUUUUUUUGUUAUAUAUAUAUAUAUAUAUAUUCAAAUAGUCAAAUUUCUUCUUCUUUACUCAAGGAUCCAGUUCUGUAACCCACUUUUUUGUCGUUAUUUUGCCCCGCCGUUAGAUUUUAAUUCCGUUGAUGGUUUCCCAGUCGAUACAAAUACAGAAUUCAUAUAUGCAGAUUGCUCUCAAUAUCUGUUUGAUAAGCUAGUCCUCUGCUGUAUCCUAGAAGGCGGAACAAUACAUUAUGUUUCCCAGCUGGCUCGAAUGGGAACUAUGUUUCUGCUGCAAAAUUUUUGAAAGCGAUCAUUCCGAAUAUCCCUACUGAGUCUGAAGUGGGCUUUAAGGUGACAGAGAAGGCACUUGUGACAGUACUCGAGACUGUAAAGAAGUCGUGGUUUUACAUUUCUGGUCCAACAGUCAAUCCAACUGGCUUGCUUUAAGAGAUAGAGAAUAUACUUCAUUCUCUACUGUUUGUGCAAAAUAUGGGGCAAGAGUUGUGAUUGAUACUUCAUUCUCGGGAUUGCAAUUCAACUACGAGGGUUAGGGUGGCUGGAAUCUGGAAGGCUGUUUGUCAAAGCUGUAUCGUCUCUCUCUGUGUCUCUGCUCGGAGGGCUGUCUCCGAAGAUGCUUACUGGAGCCCUCACAUUUGGAUUCCUGGUUCCAAACCAACGUGUAUUUAGUAGCUUUCCGAGAUUAAGAAUAUAUUUUGUGCUAUUAAGAAUACAUUUUUGAUAAAUUAACUUCAAUUCUGAAUUUUAAUUUAGAGAAUGUGGAGAAGAGAUUUGAUUUUUCAUAUACAAAAAAAUUAGAAAUGAAAUGAGUGAAAAUUAAUUACAAGAACAACAAUAAGAAUAUAUUUUGUAAAAGCCACAAAUACAUAUAAUAUAAAUUUAGUUUAAGAUUAGGUAAUUGUUAAUUUGUAUAGUAAGGGGGUCUUGUAGGAGAAUAAAUUUUUUUUAAAAGAGAUUUGCUAAGGAACAAGUUUAGUCUGCGAAUGCUCAAGUAAUUAAAAGCAAUGUAAUUGAAGGAAAUACAAAGUAAUCAUCAUAAUAUUUGACAAGUUUGAGAUUUUGAAAAAGCCGAGAAAAUAGACAAAUACUGAAAACAGGGCAAAUAAACAAAGUAAAAUAGGGCAAAUAUUUACCAUUACACGUACAUUUUUUUUCCCAAAAACGAAUGUUGCAAUUUUUUUCCCCCAAAAAGAAAAAAAAGGACAGUCUGCCAUUACUAGUAUAGAAUGUCACCUACUGUAUAUAAGCACGUGUCUAAUUACCGAAUAAAAUAUACUUGAACAAAUGAAUAACCACACGUUCUGCAUUCUUUCUUUCCCCUUUCCCCCCCUCUUUUAGUAGUUGAAGUUACUAUAAAUAGAGUUUCCUCUCACUCUAGGAUCUUUGAUAUGGUCCUGCGAUUUGUAUUCUUUUAUGUGAGAUUGAUUUUUUUCUUUAAAUAAAAUUUUGGAAGAUGAGAAAUCUCAUCUACUAAAUACAACUUUUGAAUUUUAUUAUUAUUUAACCUAGAUAAUUGGGUAAAUAAAGUGCAUUCAUAACUAGUGAGACUGUGUCUGGCUGUAUAUUAUUCUAAUUUCUUUGACUUGAUUUCAAUUUUUGUUCAACAUAUAUCUAUUCCAUAUAAAGAGUUAAUGCAUUUUUCACUUCUGGGAAAAAAAAAAAAAUCCGAUACAGGCGUAGAAGAUACACAAAUAAUGUUCUGCGGGUAUGUAAAAGCAAUCUCAACCAUCCAAUUUUUUUUUUUAAUUUUAAUGAACAUAAAUUUUAAAUGUUGGACAGCUUCGAAAAAUAAACUUAGAAAAUGAUAUUAUUAACAACUAAGGAGCACAAAGGUAAUUAAUCUUGGUGUGAAAAAUAUUUUGAUGGGUGUACUAAGAAAAACAAAGAUAAUAGAAGGAAAGUUAUUGAGUAGUAUUUUGGUAUUUACAAAAGUGUUUCAAAGUAAAAAGUAAUCUUUGAAAAUCUAUUAGCUAGUGCACAUAAUAAUAAAGUGUUCAGAGUAAAUUUUAAACUACAAAUAGCCCAAUGCUUUUGAUGAUAUUCUUCAAUCAGUUUUGUUCAUUUCAAUUUGAAAAAUCCAUCUCUCGAUUACUUUCUAAUCGGUCAUAUUAAUGUGUUAACAAUUGUGAAGAUCCGGUGUAAUUUAUAUGAUGUAAGAAGCCCUUUAGAUACAGUACCAAAAUUUCUGAGAGUAGCGGCUGGACUUGCUUGGACACAACCUCAGUUUCAAUUACUUCUUUGACUGUGCCCAAACUCUUUCAAGGGCUAAUCUCAAAAAAUUUUCAUAUUGUGUCUAAAUAGCUUCCUACAUCAUUAUAACAGUUUUUAAAAGUUGCCUAAUACAAAUAUCCAAUAACUAAUAAAUUAUGAUAAGAAAUACAAAUAUUAAUAGUGAUGACACAGUCCCAUAGAAGUCCCUUGUUUUGAGUUUGACUAAAAUAAUCUAAAUAAUUUAAAACAAUCCAUCCGGCCAAAGUCCUUAAGGGAUGAACUGGAUUUCAAUGCAUCACACUCCAAAAUUGAAAUUAACCGUAGUUGGCAAGGCAGUACAGCCUCUGUUUUUUUAAUAAUUGCAUAAAAUGUCAAGUCAAGCCAAUUCUAGGAGUUCCCCUGUUUUUGACUGAAACAUACAUAAUCCGAAGAAUUUAUAAUUAAAUAGAUCAUUCAAAAUCUCCUUUAAUCGAAAUCCCCACUUCUCCGGUUUAAUAAAACAUCACAAAGGUGCCUAAUGCACAAAAUAAAGAUCAUAAAGGUUCCCGGUUUAAUAAAACAUCACAAAGGUUCCCGCCCCCCGCCUUUAAUAAAACAUCACAAAGGUUCCCGCCCCCGCCCCCACCCAAACUUUUCUAUCAGUUCUUAGCACCCGGCAACAUCCGUCCAUGAGAGUGAAACUCCCAAUGAUUUCAUAUACACAAAAUAACAAAAUAAAGAUCAUAUAUACUUUGAAAAUGAAGUUUCAGCAGCUGAGAAAGCUAGCCGUUACUAACAUAUUACACCCACCCACCCCACCAAGAAAUCCAUUAAUCUUGGGUUAAUUUGACACAAGGUAUAAUUUUGCAAUGGCCAAUUAUAUAUAGUUGUAUGGUAUUUCCGUAUUAUAUAUACUCCUAAUGAAAAUGAAGCAAGUACGUAAUACUACUAUGACAUAACUUUCAUGAUUGCCAACUAUCAUACUUUCAUGAUUGCCAACUAUCAAUACCAGCUACCUUUUAUACGUGCCUUAUUGAGCAUGGAAACAUCUUAUAUUAUAAUUUCCGUUCACCCAUAGAAGAAUUUCAGGGCCAUUAAUUCAACAAUUACGAAACCAAUAUCCCAAUAAUAGUUUGAUUACUAAUCUUAGCAUUAAAAGAUCUGCAAUUUUUAUUUGGCCAAAAUACAUGCUUUCUUUCUGCCUUCUUGAUCUUAUCCUGCCUAGUGAUUCCUGAAUGUUCUUCUCAUUCUCCUAUGCUGAGUCGCUUGCUGAGAUGAUGAAUACUCGAGGGUCCUUCCUUGAGACAUUUCAGCAAACACCUGAUUCAUUCGAUCAAACAUCAGCAUCACUAAUCACUAAAUGAUGUAAGAUAGUUCUGGUUUGAAAAAUCAAUAUAAAUCAACCACCUUAGAUUUUCUUAGUCUCAGAGCACAAUGGGUGAUGAUUUGAUGAGAAAUACUAAUAACAUGCAUCCCCUGUAUUAGUUAGAGCUGCUUGUCAUUUUCUUUUUUCUUUUGGGUACUGUUUUAAAUUUUUAAUCAAUCGGAUAGAGCUGCAUGUUUGCUUUCAGUCCAAACUGAAAUCAGACAUUAAGUAUUUUUGCUAGUAUGAAUGCAACCAAGAUUCUAUAGGAUAUGUAUGAAGAUGAUGUAAUAAAGUGCUUUUGAUAUAUUCCCCUAGUCGGUUUACUUCACUAACCAUUAACGAGCAAAUCCUUCCAAUGAAAUUAAAAACUCUUGUGCACAAUUAAAAUAAUUUCAAUUAUAUAUAUAAAAAUAAAAAAAUCUCAAAUAUAUUAUUUGAUAAUCACAAAAAAAAUACAAUUCACCCCAAUAAAUCACAUUACAGUCUAUGUUGCAAGUUUUUUUAGGACUAAUUCAAAGAGAAAAUGCGAAGGACAUGUAAUUGAAUUUGGGACACAGAAUAUAUUCCCAAUUACCCUUUAGUGUAAACAGUUCCACUUCAGAUAUAUCUAAUGAUGAUGAAAUUUUGUUUUCUCAUAGCAAUCGUUCUAGUGUUUUAAAAUGAGUAAUUGGUUCAAUAUUAAUAUAACACUAUUUUAACAUGUGACAUAUUCUAUCGUAGUGUGCUUCAACUGAGACUUCUAACCCAAAUAGAAAAGUUUCCAUUUUAGAUAGAAAAGUUUCCAUUUUAGAACAAGUUAAAACAGUUCCAACUCAAAAUCAGUAGUGCGCAAUUGGGUUGUUAUAAAUAUUUCUAAAUUUUAGUCUAAUUUGAAUUAUUUAAUUGUGUAUGCACAAACUAGUUUUACCACUUCUUUUAUAUUGAUACCCUUAAAUUUCAACCUUCUUUUAUGUUGAUGCACAAUCUAACUUAACAAAAAUAAUAUUCAAAUUGUCACAAAAUGUUUUUUUUUUUUAAAAAAACAUAUACAAAGUUAAUUUUUCUUCUUCUUUACUCUAGGAUCCAGCUCCAUACCCCUCUUUUUUAUCGUUAUGCUGCUUAGCCGUUAGAUUUUAAUUACGUUAAUCAAACGGUUGGGAUUUGCAAAUGAAUAAUGAAGUGGUGUUCGGCUACUAUCUGAGGCCAUUGCAUCUAAUUGGUUUUGGGAUUUUUCGCUUUCUUUUCUGUAACGCUCGACUAGUUCUGGAAAUUGCUUUUUGGCAUGCUAAAUGAUGAGCAUAUAAUACAUACAUAUUUUACCAUUAAUUAAAUAAUUGUUAGUUAUAUUUAUUUGUUAUUUUUGAUUAAUUGAAUUAUUUUAUUGAAUAGGGAAUUAAUUGGAGAUUGUGGAUAAAAAGUGCAUAAAGAAUAUCAAGUUUAAAAAAAGAAUUUCAAUUUUUCAAGUGACCUGGGCAUGCAUGGCAUUGUAAUGCAUGGAAAGCAACUUAAAGGGGCCCACACUUGGCUUUUACAAUUGGAAAAAAGAAUCCUAGUGCAAGCUUAAUUGAUGAGCACGUGAGUGAGAGUAAAGAAAAAUAAAAGGCCAAAUCCUUUUGGCUUUAGGAUUGACAAGGUGGGGCCCAUUUUAAAGGCUAUAUAAGAAAGCUAAGCUCUUGGCUUUUGGAGGGGAGCCGCCAGUGGAGGAGAAUUCGGCUUUGGAAGAGAGCAAUCCGCAGCAGCAAUAUUUCGGCUUCCAUAGCUGAUUUUAUUUCUUUUGUUGCUCACAAUUCAAGUAUGUCUAGCUAAUUUUCUUAUACUGAGGUUAAGGAUGAAACCCUAUUCAAUGAAAUAAUUAUCUUUUUAUUUAAUUAAUUCCCUAUAUAUGUUCUUUGAUGAUUAUGGUUUUUAUUUCACAUGAUUAAUUGGAUGUUAAUAAAAUCUUUUCAUCAAUUCUGUCAUGCAUUAUUGAUUGUUAGGAUUAAUAUUCGAUUAAUUCUAUGCUUGGAUCUAUAAAGUUUAUACAUGAUUAUCUUUGAUUUUAUGUCUUUCAUUAAAUUGUUUACAUAGAGUGCUUAGGAAAACUUUGACUCUUUGUUAUUCAAUAUGUUUACAUGGGAUGCUUAGAUGUCAUAUUAUUAAGCAGAAAAAAAACCUACAUUAGAUUUAAUUACUUGGGCUUAAUUGUUAUAUCCAUGAGAUGACAUAGAUUGAUUUCGAGUUGUCACUCUAAAAUUGGGGAUUAAUGAAUAAUUAGAUAAUUACUAGUUGAAUAGUGAUGGAUUCUGAAACCUUGGUAAUUCUUAUUUUAUUGAAUUCUCCUUUAUUUUAAUUGCUUCCUUAGUUUAAUUGGUUUAAUUUUCUUAAAAACUCAAUUUGCUCAACUAGGUUAGAAUUAAUAUUAAUUUUAGAUUUAAAUUAGACUUUUUAAUUUAUAACAAUCCCUGUGGGAUCGACCUCGUUACCACUAUUCUAUUUCUAGAUUCGUGUGCUUGCGAGUAUAUUAAAAUUUUCACAACAAGUUUUUGGCGCCGUUGCCGGGGAUUGUGCUAGAAAGUUAGUUUAAUCUAGGUUGAUUUGAUUCUUCCACUAGUUAUAAUUUAGGUUGUCUUUUAUUUUUUUUAUUAAAAAAACAAAAAAAACUUUUAUUUGUCUUUAAAUUCAUUGUUUGGUUGUUUGAUUUCUUUUAUUUUUAAAUUUCGUUUAUUCUCAUCAUUGUUGGUUUAUUUUAUUUUAUUUUUCUUUCUUUUCUUGUCUAGUUAGUUUAUGAGUGUUUGGGAACGUGAUUCAACAAAUCGUUUGGUUAAAAGAGAGUAAAAAAUUGAUUGUAAUCAAGAUAGUUCUUUAGAAGUAAUGGAUGACCCAAAUAGAUUGUUGCCAAUACUCCCACCAGUGCAAGCAGAGAAAACCCUUAGAGAAUAUUUUUCACUAAUUGCAGCCAACCAACCAUCUUGUAUUGUGUUGCCACAAACUACAACAACACACUUUGAACUUAAGCCCUCAGUCAUUCAACUUUUACCAUCUUUCCAUGGGUUAGAGAGAGAGGAUCCAUAUUUGCACAUUAAGGAAUUUCUUGACAUAUGCUCUACAUUUCGUUUUCAAAAUUUUAAUGAUGAGUCAAUUAAGCUUCGUAUGUUCCCUUUCUCAUUAAAAGACAAAGCGAAAGCUUGGUUGAAUUCACUUCCUGCUGGGUCUAUUACUACAUGGGAUGAAUUGAGUAAUAAAUUCCUCACCAAGUUUUUCCCUAUGUCUAAAACAAAUGCCCUUAGGAGAGAGAUAAGUGAUUUUUAUCAAAGAGAGGGUGAGCAAUUUUAUGAGUGUUGGGAAAGAUUUAAUGAUUUACUCCUCAAGUGUCCCCACCAUGGUUAUGAAAAAUGGAGACUUAUACAAUGCUUUUAUAACGGUUUAACCAUGUCAAAUCGUCAUAUGGUAGAGUCUAUGAAUGGUGGGAGAUUUUUGAACCUACAUGAAGGGGCUGCAUGGGAUUUCUUUAAUUCACUUUCUGAAAAUUCUCAACAGUGGGAUUUUUCAAAUCAAAGGGAAAAAUUAUCUCAAGUUUCUAGAAAGGGUCUAUACGAAGUUAAGGAUGACUUUGAUGUGAAAGCCACUCUAGCUACACUUUCUAGGAAAGUAGAUGCCUUAGCUCUGAACCAAUCAAUGAAUCAUCAUCCUAGUGUAGCUAAUGAGGUUUGUGCUAUUUGUUCUAACUUGUCUCAUACAGCACAGAAUUGUCCAUCAUUACCAGCCUAUCAAGAGGCUUAUUCUGAGCAGGUACAUGCCUUACAAUCAUAUGAAAAAACCUCUAAUAGUACAAAUUCAUCCACAUAUAAUCCUAAUUGGAGGAAUCACCCUAAUUUUUCUUGGAAACAAAAUCAACAUUUGUCAAACCAAGGAGGACAACAAUUUAACAUGCCCAAUCAACAAUUUGUCCCUCCUAACCAAGUAUAUCCUGCUGCCCAACAACCUAUGUCUCAAUUUGUUGCACCCCAACAAAGAAAGCCUUCUUUAGAGGAUACACUUCAAAGUUUCAUUCAGUCAACCCAACAAGCUUUUCAGUCAAACACUCAAGCUAUUCUAAAGCUUGAACAUCAAUUGGGUCAAUUAGCAACUACUGUAGCAGAGAGAGAAAAAGGAAAAUUUCCAAGUCAACCAAUUCCUAAUCCCAAAGGAGUGCAUGAAGUUGGAUCGAGUUCAAGCCAUCAGCAUGAAGAAGCAAAAUCUGUUAUGACCUUGAGAAGAGGAAAAUUAUUUGACAAUAAGGUGGAGGUUCCAACAAGGAAGACACCUGAGCCUACUUCUUCAGAUCCAGUUCCAUCACAAGACUCAUCAACAAAUGAUCCAGAAGAGAGUGGCCCACCAGCUUACAUUCCUAAGGCUCAUUUUCCUCAAAGGUUAGCAAAGGUAAAGAAAGGGACUUCAACAGGUGAGAUUAUGGAAAUCUUCAAACAGGUAAGUAUAAACAUCCAUUUACUCGAUGCUAUUAAGCAAGUUCCUUCCUAUGCCAAGUUUUUGAAAGAUUUAUGCACUAAAAAGAGAAAUUUACAUGUCACUAAAAAGGCGUUUUUAACUGAACAAACUAGCAAUUUACUUCAAUGUAAAAUGCCACCAAAAUUUAAGGAUCCUGGUUCUCCUACUAUCUCAUGUGUUAUAGGGAACCAAUGUUUUGAUAAAGCAUUAUUGGAUUUGGGUGCUAGUGUUAAUCUCUUGCCUUAUUCUGUUUACAUGCAACUUGGACUAGGUGAGUUAAAAUCAACUCCUAUUAUUUUGCAACUUGCUGAUAGAUCAAUGAAAAUACCUCGUGGUAUUAUAGAGGAUGUGUUGAUACAGAUUGAUAAAUUUUAUUAUCCUGUUGAUUUUAUCGUUAUUGAUACUCAGCAUGUACAUGAUCCUAAGAAACACACUCCAGUUAUUCUAGGUCGUCCUUUCUUAGCUACAGCUGAUGCUCUUAUUAAUUGCAGGAAUGGAAAUAUGCAGUUAUCUUUUGGUAAUAUGACCAUGGAAUUGAAUAUUUUUAAUGUUACCAAGCAGCCACAAGAAGAAGAUGAAUUUGAUGAAGCAAAUAUGAUAGAGGAAUUAGUAGAAGAUUCAUUAAUUUUUAACCAUACUGAUGAUCCAUUAGAAGCAUGUCUAACUCAUUCUGAUUUACCUUUUAAUAAUGACAGUGCAAUUGCAGAAGUCAGCGGUUUACUUGAUGCACCUCUAAUUACGGACACAACUAAAUGGAAGACAAAGUCAGAGCUACUGCCUCAUUCUGAGAAGAAAAUUGGCCCAUCUGCGGAGGCACCACCAAAAUUGGAACUCAAAGCACUGCCCGAUACUCUGGAAUAUGCAUUCUUGGGAGAAUCUGACACUCUACCUGUUAUUAUUUCUUCUUCCCUCGAUCUUGAGCAAAAAGGUAAGUUGUUAGGUAUUCUAAAAGAGCAUAAGGAGGCAAUAGGAUGGACCAUCGCUGAUAUUAAAGGUAUUAAUCCAGUAGAUUGCAUGCAUCGUAUUCAUCUUGAAGAAAAUACUAAAUCUAUUAGGGAGAUGCAACGUAGGCUAAAUCCUAACAUGAAAGAAGUGGUAAGAGCUGAAGUAAUCAAAUUAUUAGAUGCAGGAAUUAUUUAUCCUAUUUCAGAUAGCUCAUGGGUUAGCCCUGUGCAAGUUGUUCCUAAGAAAUCUGGUGUUACCGUAGUUACUAAUGCUAAUAAUGAAUUAAUUCCCACUAGAGUAACUACAGGUUGGCGUGUUUGCAUCGAUUAUAGAAAAUUGAAUUCAUUCACAAGAAAAUAUCAUUUUCCUCUUCCAUUUAUUGAUCAAAUGCUUGAUAGACUUGCAGGUCAUGAUUUUUAUUGUUUUCUAGAUGGAUAUUCAGGUUAUAAUCAGAUCCCUAUAGCUCCAGAGGACCAGGAGAAAACUACUUUUACUUGUCCAUUUGGAACUUUUGCAUAUAGGAGAAUGCCAUUUGGUUUAUGCAAUGCACCUGCUACUUUUCAAAGAUGCAUGCUUAGCAUUUUUUCUGAUAUGGUUGAGAGAUUUCUUGAAGUAUUCAUGGAUGAUUUUUCUGUUUAUGGAGAUUCUUUUGAUGAAUGUUUGCAGCAUCUAACAUUAGUUUUGCAGAGAUGUAAAGAAAAGAACUUGGUUCUAAAUUGGGAAAAGUGUCACUUCAUAGUAAAACAAGGUAUUGUUCUUGGUCAUAUAUUUUCCAGCAAAGGUAUAGAAGUCGACAAAGCUAAGGUGGAUUUAAUUUCUAAUCUUCCACAUCCCAAAUCCGUAAAAGAAGUAAGAUAUUUCCUUAGACAUGCUGGUUUUUAUAGAAGAUUCAUUAAAGAUUUUAGUAAAAUUUCUAGACCCUUAUGCAAUUUACUUGUUAAGGAUGCACCUUUUAUCUUUGAUGAAUCUUGUCUUGAUGCUUUUGCAAAGCUUAAGAAAUUGUUGACUGCUUCACCUAUCAUUCAGCCACCUAAUUGGGAUUUGCCUUUUGAAAUUAUGUGUGAUGCAUCUGAUUAUGCUGUAGGAGCAGUUUUAGGACAAAGAUUAGAUCGUGUGCCUUAUGUGAUUUAUUAUGCUAGUAUGACACUCAAUGAUGCACAAUUGAACUAUUCAACUACAAAAAAAGAAAUGCUAGCUGUGAUAUUUGCACUUGAUAAAUUCAGAUCUUAUCUUAUAGGUUGUAAAGUGAUUAUUUUUACUGAUCAUGCUGCUUUAAAAUAUUUGUUUACUAAGAAAGAUGCCAAGGCAAGAUUGAUUCGUUGGGUGUUGCUUUUACAAGAAUUUGACAUUGAAUUUAGAGAUAAAAAAGGUUCUGAAAAUGUUGUGGCGGAUCAUUUAUCUCGCCUUGAUCUUAAAUUUAUUCCAGAAUCUUUACCUUUGAAUGAGUCUUUCCCAGAUGAGCAACUUAUGAGUGUAAAUGUUAUACCAUGGUUUGCUGAUAUAGUUAAUUACCUUGCUACAGGUCAAAUCCCAUAGCACUGGACUAAGCAAGAUAGAACAAAGUUCUUAUCUAAAGUGAAGGACUUCUUUUGGGAUGAUCCCUAUUUAUUUAAAUAUUGUGCUGAUCAAAUUAUUAGGCGAUGUGUUCCCGAUAAUGAAAUUCAAAGUGUUAUCUCAUUUUGCCAUGAACAAGCUUGUGGAGGCCACUUUAGUGCUAAAAAGACAGAAACAAAAAUUUUACAGUGUGGUUUUUAUUGGCCUACUCUUUUUCAUGACGCUUAUGUUUUCUGUUCUUUGUGUGAUAGGUGCCAACGUAUGGGUAGCAUUUCAAAGAGGAACAUGAUGCCGCUCAAUCUUAUUCUUGUGGUUGAGAUCUUCGAUGUAUGGGGUAUUGAUUUCAUGGGACCUUUUCCUCCAUCUUUUGUUUAUCAGUAUAUAUUGGUUGCAGUAGACUAUGUGUCGAAGUGGGUUGAAGCUAUUCCAUGCAAAACCAAUGAUCAUAGGGUUGUAGUGAAAUUCUUGAAGAGUAAUAUUUUGUCUCGUUUUGGUUUUCCUAGAACAAUCAUUAGUGAUGGUGGUACCCAUUUUUGCAAUAAACCUUUCAAAACUCUUUUGAACAAAUAUUCCAUUACACAUAAGGUUGCCACCCCAUACCAUCCUCAAACCAGUGGCCAAGUAGAGAUUUCUAAUAGAGAGAUCAAGCAGAUUCUAGAGAAAAUAGUUAGGCCAGAUAGAAAGGAUUGGUCUUUGAGACUUGAUGAUGCAUUGUGGGCGUAUAGGACUGCUUUUAAAACACCAAUUGGAAUGUCACCUUAUCGACUUGUGUAUGGAAAAGCAUGUCAUCUGCCAGUAGAGUUGGAGCAUCGUGCAUAUUGGGCUAUCAAGAAAUUCAAUUUCGACAUGCAGCAGGCUGGUUCCAAGAGAAGAUUACAACUAGCAGAACUUGAAGAGAUCAGGAAUGAUGCAUAUGAUAAUGCCAAGAUUUACAAGCAACGUAUGAAAGUCUUUCAUGAUAAGCACAUUUUGAGAAAAUCCUUUACACCAGGUCAGAAAGUACUUUUGUAUAAUUCCCGAUUGCAUCUCUUUCCAGGUAAGUUACGUUCUCGAUGGUCUGGUCCUUUUAUAGUUCGUACUGUCUUUCCUUAUGGAGCAAUUGAGAUUGAAAAUCCUAAAAAUGGUGAUUUAUUUAAGGUCAAUGGUCAAAGAUUAAAAUCAUUUUUAGAGUUAAGAACACCAGAAGUUGAGGAGAUACUUUUAGAUGAUCCUGUUUAUCAGGAUUAAUUAAGUCCAUCUUUGCACUCUUGUUUUAUUUUAAUAGUAGGUUUUCCUUUCUUUGUUUAUUUUUCUUUUCUAGUAUUUUUCUUUUCAUUUGGCAUUUUCUUUUAAGCUUUCCCAGCCCAUCCAGGUGUGUUCUCUCCAACUUUCUUUUUAUUAUUUAUGUUUUUAUUAUUAUUAAUUUUUUUUUCUUUUCAUUUGUUUGCAUGCAUAUCUUUUGUUUGUGAAACAUUGAGGACAAUGUUCCAAAUAAGUUUGGGGGUGGGAAUAUGAAAUAUAAGUGUGCAACCCAAGAGGGGGGGUGAAUUGGAAAUUUAAAAAUUAUCCUAGCAAAUCCACACAACAAACAAUCUAAUGCCUUAAUAAAAAUUGAAAGCAAUAAGUUUAAUAAAGGCACAAUAAUUAAAGAGUAAGGGAGAAGAGAAACAAACACACGGAUUUUUACGUGGUUCGGCAAUCCCCGCCUACGUCCACGCCUCCAAGCAAUCCAAGCUUGAGGAUUUCACUAUCCAAGCCUUUCCGAGGCUUCAACCAAUUACAAUUGACUUCGAGGUGUCAAUAAACCUUUACAACGAAGAGAUUAUCUUCCAAUCUCUUCACUCAAGUGUCUCACACACUCAAAUUCUUACAAAUGAAAUGAAGAAAUGAAGAUUACAAUAAAACUCACUCAAUGAGUAGAUAUUCAAAGAUGAAGAACAAUGAAUGAUUCAAUGAUUUGUGUUUUACAAGUUGAAGGCUCAAGAUAUCACAUGUGCUUUUUGUUUUUGCUUGUUGGAGAACUUCAAAAUGAGUUGGAUUUGAGUUCUUAUAGCUUGAGCUCGAAAACUAGCCAUUACUCACAUUAUGGGCUAUCCGGUUUGCCGUUUUAUGGAAUCCGGUAAGCCGGAUUUAUGUUACCGUUAAGACAAAAUUCAAAAUUUUGCCUAACCGGUUUGCCGGAUUCAUGAAUCCGGUAAGCCGUUUUCGUUCUGGAUGCUUACUGCCCCGAAUCCGGAUUUCCGGUUUUCUGAAUCCGGUAAGCCGCUUGCUACAGUAACAUGCUACAGUGAAAAUUUUCCAAUAUUUUCAAUUUGACCCCAAAACUUUAUAAAACUAUAGUAUGGCCCACAAAGUUAUAAACGUUUGCAAAUAGGUCCAAUUUCAGAAUUUUAGAUAAUGCUUUCUCAAUCCCACAACUUUCUGAAAUUAUGUUAUAGACCAAAAUGCUAUGACACUUUUCAAAUAAGUCCUUUUCCAAAAUUUCAAGCAAUACUUGUUUAUUUCAAAGUUUUCAAAAUUCUUUCAAUUAAAUCAUAAACUUUGAAAAACAACCAAUUUCAUAAAAUCAUUUUUCCAUUAAAUAUAAAACAUUUAUAAUGUAAAAAUAAUGAUUUAUUCAAAAUAUAUUUUUCAAUAAUUUGAGCUUAAAAGAUUAAUCAUUCUUAAUCUUGUUUGUUAUCAUCAAAAUCAACAUUGUGGAAACAUAUAUGUUAACAGAAUAGUGUGUGCUUUGUUUGUUUAAAAAAAAAAAAAAAUUUAAAAAAAUUCAAAAAUUCAAAAAAAAAAAUUGUGUUUUUUUUGUUUUUACGUGAAAAGCCAAUGAUAAGAACUUGAUUGACAAUGAAUAUGGUUUUCAGAAAGGGUUGAAUAUUGUCUUAGUUUAUACUUGAUUCUUAUGUUAGUUCCUCUUGAUUGAGAUUCUUUAAAAUAUGAGCACUAAUAUCAAUUCUUUCAUAAUUUUGACUUGAAAUUUGAGAUUGACGCAGCAUGAGUUGAGAAUUUUAGAUAGAGUAAAUGACUGUUUGUCUUGAUUCUUAUCUCCACAAUACAAAAUAGUAUACACAGGCGCCAAAGUCAGAAAUAGCUACCAAUAACCCUUAAGAGUGAAGCUAUCCUUGAGUAAUUUGGGCCUAUGUACCACAAGUAUGUAGAGGAUAAUCUACCAUGAGAAGAAGGCUACCUUAAGGGGUAGAGUGAAAGCUCCUGACUAUGGUUAAAAAAAAAAAAAAAAAAAAACAGAGAAAAAGAAAAAUCAAAUCAAGUGCAUGUGCUGAAAAAAAAAUAAAAAGAAAAUGCACAUAAAAGCCUGUGAAAAAGGAAAAAAUUGGAGAUCAAGAUGAUAAGAUUAGUUUGACCUACUCUUUUCUUUGUUUGAGGCGAAGGUUGUUGAUGUUGAAGAUUUUGGGAAUGGAUUUGAUUGAAUUGAUUUCACACACACACUACAAGAAUCGAAAGAGAGAUGGGAUUGAUUAUUGAAUUAAAGUUAGAACUUUACCAAUAUUUGAAAUUUUCUUUGAGCUAUAUAAUUUAUGCAAUCUUUGAGGCUAUUUUCAUAUUUUAUUUAAUAUUUUAUUUUAUUUAUUAUUAUUAUUAUUUUUUUUUUUAAAUGAUGUUUGUGGGUAUCAUCACUGAAGCCCUCACGAGACUAUAACUCGUCCACUAGGGCCGCCUAGGGGUUUAAAGGCUUGUUGCAUACGCUAAAUGCAAUCGCAAUUACCUGCGAAAGUGGUUUAGUUAGGAUUUACCUUUUUUCAUUGUUUUUAUUUUAUUUUAUUUUAUUUUUUUAAUUUUUAGUUUUAGUUUUGCUCGAGGACUAGCAAAAUCUAAGUUUGGGGGUAUUUGAUGAGCAUAUAAUACAUACAUAUUUUACCAUUAAUUAAAUAAUUGUUAGUUAUAUUUAUUUGUUAUUUUUGAUUAAUUGAAUUAUUUUAUUGAAUAGGGAAUUAAUUGGAGAUUGUGGAUAAAAAGUGCAUAAAGAAUAUCAAGUUUAUAAAAAGAAUUUCAAUUUUUCAAGUGACCUGGGCAUGCAUGGCAUUGUAAUGCAUGGAAAGCAACUUAAAGGGGCCCACACUUGGCUUUUACAAUUGGAAAAAGGAAUCCUAGUGCAAGCUUAAUUGAUGAGCACGUGAGUGAGAGUAAAGAAAAAUAAAAGGCCAAAUCCUUUUGGCUUUAGGAUUGACAAGGUGGGGCCCAUUUUAAAGGCUAUAUAAGAAAGCUAAGCUCUUGGCUUUUGGAGGGGAGCCACCAGUGGAGGAGAAUUCGGCUUUGGAAGAGAGCAAUCCGCAGCAGCAAUAUUUCGGCUUCCAUGGCUGAUUUUAUUUCUUUUGUUGCUCACAAUUCAAGUAUGUCUAGCUAAUUUUCUUAUACUGAGGUUAAGGAUGAAACCCUAUUCAAUGAAAUAAUUAUCUUUUUAUUUAAUUAAUUCCCUAUAUAUGUUCUUUGAUGAUUAUGGUUUUUAUUUCACAUGAUUAAUUGGAUGUUAAUAAAAUCUUUUCAUCAAUUAUGUCAUGCAUUAUUGAUUGUUAGGAUUAAUAUUCGAUUAAUUCUAUGCUUGGAUCUAUAAAGUUUAUACAUGAUUAUCUUUGAUUUUAUGUCUUUCAUUAAAUUGUUUACAUAGAGUGCUUAGGAAAACUUUGACUCUUUGUUAUUCAAUAUGUUUACAUGGGAUGCUUAGAUGUCAUAUUAUUAAGCAGAAAAAAAACCUACAUUAGAUUUAAUUACUUGGGCUUAAUUGUUAUAUCCAUGAGAUGACAUAGAUUGAUUUCGAGUUAUCACUCUGAAAUUGGGGAUUAAUGAAUAAUUAGAUAAUUACUAGUUGAAUAGUGGUGGAUUCUGAAACCUUGGUAAUUCUUAUCUUAUUGAAUUCUCCUUUAUUUUAAUUGCUUCCUUAGUUUAAUUGGUUUAAUUUUCUUAAAAACUCAAUUUGCUCAACUAGGUUAGAAUUAAUAUUAAUUUUAGAUUUAAAUUAGACUUUUUAAUUUAUAACAAUCCCUGUGGGAUCGACCUCGUUACCACUAUUCUAUUUCUAGAUUCGUGCGCUUGCGAGUAUAUUAAAAUUUUCACAACACUAAACUAAUGACUUUUGAAUAUGUUCAUUCAAAUAUUAAAGGAACCGGUAUAUGGAUUUACGCUUUGCAAAUACAAUAAAAUCUCUACAAAUUAAUAGCCCUGGGACCACGAAAUAAUUUAUUAAAAUUUAAGGAAUAUCAAUUAAUCAAUAAAUAAAUAAAUUAUUAAUUUAUGAAAAUAUUCGUUAUUUUAGAAAAAUAUGAUUACGUUUAUAGUAUUGAUUUACCUUGAGUUGGAAUCUGUAAUGUUUUAUUUGAAUAAUAAUUUUCUUUUAAGAAGAUUUUUUAAUAGUUGACUGCUUUAUAAUAAUAAGAUUAUUGUACAAUUUUUAUUUUUCCAUGUGGAAGAUGAUAAUUCUACUAUACAAACUAUUUCAAACAAAGAAGUAGAUGAUACUAAAGUUGAAUAUUUUUUUGUUACAAAACAACAAUACCAACUAGGUGUUUUUUUUUUUUUUUUUUUUGCAUUACAAAAAGUCAAAGAUGAGAUCCAAUUGAAAUUAAUUUAAAAAAUAAGCAAACAAUGCUAAGAACAUAUUUUACACAAGCUAUAUAGACGAUGUCAUAUGGAUUUCGUUUUUAUACUGGGUAAUUAUUAAUUUAUAUCAUAAUAUAUUUCCUUCAAAAUAUAGUAUUUGAAUUUGAAAUUAUUUUUUUAAAAAAUAAUAUCACAAUAAUAGUCAUGAUUCCAUUGGUUUCAAUUUUAUAAGAAAAAAGUUGGGAAAAUAGACAAAUAGACAAAUUACUGUCCUUGAGCACAUUAAUAAUCUCAGUUUUCUAUGUACAAUUUUGUAAAUUCAUGUCAUAUACUGGAGUCUUCUAGGUUUUGUUGCAUCAAUUCUUUGGUGUUUUAUCAUGUUUUAUUAUUUUAUGACGCAAGAAAGCUUGUAGCGAUGCAUCUGGAGUAAAAAGAUUUAAUUUAUUUUUCGUUGUUAUUAGCAAACAUUAUUAUUAAUUAUAUUAUUAAUUUAUUUUUCGUUGUAUUAGCAAACAUUAUUAUUAAUUAAUCAACCCAUCGAGAUAUAUUAGUUUCCUUUGGAACAACAAGCUAAUUGCUUAAUACAAUUUUUGUACUUCUCGCUGUGAAAUCUCGAAGUACAUGUAAAUAAGAUCAUAGACGUGGUAUGUUGAAACGUGAUAAAUUUAAUUCAAAUCUUAAUUAUGUUGUGAUGUGAUAAAUUUAAUUCAUAUCUAAAAAUUAAGAGAUGACUCAUAUAUAGGUACAUACUGAAUAAAGAUAUUUAAACAAAAGCAUUCAAUUCCAUGAUAUACCUAAAGAUCAAAGGAAGUGAAUAGAAAUAGAUGUAAAAAGUCAAAAAGAUGAACAAGUGCACAUGAUGAUUUAUUAAAAAAUAAAUUUAUAUCCUUUUAAUAAGUGUGAAAUUAUUUACACUCUAAAUUUGUGUGGGAUACUCAUAAUUUUUAUUACAAAAAACUUCCUAAUUCAAUUUACUAAUAAGGACAAUUCAAAAAAAAAAAGGACAAUUCAAUAUAAGUAAAUAGGACAAUAAUACUUUUUGACAUUCAUCUAGCGCGCGCACACCCAUGUAAAAUUACGAAACCUUAAACUAUAGAACUCGUUCAAAACUCGUUCAUCAUUUAAAAGUAUAUUUCUUCUGCUUAGAUUUCAAUUUUUGUUGAACAUAUAUCUAUUCCAUGUAAAGAGUUUCUGAAUUUUUAACUUCUCUGCCAAGGGGUUCUACAGGAAUAAACAACUUCAGAAAAACAAGUAAAAAACCUAAUACAAGUGCAGAAUAUACUCAUUAAAUUUUAAUUUUUUGCACAAACCUGGGCUGCGUAUAUACACAAAUAGCUGCUCUACGAAUACGUAGAAGCAAUCUCAACCGUCCAAUUUUUUUUUCAAUUUUUAAUGAAUAUAAAUUUUGUAUGUUGGACAACUGUGAAAAAUAAAUUAGCAAAAUGAUAUUAUUAACGAAUGAGAGAUCAAACGGAAUUACUCUUGGCGUGAUGCAAGUUGAUGAGUCCUGAUAUCCAAUUAAUUGUGUUAAGAAAUAGAAAUAUUAAUAGUGCUGACACAAACGCAUGGAAGUCCCCUGUUCUAAGUUUGACUACAAUAAUCUAGUUAAUUUAAAACAAUCUAUCGGGCCAAAAUCCUGAAGGGAUGAACCGGAGGAUUUCAAUGCAUCAUUUAAUGCAGAACAGCCUCUAUUUUUUACUAUAAUAAAAAAUGGCAAGUAGAGCCAAUUCAAGGAACUCCCCUGUUUUUUUUAGUGAAAUAUACAUUAUCCCAAUAAUUUAUAUUUAAAUAUGUUGGAGAAAAAUCAGUUUUUUUAAAUUUUCACAAAAAUUUUUAGGACUAAUCUCAUAUAAAAUAUAGGAAUUUGUAAUCUAGAAAAUCAUACCUUGAUAAUCCAAUUUGAAUUUUUCUCUUAGUUAAACUAGACUCCCAAAUCAUGAUCUGUCACCACCACUUCUGUUAGAUCACGAUCCGUCACCGGCACCAAACAAUCUUUCGGGUUAUGACUCAGGUUUGAUCUGCACUUGACGUGUGGGCGCCUUUAUCACCAUUAAAAGCAACUAACAGGAGAAAAUUUUUGUCUCAAAAUUAGAGAGAAAAAUUCUUUUCUCUGAACUAUAUAAUGCGGCUCACUUUUCUUUUAGGAGAAAAUAAACCCUUUUAUAUUUCUAUCUAGUGGAAACUCUAGGCUCCAUAUUUUGAUAUUUUUAAUUCUAUUAAAUCAAAUUUGAUUUAAAUUAAAAAUAAUAAAAUCAAAAGUAACGUUACUUCUUCUUGUUAUAGGGGUCCACCUUGUAAAAUAACACAAGGCCCCUUAGAUACAAGCACAUUACAUGGAGCCUCCCACUAAAUAAUAUAUUUAGGUUUUUAACUCAAAUAACUAGUUACCUUGCUUAUUAAUCCAGUAGCAGUGCAGUCAAUUAAAUGAGCUAAUCCGGGGAUCAUUUGGGAACAUAAAAUAGUAGCUACAAUAAUUAGGCCUGUAAUUAAACUAACCCAAUUAUUUAAUUUCAAAUCUACUCCACUAAAAAAUUGGAACUGACCUCCAUAAUUGUAUGCUCGAAUAAUAAUUUGUCCCAAGCCACGUUAAUUUCUUUACUGCAUAAUCCUUUGUACCACAUUGUUAAUUAAAUCAAUAUUUUAACUGUCCAAUCGAUUUAAUUACAUCUUAUUCCUUGAUACUUACUGGUUUUCUCUAAUGAUCAUUUUCAACAUACUAAAUAUGUUGACACACUCUGACUAGAGAAUUCUAUGAUCAAGUGCCGAAAACCCAUCAAGAGAUGUGUUGUACAAAUUCUAUAUUGUUAAUCUAUAACUCCAAUACUCAUAAUUGCUCACACCAAGAUAUCGGGUAAUCUUGACUACAAGUGUGUGUUGUGCCCAUUGGUAACUCAAAUGGAAUAACAAUUAUAAUCAUGAAAUUAUAACUAACUCAAGAUUAAGAUUACAGUAAAAUCAAUGCCUAUGAGAUUUAAUAAGUCUGACAGUUAUUUCAAGGUUAAUUAAAUCUCAUAUGUGAUUCAACUCAAUGUAGUCAAACUACAUCAGUAAAUUCAUACAUGAAUAAGACAAAUCAUUCAAUGAAUUUACUACAGUCUAAAUAUAAAUGGAGCGCCCAACUCUAUUUAUCAACUGCGAAUUUAAUUUAUUUAAUCAUAAGAUAACUUGUAUUUAUGUCUUCUGUGAAUCCAUAUGAUGAUCACAUAAAUACAUAUAAUAUGAUUAAACGGACCUUAUUUAAAAUAUUUAUGCAAUUGAAAAUAUCUCAAAUAUUUUAUUAAUCAGAAAAUUAAUAUGCUUUAAAAGAGCACAUAAUCCCAACAAUCUUCCACUAGCUCUUAAAGCAUAUCCAGCAUAUUGUUGAGAUCUAGGCUUAAUUUUGAUAAUCAUUUUUAUGAUUAAAUGACAUGAGUAUGCUUAAAUUUUAUUUUUCUUCAAAUUUAUCUUCUGAUGUUACAUUUUGCUGGCAAAAAGAUAGAAAUAGUAGAAAAUGUCAGAAUUAUUGUUAUGAAGAUGUCGUUUUUGUCUGAUAUUGGGAAAAUAUCGUCAUACAUAUUGCCAUCAUAUUCAUGGGAGACCAAAAUGAGAAUGAAGGCAGACUCUGUAUUGCUCACAACUAACUUAAAACUCACUAUUUCUAUUUUCUGUGUUUUAAUAACUUUGGGGGCAUCCAACUAUAAUUAAUAAGCUAUAAACUUGUUUAGGAAUUACUAAUCAACUUGCUAGAGAGAGUUGCAAACUAAUUAGCUUUCUCUUAUAACUUUUACAGAUCAUCUGUGGAGAAGAACUACAAGGAGUUGAAGACUUUAGACCCUAAACUUCAUAUCUUGAAUUAUAAGUGCAAUGGGGUUACGCCCCAAUUAUGGGCUAGAGAUGGUAUAUAUACUGUUUCUGCUCUUGGUUUUUUUUUUUUUUUCCUCUAAGUCAUUUUUUUGUUCUCUACUCCAUUGUAAAUUUGUAUUCAAAAGUAUUUUUUCUUUGUUUUUAGUUUUUAAAUUUAUGGAGAUGAUCUUAUUAGGUGUUAAAUACAUAGUUGUAGAGCUUUACUAAAACUAUGUACAAUCUUAUUGAGAUUUUGUAAGAUUGCUAAAAAUUUCAUAUUUUGUAUUUAUUUUAUACUUUUUUAGUCGAAUUUCUUGCUUGUGGAAGAUAAACAAAAUUCCAAUUUCAUGUUGUAAAAUUUUUUUCCUCCCUUUUUUCUUCCCUUAUAAGCUGGCUCUUGCUUUGGUGCAGUUUAUGGUUUCAAUACAAGGAACCAAUUUCAUCAGAAUCAUCUUAAAGGAUUGAAGUGGCUUCCUUUUGUAACUGUGUAAGUCAAUGUUACUUCCUGAAUUCAAUUUGGAGUUCUUUCGGAAUAGAUUUCCUUCCCUUACAUCACUUAGCUUCUAGUUGCAUCUUCUUGGCUUUCUCCAGCUGACUUUUUUAUUGGCAAAUUCCUUUGUUUCUAUUGUUUUCAAGUGCUAGUGCUGGAUUUGGAGGUAUGAAUGGUGCCUUCAUCUUUUUUAGGGGUGUGUAGUACUGUAAUAUGGUUCUUUGUAUAGCCAGUACAAAAUAGUUCUUUAACUUCUUACUUUUGGCUUUAAUGAGUUCGACAUGAUAGGGGAGCUCUAUCACAAUUUGGUGUGGGACGGGAAAUAGCGGACAUAUGGGAUUAGAAAAGUAAGAAACAUGACCAAAAUAAAAAUUUAAUCUACUCAUUUAAGCAAUUCACCAAAUAAGUGUAUCACAUACUUAAGUGAAUAACAUUCCGUCAUUUCUAGCAAUCCAAGUAAAAUUAUAAUAUUCUUUAAUUAAGACUCACGAGCUUAUUAGGUGUUAUAUUGAAUCAUCUAAGUUGAAUAAUCUUUUGGGUUGAAUAUGUUAAUUUCUUAUUCCAUAUGUUUCAGUCUCUCAAUAGUUGAAUUAGCAAUGAAAAUUUGAAAAUGGAAAAACUCAGUGCAAUUAUUUUAGGUGCUUAUCAUAGAUAAGAAUUUCACUUUUUACACUUCAUUGUCUGUUGUCAAAUUUAAUAAGUAUGAACCUGCAUUAGCUUUGUUCUCUCGAAGAUUUAUAAAUAAGUGCUAUUUGACUUAGAUGUAAGAAAAUUGAAAAGCAGAGUUGCUUGAUUUAAUAGCUUCAUAUUUUACAUCACAGAAACUCAAGUUUCAUUGCCAAAAGUAGCUCAAAAGAGCAUGAACAUUGAACAUUCAGCUAACUUAUACUAUUUAAUUAACACAACUAUCAGUCUUACUUCUUGGUACCUAGCAACAUCCUUCCAUAAGAGUGACACCCCAUUGAUUUCAUAGAUACAAAAAAAAUAACUUACAAAGACAAUAUUUGACGAUCACAACAAAAAUACCAAUUGACUCCAACAAACAACAUAACAAAUGCAUGGUCUAUAUUGCGAGUCUUUUUAUGAUUUUAAUUAAAAGAGAAAAUAUGAAGGACAUAUUAUAUAUAAUUGAAUGUUAUCCUUGAUAAUUAGACAAAAUAACACUCAUGUAGCUAACUAAUCCAAUCAUCAUAAUAAUCCGAUUUUCUUUAUUUAAUUAUGUCCAUUGAUGCUAAUUUAAUCAAGAACACUGAGUAUUUGAGUAUUUUUAUGUUCAACAACUUCGGCUAAGUUUGGAAAGAUCAUAUUAAUUAUUAAUAUAAAUACAUAAGCCUACACGGUACAUAUUACAUAUUUGUGUAGUUGCAAUAAAUACAUAUGUAAUAAAGAUCAUAAAGCUCAGGGCCAUUAAUUCAACAUUACCUAACCAAUAUCCCAAUAAGGUUCGAUUACUAAUCUUAGCAUUAAAAGAUCUGCAAACUUUAUGCAACCGUAGUAUCUGGAUAGUAUUCUGGCAAUGGCAAUGUUGUUGCUUGUUAUGGUAGCAACAUUGAUGAUCAUGGCAUCACAAGCAAAUGCUCGGAUGCCGUACACACGAUCACCUUUUUUUGACAUGAUGUUCUCAAUGACUGAAGAUCCUUUCAGGGUUCUUGAAUAAACCCCUCUAACAAUCCCAAAAGGAGCUGAACAUCAUCAAACUUUAGCCCUGGCGAGAGCAGACUGGAAGGAGACACCAACAGAACACAUGAUCACACUCGACAUUCCAGGGAUGAAGAAAGAUGAUGUGAAGAUUGAAGUUGAAGAGAACAGGGCACUGAGAGUGAGUGGGGAGAGGAAGAAAUUAGAAAUCGUGGUCCUACAAUAGCAAAAGAAAUUAGUACGCUAGGUUUAUUGUUAAUAAAAAUAGAAAGUCUUUUUAUUUGGCAUUUAUUAUGCAUUUUAGGGGGGGUGAGUUAUCCCACUCCUAAUUUAUCCUCUUCUGUGAUAUUAAUGUGUUAGUGCGAAUAUUCAUUGUAAUUACAACAAUUCUGACGAGUCCAAACCUUCAAUAACUGGUAAAUUACGAUGGCACAGAAACAAUUAAUUCAAGAACUUGCUCAAAGUGCAUCAGAUUAGAGAGUAUAAAUAAUUUUGUACUGCAGUCCAGCCUUUAAGUGGUUAAUCAACAAUCAAAAACCACUUCACAAAACCAUUAAAAAAACAUUUUAACAUUAUUGUUGAUGAAGCAGCUAAUAAUUCUUUGGUAAAGACAUUAGGGCCACCAUACCUUAAAAUUAAUUAAGUCCACUAAAGCUUAAAAGUAAUUCUGGUGGUGAUGAUACUUUGCUUUGUUUGCUUUUUGGUCUUCACAUAUAUGUAUGUAUGCAUAUAACCAUAAAGCAAAAUGAAGUUAAUUUCAACAGCUGAAAAAGAGAUAGCCAUUAUACAUUACGCAUUCACACUCAAUAAGAAAUUAAUUCAGUAAUAUAGCCAUUAAUAUGCUUGGUUUAUUGUUGAUAAAAAUAAAAAGAAGCCUUUUUCUUUGGCAUUUAUUAUGCAUUUUAAGAGGAAAAAAAGUUAAUCCCACUCCAAUUCAUAAAAAUAUUCCCUUUUCUGUCAUAUUGAUGUGUUAGUCCGAAGAACCGUUGCAAUUAUAAUAGUUUUGAUGAAUUAAAAUAUUCAGUAACUGAUAAAAUUGUAUUUAUCGAUUAAUAUUAAUAGCGAUGGCACAGAAACAAUUAAAUUAAAGAUUACAAAUAAUUUUGUAGAACGGCCCAGCCCUUAUGUGUUUAAUUAGCACUCAAGAAACCACUUUGCUAAACAAAAGAACAUUAUAUCAUUAUUGCUGAUGAGACAGAUUGUUCUGGAGAAGAUUUCAAGUUAAGGUCACUAACGUGGAAAUGUAAUUAGAGAAAUAUAAUGCUUGGUGUUAUAACGUUCUUUUCGUUUUUGAUAUUGUGUUGCAUGUUCUUGUUUUCUUUUGAUCUUCUGUUUUUGUUGUUAUGGGAUUUGAUGACGAUGUACACGUACGAAGAUUAUUUAAUAAAGUGCUUUUGAUAAAUCAUGAUCGGUUUAGUAUUAAUUAACCAAAUUUAAUUUACUCGGUCAAUUGAUAUUUGUUAGUAUUUGUUGUUAUACAAAUAUGACAAAAGAGGAACACUAAGAAGAACUCUAACAUACCAGCAGUAUACCGCGGGAACUCUAACAUAUCGGCAGUAUACCGCGGAAGGAAAAAAAAUAGAAGCUGAAGUUUAUUUCAUUAAUUAAUAUUUUUCUUUGUAAGUCGGAAACCAUUAUAUACAUGAUAAAAACUCACCGACACCGAACCAUAUUAAUUUAAAAUAGUUUUCAACUGAGAUUUGAAUUCUAAAAUCACAUACACAAGCGCACCCAAUUGAAAAAAAAAAUAGUAAUCAUAAAAUAUUUCAUUCGUCCUCUGUUCAGCCACCAAAAACCCCUUUAAAAUCUACAUAGCAACGAAAGGUAUAUGGGUUAACAACUCCCAAUAUUGUCCUCCAUCCUUUCUGCACUUCUCUUUCAACGGACAUCCCGCGAUAAUAAUAGCAAAAGUGAGGGAGGCAGGCCUUUCUGCGGAAAGUAUUUGAGCUUGGGACAAUUAUAGAGUUCCAAUGAAGUGAGGUUUUGAAGAUCAACAAUUGAAGAAGAUAGGCGUUCCAGAUUUGGAAAAUUGGAAAUCCACAGAGAUGUUAGAGAGGCAGGAAGAGGAAGCGCAGUCCCCAAUCUUAUGUCCCCUGGCUCUGGUGGAAAUGAAUAGUACUCAUUUAUGUUAUCCAAUCUCAUUUCCAAGGGCAGUUGAUGCCAUUUUCAAGGGCAAAUGCAAUUGGAAAUAUGUAAUUUUUGGUUUUAUAGGGAUUAUUUCCGAGGGCAUUUGAUGCUGAUGGUGUUGUUGUUGAAAAUAAAUUUUUCGCCGACGACCCAUCGAAAAUUGUGCUUUUUCAAUGCGACUUAAUACGAUGACAGUCGACUACAUGACUUUAUUGGAAAUGAGUUUUUCCAAGGGCGUUUGUAUAUUUCCGAGGGUAUUUGUCCAAGGAAAUAGCCAUUAUUCUUGUAGUGAAUGUUAGAAGUUAAGGAGCCCUCCAAAUUACAGAAGAAACUCGAUAAUCUCGAUAAGACUAAUGUUGAAAAUAUGUUAUCCCUUACUUUAAUAAUUGAAUUAUUCUAAUAUCAAAAAAUUUCUAUAUAUGUAUAGAGACUCGAUAAAAGUAAUGCUGAAAAUAUGUUAUCCCUUACUUUAAUAAAUUAAGGGAUCUUUUGUUAGAAAAUUUCUUUCAUUUAAUACAAAUUAACGGAUAAUUUAAAAAAAACAUAUUUUAAUAUACGAUAAGAAAAUAUAUAAUAUCAGAGCGUGUGUUUUUCUUACCUUCAAGCUUGACCCUAAAUCAUUUUAUAUAUAUAAAAUAUAUAAUACACUAUUAGAGUGUAUGUUUUACUUGCCUUUAGUUUACCCCUUACUAGAUAAUGACUCUUAUACUUUAUUUUAACUUAAUUUUUUAUAUAAAUUUUGAGUUAAUGGUUUAGUGCAAUUUAAUUGUAGAUAUUAAAAAUCAAAUUAGCAUUUAAUGAUGCCACUUCAUCCACUAUUCAAUUGCAUGAGAUUAAUGACUCAAAAUUUAUGUAAAGAACUUAAGUCAAAAUUUCAAGUUGAAAUAUUGCUCCUUAUAUUAUAUAUAUAGCGAGGGCAUUCUCACUUUAAUUAACAAAUAAAAAAGAUAUAGUUUUUAAUGUAUUGACAUUUAUUUUUUUAAUUUUAGUGAAAUUCUUAUUUUUAGUAAAGUGAGGAUAUUCUUAUUUUGUAUAUGUGCGUGUGCAUAUGCGCGGGUGCAUGUAUGUUUUUGUUGCCAAAAGAGUACAUGUUGAGUGGAAAGGUACAAUUAUAUCGAACAAACCACCAGACUAGAUCGAUUUUUUCUACUAGCACUAAAUAAUUAUUUGAAACAACUAAAUAAUUAUUUAAUUAUGUUUCAAAUAAUUAUUUAAUCAUGCCCUUAAUUAAGAAAUAUACAGUAUUAAAAAAACUUUAUUUUAACUAGUGGAAAAGAACAAUAUUAUUUGAAUUGGUCUUGGAGAAUGGUAGGUGAAUGAUGCCAAAUUAAAUUUGCGCGAAUAAUCCAAAAUCAUGUGAGACUUGCUCAAUUAUAGCAUCACGUGUCCUACACUAUAAUUAAAGCAAAUGAAAUCUGUGACAAUAAAUAUGUAAUCAAGUAGCCGGUCCAAGGCCAAGUUGUCAAUUAUUCGAACCAAAAAAGUUGGAUUUUGACAAGACAUUACAUAUAAUACAAGAAGCUGCUGGCAUCUUCCAAACAAGCUCGGAAAAGCAGUUAGUAAGACUUGUACACAGGAAAAAAGCAUGGGAAAUAAUAAUGUGAUGGGAUUGGGAGGCGCUGUCUUGGCAGCGAUCAUAGCUAUGAUGAUACUCUUCUUCACCGCAAAUCAAUCUUGUGCUGCAGGCAACGGCACCAACAUUAAUAAUUUCCAUACUGAUCCUGAUGUGUUGUUUUUUCAUGAUGAUCCGGAAUUGGAGUUACCUGCUGCUGUAACAAACGUAUUGAAUCCCUCCAGUCUACCAUUCGGUUGCGGAAGAGGCGUAAAUUAUCGCUCUUGUACCCCUAAUUCCCAGAAUUCCAAAAAGGGUGAACAUUGCACACCUGCCCCUGGCAGCACGUAUCCCCCAGCCAAUCGAUUGUGCUAGCUAGCUAAUGAUACAUCUUUAAUCUCCAAUCUUCAUCUUUAUCCUGAACUAUGCCAUGAUGUGGGUUUAUUCUGCUUGCAUGUUGUAUUUAAUUUAUAUAAGUAGCUAUAAUUAAUUAAUAAUCUCUCUUUCCCUUCCUUUCUCAAUUCUAUAUCUCUCCAUAUAUUAUUAGUUAUUAAGCCUUAUGUUUGUACUGCUGCAUCCAUGCAUUUGUAUUAAUAAAUUAAUUAAGAUUUCUAAUUUAAUUCGUAUUGAUUAAUUUGUUGUUAAAUUAGCUAGGUUCCACCAUUUUCAUUAUAUCAUUCAUAUUCACUCGUUUCAAUUAUACCAUACCCUUCCAGAGUUUGUUUCUUUUCCAUGUGCGUACGUAUUAAAAGCCCGGAGAAGUAAUUAAUUAAUCAAUUAACUAUUAAUGGCAUUUUAUAUCGAGCUGGACCUACUCUUAAUUACCAGCCUCUUGAAGGGAAACCGGUCACAAUAUAAAUCAAACAACUGAACGUACACCUUCAUUAGAUUUCCAACCAAUGCCUUUGUAAGUAACAUUCAUUGAUUUAUCUGCUCCCUAGUACCCGCCUUAAUUGAUUGUUACGACAACAUCAUCCCAAAUAUUUUAAUUACAAUUAUAUAUGUUAGCCUUUUUUUCCUUAAAUAAAUAAAAUUACACAGAGACACAGAUACAAUUAAUGUGGCGUAUGGGAGGAUAUUGGUUGAAACUUGGAAGUAAUAUCAGUUAAUUCAUACCACCAUUCUUUUAAUAUCCAACCUCUAUCUUCAGUUCUUCACGAAUAUGAAAUCUAUUGCUUUCUUUCAUUCACUUUGUGUGAUAUAAUGUCUCGCAACCUUAGCCCAUUGUUUGAGAAGUUAUCUCAGUUAAAGUAGCAGUUGAGACUUGAACGGGAACUUUGAAGUUCAUGCAAGUGUUGUUCAUGUACCAAAUAUACAUCGAGCAAACAUUUGACCAACGGAGCUACAUCUAAGUAAGAGAGCACAUAGAGCACUAGGGAGCUUUUGAUGACUUGGCUCCAAUAACGCCGGUUAUUUAUACAUGGAGAAAUUAUACAUAUACAAGAUAUAAUGGGAAAUUUUCUGUCAUUUUGAUUUUUACCCCGGUGGUUUCUCCAUAAUUUACAAUUUAUUAUUAAAUUAACGGUAUAUAAGUUAUUUUACCUAAUUUAUAUUCUCAAAAUAUUUAAAUUUUAUAAAAAUAAACUAAUGUCCUAAUUAAGCUUUUUAUUUUUUUUUUCUGCUUGACAAAUUUAUAAAGACGUCAUUUUUAAGAAGGAAACAAUUUCUCUUCAUCUUUUUACUGCUUGAUCGGAACUCGGGGAUUGAAAAAAGAAAAGGAUUGAUGUUGAAGGAAAGAAUUGGGUAUAGAAAUAAAAUUGUGUUCUUUUACAAAGUUAUUAAAAGUCAAACUUAAUGAAUUUAAUUGCUAAUAAUUAGGUUACAAUAUACAAUGAAAUCUUAAGCUUUCAAAUUUUUUUGCCCUAGAAAUUAACUUUAUAACUACAUUAUUGAAAGCUCAAGAAAAAUUAGAAGAGGGAAAACUAGAAGAGAAUCCAAAUCCUACUCUUAUUAAUUAAUUAUAAUAUUUCUUUUUUAAAUGAAAUCCAAAAUUUUCCUCCUUUUUUCCCCUUUUUAAAUAUGCAAAACUUAAAAACCGGGCAUACUCUGUGUAUAUUUCUGUAAAAUCGUCGUUCAUUAAGAAAAUUUCUUAAUCUAAUUAGGUAACUUUAGGGUUUGUGACUGCAACCAAUAAAAAGAAAAAGAAUCAAAAGGACAUCUUUUAUUUGUAAACACACAUCAAAUCUCUUUUAUCAAUCAAAUUCUUUUGAUUAUUAAUACAAGAGGCUACAUAGCAUAUUCCAUUUUCUCCCUCAGCUAAAAUAAUGAAGUUAAUUUGUAAAUCUAAAUCCUGUUACAAAUUGUUUUACUUAUUAACAGCCGGAAAUUAAGAAAGUUAGAUCUCCAGGCUCCGCUGGAUUUUAUCAAUGCUGCAUUACUAAAAAUUCCUGCAAAGGACACAUAAAUUGCUGCAAUGGAGAUCUUUACAAAGGAUGUGAACAUUGCUGUGUUGGAUAUAAAAUGCAAGGGAUAUGAAUGUAAAUAGCGAUCGUUUUCAUUUCUGUUUAGCGUUUCUGCUUUUCCAAGGUUGGUAAAUGGAGAGUAAAGAAACAGCAGAUCACCGAAGAGGAUUCACUAACGUUAGUUAAUUUAGGGGUUUCCUCGAGAUUACACCUUUUGUUGAGCUGAAUGUGUGAGGCAGUCCGACUUUUUCCUUCUGCAAUGUGAUUGCUGCUUCAUUCCAUUUGAGUUGUUCGGGUGGGACUAAUUGCUCAACUUCAAUGGAGGAAUAUCAGGCAUAUCGGCAAUUAAGCUGUAUUAAAUACUGAAGAUAGAAAGUCUUGUUGGGCAUAAGACGAAUGAAAAACACUUGUUCUUGAACACCUUUUCAUAGUUUCAAAUAGAAGUGAGAGAGAAGUGAUGCUAAAAAGGCUGCCAAACUUAAUAUUUUUCUACGAGAAUUAUGUUUCAUGUGGAACCGAUUUUUGUUUCGUGAUCUUGUUACAUUCUUACCUCUUUGUUCAUGGAUUGAUUGGUACAUGUGUAUUUUCAAAUCAAAAGUUUUCAUCUUAUGAACUUGCAUCAUCUUUGUCCUCUUCUUUCUCUCCUCUAGGAUGAGCAAUAAUGAAAUUCAUUGAUUUGUCAUUGUUUGAUUUAUGAUAAGCGGAUUUCUCAUCCUACAAAUUUUUUCGGCCAAAUAUGUUAUUAAAUACUGUAUCUUCGCUGGUAGUAUUUCGAGAAAUAGCAUUUGCUUAUGAUUUGACUUAACAAACAACAUCCAGUCCGCUUAUAUUAACCCUGCUGUGUUUUUUUUUUUCACAAUAUCUGUUUCUAUUCUUUGUUGAGGACUUUUGUGAAUCUGUGAUACGAGCUGACAGAAUGGUUGCAUCCAAAUUUAAUAUGAGAAAACAGAUCCUCUAGCCUGUCCGCUUAACAUGUUAGGAAAUUGAGCUUCCUCUCAAGAUCACUCCAAGCAAUUUAUCAAGUAACAAAUUAAUAGAAAAAAUUAAAUGGAGAAUACACCAAUCACACAACACAAGAUUUACCUAGAAAACUCCAAAUCCGGAGAAAAACCACGGCCGUUGUCGAGAGACAACCAGAGAAAAAUAUUCACUAUGUGGAAAAUUAUUACAACCACUCUCCGAAAUAAAUUUCUCUCACCCAAACCCCAAAUACAUAAUUAUGAGAAAUAUCCCUUAAUAAAGCAAACCCGUAAUACCAAUAUUGAGGAGCCAAAUGCUCCUUCAAUAUAACUACAUACUUAAGAAUAUUUUUAUCUAUCAAUUCUCACCAAAAUUUGGAUCGCUUCUCUGGGAUUUGGAUACCUGGCUUUCAAAUGAGAGCUUCCCUUUUAUAGGAAAAUUUUUGCCUAAAAUCAAGCCAAUUUUUCAACAUUCAAUAGCCACCAUUUCAAUAGUUUUGAUCACUUCCAAUUGCUUAUCAAACUUCUUGACUAUCUCCAAAUUGAAUUCAAAUGAUAUCUUCCAAAUUGACUUUUCAACUCUUUUUUUUUUUAAUCAAUUUUCAACAUAACACGGAUAGAAUAUUAAUAAAAAGAAUGAUUUUCCUUUUUAAGCUUCUAUGUCAAAUUACACAUGCAAAAUGAUAAGAAUCCUUUUUCCAUUUGUAUGUAUUUUGGAGGAGGCACGUCCACGAGUUCACCAUACUGCAAUUUUUAAUUAAUUCUAUUUAUUUCUCAAAUUACUUUUGUUAAAAUUAAUUUAUCUCUGUUGUUUCUCAUUUCCUCUUCUCAAUAUAUUUGAACACUAAUGGUGUGUUUUUUUAUCAGCAACUGGAAUGAAAAUUUGGAAAUCGGAAUCAAUGAUGCAUUUAUUUACAAAAUUCAGGCCUGGAAUCGAAAUAAAAAAUAGUGUCGGGACUAUAGAUUUUGGUAAUCAUUAGCAUAGUUUUGAUUCCUAAGGGAGGGCCUGGGAAUUAGAAUCUAAUUUCUAGAAUUAUUCAUUUUACUCCCAAUAAAUUUUCGUAAUCUCUAAAUUGACCCCAAUUAAAAUUUGACAUUUUUGCAUUUUAAUUCCUAUAGAAUUUAUGAAAAACUCAAUUUUUUUGUAUUAUUUACAAAUAAGUCCUUCGUUGGUAAUAAUAAUAAUAAUAACAACAACACAAAUAAUAUUAGUAUUAUCAUCGUCAUUAUUAUUAUUAUUUAUUAACAUCAUUAUUAUCAUUAAAAUUUAUUAAUUUUAUUAUUUUAAUUGUUAUUAUUUAUUAUUAUUAAUUAUAUUAUUUAUUAUUAUUAAUAUGAUUAAUGUCAUUAAUUUAUUAUUAUUAUAAUUAAAAUUAUUUAUUUUAUUUUUAAUUAUUAUUAUUGUCAUUAAUUUCAUUAUUAUUAUUAUCAUUAAAAAAAAUUUACAAUACAAAAAUUAUCCAAUCAAUAAAUAAUUACUAUUGAAGGCAUUUAAUAAUGUCACGCAUACAUUGUAUAUCCAGAAUAUCUUCUUAAAUAUAAAUUACUAGUCAUCGGUAACGUAUAAAUAGAAAAACUAGAAUUAAAACCUUUUAGAAUUGUAAGUAGCUAGAUUUCAUUAAAAAAUUCAAAAAUUAAGGGUCUUCACUAAAAUUUAACCUAUAUAUCUAUGUGAAAUUUGCGUUUCGGCUCUUGGCUCCUUGGUUUGAAAAAAAAAAAAAAAUUAAAAAUGAGUAUCUGCAAAUUGAAAAAAUAGUGCAUUCACCUUUUAAAUAGAUUUUAAACAUAGUCGAUCUGUCUAAUAAUUAGUACCUGCUCUCGCUUGUAUUAAUCAUGGCUAAGUUUCCACCCAAAAAAUUCCUACUCAAACAAUAAAACCAAUAAAUUACAAAAGAAAAAAAUAAUCCGUAUUGUUUGUUGUUUGUUUUAUCGUGGCUUUGGUUCUCUGCAACGUUAUUUGAGUUCUUUGCAAGAAUUAGCUCACCACUAUGUGGAGCUUGUUUAAGAAAAAUAUUGAAGAAGAGACAGCAUAAUUAAGUUAACAGUAGAUAUAUGGCUAGGCAAACUUAAUCGAUAUUAAAAUAUUGAUACACAACAAUUUUAUUUAUUUAUUUUCCUUCUAGGCAAACAUGGUACAUGUGAACAGCUAGAUAAAGAGAAUCUCUUAUAUAUAUCAAGAGAUCUUACAAGUUAAAUUAAUUAAAACAACCUAAGACACUCAUACAAUUGACGGAUAAUAACAGUAUCCAUCCUUUUAUUUCCUUAAACAUAACAUAAGAGAGUAACACGGCAUGUACUUAACCACUAUGGUAAGGGUUUCUUCCAUUUUGCGAGACCACAAGAAGAUCAAUAUUUCCAUUAAUUUCAUCAUCAGCAAUAAGUGAAAAAAAGGGGUUAACUGGAAGCCCCUCCGACCAAUCGUUAUAACCUGAAAAAUUCAUGUUAUAAAACUUAAUCACAAAUACACAUAUUAAAAUACGAAUUAUAAAUGAUAUUUAAUUGAAAAUGCAUGGCCUAUAUAUAUACCCGGGCAAGGAGUUUCCAUAAUCUUCAAAUCAGAAAGGCAAAAGAUUUCUGUUGGCUUCGAGUGAAUUGUAUUCACAACUCAAAAGGUAAGUAGUUGUGCUCGACCGAGUUCUUAAUUCUGGUUUGAUCUGAUAUAUAUAUAGAUCAACUGGCCGACACUACAGUGAGAACGUAGCAAAUAAACAAGUGAUGCACGGUAAAAUAAUGUAUCAACGGUGGCUCUAUAUAGCUAAAUUAUUGCACGUGCGAAACAGGGUCCAAAAAAUAAAUAAUUCUAAAUAAGAAGACGAACUGACGAUCAAAGCAAUAACACUAACCAAUAAUGCAUGGUAAGGAUAACAUAUCAUAUAUAUUAACGGCUAUGUACGUUUCAAUUAAUGGAUCCACGAAAUAAAUAGUUGUACAUAAUAAAUCAAGCAAAGUAGACGAUUAUUAUUAUGGUUGUUGCAAUUUGUGUGAUCAAAUAAGAUCAAUCAACACCAAACUGCAACCCAAGAUCUUCAUAUCAAACCAAACAAGAUGCUCACAAGAUUUGAUUAGGGCUAAGUUUAAUCAACCAGAAACACAAAUGAAAAACUAAAUUGAGUAAACAAAGAAUCAAGAACAAGACGAUUUAACGUGGUUCAGCUGAUUUACAUCAGCCUACAUUCAUGGAGAAACAAUAUGAUCAGCUUUUAUUAAUUUGCAAGGAAUACAACCAAGCUUUAUAGAGCACAGUGCAGAGAUCAAGAAGUCAAUCUAACUGAUCCCAACUUCUCUCUUUCUCUCUCAAAAUACUUUCUCUUUCUCUAUAUUAGAAUCAACUGUUUUAACGGCUCUUUAAUUGAUUUCAUGAAGCCUAGAAGCUCACGCAUUGUGCACGUGAGAAUAACAACCUUUAACGACUUGGCUUAAGCACGUGAUGGGCUUGUGACUUACUAAAGCUGAAACGACAUCUCUAGAGGUCGUUUAAGAGAUUAUUGAUGACACCCAUCAAAACGCUUCUUUUUAUGUUGUUUCACUUAUACGAGUUCUUCCUUAAAAUGCAACAAUCCCAUGUCGUAUUGGUCAAUUCUGAUUUGCUUCAUCAGCUACUUCAACAAUUCUCCACCUUGAACAAAUCAGCCUGAUCAACAUUGUUCCUCUCCCUAUGUGUGUCAGCAACCACACAAGCCAACCAUGUUCAAGUGGAACUUGAGAUUGGCUGUUGAAACCACUUUUGUUAUCAUGUCAGCAAGGUUACUGUCUGUAUGGAUUUUAAUCAUUUUCACCACCCCUUUUGACACUCAAUUUCUUAUAAAAUGUAGCUUUAUAUUUAUAUGUUUCGUUUUUUCAUGAUGAGCUGGGUUCUUGCUCAGAUAGAUUGGGCUUGAACUGCCACAGAAUACUUCAACAGACUUCUGAGUUAAUCCCAGUUCUGCCAUUAGACCCUUCAACCACAAAGCUUCUUUAACUGCUUCUGCAGCAGUAGUAUACUCAGCCUCUGUUGUUGACAAGGCAACAACAUGUUGUAGACUUGCUUUCCAGUCAAUCAAGCAGCCAUUGAACAUGUACAUGUAGUUGUUAAUGAUCUCCUUCUAUCCAAAUCUCCAGCAAAGUCAGCAUCAACAAAACCACAUAUUCCUUUGCCUUUCCCAUUUGAUCUGCCAUAGACUAAUCCAUAUUCAAGUGUGCCUUUCAGGUACCUCAAUAUCCAAUUUACAACUUUCCAGUGGUCCUGUCUAAGUGAUGCCAUAUACAUGUUUACCACACUGAGAGCAUGUGAAAUAUCUAGCCUAGUCAAGACCAUUGCAUACAUCAUACAUCCUACAACAUUUGUAUAAAGGACCUUUGACAUUUCAUCCUUCUCCUUAUCUUACUUUGGACAUUGUAAGCUUGAGAGCUUAAAAUAUGCAGCAAGUGGGGUUUUCACAGACUUACAAUCUGUCAUGCCAAAAUUUCCAAGCACCUUUUCCAGAUACUUCCUUUGUGUAAGAAACAUAAUUCCUUUCUCCAUGUUCCUUAUGAUUUCCAUUCCUAGGAUUUUCUUAGCUUGACCCAAAUCCUUUAUGUCAAAUUUAGAAUUCAACAGCUGCUUCAAAGCUUCAAUUUCAGCUCUAGACUUACAAGCAACCAACAUAUCAUCUACAUAUAAUAACAAAUAUAUGUAGAUAUUUGUUUUUACCAACUUAUAGUACACACAGCAGUCAAAAUUGCAUCUCAAGUAGCCAUGUGAUAGCAUAAACUCAUCAAACCUGAGAUACCACUGCCUUGGGGACUACUUCAAACCAUACAAUGACUUUUUCAGCAAACAAACAUAGUCAGGCUUCUUAGGAUCAGUAUACCCUUCAAGUUGAGUCAUCAAAAUCUCAUCUUCUAGUCUCCCAUGCAGAAAUGCAGUCUUGACAUCCAGUUGAUCAAGCUCCGUGUCAUUCACUGCAAUUAAUGCCAAUAAAACCCUUAUUGAAGCAUGCCUGACCACAGGUGAGAAGAAUUCUUUAAAAUCCAUUCCUUUCUUCUGAGUGUAUCCCUUAGCUACUAGCCUAACUUUGAAUCUUCUAGGUUCAGCAGCUGUUAGUCCUUCCUUAAACCUGAAAAUCCAUUUGCAACCCAUUAUUUUCUUGUUUUUGGUCUUUUCAACCAGUGAUGUUAUCUCAUCAUCCAUAACUCUCUGUCAUUCAGAUUUAUAAGGGCUCUAAAUUGCUUCAAAGUAGUUCUUAGGUUCAUCUACUUCAAUAUCAUGAGAUGCAACUAGAACAUAUGCUAUUAAAUCAGCACAUCCAUACCUCUAUGGAGGUCUUGUUUGUCUCUUCUUUCUAUCUUUAGCUAACUGAUAGUUUUGUAGCUGAGUUUGCUGUUGUUGGGAUUGAGUCUGAGUUUCAGUGCAUUCUUCUUGAUCUUCACUACUGUUUCCAAAUUUUCCAUCAUCUUAAGAUGACUUGUGAAUGAUUUGCUCCACCUCAAACUGAUUACUGGUCUUUUCACCCUCUCCCUGUUGACUAUCUCCAGCAGGUUUCUUAUUUUCCAGUAUAGCUCCUUCAUUGAAUAUCACAUCUCUACUAAAGAUACAUUUUGGUAGGUUAAGAUCAGUACACCACAGUUUAUAGCCCUUAACCCCUUCAUGGUACCCAAUAAACUAUCCUUUAAGUGCUCUUGGUGCCAAUUUACCUUGUCUGAUAUGUGCAUAUGCGGGGCAACCAAAUACCCUCAAAACAUCAUAGCUUGCUGGUUUACCAUGCCAUAAUUCAAAUGGGAUUUUGUAAUCCAGAGCAACUGAAGGACUGAGGCUUACCAAGUAACAUGUUGUUAAUAAGGUUGCUGCACACAGACUCUUAGGGAGUUGUGCUUGAACCAACAUACAUCUAACUUUAUCCAUCAAAGUCCUAUUCAUUCUCUCUGCUAGCCCAUUUUGCUGAGGUGGCAUUCUCAUUGUUUUGUGCCUAGCUAUCCCUUCAUGUGCAUAGUAGCUGUCAAUUUUUUUAUUGCAAAAUUCAAGACCAUUAUCAGUCCUGAGUUUCUUCACCUUCCUCCCAAUCUGAUUCUCAACCAAUGACUUCCAUUCUUUGAAUUUUUCAAACACCUUAUCCUUGUGCUUCAAAACAUAAACCCAAACUCUCCUUGAGAAAUCAUCAAUUAUUGACAGAAAGUAACUAUUACCACCUAGUGAAACUGUUUGAGCUGAACCCCACAGGUCUGAGUGUAUGUAGUCUAAUAUUCAACAGGUGGUGUGAGUUGAGCUUUUGAAACUGCUCCUAGUUGUUUUUGCUAGUACACAGUCUUCACAAAAAUCUAGCUCAGUGAUCUUCUCAUCUCUCAGUACCCUUUUGUUUCUGUAGUUCCAUUAGACCCUUCACACUCAUAUACCCAAGUCUCAAAUGCCAAAGUUUGGUCUUGUCUUUUUCAGACCCAGUAGAGACACUAGACAAUCCUAUAAUAGCUUCCCCAUACAAGACAUGGAAAGAUUCAAGCUUAAUACUAAAGCCAAUUUGAUCAACCAUUCCAAGAGAAAUCAGAUUCCUCUUAAGGUCAGGGACAUGCCUAACUUCUCUAAAUUCUUAGAUUUCCCUAUUUUGCAAUUUAAGAUUCACAUCCCUCAUACCUAUGAUUCUACAAACUGCAUUGUUUCCCAUCAUUACCUUCCCUCCAUCAAUUUCUUGAUAAUCUGAAAAAUAAUUCUUGUAUGAACACAUAUGAAAGGUACAUCCAGAGUCAAGAAUCCAUUUACCUCUCUGCAUGUUCUCAGUUGCCAACAAACUCCAGCUAAUUCAUAUUCUUCUUCUUCAACCGUUGCUGCAUCACCAUGUUGACUCUUCUUUUUAUUCUUUUUGUUAGGACAAUCUCUUUUGAAAUGCCCUUCUUUAUGGCAUUCGAAACACCUCAAAUUCUGAGACUUUGCCUUAUUCUUAUCUUGCUUCUAUUUCUUCUUUCCAUUACCCUUGCUAGCUUUACUUGUUGCUAUGAAACCUUCACCAUUUUCAUACCCCCAGACUUUUGCUGUAACCCCCUUGUAUUUAGGGUUGCCUUAACUUCAUCUAAAGACAAAGUCUGUCUACCAUACAUGAGGGCAUCAACAAAAUUAGAGUAUGAUUGCGGCAGUGAACUUACUAGAAGUAGGGCCUUACCUUCAUCAUCUAACCCUUCAUCUAUAGUAUUCAAAGUAUCACAAACUUUAUUGAAUUCAUCGUUGUGAUUAUCAAGAGAGGAUCCCUCAGCCAUUUUGAGGGUAAACAUCCUCUUCUUGAUAUAAUCUGUUUGCUAGAGACUUCGUCAUGUAUAGUUUUUCAAGCUUUGCCCAAAGCUCUGCAACUGUCUUCUCCUUGGCAACCUCCCUUAUUACAGAGUCACCAAGACUCAAGAUGAUGAUGCUUCUGGCUUUCUUGUCAACCUCAGCAGCCUGCUCAGGUGUUCUUGAUGAUGAAGUUUCUUUUCCUUCUUUUUUGGUAACAGGUUCAAUUGCAUUUCCUAGCCCUUGUGUGAUCAGCAAAGCCUCCAUUUUCACCUUCCACAUAUUAAAGUCAUUCUUCCCAUUAAACUUCUCCAAAUCAAUCUUCGUCAUUGCCAUACUUGGAUCUGAUUCUCAAGACCAAGCUUUGAUACCAAUUGUUGCAAUUUGUGUGAUCAAAUAAGAUCAAUCAACACCAAACUGCAGCCCAAGAUCUUCAGAUCAAACCAAACAAGAUGCUCAAAAGAUUUGAUUAGGGCUAAGUUUAAUCAACCAGAAACACAUAUAAAAAACUAAAUUGAGUAAACAAAGAAUCAAGAACAAAAUGAUUUAACGUGGUUCAGCUGAUUUACAUCAGCCUACAUCCACAAAGAAACAAUAUGAUCAUCUUUUAUUAAUUUGCAAGGAAUACAACCAAGCUUUACAGAGCACAGUGCAUAGAUCAAGAAGUCAAUCUAACUAAUCCCAACUUCUCUCCUUCUCUCUCAGAAUACUCUCUCUUUCGCUAUAUCAGAAUCAGCUGUUUUAACAACUCUUUAACUAAUUUCAUGAAACCCAGAAGCUCAUGCCUUGUGCACAUGAGAAUAACAACCUUUAACGACUUGGCUUAAGCACGUGAUGGGCUUGUGACUUACUAAAGCUGAAACGGCAUCUCUAGAGGUCGUUUAAGAGAGUAUUGAUGACACCGAUUAAAACGCUUCUUUCUAUAUCGUUUCACUUAUACAAGUUCUUCCUCGAAACGCAACAAUCCCAUGUCGUAUUGGUCAGUUCUAGUUUGCUUCAUCAGCUACUUCAACAAUGGUCUUCUUAUUUCUUUCAUGGACCCAUUGAUUUCUACUUCCACAUUCGUUUAUUUCCACAUGCAGUUGAAACAUUUUUAGCCAUUAAUCUCACAAUUAUCAAACUUCAACCUUCUUUUUGCUGGUUUGAUAUAUAUAUGUAAAGAUCAAGUAGCCGAGAAAACAGAUAACGUAUGCAUGGGUCCACAAAAUAAGUAGGCAAGAUCAUGUCGGAGCAUGGAUGGGUCCACAAAACAUAUAAUUUUUUUGACACGUCUAAAGUAAUGCCAUAAACUUCAUGAAAAAGAAGGAAAAAUAGAAAAAAAAAAAAGUAGGUUCUACUUUUUGUUUCAUUUUCUUAGCUUUCCUUGAUGGGAUGGGAGUGGAGCCUCAUUUUUUGACACACAAAGUCUAUACAAUCUUAACUUUCUAUCUCUAAUACAAUCAAAUGAUUGAGCUUAAAAUGUCGAUUCGUCAUUUUUAUUAUGUAUUAAUAGCAAAACUAAAUAAUUAAUGGACCCUAUAUUAUAUUAGUAAUUAUUUUUUUAAUAUUAAUAGCAAAAAUUGAGGAACAGGCCUGGAAGUAGCCAUUAUGGUUGGAUGGACGCAAGACUCGUAUGAACACAAUCGGCAAAGUUGUUAACAUGCUCAAUUUUAGGGGAGUAUAUUGAAGAGAUGAGACUUUUAAAUGAAGCACACCAUUGAGGACAAUAAUAUUUUUAAUGGGGAAAGAAUGUUAAUUACGAUCCCAAAUUUAUAUUUUUAUUUAUUUUAAAUUGUAUUUAUCCUAUUGGUUGUGAUUAACUCAUACUUGGACUCAGUAAAUUAGUAGUCAGUUACUUAACUAAUUAUUUCUGUUAGUUCGGGAUUGUGGUUCAUAUUCUUUAAUUUUAAGUUUUUAUCCAUGAGUUAACAUUUGAACUAGUAUCAAUGUCAGUAAUAGGAGGCGCAAACAUUAUUUAGCAAUUAUAUUGAGAGGUGUUUGGUCCUCCGAAGCACCAACAACAUGUUUAUGAAGGUUUGAGUUUUCUCCAAUUAACCUGUUUGUCACUGAUUCUUUUAAUUUUGUUUGAUUUUCUGUUGCAGAAAAGUUAUGUCUCUAACACAAUUAAUGACAUUAUUUUGUCAUGAUACACACACACACACACACACACACACACACACACAUAUAUAUAUAUAUAUAGAGAGAGAGAGAGAGAGAGAGAGAGAGAGAGAGAGAGAAAUGUUCCAGUCCGUAAUUUUAAAGUGCGAGAAAGUACAGUAAAGUUUUAAAACUGCAUGGUUUUAAAGGCUUAAAACUGUAAGCCUUUAAAGCCGUGCGGUUUUAAAGCUUUCACGAACUUUCCCGCACUUUAAAAUCCCUGACCGAAAAACUACUAAUAUAUAUAUAUAUAGUAGUUUUCUGGUCCACACUGUAAGUGUAACACCUCAGUCUAAAAUCCAAGGGCAAAUAUGUCCACAACUCACAUAUGAUUUAAAUAACUCUUUACAAACAAUAAAAUUCGAGUCUCAAAUACAAAAGCCAGCGGAAUAACUUAAAAAUUUAGCCAAACCAUCUACCAUCUUCAACUUGUCACUCAUCACGAAUCAAUCCUGACUUCUGGAAACUAAAUCACAAUAAACUAUAAUGAGUACAAAACCCAGUAAGCAAACUAGUUUUUGUUAUACGGAAAAUACAUACAUACUUAUACAUAAUGCAAUGGAUUAUAUGCCAUGAUCUUUUGGAAAUACUGUAAAAUAAAUUCAUAAAAAUCUCUUUAUGUCGCUUUCAAACUUUCUCAUUUUCUUUCGAUGAAAUACGUAUCCUGCAAUGUGGCACUUUGUGCUGUGCGUGGCACUUUGCGGCGCUCUGGCCCUCAAGAGGUGGCCCCCGCAUAGUCCCAAGAGGUGGCCCCCACACAACUUCAAGAGGUGGCCCCCAAUGCAAAAUCUCAUAAAACAGAAAUUCCGUUUGCUAAAAUCCACUUUCUCAUUCAUAGAAAACUCAAUGCAUUUUCGUGCUCAUGCCAAUGAACCAUCACACAUACAUAUGCCCAUGUACAUAAUCACGUUCAACACAUGCCAACACAUCACAUAAACACAUGGGCAAAGACAUUUAAAUCCAUAUCCGUAUAUAUAUCAAAAUAGGCUUUUCACACAAGUCAAACAUAUAUAUUGUUUAGUGUGAUUCGUUUUAAAGUCUAGUUUACUUACCUCUUGGCACACUACCUUAUGAAAUCUAUAAAUUUUAAAAGGAUAAGGAGAUAACUACCAAGUUUUUUUAUUGAAUCAGCCUGGUUUUCAAUGAUUUCCUUCAUAAAUCUCAUGACAUAAUAUCCACAUUCAGUAUUUGUAGUUUGUUGAGGACACUACACAUAAAUUUUGAACUAAUUAAUGUCAUUUACAUAUGUAAAUAAAUUUAAAUUGAACAUAUAUAUGUUCAAUUUCAUAUACCUUAACCCUUUUCCAAACAAAGGAUUUCCGAUUCGCAUUUCCCAUUUUUGCUACAAAAAUCUUGAAAGCACUUAAGAUACAUAAUUAAAUACACAUUUAGUCAAGCAUGUUUUAAUAAAUGCAUUAUAAUUGACAAAAAAUGACAAUAACUUAUAGUGAUACAAAGUUCUUCAAAUCAGGGCGAGGUUCAUGACCGAGCGAAUCAAAAAAAUAUACUAUAAAUUUGUGCGGAUCCACAACAAUCAACAUCCAAUGUUUGCUAUAUAUAAUGAUAAAUAUCAGCCUUGCAUAUUUUUGUAAAAGAAAAAGAGAAUAAACUCCAAAUGCUAUAUACAAUUAAUAAAAUAACAAACCUGAUAUUGUAAGGAAACAUCAGAAGCUGUUGUGGAUCAAGUAUUUCCAUUCUUGAUACCAUUGCACGAGCUCUAGUCUCAUCAUUAUUUCCGGUUUCAUCACAAAAGAUUGAAGGAUUACCAAAUUUGCAAAUAUGUUCCUAGGGACGAUCCUUCAAGACUUCGUAAAGAUGCCUACAAAAAACAAGUAAUAAUUACUUCACUGCAUAAAUUAAAAUUAUAACUAAUUAUUUUGCCAAGAAAAUAAGUAAUUUAAUUAAAUUACUUCAUGUAACAAAUUAUUGUUGCGACCCCAAUCUUUUCCAUGCUACAAAAUUGUACAAUGUCAUCAACUGAUAAAUAUAAUUCAGCUUGUUCAUUGUUGAAGAUCCCUGGAUAAAUUUCAAUAAAUAAUGCUUUAGUCAACACUCGGCAAGCGUACUUGCAAAGAGCAUCUAUUCUUGCUAGCACUUUGUAUUCCUGCAUAUUCUCAAUAGAUUUAUUUAUGUAACUACAAAUAUGUAUGAGAUAUCUACAAGCGAAAACAAAAAUUAAUUAACCACAACACAAAAAAGAAUAAGACAUUAUAGGCGUCAAUGAUAUGCUCAGUUAAAUGCUAAAUUUAUACAUGAGUGCAACAUAUAAUGGAAAUACUUGAUCCACAGUUAAAUGCUAAAUUAUAAACAUCUGAAUAUUUUAAAUGCUAAAUUAAAUGCUAAAUUAUAAACAUCUGAAUUUUUUAAAAAUAUGUAUCAGUUUUUGAAACUAACAUUAUUUCUCUCAUUCAUAUUUGUUCAUAUAUUCGAUUCAAGAUGUUUUAUUAAUUAAUUAUUAAAUUGUAUACUUUAUGUCUUUAUUUCUAUAUUACUUGUAUUAAAAAUAAAUAAGUUAAAAUAAUAAUUUUUAUAAUUAUAUACUCUAUUAAAUUAUAAUCUCUUUAUAGUAAUAAAAUUAUUUUGAUUCUAAUAAUAUGAUUAUAAUUAUAGGUAGAUUUUACAAUAUUCUAUAUGAUGCUAAAGGAAAGAGGAUGAAAUGAUUAAUUAAUAUUGUAAUAUCACAUAAUAUUAUAUAAAUGCUUAUUCUAUUAAUUCUCCGUUAGUUUUUAUUUUUUUAUUAGUUUUUUUAAUAAGAAAGUAUGUGUGUAUAUAAAUUAAUUUUAAGUUAUUUGAAGAAUUUGAAAUAUUUAUAAUUUUGCAACAAAUCCCACAUGGCGCUUGUCGUUCUUGGUUUCCCAAUUUCGUAAAAGAUAAGAUGAAAGAAAAGAGAAGGGGAAAAGAAAAGAAAGAUAAUCCAAUUAAAAGAAGGAGGAGAGGUCAAGUUGACGAUUAUGAAGGAAAAGAAUAGAAGUCGUGAGGUUCUGAGAUUGAUAACUGAUUAAAUUUCAAAGGAGCAUGACAUGAUUCGACCAAAUUUGUAACUUCCCUAAAAUAUAAAUCCCCAGAAAAUUUUUUACUGUUCAUCCAUAUUUUCAACAUUUGCUAUUCAAAUAGAGUAAAUUAGACAAAGAAAAGAAAAGAAAAAACAGCACAUGUAGGCCACCCACAAUCAAACAAUCUAUCAUUUUCUUUCUCAAACAUGAUUAAACAAAAGGAAAGAAAGUACCUUAUGUGGGGACCGAAACUUUUAAAAUCCAAUAUACAAGGUAGCCGAAUGCUUCAACAAUUUCUUUGAUAGUGAUGUGGUCCCAAGCUUUACAAUCUUCUUGCCAACAUGUGUGGUCCAGAGCUUCCAGAUUUCUUCCCAAUUUGUCUUCACUUCCACUAUGUGUGAACAGUUAGGGUUUACGAUUUUGGGUCUAUAUAAAUAAUGGGUGAAAUUAAGAGUUUGGAACUUGGAAAUAGAAGAUAGGAAGAUGUUUUGUAUGGGCAAAGGGGAAUUUUACAGAGAAAGAAAGUCAUAGAAGAAUGGAGGCUGAAACAAAGAGACAAUGAUAUUUUGCGGUAGACAAAGAAAAUAAAGAGGGAAAGUGGCAUUUUUAUACUACAAACUAAAUGACACAUUUUAAAAAGAAGAGUCACCUUUUAAUUAAUUAAAGAUGACUUCUUAUUUAGUGGUGAGUCAUUUUUAUGUCAUAAAUAAAAACAAUUUUAUAAUAUAUGACUUCCAAAAGUAAAUAAAAGUCAUCUAAACUAAUAGAUGACAAUUAAUAGUAUGUUUGUCAUGUAUUACAUGUCAUCUUUGUCCUGUUUUGUAGUAGUGGCAUCCUCAUGUAACAAAUGCGUACUGAUACCAUCAACCUAAAAUCAUCAAUAACGCCUCAUAAGAUAUAAUCAAAUCUCAAUCAUAAACUCUAAUGUCCUCAAAUAUAUCAAUUUAAACAACUCCGAAGCUCAACCUCAAAUGUCCUCAAUAAUCGGCCCUCAAAACAUAACAGUCCAUACUUCUCCGAUUUUUAAUAAAUUAUUCUCUUAUUGGAAGAAUCUCAAAUUUUACAGACCAUAUGCUGACACAUUGAAAGUUCAUUGAUAAAAAUUUCAUAACAUAAUUCCUUCAAAAACGAUUGAAAAUAAUUCACGUUUCAGAUAUCAUCAAUACUGUCAAACAGUUUUCUGAUUUGAACACAAUUACUUUAAAAAUACAAAACAAUUUACUGCUUUAUCAUAAAAUCAUGAAACUUUCCAGAAUCAUACUAGACAUAUAUAAAAAUCAUUGGUCCAAAUUUCAUAAUUUUUGAAGAAUUCUAGCUAUGGUAAAAAUAAUUUCGUCAUUCACGUUAUUCACUGAAAUCAUAAAUUUCCAGGUUUUCAGACUUGAAUUUGAAAAAUCAUAAUUAAUUGAAAUCUUAUCUGAUUAACUUGAAACAAGUUUCAAACCAUUCUAGACGAUGUCUAGUUUAACAUACCCAAAAAUCAGAAUCAAAAUCGAUUUGUAAAAAUUACUAUGAUUUUCGUAAUAAUUCACUGUCAGCAUAUUUCUGCAAAAUCUUAGAUUUCUACUUCUAUUGCAAUCAUGCUUCUCCACAACAAUUUCAUAGAAAACAAUAAUUAAAACGUACCUCCAAAACUUCUCCCAACAAUAACAACUUGAUCCAAUGUGUUGUCUAUGGCAAAACUAAGAAGAAGACUUUCUUCUUCUCUUUUUUCUUUUCUUUUCUCUCUUAUAAUGAAAAAGACAUCUUGUUCUAUUUAUACUAGGUUAAAAAGGAUUACUAAAAAUUAAAAAGACUUAAAUACCCUUAGGAGAUUUGGGGUAUUACAGUAAGUCUUUAAAAUCGUGUAGUUUUAAAGAUUUUGAGGACUUUUCCACGCUUUAAAAUUUUGGACUGGAACAUUUCUACAUAUCUUAAUAACUUUAUCAAUGUAAAGCUAGUAAUGUUUUUACUUAUUUAUAACGGCAAAUUUGAAAAAGAAAAAAUUUGCAUCAGCAAUCACCCUUAAUUACAAUAGAAAAUAUAACUAAAUCUCAUAGAUUUUUACGCUCUUUGAAAAUCAUCAUUCUAAAAUCUAAAUCAAACCUUAUCCGUGGACAAAAAAAUCUUAUUCAAACAAUAGAACCAAUAAAUUAUAGAAUUACAAAGGGAAAAAAAAAGUAACUCUCAUUGUUUGUUGUUGUUUUGGGUCCCUUUUUCUUAUUUUUGGUUCUUUGCAAUGUUAUUUGAGGUCUUAGAAGUUAGAAUGCUGCGAGACAAAUGAGUUUUGAGGGGAGAAUAAGAUAAGAGAGAACAAGAAGAAAUUAAAAAAACGAAAGAAAGAGAGAAAAAUAAUUAAUUUUAUUAAAAACAAAAGGGUAAACGCUUGUUUAGUCCCUAUAUUAUGAGGUUAGUGCCCAUUUAGUCCUUAUAUUUUUAAAAACACCUCAAAACGUCCCUGCUGCUAAAUAUUGACACUCAUGCCAUUAUUUUUUAUUCUUUUUAACUUGCUUUUACAAUAUUACACUCUUAUAAUAAUUUUUCUUUAUAUUAAUAAAAAAUUAGAUUAUCAAAUUAAACUCAAAAAUAAAAUAAAAACAAAAAAGGUAUAUAGUAAUUUUUGUGGAAGCUCACGUAUGUCUAAAAAAUUAAUAUUGUAAAAAAUUACAUUAUCAAUUUUUUUAGAAAAAUUAAUAUUUUUAACUCGAGAGUGUUCCACAAAAUUUUUUUUUAUUUUUUGGUGUUAAACUGGUAGUUUUUUUCUUUUUAAUAAUGUCUAAAAAAAUUAUUAUAAUAAGGUAAUAUUGUAAAAAUAAGUUAAAAGGAACAAAAGAUAAUGGCAAGAGUGUCAAUAAUUUAAUGGUAGGGAUGGUUUGAGGUAUUUUUAAAAAUAUAGGGACUAAACGGACACUAACUUCAAAAUAUAGGGACUAAACGAGCUUUUACCCAAAACAAAAAUAUAGCCUCAAUUUUAGCCAUUGAAAUGAUCUAAUGACUAAAAAACUGGUAUUAAUUUAAAAUUACAAUAAUGUUAUAUCUACUUAGUUGGGAUAUUUAUUUUGUAUUCAUAUUGAUGUGGCAAAUGAUGUAUCACUAUCUAAUUAAUUCAAGUAAUAAAUAAUUAUUAAACUUUAUCCUUUUUAAUUCAAAUAGUAAAUUUUUAUUGAUGACAGGUCAUUGGGAGUACAAACGAAAUAUUCCAAUUUAGUAAAUAUAACAUUCACUCUUCAAAUUAUUUUCCUUGAACAAAGUCUCAUGGUAAAUUUACUAUUUACUAAAUGUGUUAAUUGUCACGGUAUGCAGUUGAGAUUGAGCUUAGUUCUUAUUGCUGGUUUGAUAUGAUAAAUAUGGAUCAAGUUACCGCCACUACAGUGCCAACGUUGCCCAAAAAAAAAUUCUGUGGGGUACACUAUAGAUAAUGGAUCAACGGUUCAAGUUCAAUCCAACAAGCAACUCUAUAUAAUUAAGGGUGCGUUUGAGAUUAAGUUUGGGCAACAGUAGCUUACAAACUACAGUAUUAAAGUAUUUGAUAAACACUAGCUGCUGUAAGUUAGAAGUUAUGUUGAUAUAAUUUUUCACUUGUAUAAUAAAAAAUCUAUUAUAUCUUUAAGAAUUUUGUCAAUAUUAUUAUUUAAAAUUUAUAUUUACUACAUAUUAUUAAUUUUUGUUUCAUAAUUACAGUUUUUUUUCCACAGCAGCUGUAGUUUAAAAGUUACAUCACCUCAAUACCAAAUAGAACCUAAAUUAUUGCACAUGCCAAAACAAAAUAAAUAAUUGUAAAUAAGAAAGUCUAACAAAUUAAAGUAAUAAAUACAAUUACUAAACAAUUAAUAGUGCUUCGUAUAGAUAACAGAUCUACGGCUGAAGUUUGAUUAAUUGUAAGAUUAACGGCGUAAAUAAGAAGACAAGCAGUCUUUUCUUUCAAUAUCAUUGGGUAAAAUAAAUUUGUAUUGUAAUUGUAUGGCAUCUACUUUAUUACUAGGACCCGAACCCAAGAACUCAUCUCCAACUAUAUAUAUUUUUUCUUUCAAUUUUUUGCACCAUUCAUAGAAAAAAUAAAUUUAACACAAAAGAAUUACUUAAAUGUUCAUUCAUUCGAUCUAAUGGUGCACGUUUUUAGUGAAAAAGCCACAAUAAGUCAUCGUUAUUCUUCUACUAUUGAAAUGAAUAUAUCAAAUGGAUGAAAAUUAAAUUAAAAGAUUGAAAUGACUAUGUGGAAGAAAAUUGAUGUAAAAUGUUGAAGUUAAGAAGCCCUCCGAAUUAUAGAAGAAACGAAAUAUAUUGACACACAACAGUUUAUUUAUUAAUUAAGAGAGACAAAAUAUAUAAAUACAAACAAAGAAAAUCUCUUGCAUAUAUCAAGAUAUUUUACUAGUUAAGUUAAAAUAAAUUUACGCUCACGUAAUUGACAAGUAAUAACAAUACUCAUUUUUUUAUUUCAUAAAACAUAGUAUGAAAGAGAAAACUUCAUGCAUUUAACCAGUAUAAUUAGGAUUUCUCCCAUAUUGAGAGACUAUUAAAAGAUCAAGAUUGUCAUCUUUUAUGUCCUCGUCACUACAAUACUAAACACACGAUGAUACCUCCAACCCUCCAACCCAUCGAUCCUACCUGAAAAAAUUAUAAUUAAUAGGAAACUUAUUCACAAAUGCAUAUAUUUAGAAAAGAAUUACAAAUGAACGAACUUAGCCUAAAAAUUAACCUAAGGAGUUUCCAUAUAUUCUUCAAAUUAGAAAGAGAAGGUUCUCUGCUAGCUUCUUGUGAACCGUAAUCAAAAGUAAGUAGUAGAGCUUGAGCGAGUUGUUAUUUCUGCCGGUUUCAUAUGAUAUAUAUGGAGAGAGAGAGAGAGAGAGAGAGAUCACGUGGCCAACAAUGCCAUGGCAUUGAUUACGAAUCAACGGCACGGAUCAACGGCUGAAGUUUUAUUAUCCAUAAAAUUGCCAAGAUUAAGGGCUAGGGUUAAAAGAUUGCGAUAAGUCCGAAAUAUGUACGGGCAGGUCCACAAUAAUAUCAAUAACUGCAAAAGAAGACAAACAAAGUAAAUAGACAACAGAUCUGAACCGAACCGAACCAAACCAAACCGUAUUAUGGCAAUUUGGUCUGAAGUAAAAAAAUCAAAUGGUUUAGAAAUUUUGAACCAUUUGGUUUUUUAUUUGGUUCGGUUCAAAACCGAACCAAAUUACCAAACUAAAUGGUUCAAGAAAAAAUUAAAAUUAAAAUUAAAAAAUAGUUCAGAAAUUAUUUUUUUAAUUUCUAUUUGUUAGUUAAUACAUGAUAUUAUAUAUGUCAUAGCAUACACUUUAUUUUAUUGUUGAAUUUUAUUAUUUUAAUUUAUUAUUGUUAGAUUUUAUUAUGUUGUUUAUUGUUUGCUAAUUUAUAGACUUAAGAUUAUUGUUGUAUUAUAAUGUAUUAUUAUAUUAUUUUUUAUUGAAUAAUGAAUAUAUAAGAUAAAAUCAAACCAAACCGAAUCGAACCGUUCGGUUCGGUUCUAUAAUUUGGUUCGCAUUUAGUUCAUAAAUUCAUGAACCAUUUGGUUUCAGUUUGGUUCGGUUUUAGAACUUAACCGAACCAAACUAAAUAGUACCCACCCCUAUCUGAAACAUAUGGUCUGAUCUGGUCCACAAUGCUACCAGUAACUGCAAAAGAAGACGGACAAAGUCAUUAAACAUUAUUAUUAACUCGCCAAACAAAAGCGAAGCAAUUGUGCAUGGUACAGACAGCAGAUCGACGAAUGUGAAACAUAUGGUCUGAUCUAGUCCACAACUGCAAACAAAGAAAUUAUAUACCAUUUUUGACUUGCGAACAAAAGCGAAGCAAUAAUGCAUGGUAUAGACAUAAGCCAUUUUUACUUUAUUGCAAAUGUGAACAGAUGGCCUGAUGCGGUCCACAAAAUAUAUAAUUGUCAAAAAGAAGACGAACAAAGCAAUUGAUCAUAAGCCAUUUUUACUUUAUUGCAACAAAGCAUGAUUCACGCUUAUUGCAAUCACUAAACAAAGAGAGAUUCUAGAGUACAUAGAAUUAUUACGCUUGAUUAAUAUAUGUAUAUAUAUAUAUAUAUAUAUAUAUAUAUAUAUAUAUAUAUAAUUUCCCUGUCUAAUUCCGGGAAACUAAUUACUUUUUUAGGCCUAUGAAGUCAUUUCAAUAUUUUAAUUUUUUAAUCAUUUAUUUACUAUUUACAUAUUAAUAUUUUAAUUGUUAAUUUUUUACAUUUCCAAUUACUUAACAUAUAUCAAUUAUUUUUGUUGCCUUUACAAAGUUGUUACAAGAAUAUUAUGUUACAGUGGGGAUACUUUCAUACUUUCAUGAGUUAACGGCGGUCAAUGGUUAAAGAUAACGAGUUUUGGGGUAGAUUGAUGUUUUCAAUAGUAAGAGGGGGAAAUUUAAAGAUUGUCAAUUCCCUAAGGGUAAUUAGAAAUUAACCCAUAUAUAUAAUAGGUACAUUUGAUAUGAAACGUAUAAUUUAAUUAAAUAUAUCUAUUAAUUACAUUUUAAUUUUUUAAAAUAAAUAUACACAUAAUAUAUAUGUAUUAAUUUAUAUAUAAAUAUAUAAAGAAAAUUAUUAUGUAGCACAAAUUCCCGCCCUAUUAAAGAUCUCAUGAUAUCCAAAAAAUAAUUAUAUAUUUAUAGCAAAGUGUUGGUAUAUUUUGAAGGAACGAGUUCGGUACGGAAAUAUAAUAGUAUGUGUUUUUAAUGACGUUUAUAAAGUCAUUAAAUGUCAAAAGGAAUGAAUUUAGUGAUCAAUUAAUAAUUAGAUAGGUAAACAUGAAAUCUCUCGGUCUAUUAAUGUAGUAUAUUUUCUCCCUCAGCUAUUAUCAUUAAAUUAAUUUGUAAAUCUCGUUUCCGGCUACUCCUUCCAAAUAUACAUGAGUAGUGAUAUUUGGCCUUUUUAUUAUAACUCACAAUCUCCUAUUUUUUUGUUAACCCCAUUAAAUAUUUUAAAUAAAUCUUUAUCUCUCAACAUAUCACACAUAAUUAUGGAUUUACCUUUAUUACAAUUUCUAUCUUUUUUCCAAGCACUCACUAUAUAAAAUUUAUAAAAUCUAUUUUAAAAAGAGAAAAAAGCUCUCAUAAUCACUAUAAUCUCUCUUUUUUAAAAAAAAAAAAUUAUUCGUUGUUCUCAUAAUCAUUAAAAAGAAAAAGGCACCAUCCUUUAUUGAAUAUUGAGUAUUGUAAAUUAAUUUCUUUCACGAUUACAAAAGAAGAGUAUAUAAUAUUUGAGAAGAAAUAAUAAUUUAAAAAGUUUAAAAAAUUAGAGUUUAAGAAAUUAGAUUAGCUAAAUUAGAUAUUAAUAGAAAUUGUCAUAUGAGUGCAUUUAAAAGUUAUUUACCCUUUUAAAUCAUUUCAUAUAAUAAUAAAAUAUGUACUAACAUAAAAGUGAUUAGUGGGGACUGAUGAGAUAUAAUGAGGGGGUCAAAUAUCAAAUUCUACAUAUAUUUAAUAGCUAAUAUAAUUGUUUAAAUAGGAUUGUAAUUAAACUCAUUAAUUAACUACCUUUAAUUUUUCAGUAGGCGAUAUUUUUGAAACGUGAUGAUCAUGUGUGAAUAUUAUUCGAAAGUAAUGAUGUUACACUACUGAUGCUCAUUUAUUAACUGUUGUCUUACCUCUUAAUUAAUUUUUUGCAUUUGCACUUGGAAUUAAUCAUUUGGCUGUGAUAGUAAUGCUACAGCCAGCGGAAUUUGAGCCUCCCUUCUUCAAUGCCUGCUACGAGAAUGAAGCUAACAAUCGGGAUGGACAGAACAUUCUUUAGACAUAGAGUUCAAAUUAAGAUAAGGGGGGUCAAGAUUUUUUGUUAAAUUUUAUAAGAUAUGAUGAUGGUUGCUUGUAAUAUGUUGUAAUGGGCAAACUAUGGAAGCAUAACAUCUGCAAAGACUUGCUUCGUCUUUAAUGGACAACUAGCAAGUAAAAACCUUGUUUGAUAUGCUGCUUUUAGAAACCAAUUUGCAAUCCAAUUCAAUAUUACUAUUCAUUUUUCAGGUACAUACAAGUUGGGAAUGCUGUAGCAAUUCCAGUUGGUAAUGGUAUUGCAUUGGGAUACGCUUUUGGUCAAGCUUGCCAAGGAUUAGCCGAUGAUGAUCAGCCAUUGACUAUACUCCCUUUCAAGUUUCCCAAUUGUCUUGCGCAGUCUCUUCAACACUUGCAGAAGAAGAUUCUGAUUGAAAUUGUAAGGAAAACAUAAAUAUGAUUCAUCAAAUUAUACUCUUGUUAGUUGCGAGUUAUUACCAAUUUGAUUUUUAAUUUGCUAUUGAUGUACGGACAAGCAUAUUCAAUGUAUUAUUUGUUAUUGAAGAUGUUUCGAGGCAGGAAUUAGAAUAUGUUACAUCUUUUAGUUAGUGUUUUAGACAUAUAUACUUUAUACUUUUUCAGUUUGUAAUCACAUGUAUCAAAUAAAAGGUUUAGUUUUAGGGUUAAUUUUGGUAUCAAUCAUAAAUGUCUAUAUCAUUAUUGAAAGGGUGUUAAAUUAAAUGCCAAAAGGAUGAAUUUUUUUCCCUUGAGUAUGAGGGAUGUUUAUGAAAGUGACACCAUCAUAUGGCAUGGUGUCAUACUAUUAACAUAUUAUUUGAAUAUUAUUCACCAAAUAUCACAUAAUCAUGCCUUUUAUACAAGUGUAUAUAUGUAGAUGUAGUACAUACUCUUAUAUGUAGCCAUGAGAUCGAAUCCUGUCUUAGUAAAUGAAAAGUUACUUCUUGUAAUCUUAUACUACGUUCUUUGAUAAAGACUUUCGCUUUUUGCUUUGAAAUGGCAACUUCAUAAUGAAGUAAAGACUUUCGCUUUUCAUUCUUUAGUGGCAUUCUCGGAUGAAUUGACACAUUUUGUGACCCAUGCUUAAACCAUGUGGUGCUUUUUAUCAUCAUUAUUCCCAUUUCAAUUCUGCUUUUGGCUUUUAGGAAUUAAGGGUAUGCAACUUGCGAGCUUCUUUUGUCACCAACCCAAAAGGCCAAAACCAAUUAAAGAGGGCAACUCUCCUUCUUGUUCUAUCAUUCAUGUUUCAUUCUCUAGAUUGCCGUGCUCUUUGGUUUAUGAAAACGACAAAAUAUAGAACAUUAAUUAAUUUGAUAUGAUUUCAAAGCAUAAUGAGGAUGCAAUACGACAAAAUAUAAAACAUUUAUUAAUUUGAUUAAAUUCCAAAGGAUAAUGAGAAUGAGGGAACAAUGUAUUGGAAAAUUGCACUAGAAUUGGAUGUGGAUAAAAAUAAAAUGCGUUUUUUUUGGGGUUUUAAUUCAAAAGAGAGAAAUAUAAGUUGUAUUUUACUAAUUAAUCGAAAAAGAAAAGUUUAAAAAGUAUUUAUUCGUCAAUGGAAAAAAAAUUAUGAAAAGAUUUAAAACAAAUUUCACCAGUAUUUUCUCAAACCAAGAAUGGUUACUACGAACAUUAAGCAACAAACAGACAAUUUCCAAUUUAAUUAUUAGUUUUAUAUUUAUAUAUAUAUAAGUUCGUUUUGAUUUUUUAAUGAAUUAUAUAAGUGGGCCACUUGUCUAAAGUCAGACAGUCAACAACCACCGACAUUGUUAUAUAAAACUUCCGUUUUAAAAAUUUUAACACCUAAUGUGAAAAUAUCCUCAAGGGGCCCUAGACUUUAUAAAAUAUAAUAUUAAAUCUAGUGCUAAAAAAUACUACAACUUGGUGGCGUUUAUUUUUUAACUUAAUGACUUAAAGUAACUUAACUUAAUUAAUUAAGUUAAUUAGAGGUGUUUGUUUUUAUAACUUAAUGAGACUUUUUAGAUAAUUUUGACUUAAUAAAAUAAGCUAAUUUUUUUGGCUUUUUACUUAAUGGAGAAAUCUGAAUUAAGUCAAUUACUUGCUAAUGUCAAAAAUAUCCCUGUUUUAUAAUUUAUUUUUCAUGUCUAUCCCAAAACUCACCCAUAGAUAUUUACCCACAUAAAAAAUCUCUAUUUUUUCUUUCUUAUAUUAUAUACGAUAAAAUUUGAAAUUUAUGGUAUUUUAUAUAUUAAAAUUCCAAAAUAAUUAUGUAUUCACUUGAAUAUAGUUUUACUUAUAAAUAUUAAAAUAUUGUGGUAUUUAAUAUAUUAUUUAUUUGACAUUCAAAUUUAAUAAGGAUACAAAUGUAAAAGUACAUAUUUUCAGCUUUUUAAGUUGAAAAAAACAAACAACUUAAUACUUAUUUUCUGAGAUUCAGACGAAAAAAUAAACAUAUUAUUCAAAUUCAGACACUCAGACCUAUUCAGAAUUCAGACUAAUUCAGGUCUAUUCAGAUUUCAGACAAAAAAACAAACGUCACCUUAGAUUUACCUUAUAUUCUUGUUGUUAGAAGUCGAUAAAAAAUCUAUUCGUACUUUUUGCCAGGUAGUUUGGAUUCAUAAUAAAAACACUAUUAUUUAGAUUUAUUUUGAUGUUCGAACUCGAUAAAAAAAUUUAUUUAAAUUAUUAGUACAUAACUAGGUUAUUUGAUAAAUACAGGCAAAUUUUCUAACCAAAAUCGUCCAAAGAAGUUGAAAGUGUUUAUUGUUGUUAUUUCAUAUAUAUACAUACCCUACUUCUUGUUCUUUUUCUUUUCUCACUUUUUCAUAAGUUGACUUUAAAGGAAUACCCAUAAAAAGUGAUUGAAAAAGAUAUUCCACGUAGACUAAACCAUCCACUCAGGAUGCACCACGUGUAAAAAUCAUGACCUUUUCUCCUGCUCGGCAUAAAAAUAUUUUAAAAAAAUAAAUAUUAAAAAAAUAAAAUAAUAGAUGUAUGUAUAUAUAUAUGUGUGUACACACGCACGCGCUAAAAUACCGGGAACGAGAAAACAGACUUCUACUUUCUUCUUUCAAUUUUCUAAGCUCACGCUAGCUUUCUCUCUCUAAAAGUAGGAACCGUAAAUUGAGUGAACGUGCGGAAUGACGGCAGCGACGCCGGCGACGGAGGCGGUGGAGGAGUUCUUGAGGAAAUGCGAGGCGUCGGUGACGAGGCGUACGGUGCGUUUCGGUCGGUGUUGGAGAAGCUGGAGGAUCCGAGUAGUCGGACUCAGGCUCGGGUCUUCCUUUCGGAUCUUCAGAAACGGGUAGAUGACUCGGACGAGUGUCUAAACAAGUACCAUUUCUGGAUCCAAGAUGUCGUCUUGGACCAAUACGAAGGUCCAUUACUCUUGUUCAUUUUUUCUUGUUUAAUUCGGUCGACUUUUUUUUUUUUUUUCUCUCUUUUGAGCUAGUGGUUUGACUUUCUUUGAAUUAGGGACUAAAAGUGAUUGUUUGUUUUUUAGUUUGGGGAGUGGUUUUGUGGAAGGUAGUUCGGAGGAAAAAGUGCUUUUGAAAUUAAGUGAUUUUUGGGAAAGUAGUCUAGUGCUUAUGUGACAUAAGAAGUGCAUUGUGGAGAAGCAAUUGUGCUUCUAAUAAAGCCUUUUUUACAAUGUGAUUUAUGCUUUUUUUUUUUAAAUUCAAGAAGUGCGUUUUAGGAAUUUUUCUGAAAGAAACCCCAAAAAAAAAAAAGAAUGCUCUUUUUUUUUUUUUUUUGGGGUAGUUGAGCUGGAAACUUGAAGAAUCUGCAGAACUUAUUUGGGUUUCUGGUUCUAAAUCAUCCUCAGUUGGUUGAUGCAUUUAGUAGCUUUCCGGGAUUAAGCAAGCCUCAUAGCACAGUCAGAUACGCUAUAAAGAAGUUGCUUGGUCUGAGAGAGCGAAAAGCAAGAGACUUGAUGAAUGCUGUUGCAGAACAUAUAAGAAACUUGGAAAGUAGAUCAAAGCGCUUGAAAGAGGUACUUCUAUCUGCCCUCUUACAAGAAAAUUUGAAUUAACCAAUUACAUGUAGUACAUAAUCUUUGAAUUAUAUUACUCAAUUCUAAAUAUACGCCCUACCAUUUUCUCCACGGUGAUCUUUCUGCAACAGGCACUUGAGAAUUGUGGGUGGGAAGUGGUUCAAUCCUGCAGUGGUGUUUCAAUGGUGGCGAAGCCUUCUGCUUAUCUCAACAAAACUGUAAAGAUCAGCCGGCAUUCAUCUGACGGUGGUGAGAAAACUGCUACAGAACAAAUCAAGCCUGAUGACUCAAAUAUCAGGGAAGCCAUAGUCAAGGCAACUGGUUUGUGCAUCAACAGUGGCUCGUGGACCGGAAUUCCUGGCUAUUGUCGCUUCACAAUUGCACUGGGAGAAAGCGAAUUUGAACGAGCUUUGGAUUGCAUAGCUAAAUUCAAAAGCAUCGUACACGUAGUUAACUAAAAAAUGGUAUUGUCAUUUGUCAUGAUUUAUUUCUAUUGCCUGAUGAUGACACCCAUCAGGACUUGGUUGUCGUGAAUAAAUCAAAAAUCAAAUUGCACUGGUUUUUACCGGUUAUCAACAAUUGUGAUGUUUUGAGAUUAUAACAUACUUGACAACGCUGACUAGCGUCUCUCCUAUGUGAAUUGGGACAAAAAUUAUUUUCCCAAUCACGCUUUCGUUUGAACAAUUCCACUUCAGAUAUAUAAAAUAAUGAUGAAAUUGUGUUUUAUAAUUAGUUACGAGUAAUUGGUUCAAUAUUAAUACAAAACUAUUUUAACUAACAUGUGACUAUUUUAAGUAACAUGUGGCAUAUUCUAAUUACAGCAAAGCUUCCAACUAAAAUUCCCAAAUCAAAAGAAUUUCAAUCUCCAGAACAUUUUGCAAAAUGUUUCUUUUAGUCUCUACCCUGUGCUAGAAUUUUCUCUAAGUUUCUUUCGCAAAGACUUCUAAAGAACUAUCCAGAUAUCGAGCUAUAAUCCAGUCUAAUUGUAUAUAUUUCUCUAAUUCACCUCCCUCUAUUUCAUCAGAAAAUCAACAAACACUUUCAAAAAGCUAGCUAGCUACCCAGAUGGCAAAAUCAAGAAUUCUUGCAAUGACAAUGUUGUUUCUUGUUGUGGCAGCAACAUUGAUGAACAUGGCAUUACAAGCAAACGCUCUGAUGCCGUACACAUGAUCACCUUUCUUUGACAUGAUGUUCCCAAUGGCGGAAGAGUCUUUCAGGGUUCUUGAACAAACCCCUUUAACGAUCGCAAAAGGAGCUGAUCAUCAUCAAACUCUAGCCCUGGCGAGAGCAGACUGGAUGGAGACACCAACAACACACGUGAUCACGCUCGACAUUCCAGUGAUGAAGAAAGAUAAUGCGAAGAUUGAAGUUGAAGAGAACCGAGUAUUGAGAGUGAGUGGGGAGAGGAAGAGUGAUGAUUAUUAUAAGGAGGGACUGGAAGGGGAGAAAUGGCACAGAGCUGAGAGAACAUUUGGCAAGUUUUGGAGGCAGUUUAGGAUGCCAAUGAGUGUUGACUUGGAACAUGUUAAGGCUCAUUUGGAAAAUGGUGUUCUAAGGAUCACAGUGCCAAAGUUUGCUGAAGAGAAGAAGAGGCAGCCUAAGGUUAUUAACAUUGAUGAAGAGUCUGGUAAUUCUUUCGAUGAAGAUAUUAAGGCCACCAAGGCUCAAAUGUAAUUGAUUAAAGAAAGAAAUAAUAGCUUUGCUUGAUGUGCUAUUUGUUUAUGAUCUUUUAUUGGUUUUGUUGUGAGAUGUUUCUCUUUGGAUUCUCUGUUUAAUGUAUUUUGAUGGGUUUUUGAGGAUGACUUGUAUGUAUUGACAACAAUAAAGUGCUUUUUAAGUUGUCCUACUCGUCAUUCAUCCUCUGCUGUGAUAUUAAUGUGUUAAUGCGAAGAUUCAUUAUAAUUACAACAAUUUUGACGAAUCCAAACGUUCAAUAACUAAUUCAGGAAGUUGCUUAAAGUGCAUUAAAUUAGAGAGUAUAAAUAAUUGUGUAAUACAGUCCAGUCUUCGUGUGUUUAAUUAGCAAUAAAAAACCACUUUGCAACACCAUUAAAAAAACAUUUUAACAUUAUUGCUGAGGGAAGAGGCAGCUUAAGCUUAUUAACUCGUCUUAUUAAUGCUGAUGACGCAGCUGGUAAUUCUUUUGGUGAAUAUAUUAAGGCAGCUGAAGCUUAAAAUUAAUUAAGCCCACUAAAGCUUAAAACUAAUUCUUCUAGUGACGAUGCUUUGCUUAGUUCGCUUUUUGUUUUUAAUUUUUUUGGGCUAAAGUUUUGCUUAUUUUGCUUUUAAAAUUCUAUUCGCGUUGCUGUGGAAUAUUGUUUAUCCUUCGAUUUUCUGUUUUUGUUGUUAUCGGAUUUGAUGAUGGUUUAUAUGUACGAAGAUUAUGUAAUAAAGUGCUAUAUAUUGUGUAAUAAAGUGCUUUUGUAACUAUAUAUAUAUAUAUAUAUAUAGAUAUUUCAACAGCUGAGAACGAUUAUGAAAAUUACACAUUUGCACUCAAUAAGAAAUCAAUUCAUUAAUAUAGCCAUUAUUAAUACGCCUGGUUUAUUGUUAAUGAAAAUUAAAAAAGAAAAAAAAAGUCUUUUUCUUUGGCCUUUAUUAUGCAUUUUAAGAGGAAAAAAAUUUAUCCCACUCCAAUUCAUGAAGAUAUUCUCAUUUCUGUCAUAUUGAUGUGUUAAUAUGAAGAUCCAUUGCAGUUGGUGAAUUCAAAUAUUCAGUAACUGAUGAAAUUGUAUUUAUAAAUUCAUACUAAUAGCAAUUGAAGAUUAUAAUUAAUUUUGUAAUAUGGUCAAGCCCUCGUGUGUUUAAUUAGCACUCAAAAACCACUUUACAAUAGGCAUUAAAAGAACAUUAUAACGUCAUUGCUGAUGAGUUCUGGUGAAGAUAUUAAGUUAAGGCCACAAAAAUCGAAAUGUACGAAGCUUCGUUUGUUUUUUGUUUUUGAUUUUUUUUGGGGGCAAAUGCUUGGCUUCGUUUGCUUUUUCGUUUUUGAUAUUUUAUUGGCUUUAUUGUGUGGCAUGUUCUUGUUUUCUUUUGAUUUUCUGUUUUUGUUUGUUAUGGGAUUUGAUGUACGAAGAUUAUGUAAUAAAAUGCUUUUGAGUUUUAUACAAACACAACAAAAGAAGAACACUAACGUACUAAUUAAUUACUAAUAAGAACAUUAGCAAUUUUUGCUGAAGUCGGAUGAAGAGAAAUAUUACACAUACGUAACGGUACCGCAGAAGGAAAAAAUAAAAGAAACUAAAGUUUAUUUCAACAGCUAAGAAUGAAAUAGGCAUAAGAAAUUAAUCCAUUAAUUAAUUAAUUAAUACAGUCCCCCGCUACUAAAUAAUGCGAGCCCCUUACUGUACUUAACAUUUUUCUUUUUAUUAAUUUAAAACAAUUUUCAAUUGAGAUUUGAAUUUUAAAACUACAUACACAAACACACCUGAUUUUAAAGAAAAAAAAUUCUAAUAAUAAAAUAUUUUACAUAUGUAACCAUACGGCGAAAAAACAAAUAUAAGAAACUGAAGUUUCAACAGCUGAGAAUGAGAUAGGCAUUAGAAAUUAAUUAAUUAAUUAAUUAAUAGAGUCCUCCUUUGCUAAAUAAUGCGAGCCCAUUGUUCUUUUUAUUUCGAAAACCCAUUAAUCACCAACACAUAAUACACGCCCAAUUUAAAAAAAAAAAAACUACUAAUAAAAUAUUUCAGUCGUCCUCUGUUGAGUCGUCCUCUGUUGGGUCGUCAUAAAAAACCCAUUUACCAGCUAUGACAGCAAGAGGUAUAUGGGUUAACAAGUCCCAAUAUUGUCCUCCAUCCUUUCUGCACUUCUUUUCUAUCAACGGACAAUCCACGAUUUUUAAAUGCAAAAGUGAGGAAGGCAGGCCCUUCUCCGGAAAGUAUUUGAGCUUGGGACAAUGAUAGAGACCCAAUUCAGUGAGGUUUUGAAGAUCAACAAUUGAAGAAGAUAGGCGUUCCAGAUUUGGAAAAUUAUAAAUCCACAGAGAUGUUAGAGAGGCAGGAAGAGGAAGCGCGGUCCCUAAUCUUUUGUCCUCUAGUGGAAAUGACACCAUGUCGUCAUCGCAUCCACUGAUUGUAAGAUGUCGCAGAGAGGAGAAUCUGUGAAAUCCCCGUCCCCGCUCAAUCAUUGACUUCCAAAUCUCCAUAUUACCCCAAAUAUGAAGUGACUGAAGGUUGGUGGGAAGGCCAUCUUCUUCAAGGCUUGGAAGCUCACCUCCUAUUCUUAAUUGUUGAAGAGAGGUCAGAUUGUGCAAUCCCUUGGGUAAGGCCUCGAGAAAGGACACCAGAUUUCCACACCUCUCAAUACUAAUCCCUCGAAGCUGUCGGAGAUUAUGUAAACCACUCGGUAAAAUUUUCAGAUUUUCACAAUUAGAAAUCUCGAUUUCUUCAAGAGAUGUGUUGUUGUCCAACCUUUCUGCUAUUGACUCCAGCUUUGAACAACUCCGAACAUUAAGUAUCUUAAGAGACGGAGGUAGAUUGCCAACUUCAAAGGACUCAAGCGUGGCAGGUAACUCUUUUUUUGAAAAUAUACAUGUCAGAGAUGGACAAUCGAGAAUAUCUAAAUGCUCGAGAAGAUAUGAGGUGUACCUUCUGCUGCUGCUACUGCUCUGGAUGCCCUCUUCCACUGUCAAAGUCCUUAUAUUAUUGCACAUCUUGAUGUCCAACCUCUUAAGGCUCAGUGGUAGUUGGACUCCAGCAAUAUAUGUCAACGAAUGGCAAUGCCAAAUAGUCAACAUCUCGAGAGAUGAAUUGGUGCCGCACAUCCAUGCCUCUGGUAACGAUUUCAGUGCAUCACAUUUUUUAAUCUCAAUUUUCUUCAACUUGGAAGGCAGAGCAACCUCAGGAAAGGAAACAAGGGAACUGCAGUUGUAGAUUUCUAUAUCUCUCAAGGAACUGAGGCUGAACGAUGAUUGUGGCAACUUCACAAGGCCUUCGCAUCCGCUCAAUGCUAGAUAUUCAAGUCUGGAUGACAACUCGCAGAGCUGCUGUUGUUGGUCUUUCUCUUCCUCCGCCACCAAGGAUUGAAGUUUGGGACACCCUCUUAUCGUCAGUCUUCUGAGAGAGCAAAUGUCUUGCAGUAAUUCGUUAUGACUCUUCCAUAUAAAUGAUUGCUCUUUCAUAUCAUUUAUCUUCAAUUCUUCCAAUUUUGGCAGUCGCGGCUUUAAUGGCCCUGCGAGAAACACUUGAUUUGAUCUAUCUCUACAAACCACUGAAUUCUGUGAACCGAGAUGAUCAGUUGCACUUCUCCACACAACCUUUUUACAUCCACCAAUCUUUAAUUUGCAAAGAGCUGGAAGACUCGAAACUGAAACUGACAAUUCUUCACAUCCUUUAAUAACAAGCUUCUCCAAUGCAGGAAGGUGCUCUGGAAAUGUUCCUUGCAGCUUAGAACAUCUUAAAAUGUGAAGCUUUCUCAAUUUAGGAAACCGUUCAACUCCCUGACUGGAUCCAUGAGGAAUCCAGUCUUCCCAUCCUUGCAUGUCUUCAAAAUGAAGAGUCUCCAAGCAUGGAAAAGGAAUUGGAGUAUCAUUCCCAUAGAACUCUGAACCCAACCUCUUUACACUAGUCAUUCCACAUACUGCAAGAUGCUUUAGAGAGGGUAGUUGCCCGACUGACGGCAGGGUAGGACACAUGCCACAAUAUUCAAAUUUUAAGGUCACCAACUUUGAGAAUGAGGAAUCUCCGAACCAAGUUGGAAAUUUUGCACCUCUAUAGCCGCUGAUACAAAAUUGUUCCAAAAUUUUAUUGGGUUCUAGCAUGUCAAGCACGUCCUUUUCAGUUUCCGCCUCCCUUGAAGACGAGCCAUCAGUACUGAGUGUCCAUCGAAGCAAUAAUUCUCUAAGAUUCUUCUUUCCAUCCAAUUGAGCCUCCUUUGCAUCACCAACGUCUUUUACAUUCUCCAAUUUUGAAAUGUUAAGUGUCCCAUGAAGGUGCGUCAACAACUUUAGCUCUCGUAAACCGGAACCACUGCCUUUUCCCACAACAAAAUUACACAACGUCUGAAGACUAGUCAACCUACCAAUUCCUACUGGCAUUUCCUCCAACGACUUCGUAUUUGAAUUCUUAAGAUGAUGCAAUUUGGCGAGGUUUCCCAUGUCUGCACACAACUUCUUCAGCCGAUCACAAUCUUCCAACAAAAGACUAUGCAAAUUGUAAAGCUUGUUGACUGAUUCAGGCAGAGUUCUAAUCUCAGUUCUAGACAGGUUAAGGUACCUUAAAUACCUCAAAUCACCAAUUGAAUCCGGCAGCUCAGGGAUGCGGUAUCCACGCAAAGAGAAGACCCUCAAGCGUCGGAGUUUGAGCAACUUAGGAAGAAUGCUAGGAGCCAAGAAGCCAGGCGAACUUUUUGUCAACAUUACUGGUAAAAAAGUUCUCAAAUGCUGGAUAUCAUACAAGUCCCCAAACCUUUUACCGCCAUCAAAAUAUUCAGGAAUGUAUGAUAGAUGACGAAGAUUUUCGGAAAAACCUUGCUGCUUGUAAAUUUCUGAGGUAUACUCCAUUGUGAAGUAUAUCUCCCCCGCAGCCCAACGGGCAAGGUCAUUGAUAAGAUCGUGCAUCACAAAUCGUGAUGUAUUGUUGCUUAAUUGCUGGAAAAAAGAUCUUGAACGUAGCUCUUGAAAGAACUUUCGACCUAGAACUUCGUUAGGAUUCCCACUCUCUUUAUGAACCAAGAAACCCGAAGCACUCCAUAAUAAAAUUAUCUCCUCCUCUUCAAAUUCAUAAUCCUUCGGAAACAACGAGCAGUAUGCAAAGCAUUGUUUCAAAAUUGGAGGAAGAUAAUAAUAGCUCACUGCAAGAGCUGGUAUAAUGGGACAUCUAUCUUCUGGUAAUUCCCAUAUCUUGCUACUGAGCACAUCUUCCCACACACCUCUGUCAUGUUCUCCACAUAAAAGUCCUCCCAGUGUUUUUGCUGCCAAGGGCAAGCCAUUGCAUUUGAUCACUAUCUUCUUGCCAAUGUCCUCCAAUGACUUGUGUGAACUGAAAUCUCUUGUCCCCAAAGAGUGCUGAGCAAACACGGACAGACAAUCCUCAGUUGACAAGUUUGUCAAUUCAUAAGCUUGAUCCGGCCUCAUGAUUUUUGCAACCUGUUGAUUGCGAGUAGUGACAACAAUCUUACUUCCCUGCGCGCCAGCUUCAAACGGACGGCUCAUGUCAACCCAGUCAUUGUAAUUCUCAUUCCAAACGUCGUCUAAAACGAGCAAAAAUUUCUUUUGAGAUAACUUCUUCUUCAGCUUCUCUUGAAGCAAAUUUAAAUCACUGUCAUCAAUAGUCUGCUUGGUAACGGAUCUUAGAAUUGUUUUUGUUAGCCCCUUAACGUCGAAAUCCUCAGAGACACAAGUCCAUGCCUUGAGAUCAAAAUGAUCCUGCACUCGCUUAUCAUUGUAGACAAGCUGAGCAAGAGUGGUUUUGCCCAGGCCGCCCAUACCUAUAAUAGGAAUAACAGAGAAUCCACCAUCGUUGCUUAAAUCAUCCCUCAACAGCAGUUCAACAACAUCCUUCUUUUCUGUUUCCCUGCCAUAUACUUUGGCUUCAGUCACUAAAGAGGUUGUCUCUAGCCUUUGACUGGCUUUUUUGGACCCUCCAGCUGAACUUUCUUUCAAAUCUAGCAAGUUUUUCUGUGUCACAAUUUCUUGAAAUCUGCUGUUGAUCUCUUUGAUUUUGGACAUCAAGCCAUAAUCGAACUGAAUCGAUUGUGGAGUAAAAGUGGUGCAGCAAGCAGGAAUGAGCUUCCGAAACUUACUUGUUCUGGCACGACUGCUACUGGGUUGAUCAUGAGCAGCAGCUGGUUCUCCAUUUCCAAGCAGCAACAUCCUCCGGAAAGCCUCAGUUUGAAACUCAUCCAACAAGUCUUCAACAUCAUAAGCCAAGUUCUGAAGCUUGCCAAGCCACUUCUUCACAGACCGAUUAGUUGUCUUCUUCUCCUCAGCAUCAUCAAGCACCGCCUUGAUCAUCUCCAACAUAUUCUCCCACUUCAUUAGAUAGUCUUGGAUCUUCUCUUGGCGUGCAAAAAACAGAAUCCCCUCUGAAGCUAACUUAUUGACCAGCAAAUCAACGGACGCCGUAAGGAUUGCCUCUCCGAUGAUCGACAUUUUUUUUCUUUUUUUUUGGGCAAAGGAAGAAAGGAGCAGAAUUAUGGGUUAUGGAAAGCAGAAUGAGAAUAUUGAACGGGUGAGAAAAUGGAUAAUUAAGCGGAAUGAGUUUGUGAUUGUGAAGGGUCUGGUCCAGCAAGCUUAGUAGAAAUCACGCGUUUGUACUUUAUUGACCAAUGACUAAUAAUUUGGCAAUGCACCCACCACCACCACUUGGUAAGCAAAAUGAAAAAGUUUAAUAAGUGCAGGGGUCCAGCAAAAUACGACGUAAAAUGUGGCAAGUCUCCCCACUUGUUGUUCCUUGCAGCUAAGAAAAGAAAAAACAGAGCCCACCACCCAUUAAUAAUUUAGCAAUUCACCAAUCACCACAAAAUUCCAUUAGAUAUUCGUCGAUCAAGUAGUUAAUCCAGUGUCUGCUACGUAGAGCCUUCACUUUACAAAUCUUCAACUCAUAAACCAAGUUAAAUCAAGACGUUUCUCUCUCUGUAUAUAUAUUUUUUAACUCCUAAAACGUUUCUUUUUAGAAAUAUUUUACUUUAUUCAUCUAAUAUGUUAUCUAACAAAUAGACACAGAUGAAAUCACUCUAAAGUGAAGAUGAAAGGGAAAAAAAAAACAUUCCAACCACCAAUAAUUUAGCAAGCUUCACUUUUAUUCCACCAAAGUGUAAAUAAAGCCAGCCCCCACCACCAUCAAUAAUUUAGCAAGCUUCACACGCUUGUUGUCUUCUCCUUGACGAACUGGACGGGGUGGACCAAGAAUCAAUGAAAGAAUUUUAAAAAUAAUAAUAAAAGAAAAACAUAAACAUUUUGGACUCAGAGUAGAACCGUAAUUAAUGCUAAAAUUUAUUCCGCUAACGUUUUCAAAAUAUUGUUCUUUAUAAUUGUACAGCAAAUAAGACUAAGUUUUGGACAUUUUCAUAUUCACUUACUUUCAAAAGCAGUAUUUCGAAACAUUUUACAGAAUCAAGUAACAGUUAUAUAACGAGAAAAGUGCAAAGUUGUGUAAUUCCAAUGUUUUUUUUAUCACUGACACUCAGAUCAUUUUUUAUUUGGGUCGCCAACUCGCCAAUGAACCCAUGAUUGAAUGAGUGUUUAGAAAGAAAAUCAAUAAAAAACAAUGGUUCUGUUUUUUUGUUAAUUAGGUUAGUAUUUAUGAUUGAGUGACUCAGAACUAUAUUUUAGAUUGAGAAUCAAUGGUUCUCCCACACUGAGAGGCUGUAAGUUUAAGAUUGUCGUUUGCUAUUUUAUCGACAAGAGAGCACUCGAUUUUAUUAAAAGGAGAAAGUCAUAAGAUUUCCUUUAUGAGAAAAUGUAUCUGAUCAUUCCUUUUUACUUGAAAAAUUAAUAUACAAAAACUUACUAAUAAAUGACAUAAUAUACAUAAAUUAUUAAUUCAUUUGAUAGUUGAUUAUCGAAUGACAUUUGACCCAUGGGAGCAUGCAGUCUAUAAAAUAAUUCUUCUUUUUUUUUUUAAACAAAAAAUCGGUGAUGUUGAAAAGCAUUUCUGUAUAUUAUUAUUACUCUAAUUGGAGUGAACAUUUCAUAAAAAUAAUGCCGUAUGAAACUAAAUUAUUAAUUCAUUUGAUAGUUGGUUAUCGAAUGACAUGUGACCCACAAUAAAUAGUUAAAUUUGGCGGCAACAAUAAUUACAAGACGAACUUAAAGCAGCGCAUAGGUUUUUCUUAAAAAUACAUAAACAAUUCGAUAUUUGAAAUUCUAAUAUCUCAAUAAUAUUGAUCAUGAUUCAGUUACCAAUUAGAUCCACUUACAAUUUCUUUUUUUCUUUUUCUGAUUUCCAAUCUUUACCAAAAGAAAAUAUUUAGUGAUCCCUUUUAUCAACUUGGUUUUAUUGACUUUCUUCCUAUCAUAGAAGUGAAAAGAGAAACAGAGGCCAGCACCAAUUAGUGUUACCAGAUUCUGUAAAGGCAAAAUCAGUGCCCAGCAAAAAGAAGCUAUGUUUUCGUUAUAUGCUGCUUCCUAUUUAGUACAUGCAUAUAAAGAUAUACACGUGCACAUGCAGCACAUCUAUCUAAAACUUAAAAAACCGAAUUAGAAAUACAGGAUUUAUGGUAGAAAUACAACAGGAAUAAGAGUGAAAUUCCAAUUUUAAAAAUUGGGAGAAAUGAAAUGCGAUAUUUUUUUAUUAAUAAAAUAAUUUAAUUUUUUUUAAUUCUACCAGCAAAAACCAUUAACUUAUCAAGUUAUUGGUUUCAUUCACAGUUUACAGUCGGUUUCUUAGUUUCAUUCCUUAAUUCUACAAGAAAAAAACAGAAUACUUGACAUUUUUUAUUUGACAGUUUUUAAGAAAUGUCAAACAUAUAUGACAUUUUGUGAAAAACUGAGUAAUUGUGAAAUAUAAAUGACAAUUUAUUUAAACGUCAAAUAAUUGUGACGUUUUAUCAAAUAAAUGAUAAAUAUAUUACAUAUUUAUUGAAUAAUUAUCAUUUACCUUUUCCUUUUAUUGACUUGAGAAAAAAAACAAAAACAUUGACUAUACUGCUUUUGUUUUCGUUCUUAGAACAGAUUUUAGUUUCUUUUGAGAAAAUUCAAACUAUUCCCAUUACUUUCUUUUCAAUAAUCACCUCUCAGUUUUUCAUCAAUCACUCAAUUCCGAAUUUCAUCUCCAUUCUCUUUCGAAGAAGAACGCACGAAGAAUUUUAGCUUGCUUUCGCUGCUUCUCGAAUAUUGGGUAUUGUUUCCUUUAAUUUAGAUAAUUUUUUUUAUAUCUCUCUUUCAAGUUUGAUAAUUUAGGGUUAUACUUGAAUUAAUUGUAUUUUUAAUCAACCAAGGUUGAUUUAAUUGAUUCCAAGUCUCAAUUUCCUGUUCAACAAACAGAGAACGCACAAAUAAUUUUCAUUUUCAUACUCAAUUUUGAAAGAAUCAAUUUAUUUUAUCUUUGGUUAGUACACUUCUGUUCAAUUUUUGUUUAUUUAACUUAAGAUAUCUUUUUCUUUCUUUUCUUCAAGCAGAUUAUAGAUUAUAUUGAGAACAGAGCUUUCUCCUUAAUUCCGCCAAGAGCAACAUUGAUUUCAGGUGAUAAUUGAAUGUGUAAUAUUUUCAAUUGAAAUUAAUUGAGUCUCGUAAUAAUAAUAGGGAUUUGAGAUUUACAUCCUGUUGAAAUGAUUUUAGAGUGUUCUGCUAUUUGAAUGCGCAUUAAUUGUUCCUCUGUUUCAAAUCCAAAUCCACUGGUCUACUAUUCAUUAUGACAAUGCAUAUGCCGAUAUUGUCUUCCAUCCUUUUUGUACCUUUCAAUUUAGUGAGGUUUAGACAGGGGUUCCAGAUUUGGUAAAUCAACAAUCACCAGAUAUGUAGAGCGGCCGGAAGAGGAAGCAUGGUUCCUAAUCCUAAUCUUGAUUUAGAGCAGAUUAGGUAACAUGUGGCAUUCUACAUUCUUGCAAUGCCAUUUCUUGUUAUGGCAGCAGCAUUCUUGGUCAUGGCAUCACAAGCAAAUGCUUUGAUUUGAAGACUUGCUUGGCUAUGAAAAAUAAGGAGAGCAAAGGUAAUUAAUCUUGGUGUGAUCAACAUUUUUAUGGGGUUACUAAGAAAAAUAAAGAUAAUAUAAAGAAUGUUGUUGAGGGGUAUUUUCAUAUUUACACAAGUGUUCAAAGUAAAAAUUGAUUUCUUAAAACCCAUUAGCUAGCGCACAUAAUAAUGGGGAGAAAAUUUUAGACUACGAAUGGUCCCACCCAUUUAAUAAUAUUCUUCAAUCAAUUAUGUUUACUUAAAAAAAACAAACCCAUCUCUUUAUUACUUUCUAACUAUUCAUAUUAAUGUGUUAAUAAUUAUGAAGAACCGGUGUAAUUUAUAUGAUGUAGGAAGCACUUUAGGCAAAAUCAUUUGAAUCUAAAAAUUUCAUGAUAUUGUGCCAAAUAUCCAAAACAGAGCUUCCUACAUUUCAUUGCGCUAGCUAAUUUCUUGUACCAAAAUUAGGAAUCACUAAAGAGUAGAGUUACGUGACUGAAUAGUAUCAUAUCACAGAAACUCAAAACUCAAAAGUGCAAUAACAUUGAACAUUCAGCUGGCUAGCUUAUAUUAAUUAAUUAAUACUACUACUAGUUCUUUAUGAUUAAUUAAAAGAUAAAAUAUUUUACAAUCACAAAACAUUAUUCCAUCACUCAAGAGUAGAGCUUCCUACAUUGUUACCCAAGCUCUUUUAUAUCUCCCAAACAUUAUUAGAGUCCCACGUUUGUGGCACAUCAUGAAGUAAAAUGUGCCAAUUAGUAAGAGCUUCUUUGUUUUGUUUUCUUGGAUGUGUUGCAAUUUUCAAGUAUCAUUCAAAAUUUUACGCCAUCAACACAGGAAAAUUAUAUAUAUUCUGUCAGCACUUGCAUAUGUUGCAAGUGCUGACAGAACUUUUCAUUUGAUUUGAUAAUUGGCUAAGGGUGAUUUCGAUAACGUUUCCAAAGAAGAUAUAGAACAUAGAUCAAAAAGAAAAAUAAGUAAUUUGAUCAGUCGAUGCAAAAAAUGAGCGAGCUUCGUAGUCUGACUAACAGGACAUGGCUUGGAGCAAGGAUCAAUGGACAAGUUUGAGGUUUAUGAAAUAUUGGGAAAAGAGACAAAUAAUAAAGCCACUACAAGUUAAGCAGAUCAAAUAAACAGAACAGAGGAAAUAAGUGAUCAAUUUAUUACUUUGUGCAAUGGCCACAGCAACAGCGAAAAUAUGUCUACAUGACUACAUUAUCCGACUGGCAUGGUACUAUCACCAUGCAGCAUUACACUAACAUUUCCUUAUCAAUCAAUUUUGAUGGUAUGAUAUUAAAAACAUCGACUUCAUAAUUUUAUGUAAUUCAAAGAAAAGAUAUAAUUGAUUUGAGUUAGUUUAAAAUAUAAGGAAAGAGUAAUGGGGGAUGAUGUCGAUGUGGAAUGUGAUGAGUAAAGAUAGACAACAAAUAUUGAUAAUGUAAUAAUGAAAUAUGUAUUUAUUGAAAAUAAAUUGACAGUUAAAAUUAAUAGAUAUAUAUCCAAUGCAUCGAGUUUAUUUUAUCACUUCGCUAACUAUUUUGUAACUACAUGUUAAUUAGAAGUUCAAUUAAUUUUGACCAAAGACUCUAGAGAAUGUCAAAAAGAGAUUUGAUUUUUGUCUUAAAAAAAUAAGAAAUGAAAUAAGUCAAAAUCAAUCACAAGAACAACAAUAAGAGCAUAUUUUUAUAAAACCACAAAUACAUAUAAAUUUAGUUUCGAAUUAGAUAAUUAUUAAUUUGUAUAGUACGAGAGCUUUAUAGAAAAAGAGGAAUUUUUUAAAAGGAGAUUUGCUUAAGGAACAACUUUAGUUUGGUUUAAUUUGUGAAGGCUCAAGUAAUUGAAAGCAACGCAAUGGAAGGAAAUACAAGCUUUUGAUUUUGACAAAGUAAUCACUAAAAUAUUUGACAAGUUUGAGAUGUUAAAAAAACUGGAAAAAUAGACAAAUAAUGAAGACCCGACAAGUUGGCAAAGCAAAUAAACAAAGGAAAACAGAGCAAAUAUUUACCGUUAUACAUAUAUUUUUUUAUUUUUUCCGAAAAAGAAUGUUGCGAUAUUUUUUCCCAAUAAGAAGCACGGUUUGAUAUUACUACCAUAGACCUUUAGCUACCAUAUAUAAGCACGUGUCUAAUUACCAAAUGAAUUCCGCUAUAACAAAGAAUAAAAGCUAAUUUCAUUGAUGGCAUAUGUUGUGCUUUCUUUUAGUUGCAUAUAAGUAGAGCACUAGAUCAACAAAUAAUUGAAGACUUGUUUGGCUAUUGAACCAUAGGAAGGCAAGUCGUGAACAGUCUUGAUAUAAAGUCGUGAACAGCCUUGAUUUAAAGCGAUCAUUGUGAAUAUCCCUGCCCAGUCUGAAGUGGGCUUUGAUACUUGUGACAAUACUCGAUCGAGGCUGUAAAGAAGCCGUGGGUGUACAUUUCUGGUCCAACAAUCAAUCUAACUGGCUUACUUUACAGCAACAAAGAGAUAGAGAAUAUAUUAACUGCUUGUGCAGAAUAUGGAGCAAGAGCUUAUUUAGUGUCGUGUCAAAAUAAAUAUAACAAAGUUUAAGCUGAAUAUAAAUUGUUAAUUACAGGCAGAGCAAGUUGAGUUUAAAAAAUGCGAAGCACCCAGUCCCAAAACAGAGAAGCUUGACGUUGGCCGGCAGGAUUAAUAUUAUUUUUUUUUUAACAACAAUCAAAGCCAGUUGGGAAUUUAUUAAGAGGUUAAUUAGUUGAAGUAUAAAAAAGGAAUUAGCAGGAUUCACGCCCGACCAAAUCCACAUGGCCAAAGCAAAGGAUUAAGUUUGAGAGAUUAUAAUGAAAUAUAAGUAAGCUUCGCACAUGCAUGCGUCUGACUGACAGAACAAAUGAAGGAAACAUAAACUUAUCAUUUUUAAGAUGUAAGCAUCAAAACAUUCGACAAGUUUGAGGUUCGUGAGAUAUUGGGAAAAUAUACAAAUAAUAAAGCCACUACAAGUUAAGCAGAGCAAAUAAACGGAGGAAAUAACUGAUCUAUUUUGUUCUUUGUGCAAUGGCCACAGCAACAGAGAAACUAUGCCUACACGACUACAUUAAUCCUACUGGCGUGGUACUAUCACCAUGCAAAUUAACAUUAACAUUUCAUGAUCAAUCAGUUCUGAUGACAUGAUAUCAAAAACAUUGAUUUCAUAACUUUAUGCAAUUUCAUAUAAAAGAUAUAUAUAGUUGAUUUGAGUUAGUUUAACAUAUGAAGAAAGAGUAAUGGGGAAUGAUAUCACUGUAGCGGGUGAUGAGUAAUGAUAGACACCAAAUAUGGAUCAUGUAAUAAUGAAAUAUGUAUUUACUGAACAAUAUUUGGCAAUAAAAUGAUGCUUUAAAAAUUUAAUAUUGUUUGCUAGAAAAUAAUUUGACAAUGAUGCUUUAAAAAUUUAAUAUUGUUUGCUUGAAAAUAAUUUGACAAUUAAAAGUAAAAGAUGUAUAUGCAAAACUUUGACCUUAUUUUAUCACUUCACUAACCAUUUUGUAAGUACAUCUUAAAUCGAAGUUCAAUUAAUGCUGACGAAAGACUCCAGAGAAUGUCGAGAAGAGAUUUGAUUUUUGUAUACCAAAAAAUUACAGAUGAGAAAAGUUAAAAUCAAAUUGCAAGAACAACAAAAAGAAUAUAUUUUAUAAAAGCCACAAAUACAUAUAAUAUAUAAUCAGUUUCGAAUUAAGUAAUUAUUAGCUUAUAUAGUGAGAGAGUGUUAUAGGAAAGUUGGAAUUUUUUAAAAGAGAUUUGCAAAGGAAAAAGUUUAGUUUAGUUUAGUUUGUGAAGGUUCAAGUAAUUCAAAGCAAUUAGCAAUGCAAUUGAAGGAAAUAUAAACUUCUAAUUUUUACAAAGUAAUCGCUAAAAUAUUUGACAAGUUUGAGAUUUUCAAAAAGCUGAAAAAAAUAGACAAAUAAUGGAGACCCUACAGAUUGGUAGCGCAAAUAAACGGAGGAAAAUAGGGCAAACAUUUAUUUUUUUCCAAAAAGAAUAAAAGCACGUGUCUAAUUACCAAAUAACUUCCACUUUAAAAAAGAAUAAAUGCUAUUAUCAUUGUUAGCACAUGUUGUGCAUUUUUCAUUUAUUUAUUUGCUUUUACUUAUUGAAGUUACUUUGCAAACUGCUCCAAGCAAACUACAAAAUUUCUUAUAACUCUAGGAUCUUUGCAAUGGUCCUGCAAUUUGCUUUCCUUUCUAUUAGGUUAGCUGUUUAUUCAAAAGAAAAAAAAAAUGGGGAAAUGGAAACGUCACCCUCUAAAUACAGAUUUUGAAUUUUAUUAUUAUUAUUCAAAAUUAGAUAACUAUGCAAAUAAUGGGCGGUUAUAACCAGUGAAACUGUGUCCAGCUACGAUGCAGGUUUAUUUUUCACUUGAUUAAAUAUAUACAAAACUAAAUCACCUGAGCCUCUGGUUUCACUAUUUUUCAACUUCAAAUUAAAACGCAAAAAUUGAUGGUAUUGGAGUUCGUUGUUUAGUUUUUCUGUAGGUCAUGGGGAAUCAAAUAGCCAUCCAUUUUUAUGUCUAUUUUAUGUACUAGUGGUCACUGAGUAUUGGGAUGUCAUAGGCCCGAAAAGAUACAGCUGAAAAUCAAUCCCCUAUCUAAAGUGGAAAACAGUAGCUAGAACAGAAUCGAUGGUUUGAUGUCUUAGUUUAUUGGCUUAAACAAUUAAUAGUACAGAAAAUGCAUGAUAGAACUCAUAUUUUAGCAAUAAUCCUCAGCUCACUGGCCGUUAGUUCAGAGUGACAAUUCUUAUUAGUCAAAGAAUCAAGAUGAUUUUUAGUUGUAUAUGAAUAGAGCACUAGAUCAACAAAUAAUUGAAGACUUGCUUGGCUGUUGAACCAUGCCGAUGGCUAUUCAAAGACUACAGCUUAGCUCUGCCAUUCAAAGUUAGCAACUCAGCUGCCAAAGACUGCCAAGCCAUCAAGAUAAUACCAAGAUACAACGUCAAGAAUUACAUACAGGCCGUCACAUAUUACGUUUCUCCUCUGUUUUAAGAGAGAUUUACGAGCCCAUGCAGUAGAAGUAAUUAAUUAAUUUAUACAGUUCAGUACUCAUUCCUCCUCUGUUUCAAAUCUAAAUCCACUGCUCUGCCAUUUAUUAUGACGCAGGGUAUAUGGGUUAGCAAGUGUCGAUAUUGUCCUUCAUCCUCUGUGUACCUUUCUUCUAACAAGGGACAACACGAGAUCUCUAACCGCAAAAGAAAGGCAGGCAGGCCCUUCUCUGGAAAGUACUUGAGCUUGGGACAAUUACAGAGUUUCAAUCAAAUGAGGUUUUGAUGAUCAACAAUUGAGGAAGACAGGCGUUCCAAAUUUGGUAAAUCAACGAUCACCAAAUAUGCUAGAGUGGCGGGAAGAGGAAGCGUGGCUCCUAAUCCUAAUCUUGAUUUAAAAUUGGCUAUGUAACAUGUGGCAUUCUACAUUCUUGCAAUGCCAUUUCUUGUUAAAGCAGCAGCGUUCUUUCAUCAUGGCAUCGCAAGCAAAUGUUUGAUUUGAAGACUUGCUUAGCUGAGAAAAUUAAGGAGAGCAAACGAAAUUAAUUUUGGUGUGAUGAAUAUUUUUAUGGGUGUACUAAGAAAAGUAAAGAUAAUAGAAGUAAUGUUAUCGAGGAGUAUUUUGAUAUUUACAAAAGUGUUCAAAGAAAAAAGUGAUUUUUUGAAAUCUAUUUGCUGGUGAACAUAAUAAAACGGCAUUCUGACUUCUGAGUAAAUUUAAAACUACAAAUAGUCUUACUCUUUUAAUAAUAUUCUUCAAUUAAUUCUGUUUCUUUCACAAUAUAAAAUCCAUCUCUUUAGUACUUUCUAACUAGUCAUACUAAUGUGUUAAGGCUAAACCUAUGUUACGUGCAACGUAACAUACAUUCAACAUGUAAAAUAUCAGCUAGUACCCAAAAAUUUUAUGGAAACUACAUUAAGAGAAUUAAAAGAAAUACUUUUAAGUCUUCAAGAAGAAAUAUAAGAGAUAAAACAAGAAAUAGGAAAAAUAAAAAUUGAAAUGUCUGUAAUACAAAAAAGCCAAAAGAAAAAUAAAAAGGUAGAAAGACUCGAUAUAAUAAAAACAGGAAUAAUUGGAGCAAGCUUUAAAAAACCCACUCAAAAACCCCAGAAAGGUAGUUAUGAUUAUUGGUUUAUGGAAACACAAUAUCCGAAAAUAUUGCGAGAAUCUGAAGAACUAAAAGCAGAAAUAAAAAAGAAAGAUAAGGGAAAAGAAAAACUAGAAAUAAAAGAACAAACUCCAUCUGAGUCAAACUCUGAGUAAUGGACGAUACACUAGAAAGUUUAACUGAAAAAUUCAGUGACAUAAACCUUAGUGAUUUAGAAGAUUUUGAAAAAGAAUACCAAAUAAAAAUGAAUGUAGCAGGAGGACCAGAAAUGAAACCUAAUAUAACAGAACCAAGUCAUAGAUAUAUGACGAAGAAAAAAAAUAAUAAACCUUUUUAUGAAUAUAUCCCUACAGUUAAAAAUACACCUUGGAAAAAAGAGUUUGCACCCAAUCAGGAUACAUUAAAUCCUAUAAGCAAUACAGGAACAUUUUUAAACUUAGACUGUAAAAUAGAUCCUCGUAAAACAUUAGCAGAAUGGGGAAUACAAAUGAAACUGUUCUUUACAUACAAUGGGGCUAAUGAUGAUUGGAAUGUAACUACAAAUGAAGAAAAAAUAGAUAUAUUUGUAGAUAUCAUAUUAACCAGUUUUACAGGAAAUAUAUUUAAUUGGUGGAGAGGAUUAAGUGAUGACACUCAAAUGCUCAUAAAAGAUUCAACCAAAAUAGCUUUUAGAAGAAGUAAUGCUUUAGGGAUUGAAAGAAUAAUUGAAUAUAUUGCAAGUGAAUUUUUAGGAGAAGAUUGGCUAGAAAAUUCAGAAAGAGAAGAUAAUACUGAAAAACAAAGAGCAAGGUUAAAAUUAAUGAAUUUAACAAUUUGCAAUAUGUGUUUUAUUAAAGAAUAUACUUGUGAAUUUACCAAAUACUACUAUGAGCAAUAUCUAAGUUUAGAGGACCAAGAAGUUUAUAAAAAUCUCUAUUACUCUAAAUUACCGUACCCUUGGAAUAGUUAUUUUAUUAAUGAAUAUGAAAAAGAUAGUACUUCAACUAGACUCCCAGAUACUCUAGGAGCUAGAAUAAGAUUUCUAAAUACAAGAUUUAGUGAUAUAUGUAUCCAAAGAAAUCUAAUAAAAAAGAGUAAAAAUAUAACAACAAUAUGUUGUGAGAAAACAGAGAUGCCAACCCAAUGGGGUUGCUCUAUGCCGUAUAAAAGAAAAAGGAAGUUAUAUAUGAAAGAGAAAAGAUAUAAAAAGUAUACUAACUUCAAAAGGAAAUAUAGAAAACCUGGACGAAAAUAUUAUAAGAGAAAGUAUAAAAGUCAAAAGAAACAAUUAGAUAAAACGAAAUGUAAAUGUUGGAAUUGUGGAGAAAUAGGACAUAUUAGCACAGAUUGUAAGAAGAAGAAAGUUAGAAUUUUACAAAAGGACUUUAAUACAAUACAAGAAGAAUUAGAAGAAAUAAGCAAUAUAUCAGAUUAUGAAGGAGAGGAAAUAUAUAUAGUAAAAGAUUCUGAAAAUGAAUCAGAAUAAAAAGGAUAUAAUUGAAACGGAAGAAAUCGAAGAUAUUGAAGAAAUAGAAAGAGAAGAAAAUAAAAGCGGAUAUAGUCUUGUAGCAACUUUUAAUAAAGAAAAAUAUAACAAACUUUUGAAAUUGAAUGUAGAAAAACCAGAAUAUGGAAUAUUACAAAAAUUGAGAGAUCUGUUCAAAAGAAAAAGAAUAGUAUUACAUGAAUAUUAUGAACAAGAAAAAGCUGUAACCAUUACACAAGCUGAAGGAAAUAUUAGGUUCAGCUUAAUAAAUAAAAGAACCAUAGAUUUAGCACUAAGAAAGGUAAAAAAUGAAUCAACAAGAGAAAAAAUACAAUAAGUGUAUCUCGCUGAAAUUCAAAUAUUAAUAAAAUCACUCUUUAAAGAAGGAGUAGAUAGUCCCAUAGUGUUGUCAAUACAUGACCAACGAUUCCAUGAUCCUAGUAUAGGACAUUUAGGAACAGUAGAAGGAAAUUUAUGCUAUACUAAAUUAUUAUUUACAUGCCAUCCUAGAUACUAUGUGCAUAUAAAAUAUAGGAAUAUAGAUGAAACACUUAGCCUACAUUUUAAAUUACUUAAAAAGAAUCUGAUGAAAGAAGGAAAUAGAUUAAUGACCAUAAAUUAUUCAGCCCUAUACAGUUUUUGUAAUUCAAAUUAUGGAGAAGUUUAUGGAAAUAAACCAUAUAUAGAAAUAAACAAGGAAUGUGAAGAUAUAGCAACUCUUAUAGAACCCAUUAUGCAAGAUUAUAAAAUCCCGAUAACUUAUGAAUUAAACAUAGAUGAUAAGAAACAAUUUUUAAACGAUAGUAAUGAAAAUUCUAUAAUAAGCUUUGCUGGAAGAACCCUUUUAAGAGGGAGUUCAUCUAGAAGAUUAAGCACUGAUAAACAGAUAGCUAAUAACCUAACAUUAGCCAGACCCAUAAUAAGUAGUAAUGUAGUAAGAAUAUUUGGACAAUAUUUCAAUGGAAUAGAAUAUACCAUACCAUUACCUAUUUUAAUAGAUACUGGAACAAGCCAUAAUUAUAUGAAUCACACAAAAAAUAAAGGACUGUUAAUUAAAGAAAAGGAAAUUCCAAAUGAAUAUACUGAUUUCAAUGGAAAUAAACAUAUAUGUAAACAAGAAGUAAAAGUUCCUUUAAUCAUUGAAGGAAUUAGAAUAAUUGUAUCUUGUUACAUAGAUUCUUUUAUGACUACAGACCCUGAAAAACAUAUAGUAUUAGGAAAUAGUUUCUUAAACAGUUUAGAAUAUUAUAAGAUUGAGAAACACCAAAUCACCUUACAAAUAGAAGGUCAAAAGAUAGUAUGUGAAACAUGUUAAAUCAAGCUUAUAUCAAAUAUCCUAUGUCCGUAUAUAUACAAAUCAAUAUAGUCGAAAAAGACCUAGAUACGUGUGCCUUAAUAGAUACAGGUAGCGAAAUAACAAUUAUGAAAACUUUCUUAUCUAACCAAUGGCAAGUCAAUGGAAAAAUAAAACUUAUUAGUAUAACAGGAGAUAAACAACAUAUUAAUCAAAGUUUAUUGAACUGCGAAAUACUCUUAGGAAGUAAAAUUGUCCGUAUAAACCAGGUAUUUCAAUAUAACCAAAUGGAUUGUGAUAUCCUUUUAGGUAAUGAUUUCAUACAACAAUUUCAGUAUUACCAGCAAACUCCUUACAUGAUUACCCUUAAAACACCCUGUAAUCAUAUCCUUCGUAUCCCUCGAGAGUUUAAACCUUACAGAGUUCAGCCAGCCCAGCGUGGUGAUAAGGUUAUUUAUGAAAAACAUUAUUUAAUUUCUAAAGGACAGAGUUAUAAUAUACAACUUGAAACAAUAAAAUCACAGCUUGAAAAAGUGUAUAAAGAAAAUCCAUUAGCAUUAUGGAAAGCAGAUCAUCCUAGAGCAAAGAUAGAAUUAAUAGAAAAUAGGAUUAUAAGACUUAAACCUAUGAUGUAUACAGAGGAAGACAGAGAAGAAUUCAAAAUCCAGAUAAAAGAAUUAUUAAAUCUAAACUUAAUUAGAAACAGUAAUAGUCCACACAACAGCCCAGCGUUUAUGGUUAGAAAACGAUCAGAACAAGUUAGAGGAAAAGCUAGAAUGGUAAUAAAUUAUAAGGAAUUAAAUAAAUACACGAAGUUUGAUGGAUAUUUUUUACCAAAUAAAGAAGUGCUGAUAAAUCUAGUGAAAAAUAAAACUUAUUACUCAAAAUUCGAUUGUAAAUCAGGAUUUUGGCAAAUAAAAAUGGAAGAAGAUAGUAUCCCUUAUACAACAUUUAGUACCCCACAAGGUCAUUAUGAAUGGUUAGUAAUGCCUUUUGGAUUAAAAAAUGCCCCUCAGAUAUUUCAAAAUAGAAUGGAUAAAGUCUUUAAGGACUAUAGAUAUAUAAUUGUAUAUGUAGAUGAUAUAUUAAUAGCAUCAGAAACAUUAGAAGACCAUAGAAGACAUUUAAAAGAGUUUGUAAAUAUCUGUAUUAAAGAAGGUAUAGUACUGUCAGAAAGAAAAGCAGUAAUAGAACAUAAGAAAAUAGAAUUUUUGGGAAUGAUUCUUGACAAACAGGGAAUCAGACUUCAGAGCCACAUAGGCAAAAAGAUUAGUGAAUUCCCUGAUAAAUUAGAAAAUAAACAACAAAUCCAAAAAUUCUUAGGUUGUUUAAAUUAUGCUGAAGGUUUUAUAAAAGACUUAGCAAAAAAGAGGAAUACACUCCAAAAAUUACUUAGAAAAAAUAAUACUAGAGGAUGGAAUAUGGAACAUACAGAAACCGUAAAAACUUUAAAAGAGGAAUGUAAGGAUCUCCCUUCACUCAGAUUACCAGAGGAAACUGAUAAACUAGUAAUACAAACUGAUGCAUCUGAUUUGCAUUGGGGAGCUAUACUCAAAACUGAUAUAAAUGAAAUUUGUAGAUACACCAGUGGUACAUUUAACCAAGCACAGGUUAAUUAUCCAGUACAUGAAAAAGAACUCCUUGCAAUAUAUAAAGGAAUUAAAAAAUUUUCCUUAUUUUUGUUACAAAAACCAUUUAUUGUAGAAACAGAUAACUCUCAGGUAAGCUCAUUAAUUAACAGAAUUUUACCAAACGAACCACAAUAUAGAAGGUUACAUAGAUGGCAUGCAUAUUUGUCAUAUUAUAAUUUCAAGAUUAUACACAUCAAAGGUACUAAUAAUUUUCUUGCAGAUUUCUUAAGCAGGAACAUAGAAUUUGGAAAUGGAUCCUGAAAUAGAUAAGAUCCUAUCUGGAAUAGACGCUGAACUGCAUAGACUGGCAACAGAAGCAUCAGAUAUAAUCGAUGCAAUAAAUUACAUAAAAGAGGCUUAAGAGGCCCAUGAAAAAGGAGUACAUUUGUUAGUGUCACAAAUAAACGACCUGACAAAAGCACUCUUAAUAAACAAAGGCCCAACAGACAUCGCGCCAAUAAACACCAGCCCGAAAGGUGAAGGAAGCAGUAGUGGACCCAUCAGAGAAAAUAAACCUAUCUCUGACCCGGUGAUAAACCCAUCAAAUAUAAUAUCCAUAGAGGUUGAACCGCUAAAAUCAAGUCCUUCAAAAAAGUUCAUCCAAAUAAACAAUCUCCAGAUAGAAGAGGAGAAGGAACCCUUAAAUCCAAAAGAAGAAGAGUAUAAACAGUUCUCUACUUAGAUUUACUCUACCUGUUCCCAUAACAAUAAUAUCCACAAAGCACCUAGAAAAAAUAUGUACCCUAGGAUGAUAGCUACUAAAGGAGCAGAUCCACUCCUUGUAGGAAAAAUAGCCCGUUAUGGUUAUUUAGACUUGGUAUAUUCAGACAUAGACCUUCGAGAAAUAGCCAGUUUGGACGAGUUACUAGUUAAAGAAAUAUCCAAGUUUGCCCAAAAAAGACCUAUAUACCUCAAAUUCUACACCAUAAGUCCAGAAUACCAUCAAAAUGUAGAAUACCAGGCAUUUUACAUGAUCUCAGUAGGGCAUAUAACAAAAAAUUUCCAAUUAGAAGUAGGAACCGAAUAUACUAAUGUUCCUCAUAUUACAAAAAGCUGGAUCCAAACCAGAAGAGCUCGAGGUAUAAAAGCAAUAUGGAGCAUAGCAAAAGAUUUGUAUAAGAGAAAUUUCAGAACCAUCAUUAGAUUUCAAAAUUGCAUCCUUGUUACAGCAGAAGACAGUCAUACACAGUCAAACAUCCUACUGGAGCUAAUCAAUGAGAUAAGCACGAUGCGAUUUCCCAGUAGCAAUAAAACUAUGCAGCAGGCUUAUCAGCUUAUGGAAGCAAGCAAUCAGCCAAGAUAAAGAAGUGGCAGACAGAAUAAAAAGAGAUGGCCGACAAGAUAAAAGAUAAAGCAGAGAUGGCCGACAAGAUAAAAGCAGAAGCUAAAAUUGUCAAAGAUGUCCGACAUAAAGAAGACACGUGUUUGUCAGAAAUAAGGAAGAAAACGUUGUAAUAAUGUAGAAACGUAAGCAAUGAUGUAAAAGCCCAAUAAUUAAAGGGCAGUAAGGUAACUUUGUAAAGAAAAAAGUUUUGAUAUAAAAGAAAGAAAAGGAAGAGAAAGCUCUCAGAGCUUAUCAUUCAGCAAGAAUUUAAUCAUCUUGAAGAGUUUUUUUCCAAAAAUGGAUAGCUAAACCUUUUCUUGCUCUAAAUCCUAAAUCGAGACAUCACUAAUCAAACACCAGAGAAAGGAAAGAGAAACCUAAACUCAUUCAAGAUUUCUAAGCUUAACGAUCGGAUUCCAUACAGUAAGGCCGCUCGAGUCCGCUGAUCCCGUUGAGGCAAGGAGGCCGUUGAGGGAAUAAGGACAACCAGGCUGCAGGUCACUGGAAAAGGAUUGAAAAGCAGAGAAAUAAGGAUAAUUUAGGUAAUAAUUCUCAACCCUUAUCUGUUGGUGGAAGUUUGUUGCUGAUUAAUGAUGUGGAGAUUUAUGGAGGAAGAGCUAAUCUCCAGAAGUGAUAAGAAAUCUUUUAGCAUUCAAUGAACAACAAUAUCUUGUUAGGAAAUUCUAAAGAAUAUAUAAUAAACUCAACAACCAAGAUAACAUACAAUGAUUAUAUGAUGAUAAUAGAUUUUAAUCUAGGAUCAUUUAAGCAAAGUUCUUAUCUUUUGAGUAAAGAAGAGCUUGUUAGAACAGAAGAUCUACAAGCAGUAUGCACGCUUGACUUACCAAAAGAAAUAAAAAGAAAAAUUAUAAACCAUAUUGAAAUGGAUAAUUUAAAGCAUAAUAUAAUUAUGUUAACAAUAGAACAAGGAAUUGACGUAGCCUUGGCAUAUAUAGAACAUGAAAGUCGAGAAAUUGGACCAUCAUACAUAAACUACAUAGAAAAUUCAGAUAAUGAAGAACUUGAACUGUAAAAAAUAAUAUAGAGAAGCAACCUAUAAUAUAAAUCGGAUAUCUUUUAGGCGUUAUUUUAUAACAACCCACGUAACUAUAACCAGAACAAUUUAUAAACAUAAAAUGGAAACUGGAUUUUAUAUUAGUAUUCUAAAUAAUAUUUAUAUUUUAGUAAAAAUAGAGAUAUUCUAUUAUUCAGAAAAUACUACACAUAAUCCAGAAAUUUCAAAUUUAAAUAAUCCUACUUAUAUUUUAGAAACUAAUAACAAUUAUUACGAUUUUAUUUCCCUACUCCUCCUAAUAUUAUACCUAGGAUACUUGAAGGAGAACAGGUUAUAGCCUUAUAUUUAAGGAAUAAUAGUAGCACAGGAUACGAUAGAUAUACCCUAUAAUAUAAUAAUAAAACAUUCAUUAGAAUUAAAACCAACUAUUUACUCUUAUAUUUUGUUUUCUAUAAUUAUUUUAUUGUCAUCCAAUUUAACUUUGUUUUUUUUUUUUUGCUUAGUUUAUAAAUUUUAGUUUAUUUAGUUUUAUUCAGUUUACAUAUUUUAUUCAGUUUAUAUUUAGUUUAUUCAGUUUACAUUUAGGACACAAACCAAAUGGUAUCAGAGCCAUACAAUCAAAAAGGUUUAAUAAGAUUCAGUAACACUGUACCUAAUUCUAUAAUAUAAUAUCUUGCAUCUAUACAAAUAUGAAUCCAGUAGAAAGUAUAGUUAAUAGUUUAUAUACACUAAAGGUCUUUGAAAAAGAAGAGAUAAAAAAUUUAAUAAUAUCUCUUAAGACAGAAAAGAACAACAUAAGGAAUAUAGAAAUCGAACUAAUACAAGAUUUAUUGGAAAGAUCAAUAGAUACAUUAGGGGGUGAAAUUAUAAUAGAAAAGAAGAUGAAAUUCAUAAAAUUUUUAGUAUGUUGGUAUAAAAAAGAAGCAUUACCAUGAAUCAACAAGCUUUUAACACAAUACAUCAAAUGACAGAAGCUCUAGACCAAAUGAAUUUAGGAUGGGAAAAUGUGAUAACAAUUUAUAUAAAUCUAAUAACCCAAAAAAUAGAAUUAUUAGAACAAGAAAGAAUAGGAAUAAUACAUUUAGGACCAAAGAUUUAUUCUGAAUUUAUAGAUUUAUAUGAAUUUGAUAACCAUGUGUUAUUAUAUAGAGAAAUAAAAAGAACACUAGAAAGAAUAAAAAAUAGGUGUAUAAGUGAUCAAAGGAGACAAAUACACCCGUAAAAUGAAAAAACAUAAAGAACAAGGACUAAAAUGAUAUUUGCCAGAAAGGAAAAGACAAAGAACGUACGUUACACUUAACGUAACUUAGAGAAACCCAUGUGUUAAUAAUGAAGAACCAGCAUAAUUUAUACGAUAUAAGAAGCCCUUUAGCACAUUAACCCGAAUUUAGCUAAUGCAUGUGCCUAAUAUAGCGAAAUCAACAUUCAGCUCAUUAGAAUGCCAUUAUACAAAAAAACUGAAUAUUAAUAGACACUGGAUCAUGUUGGAUUGUUAGUUGUUAAUUAUGAUGGGAAUACAAUUUUCAUAACUAAUGCAUGUGCACUUUCAUUUGUGUCUAAAUAUACAAAAACUUGUAUCCGAUGGUUUACAUUUGUUUAAUCUAACGGCUAUAACAUGUAUACAGACAAACGCUACCGCUGCCAUCUUUCUUUGUCCUCGUUGUAUCCUUGAUCUUAUAUUAUCCUGGUGAUUCUUGAAAGAUCUUCCCAUUCUCACAUGCUGAGUCGCUUGCUGGGAUGAUUAAUACUCGAAGGUCCUUCAUUGGGACAUUUCAGCAAACACCUGAUUCAUUCUAUCAAACAUCUGCAUCACUAAUCGCUAAAUGAUAUAAAAUAGUUCUUUUUUGAAAAAUUGAUAUAAAUCAGUCACCUUAGAUUUUCUUAGUCUCAGAGCACAACGGGUGAUGAUUCCAUGAGAAAUAUUAAUAUGCAUGCAUCCGCUGCAUUAGUUAGAGCUGCUUGUCAUUUUCUUCGUUCUUUUGGAUACUAUUUUAAAUUUUUAAUCAGUCUAAUUCAGCUGCAUGUUUGCUUUCAGUCCAAAUCGAAAUCAGAUAUUAAGUACUUCUACUGGUAUGGACGCACCCAAAAAUCUAUGGGAUCCGUAGUUCUUGCAGAAGCGGCAGAAUGCUGCCAGCAAUUCAGGCAGAUAGAAGCUUGGUUGAGUGGUUGUUCUUCAAUGUGAAAUUCUACAUAAUGGCGAUCCUUUUAAUGGGGUUUAAAUUCUUUUUUUUUUUUUGAGUUGUUGAUUUAGAGCAGAUUAAGUAACAUGUGGCAUUCUAUAUUAAUUCUUGCAAUGCCAUUUCAUGUUAUGGCAUCAACAUUCUUGACCAUGGUUUUAUUUGCUUAAUUUUGCUUUCUGUUUUUGAUAUUUUCUUCGCAUUGUUGUUGUGGGAUUUGUUAUUUGUAGAUAGUGUAUAUGUAUGAAGAUAACGUAAUAAAGUGCUUUUGAUAAAUUCCCCUGGUCUGUUUACUUCACUAAUUCAUUAAUGAGCAAGUCCUCUAUAGAGCUGUGUUGUGCGUUCAAGUUUUGCUACAUGAAAUCGUUAGGUGAGGAGAAUUUUUAAAAGCAUACAUCGAAGUAAUGAUUAAAGGGACAAAAUCAACAUAAAUAUUGAUUAUCUUGAGUUAGAUUAUACAAAGAUCAAAUAAUGAUAAUCUAGUAAAUUUAUCAUAAUACACUACUAAAAAAUGCAUUUUAAUGACACAAAUUUUAUGACAUACAUCUUUAUGUCAUGAAAAUAUUAUGAAAAUACUUGCAUGAUGUAUAAUGCUUCUGUGAUUAUUUGAUGAUAAAUUCAUAAUUGAUGCUGAUAUGAAAUGAAGUGAUGAUAGGUAAAUAUCAUGCGAUUUUUUUUAUGGGUAAGAAUAUUUGAACCCACCAAAUUACUCUUUAAACUUACUUUUUUAUUGAUAAUUUUAUUACAAAAUUACCGAUAAUUUGAAUUACUAUUACAGAAAAACAAUAAUUAUAUAAAAUUAUUUUACUUUUACUCAUUGUUUAAACCUACCGCAAAACUCAAUCAAAGUAUGCUUAUUUUCUUCUUCUGCACAAGUGUAGUAAAGUUUUUAAUAAGUUCCUCCUUCAUCCACAGUUGAGAACUUUCUAACUUUUGUUUCUUGUUCUAGUAAUUUGGAUAUGCUGUGUUAGAUACUGAAUUUAUUAAAUUUCUUCUUCUCUUUUGAAUAAAAUCUCUUUAAAAUUCAAUUCAUAAAAAAAUAAAAAAUUAAUCUCCUUAUAAUUUAAUAUGUUUCAGCUGUCUUAGUGGACUGAUGCAAUUUGUUUCAAUCAAAGUUUUGAAGCAUCCUAAAUUAUUAUUAUUUUUGUUUAAUUUGUUUAGAGUUCAAUUGUUUAGGUCUUGGCUAAUUUUUAAUGAUAAUAUUUAUGAUUAAAUUAUAUGAGUAUGGUUAAUUUUUUUUUCCUUCAAAUUUAUUUUCUGAUGUUGCAUUUGGUUAGCAAAAAGAUAAAAAUAGUAGAAAAUGUCAGAAUUAUUGUAAUGAAAAUGUUGUUUUAGUCUGAUAUUGGGAAAAUAUCCUUAUACAUAUUGGCAUGAUAUUCAUGGGAGACCAAAUUGAGAAUGAUGGCAGACUAUGCAGUACUCACAAUUAAUUUAAAACUCACUAUUUCUAUUGUUUGUGUUUUAGUAACUUUGGGGGAAUUCCAACUAUAGUUACUAAGCUAUAAACUUGUUUAGGAUUACUAAUCAACUUGCUAGAAAGAGUUGCAAACUAAUUAGCUUUCUCUUAUAACUUUUACAGAUCAUCUGUGGAGGAGAACUGCAAGGAGUUGAAGACUCUAGACCCUAAACUUCAUAUCUUGAUUUAUAAGUGUAAUGGGCAUAAGUCCGAAUUAUGGGCUGGAGAUGGUAUAUGUAAUCAUUCUGCUCUUGGUGUUUUUUUUUUCCUCUAGUUAUUUUUGUUCUCUACUCCAUUGUAUAUUUGCAUUCAAAAGUAUUUUUUCUUUGUUUUAAGCUUUUAAAUUUAUGGAGAUGAUCUUAUUAGGCGUUAAAAAAAUAGUUGUAGAGCUUUACUAAAACUAUGUAAACUCUUAUUGAGAUUUGGGUUUGAUUUUGUAAGAUUGCUAAAAAUUUCAUAUUUUAUACUUGUUUUAUACUUUUCUAGUCGAAUUUCUUGCUUGUGGAAGAUAAAAUAAAAGUCCAAUUCAUGUUGUAAAAUUUUUUUCCUCCCUUUUUUCUUCCCUUAUAAUCAGGCUCUGGCUUUGGUGCUAUGCUUGGUGCAGUUUAUGGUUUCAAUGCAGGGAACCAAUUUCAUCAGAAUCAUCUUAAAGGAUCAAAGUGGCUUCCUUUUGUAACUGGGUAAGUCAAUGCUACUUCCUGAAUUCGAUUUGGAGUUCUUUCGGAAUAGAUUUCCUUCCCUUACAUCACUUGGCUUCUAGUUGCAUCUUCUUGGCUUUCUCCAGCGGACUUUUUUAUUGGCAAAUUCCUUUGUUUCUAUUGUUAUCAAGUGCUAGUGCUGGAUUUGGAGGUAUGAAUGGUGCCUUCAUUUUUAUUUUUUUAAUUUUAUUUUGGGUGUAUAGUAUUGUAAUAUACUUCUUUGUAUAUGUUAGAGUGCAAUUUAAGCACUAGUUUUGCAUUGUUUACUUCCCUUAAUAUCGAUGUUUUGCACUUAAUAAUAGUGAUUUACUUUUGUAGGUGCAAUUCUAUUGAUUGGUAAUAAAAUUAAGCUACAAGAUGAUAUUUAAUGAUGAUUGUUCUCUUGGAGAAAUUAUGAGCGUCAGAAGAACUUUGUUGAUAAGGCGUGGGCGCGUGCUGUCAACUACGGACCUGCAGUUUUUAGUUUAAACGUGUUUUGUAUUUUUGGUUAUUUUUGUAAUUACGAAUUUAAUAUUUCAGAUAUUAGCAUUUUAUUUUAAAUAGAAUUCUAGAGGAGAAGAGAGGGAGAGUAUUUAAGGGAGGAAUCUAUUGUGAAAGAGGGUAGAUUGGAGAAAAGAAAGAAACCCUAGAUCUAAAUUUUUCUCUUCUCACUAUGAAGAACUAAACCUAUUAUUCUGGUUGAAGGUUAAUGAAGCUUUGAUUCAUCACUACUGUGAGAUCUUUCUUAUGCUUUAAUUGUUUUAUUGCUUUUUGGGUAUUUGUUUAAUCUCUGAAUUAUUUUCAUGAUUAUGUUUGUUAAUUAGAUAACUGGCCACUAUUUAAUUAUCAACUUAAUCUAUUGUCGAUUAAAGGAUUCAUCGUAUGAAGAUUUUAAUGUUUGUGACAAAUAACAUAGUAGAGAGUUGUGUUGUGAGAAUAAACAAUCUAAUUUAAAUGAACCAUCGUAUGCGUUUGUUGAUUAGGAUUUGGGUCUCUCUGGUUUUUCAAGCUGCCAAUUGAUUAAAUCCUAUGAUCGUAUCUAGGGUUGUCUAUUGAUUAGGGAAAUAACCAACGGUCGUACCUUGGUUAUCGACUAGUUAAGGAAAGAUUGGCUAUUAGAGGGUCUCAGUAGCUAUAACCAGUCUAUUCAUAAGUAGUAAUAAUUUAUAUUUGAAUCAAUGAUCAGUAGUCGAAUCAAGCUGAGUUAAUUCCUUUAACCAGAGCUUUCUCCAAUUUGAAUUACAACUUUAAUUUGCAUUUUUGUUAUUUUAAUUUGAUUUUUAUUAUUGUCAACAAAACCCCCAUUUUAUGUUUUCCGUUUUAAAAGGAUUUAAAUAAUUACCGAUCUCUGUGGACACGACCCUGCUCAAUCACUAUACACAAUUUAUUUAGAGUAGAUAUUUAUUUUUGUUGGCUUCGACAACCAUCAGUAUAGCUAGUACAAAAUAGUUCUUCAACUUCUUACUUUUGGCUUUAAUGGGUUCGACAUAUGAUAGCGGAGCUCUAUCACCAUUUGAUGUCGGACAACAAAUAGGGGACAUAUGGGAUUAGAAAAAUAAGAAACAUGACCAAAAUAAAAAUCUAAUCUACUCAUAUAAGCAACUCAUCAAAUAAGUGUAUCACAUACUUAAGUGAAUAAGAUUCCGUGAUUUCUAGGAAUCCAAGUAAAAUUAUAACAUUCUUUAAAUAAGACUCACAAGCUUAUUAGGUGUUAUAUUGAAUCAUCUAAGUUGAAUAAUCUUUUGGGUUGAAUAUGUUAAUUUCUUAUUCCAUAUGUUUCAGCCUCUCAGUAGUUGAAUUAGCAAUGGAAAUUUGAAAAUGGAAAAACUCAAUGCAAUUAUUUUAGGUGCUUAUCAUAGAUAAGAAUUUCACUUUUUACACUUCAGUGUCUGUUGUCAAAUUUAUUAAGUAUGAACCUGGAUUAGGUUUGUGCUCUCGAGGAUUUAUAAAUAAGUGCUACUUGACUUAGAUGUAAGAAAAUUGAAAAGCAGAGUUGCUUGAUUGAAUAGCUUCAUAUUUUACAUCACAGAAACUCAAUUUUCAUUGCCAUAUGUAGCUCAAAAGAGCAUGGACAUUGAACAUUCAGCUAAUUUAUACUAACUAAUUAACAUGACUAUCAGUUCUUACUUCUUGGUACCCGACAACAUCCAUCCAUAAGAGUGAAACCCCCAUUGAUUUCAUAUAUACAAAAUAAAUAACUUACAAAGACAAUAUUUUGUAUCAAAUAGUUGAUUUCUUCAUGUGAAAUUCUACCUAAUGGCUAUCCUUUUAUCUGGUUUAAAUUCUUCUUUUUUCUUUGAAUUGUUGAUUUCUAAUGUUCUUGUCAUUUGCACAUGUGGCGUUCUGCACUCUUGCAAUGCCAUUUCUUGUUAUGGCAGCAGCAUUCUUGGUCAUGGCAUCACAAGCAAAUGCUUUUGAAUUGCUUUGUUUGUUUUUUGUUUCUGAUAUUUUUUUUUUUUGGCAUUGUGGGAUACUGUUUCUCUUUUGAUUUUCUGUCUUUGUUGUUAUGGGAUUCUGGUAUAGUAUGCAUCAGUACACGUAUGAAGAUGAUGUGAUAAAGUGCUUUUGAUAAAUUGCCCCAGUCAGUUUACUUCACAAACCAACCAUUAAUGAGCAAAUCCUUCUAAUGACCCUUGUACACAUUAGAAUGAAUGCAAUUAUAUAUAUACACAAAAAUAAAUAAUUCUCAAGUAUAUUAUUUGAUAAUCGCAAAAGCAACAAGUCACUCCAAUAAAUCUCAUAACACACUUGUGGUCUAUAUUGCAAGUCUUUGUAGAGAAAAUAUGAAGGACACACAAUUGAAUUUUUUCUAUGAUAAAGAACUCUAAACAAAUUCAUAUACAUAUCGCAGUACCGCUUACAAAUUCAUUUGUUUCUUCUUUUCCUUUGAUCAAGUGCUAAUUACAGCCUUGAUAUUUCAUUUGGUUUUAGUUAAUUUUCUAUAGGGUUGUGUUGUAUGAAAUUAAUUACAAAACAAUCUUUAACGAAGUCUUAUGAAAAUACCAUAUUAUAACUACAAAGUUAGGCUUCCUAAUCAAGCUACUGUUCAUCAGAUUGUGUAUUGUGUUACUGGUGAGCUCUUAUGUCAAUUAUGACCAGACGGCGCCUUGGCUAACUGUGAGUUAUGUGCGAACAUAAGAGCUGCAAAUGAGUUAUGUACUAUUUUUAUGUGACAAGGUAUGUGCUCUGUUUUUAUGGUCUUUCUCUCUGUAGUUCCCUCUGUAGUUUUUUUUUUGGGAUACAUUGAUAAUAAAAUUAGAAGUCUACUAAUAUGUACAAUCAGAAACCUAUUGGGGACUUUUUGUCUUUUGAUGCAGUUGUAGGGCACAGCUCAAAUAUUCUUUCCUCAUUUAAUAUUGGAGAAAUCCGACUCCCAAGCGAUUCUGUUUGCGGUUGUUGGACAAACUGUAAUGUGAAUUUAUAUCUAAUGGGUGUGAUAAUCCUUGUAGUCAGUUUGGGAUUGUUGAUAUAGAUAUGAUGUUUAGUCUCCAAAAUUCAGAUGAUGAUAAUCUUGUGAGAACUUUUUGUCAUAUUUUCUUUUGUGUUGGUGUUGGGAUCUUAAUUUUGUAACCAAUGUUACGGACAAUAUGAACCCAUUUUAAGUGAUAUGAUGCAAGUUCAUGUUCAAGAAUCCCUUUAAUGAAACAUUCCAGUGUUUAAUAAUGAUGAGUAAUUGAUUUAAAUUAAUACCAAAUAUUUUAAAUAACAUGUGGCGUAUUCUAGUGGGAUCCUCCAACUCAGAUUUCUAACUCAAAUGGAAACGUUUCGAAUUUCUUCAUAACAUUCUGUAGAACGGUUCUUCUCGUCUUUACACUUCCUUUUGUGAAUUUCUCCCAGUUUCUUUUGUGAGGACUUCUGAAUAAGCUUCCAGGUAUUGAGAUACAAUCCAAUCUAAGCCCAUAAGUAUAUCCGCCUCACAUUUGUCCAUUUCCCCAGAAAAUCAAAAAGCACUUUGCUUCGAAACAAUCACUCUCAAAAAAACCAUCUAGCUACCCAGAUGGCGAAAUCAAGAAUCUUGCAAUGGCAAUGCCAUUUCUUGUCAUGGCAGCAGCAUUGAUGAUCAUGGCAUCACAAGCAAAUGCUCUGAAGCUGUACGUACGAUCACCUUUCUUUGACAUGAUGUUCCCAAUGACAGAAGAUCCUUUCAGGGUUCUUGAACAAGCCCCUCUAACAAUCCCAAAAGGUGCUGAUCAUCAUCAAACUCUAACCCAGGCGAGAGCAGACUGUAUGGAGACACCAACAGCACACGUGAUCACGCUCGACAUUCCAGGGAUGAAGAAAGAUAAUGUGAAUAUUGAAGUUGAAGAGAACAGGGUCCUGAGAGUGAGUGGGGAGAGGAAGAGUGACGAUCACUAGAAGGAGGGAGUUGAAGGAGAGAAAUAGCACAGAGCUGAGAGAACAUUUGGCAAGUUUUGGAGGCAGUUCAUGAUGCCCAUGAGUGCUGCCUUGGAUCAUGUUAAGGCUCAUUUGGAAAAUGGUGUUCUGAGGAUCACAGUGCCAAAGCUUAGUGAGGAGAAGAAGAGGCAGCCCAAGGUUAUUAACAUUGAUGAAGAGCCUGGUAAUUCUUCCGGUGAAGAUAUUAAGACCGCCAAGGCUCAAAUGUGAUUUGAUUAAAGAAAGAAGUGCUUGAUGUGCUAUUUGUUUUGUGAUCUUUUCUUGGUUUUGUUGUGGGAUGUUUUUCUUUGGAUGUUCUGUUUAUUGUAUUUUGAUGGAUUUUUAAAGAUGGCUUGUAUGUAUUAACAACAAUAAAGUGUUUUCUAUAAAUCCGGGUCCUAAAUUUGUAAAAGAAAUUAAUAAAACGCUUGGUUUAUUGUUAAUAAAAAUAAAAAAGAAGUCUCUUUUUCUUUAGCAUAUAUUAUGCAUUUUAAGGAAAAAAAAAUUAUCACAUUCUAAUUCAUAAAGAUAUUCCUCUUCUGUCAUAUUAAUGUGUUAAUACGACGGUCUAUUGGAGUUAUAAUAGUUUAGAUGAAUCCAAAAUAUUCAACAAUUGAUAAAUAGUAUAUAUAAAUAUUAAUAGCAAUGGCACAUAAUCAAGUAAUUCAAGAACUUGCCCAUAGUGCAUUAAGUUAAAAGAGUAAAAAUAACAUUACAAAACAUGCCAGACCUUACGUGUUAAAUUAGCAAUUGAAAACUACUUUACCGUACAACACCAUUAAGAGAUAUUUAUAACACUGUUGCUGAUGAGGCAGCUGUUAAUUCUUUUGGUGAAGAUGUUAAGGCCACUAAAGCUGGAACGUAAUCAGGGAAAUAUAAUGUAUUCACUUAGUUUGCUAUUUGUGUUUUUAUAUUUGUUUGGCUAAUUCUUUGAUCAGAUUGCUUUUUGUUUUUGAGAUUUUAUUGGCUUAGUCGUGGGAUAUUAUUUAAUCUUUUAAUUUUGUGUUUUUAUUGUUAUGGGAUUUGAUGAUGGCAUACAUAUAGGAAAAUUAUGUAAGAAAGCGCUUUUAAUAAAUUAUGGCCGGUUUACUAUUAAUUAACUAAAUUUAAUUUACUCAAAUUACUCCUAUACACGAUCAAAAUAAUUUCAAUUCCAUGAUAUAAAUACGCGCGUGCGGACACACAAAAUGUAAAUAACUUUCAAAUACAAAAUAUUUAAAAUAAUCAUCAUACUAACAAUUCACAAGUUAGAUUAUAAUAAGGCCCCCAAGGCUUAAAUGUAAUUGAUUAAAGAAAGAAGUGCUUGCUUUCCUUGAUGUGCCAUUUGUCUAUGAUGUUUUCUUGGUUUUGUUGUGUGAUGCUUCUCUUUAGAUGUGCUGUUUAUUGUAUUUUGAUGGGUUUUUGAGGAUGGUUGUAUGUAUUAGCAACAACAAGGUGCUUUUUAUAAAUCCGGGUUCUAAUUUUGUAAAAGAAAUUAAUACUCUUGGUUUAUUGUUAAUAAAAAAGAAAAAAGAAAAAACCUUUUUUCUGUGGCAUAUAUUUUGCAUUUUAAGAAAAAAAAAAUCACAUUCCAAUUCAUGAAAGACAUUCCUUCUGUCAUAUUGAUGUGUUAAUAGAAAGAUUUAUGUGAAUUAUAACAAUUUUGAUGAAUCUAAAUAUUUAAUAACUGAUAAAUUGUAUUUAUAAAUAUUAAUGCCGGUGGCACAUAAGCACUUAAUUCAAGAACUCCCCUAUGGUGCAUUAAUUUAAAGAGUAGAAAUAUUUAAUAAAUCAUGCUCGGUUUACUAUUAAUUAAUCAAAUUUAAUUUACUCAAAUUACUCCUCUACAUGAUCAAAGUAAUUUCAAAUAUACAACACACAAAAUGUAAAUGACUUUGAAAUAUAAAAUAUUUAAAAUAAUCACCCCACUAACAAUUCACCAGCAAGAUUGUAAAUAGUCGAAAUAAUGAUAAUCUAGGGGGUCCAGUCAUAAUAAUUUGAUUUUUAUUUAUAUUAAUUAUAUCAGAAAGAGUACGCGAGAUUAUAUAUAUAUAUAUAUCCAACAGCUAAAAUUUCAAAACAAUAUUUGCCCAAGUCUGAUGAAGAGAAUACAUAUAUAUAACAUGCACUCGCACACAUUCUAUUGUUUAAUUAAAAAAUUCGAAAGCCCAUUAUAUACAUGAUAAAGACUCACCGACACCGAACCAUAUUCAUUUAAAGGAAUUGUUUUCAACUGAGAUUUGAAAUUAUAUACACAAACACACCCGAUUUUUUUUUUUUAAAAAAAUUACUAAUAAUAAAAUAUUUAAGACGUCCUCUGUUCAAUAAUCAAAAACCCAUUUAAAAUCUAUUUCAACUUUAGGUAUAUGGGUUAACAAGUCCCAAUAUUGUCCUCCAUCCUUUCUGCACUUCUCUUCCAUCAACGGACAUGCCGAGAUCCAUAAUUGCAAAAGUGAGGAAGGCAGGCCCUUCUCCGGAAAGUAUUUGAGCUUGGGACAAUAGAAGAGUUGCAAUUCAGUGAGGUUUUGAAGAUCAACAAUUGAAGAAGAUAGGCGUUCCAGAUUUGGAAAAUUAUCAAUCCAAAGAGAUGUUAGAGAGGCAGGAAGAGGAAGCGUGGUCCCCAAUCUUAUGUCCUCCGAUGGGAAUGACACCAUGUCGUCAUCACAUCCUCUGAUUGUGAGUUCACGCAGAGAGGAGAAUCUGUGAAAUCCCCGGCCCCGCUCAAUCAUUGACUUCCAAAUCUUCAUAUUAUUAUCAAUCAUAAGAGAAUGAAGGUUGGGGGGAAGGCCAUCAUCUUCAAGGCUUGGAAGCUCACCUCCUAUUCCUAUUGUUAAUUCUUGAAGAGAGUUCAGAUUGUGCAAUCCCUUGGGUAUGGCCUCUAGUCUGUUACAACCAGAUAUCUCCAGCCUCGUGAGUUUCGCACAAGGCAAUCCCCCUUCGGGAAAGGACUCCAGAUUUCCACAAUUUAAUAUCUUAAUCUCUUGAAGCUGGCGGAGAUUAUGUAAACCACUCGAUAAAUUUUUCAGACUUUCACACCCAAAAAUACUGAUUGUUUCAAGAGAUGUGUUGUUGUCCAACCUUUCUGCUAUUGACUCCAGCUUUGAACAUCCCCAAACAAAAAGGGACUUAAGAGACGGAGGUAGAUUGCCAACUUCAAGGGACUCAAGCGUGGCAGGUAACUCAUUUUUUGAAAAUAUACAUGUCAGAGAUGGACACCUGUCAAUUAAUAAGUGCUCAAGAAGAUAUGAGGUGUACCUUCUGCUGCUGCUGCUGCUCUGGAUGCCCUCUUCCACUGUCAAAGUCCUUAUGUUACUGCAACUCCGGAUCUCCAACCUCUUAAGGCUCAGUGGUAGCUGGACUCCAGCAAUAUAUGUCAACGAAUGGCACCACAAAAUCUCCAAGAUCUCGAGAGAUGAAUUGGUGUCGCACAUCCAUGCCUCUGGUAACGAUUUCAGUGCAUCACAAAUCGAAAUGGAUAUUCUCCUCAACUUGGAAGACAGAGCAACCUCAGGAAAGGAAACAAGGGACCUGCAGCCGUAGAUUUCUAUCUCUCUCAAGGAGCUAAGGCUGAGCCAUGAUUGUGGCAACUUCACAAGGUCUUGGCAAUCUCUCAAUUCUAUAUAUUCGAGUCCGCACGACAAAUCGCAGAGCUGCUGUUGUUGGUCUUUCUCUUCCUCCGCCACCAAGGAUUGAAGUUUGGGACAGCUUCUUAUCUCCAGACAUUUGAGAGAGCAAAUGUCUUGUUGUAAUCCGUCAUGACUCUUCCAUAUAUAUGUUUGCUCUCUUGUCGACAAAAUUAAUACUUCCAAUUUCGGUAGUCGUGGCUUUAAUGGCCCUGCGAGAAACACUUGAUUUGAUGUAUCUCUACAAACCACUGAAUUCUGUGAGCCGAGAUGAUCAGUUACACUUCUCCACAACCUUUUUACAUCCACCAAUUUCCAAUUUGCAAAGAGCUGGAAGACUCGAAACUGAAACUGACAAUUCUUCACAUCCUUUAAUAACAAGCUUCUCCAAUGCAGGAAGGUGCUCUGGAAAUGUUCCUUGCAGCUUAGAACAUCUUAAAAUGUGAAGCUCUCUCAAUUUAGGAAACCGUUCAACUCCUUGACUGGAUCCAUGAGGAAUCCAGUCUUCCCAUCCUUGCAUGUCUUCAAAAUGAAGAGUCUCCAAGCAUGGAAAAGGAAUUGGAGUAUCAUUCCCAUAGAACUCUGAACCCAACCUCUUUACACUAGUCAUUCCACAUACUGCAAGAUGCUUUAGAGAGGGUAGUUGGCCGACUGACGGCAGGGUAGGACACAUGCCACAAUAUUCAAAUUUUAAGGUCACCAAAUUUGAGAAUGAGGAAUCUCCGAACCAAGUUGGAAAUUUUGCACCUCUAUAGCCGCUGAUACAAAAUUGUUCCAAAUUUUUAUGGGGUUCUAGCAUGUCAAGCACGUCCUUUUCAAUUUCCGCCUCCCUUGAAGACGAGCCAUCGGUACUGAGUGUCCAUCGAAGCAAUAAUUCUCUAAGAUUCUUCUUUCCAUCCAAUUGAGCCUCCUUUGCAUCACCAAUGUCUUUUACAUUCUCCAAUUUUGAAAUGUUAAGUGUCCCAUGAAGGUGCGUCAACAACUUUAGCUCUCGUAACCCCGAACCACUACCUUUUCCCACAACAAAAUUACACAACGUCUGAAGACUAGUCAACCUACCAAUUCCUACUGGCAUUUCCUCCAACGACUUCGUAUUUGAAUUCUUAAGAUGAUGCAAUUUGGCGAGGUUUCCCAUGUGUGCACACAACUUCUUCAGCCGAUCACAAUCUUCCAACAAAAGACAAUGCAAAUUGUAAAGCUUGUUGACUGAUUCAGGCAAAGUUCUAAUCUCAGUUCCAGACAGGUUAAGGUACCUUAAAUACCUCAAAUCACCAAUUGAAUUCGGCAGCUCAGGGAUGCGGUAUCCACGCAAAGAGAAUCAAAAUGAUUUUUAGUUGUUCAUAAGCAGAUCACUAGAUCAACAAAUAAUUGAAGACUGGCUUGGCUAUUGAACCAUACGCGGAAAUUCGAAGACUGAAACUUAACUCUGCCGUUCGAAGUAAGCAACUAAGGUGCCCAAAGCCUGUCAAGCCAUCAAGACAAUAUGAAGAUACAACAUCAAUAAUAAUAACAUCAAAAAAUACAUAGAGGCCAUUACAUAUUACACCUACCCCAAUUAGAAAUUAGUUAAUACAGUCCUAGCUCCUCUGUUUUAAAAGAAAUUCACAAACCCAUGCAGUAGGAAUAAUUAAUUAAUUUAUACAGUUCGGUACUCAUUCCUCUUCUGUUUCAAAUCCAUAUCCACUGCUCUGCCAUUUAUUACUACGCAAGGUAUAUGGGUUAGCAAGUGCCGACAUUGUCCUCCAUCCUUUGUGUACCUUUCUUCUAUCAAGGGACAACCCAAGAUCUCUAAUCGCAAGAAAAAUAUUUCAAAGUAAAAAAUGAUUUCUUAAAAUCUAUUAGCUAGUGCACAUAAUAAAAGGGCAUUCGUGGUAAAUUUUAGAUUACAAGUAGUCCCACCUUUUUAAUAAUAUUCUACAAUCAAUUCCGUUUGUUUUAAAAUAAAAGGAAUCUAUCUCUUUAUUACUUUCUAAUUAGUCAUAUUAAUGUGUUAAUAAUGAUGAAGAACCAGCGUAAUUUAUAUGAUGUAGGAAACCCUUUAGGCAAAAUAACCUGAAUUUUUUAGAGUAGCGGCUAGACAUAUUGGGCAUAACCUCAGUUUCUGUUACUUCUUUGACCCUGCCUAAGCUCUUUUAAGGGCUAAUAUCAAAAUUUCGUGAUAUUGUGCCUAAAGAGCUUCCAAUUCAAGGAGCUCCCCUGUUUUUGACUGAAACAUAUGUAAUCCGAAAAAUUUAUAAUUAGAUAAAUCAUUCAAAAUCUCCCUGAAUCUAACCCACAUUUCUAUGGUUUAAUAACAUAUCACAAAGGUGCCUAAUAUAAUGAAAUUAGCAUUAGUUCACGAGAUUGCCAUUAUAUAUAUUGAAAAAGAAAUUAAUACAAGAAACUGAAAAUUAAUUGACACUGGAUCACGUCGUGUUAUUAGUUUGAUUAUGAUGGGAAUAUAAUCUUGGUCUUUUAAUUAUCAUCUGUUAGGAAAUUGGUGGGUGAAGCAGACACGCAACUAAAGUAAAAUUGUAAGAAAAUAAAGAACAAGCACAAAAAUGGACACUAGAAUUUACGUGGUUCGGCUUUUAACCUACAUCCACGGGCGAAAACAGAAGGAAAUAUUUUACUAGUGAAAAGGAGUUACAAGUAUUGUAGUAUUUUAGCUCACUUCCCAAAACCCCAAUACACCCAAACUCUCAUAACACUAAUCACUCAAGAGUUUAUUAAACUCUUAAUACUCUCAACUCUUAAGGAAGGAAAUGCUUCUCUCUCAAAAUGAAAUAAAUUUGCUCAUUCUCUUCGUUUCUAUUUAUAGAGAAAGCUUUGGCACUAUUCAUCAAUUAUAUAUUUUUUUUUUCUUCUUUCUUUUGUCAAAGCCGUGUGCCUCUUAUUUCUUCUUCAAACAUUUACAGCUUCUAGAUUGCGGCUUCUCAUUCUCCAUUCUUCUUUUGUUUUCUUUUCCAACGAAAGAUGGUGUUGACCAUCUAGAUAGCCAUUUUUUUUUGACAUUUCUCCCACUUGGAGAUUAGAUUGAGGACCAAUCAAUCUCCACAUCAUCUAGCUACCGCAUGUGCACUAGUUUCAUUUGUGUCUAUCAUUGAAGAGUAGAGUUGCUUGAUUUGAAUAGUAUCAUAUCAUAGAAACUCAAAACUCAAUUUCGUUGCCCGAGCAUACCAUGCCAUAUGUAGCUCAAAAGUGCAAUAACAUUGAACAGUCAGCUAGCUAGCUUUUACUAAUUAAUUAAUACGACUAUCAGUUAUUUUUGAUUAAUUAAAAGAGAAAAUAUUUGACAAUCAUGAAAACAACAACAAUUCACUCCAAUAAACAACAUAAUAAAUACAUGAUAUUUAUUAAAAGUCUUUUUAUGAUGUAGAUUAGAAGGGAAAAUACGAAGGACAUAUUAUAUAUUAUAUAUGAUUGAAUUUAAUCCAUGAUAAUUAGACAAAAUAACACUAAUCUAGCUAACUAAUCCAACCAUCAUAAUAAUUUGAUUUUCAUUAUUUUAUUGUGUCCAAUCAUGCUAAUUUAAUAAGAAAAACACAGAACACUUGAGGAUUUAGAUAUUCAACAACUUUGGCCAAGUUUGAAAAAGAUUAGGGCUUCCUUCAUGCUUUGUGUUCUUAUGUUACACAUGAUCAUAUUAUGUGACAUUUGACAGAAAACUGAAAAUUAUUCAAAAAAAAAAUCUUAGUUAGCACAUGAUCAAAAUGAGAGAAUAAUGCACACACAUCACAACAAUGUUUCAUUCAUUUUGAAUCUAUAUUUACAAAACUUGUCCGAUGGUUUACAUUUGUUUAAUCUAACGGCUAUGACAUGUGUACUGUCAAAACGCUACAGCUGCCAUCUCUGUUUGUCCUUGUUGCAACCUUGAUCUUAUAUUAUCCUGGAGAUUAUUGAAUGUUCUUCUCAUUCUCAUGUGCUCGAGGGUCCUUUCUUGAGACAUUUCAGCAAACACCUGAUUCAUCCUAUUAAACAUCAGCAUCAUUAAUCAGUAAAUGAUGUAAGGUAGCCCUGUUUUGAGAAGUCAACAUAAAUCAGUCACCUUAGAUUUUCUGAGUCUCAGAGCACAAUGGGUGAUGAUUUGAUGAGAAAUAUUAAUAUGCAUGCAUCCCCUGAAUUAGCUAGUGCUGGUUGUCAUUUUCUUCUUUCUUUUGGUACGGUUUUAGAUUAUUAAUCAAUCAGAUUCAGCUGCAUGUUUGCUUUUAGUCCAAACCAAAAUAAGAUAUUAAGUACUUUUGCCAGAACAGACGCAACCAAAAUUCUAUGGGAUCUGUAGUUCCUAGUUCAUGCAGAAGCGGCCGAAUGCUUCCGGCAAUCAGGCAGAUAGAACCUUGGUUGAUUCGUUUUUCUUCAUCUGAAAUUCUACCUAAUGCCUAUCCUCUUAAUUGGUUUAAAUUCUUCUUUUUUUUCUUUGAAUUGUUGAUUUAUAAUGUCUUGUAUGCAAAAAUUUAUAAUUUCGGAUGAUGAUAAUCUUGUUUAAGAAGAGAUUUCUAGUUACGGCAGCAGCAUUCUUGAUCAUGGCAUCACAAGCACGUGCUCUGGUUUGCUUAGUUUCCUUUUUGUCCCUGAUAUUUUCUUGGUAUUGUGGGAUAUUGUUUCUCUUUUGAUUUUCUGUUUUUGUUUGCUUAGUUUCCUUUUUGUCUCUGAUAUUUUCUUGGCAUUCUUGUUCUCUCUUAUAAUAAAGUGCUAUUGAUAAAUUCGCCAGGUCGGUUUACUUCACUGACCAUUAAUGAGCAAAUCCUCCCAGUGACCCUCAAACUCUUCUACACAAUUAUAAUAAUUUCAGUUUUAUAUAUACAAAAAUGAACAGCUCUCCAAUAUAUUAUUUGAUAAUGACAAAUACAACAACUCACUCCAAUAAAUCUCAUAAUAAAUAAAUGGUCUAUAUUGCAAGUCCUUUUAGGACACAUUAAAAAAGAAAACGUAAGGAAUGGCAUUGCAAGAAUAUGGAAUCAGAAUAACAGUGAUACAAAGAGAAAAAAAAGGGGAUGGUCGGGUUGGGUUGCUUGCAAAAUUAUUGGUGCGGGGGUCUACUUGUUUUUGUUUCACUUUAUUAAUUAAUUACCGAAGCAAACACGUCAUCAUUUGAAAAAGAAUCACUAGCACCAGCUUAUGAAAAAUAAAUUUGUAAGACAUAUUAAUUUCAAUGAAAAUGUAGCGUGAUUAUGUUAUGAAUUCAUUAACUUACUUCAUUAAUAUUCUUCAUCAUUAUGGUUAAUGGCUUAGCAAAUGCAGGAGCAGGGGUCACCCAAAGUAAAACACUUUCUCUUGUAUUAACCUUUGCUAGCCGUCGAAGUUAAAUUUUUUUUUGAACAAGUUAAAACAGUUCCAACUCAGAAUUAGUAGUGCCCAAUUGGGUUGUUAUAAAUAUUUCGGAAUUUCAGUCUAAGUUGAAUUGUUUAAUUGUGUAUGCACAAACAAGCUUGACCACUUCUUUCAUAUUGAUACCUAUAAAUUGCAACCUUAUUUUACGUUGAUGCACAAUCUAAUUUAACAAAAAGAAUAUUCAAAUUGUCACAAAAUGUUUUCUUCUUAAUAUAUAUAUAUAUAUACAAUAGUUAAUUUUUCUUAUUCUUCACUCCAGGAUCCAGCUCCAUACCCCUCUCUUUGUCGUUAUGCUGCUCAGCCGUUAGAUUUUAAUUACAUUAAUCUAACAGUUGAGAUUUGUAAAUGAAUAAUGAUGUGGUGUUUGGCUACUAUCUGAGCCCACUGCAUCUAUUUGGUUUUGUGAUUUUUCGAUUGACUAGUUCUGAAAAUAUCGGCAGCCAUCGACGGCAAAUCUGAACAAAGGCAAUAGGAGGUGAUCGUGGUGAAAUUGUUUUUUGUCAUGCGAAUCUAACGACUUUCGAAUACGUUCAUUCAAAUAUUAAAUGCAAUUCAGGAAAAUAGAAGCUUGGUUGAUUGAUUGCUCUUCAUGUGAAAUUCUACCUAAUGGUUGUCCUUUUAAUGGUUUAUACUGUCUUAUAUGCAAAUUAAAUUCGGAAUUCGGAUGAUAAUAAUCUUGAUUUAGAACAGAUUAGGUAACACGUGGCAUUCUACAUUCUUGCAAUGCCAUUUCUUGUUAUGGCAGCAGCAUUUUUUAUCAUCGUUUCUAGAGAGAAUGAAGAGAGAGAGAAAGUAUCAUCUUAUUCCUUGUUAGUUUCUCCGUGUGAGCUCUGUAAAAUACUUUGAUUCAUAAAUAAAACUCAUUUUAGUCGAUUCUCCCUUGGAUGUAUGUUCUGCCUCAUUGCACAGCCGAACCACGUAAACAGUGCUGGUUUCUGUUUUUUUUCAUUUGUGUCUAUCACUAAAUUAUAAUUGCAAUAGGCAGAGGCUAUAGCUUUUAAAUAUUUGUUAGAUCCAUUGAGAAUAAUUAUAUUGGGCUAAUUUUCAAACACAAUAGGCAGAGGCUAUAGCUUUUAAAUAUUUGUUAGAUCCAUAGUAUUAUCGUCAUCGUUAUCAUUUAAACAAAGAAACAAAAUAAAUUUCAUUAAACUGUAGUAGUGGAUUAAAAGUUAGUCCAUAGUAGACAUUAAGAUUGAUAGUUAGUUCAUAGUAGACGUUAAGAUUGAUACUUUCAAUUAGCAUAUUCAUCAAAGGUAUCCAUGAUGUAUAUACUCGAGCUCCACUUGGGAUGUAUAAAUAACUCGACACAAACAUUCAAAUCAAAAGUUUAAAAUUGACAAAAGAUAUCUUUAUUAAAUGAGUUAGAUCUUUGUUAUCGACUCACUUUCGGUGAAUAAAUGAGUGCUUUCACACCAAGGGAAACGGCAUUUAAUAUUUUCAGCUACCUAGCGUUGACUUCUCCAAAGAAGCAUGUGAGUGUUCAUAUUCGGGCAACUAGUAUAUUAUUUCAUUACAACAUAGUUAAAUAUAGCGUAAUAUAAUAUUUAUAAUGGAAUUAUAAUAUAAUGUGUGUAAUAGUAUCAUAUUACAUCACAUAAACUCUCUCAAUUAUUGAAAAAGAAAAUCUUAAAAGAUCCCUACUCUGUACUUAAAAAAUCUUCAAAGUUUGCAAUUAUUGAUAACUGAAAAUUAUUGAAAAAAAAAAUCUUAAAAGAGAUGUGUUGAAUUGUGAAAUUAAAACUGAGUUUCAGACAUUUCUGACAUGUCGGUUUAUAUCCUUGAUUGUGCAUGCCCUGUCGGUUGCUUGAUGAAACAGGAGAAUAUUGACAUCUGUGUAUUAUCGUUUACUUCCUGCAAUUAAAUCACAUGUUGUUCACGUGAUUCCAUUUACUCUAUACGGCACAUUUGGCAGUCGUUUUGGUCACUUACCGAAGCACGGGUUAAGUACUUGAUUCAAGGUUGUUAACUGACCUUUACAAGGCGGGAAAAACAAACCCGGAAUGCAGCUAGUGAGUGGGGGACUUUUCUGGACUCUUCAUGAUAUGUAUAUAUAGUCUUAGAGGCUAUAGUUGAGACAUAUGAAAAGCUUGGAACUUCUUCUUAAUGUUUGUAGUUUGAUCUCGGUGAUGGAGAUAAGAUUGCUGCCCUGUUCUCCAGGCCGAACCACUUAAAUUGUGCCUCUGUUUUGCUUGAUGACUGCCAGUGGUGAGAAAACAGCUACAGAACAAAUCAAGCUUGAUGACUCAAAUAUUAGGGAAGCCAUAGUCAAGGCAUCUGGUUUAUGCAUCAACAGUGGUUCGUGGACUAGAAUUCCUAGCUAUUGCGGCUUCACAAUUGCACUGGAAGAAAGCGAAUUUGAUCGAGCUUUGGAUCGCAUAGCUAAAUUCAAAAGCAUCGUACAAAUAGUUAACUAAAAAACGGUAUUGUCAUUUGUCAUGAUUUAUUUCUAUUGCCUGAUGAUGAUACCCAUCACGCCUUAGUUGUCGUGAAUAAAUCUAAAAUCAAAUUGAACUGGUUCUUACUGGUUUUAGCAACAUUUGUGACGUUUUGAGAUUAUAAUAUAUGACAACACUGAUUAGUGUUGUCUCCCAUGUGAAUUGAGACAAAAAUUAUUUUCCCAAUUGCACUUUCAUUUGAACAAUUCCACUGUAGAUUUAUAAAAUAAUGAUGAAAUUGUGUUUUAUAUUAAGUUAUGAGUAAUUGGUUAAAUAUUAAUACAAAACUAUUUUAAGUAACAUGUGGCAUAUUCUAAUUCUAGCCAAGCUUCCAACUAAGAUUCCCAAAUCAAAAGAAUUUCAAUCUUCAGAACAUUCUGCAAAACGUUUGGCCUCUACGCAGUGCUAGAAUUUUCCCUAAGUUUCUAUCGCAAAGACUUCUAAAGAACUAUUCAGAUGUCGAGCUAUAAUCCAGUCUAAAGUGUAUAUAUCUCUCUAAUUCACCUCCCUCCAUUUCACCAGAAAAUCAACAAACACUUAGCUUCAAACAAACACUCUCAAAAAGCUAGCUAGCUACACAGAUGGCAAAACCAAGAAUUCUUGCAAUGACAAUGUUGUUUCUUGUUAUGCUAGCAAUAUUGAUGAACAUGGCAUCUCAAGCAAACGCUCUGAUGCCGUACACACAAUCACCUUUCUUUGACAUGAUGUUCCCAAUGACGGAAGAGCCUUUCAGGGUUCUUGAACAAACCCCUUUAACAAUCGCAAAAGGAGCUGAUCAUCAUCAAACUCUAGCCCUGGCGAGAGCAGACUGGAUGGAGACACCAACAGCCCACGUGAUCACGCUCUACAUUCCAGGGAUGAAGAAAGAUAAUGUGAAGAUUGAAGUUGAAGAGAACAGAGUACUGAGAGUGAGUGGGGAGAGGAAGAGUAAUGAUUAUUAUAAGGAGGGAGUUGAAGGAGAGAAAUGGCACAGAGCUGAGAGGACAUUUGGCAAGUUUUGGAGGCAGAUUAGGAUGCAUAUGAGUGCUGACUUGGAUCAUAUUAAAGCUCACAUGGAAAAUGGGAUUCUGAGGGUCACAGUGCCAAAGCUUGCUGAGGAGAAGAAGAGGCAACCUAAGGUUAUUAACAUUGAUGAAGGGUCUGGUAAUUCUUCCAAUGAAGAUAUUAAGGCUACCAAGGCUCAAAUGUAAUUGAUUAAAGAAAGAAGUGAUUGCUUUGCUUGAUGUGCUAUUUGUUUAUGAUCUUUUCUUGGUUUUGUUGUGAGAUGUUUCUAUUUGGAUGCUCUAUUUAAUGUAUUUUGAUGGGUUUUUGAGGAAGGCUUGUAUGUAUUGACAACAAUAAAGUGCUUUUUAUAAAUCCUAGUCCUACAACACUAAAAGAAAUUAAUACGCUUGGUUUAUAGUUAAUAAUUUUUUUUUUUUUUAAAAGUCUUUUUCUUUGGCAUAUAGUAUGCGUUUUGAGGGGAAAAAAAUUUAUCCCACUCCUAAUUCGUGCUCUUCUGUGAUAUUAAUGUGUUAACACGAAGAUUCAUUGUAAUUGCAACAAUUUUGACAAAUCCAAACGUUCAAGAACUGUUAAAUUGCAUUGAUAAAUGCUAAUAGCAAAGGAACAGAAACGAUUAAUUCAAGAAGUUGCUUAAAGUGAAUUAAAUUAGAGAGUAUAAAUAAUUGUGUAAUACAGUCCAGUCUGCAUGUGUUUAAUUAGCAAUCAAAAACCACUUUGCAACACCAUUAAAAAAACAUUUUAACAUUAUUGCUGAGGGAAGAGGCAGCUUAGGCUUAUUAACUCGUAUUAUUAAUGCUGAUGACGCAACUGGUAAUCCUUUUGGUGAAUAUAUUAAGGCAGCUGAAGCUUAAAAUUAAUUAAGCCCACUAAAGCUUAAAAGUAAUUCUUCUAGUGACGAUGCUUUGCUUAGUUCGAUUUUCUGUUUUUAAUUUUUUUGGGGCUAACGUUUUGCUUAUUUUGCUUUUAAAACUCUUGUGCACCGUCAAAACAAUUUGACUCUUGAUAUAUAUGUAUAUAUAUAUAUAUAUAUAAAUGAGGUUUCAACAGCUGAGAAAGAGAUAGCCACUAUACAUUACACAUUUACACCCAGUAAGAAAUUAAUUCAUUAAUAUAGCCAUUAAGAUGCUUGGUUUAUUGUUAAUGAAAAUUAAAAAAGAAAAUAAAAGGUCUUUUUCUUUGGCCUUUAUUAUGCAUUUUAAGAGGAAAAAAAUUUAUCCCACUCCAAUUCAUGAAGAUAUUCUCGUUUCUGUCAUAUUGAUGUGUUAAUAUGAAGAUCCAUUGCAGUUGGUGAAUUCAAAUAUUCAGUAACUGAUGAAAUGGUAUUUAUUUAUAAAUUCAUACUAAUAGCGAUUGAAGAUUAUAAUUAAUUUUGUAAUAUGGUCAAGCCCUCGUGUGUUUAAUUAGCACUCAAAAACCGCAUUACAAUUAGGCAUUAAAAGAACAUUAUAACGUCAUUGCUGAUGAGUUCUGGUGAAGAUAUUAAGUUAAGGCCACAAAAAUCGAAAUGUACGUAGCUUCAUUUGUUUUUUGUUUUUGAUUUUUUUUGGGGCAAAUGCUUGGCUUCGUUUGCUUUUUCGUUUUUGAUAUUUUUUGUUUUCUUUUGAUUUUCUGUUUUGGUUGUUACGGGAUUUGAUGACGAUGUACAUGUACGAAGAUUAUGUAAUAAAAUGCUUCUGAUAAAUUAUGGUCGGUUUAGUAUUAAUUAACCAAAUUUAAUUUGCUUGAUCAAUUGAUAUUUGUUAGGAUUGUUGUUAUACAAACACAACAAAAGAAGAACACUAACGUACUAAUUAAUUACUAAGAAGAACAUUAACAAUUUUUGCCGAAGUCUGAUGAAGAGAAAUAUUACACAUACGUAACGGUACCACGGAAGGAAAAAAUAAAAGAAACUAAAGUUUAUUUCAACAGACAACAGCUAAGAAUGAAAUAGGCAUAAGAAAUUAAUCCAUUAAUUAAUUAAUUAAUACAGUCCCCCGCUACUAAAUAAAGCGAGCGUCUUACUCUACCUAACAUUUUUCUUUUUAUUAAUUUAAAACAGUUUUCAACUGAGAUUUGAAUUUUAAAAUUACAUACACAAACACACCUAAUUUUAAAGAAAAAAAAUUAUAAUAAUAAAAUAUUUUACAUAUGUAACCAUACGACGGAAGAACAAAUAUAAGAAACUGAAGUUUCAACAGCUGAGAAUGAGAUAGGCAUAAGAAAUUAAUUAAUAGAGUCCUCCUCCUUUGCUAAAUAAUGCGAGCCCAUUGUUCCUUUUAUUUCGAAAACCCAUUAAUCACCAACACAUACACGCCCAAUUUUUUUUUUAAAAAAAACUAAUAAUAAAAUAUUUAAGUCGUCCUAUGUGUUAUCGCUAAAAACAGAUUUACCAUCUAUAGCAACAUGCGGUAUAUGGGUUAACAAGUCCCAAUAUUGUCCUCCAUCCUUUCUGCACUUCUCUGUUAUCAACGGACAACCAUAGAUAAUUAAUUGCAAAAGUGAGGAAGGCAGGCCCUUCUCCGGAAAGUAUUUGAGCUUGGGACAAUGAUAGAGACCCAAGUCAGUGAGGUUCUGAAGAUCAACAAUUGAAGAAGAUAGGCGUUCCACAUUUGGAAAACUGUAAAUCCACAGAGACGUUAGAGAGGCAGGAAGAGGAAGCGUGGUCCCCAAUCUUAUGUCCUUCGGUGGGAAUGACACCAUGUCGUCAUCACAUCCUCUGAUUGUGAGUUCUCGCAGAGAGGAGAAUCUGUGAAAUCCCCGGCCCCACUCCAUCAUUGACUUCCACAUCAUCUUAUUGCCAGCAAUCCAAAGUGAAUGAAGGUUGGUGGGAAGGCCAUCUUCUUCAAGGCUUGGAAGCUCACCUCCUUUUCCUAUUUUUAAUGUUUGAAGAGAGGUCAGAUUGUGCAAUCCCUUGAGCUGGCGGAGAUUAUGUAAACCACUCGGUAAAAAUUUCAGAUUUUCACACCCCAAAAUACUGAUUGUUUCAAGAGAUGUGUUGUUGUCCAACCUUUCUGCUAUUGACUCCAGCUUUGAGCAUCCAUAAACACGAAGGAACUUAAGAGAUGGAGGUAGAUUGCCAAUUUCAAGGGACUCAAGCGUGGCAGGUAACUCGUUUUUUGAAAAUAUACAUGUCAGUGAUGGACAAUCCUUAAUUUCCAACUCCUCGAGAAGAGAUGAUGUGUAACUUCUGCUGUUGCUGCUGCUGCCACUCUGGAUGCCCUCUUCCACUGUCAAAGUCCUUAUAUUAUCACAAUUAUGGACGUCCAAGCUCUUAAGGCUCGGUGGUAGCUGGACUUCAGCAAUAUAUCUCAACGAAUGGCAGUACAAAAUCCUCAAGAUCUCGAGAGAUGAAUUGGUGUCGCACAUCCAUGCCUCUGGUAACGAUUUCAGUGCAACACAUUCUCCAAUCUCAAUUUUCCUCAACUUGGAAGGCAGAGCAACCUCAGGAAAGGAAACAAGGGAACUGCAGCCAAAGAUUGUUAUCUCUCUCAAGGAACUGUGGCUGAGCGAUGAUUGUGGCAGCUUUACAAGGCCUUGGCAGCCGCUCAAUCUUAGAUAUUCAAGUCUGCAUGACAACUCGCAGAGCUGCUGUUGUUGGUCUUUCUCUUCCUCCGCCACCAAGGAUUGAAGUUUGGGACAACUGUCAAUCGUCAAUCUUUUGAGAGAGCAAAUGUCUUGUAGUAAACCGUCAUGACUCUUCCAUAUAUAUGUUUGCUCUUUUGUCGACAAAAUUAAUUCUUCCAAUUUCUGUAGUCGCGGCUUUAAUGGCCCUGCAAGAAACACUUGAUUUGAUGUAUCUCUACAAACCACUGAAUUCUGUGAUCCGAGAUGACCAGUUGCACUUUCCCACAUAACCUUUUUGCAUCCACCACUUAUGAAUUUGCAAAGAGCUGGAAGACUCAAAACUGAAACUAACAAUUCUUCACAUCCUUCAAUAACAAGUAUCUCCAAUGCAGGAAGGUGCUCUGGAAAUGUUCCUUUCAGUUUAGAACAUCUUAAAAUGUGAAGCUCUCUCAAUUUAGGAAACCCUUCAACUCCUUGACUGGAUCCUUGAGGAAUCCAGUCUUCCCAUUCUCUCAUGUUUUCAAAACGAAGAGUCUCCAAGCAUGGAAAAGGAAUUGGAGCAUCAUUCCCAUAGAACUCUGUACCCAACCUCUUUACUCUGCUCAUUCCACAUACUGCAAGAUGCUUUAGAGAGGGUAGUUGCCCAACUGACGGCAGGGCAAUACACAUGUCACAAUUUUCAAAUUCUAGGGUCACCAAAUUUGAGAAUGAGGAAUCUGCUAACCAAGUUGGAAAUUUUGUACCUCCAUAGCCACUGAUACAAAAUUGUUCCAUAUUUUCAUGAGGUUUUAGCAUGUUGAGCACAUCCUUUUCAGUUUCUGCCUCCCUUGAAGACGAGCCAUCGGUACUGAGUGUCCAUCGAAGCAAUAAUUCUCUAAGAUUCUUCUUUCCAUCCAAUUGAGCCUCCUUUGCAUCACCAACGCAUUUUACAUUCUCCAAUUUUGAAAUGUUAAGUGUCCCAUGAAGGUGCGUCAACAACUUUAGCUCUUGUAACCCGGAACCACUGCUUUUUCCCACAACAAAAUUACACAACGUCUGAAGACUAGUCAACCUACCAAUUCCUACUGGCAUUUCCUCCAACGACUUCGUAUUUGAAUUCUUAAGAUGAUGCAAUUUGGCGAGGUUUCCCAUGUCUGCACACAACUUCUUCAGCCGAUCACAAUCUUCCAACAAAAGACUAUGCAAAUUGUAAAGCUUGUUGACUGAUUCAGGUAGAGUUCUAAUCUCAGUUCGAGACAGGUUAAGGUACCUUAAAUACCUCAGAUCACCAAUUGAAUCCGGCAGCUCAGGGAUGCGGUAUCCACGCAAAGAGAAGACCCUCAAGCGUCGGAGUUUGAGCAACUUAGGAAGAAUGCUAGGAGCCAAGUGGCCAGGCGAACUUUUUGUCAACAUUACUGGUAAAAAAGUUCUCAAAUGUUGGAUAUCAUACAAGUCCCCAAACCUUUUACCGCCAUCAAAAUAUUCAGGAAUGUAUGAUAGAUGACGAAGAUUUUCAGAAAAACUUUGCUGCUUGUUAACCUCUGAGGCAUACUCCAUUGUGAAGUACAUCUCCCCCGCAGCCCAACGAGCAAGGUCAUUGAUAAGAUCGUGCAUCACAAAUCGUGAUGUAUUGUUGCUUGAUUGCUGCAAAAAAGAUCUUGAACGUAGCUCUUGAAAGAACUUUCGACCUAGAUCUUCGUUAGGAUUCUCACUCUCUUUAUGAUCCAAGAAACCCGAAGCACUCCAUAAUAAAAUUAUCUCCUCCUCUUCAAAUUCAUAAUCCUUCGGAAACAACGAGCAGUAUGCAAAGCAUUGUUUCAAAAUUGGAGGAAGAUAAUAAUAGGUCACUGCAAGAGCUGGUAUAAUGGGACAUCUAUCUUCUGGUAAUUCCCAUAUCUUGCUACUGAGCACACCUUUCCACUCACGUUUGUAAGGUUUUCCAUGUAAGAGUCCUCCCAGUGUUUUUGCAGCCAAGGGCAAGCCGUUGCAUUUGAUCACUAUCUUCUUGCCAAUUUCCUCCAAUGACUUAUUUGAACUGAAAUCUCUUGUCCCCAAAGAGUGUUGAGCGAACACGGACAAACAAUCAUCAAUUGACAACUUUUCCAAUUGAUAAGCUGGAGCAGUCCCCAUGAUGGCUGCAACCUCUUGAUUACGGGCUGUGACAAUAAUCUUACUUCCCGGUGCGCCAGCUUCAAACGGACGGCUCAUGUCAACCCAAUCAUUGUAAUUCUCAUUCCAAACGUCAUCUAAAACAAGCAAAAAUUUCUUUCCAAAUAGUUGUUUCUUCAAUUUCUCUUGAAGCUUAUUCAAGUCGUUAUUAUCCACAUUCUGGUCACUAGCAAUUGAAAGUAGGAUUGAUUUUGUUAGCCUCUUAACGUCGAAAUCAUCAGAGAAAUAAGUCCAUCCCUUGAGAUCAAAAUGAUCCUGCACUUGCUUAUCAUUGUAGACAAGCUGAGCAAGAGUAGUUUUGCCCAGGCCGCCCAUACCUAUAAUAGGAAUAACAGAGAAUCCACCAUCGUUGCUUAAAUCAUCCCUCAACAGCAGUUCAACAACAUCCUUCUUUUCUGUUUCCCUGCCAUAUACUUUGGCUUCAGUCACUAAAGAGGUUGUCUCUCGCCUUUGACUGGCUUUUUUGGACCCUCCAGCUGAACUUUCUUUCAAAUCUAGCAAGUCUUUCUCUGUUAGAAUUUCUUGAAAUCUGUCGUUGAUCCCUUUGAUUUUGGACAUCAUGGCGUAAUCGAACUGAAUCGAUUGUGGAGUAAAAGUGGUGCAGCAAGUAGGAAUGAGCUUCCGAAACUUACUUGAUCUUGUACGACUGCUGCUGGGUUGAUCAUGAGCAGCAGCUGGUUCUCCAUUUCCAAGCAGCAACUUCCUCCGGAAAGCCUCAGUUUGGAACUCAUCCAACAAGUCUUCAACAUCAAAAGCCAAGUUCUGAAGCUCGCCAAGCCACAACUUCACAGACUCAUCAGUCUUCUUCUCGUCAGCAUCAUCAAGCACCGCCUUGAUCCUCACCAACAUCUUCUUCCACUUCACUAGAUUUGCUUGGAUUCGACCUUGGCGUGCAAAUAAACGAAGCCCCUCUGAAGGUAACUUAUUGAUCAGCAUCUCAACGGACGCCAUCAGGAUUGCCUCUCCGAUGAUCGACAUUUUUUCUUUUUUUGGGUUUUUAUGGACAGAGAAUGAAACUGAAUUAUGAGCUUGUGGAAAGCAGAAUGAGAAAAGUGAAUAAGCGGAGUGAGUUUGUGAUUGUGUCUAGCAAGCCUAGAAAUCAAGAAAAACCCACCGUAAAAGUGAAAAGUAAAACGGAGCCCACCACAAAUAUAAAAUCAGAGGAGCACAGAAAUUAUAAAAAAAAAAAAAUCAAACAUGGAAUGAUUUGUGAAGUUAUUAGCGAUUUGUAAAAGAGAUGGUGGGGUUGUGUUGUUUGCAAAGUUAAUAGCGUGGGUCUUUGUGUUGUUUGCAAAGUUAAUAGCGUGGGUCUAUUUGUUUUUGUUUUAACUUUUAUUAAUCAAUUAGUGAAGCAAAUAUGUAAUGAUUUGUAAAGAUCACGGGCAUCAUAUUAUUGGGAGGUAUUGUGUAUAGUAUUCACAAUUUCUUGUAAGACUUAUUAAUUUCGUUGAAAAUGUAUCGUUAUUAAGUUAUUAUUUAAUUCAUUAACUUGAGGUAUUAAUAUUCAUUAAUUGUGGUGCGGGUGAAUUUACUUAUCUUGUCAUUAUUUGUAAUUAAGAAUGAGGUUCAAUUAAUUUAUUGGAGAAAAAUUGAUUUUAAUUCUUAGGAUUUGAUUUUACUCUCUUUUACUUUUUGACGUUGCUAAAGAGGCAGUAAAAAACUUGCUAAAUGUCAUCAAAUACUUGUAUCUCAUCUCACAAAUUGGCAAUAUUUGUUUGGUAUUUCAUCUCAACGGGAUGCCGUAAGGAUUGCCUCUCCAGUGAUUGUCAUUUUUUUUUCUUUUUUCCCGCACAGAAAGAAACAGAAUUUUGAGUUUUAAAGCAAAAUGAGAAAAUUGAGCAAAAUGCAUGUAGCAAGUCUUCCGCUUGUUUAUUCCAGUAAAGUGAAAAUAAAAACAGAGCCCACCACCCAUUGAUAAUUGAAAAAUGAUAAACGAACGAAGGCGCGACGAAGGGACGACAGAAAACGCGUUUCCUCGUCCAAUUUUGUUCUUGUGGACCGACAAUAAAAUAUUUUUUAUGGGACCGACUAUAAAUAGUAAAAUAAAGAAUAAAAAAAAGAUAGUGUAAACGAACGAAAGCGCCACGAAGGAACGACAGAAAACGCGUUCCCUCAUCAAAAUAAUAUUCUUUUGUGAGAUCAAUAAUAAAUAAUAAAAUAUUUUUUUGUGGGACCGACUAUAAAUAGUAAAAUAAAGAAUCUAUCUAUAUAUAUAUAUAUAUAUAAAGUUAGGACUUGAGCAGGUGAUGUGGCAUCACCAUUUCUCAUCAUCUCAUAUUCUUUAUUAUCUAAUAAAUUUGUUGAAAUUAAAAAAUAAUUACAUUACAAAAUAUUAAAAUAGAAAAUAAUUAUUAGAUUAUAAAUGAUUACAUGUCUUUUCAUAUUUCUAUUUAAAUUUAACAAUAUGUAACCAUUAAUAAUAAUUAAUUAUAAGUCUUAAAACAUUUAUUUAUUUUAUUAUGCCAACAAUUAAAUUUUAGUUGCUUAAAAUACAUCAAUUAAUUAAUAUUAAUAUAUGAAGGAAGGUUCCUUCAUCUUCCCUCAACAAUACCAUUAGAGCCUAAUUUUAAUGUCAUAACCCAUAUUUAAUUAUUCAAUCUUUUGUUUAAUGCAUUUUGGCUUCUUCAAACUCCAUAAACGUUAAAUAUUUAAGAUUUAUGGCAUCAUUAUUUCUCAUCUUUUUAUAUUCUCUAUUAUCUAAUAUAUUGGUUGAGAUUAAAAAAUAAUUACAUUACAAAAUAUUAAAAAUCUAUAUAUAUAUAUAUAUAUAGUUGGGACUAGAGGAGGUGAUGUGGCAUUAUUAUUUCUCAUCUUCUUGUAUUCUCUAUUAUCUAAUAAAUUGGUUGAUAUUAAAAAAGUAAUUACAUUACAAAAUAUUAAAAAUAAAAAAUAAUUAUUAGAUUAUAAAAGAUUAUAUGUCUCUUCCUCUUUCCAUUGAAAUUCAAUAAUAUGUAACCAUUAAUAAUAAUUAAUUAUAAGUCUUCAAACAUUAAUUUAUUUUAUUAUGCCAACAAUUAAACUUUAGUGGCUUAAAUAUAUCAAUUAAUUAAUAUAGGAAAGAAUGUUCCUUCAUCUUCCCUCAAUAAUGCCAUUAGGGUCUAAUUUUAAUGCUAUAAUCUCAUAUUUAAUUAUGCAACCUUUUGUUUAGUGCCUUUCGGCUUCUUCAAACUCGAUAAAUAUUAAGUAAUUAAGAUUUGUGGCAUUAUUAUUUCUCAUUUUUUAUAUUCUCUAGAAUCUAAUAUAUUGGUUGAGAUUAAAAAAUAAUUACAUUACAAAAUAUUAAAAAUAGAAAAUAAUUAGUAGAUUAUAAAAGAUUACAUGUCUCUUCUUCUUUCUAUCUAAAUUCAACAAUAUGUAACCAUUAAUAAUAAAUUAAUUAUAGUUUUGAAACAUUCAUUUAUUUUAUUAAGCCAACAACUAAACUUUAGUGGUUUAAAAUAUAUCAACUAAUUAAUAUAGGAAGGAAUGUUCUUUCAUCUUCCCUCACCAAUACCACUAGGACCUAAUUUUAAUGUCAUAAUUUCAUAUUUAAUUAUGCAACCUUUUAUUUAGUGUCUUUGGCUUCUUCAAACUAUAUAAAUAUUAAGUAUUUAAGAUUUGUUAUGUUUGAAUUUUUUUAUUAUUUAAACAACAUCCUCUUUAGAAAUGUUCUUGUGUUUUUAUUUUUUUGACUUAUUUAAAUUUUUUGUAUUGUGUGCUUCAUGGAGUAUUCUUUUCUUCAUGAGUUAAACAAUAAUAAAGAUAGUUGGAUGAUAAGGGUUAGGUUUUGUAAAAUGUGAGAGUCUAUUAAUACUGAGAAGAAUGGAGAGUUGAUUAGUGUGGACAUAAUUUUUAUUGAUGAAAAGUUUGUGUACACUUAACUAUACACAUUAAUAUAUAUUUUUAAAGUUAACAAAAAAAUAAUUAACUUUCAUAAAUAACAUUAGUUUUAUAAGACUGCGUCAUCUUUUAAAAAAAAAUCAAUUCAUAUUUUUUAUCUGUUUUGUUAAGUGUAAAGAAAUAAAAAAAAUAAUACUAAAUUCUUUUUUUAAAACCGCACGAAGUGCGGUUCUAUUUCCUAGUAAAAAAUAAAAAAAUAGGAUAGUGAAAACUGAAAACGAACGAAAGCCGACGAAGGGACGACAGAAAACGCGUUCCCUCAUCCAAUUUUUCUUUUGUGGGACCGAUAACAAAUAAUAAAAUAUUUUUUGUGGGACCGACAAAAAUAGUAAAAUAAAGAAUAAAAAAUGAAAAAAAAGGAAAAUGGAAUGCAUCCACCUUCGCUUUGGAAGUCUUCUACUUAUAAAAGCAAGCUAAAUUAAAAAGAUUUUAAUCUCUCUUUUUAAUACUAUAAGUGCACUGCAUUUUUUUUAAAUAAUUACCUAUGCAAAUUUGUAAUGUAAUGAAUAUUCAUAUUCCUGUCGUGUCGAAAUGAGAUAAAAUGAAAUUUUAAAUAACACAAAUUCGACUCGUUUGUUAGAGGUAUAUCCUUAAUAAGCUAAUAACAUAAUUAACAUAACGCUAUUAUUACACUAAAUGAAAUAAAAAGACGGUAGCCACCAAUAAUUACACUAGCAAGCUUCGCAUGCUCGUGUUUAAGGAGUUGGACAUUGGUGAAUUAAUCAAGGACAAGAAACAAUUUCAAAAAACAAAAUGGAUACUAUACAUUGUCUUUUUUUUAAUUGUACAGAAAAUGGGACUAAUUUUCAAAUAUUUUCAAAUUCACUUAUUAACAAAAGCUAUGCAAAACGAUUUCCUUUUUAUUUUGAAACAUUAUACGGAAUCAAAUAACAGUGAUUCAAAGAGUGUAAAGUGGUAAUUCUCUUAUUGUAUUUUCUCUCCUUUUUAAAAGGAGAUGGUGGGGUUUGGUUGUUUGCAAAAUUAUUGGUGUGAGGGUCUAUUUGUUUUUGUUUUCACUUUAUUAAUUAAUUACGAACCAAACAUGUAAUCAUUUGUAAAGGGGUCACUAGCAUUGGAUUAUGUAAGAUGAAUUCGUAAGACUUAUUAAUUUCAAUGAAAAUGUAGCGUUAUUAAGUUGUCAAUUCAUUAACUUGAGGUACUAAUAUUUACUAAUUGUGGUGUUUAAUUUAUUUAACUUUUUCAUAAUUUUCAAUUGAGAAUGAAGUUCAAUCAAUGUAUGAAAAUUUUUAUUUUUAGAUUUUUAAUUCCUAUGAUUUAAUUUCAUUCUGUUUCGAUUAUUGACGUGUUAAAAGCUUGUAGACUAUCAUGAAAUGCUUGUAUCUCACCUCACAAAUUGACAAAUAUUGGUUGGUUUCUCCAAAGGCUGCCAUGACGAAUUGAAAGUAAAAACAACCACCAUUGAAAAUUAAUUUUAAAAAUCUUUUUUACUUGAAAUUUUUUAAUCGUGUGAUAGACACAAAUAAAUAUCUCGUAAAACUGUGUUGCGAUCCCGAAGGUACUCAUCCACUACUUGGACACGAGAAGUGCCAGGAACAUAAGUAACCAAGUGAGGUGGAGGAAUACCAUAGACAGCUUCAAAUGGGGUCAUUUUGGUGGCAGAAUGGAUGGACGUAUUAUAGUUGAAUUCAGCCCAUGGAAUCCAUUCAACCCAUUUUCGUGGCUGAUCUCUGGCAAAACAUCGCAAGUAUUGCUCUAAAGUACGGUUCACUACCUCAGAUUGGUCGUCCGUCUGAGGAUGGUAACUAGAACUCAUGCUAAGUUUAGUUCCUUGUAAUUGAAAUAAUGCUUGCCAAAAUGAACUUACAAAUACUUUAUCCCGAUCACUUACAAUGGAUGUUGGAAUGCCAUGGAGGCGAACCACAUUAGCUACAAACGCUUUAGCAAUCGUGACUGCCGUGUAUGGAUGUUUGAGAGCCACAAAAUGAGCAUACUUGGAUAAGCGAUCAACAAUUACCAUGAUGACAGUAUAACCAUUUGACGACGGAAGUCCCUCGAUAAAAUCCAUUGAUACUUCAGUCCAUAUCUGAAGAGGAAUAGGUAGUGGUUGUAGCAAAUCGGCCGGACGCAUAGAAUCAGAUUUGUACCUUUGGCAGAUGGUACAACGCUGUAUAAAUUCCUUCACAGUUUUACGCAAGUUUGGCCACCAAAAGCUGAGUUUAAUUCGAGAUAGUGUCUUAUGGAACCUAAAAUUCCCACCAACUAGAGACGAAUGACAAUCAGUCAUGACUUGUGGAAUUAAAGUGGAAGUGGGAUUCAAAUAAAUUCUGCCCCUUUUAAACCACACUCCAUCUCGUUGUGUCUGUUGUGCAAAUUUUAAUGUACUCGCAAGCGCACGAAUCUAUUGUAGUAUAGAUCAAUGGUGACGAGUGUCGAUCCCACGAGGAGGUGGAUUUUAAUUAUGUAUAGAAUUAAUUUUGGAAAUGGAUGAUUGGAUUUGUGGUAGAAAUGAUUUGGAAUAUGCUAAAACUUAAAUUAAAAUGGCGAGAAUAAAUUCUGAAAUUAGAAUCGAAAUGACGAGAAUAAAUUGUAGAGGAAUCUAUUGAAAUAACGUACUUGGGUAUCUGGAUCCGUAUCAACAUGCAUCAUGGGCUAAAUAAUCCGUAUUAAUGCCAAUUAAAUCAUGAGGGGGGAAUCCACACCUCAUGAACCACGCUCUAAUCAAUAUGGUGCUAAGGGCUUAUCGUGCCAAAUAAUAAUAACCUUAUACUAGAGAGCCGGUGUAACCAAGGCGGUAUCUAGACAAGAUCAGUAUUAUUUGUCGACGAGAAGUCAAAACAUCCACAAAAACUAGAGGGGAAGAGAAAAUAAAUUUACCAAAUAAAGCCCAUGACACAUGUUGAGACUUCACCUUCAACCCAAGCUUGAAAGAAAAUUAGCUACUCAUAAUUGAACUAAGGGCAAAAUGGGAAUUUAUUAAAAUACGAAGAAAAUACAAGAUGGAGAGAGAAUUACAAAAAAUGGAUCCCAAAAAUGGAUUCAGAGAUAUCAAAUUAGGGGGGAGAGGCCCCCUUUUUAUAGAUACAUGGAGUAAAUCAUGGCCAUCGGAUUAAAAACAGUUUGGACGCUCAGGAUUGCGCCACGUCAUCAGUCAACAGUCCACGGUUUGACCACGCGGAUGAACAGUAACACGGUUUGACCCGACUUUGAACAGUAACGCGGUUUGACCCGGAUGAACAGUAACGCGGUUUGGUUGAAACUAAUCCUGUGUGAUGCAUGCACCGUACGCGAGAUUUUUCGUCCACUGAUAUACUGCCACGUCACCAUCAACAGUACAUAAGAAUUUUAGCCCAACAGGAUCGUGACACCUCAUCAGUCAAUGCCACAUCAUCGGUCAAUGCCACGUCAUCGAUCCGUCUAUGUGAACAGUGCCGUGAACAGUAACGUAUACAGUACCGUGUACGUGAAUAGUACCGUACAUGUGAAUAGUGUCAUUUUUCCUUUUAUGCUCCUCCUAAGGUUUUCGACCGUCCUGAGUUCAAAAGUGAUGUCCGUUUUGUCGUCUGAUCUCUCCUUUAUUGUGAAAUGACUAUAAUGCCCCUAAAAUACAUAAAUUACUUAAUUAAAAUAAAACACACGUAAUUAAAUCACAAGAAUGUUAAAUACAUAAAAGUAAGGGUUGUUAGUAAGACUUGAAAUGUAAAAUGACGGUUUUCUCCUUUAUAAAUAUGCAUUUUCUAACACUCAACACACCCCCCAACCAGCUUAUUGCUAGUCCCUAGCAAAUAAAGCGAAAACAAAAUUCAAAUUCAAAAUGAUUUUUUUUUUUUUUUUUAGAAACACUCGUGUUUAUUCAAUCAGAUUAAUGAUAGCAAUCAAAUAAAAGUAUAAGCAUUAUCUCCAGUCUAAAGCAACAUCACACCCACAUCAACCAUCCACAUGAAUUAGCCCAGUAGACUUUGUUAUAGCUACUUUCAAGAAUGACAUGUCAAACCCCAAAAUCUCACUUGAAGUAGUGACACUCUCACAAAGAAAUUAAAACCCAAUAAACAUAGUCACUCCAAUGAAUGGUAAUUGAGAGAGAAAAUAAUAAAGAAAUGAUAUCACAUGCUCUCACCAAGAUGAAAUAAAUAUGCUCUCAGCUUAGAAAUAAUACGAUCUCAAGUCAAAUAAAAUGUUAGUCAACCCACUUUAUUUAUCUUUUUUUUUUUUUAUUAUGCAUCACUACAUCUUUUUAGCCCAUAUAACUAGCUUCUACUUCAAAAUAUAGUUCCCUAAAAUCAAGAAGGACUUUUAUUAGGACAUAACGUAGGCUAGGGAUAUGGCUAACAAAGAAAGGAAAUAAGGAAAACAAAGUGUAUGUUUGAGAAAAAUGCAGAAUUUUUUUUUUUUUUUGGAAGUUGCAAGGUGGAUUUCACUUAUUAUUGUUAUUUUUAUUCUUUUGAAACAACAACUUUUGUUUUUGUUUUUUUUUUCUUUUUACUUUUAUUUGGCAUAACUUCACUGAACAACAUAAUUAUUUACAUUUUCUCAAACAUAAAUAGGUGAUGGAACUUAAAAGACAUUGGGUAAUACUCCAAAUCGGAGUGGGUCAAGAUGAUAAGUUGACAAAGAAAAGGUUUUUGUUCUUUUUUUUUUUUUUUUAAAGGCUCAAAAGGGGUAACUAUGGAUAUUUAAUAAAAUGGAUGGCUAGAAAGGCUCAAACGGAUCAAAGAUGGCCUUUCCAUCGUCUUUUAGGGCUCUAAAUAAUCAUCCAUAUCUACUAGUUAGAUGGGCCUCCCAAUGUAGCAACACAUAAUUUUUUUUCUUUUUUUUUUAUUUUACAAUUUUUUUUUUUUUUAAGGGUUAACUCAAAAGAAAUCUAGAGAUCGUAUAUACAAUAAUAAACUGCUAAGCUGUAUAAAGAAUGGGCAAAAGGGUUACUCUCCAAGAAAAAUGAUAGGCUCAAAAGCUCACUUGGUACUUCUUAUGACAUGUUCAUUCCUUCAAGCAACUCAUAUUUGUCUCUGACAUUAACAUAUAAAGUAGCAAACAUAGUGUAACAUCACUUCAGACUAAAGAUAAUACAAAUACUAAAAUUUGAAAUUCAUCAUGUCAUCCAAUGUUAACACAAAUCACAAUUUUUUUUUUUUUAAAUUUGAAACAACAUUCUACCCCCCAACCUAUUCUAAACAUGAAAGGAAAAUAUGCAUGCAGAAAUGUGAAAAUGAUGUAGAAAAAUUUAUUAGAAAAAGAAAUUUUUUUUUUUUUUUUAACUAAGAAGAUGCGUUUCUAGAGGCACGACACUCCAUAUUCAGCCAUCUUCGACUCAAAAAUUGGAAAAUAUAUAUUUAUAAAGGAGAAAGAGGAAGAAAACAGUUUUUUUUUUUUUUUAAACGAUGAAGAUGCGUUUCUAGAGUAACUACACUCCAUAUUCAGCCAUCUUCAACACAAAACGUUAGCAACAGUUAGUUUCUACAACAAAAAAUCAGUAAAAACUUAACCAAGAUUCCACAAUUGUCGACUAUUCCCUCCCCCCAACCAGAACGAAACAUUGUCCUCAAUGUUUGAAAGGAAAGAAGUAGAGUUUAGAAGACAUCACCUGGGUGGUGCAACACAGAAGAAAAUAUUUACAGGCGGAGAGUUAAAUCUAAUUUGUACUUCUUACUGCGGCUACUGUUACCAUCAUUAUUUGGUCGCUCCAACACAAAGGUCCAGGGAUCUGGCUCCGGUUUAUAAGCUUGUAACAUAUCAAGUAGCUCAUUAGCAGUGUGAGCACAAAUAAAGAGUUUUUUCACAUUAGAAGGAAUGAAAUAGUUUUUUAUUGCAUGGUUAAGAAAUUCGAUAAAGCCAUCAUAAAAGUUAUUCACAUUUAACAAACCGAUGGGUUUCUGGUGGAUGUGUAGAUGGGCCCAAGAUGCUAGUGUCAUAAGUGCCUCUAGUGUUGCAAGAUCUCCUGGAAGGAAAAUAAAAGCAUCAGCAUGAUUAAGCAUUUCAGUUAUUCUUUCUUGCAUACCUGAGACGACUAACUCUUCUCCAGUUGAUGAGUCAGACGAACUGCCCAAUGGUUUUAGGACUCUUGGGAUGAUGCCUAACACUUGACUUCCUCUGAUAAAAGCUGCUUCUGAGACCAUUUUUGAUAACCCUCGGUUACCUCCUCCAUACACCAAAUGUAAUUUUCUCGCUGCUAUGCUUCGACCAAGAUCUAUGGUUGCCUCAACGAACUCUUUAUGUUUGCCAUAGGUAAAUCCAGAAAGCACACAAAUGUUCUUGAAUUGUCUAUUGGGAGUAGCUGCCAUUGGAAUAUUUCUCAAAAACAAUUUGUGAGUGUUUGACAAAAGAAAUCACAUUUAAGAGUCUUGGUGACAGUGGGUCACAACUGUGUAUGAAGUGGCAUGUUAGUGUCAAAUAAAGUGUAAAGCACAUGGCUCGCGAGUAAAAAAGGAAACAGUAAAAAGAAAAAAGCAAACAAUAAAGAAAAUUAUUAAAGACAAUAAUGCAAACAAUAAAACAACAGUGAAAUGGAAUAAAAUAACAAUAAAGUAAAAGGAUAUUUACACGUAGUUGCGACUGUGGCUCACAUCUUCCUCUGGUUUUACGUCCAGAAACGGCUUGAACGCCCUCUAUGGGUCGAGGAUAGGCUUCCCAUCCAGUUUUCUUAUAAACUGGCAAACAGGGUCGUUUAUAGUCAGAUUCUCGAGACUAUAUCGUGCAUGCUCUUUCUGGAAUAAUGGCCAUAACUGGAGAAUCGCUCCUUGCACAUAUCCACUGGGAUGCGUUUCAAGAGACAGAAGGAUAUCAUCCAAUGACUCCUUAUUCAAGCCAUCCCUAAUGAAUUGAAUCUUAUCUUCUCUGUUAUCAGACAUCAUUCCUAAAGAACAUGGGUUUCUAUCGCAACUCAUUCUGGCACACUUGUGACAAGCAACAGAAAUUCUUCGAGCUCGUCGUUUUCUUGCAUAAUUUCCUUUACCACAAUCAGGCAUGUAUGCAAUAAAUUUAGGAGGUAACUCACCUGCUAAUCGUACUUUAGCCUCGAUUAACCAACGGAUGUCUGCAGGUAUGUUAUUCCUCAUGAGUAAUCGCAUGCGUUCAGAUCGGGCUUUAUAGAUCGUAAGAAGGGCAUUCUGAGGAAGUGAAGGGAAACGCUUGUGAAGCUUCGCUAGAAUCUCGUUUCUGUCCAUACCUUUGCCUCAGAAUAUCAGUUAUUAUGGGAAACUGAAGUAACCGACUUGAUUGUCACGGAGUACCGUUAUCCGCCACUUCACCGGGGUAACAAACUAAAGCACACAAACAGAAAAACAAAUUAAAACACACAAGAAAAUUAAAAUCGUCCUCUUAUUGAAUUUACCUCAAGCUCCAACUGGAUGUCGUAAACACUUCUCUCAAUGUCUCUGAGUUGGUUUUCUAAACCCUCAACAUAAGCUACUAACUCUGGUGGUUGUAGAGCCCAAAUGCGAUGUGUUUUACAAAAUUGAAUCUGCCUUUUGAGAUGAGUUUUGACACGUUGAAGUGGUUUAAGAAUGUUCAGGAGGAACGGUCUAAGUAUGGUACUCAUGAUUAAAAAUGAUAAGAGAAAACUUAAUGGUAAAAUAAACACACUUAUGCAAAAAUAAUUUCAAUUAGCAAAAGAAUAAUAAAAAGAAAGAAAGAAAAAUCAAAUCAACGAAAAGAAAAAAACAAAUCAAUUCAAAUCUGGUGGGUCACUCAAAUUUAUUUCGGUGUCUUCUCCAUGUGGUUGGUAUUCUAGAUAUGGCUUUAAUCUUUGACCAUUAACUUUAAACGUGACACCGUUCUUUGGGUCUUUAAUUUCAAUUGCCCCAUGUGGAAAAACAGUAUGAACAAUAAAUGGACCAGACCAACGAGAGCGUAACUUACCUGGGAAUAGGUGCAAGCGAGAAUUGAAUAAAAGCACUUUCUGACCUGGAGUGAAAGAUUUUCUCAUAAUGUGCUUGUCAUGAAAGACUUUCAUCCGUUGCUUGUAGAUCUUGGCAUUUUCGUAUGCAUCAUUGCGAAUUUCUUCAAGUUCUGCCAGUUGUAAUCUUCUUUCUGAGCUGGCUUGCUGCAUGUCAAAGUUGAAUUUCUUGAUGGCCCAAUAUGCACGAUGCUCGAGUUCCACAGGUAGGUGGUAAGCUUUUCCAUACACUAGCCUGUAGGGUGACAUCCCAAUCGGGGUCUUGAAAGCCGUUCUAUAUGCCCAUAAUGCAUCAUCAAGUCUUAAUGACCAAUCUUUCCUGUCUGGCCUCACCGUCUUUUCUAAUAUGUGCUUUAUUUCUCGAUUGGAUAUCUCAACUUGGCCACUGGUUUGCAGAUGAUAUGGAGUCGCCACUUUGUGUGUGAUUGAAUACUUUGUCAAAAGAGCUUUGAAUGCUUUGUUACAAAAGUGGGCACCACCAUCACUGAUUAUUGCUCGAGGGAAUCCAAAGCGUGAGACAAUAUUGCUUUUCAAAAAUCCUAUCACCACCUUGUGAUCAUUGGUUCUACAUGGAAUUGCUUCUACCCAUUUUGAGACGUAGUCAACACCAACCAAUAUGUAUUGAUGGCCAAAAGAAGGGGGAAAGGGUCCCAUGAAGUCGAUACCCCAUACAUCAAAAAUCUCAACCACUAAAAUUGGAUUUAGUGGCAUCAUGUUCCUUCGCGUAAUGCUCCCCAUUCGUUGACACCUAUCACAUGAAGAACAGAAAGUGUAAGCGUCUCGAAAUAUAGUUGGCCAAUAAAAACCACAUUGUAAAACUUUAGUUGCCGUUUUCUUAGCACUGAAAUGGCCUCCACAAGCUUGUUCAUGGCAGAAUGAAAGAAUAUUCUGAAUUUCAUUUUCAGGGACACAUCGUCUAACAAUUUGGUCUGCACAAUACUUGAACAAAUAUGGGUCAUCCCAAAAGAAAUUCUUUAUCUCUGCAAAGAAUUUAGCCUUGUCUUGCUUGGUCCAAUGCUCUGGAAGUUUACCUGUAACAAGAUAAUUAACUAUAUCAGCAUACCAAGGUAAUACUUCCACACUCAUUAAUUGUUCAUCUGGGAAUGACUCAUUCAAUAUUAAUGGCUCUGUUAUUGUGUCAAAAUGGAGACGAGAGAGGGGGUCCGCCACAACAUUUUCUGUCCCUUUCUUAUCUUUGAAUUCCAAGUCAAAUUCCUGCAAAAGUAACACCCAACGAAUUAGUCUAGCUUUUGCAUCUUUCUUUGUGAGAAGAUAUUUAAGAGCAGCAUGAUCUGUGAACACAAUUAUUUUACAACCAAUGAGAUAAGAUCGAAAUUUUUCCAAUGCAAACACUACUGCUAGCAUUUCUUUUUCAGUAGUUGAAUAGUUCAACUGUGCAUCAUUCAAUGUCAUACUAGCAUAGUCAAUAACGUGAGGAAUUCGAUCAACUCUUUGUCCUAAUACUGCUCUUACUGCAUAAUCAGAUGCAUCACACAUGAGCUCAAAUGGUAAGCUCCAGUUUGGGGGCUGAAUGAUGGGUGAUGAUGUCAACAAAUGCUUUAAUUUUUCAAACGCAACAAAACAUGAAUCAUUAAAGAUAAAAGGUACAUCCUUAGCAAGUAAAUUGCAUAAGGGUCUAGAAACUUUGCUAAAAUCUUUAAUGAAACGUCUAUAGAAACCAGCAUGCCCAAGGAAAGAUCUUACUUCUCUGACUGUUUUGGGUGGAGGAAGAUUAGAAAUGAGAUCCACCUUGGCUUUGUCAACCUCAAUACCUUUACUUGAAAUGAUGUGACCGAGGACAAUACCUUGUUUGACCAUAAAAUGGCACUUCUCCCAAUUUAAGACCAAGUUCUUCUCGAUACAUCUCUGCAGAACUAGUGUUAGAUGAUGUAAACAUUGAUCAAACGAGUUACCAAAAACAGAAAAGUCAUCCAUAAAGACUUCAAGGAAUCGUUCAACCAUAUCAGAAAAAAUGCUUAGCAUGCAUCGUUGAAAUGUAGCAGGUGCAUUGCAUAAUCCAAAUGGCAUUCUCCUAUAUGCAAAUGUGCCAAAAGGGCAAGUGAAAGUAGUUUUCUCCUGAUCUUUUGGUGCUAUGGGGAUCUGAUUGUAUCCUGAGUAACCAUCUAGAAAGCAAUAAAAUUCGUGGUCUGCUAAUCUAUCAAGCAUUUGAUCGAUAAAUGGUAAAGGAAAAUGAUCUUUACGUGUGACAGAAUUCAAUUUUCUAUAAUCAAUGCAUACACGCCACCCUGUAGUUACUCUAGUUGGUAUCAAUUCAUUAUUAGCAUUGGUAACUACUGUGACUCCUGACUUUUUGGGGACAACUUGUACAGGACUGACCCAUGAACUAUCAGAAAUUGGGUAAAUGAUACCUGCAUCUAAUAGCUUAAGGACUUCAGUUCUAACCACUUCUUUCAUAUUAGGAUUUAACCGACGUUGCAUUUCCCUAGUAGAUUUAGCAUUUUCAUCGAGGUGAAUGUAAUGCAUGCAGUCUACAGGGUUUAUACCUUUUAUGUCCGCUAUGGUCCAUCCUAAUGCCCCUUUGUACUCUUUUAAAACAUCCAACAACUUACCUUUUUGUUCGUCGUUUAGGGAUAAUGAGAUGAUUACCGGUAGAGUGCUUUCUUCUCCCAAAAACGCAUAUUCCAAUGUGUUGGGUAAUGGUUUGAGCUCGAGUUUCGGUGGUGAUUCUGAUGAUGGGAUGAGUUUCUUCUCUGAUGGUGCUAGUUGUUCAACUCUUGACUUCCAUUUAUUAGUGUCCAUAGAUGGUGCUGAGUUAAGUAGGGCAUUGACCUCUUCGACCGAUCUGUCAAUAUCAAAAUCCAAACCAAAGUGAGUUAAACAUGUUUGUAAAGGAUCAUCACUAAGGUUUGAAACAAAAGUAUCAUCAACUAAUGCUUCAAUUAAAUCCACAUCAACAAGUCCAUCAUCUGUAUUGUGAGGUUGUUUGGCAAUGUUGAAGAUGUUCAGCUCCAUAGUCAUGUUGCCAAAGGACAACUGCAUAUUUCCAGUCCUGUAUUGAAUGUGAGCAUCCGCAGUUGCCAAGAAAGGUCGGCCUAGAAUAAUGGGGAUGUGCUUCCUUGAAUCCUGUAUUGGUUGAGUGUCAAUUACAAUGAAAUCAACAGGAAAAUAAAACUUGUCUACCUGGAUAAGCACGUCCUCCACAAUACCACGAGGUAUUUUUGUGGACCGAUCUGCAAGCUGUAACACCAUUGGAGUUGGGUGUAAUUCUCCAAGUCCAAGUUUCACAAACACAGAGUAAGGCAACAAAUUUACACUAGCUCCUAAAUCCAACAAAGCAUUCUCAAUUGUGUGGUUCCCUAUACUACAUGAGAUAGUGGGGGAGCCUGGGUCUUUGCAUUUUAGAGGAAUUUUAUGUUGGAGUAUAGAACUAACGUUUUCUGUUAAAAAUGCCUUCUUUUGAACAUGCAUAUUUCUCUUUUUAGUACAAAGGUCUUUAAGAAACUUGGCAUAAGAUGGAACUUGCUUUAUAGCAUCAAGCAAAGGGAUGUUAACACUUACCUGUUUGAAGAUUUCAAGAAUCUCACCUGUGGAUUUUCCCUUCUUUCCUUUUGCUAACCUUUGAGGAAAUGGAGCUUUCGGAACAUAUUCUCGUGGGUUGGUUUCUUCUCUGUCCUCCGGUGGUGAGUCCUCAACACUCACAGGUACAAUUUGAUUUUCUUUUGUCACCGGCAUCUCCACUUUGUUGUCGACUUCUUUUCCUUUUCGUAAGGUCAUUACUGCUUUGACCUCUCCAUGCUGUUGUGGUGAACUGGUACUUGCUUCAUGUACUCCUUUAGGGUUAGGCACUGGUUGACUUGGAAACUUGCCUUUCUCAACAGUCAUUGCCAAGGUCUGAACUGAAGAAGCGAGUUGUCCCACCAUCUUCUCCAGGCUUGAAACUGAUUGAGCCUGUGAGUUGAAGCCUGCUCUUAACUCAUUUCGUAGUCCAUCAAUGGUGCGGUUCUGUUGCUCAAUCGUGGAAUGAGUAAGAUUCUUGAGAUUCUGGAAUGAAUCCUCCCAUGGUCUGGGUUGAGAGUAAUUCUGGUUCUGAUUGUAUGGUCUGAAUGGUGGCUGAGAGGCUUGAGGAUUUUGAGGAAUUUGUUGCAUUGGUGGAGCUGGAGCCGCUGGUCCAUUCUGUUGGAAUCCUUGAGACCAUGAAAAAUUGGGGUGAUCUCUCCAUCCAGGGUUAUAUGUGUUGGAGUAUGGGUUAUAAUUCGAUGGUUUUCUCAUUACACCUAUGGCAUUGGCUUGAUCUGAGUAUGAGUCAUGGUCAUGUGGUUCUGUUGAUUUAGCAGUCGAUAACGAUGCUAUUUGUCGAGCAAGACCCUCAACCAUCUCCUUGACUUCUUUGAUUCCCGAAGUUGACUCGCCAAUUUGAACCUCAUUUACUCCCUUAAUUCUUCUAGUAUUCCUGAGUGAUCGACUCCGUUGUUGGGAAUUAUCCGCUUGUCGCUGGAAGAAUUCCUAAAUCUCUGAUGCACUUUUUGACAUUAGCUCUCCUCCACUUGUUGCCAUUAGCCAUUCUUGCACAUUCGGCAAUAAUCCCUCCAAAAAGUAUUGGCAUUGGUGCCAUUUCUCGUACCCAUGAUGUGGACACUUCAAGAGUAGCCCAUUGAAUCGCUCCCAUGUUUCGAAAAACUGCUCGUCUUCUCUUUGGGUAAAUUCCGAGAUUUCCCUGCGAAUAGCAUUGGUUUUAUGCACUGGGAAAUAUUUAUUCAAAAAUUUUGUAACCAUUUGUUCCCAUGAUGAAAUGCUAUUAGCAGGUAAUGUAUUAAGCCAUGAACGAGCUCUAUCCUUUAAAGAAAAUGAGAAUAAUCUGAGUUUAACAUCAUCGUCUGAAAAAUUUUCAUAUUUAAAAGUUUGACAAAUGGCAUGAAAAUCAUUCAGAUGAUUAUAUGGGUCCUCAUUUUCUAGGCCAUAGAAUGUUGGGAGACAAUUUAGCACACUAGGUUUUAGUUCAAAACUCCUAGCAGCUACAUUUGGGUACCUUAUGCAUGAUGUGCUCAAAUUAGCUAAGGGACUAAAAUAGUCCUUAAAUGGCCUCUCCUGUGGUGCUUGUAAAUCCAUUCCAAAUUUAUUUUUAAUGUGCUUUUGUGUGCGAAGUGUUUUUUCUAAUUCAAGAUCUAUAGGUUCAAGAUUAGGUAAUAAUGACCUACGACCAUGCAUGCAAAAUAAAUAAAAUGAAAAUGAAGAUGGAACAAAACAAAUACAAAUAAAAAUAAAGAAGAGAGAGAAAUUACAAUACUAACCUUAUUGCGCUAUUACAACCUUUCUAUAAAAAUACACAAAAAAUACGUGAAAUAAAUUAACUAAAAAUUGAAUUAAUAAAAUAAAAAAUUACAAAGAAAAAAAAAUAAAUUGAAAAUUAAAUUACAGAAUUUUAAAGAAGAGAAAAAGAAAAGAAAUACUAACCUUUAAAUGUAGAUUCACUUUUUUUUUUUAAAUACAAGAAAACAAUUAAAUGGAAAUAUUCACAAAAAUUAAUUCUAUGAAUUAAAAUUACUUACCUCCCCGGCAACGGCGCCAAAAACUUGUUGUGCAAAUUUUAAUGUACUCGCAAGCGCACGAAUCUAUUGUAGUAUAGAUCAAUGGUGACGAGUGUCGAUCCCACGAGGAGGUGGAUUUUAAUUAUGUAUAGAAUUAAUUUUGGAAAUGGAUGAUUGGAUUUGUGGUAGAAAUGGUUUGGAAUAUGCUAAAACUUAAAUUAAAAUGGCGAGAAUAAAUUCUGAAAUUAGAAUCGAAAUGACGAGAAUAAAUUGUAGAGGAAUCUAUUGAAAUAACGUACUUGGGUAUCUAGAUCCGUAUCAACAUGCAUCAUGGGCUAAAUAAUCCGUAUUAAUGCCAAUUAAAUCAUGAGGGGGGAAUCCACACCUCAUGAACCACGCUCUAAUCAAUAUGGUGCUAAGGGCUUAUCGUGCCAAAUAAUAAUAACCUUAUACUAGAGAGCCGGUGUAACCAAGGCGGUAUCUAGACAAGAUCAGUAUUAUUUGUCGACGAGAAGUCAAAACAUCCACAAAAACUAGAGGGGAAGAGAAAAUAAAUUUACCAAAUAAAGCCCAUGACACAUGUUGAGACUUCACCUUCAACCCAAGCUUGAAAGAAAAUUAGCUACUCAUAAUUGAACUAAGGGCAAAAUGGGAAUUUAUUAAAAUAUGAAGAAAAUACAAGAUGGAGAGAGAAUUACAGAAAAUGGAUCCCAAAAAUGGAUUCAGAGAUAUCAAAUUAGGGGGGAGAGGCCCCCUUUUUAUAGAUACAUGGAGUAAAUCAUGGCCAUCGGAUUAAAAACAGUUUGGACGCUCAGGAUUGCGCCACGUCAUCAGUCAACAGUCCACGGUUUGACCACGCGGAUGAACAGUAACACGGUUUGACCCGACUUUGAACAGUAACGCGGUUUGACCCGGAUGAACAGUAACGCGGUUUGGUUGAAACUAAUCCUGUGUGAUGCAUGCACCGUACGCGAGAUUUUUCGUCCACUGAUAUACUGCCACGUCACCAUCAACAGUACAUAAGAAUUUUAGCCCAACAGGAUCGUGACACCUCAUCAGUCAAUGCCACAUCAUCGGUCAAUGCCACGUCAUCGAUCCGUCUAUGUGAACAGUGCCGUGAACAGUAACGUAUACAGUACCGUGUACGUGAAUAGUACCGUACAUGUGAAUAGUGUCAUUUUUCCUUUUAUGCUCCUCCUAAGGUUUUCGACCGUCCUGAGUUCAAAAGUGAUGUCCGUUUUGUCGUCUGAUCUCUCCUUUAUUGUGAAAUGACUAUAAUGCCCCUAAAAUACAUAAAUUACUUAUUAAAAUAAAACACACGUAAUUAAAUCACAAGAAUGUUAAAUACAUAAAAGUAAGGGUUGUUAGUAAGACUUGAAAUGUAAAAUUACGGUUUUCUCCUUUAUAAAUAUGCAUUUUCUAACACUCAACAGUGUCAACUAUUGUGAUGAAUGAGAAUGACUCAGUUUCUUAUAAAAAGAGUCUUGUUGUACCUCUCCUUGCAAUUUUUGCCACCAAUCUGCAUGUGGUCCCGAAAUAGACAUGAACUGAAAUUCAACAACACGAGAGAGUGUGUCAACAGCUUGAUUUUCAGGUCCGCGUUUAUACUCAAUUUUGUAGUCAUAACCAAGGAUCUUUGGAAGCCAUCGAGCCUGUGCAGGAGUGGUAAUUCGCUGCUCAAGUAAAUUCUUGAGGUUUUUUUUAUCGGUGUGGACAGUAAAUGGUUUCCCGAGGAGAUAUGGGCGCCAUUUCCAAAUUGAUUUGACAACAGCCAACAUUUCUUUCUCAUAGGUAGAUAGUAAUAAUGUCGUCCCCCUCAAAGCUUCACUGUAGUAUGCUAUUGGCUGGUUAUUCUGAGUGAGUACUGCUCCAAUUCCAAUCCCGCUAGCAUCACAUUCGAUUACGAAUUGUUGAGAAAAAUCUGGAAGGCCUAGGACUGGUGGAGACAUUAGUGCUUCUUUUAGCUUGGUAAAAGCUAACUCGGCUGCCUCGUUCCACUUGAAUCCUUCCUUUGAUAACAACUGAUAUAAAGGGGCUGCUAUACAUCCGAAGUGGCGGAUAAAUUUUUGGUAAUAGCCUACUAGGCUGAGGAACCCUCGUACUUCUCUGACAGUGGUUGGCGUUGGCCAUUCAAGAACAGCUUGUAUUUUGGAGGGACUUACUGCUACUCUUUGUUCUGAAAUGACGUGACCCAAAUAACCCACCUGAGAAACACCAAACCUGCAUUUUGUUUCCUUAACAAAUAGUUUGUUAGUAUGCAAAAUAGAGAGGACAAUCCGGAGACGUGCAAGGUGAUCAUUCCAUGUCUUUGAGUACAUGAGGAUGUCAUCAAAGAAGACCAAGAUAAACUUCCUUAGAUAAGGGCGGAAAAUGUCAUUCAUGAGGCAUUGGAAGGUGGAUGGGGCGUUGGUCAAGCCAAACGGCAUUACGAGAUAUUCGUAGUGCCCUUCGUGUGUUCUAAAGGCUGUUUCUGGUAUAUCCGCAUCGUGUACUCGGAUUUGGUGAUACCCAGCCCUUAAAUCUAACUUGGAGAAGAAUUUAGCUCCAUGGAGCUCAUCCAGAAGUUCAUCAAUUACAGGAAUCAGGUAUUUAUCUUUGAUCGUGAUGUUGUUCAUUGCACAAUAAUCCACACAGAAUCGCCAAUCACCAUCUGUUUUUUUAACUAAGAGGACUGGUGAUGAAAAUGGGCUUUUACUCGGUCUUACCAGCCCUGAUUGCAAAAGUUCUCUCACCAUCUUCUCUAUUUGUGUUUUCUGGUAAUAAGGGUAACAGUAGGGUCUUAUGUUGACAGGGUGUGUAUUUGGUUGUAGUGGGAUGUAGUGAACAUGUGGUCUCUUUGGUGGCAGGCUAGUAGGUGGCUUAAAAACAUUGGAGAAUUCGGUUAAAAUCUGAAUUAUGUCACCUAGGUAAAGAUUCGGCUGGAAAUUAUUGGGAGAGAGAGAGAUUUGGAAUAGGAAUCCACUACCUUGAAUAAAGUUGAAUUCUUUAUCAGAUAAGGCUGCUAAAGGGGUGUGUUUAAGACCUUGGAAUGUAUAGGUCUCUUCUCCAACUUUGUAGGUCAUCGUCAACUGCUUGUAAUCCAUCUCUAUUGGUCCAAUAGUCUCUAGCCAUUGUACGCCCAAAAUCAAGUGACAGGCUGCCACAGUAAGCACAAAAAAAUCAGCAGUAAUUGAUUUACGUUGAAUGGAGAUCGUGAGUGCUUGGCACAGGCCUUUGCAUUCGAUUUGUUCUUGGUUGGCGACCGUCACUUGGAACCUUUUAUUCUGAAGAACAGGUAGCCCGUAUUUAGUGACUACAGUUUGAUCAAUGAAAUUGUGCGUGCUGCCGCCAUCUAUGAGCACCGUUACCGGUUUGUUCUUCAGUUUACCCAUCACACGGAAUGUUUGCGGAUGACUGGCUCCUGAAAUGGCAUAGGCAGAAACUUCAGGCGUGACUUCAUGGUCCUUAGAUUCAGGUUCGGCAGGUUCCUUAGCAAGGUUUAUUUGAUUCGAAUCCUCUAUCAUGAAUAAUUGCGGCCUUUGGCAGCGGUGACCGGGAACAAAUUUUUCGUCACAAUAAUAACAUAGUCCAUUUGCCCGUCAUUCUCGUGCCUCUUGAUUUGUGAUGCGUCGAAAUGGAAUUGUUGAAUUGCUGGCAUUUUGGUUUACUUUGGAAGUUGACGGGGGGCCUAAUACGCCACUGGAAUGGUGUGGUAUGAUUCUUUGUGCUCUUGUAAUUGCGGAUGGACGAAAGGAAGUGCUCAUUUUCUUUUGCAGGUUAUUUCGUUCCUCAACUAGUCGAGCAACACCAAUAGCAUCAGUUAAUGUUCGCGGCUGCUUGAUCUUGACAUCCAAAUGAAUUUCAUCUUUGAGACCUGCAAUAAAACAACCCACCAAAAAAUUUUCAGGUAAUCCAUCAAUACAGUGGGAUAAUUUUUCGAAAGCCUCCUGGUAGGCCUCUAAAGUUGAGGUCUAUUUUAAUCGUGUGAGAGCUUCAGAGGGAUCUUCAUAGUCUGUUGGGCCAAACCUUUGAAGCAUGGCUUUUGUGAAUUCUUGCCAAGAUAAUGGUCCCUUAAAUUUUGUUAACCACCGAUGCCACUGUAAGGCAAUACCUUCAAGAUGGAAAGAGGCAAGUUGAACUUGUAGGCCUGGUGCAAUGUUUUUAAAUUCAAAGUAUUGUUCCGCCUUGUAAAUCCAACCGCUUGGAUCUUCUCCGUUAAAUCGUGGGAAGUGAAGUUUGAGGUGGUGAUAUUGGUCAUUUGGUGUGUGGGGUGUGUUAGUGUUUGUGGUAUGUGAGGUUUCUCUGGGGUAAAAAGGGUUGAUUUCAGGCUGGAUGGUUGGUUGAGGUCGAGAGACUUGCAAAGCUUGUAACUCAGUUAACACCUUAUGCAAGGAAUCAUUGAUCUGAUCAAAAUUGGAUUCAUGUCGAGCUAAGGCUUCGUUGACAUCAUUGCGGAAUUCGGCAUUAGAUUUAUCGCGAGUGUCCAUUGACAAACCGGCUCUGAUACCAAAAUGAUAUGGUAUAAUUUAGAAUAAGAGUUAAGAAGAAGAAGGAAGCAAAGAGAUAAAAGAGAGGAAAAAUGUUUCUGUAAUUCUCCCUUUAUUCAACUCAGAACUCUUAUAGCUGGAACUAAACAAAUAAUGCAAACAAAAUAGGAAAAGAAUCAAGACCAGAUCACCUGGUAUUAUAACAGAAAACUCAAAACAGAAUGCUAAAGACUAGCUCCACUAGUUUAUUAAUAGAACUGAUGACCAAGUCUUACAAAGCACAUGUAUCACUGUUGUAGUUAAAAUAAUUUUAAAACAAGUUACAACAGUUCCAACUCAAAAUCAGUAGGCUGCAAUUGGGUUGUUACACAUAUUUCUAAAUUUCAGUCUAAUUUAAUUGUGUAUGGACAAACUAACUUUAUCACUUCUUUCAUAUUAUUACUCAUAAAUUUCAACCUUAUUAUGAUGAUGCACAAUCUAACUUAACAAAAAUAAUGUUCAAAUUGUCAAAAAUGUUCUUUUCUUAAAAAAGAAAAGAAAAUCAUAUACAGUAGUUAAUUUUUCUUCUUCUUUACUCCAGGAUCCAACUCUGUACUCCACUUUUUUGUUGUUAUUGUACCCAGCCGUUAGAUUUUAAUUACAUUGAUUUAACGGUUUGGAUUUGUAAAUGAAUAACGACAUAGUGUUUGGCUACCAUCUGAACCCACUGCAUCUAAUUGGUUUUGUGAUUUUUUGCCUUCUUCUCUGUAACGCUUGACUAGUUCUGGAAAUAUCAACCGCCAUUGACAACAAAUCUGAACCAUGUAUUAUUUCUUAGUAGUGGGCAAAUAAAGUUUGCCCACUACUAAGAAAUAAAGUUUCCACCACCGAACCAGUAUGUUGAUUUGCGAAUACAUUCAUUCAAAUAUUAAACGUUCAGAGAAGAAAGCAAACCAUGGUAGGAUAGCAAAAACUGCGAAUGGUCAUUCCCAACACGAACCCCUAUGGCGGUUUUCCUUUUAAUUUUCUUCUUUGAAUUCUCCUUUUAUUAAUCAUUAGAAAAACUCCCUUUUUUUUAAAUCGUGUGUUAGUAACAUUUACAUGGUUAAUGUCAUCCAAAUCAAAUGGUUGUUAUCUACGAAAAGAGAAUUGCUAGAAAUUUUGUUAGUCCCAUUGCAACAAUAUACAUGUUAUAAAUUGCAUUGUUUUCCAUAUAACAAAUAUAAUAAAAUCUCAAAAAAUUAAUAGUUUUCGGGAUCAUAAAAAAAUUUAUUAAAAUUUAACAAAUAUCAAUUAAUCAGUAAAUUAAUAAAUUAUUAAUUUAUGAAAAUAUUCAUUAUUUUGGAAAAACAUGAUCACGUUUUUAAUAUUGAUUUACCUUGAGUUAGUAUCUAUUAUGUUUUAUUUGUCUAUUAGUUUUCUCUUGGGAAGAUUUUUUAAGAGUUAGCUACUUUAUUUUAACAGUAAUAAAAUUAUUAUUUUACGGUUUUGUUUUUCCAUGUUAAAGACCGAUUAGUCGUCUUCUUCUCCUCAGCAUCAUCAAGCACCGCCUUGAUCAUCUCCAACAUAUUCUCCCACUUCAUCAGAUCGUCUUGGAUCUUUUCUUGGCGUGCAAACCACCCAAUCCCCUCCGAAGCUAACUUUUUUACAAGCAACUCUACGGACGCCGUUAGGAUCGCCUCUCUGAUGAUUGACAUUUUUUUCCCCUUUUUUGGGGGCCAAGAAAGAAAGGAGUAGAAUUAUGGGUUUUGGAAAGUAGAAUAAGAAAAUUGAACAGGUGAGAAAAUGGAUAAUUAAGCAGAAUGAAUCUGUGCUAGUGAAGGGUCUGGUCCAGCAAAGCUUAGUAGAAAUCACGCGUUUAUACUUUAUUGACCGAUGGCUAAUAAUUUGGCAGUUCACCCAUCACCGCCACUUGGUAAGAAAAAUGAAAAGGAAAAUGAGAUUCUUACCACAGUGAGAACCACAGUGAGCAUAGAACGCUGCGUUUUGUGCUAACUAUAAAUUCUCACAGUGGCACGCAUAUCACAUGACACACACAGAGCUCAGACAACACGCUCAACUGCCACAACACUCACCAAAUCUUCACCCAACUCAUGCAUCUCACCUCUCUGUGCUCUCUCUGUGGGCUCUCUCUCCCUCUCUCUCCCCCCGUCGCUCACGCAUCUCACCAUGCUCUCUUUUCACCGUCGACUUUCUCUCUCUCUCUCCCCAUGGGUCUUUCCACAGCUGGCGCGGGUCUCCAUCGAGAAUGCUUCGAACUCAUCAAGGGUGGUGGUAAAAGCAAUAUUUUCAAUCGAGAACGGCGUCGUCUCGGCUUGGAAGAAGUAAUAACACUAGUAUUUGGCGGGGGUUUUGGGUACUUUUUGUUCCUGUUUGUCCAUUAAUUAAUUAAUUUGGAAAAAAAAACGGUGUAUUUGACAAAUGAAUAAUGGGGACGGUUGGAUGUAAUUAAGGGGAUGGUGAACAUAAUAAUGGUUUAAGAAGACCAGGGUUUUGAUCGACAAAGUGGAUUGGAAAAAUCUAGAGCAAAGGCGUUGAUGAAGGGGGCCCAAAUUUGUUUUUUGGGUUUUAAAGAGUGGCAUUUUGAUAACCGACUUUUAUUAUCAGUUAGGUUGUUUUCUGGCAAUUACGCCGGUUGAAAAAGGUGCCGUAAUACUUCCUAAAAUAAUUAACCCUAAAUAAUUUGUCCUGCAUCACCGAACUCCAAAUCUUAUAAAGUGUAACAGACUAAUUUGAGUUUUUUUUUUCAAUUAAAAAAAGGAUGGGCAAAAUAGACAAAUAAUGAAGACAGAAGUUAAGCAGACAGAGGAAAAUGAAUUACAUACUGUCCUUGAGAACUCAAUUCUUUAAUAAACUCAAUUUUUAAUUUUUUAUUUUUUGGGGUAAACUCAUGUCAUAUACUAUAGUCUUUAAUUCGGGCUUUGUUGUAUCAAUUUUUUGGUGGUUAUCUUGUUUUAUUUAUUUUUUAUGCAAGAUUUUUGUAGAAAUACAUCAGGAAUAAGAGUGAAAUCCCAAUUUUAAAAUUUGGGAGAAAUGAAAUGCGAUAUAUUUUUUUAUAAAUAAAAAAAUUUAAUUUUUUUUUAAUUCUAUUAGCAAAAACCAUUAAUUAAUCAACCCAUCAAGUUAUUGGUUUCAUUUACAACUGACAGUCGGUUUCUUAGUUUCAUUCCUUAUCUUUUAAAAGAUAUUACAAUGCUCUGGUUAUUUAGUAAUUACAAAUUAGAAAAGUCAAAUAUUUCUAACCAAAGACACUAGUGGAAAAGAUUUUGAUUCAUUUUUGUGUACACGCAUGACACAAAAUUAAAUUAUAUGGCAAUGUUAAUAGUGAGUCGUUUUUGGGAAUCCAUUAAGUUCGCAUGCGCGUAGACAUCUGUUGCCAGCCCUUUUAUUUUUAUUUUUAUAUCUCCCAAACAUUGUUAGAGUCCCACAUUUUUGACACAUUUUUCUGUUUUCUUGCAUAUGUUGCGAUUUUUAAGUAUCACUCAAAAUUUAACACCGUCAACACCUGCAGGAAAAUUACAUUUUUUAUGUCAGCACACUACAAGAAAAAAACAGAAUACUUGACAUUUUUUAUUUGAUAAUUUUUAAGAAAUAUCAAAUAUAUAUGACAUUUUGUGAAAAACUAAGUAAUUGUGAAAUGUAAAACGUCAAAUUUCAUCUCCAUUCUCUUUCCAAGAAGAACGCACGAAGAAUUUUAGCUUGCUUCAACUGCUUCUCGAAUUUCAGGUAUUGUUUACUUUAAUUUCGAUAAUUUUUUUUUUUACCUCUCUCUUUCUAGUUUGAUAAUUUAGGGUUAUACUUGAAUUAAUUGUAUUUUUAAUCAACCUAGGUUGAUUUAAUUGAUUCCAAGUAUCAAUUUCCUGUUCAACAAACAAGGAACGCACAAAUAAAUUUCAUUUUCAUACUCAAUUUUGAAAGAAUCAAUCAAUUUAUUUUAUCUUUGGUUAGUACACUUCUGUUCAAUUUUUGUUUAUUUAACUUAAGAUAUCUUUUUCUUUCUUUUCUUCAAGCAGAUUAUAGAUUAUAUUGAGAACAGAGCUUUCUCAACGUUGAUUUCAGGUGAUAAUUGAAUGUGUAAUAUUUUCAAUUGAAAUUAAUUGAGUCUCGUAAUUAUAAUAGGGAUUUGAGAUUUACAUCCUGUUGAAAUGAUUUUAGAGUGUUCUGCUAUUUAAAUGUGCUAUUUGAAUGUGCAUUAAUUGUUUGAUUAAAUGUCUCGUAAUAGUAUUACCGUAAUGCACUUUGCUUCAAUUUGGUCUGUUUACACAUUUUAACAAGGGAAAAUUACAGAACUGCAACAGUUUUCAAAUUGAUUGCAUAUUAGAAGUAAUGUUAAUUUAUGCUGCAACAGUUCAAUGGGCUGGGCACAAGUUUAGGACUUUAGUGUUGGGAAAAUAUGCUCUUUAAAAGCAUAUGUGUUUAUUUAAUUGUAAUAAACAUUUUUUCUUAUUAAUAAAAUAAAUGAGGUAUUUUAUUCAAAUAUCUUAAUUGCAUUAAUAUUUGUAUUAAAGUCCAUUUAAUCAUAUUAUAUGUAUUUAUGUGAUCACCAUGUGGAUUCACAGAAGACAUAAAUACAAGUUAUCUUAUGAUUAAAUAAAUUUAGUUCGCAGUUGAUAAAUAAAGUUGGGCACUUUAUUUAGGUAUAGACUGUAAUAAAUUCAUUAAAUGAUUUGUCUUAAUCAUGUAUGAAUUCAUUGAUGUAGUACGACUACAUUGAACAGGAUCACAUAUGAGAUUUAAUUAACUUUGUAAUAACUGUCAGACUUAUUAAAUCUCAUAGGCAUUGAUUUUACUGUAAUCUUAAUCUUGAGUUAAUUAUGAUUUCAUGAUUGUAAUUGUUAUUCCAUUUGAGUUACCAAUGGGCAUGACACAUACUUGUAGUCUAGAUUACCCGGUAUCUUGGUGGGAGCAAUUAUGAGUAUUGGAGUUAUGGAUUAACAAUAUAGAAUUUGUACAACACAUCUCUUGAUGGGUUUUCGGUACUUGAUCAUAGAAUUCUCUGGCCAGAGUGUGUCAACAUAUUUAGUAUGUUGAAAAUGAUCAUUAGAGAAAACCAGUAAGGAUCAAGGAAUAAGAUGUUAUUAAAUUGAUUGGACAGUUGAGAUAUCAAUUUAAUUAACGAUGUGGUACAAAGGAUUGUGCAGUAAAGAAAUCAAUGUGGCUUGGGACGAAUUAUUACUCGAGCAUACAAUUAUGGAAGUCAGUUCCAAUCUUUUAGUGGAGUAGAUUUGGAAUUAAAUAAUUGGGCUAGUUUAAUUACAUGCCUAAUUAUUGUAGCCACUAUUGUAUGUUCCCAAAUGAUCCCCGAGUUAGCUCAUUUAAUUGACUGCACCACUACUGGACUAAUAAGUAAGAUAAUUAGCUAUUUGGGUCAAAAGCCUAAAUAUAUCAUUUAGUGGGAGGCUCCAUUUAAUUAGCUUUUGUAUAAGGGGCCUUAUGUUAUUUUACAAGGUGGGUCCCUUAUUGAAAAAAGAAAAUAACGUGAGUUUUAUUUAGGGCAUUUUUUGGAGCCUAGGGUUUUCACUAAAGGGAGAUAUAUAAGGCUUAUUUUCUCAAAAGAAAAGUGAGAAGCCACUAUAUACAGAUCAGAGAAAAAUAUUUUUCUCUCCAUUGUUGAGAGAAAAAUUUUCUCGUGCUAGUUGCUUUGGUAGUGAUAAAGGCACCCACACGUCAAGUGCAGAUCGAACCUGAGUCAUAACCUGGAAGAUCAUUGGAGACAGUUCGUGAUCUAACAAGCGUGGUGGUGACGGAUCGUGAUCUAAUAGGAGUGGUAGUGACAGAUCGUGAUCUAGGAGCUUAAAUCACUUCAGUGGAAAAAGCCAACUCAGAUUUUCAAGGUACGAUUUCUAGAAUACAAAUUCUUAUAUAUUAUAUGAGAGCGAUCUUCAAAAGGUUUUAUAAAAAUUUAAAAACCUGAUUUUUCUCCAACAUUUAGUUGCUCAAUUAAUGAAUCCACCACUCAUCAGACUUAGAACUUAUAUCUACUGAAUCAAUAAAAAUAGUUGAUCGAAUCAAUACCGAAAGCUUCAUUUGAUUAAUAAUGAACUACAGAUAUUUAUUUAUAACAUCUGUUAGAUUCUGGACAAUCACAAAGAUAUAGUAGCAGAAACUAUGUUCGAGACACUGUAGUUGCUUAAUUAGUGAAAUUGUGAUCUCAUUGCCCCCUUUUUUUGGUUGAUUCUAUAAUUUUAUUAGUCGUUCUUGUGGUUGUAAACAAUAUCAAUUUCUAAUAUUAAUAAAACUGAAUGAAUAAAAUGCGAUGCAUUUGCAGGAAAGUUAAUAGUUUAAAUAUGGAUAAAUCUUGGAUGUUGAUGGAUAGAAGGUCUAUAGAAUAUGAGAACGCGGUAAAUGAGUUUCUCAAGUUUGCAGUACUUCAUGCUAGUCAUCCUGAGCUUUUGAGAUGUCCAUGCCAAGCAUGUCUUAGUUUAUAGGCUCAAACAAUUAAGAGUAUAGAAAAUGCAUGAUAGAACACACAACUCAUAUUUUAGCAACAAUCCUCAGCUCACUGGCCCUUAGUUCAGAAUGACAAUUCUUAUUAGCCAAAGAUUCAAAAUGAUUUUUAGUUGUUUAUAAGUAGAGCACUAGAUCAACAAAUAAUUGAAGUCCUGCAGCUUGGCUAUUGAACUAUACGAUGGUGGCAAUUCGAAGACUACAACUUGGCUCUGCCAUUCGAAGUAAGCAACGCAGCUGCCCAAAGUCUGCCAAGCCAUCAAGACUCCAAGUAUACUUCAAAGCUACAUCAAGACAAUACUAAGAUACAACAUCAACAAUAUUAACAUCAAGAAAUGCAUGGAGGCCAUUGCAUGUUACACCCACCCCAAUAAGAAAAAUACAGUCCUAGAAAUUUACAAACCCGUGCAGUAGGAAUACUAAUUAAUUUAUACAGUUCAAUACUCGUUCCUCUGUUUCAAAUCCAAAUCCACUGGUCUACUAUUCAUUAUGACAAUGCAUAUGCCGAUAUUGUCUUCCAUCCUUUUUGUACCUUUCAAUUUAGUGAGGUUUAGACAGGGGUUCCAGAUUUGGUAAAUCAACAAUCACCAAAUAUGUAGAGCGGCCGGAAGAGGAAGCAUGGUUCCUAAUCCUAAUCUUGAUUUAGAGCAGAUUAGGUAGCAUGUGGCAUUCUACAUUCUUGCAAUGCCAUUUCUUGUUAUGGCAGCGGCAUUCUUGGUCAUGGCCUCACAAGCAAAUGCUUUGAUUUGAAGACUUGCUUGGCUAUGAAAAAUAAGGAGAGCAAAGGUAAUUAAUCUUGGUGUGAUCAACAUUUUUAUGGGGUACUAAGAAAAAUAAAGAUAAUAUAAGGAAUGUUGUUGAGGAGUAUUUUCAUAUUUACACAAGUGUUCAAGUAAAAAUUGAUUUCUUAAAACCCAUUAGCUAGCGCACAUAAUAAUGGGGAGAAAAUUUUAGACUACGAAUGGUCCCACCCAUUUAAUAAUAUUCUUCAAUCAAUUAUGUUUACAUCAAAAAAAAAACCCAACUCUUUAUUACUUUCUAACUAUUCAUAUUAAUGUGUUAAUAAUUAUGAAGAACCGGUGUAAUUUAUAUGAUGUAGGAAGUACUUUAGGCAAAAUCAUCUGAAUCUCAAAAUUUCGUGAUAUUGUGCCAAAUGGGAAGUCAAACCAAUUCGAGGAACUCUCCUGUUUUUGACUGAACAUACAUAAUCCGAACAAUUUGCAAUUAAAUAAAUCGUUCAAAAUCUCCUUUAGUCGAACCCCCAUUUCCAUGGUUUAAUAGAAUAUCAUAAAGGUGCCCAAUAUAGUGAAAUUAACGUUCAGCUCAUGAAGUUGCCGUUAUAAAAAGAAAUUAGUAAAAGAAACUGAAAACCAAUUGACACUGGAUCACGUAAGAUUGUUUGUUAUUAACUAUGAUGGGAAUAUAUACUUGGUCUAUUAAUUAUCAUCUAGCUAAUGCAUGUGCACUUUCAUUUGUGUCUAUCACUGAAGAGUAGAGUUAUUUGAUUGAAUAGUAUCAUAUCACAUAAACUCAAAACUUAAUUUCAUUGCACGAGCAUACCAGGCCAUAUGUGCAAAUCAUUUUCAGCUUACACUAACAUUUCCUUAAUGCAUGUGCACUUUCAUUUGUGUCUAUCACUGAAGAGUAGAGUUAUUUGAUUGAAUAGUAUCAUAUCACAUAAACUCAAAACUUAAUUUCAUUGCACGAGCAUACCAGGCCAUAUGUGCAAAUCAUUUUCAGCUUACACUAACAUUUCCUUAUCAAUCAAUUUUGAUGGUAUGAUAUUAAAAACAUCGAUUUCAUAAUUUUAUGUAAUUCAAAGAAAAGAUAUAAUUGAUUUGAGUUAGUUUAACAUAUAAGGAAAGAGUAAUGGGGAAUGAUGUCGAUGUGGCAUGUGAUGAGUAAAGAUAGACAACAAAUAUUGAUCAUGUAAUAAUGAAAUAUGUAUUUAUUGAAAAUAAAUUGACAGUUAAAAUUAAUAGAUAUAUAUCCAAUGCAUCGAGUUUAUUUUAUCACUUUGCUAACCAUUUUGUAACUACAUGUUAAUUAGAAGUUCAAUUAAUUUUGACCAAAGACUCUAGAGAAUGUCGAAAAGAGAUUUGAUUUUUGUCUUAAAAAAAAUUACAAAUGAAAUAAGUCAAAAUCAAUCACAAGAACAACAAUAAGAGCAUAUUUUAUAAAACCACAAAUACAUAAUAUAAAUUUAGUUUCGAAUUAGAUAAUUAUUAAUUUGUAUUGUAAGAGAGUCUUAUAGAAAAAAGAGGAAUUUUUUAAAAGGAGAUUUGCUUAAGGAACAACUUUAGUUUGGUUUAAUUUGUGAAGGCUCGAGUAAUUGAAAGCAACGCAAUUGAAGGAAAUACAAGCAUUUGAUUUUGACAAAGUAAUCACUACAAUAUUUGACAAGUUUGAGAUGUUAAAAAAACUGGAAAAAUAGACAAAUAAUGAAGACCCUACAAGUUGGCAGAGCAAAUAAACAGAGGAAAACAAAGCAAAUAUUUACCGUUAUGCAUAUAUUUUUUUUAUUUUUUCCGAAAAAAAAUGUUGUGAUAAUUUUUCCCAAAAAGAAGCACAGUUUGAUAUUACUACCAUAGAACUUUAGCUACCAUAUAUAAGCAUGUGUCUAAUUACCAAAUGAAUUCCGCUAUAACAAAGAAUAAAAGCUAAUUUCAUUGAUGGCAUAUGUUGUGCUUUCUUUUCUUUUCUUUUAUUUUAUUUUAUUGAAGUUACUUUGCAAACUGCUCCAUGCUACAUACAUAAUUUACGCUUACACUAGGAUCUUUGCAAUGGUCCAGCAAUUUGUAUUUCCUUUCGGUGAGGUUGGUUUUUUUCUUUAACUAAAAUUUCAGGGAUUAGAAAUCUUAUCCAUUGAACAUCAACUUUGAAUUUUAUUAAUAUUCAAACUUAGAAAAUACUGCAGGAACAAAGUGCAUUCAUAGCCGGUUAAACUAUGUCCAGCUACAAUGCAAGUUUCACUUUUACUUAAUUAAAUAUACAAAAUUAAAUCACAUGAGCCUCUCGUUUCAUUAUACUUCAACUCAAAAUUAAAACACAGAAUUGACGGUAUUGGAGUUUCAUAUUUAAUUUUGCUGUAGUCAUGGGGAAUCAGAUGGCCAUCCAUUUUUACGUCUAUUUUUGUGUGUGCGUGUGUGUAUGUGUGUAUUGGGAUGUCACAGGCCCUAAAAGAUAAAGCUGAACAUCAAUCCCAAAUCUAAAGUGAAAAACAGUAGCAAGAACAGAAUCUUUGUUUUGAUGUCUUAGUUUAUAAGCUCAAACAAUUCAUAGUAUAGAAAAUGCAUGAUAGAACACAGAACUCAUAUUUUAGCAAUAAUCCUAAGCUCACUGGCCCUUAGUUCAGGGUGGCAGUUCUUAUUAGUCAAAGAAUCAAAUUGACUUUUAGUUGUAUCUAAGUAGAGCACUAGAUCAACAAAUAAUUGAAGACUUGCUUGGCUGUGGAACCAUAGGAAGGCAAUUCGUGAACAGCCUUGAUAUUUCAUUUGGUUUUAUUUAAUUCUUUGUAAAGUUGUCUUGUGUGUAAAAUUUUUGUUACAUGAAAUCGGUCGGUGAAGAGAAUUUUUAAAAGCAAACAUCAAAGUCACGAUCAAAGGGACGAAAUCAGUAUAAAUAUUGAUUGUCUCAAGUUAGAUUAUACAAAGAUGAAAUAAUGCUAAUCUAAAAAAUUCGAUGAUUAUAAUUUGAUUUCCAUUAUAUUAAUUAUAUUCAAUCAUGCUCUUUAAAUGAAGAACACUCUAGCAUUUAUAUACACUCAGCUUAUGAAAUUAAUUACAAAACGAUCUUUGACAAAGUCUGAUGAAAAAAGUACAAAGUUAGACUUCCCGAUCAUGCAACCACCCAUCGAAUUGUGUAUUGUGUCAUCGUUGAGCUCUUAGAAGGAUUCAGCUGCUGAGGAGAAGAUAUAAUCUGCUUUUGUGUGAGAAGCUAUGUACUAUGCUUUUAUGGUGUUUCUCUUGGUAGUUGUCGGACAAACUGUAAUGUGAAUUUCUAUCUAAUGGGUAUCCUUUUAGUUACUUUGGGAUUGUUGAUUUAUAUAUGAUGUUUGGUAUCUAAAAUUCAGAUGAUGAUAAUCUUGGCAGUACUUUUGUCAAAUUUUCUUGUGUUGUUGUUGGUUUAAUAAAUAUCACAAAGGUGCAAAAUACAGUAAAAUUAACAUUGAGCUCAUGAGAUUGCCAUUAGAUAUAUUGAAAAAGAAAUUGACACAAGAAACUGAAAAUUAGUUGUUAAUUAUGAUGGGAAUAUAAUCUUGGUAUUUCAAUUAUAUCAUUUGUACUAAUCUCAUUUGUGUCUAUCACAAAAGCAGAGUGGCUUGAUUGAAUAGUGUCAUAUUACGUCACAGCAAUCACAUAAACUCAACCAAAAAUGCAUGAGCAUUGAACAUUCAGCUAAUUUAUACUAAUUAAUUAAUAAUACUAACAAGAGAAGUUGGAUCUCGUCUUCUCUUGGAUAUAUCCGAUGACUUUGAGCUCUCCAGCCUCCCAGCCGGAAAUGUUCUUCCUUCACAUUCGGUGAUUGUUUUUCAUUAUUGCGGCUACUUGACUCAAAUAUGCUAUUGCAAGAGGAGAUUUCUAUUUUGUCUGAUUUAAGCCAUAAGACGCGUUUCAAAUUUCAUUCUGAUUGGUUAUCUGUUAGCUUUUUUGUUUUAAGAACUUCUUAUUUACGGAAGCAAAAUUCUCCUUUCCAGGAUGAUCUAGAUUUAGAAGUUGCUUUUGUCAUAUCAGACGAAGAGGCCAUCUUUAAGGCCUUGUCUAAGAUUGUUGAAUUUACUAGAAGGGACUACUGCUCUGAUUGGUCAAAACUACUAUGGCUGUCUUUUUCAUGAGCUUCUAAGAUCGAAUCAGUUUUAAUGGUAUGAUAUUAAAAACAUCGAUUUCAUAAUUUUAUGUAAUUUCAUAGAAAAUAUAUAAUUGAUUUGAGUUAGUUUAACGUAUAAAGAAAGAGAGAUGGGGAAUGAUGUCGAUUUGGCAUGUGAUGCGUAAUAAUAGACACCAAAUAUUAAUCAUGUAAUAGUGAAAUAUAUAUUUGCUGAAAAAUAUUUGGCAAUAAAAUAAUACUUUAAAAAUUUAAUAUUAUUUGCAAGAAAGUAAUUCGACAAUUAAAAGUAAAAGAUGUAUAUGUGACUCUUCGAGCUUAUUUUAUCACUUCAUUAGCCAUUUUGUAACAACAACUUUAAUAGAAGUUCAAUUAAUUCUGACCAAAGACUCUAGAGAAUGUCGAGAAGAGAUUUGAUUUUUGCAUUCCAAAAAAUUAGAGAUGAGAUAAGUUAAAAUCAAUUACAAGAACAACAAUAAGAAUAUAUUUUUUAAAACCCACAAAUAUAUAUAAUAUAAAUUUAAUUUCGAAUUAAGUAAUUACUAAUUUAUAUAGUAAGAGAGUCUUAUAGGAAAGCAGGAAUUUUUUAAAAGAGAUUUGCUUAUGGAAAAAGUUUAGUUUGGUUUAGUUUGUGAAGGCUCAAGUAAUUGAAAGCAAUGCAAUUGAAGGAAAUAUAAGAUUCUAAUUUUUUUUAAAGUAAUCGCUAAAAUAUUUGACGAAUAGUGAAGACCCUACAAGUUGGCAAUGCAAAUAAACGGAGGAAAACAGGGCAAAUAUUUACUUUCUUCCAAAAAUAAUAAAUGCACAAUCUGCUAUUACUACUAUAGAAUGUUAGCUACUAUAUAUGAGCACGUGUCCAGUUACCAAAUAAUUUCCACUUUAAAAAGGAAUAAAAGCUAAUAUCAUUGUUAGCAAAUUUUAUUUAUUUAUUAUUAUUUUCUAUUAUCCUUUUUUUUUUUGGCGCUUUUAGUUAUAGGCCUAAAAAGAUAAAGAUAAAGAUAAAAAUCAAUCCCAAAUCUAAAGUGAAAAAUUGUGUCUAGAAUAGAAUCUAUGUUUUGAUGUCUUUGUUUACAAGCUUAAACAAUUCAUAGUAUACAAAAUGCAUGAUAGAGAACAUAACUCAUAUUUUAGCAAUAAUCCUCAGCAUCACUGGCCGUUAGUUCAGAAUGACAAUUCUUAUUAGUCAAAGAGUCAAAAUUAUUUUGAGUUGUAUAUAAAUAGGGCACUAUGUUGCGGACCUCCCAAUUCGCUAGCCCAAUUGCCCACAAUUUUGGGCUAGAGAGCCAACACAAGGCCAAGAGUGCUAGCUUGGCCCAAUUCCGGAACAUUCUAGGCAACUCUAGCACAUUGAUCUCGUAAAUACUCUAGAAUUCUCCUUACAAUUCCAGCACAUGUAAAUAGCUAGGAAGUGGUAGAAUUCUCUAGAAUCUCUAGAGCUUGGCAAGCCUCCCCUAUAAAUAUGGGAUGGCAUUAGGCAUUUGCAUCCAACAAACACUACAACAAGCAUUGUAAGCAACUCAAGCAUUGUAAUCUCUCUUCGUGCAAUAAAAGUUUCUUAUUCGGCUCCAUUGCUCUCUUCUCUAGUUCGAGAAGCUCUAGGCUUACUUAGCAACAUUCGGCAAGGUUGUCUAAGUGCCGCACGGGUUAGCUGCACAAAAUACUCAUCCCGUGACAAGUGGUAUCAGAGCUAAGGUUUGCACGCAUGCAAGUUAGCUCACGAAGCAAUGGCCAACCCUUCGAAUGUAGCACAAGAGGGUGUUGUUGGUGUGGAUGCUCCACCGGAACCAAGCCGCGGUCGAGAGGGAGAACGCGUCCAAGGCAAGACUCGCGGCAAGUCCAAGGCCCCAUCCGUGGAUGCGUUGGAGCCUCGUGUGACUACUCUCGAAAUCACAUUGUCCGCCGCUCAAGAAAGCCUCGAGGGAUUGGAGGAACGAGUGGACGGUCUCGAGGGAGAAUACGCCGAGUUCACGGUGGCAACCAAAGCUCUCAUCCAAGAGCAAGCGAACACUCUCCGAGGUGAGUUUCGUUCUUUCCAUGAUGAGUUGCUAAAACUUCAUAGUUUUGUUCAGGACGAACUACGCGCUGUCCGUGCGGAAGUGGAUGAAGUCCGCUCGGAUUAGGCAUGGCACAAGCGCACACUCUCCGCUAGUCCAGCUUCUGCAAACUCGAGUGAUGUGCACCGCAUUGAUGUGCCAAAGCCCGACACCUACGAUGGCACACGCAACGCCACAAUCGUGGACAACUUCCUAUUCGGGCUGGAUCAAUACUUCGAUGCCAUGGGUGUCCGAGAUGAGGCAUCGAAAGUGGGCACUGCACCCACCUAUCUUCGAGGCGCUGCACAACUAUGGUGGCGUCGCAAGCAUGGCGAGAUGGGUAAGGGCAUUUGCACCAUCGACACUUGGGCCAACUUCAAGAAAGAACUCCGAAAGCAGUUCGCCCCAAGCAAUGCGGAGAAGGAAGCGCGAGCGCUCUUACGUCGCCUCAAGCAAUCGGGUAGCAUUCGGGACUACAUCAACGAGUUCACUACCCUUAUGUUAGAGAUAACCGACAUGUCCGACAAGGAUUCACUCUUCUACUUCCAAGAUGGCCUCAAGGAUUGGGCCAAGACCGAGCUUGAUAGGCGUGGUGUUCAAACACUUGACGACGCCAUCGCCGUUGCGGAAUCGCUCACCGAAUACUCUACCCAAUCCAAGGACAAAAAGGCCAACCAAGGCAAAGGUGGGGGAGAGAGUCGUAAGGACAAGGGCAACAACCGCAAAGAUUGGGGGCAGAAAAAGCCGCCUAGCAACAUGAGCGGGCAAGGAAAAUCGGAGGGCAAGAAGGAGGCGCCAAAGCCACAAAGCCCAUGCUUCAUAUGCAAUGGUCCUCAUUGGGUACGCGACUGUCCGGAGAACAGGUCGCUUAACGAUCUUACUACCUAACUCAAGAGCAACCCCGCAAUGUCCACAGAGGAACCCCAACUCAGCAUGGGUUCUCUCCAACGCCUUGGUGCACUCAAUCGCCAACAGCCCGCACUCGUCAAGAAAGGGCUCAUGUAUGCAAGCGCAAAGGUAAACGGUCAGUCCGUUCGCACGCUGCUAAACACGAGAGCAACACACAAUUUCGUGUCCGUAGAUGAGGCCAAGCGCUUAGGCCUCAAGGCCACCAAGGAAUGAGGCACAAUGAAGGCAGUAAACUCACCUGCCAAGCCAAUUGCGGGAAUCGCACAAGGCAUGCACAUCACACUCGGUACGUGGAGCGGAAAGCUUGACUUCUUCAUUGUGCCCAUGGACGACUUCAAGAUGAUCCUCGGCAUGGAAUUCUUCGACCAAGUCCAUGCCUUCCCGCUGCCCGCUACGAACUCCCUAAGCAUCCUCGACGGGAGCAAGGCAUGCAUGGUUCCCACGGAACUAGGCAAGUCCGAGGAGAAGACACUCUCCACCAUGCAAUUCAAAAGGGCUUUCAAGAAGGACCCAAGCCAAGUCCCUCCGCGAAUUCAAGCCAUCCUCAAUGAAUACAAGGACGUGAUGCCUCCAGAACUUCCGAAGAAGCUCCCACCUCGACUAGAGGUAGAUCAUGCAAUCGAGCUGGAACAAGGUGCGAAGCCACUAGCCUUGACGCCCUACCGCAUGGCGCCACCCGAAUUAGAGGAGUUGCGGAGACAACUCAAAGACUUGCUGGACGCAGGCUACAUUCGCCCCUCAAAGGCCCCAUUCAGUGCGCCCGUGCUCUUCCAAAAGAAAAAGGAUGGAUCGCUGUGGAUGUGCAUCAACUAUAGAGCGCUCAACAAAAUCACUAUCAAGAUCAAGUAUCUGAUUCCCUUGAUCGCGGACUUGUUCAACCAGCUUGGCAAAGCGCGGUACUUCACCAAACUUGACUUGCGCUCCGGGUACUAUCAAGUACGCAUCGACAAGGGAGACGAACCGAAGACGGCGUGCACAACAAGGUACGGGUCUUUCGAAUUCCUUGUGAUGCCUUUUGGCCUUACUAAUGCACCCGCCACAUUUGCACACUCAUGAACAAGGUGCUCCAACCAUUCCUCGACCGAUUCGUGGUCGUGUACUUGGACGACAUAGUGGUGUAUAGCACCACGCUCGAGGAUCAUGCCCAACACUUGCGACAAGUCCUCCAAGUACUCCGAGACAACGAGCUCUUCCUCAAGUUGGAAAAGUGCUCGUUUGCCCAACAAGAAGUGGAGUUCCUUGACCACAAGAUUGCGGGUGGGAAGAUCAUGAUGGAGAAUGCCAAAGUAAAGGCCAUCCUCGAUUGGGAGCCUCCCUCGAAAGUGCCCGAACUUUGGUCAUUCCUUGGAUUGGUGAAUUACUACCGCCGCUUCAUCAAGGGCUAUUCGGCCAAGGCGGCACCCUUGCCUGAUAUGCUCAAGAAAAACAGAGCGUGGCAUUAGACCGAAGAGUGCCAACGCACAUUCGAGGAAUUGAAAAGAGCAAUUUCAGAGGAACCCGUCCUCGCUCUUCCGGACCACACAAAGCCCUUCGAAGUCCAAACGGAUGCCUCGGAUUUCACCAUAGGUGAAGUCCUUAUGCAAGAAAGCCACCCCAUAGCAUUCGACAGUCGAAAGCUAAAUGAUACGGAACGCCGCUACACGGUGCAAGAGAAGGAGAUGACCGUAAUCAUACAUUGCUUGCGGGUGCGGCGACAUUACUUGCUCGGCUUACACUUCACGAUCAUGACGGACAACGUGGCGACAAGCUACUUCCAAACUCAAAAGAAGUUGAGUCCGAAGCAAGCACGGUGGCAAGAUUUCCUGGCGGAAUUCGACUAUCGGCUCGAGUACAAACCGGGUAAAGCCAAUGUCGUUGCGGACGCUCUAAGCCGCAAGGCCGAAUUGGCGACACUUAGCAUGAGCCAACCGAAGUCCGACCUUGUCUCACGCAUCAAGGAAGGCCUCCAACAAGAUCCGCUAGCAAAGGAUUUGCUGGAGAAGGUGCUCGAGGGAAAGACAAGGCGUUUUUGGCAAGAGGAAGGCAUCCUCCUCACCAAGGGAGAUCGGCUGUUCGUGCCAAGGUGGGGAAAUUUGCAGAAGGAAGUUAUCAAGGAGUGCCACGACUCCAAGUGGGUUGGUCAUCCAGGAAUUGAGCGCACCAUCGCACUAGUUCAAGUCUCGUAUUUUUAGCCGCACAUGAGGGACGGCAUCGAGGUAUAUGUGCGAACUUUGUCUUGUGUGCCAACAAGAUAAGGUGGAUCAUCAACUUCCAGUGGGAUUGUUGGAGCCGCUGUUGAGUGUUAGAAAAUGCAUAUUUAUAUAGGAGAAAACCGUCAUUUUACAUUUCAAGUCUUACUAACAACCCUUACUUUUAUGUAUUUAACAUUCUUGUGAUUUAAUUACGUGUGUUUUAUUUUAAUUAAGUAAUUUAUGUAUUUUAAGGGCAUUAUAGUCAUUUCACAAUAAAGGAGAGAUCAGACGGCAAAACGGACAUCACUUUUGAACUCAGGACGGUCGAAAACCUUAGGAGGAGCAUAAAAGGAAAAAUGGCACUAUUCACAGGUACGGUACUAUUCACGGGUACGGUACUGUCUACGUUACUGUUCACGACACUGUUCACAUAGACGGAUCGAUGACGUGGCAUUGACCGAUGAUGUGGCAUUGACUGAUGAGGUGUCACAAUCCUGUUGGACUAAAAUUCUUAUAUACCGUUGAUAGUGACGUGGCAGCAUAUUAGUGGACGAAAAAUCUCGCGUACGGUGCAUGCAUCACACAGGAUUAUUUUCAACCAAACCGUGUUACUGUUCAUCCGGGUCAAACCGUGUUACUGUUCAUCCACGUGGUCAAACCGUGGACUGUUGACUGAUGACGUGGCGCAAUCCUGAGCGUCCAAACUGUUUUUAAUCUGAUGGCCAUGAUUUACUCCAUGUAUCUAUAAAAAGGGGGCCUCUCCCCCCUAAUUUGAUAUCUCUGAAUCCAUUUUUGGGAUCCAUUUUCUGUAAUUCCCUCUCCAUCUUGUAUUUUCUUCGUAUUUUAAUAAAUUCUCAUUUUGCCCCUAGUUCAAUUAUGAGUGGCUAAUUUUCUUUCAAGCUUGGGUUGAAGGUGAAGUCUCAACAUGUGUCAUGGGCUUAAUUUGGUAAAUUUAUUUUCUCUUCCCCUCUAGUUUUUGUGGAUGUUUUGACUUCUCGUCGACAAAUAAUAAUAAUCUUGUCUAGAUACCGCCUUGGUUACACCGGCUCUCUAGUAUAAGGUUAUUAUUAUUUGGCACGAUAAGCCCUUAGCACCAUAUUGAUUAGAGCGUGGUUCAUGAGGUGUGGAUUCCCCUCUCAUGAUUUAAUUGACAUUAAUAAGGAUUAUUUAGCCCAUGAUGCAUAUUGAUACGAAUCCGAAUACCCAAGUACGUCAUUUCAAUAGAAUUAUCUUCAAUUUAUUCUCGCCAUUUCAAUUCCAAUUUUAGAAUUUAUUCUCGCCAUUUUAAUUUAAGUUUUAGCAUAUACCAAAUCAUUUCCACCAUAAAUCCAACCACCCAUUUACAAAAUUAAUUCUACAUAUAAUUAAAAUCCACCUCCUCGUGGGAUCGACACUCGUCACCAUUGAUCUACACUACAAUAGAUUCGUGCGCUUGCGAGUACAUUAAAAUUUGCACAACAAGUUUUUGGCGCCGUUGCCGGGGAGGUAAGUAAUUUUAAUUCAUAGAAUUAAUUUUUGUGAAUAAUUUCUUUUAAUUGUUUUCUUGUAAUUUUUUAUUAAAAAAAAGAAAGAAAAAAAAGAGUGAAUUUAUAUUUUGAGUUAAGAAUUUUUAUUUAUUUAUUUUCUCUCUUCUUUACAAUUCUGUAAUUUAAUUUCCAAUUUAUUUUUCUUUGUAAUUUUUUUUUAUCUUAUUAAUUUAUUGUUAGUUAAUUAAUUUCACAAAUUUGUUUUAGUGUGUUUUUAUAGAAAGGUUGUAACAGCGCAAUAAGGUUAGUAUCGUAAUUUCUCCCUCUUCUUUAUUUUUAUUUGUUUUGUUCCCAUAUUUAUUUUUAUUUUAUUUGUUUUGCAUGCAUGGUCGUAGGUCAUUAUUACCUAAUCUUGAACCUAUAGACCUUGAACUUGAGAAAACACUUCGCACACAAAAGCACAUUAAAAAUAAAUUUGAAAUGGAUUUACAAGCACCACAGGAGAGGCCAUUUAAGGACUAUUUUAGUCCCUUAGCUAAUUUGAGCACAUCAUGUAUAAGGUACCCAAAUGUAGCUGCUAGGAGUUUUGAAUUAAAACCUAGUGUGCUAAAUUGUCUCCCCACAUUCUAUGGCUUAGAAAAUGAGGACCCAUAUAAUCAUCUGAAUGAUUUUCAUGCCAUUUGUCAAACUUUUAAGUAUGAAAAUUUUUCAGACGAUGAUGUUAAACUCAGAUUAUUCCCAUUUUCUUUAAAGGAUAGAGCUCGUUCAUGGUUAAAUACUUUACCUGCUAAUAGCAUUACAUCAUGGGAACAAAUGGUAACAAAAUUUUUGAAUAAAUAUUUCCCAGUGCAUAAAACCAAUGCUAUUCGCAGGGAAAUCUCAGAGUUUACUCAGAGAGAAGACGAGCAAUUUUUCAAAACAUGGGAGCGAUUCAAUGGGCUACUCUUGAAGUGUCCACAUCAUGGGUACGAAAAAUGGCACCAAUGUCAAUACUUUUUGGAGGGAUUACUACCGAAUGUGCAAGAAUGGCUAAUGGCAACAAGUGGAGGAGAGCUAAUAUCAAAAAGUGCAUCAGAGAUUUGGGAAUUCUUCCAGCGACAAGCGGAUAAUUCCCAACAACGGAGUCGAUCACUCAGGAAUACUAGAAGAAUUAAGGGAGUAAAUGAGGUUCAAAUUGGCGAGUCAACUUCGGGAAUCAAAGAAGUCAAGGAGAUGGUUGAAGGUCUCUCUCGACAAAUAGCAUCGUUAUCAACUGCUAAAUCAACAGAGGCACAUGACCAUGACUCAUACUCAGAUCAAGCCAAUGCCAUAGGUGUAAUAAGAAAGCCAUCAAAUUACAGCCCAUACUCCAACACAUAUAAUCCUGGAUGGAGAGACCACCCCAAUUUUUCAUGGUCUCAAGGACUCCAACAGAAUGGACCAGCAGCUCCAGCUCCACCAAUGCAACAAAUUCCUCAAGUUCCUCAAGCCUCUCAGCCACCAUUUAGACCAUACAAUCAGAACCAGAACUACUCUCAACCCAGACCAUGGGAGGAUGCAUUCCAAAAUUUCAAGAAUGUUACUCACUCCACGAUUGAGCAACAGAACCGCACUAUUGAUGGACUACGAAAUGAAUUGAGAGUGGGCUUCAACUCACAAGCCCAAUCAGUUUCAAGCCUCGAGAAGAUGGUGGGACAACUUGCUUCUUCAGUUCAGACCUUGGCAAUGACUGUUGAGAAAGGCAAGUUUCCAAGUCAACCAGUGCCUAACCCUAAAGGAGUACAUGAAGCAAGUACCAGUUCACCACAGCAGCAUGGAGAGAUCAAAGCAGUCAUGACCUUGCGAAAAGGAAAAGAAGUCGACAACAAAGUGGAGAUGCCGGUGACAAAAGAAAAUUAAAUUGUACCUGUGAAUGUUGAAGACUCACCACCGGAGGAGAAAGAAGAAACCAACCCACGAGAAUACGUUCCAAAAGCUCCAUUUCCUCAGAGGUUAGCGAAAGGAAAGAAGGGAAAGUCUACAGGUGAGAUUCUUGAAAUCUUCAAACAGAUAAGUGUUAACAUCCCUUUACUUGAUGCGAUUAAACAAGUUCCAUCUUAUGCCAAGUUUCUUAAAGACCUUUGUACUAAAAAGAGAAAUAUGCAUGUCCAAAAGAAUGCAUUUUUAACAGAAAACGUUAGUUCUAUACUCCAACAUAAAAUUCCUUUAAAAUGCAAAGACCCAGGCUCCCCCACUAUCUCGUGUAGUAUAGGGAACCACACAAUUGAGAAUGCUUUGUUGGAUUUAGGAGCUAGUGUAAAUUUGUUGCCUUAUUCUGUAUUUGUGAAACUUGGACUGGGAGAAUUACACCCAACUCCAGUGGUGUUACAGCUUGCAGAUCGGUCCACGAAAAUACCUCGUGGUAUUGUGGAGGAUGUGCUUAUCCAGGUAGACAAGUUUUAUUUUCCUGUUGAUUUCAUUGUAAUUGACACUCAACCAAUACAGGAUUCAAGGAAGCACAUCCCCAUUAUUCUAGGCCGACCUUUCUUGGCAACUGCAGAUGCUCACAUUCAAUGCAGAACUGGAAAUAUGCAGUUGUCCUUCGGCAACAUGACUAUGGAACUAAACAUCUUCAACAUUGCCAAACAACCUCACAAUGCAGAUGAUGGAAUUGUUGAUGUGGAUUUAAUUGAAACAAUAGUUGAUAAUACUUUUCUUUCAAACCUUAGUGAUGAUCCUUUACAAACAUGUUUAACUCACUUUGGUUUGGAUUUUGAUAUUGACAGAUCGGUCGAUGAGGUCAACGCCUUACUUGACUCAGCACCAUCUAUGGACACUAAUCAAUGGAAGUCAAGAGUUGAACAACUAGCACCAUCAGAGAAGAAACUCAUCCCAUCAUCAGAAUCACCACCGAAACUUGAGCUUAAACCAUUGCCCAACACAUUGGAAUAUGCAUUUUUGGGGGAAGAAAGUACUUUGCCGGUAAUCAUUUCAGCAUCCCUCAAUGACGAACAAAAAGGUAAGUUGUUGGAUGUUUUAAAAGAGCAUAAAGGAGCAUUAGGAUGGACCAUAGCAGACAUAAAAGGUAUAAACCCAGUAGACUGCAUGCAUUACAUUCACCUUGAUGAAAAUGCUAAAUCUACUAGGGAAAUGCAACGUCGGUUAAAUCCUAAUAUGAAAGAAGUUGUUAGAACAGAAGUCCUUAAGCUAUUAGACGCAGGUAUCAUUUACCCAAUUUCUGAUAGUUCAUGGGUCAGUCCUGUACAAGUUGUCCCCAAAAAGUCAGGAGUCACAGUAGUUACCAAUGCUGAUAAUGAAUUGAUACCAACUAGAGUAACUACAGGAUGGCGUGUAUGCAUUGAUUAUAGAAAGUUGAAUUCUGUCACACGUAAAGACCAUUUUCCUUUACCAUUUAUCGAUCAAAUGCUUGAUAGAUUAGCAGGCCAUGAAUUUUAUUGCUUUCUAGAUGGCUACUCAGGAUAUAAUCAGAUUCCCAUAGCACCAAAAGAUCAAGAGAAAACCACUUUCACUUGCCCUUUUGGUACAUUUCCAUAUAGGAGAAUGUCAUUUGGAUUAUGUAAUGCACCUGCUACAUUUCAAUGAUGCAUGUUAAGCAUUUUUUCUGAUAUGGUUGAACGAUUCCUUGAAGUCUUUAUGGAUGACUUUUCUGUCUUUGGUGAUUCAUUUGAUCAGUGUUUACAUCAUCUAACACUAGUUAUGCAGAGAUGUAUCGAGAAGAACUUGGUCUUAAAUUGGGAGAAGUGUCAUUUUAUGGUAAAACAAGGUAUUGUCCUCGGUCACAUCAUUUCGAGCAAAGGUAUUGAGGUUGACAAAGCCAAGGUGGAUCUCAUUUCUAAUCUUCCUCCACCCAAAACAGUCAGAGAAGUAAGAUCUUUCCUUGGGCAUGCUGGUUUUUAUAGACGUUUCAUUAAAGAUUUUAGCAAAGUUUCUAGACCCUUAUGCAAUCUACUUGCUAAGGAUGUACCUUUUUUCUUUGAUGAUUCAUGUCUUGUGGCAUUCGGAAAAUUAAAGAAGUUGUUGACAUCAUCACCCAUCAUUCAGCCCCCAAACUGGAGCUUACCAUUUGAGCUCAUGUGUGAUGCAUCUGAUUAUGCAGUAGGAGCAGUAUUAGGACAAAGAGUUGAUCGAAUUCCCCACGUUAUUUACUAUGCUAGUAUGACAUUGAAUGAUGCACAGUUGAACUAUUCAACUACUGAAAAAGAAAUACUAGCAGUAGUGUUUGCAUUGGAAAAAUUUCGAUCUUAUCUCAUUGGUUGUAAAAUAAUUAUAUUCACAGAUCAUGCUGCUCUUAAAUAUCUUCUCACGAAAAAAGAUGCAAAAGCUAGACUAAUUCGUUGGGUGUUGCUUUUGCAGGAGUUUGACUUGGAAUUCAAAGAUAAGAAAGGCACAGAAAAUGUCGUGGCGGACCAUCUCUCUCGUCUCCAUUUUGACACAAUUACAGAAUCAUUACCAUUGAAUGAGUCAUUUCCAGAUGAACAAUUGAUGAGUGUGGAAGUAUUACCAUGGUAUGCUGAUAUCGUUAAUUAUCUUGUUACAGGUCAACUUCCAGAGCAUUGGACCAAGCAAGACAAGGCUAAAUUCUUUGCAGAAAUAAAGAAUUUCUUUUGGGAUGACCCGUAUUUGUUCAAGUAUUGUGUAGACCAAAUUGUUAGACGAUGUGUCCCAGAAAGUGAAAUUCAAAAUAUCCUUUCAUUCUGCCAUGAACAAGCUUGUGGAGGCCAUUUCAGCGCUAAGAAAACAGCGACUAAAGUUUUACAAUGUGGUUUUUAUUGGCCAACUAUAUUUCGAGAUGCUUACACUUUCUGUUCUUCAUGUGAUAGGUGUCAACGAAUGGGGAGCAUUACACGAAGGAACAUGAUGCCACUAAAUCCAAUUUUAGUGGUUGAGAUUUUUGACGUAUGGGGUAUCGACUUCAUGGGACCCUUUCCCCCGUCUUUUGGUCAUCAAUACAUAUUGGUUGCUGUUGACUACGUAUCAAAAUGAGUAGAAGCAAUUCCAUGCAGAACCAAUGAUCACAAGGUGGUGAUAGGAUUUUUUAAAAGCAACAUUGUUUCACGCUUUGGAUUCCCUCGAGCAAUAAUCAGUGAUGGUGGUGCCCACUUUUGUAACAAAGCAUUCAAAGCUCUUUUGACAAAGUAUUCAAUCACACACAAAGUGGCGACUCCGUAUCAUCCACAAACCAGUGGCCAAGUUGAGAUCUCCAAUCGAGAAAUAAAGCACAUAUUAGAAAAAACGGUGAGGCCAGACAGAAAAGAUUGGUCAUUAAGACUUGAUGAUGCAUUAUGGGCAUAUAGAACGGCUUUCAAGACCCCGAUUGGGAUGUCACCCUACAGGCUAGUGUAUGGAAAAGCUUGCCACCUACCUGUGGAACUCGAGCAUCGUGCGUAUUGGGCCAUCAAGAAAUUCAACUUUGACAUGCAGCAAGCCAGCUCAGAAAGAAGAUUACAACUGGCAGAACUUGAAGAAAUUCGCAAUGACGCAUACGAAAAUGCCAAGAUUUACAAGCAACGGAUGAAAGUCUUUCAUGACAAGCAAAUUAUGAGAAAAUCGUUCACUCCAGGUCAGAAAGUGCUUUUAUUCAAUUCUCGCUUGCACCUAUUCCCAGGUAAGUUACGCUCUCGUUGGUCUGGUCCCUUUAUUGUUCAUACUGUUUUUCCACAUGGGGCAAUUGAAAUUAAGGACCCAAAGAACGGUGUCACGUUUAAAGUUAAUGGUCAAAGAUUAAAGCCAUAUCUAGAGUACUAACCACAUGGAGAAGACACCGAAAUAAAUUUGAGUGACCCACCAGAUUUGAAUUGAUUUUUUUUCUUUCUUUUCGUUGAUUUGAUUUUUCUUUCUUUCUUUAUAUUAUUCUUUUGCUAAUUGAAAUUAUUUUUGCAUAAGUGUGUUUGUUUAACUAUUAAGUUUUCUCUUAUCAUUGUUAAUCAUGAGUCUCAUACUUAGACCAUUCCUCCUGAACAUUCUUAAACCACUUCAACGUGUCAAAACUCAUCUCAAAAGACAGAUUCAAUUUUGUAAAACACAUCGUAUUUGGGCUCUACAACCACCAGAGUUAGUAGCCUAUGUUGAGGGUUUAGAAAGCCAACUCAGAGACAUUGAGAGAAGUGUUUACGACAUCCAGUUGGAGCUUGAGGUAAAUUCAAUAAGAGGACGAUUUUAAUUUUCAUUGUGUGUUUUAAUUUGUUUUUCUGUUUGUGUGCUUUAGUUUGUUACCCCAGUGAAGUGGCGGAUAACGGUACUCCGUGACAAUCCAGUCGGUUACUUCAGUUUCCCAUAAUAACUGAUAUUCUGAGGCGAAGGUAUGGACAGAAACGAGAUUCUAGCGAAACUUCACAAGCGAUUCCCUUCACUUCCUCAGAAUGCCCUCCUUACGAUCUAUAAAGCUCGGUCUGAACGCAUGCGAUUACUCAUGAGGAAUAAAAUACCUGCUGACAUUCGUUGGUUAAUCGAAGCUAAAGUACGAUCGGCAGGUGAGUUACCUCCAAAAUUUAUUGCAUACAUGCCUGGUUGUGGUAAAGGAAAUUAUGCAAGAAAACGACGAGCUCGAAGAAUUUUUGUUGCUUGUCAUAAGUGCGCCAGAAUGAGUUGCAAUAAAAACCCAUGUUCUUUAGGAAUGGUGUCUGAUAACAGGGAAGAUAAGAUUCAAUUCAUUAGGGAUGGCUUGAAUAAGGAGUCAUUGGAUGAUAUCCUUUUGUCUCUUGAAACACAUCCCAGUGGAUAUGUGCAAGGAGCGAUUCUCCAGUUAUGGCCAUUAUUCCAGAAAGAGCAUGCACGAUACAGUCUCGGGAAUCUGACUAUAAACGACCCUGUUUGCCAGUUUGUAAGAAAACUGGAUAGGAAGCCUAUCCUCGACCCAUAGAGGGCGUUCAAGCCGUUUCUGGACGUAAAACCAGAAGAAGAUGUGAGCCACAGUCGCAACUACCUGUAAAUAUCCUUUUACUUUAUUGUUAUUUUAUUUCACUAUUGUCUUAUUGUUUGCAUUAUUGUCUUUAAUAAUUUUAUUACUGUUUGCUUUUUCCUUUUUACUGUUUUCUUUUUGACUUGCGAGCCACGUGCUUUACGCGUUAUUUGACACUGACAUAUUACCUCAUACACAACCAUGACCCACUAUCACCAAGACUCUUAAAUGUGAUAUCUUUUGUCCAGCACUCACAAAUUAUUUUUUUGAGAAGUAUCACAAUGGCAGCUACUCCAAAUAGCCAAUUCAAGAACAUUUGUGUGCUUUCUGGAUUUACCUAUGGCAAACAUAAAGAGUUCGUUGAGGCAGCCAUAGAUCUUGGUCGAAGCAUAGCAGAGAGAAAAUUACACUUGGUGUAUGGAGGAGGUAACCGAGGGUUAUCAAAAAUGGUCUCAGAAGCAGCUUUUAUCAGAGGAAGUCAAGUGUUAGGCAUCAUCCCAAGAGUCCUAAAACCAUUGGGCAGUUCGUCUGAUUCAUCAACUGGAGAAGAGUUAGUCGUCUCAGGUAUGCAAGAAAGAAUAACUGAAAUGCUUAAUCAUGCUGAUGCUUUUAUUUUCCUUCCAGGAGAUCUUGCAACACUAGCGGCACUUAUCACACUAGCAUCUUGGGCCCAUCUGCACAUCCACCAGAAACCCAUCGGUUUGUUCAAUGUCAAUAACUUUUAUGAUGGCUUUAUCGCAUUUCUUAACCAUGCAAUAAAAAACUACUUCAUUCCUUCCCAUGUGAAAAAACUUUUUAUUUGUGCUCACACUGCUAAUGAGCUACUUGAUCUGUUACAAGCUUUUAGACCGGAGCCAAACCCCUGGACCUUUGUGUUGGAGCGACCAAAUACUGAUGGUAACAGUAGCAGCAGUAAGAAGUACAAAUUAGAUUUAACUCUCCGCCUGUAAAUAUUUUCUUCUGUGUUGCACCACCCAGGUGAUGUCUUCUAAACUCUACUUCUUUCCUUUUAAACAUUGAGGACAAUGUUUCGUUCUGGUUGGGGGGAGGGAAUAGUCGACAAUUGUGGAAUCUUGGUUAAGUUUUUACUAAUUUUUUGUUGUAGAAACUAACUGUUGCUAACUUUUUGUGUUGAAGAUGGCUGAAUAUAGAGUGUAGUUACUCUAGAAACGCAUCUUCAUUGAUUAAAAAAAAUAAUAAAAUAAAAAAAUAAAAAAAACAAAAAAAAUAAAAAAUUUCUUUUUCUUUAUUAAGUUUUGAUGUUCAUUUUUCUUCUUCUUUUUAAUUUCUCCUCUAUAAAUAUACAUUUUCCAACUUUUGAGUCGAAGAUGGCUGAAUAUAGAGUGUAGUGCCUCUAGAAACGCAUCUUCUAAGUUAAAAAAAAAAAAUUCAUUUUCGUUUUCUAUCAUUUUAAGUGUAACUUUUCUAAUUAGUUUUUAUGCAUCAUUUUCACAUUUCUGCAUGCAUAUUUUCCUUUCAUGUUUAGAAUAGGUUGGGGGGUAGAAUGUUGUUUAAAAAAAAAAAAAAUUGUGUGAUUUGUUUUAACAUUGGAUGACAUGAUUAAUUUUAAAUUUUAGUAUUUGUAUUAUCUUUGGUCUUAAGUGAUGUUACAUUAUGUUUGCUACUCUACAUGUUGAUGUCGGAGACAUAUAUGAGUUGCUUGAAGGAAUGAACAUGUCAUAAUAAGUACCAAGUGAGUUUUUGAGCCUAUCAUUUUUCUUGGAGAGUAACCCUUUUGCCCAUUCUUUAUACAGCUUAGCAGUUUAUUAUUGUAUACACGAUCUCUAGAUUUCUUUUGAGUUAACCCUUAAAAAAAAAAAAAAAUGUGUGUGUUGCUACAUUGGGAGGCCCAUCUAACUAGUAGAUAUGGAUGAUUAUUUAGAGCCCUAAAAGACGAUGGAAAGGCCAUCUUUGAUCCGUUUGAGACUUUCUAGCCAUCCCUUUUAUUAAAUAUCCAUAGUUAACCCUUUUGAGCCUUUUAAAAAAAAAAAAAACAUUUUCUUUGUCAACUUAUCAUCUUGACCCACUCCGAUUUGGAGUAUUACCCGAUAUCUUAUAAGUUCCAUCACCUAUUUAUGUUUGAGAAAAUGUAAAUAAUUAUGUUGAUCAGUGAAGUUAUACCAAAAAAAAAAAGCAAAAAAAAAAACAACAAAACAAAAGUUGUUGUUUCAAAAGAAUAAAAAUAACAAUAAUAUGUGAAAUCCACCUUGCAACUUCCACAAAAAAAAAAAAAAAAAUUUCUCUGCAUUUUUCUCAAACAUACACUUUGUUUUCUUUAUUUCCUUUCUUUGUUAACCAUGUCCCUAGCCUACGUUACAUCCUAAUAAAAGUCCUUCCUGAUUUUAGAGAAUUAUAAUCUGAAGUAGAAGCUGGUUAUAUGGGCUAAAAAGAUGUAGUGGUGCAUAUAAAAAAAAUAAAUAAAUAAAUUGGGUUGACUAACAGUUUUUAUUUGACUUGAGAUCGUAUUAUUUUUAAGCUGAGGGCAUAUUUAUUUUAUCUUGGUGAGAGCAUGUGAUAUCACUUCUUCAUUAUUUUCUCUCAAUUACCAUUCAUUGGAGUGACUAUUUUUAUUUGGUUUAAUUUCUUUGUGAGAGUGUCACUACUUCCAGUGAGAUUUUGGGGUUUGACAUGUCAUUCUUGAAAGUAGCUAUAACAAAGUCUACUGGGCUGAUUCAUGUGGAUGGUUGAUGUGGGUGUGAUGUUGCUUUAGACUGGAGAUAAUGCUUAUACUUUUAUUUGAUUGUUAUCAUUAAUCUGAUUGAAUAAACACUCGUGUUUCUAUAAAAAAAAAUCAUUUUGAAUUUGAAUUUUGUUUUCGCUUUAUUUGCUAGGGACUAGCAAUAAGUUGGUUGGGGGGUGUGUUGAGUGUUAGAAAAUGCAUAUUUAUAAAGGAGAAAACCGUCAUUUUACAUUUCAAGUCUUACUAACAACCCUUACUUUUAUGUAUUUAACAUUCUUGUGAUUUAAUUACGUGUGUUUUAUUUUAAUUAAGUAAUUUAUGUAUUUUAAGGGCAUUAUAGUCAUUUCACAAUAAAGGAGAGAUCAGACGGCAAAACGGACAUCACUUUUGAACUCAGGACGGUCGAAAACCUUAGGAGGAGCAUAAAAGGAAAAAUGGCACUAUUCACAGGUACGGUACUAUUCACGGGUACGGUACUGUCUACGUUACUGUUCACGACACUGUUCACAUAGACGGAUCGAUGACGUGGCAUUGACUGAUGAGGUGUCACGAUCCUGUUGGACUAAAAUUCUUAUAUACUGUUGAUGGUGACGUGGCAGCAUAUUAGUGGACGAAAAAUCUCGCGUACGGUGCAUGCAUCACACAGGAUUAUUUUCAACCAAACCGUGUUACUGUUCAUCCGGGUCAAACCGUGUUACUGUUCAUCCGGGUCAAACCGUGUUACUGUUCAUCCACGUGGUCAAACCGUGGACUGUUGACUGAUGACGUGGCGCAAUCCUGAGCGUCCAAACUGUUUUUAAUCCGAUGGCCAUGAUUUACUCCAUGUAUCUAUAAAAAGGGGGCCUCUCCCCCCUAAUUUGAUAUCUCUGAAUCCAUUUUUGGGAUCCAUUUUCUGUAAUUCCCUCUCCAUCUUGUAUUUUCUUCAUAUUUUAAUAAAUUCCCAUUUUGCCCCUAGUUCAAUUAUGAGUGGCUAAUUUUCUUUCAAGCUUGGGUUGAAGGUGAAGUCUCAACAUGUGUCAUGGGCUUAAUUUGGUAAAUUUAUUUUCUCUUCCCCUCUAGUUUUUGUGGAUGUUUUGACUUCUCGUCGACAAAUAAUAAUAAUCUUGUCUAGAUACCGCCUUGGUUACACCGGCUCUCUAGUAUAAGGUUAUUAUUAUUUGGCACGAUAAGCCCUUAGCACCAUAUUGAUUAGAGCGUGGUUCAUGAGGUGUAGAUUCCCCUCUCAUGAUUUAAUUGACAUUAAUAAGGAUUAUUUAGCCCAUGAUGCAUGUUGAUACGGAUCCGAAUACCCAAGUACGUCAUUUCAAUAGAAUUAUCUUCAAUUUAUUCUCGCCAUUUCAAUUCCAAUUUUAGAAUUUAUUCUCGCCAUUUUAAUUUAAGUUUUAGCAUAUACCAAAUCAUUUCCACCAUAAAUCCAACCACCCAUUUACAAAAUUAAUUUUACAUAUAAUUAAAAUCCACCUCCUCGUGGGAUCGACACUCGUCACCAUUGAUCUACACUACAAUAGAUUCGUGCGCUUGCGAGUACAUUAAAAUUUGCACAACAGCCGCUACCACUAGCAACAAGGCCAUGGGAAAGUGUCUCCAUGGACUUUAUUACUUCGCUGCCCAAGUCCGAAAGUUACGGAAGCAUCAUGGUCGUUGUCGACUGAUACAGCAAGUACGCCACAUUCAUUGCCGCACUAAUUGAUUGCAAAGCGGACGAGGCAGCCCGCCUAUUCGUCAAGCACAUUGUGAAGCUUUGGAGAGUUCCAAAGAGCAUUGUGAGCGACCGAGACCCUCGGUUCACUGGAUGCUUUUGGACGGAGCUCUUCAAGAUGUUGGGGAUCGAUCUUAAGUUCUCGACAAGCUUCCACCCACAAACGGAUGGGCAGACCGAGCGCAUCAAUGGCCUCCUCGAGAUGUACUUGAGGCAUUAUGUGAGUGCUCAUCAGCGGGAUUGGGCGAAGCUACUCGACAUCGCCCAAUUUUCUUAUAACUUGCAGCGAAGUGAGGCUACGGGCAAGAGUCCGUUCGAGAUCAUCAUGGGAUUCCAGCCAAUGACUCCCAACGCCAUAGCCUCGACUUACGGAGGGAAAAGCCCCGCGGCACACAAGCUCACCCGCGAAUGGCAUGAGGAAGCGGACAUCACGCGAGCCUACCUCGACAAAGCCGCGAGGAAGAUGAAAAAAUGGGCGGAUACGAGGAGACGGCAUGUUGAGUACAAGGAAGGUGAUCAAGUCAUGAUCAAGCUCCUACCCCAACAAUUCAAGACUUUGCGGAAAGUUCCCAAGGGGUUAGUGAGGCGCUACGAGGGACCCUUCCGAGUUGUUCGACGUGUGGGCAACGUCUCGUAUCAACCCCAACUUCCGCCAAGACUCAAGAUCCAUCCGGUCUUCCAUUUGAGCCUUCUCAAGCCAUAUCACGAAGACAUAGGAGGUGCGCGCCAACUGCCGUUGUCACCGCGUUCGACAAAGAUGUAGACUACAUCAUUGCGGACCGCACGGUUUCGAGGAGGGGCGUGCCAGCACAUAGCGAGUACUUGAUGAAGUGGAAAAACCUCCCCGAGAGCGAAGCCACUUGGGAACGUGAAGAUGAUUUGUGGCAAUUCGCUGAGCACAUCCAGCACUUCAAGCACGAGAGCGCGACGAGGACGCCGCGAGCUUAGGUAGGGGAGGAUGUUGCGGACCACCCAAUUCGCUAGCCCAAUUGCCCACAAUUUCGGGCUAGAGAGCCAACACAAGGCCAAGAGUGCUAGCUUGGCCCAAUUCCGGAACAUUCUAGGCAACUCUAGCACAUUGAGCUUGUAAAUACUCUAGAACUCUCCUUACAAUUCCAGCACAUGUAAAUAGCUAGGAAGUGGUAGAAUUCUCUAGAAUCUCUAGAGCUUGGCAAGCCUCCCCUAUAAAUAUGGGAUGGCAUUAGGCAUUUGCAUCCAACAAACACUACAACAAGCAUUGUAAGCAACUCAAGCAUUGUAAUCUCUCUUCGUGCAAUAAAAGUUUCUUAUUCGGCUCCAUUGCUCUCUUCUCUAUUUCGAGAAGCUCUAGGCUUACUAGCAACAUUCGGCAAAGUUGUCUAAGUGUCGCAUGGGUUAGCUGCGCAAAAUACUCAUCCCGUGACAACUAGAUCAACAAAGAAUUGAAGACUUGCUUUUGCUAUUUAACCAUGCGAUGGCAAUUCGAAGACUACAGCUUAGCUCUGCCAUUCGAAGUAAGCAAUUCAGCUGCCCAAAUACUGCCAAGCCAUCAAGACAAUAACAAGAUAUAUGGGUUAAUCGCAAAAGAGACAACCCGAGAUCUCUAAUCGCAAAAGAGAGGCAAGCAGGCCCUUCUCUGGAAAGUACUUGAGCUUGGGACAAUUACAGAGUUUAAUGAAAUAAGGUUUUGAUGAUCAACAAUUGAAGAAGACAGGCAGUCCAAAUUUAGUAAAUUAACAAUCACCAAAUAUGGUAGGGUGGCAGGCAAAGGAAGCGUGGUUCCUAAUCCUAAUCUUGAUUGAUAACUGGCUAUGUAACAUGUGGCAUUCUACAUUCUUGCAAUGCCAUUAAUUUCUUGUUAUGGCAGCAGCGUUCUUUCAUCAUGGCAUCACAAGCAAAUGUUUGAUUUGAAGACUUGCUUAGCUGAGAAAAAUAAGGAGAGCAAAGGUAAUUAAUUUUGGGGUGAUGAAUAUCUUUAUGGGUGUACUAAGAAAAAUAAAGAUAAUAGAAGUAAUGUUAUUGAGAAGCAUUUUGAUAUUUACAAAAGUGUUGUUAGAGUGCAAUUUAUGCACUAGUUUUGCAUUGUUUACUUCCCUUAAUAUCAAUGUUUUGCACUUAAUAAUAGUAAUUUACUUGUGUUUUACCUUUGUAGGUGUAAUUCUAUUGAUUGGUGAUAAAAUUGAGCUAUAAGAUGAUGUUUAAGGAUGAUUGGUCUCUUAGAGAAAUUAUGAGCGUCAGAAGAACUUUGUUGAUAAGGCGUGGGCGCGUGCUGUCAACUGCGGACCUGCAGUUUUUAGUUUAACGUGUUUUGUAUUUUUGGUUAUUUUUGUAAUUACGAAUUUAAUAUUUCAGAUAUUAGUAUUUUAUUUUAAAUAGAAUUCUAAAAGAGAAGAGAGAGAGAGUAUUUAAAGGAGGAAUCUAUUGUGAAAGGGGGGAUGGGGAUUGGAGAAAAAGAAAAGAAACCCUAGAUCUUAAUUUUUCUCUUCUCUCUAUGAAGAACUAAACCUAUUUUUUCUGGUUGAAGGAUAAUGAAGCUUUGAUUCAUCACUACUGUGAGAUCUUUCUUAUGCUUUAAUUGUUUUAUUACUUUUUGGGUAUUUGUUUAUUCUCUGAAUUAGUUUCAUGAUUAUGUUUGUUAAUUAGGUAAUUGGCCACUAUUUAAUUAUCAACUUAAUCUAUUGUCAAUUAAAGGAUUCAUCGUAUGAAGAAUUUAAUGUUUGUGACAAAUAACAUAGCAGAGAGUUGUGUUGUGAGAAUAAACAAUCUAAUUUAAAUGAAUCAUCAUAUGUGUUGAUUAUGAUUUGGGUCUCUCUGGUUUUUCAGGCUGUCAAUUGAUUAAAUCCUAUGAUCGUAUCUAGGGUUGUCUAUUGAUUAGGGAAAUAUCCAACGAUCGUACCUUGGUUAUCGACUAGUUAAGGAGAGAUUGGCUAUUAGAGGGUCUCAAUAGCUAUAACCGGUCUAUUCAUAAGUAAUAAUAAUCUAUAUUUGAAUCAAUGAUCAGUAGUCGAAUCAAGUUUAGUUAAUUCCUUCAACCAGAGCUUUCUCCAAUUUGAAUUACAACUUUAAUUUACAUUCUUGUUAUUUUAAUUUGAUUUUUAUUAUUGUCAACAAAACCCCCAUUUUAUGUUUUAUGUUUUAAAAGGAUUUAAAUAAUUACCAAUCUCUGUGGACACGACCCUGCUCAAUCACUAUACACAAUUUAUUUAGAGUAGGAAUUUAUUUUUGUUGGCUUCGACACCCAUCAAGUGUUCAAAGAAAAAAGUUUUUUUUCUAUAUCUAUUUGCUGGUGCACAUAACAAAAGGGCAUUCUGAGUAAAUUUAAAACUACAAAUAGUCUCACUCUUUUAAUAAUAUUCUUCAAUUAAUUCUGUUUAUUUCAAAAUAAAUAUUCUAUCUCUUAUUACUUUCUAACUAGUCAUGCUAAUGUGCCAAUAAUUAUGAAGAACUAGUGUAAUUUAUAUGAUAUAAGAACCCCUUUAGCACAUUAACCCGAAUUUAGCUAAUACAUGUGCCUAAUAUAGCGAAAUCAACAUUCAGCGCAUUAGAGUGCUAUUAUAUAUAUUGAGAAAGAAAUUAACACAAAAAACUGAAUAUUAAUUGACACAGGAUCAUGUUGGAUUGUCAGUUGUUAAUUAUGAUGGGAAUACAAUCUUCAUCAUUGCGACUACUUGACUCAAUUAUGCUAUUGCAAGAGGAGAUUUAUAUUUUGUCUGGUUUAAGCCGUAAGAUGGAUUUCAAGAUUCAUUCUGAUUGGUUAUCUGUUAGCUUUUUGUUUUAAGAACUUCUUAUUUACGGAAGCCAAAUUCUUCUUUCCAGGUUGAUUCAGAUUCAGAAGUUGCUUCUGUCCUAUCAGAAGAAGAGGCCAUCUUUAAGGCCUUGUCUAACACUGUGGAAGUACUAGAAGGGACUACUGCGCUGAUUGACUUUUUCAUGAGCUUCUCUUCCAUUUGAACAUGAGAGUAAUCAGAUAGUUGACAUAUAUGUUACAAAAGUUGGAAGCAACUUAAGCAAUUCAGUAUCAUGUGAGGACUAUAAUAAUAAGCCGAUUCUUUUGCUUGGAUUUUUUUGUUAAUUCACUCGCUGCAUGCUUAUCCCACCUCUGAUUUUUCUUAAUAUUUCUCUGUAGUUCACUUCACAGCACUUUAGCCGCUACAUUGGCAUUUUCUGCUAUUUGUUAUUGUUCAUUGAAGCAAGUUAGCUUAUGAGAUUGCUUUUUGGUAAAUGUUCUUCAGGGGGGUUGUGAAAGGCCAAAUCAACUGAGAUGACCGGGUUUUCUAGAUCAGCCAUCUCUGUCCUCAACAACUGUCAAUUACUGAGACACCAAACUCUAACCUGAUUCAUAUGGAUUUAGACUAAAGCUUCUUGCCGAUACCGUCCCCAGUCAAAGCUGCUAUCCUUGAAAGUUUUGCAAGAGAAAACAUGUCUGAGUCAGACAUUGACGUCCCCCCAAGCAUCAAACAGUAUAUCAAGAGCAAUGUUGGUUUCCCAGUCGAUACAAAUGCAGAAUUCAUAUAUGCAAAUUGCUCUCAAUCUCUGUUUAAUAAGCUAGUCCUCUGCUGUAUCCUACAAAGUGGAACAAUACAUUAUGCUUCCCAGCAGACUCCAAUGGGAAGUAUGUUUCUGCUGCCAAAUUUUUGAAAGCUAUCAUUGUGAAUAUCCCUCCCCAGUCUGAAGUGGGCUUUGAUACUUGUGACAAUACUCGAUCGAGACUGUAAAGAAGCCGUGGGUGUACAUUUCUGGUCCAACAAUCAAUCCAACUGGCUUGCUUUUACAGCAGGAAAGAGAUAGAGAAUAUAUUAACUGUUUGUGCAGAAUAUGGGGCAGGAGCUUGCUUAGUGUCGUGUCAAAAUAAAUAUAACAAAGUUUUAGCUGAAUAUAAAUUCGACUUAGUUAUUAUAGAUAUUUAAUAAAAUAAUAACACGAUUAAUAUGAUACUUCAUGAAAAAAAGAUUUAAUUUAUUAUUUCUACUAGUAAAAACUAUUAAUUCAUCAACCCAUCAAGAUUUUUUUUCUUUUUUUUUUUUUUUUUUUUUUAAUUCAACCCAUCAAUCUUUGUUUGUAACUGCCAGACCGUCAGUUUCUUAAGGCUCACGCAGUGCAAGGGUAGUGUAUCGUUUCUUUCUAACUGAAAUGGGAACUCGGAUGCUGAGAAAAUAUGCCUGCAUGACUUCAUUAAUCCUGCAGGCGUGGUACUAUCACUAUGCAACAUUACAUUAACAUUUCCUCAUCAAUCAAUUUUGAUGGUCUGAUAUUGAAAACGUCGAUUUCAUAAUUUUGUGUAAUUUCAUAGAAAAUAUAUAAUUGAUUUGAGUUAGUUUAACAUAUAAUGAAAGAGUAAUGGGGAAUGAUAUUACUGUGGCGUUUGAUGAGUAAUGAUAGACAACAAAUAUGGAUCAUGUAAUAAUGAAAUAUGUAUUUACUGAAAAAAAUUUGGCAACAAAAUGAUGCUUUAAAAAUUUAAGAUUAUUUGCUAGAAAUAAUUUGACAAUUAAAAGUAAAAGAUAUAUUUGCAAUGCUUCGAGUUUAUUUUAUCACUUCACAGACCAUUUUGUAACCACAUGUUAAAUAGAAGUUCAAUUAAUUCUGACAAAGGACUCUAGAAGAGAUUUGAUUUUUGUAUACCAAAAAAAUUAGAGAUAAGAUAAGUUAAAAUCAAUUAGAAGAACAACAAUAAGGAUAUAUUUUAUAAAAGCCACAAAUACAUAUAAUAUAAAUUUAGUUUUGAAUUAGUAAUUAUUAAUUUAUAUAAUAAGAGAGUCUUAUAGGAAAGUAUAAGAGUCUUAUAGUAAGAGAGUCUUAUAGUAAUUAUUAAUCUGUGAAAUCCCCGGCCCCGCUCAAUCAUUGACUUCCAAAUCUCCAUAUUACCCAAAAUAUAAACUGACUGAAGGUUGGUGGGAAGGCCAUCUUCUUCAAGGCUUGGAAGCUCACCUCCUAUUGUUAAUUCUUGAAGAGAGGUCAGAUUGUGCAAUCCCUUGGGUAAGGCCUCUAGUCUCUUACAAUCAAGUAUCGUCAGCCUCGUGAGUUUCGCACAAGGCAAUCCCCCUUGGGGAAAGGACACUAGAUUUCCACAAUACGCUAUGCUAAUCUCUUGAAGCUGGCGGAGAUUAUGUAAACCACUCGGUAAAAUUUUCAGAUUUCCACAAUUAGAAAUGUCGAUUGUUUCAAGAGAUGUGUUGUUGUCCAACCUUUCUGCUAUUGACUCCAGCUUUGAACAACUCUCAACACGAAGGGACUUAAGAGACGGAGGUAGAUUGCCAACUUCAAGGGACUCAAGCGUGGCAGGUAACUCAUUUUUUGAAAAUAUACAUGUCAGUGAUGGACAGCUGUUAAUACGCAACUGCUCAAGAAGAGAUGAGGUGUACCUUCUAUUGCUGCUGCUGCUGCUACUCUGGACGCCCUCUUCCACUGUCAAAGUCCUUAUAUUAUCGCAAUCGCUGAUUCUCAGCUGCUUGAGGCUCGGUGGUAGCUGGACUCCAGCAAUAUAUGUCAACGAAUGGCAAACCCAAAUCUCCAAGAUCUCGAGAGAUGAAUUGGUGUCGCACAUCCAUACCUCUGGUAAUGAUUUCAGUGCAUCACAUUCCCUAAUCUCAAUUGUCUUCAACUUGGAAGGCAGAGCAACCUCAGGAAAGGAAACAAGGGAACUGCACUUGUAGAUUUCUAUCUCUCUCAAGGAACUGAGGCUGAGAGAUGAUUGUGGCAGCUUCACAAGGCCUUCGCAAUAUCUCAAUCUUAGAUAUUCGAGUCUGCAUGACAACUCGCAGACCUGCUGUUGUUGGCCUUUCUCUUCCUCCGCCACCAAGGAUUGAAGUUUGGGACACCGUCUAAUCGUCAGUCUUCUGAGAGAGCAAAUGUCUUGCAGUAAUUCGUUAUGACUCUUCCAUAUAUAUGUCUGCUCUUUCAUUUCAUUUAUCUUCAAUUCUUCCAAUUUUGGCGGUCGCGGCUUUAAUGGCCCUGCGAGAAACACUUGAUUUGAUGUAUCUCUACAAACCACUGAAUUCUGUGAGCCGAGAUGAUCAGUUGCACUUCUCCACACAACCUUUUUACAUCCACCAAUCUGUAAUUUGCAAAGAGCUGGAAGACUCGAAACUGAAACUGACAAUUCUUCACAUCCUUUAAUAACAAGCUUCUCCAAUGCAGGAAGGCGUUCUGGAAAUGUUCCUUGCAGCUUAGAACAUCUUAAAAUGUGAAGCUCUCUCAAUUUAGGAAACCCUUCAACUCCCUGACUGGAUCCAUGAGGAAUUCAGUCUUCCCAUCCUUGCAUGUCUUCAAAAUGAAGAGUCUCCAAGCAUGGAAAAGGAAUUGGAGUAUCAUUCCCAUAGAACUCUGAACCCAACCUCUUUACACUAGUCAUUCCACAUACUGCAAGAUGCUUUAGAGAGGGUAGUUGCCCGACUGACGGCAGGGUAGGACACAUGCCACAAUAUUCAAAUUUUAAGGUCACCAACUUUGAGAAUGAGGAAUCUCCGAACCAAGUUGGAAAUUUUGCACCUCUAUAGCCGCUGAUACUAAAUUGUUCCAAAUUUUUAUUGGGUUCUAGCAUGUCCAGCACGUCCUUUUCAAUUUCCGCCUCACUUGAAGACGAGCCAUCGGUACUGUGUGUCCAUCGAAGCAAUAAUUCUCUAAGAUUCUUCUUUCCAUCCAAUUGAGCCUCCUUUGCAUCACCAACGUCUUUUACAUUCUCCAAUUUUGAAAUGUUAAGUGUCCCAUGAAGGUGCGUCAACAACUUUAGCUCUCGUAAACCGGAACCACUGCCUUUUCCCACAACAAAAUUACACAACGUCUGAAGACUAGUCAACCUACCAAUUCCUACUGGCAUUUCCUCCAACGACUUCGUAUUUGAAUUCUUAAGAUGAUGCAAUUUGGCGAGGUUUCCCAUGUCUGCACACAACUUCUUCAGCCGAUCACAAUCUUCCAACAAAAGACUAUGCAAAUUGUAAAGCUUGUUGACUGAUUCAGGCAGAGUUCUAAUCUCAGUUCUAGACAGGUUAAGGUACCUUAAAUACCUCAAAUCACCAAUUGAAUCCGGCAGCUCAGGGAUGCAGUAUCCACGCAAAGAGAAGACCCUCAAGCGUCGGAGUUUGAGCAACUUAGGAAGAAUGCUAGGAGCCAAGAAGCCAGGCAAACUUUUUGUCAACAUUACUGGUAAAAAAGUUCUCAAAUGCUGGAUAUCAUACAAGUCCCCAAACCUUUUACCGCCAUCAAAAUAUUCAGGAAUGUAUGAUAGAUGACGAAGAUUUUCGGAAAAACUUUGCUGGUUGUAAAUUUCUGAGGUAUACUCCAUUGUGAAGUAUAUCUCCCCCGCAGCCCAACGGGCAAGGUCAUUGAUAAGAUCGUGCAUCACAAAUCGUGAUGUAUUGUUGCUUAAUUGCUGGAAAAAAGAUCUUGAACGUAGCUCUUGAAAGAACUUUCGACCUAGAACUUCGUUAGGAUUCCCAUUCUCUUUAUGAACCAAGAAACCUGAAGCACUCCAUAAUAAAAUUAUCUCCUCCUCUUCAAAUUCAUAAUCCUUCGGAAACAACGAGCAGUGUGCAAAGCAUUGUUUCAAAAUUGGAGGAAGAUAAUAGUAGCUCACUGCAAGAGCUGGUAUAAUGCCACAUCUCUUUUGUGGUAAUUCCCAUAUCUUGCUACUGAGCACAUCUUCCCACACACCUCUGUCAUGUUCUCCACAUAAAAGUCCUCCCAGUGUUUUUGCUGCCAAGGGCAAGCCAUUGCAUUUGAUCACUAUCUUCUUGCCAAUGUCCUCCAAUGACUUGUGUGAACUGAAAUCUCUUGUCCCCAAAGAGUGCUGAGCAAACACAGACAGACAAUCCUCAGUUGACCCUGCAAGUUGGCAGAGCAACUAAACAGAGGAAAACAAUUGAAAUUAAAACGCAAAAAUUGAUGGUAUUGGAGUUCCUUAUUUAGUUUUGCUGUAGGUCAUGGGAAUUAGAUGGCCAUAAUCCUCAGCUCAUGGCCGUUAGUUCAGAAUGACAAUUCUUAUUAGUCAAAGAAUCAACGGAUAAUUGAAGCUUGCUGGGCUAUUGAACCAUGCGAUGGCAAUUCGAAGACAACAGCAAGAUACAGCCAUUCGAAGUACAAAGACUGCAGUAGGAGUAAUUAAUUAAUACAAAGAUACAACAUCAAGACAAUACCAAAGACUGCCAAGCCAUCAAGACAAUACCAAGAUACAACAUCGAGAAUUACAUGCAGGCCCUAACGCAUUUUAUCCCUUCUCUGUUUUAAAAGAGAUUUACGAACCCAUGCAGUAGGCGUAAUUAAAUAAUUUAUGCAGUUCAGUACUCAUUCCUCCUCUGUUUCAAAUCCAAAUCCACUGCUCUACCAUUUAUUAUGACGCAAGGUAUAUGGGUUAGCAAGUGCUGUCAUUGUCCUCCAUCCUUUGAGUACGUUUCUUCCAUCAAGGGACAACCCGAGAUCUCUAAUCGCAAGUUGAGCCAAUUCAAGGAAAUCCCCUGUUUUUGACUGAAACAUACAUAAUCCGAACAAUUUAUAAUUAAAUAAAUCGUUCAAAAUCUCCUUUAGUCGAAUUCCCAUUUCCAUGGUUUAAUAAAAUAUCACAAAGUUGCCUAAUACAGUGAAAUUAGCAAAUUCAGCUCAUGAGAUUGCCAUUAUGUAUAGUGAAAAAGAAAUUAAUACAAUAAACUGAAAAUUAUGAGAAUAUAAUCUUGGUCUUUUAAGUAUCAUCCAGCUAAUGCAUGUGCACUUUCAUUUGUGUCCAUUACUGAAAAGUAAAGUGGCUUGAUUGAACAGUAUCAUAUGACAGAAACUCAAAACUCUAUUUCAUUGCCCGAGCAUACCAUGCCAUAUGUAAGCUCAAAAGUGCAAUAACAUUGAACAUUCAGCUAGCUAGCUCACACUAAUUAAUUUAUAGGACUGUUAGUUCUUUAUGAUUCACUAGAAGAGAAAAAAUUUGACAAUCAUGAAAACAACAAUAAUUCACUCCCAUAAACAACAUAACAAAUGCAUGGUCUAUUGCAAGUCUUUUUAUGAUUCUAAUUAAAAGAGAAAAUACAAAGGACAUAUUAUAUAUAUUUGAAUGUUCUCCUUGAUAAUAGACAAAAUAACACAAGUCUGGCUAACUAAUCCAAUCAUCAUUAUAGUCUGAUUUUCAUUAUUUAAUUAUGUCCAAUCAUGCUAAUUUAACAAAUAACACUGAACAUUUGAGUAUUUAUAUGUUAAACAGCCUUGGCUAAGUUAGAAAAACAUUAGAGCUGCAUUUACGCUUUGUGUUAUUAAGUAGGACAUGAAGAUAUUAUGUUGCAUUUGUCAGAAAACAGAAAAUUAUUGAAAAAAAUCUUAAAAGAGGUGUGUUGAAUUGUGAGCUUAAAACUGGGUUUUAGAUGUUUCUGCCAUGUCAGUUUAUAGCCCUGAUUGUGCAUGCUCUUUUGUUUGGAUGAAACAGGAGAAUAUUGACAUCUGUGCAUUGUCGUUUACUUCCUGUAAGUGAAUAUCAUGUUCUUCACGUGAUUUCACCUACUCCAUACGGCACAUUCGACAGUCGUUUUGGUCACUUACUGAAGCACGAGUGAAACACCUGAUUCAAGGUUGUGAGCCAUCUUUGUUUAUCCUCGUAGCAUCCUUGAUCUUAUAGUAUCCUUGUGGUUCUUGAAAGUUCUUCUCAUUCCCAUGUGCUGAGUCGCUUGCUGAGAUGAUGAAUAUUUGAUGGUCCUUCCUUGAGACAUUUGAUGGAUGAGAAAUGAUGUAACCAAUAUAGUUCUGUUUUGAAAAAUCACCAAAUGAUGUCAGAUAGUUCUGUUUUCUGUUUUGAAAAAUCAAUAUAAAUCAAUCACCUUAGAUUCUCUUUGUCUCAAAGCACUAUGGGUGAUGAUUUGAUGAGAAAUAUGGGUGAAAGAGAAGUAGGUUGGAAGGUUAGGUUUUGCAGCUGCUGCUCAUAGAUGAAAAAGAAAUAGUUUGGAUUUUCUUUAGGUUAGGUUAGGAGUUGUAACUUGCACACACCACACACGUGACAUGUUUGCACUUUACAUUUAUUUAAUUUAUUUAUUUUUAGAUUUAAUUAUUUUUUCAAUUAAAAUUACAUUAAAAAUAUUUGAGAAAAAAGUUACAGGUUUGGCGGAUAUCCAUACAGGUAUCCAUCGUAUAUUUAGCUAAUACUAAACCCACCCGUAAUGUAGUGCGGGUUUUAAUUUCUAAUACUAAACCCGCCCACAACCCGCAAAAUUACCCACAGUGGGCAAGUUUUGGCGGGCGGGUUUGGACGGACUUACGGAUUUGCAAGUACCAUUACCAUCCCUAUCUUUGGUAUGUGUUUAUCUUGUUUUCGUUCUUUUAUGAUGCAAGAUUCUUGGUUACAUUAGGAAUAAGAGUGAAAUCCCAAUCUUAAAAUUUGGAGAAAUAAAAUGUAAUAUGAUUUUUUUUUGAUUUUUUUCUACUAGCAAAAAUUAUUAAUUUAUUAACCCAUCAAGCUAUUGGUUUCAUUUGUAAGCCGGUCAGUCCAUUUUUUUGCUUUCAAUUGUUAUCUUUUAAAAGAUACUAGAAAAAUCUUACUUUGAGUGCAUUUUAUCACUUCACUAAUUUUUUGGUAAUUACAAGUUAGAAAAAUAAAUUAUUUCUGACCAAAGACACCAGAGAAUGUCGAAAAGCGUUUGAUUAAUUUUUGUAUACACACACAUAAGACAAAAUUAAAUUAUUCGUCAGCGUUGAUAGUGAGUCUGUUGCCUAUGUUGCAAUUUUCAGGUAUCACUGAAAAUUUUAGACCGUCAACACCUGCAGGAAAAUUAUAUACAUAUUCUAUCAUUCAACCUCAACAAAUAUAUUCUUUUCACUGGAAUCCAACAACUGUUAAGUGUUAACCUUGUAGUCCUCAAGAGCAGAAAUUGUUGUAUUAAUUUCUUCAAGUGUCUCUCUUAAAAGAAGAGAGUAAAAUUUCAACUGAGAUCUUGCCACAUAAGACGAUCGAUUUAAUCCGACAAAAUGUGUGUGGGUUAACAAGAGCCAAUGCUGUCCUUGAUCCUUUCUGCAUCUUUCUUCCAUCAGCGGACAAUCCUUGAUCUACAGUUGCACGCUCUUGUCCAAAAAGUAUUUUAGCUUCGGACGAAUAUAAAGCCAAAGAUACACCAACGACGUGAGAUUUUGACCAACUGAAGAUAGGCAUUCCAUGUUUUGGAAAUCAUAAAUCCACAAAAGGGUUCCUAAUUCCUGUGGCGAAAUGACACCACGUCACGAAGUCCUCCGAUUGACAGCCGUUGUAGAGAUGAGAAUCUGUUCAAUCCCCCUUCCCCCCACUCCAUGGAUGACUUCCAAAUCUUCAUAUCAUGAAUAUAAAGUGACUGAAGGUUGCUGGGAAACAUACCAUCAUCUGCCUCGACUGGGAAGCGAUACCAUAUAUGCUUGCCAGACCUCCUCUGUUUAAUUGUUGAAGAUUCUGCGUGUCCUUGGGUAAGGCCUCUAGUUUAUCACACCACGUUAUCCGGAGCUUAGUCAGUUCCGCAGAAGGCAAUCAUCCUUCAGGAAAGGGUCAUUUCAAUAAAAGCACAGUACAAUUGCUGAACUAAUUUUUUGAAAACAGAGAUAUGAGAGAUUGACAAUUUACAAUUGCUUAACUGCUCAAGAAGAGAGCACGCUUGAAAUAUGAAAUAUGAAAAAGAGAGCACAAAUGACAAAUCUUAAGGAAUUAGCAGGAUUCACGUCCGACCGACUCCACGUUGCUAAAGCAAAGGAUUAAUUUUGAGAAAUUGUAAAGAAAUUAAUACAAGUGAAAUGAGAGCCUGCUCAUUUGAUUAUUGGCCAAGGGUGAUUUCAAUAACGUUUUCAAAGAAGAUAUAGAACAAAGAUCAAAACGAAAAAUAAGCAAUUUCAGUCGUUGAAAAAAAAAGAGCAAGCUUCACACAUGCAUGCAUGUGUCGGACCAACAGAACAUGGCUUGUGGUAAGGAUCAAUCAAAGAAAUAUAAAUUCACUGUUUUAUAAAGUAAGCAUCAAAAUGUUUGACAAGUUUUAGAUUUGUAGAAUAUUGGGAAAACGGACAAAUAAUCAAUGAAGACACUGAAAGUUAAGCAGAUCAAUUAAACAGAGGAAAUAACUGAUCAAUUCUUUGUGCAAUGGCCACAGCAACUGUGAGCUUAUAAGUUGCUGAUGUGUUGGGCUUAAAUGCAAGAUUCGAAGAGUUCUUGUGGCUGUGUGAAGACUGACUUCAGUUGGAGGGGUCUUAUUGCAAAUUUUAUGCUGAUGUGGCAGAGUUCGCUGAGAAUUCGUUGUGCCUUUUCCAGAAAUAUCAGAACAAAAGGCGCUGGUGAUUAGCCCCUGAUCUGAGAUCAAUAUCUUCUUCAUUUCUUGUUCAUUUUGUUGGCAAUUUGGUUCUCUGUGAUCCUUGUAAUUUUCUCUUCGUAAUCAACCUGUAUCUCGAUUGUUAUGAUCAAUAAAAGAGCAGUUUUGUACUUGAAACACUACUCUUUGUUCUAUUCUUGGAAUUGCUUUCGUGUUUGGUUGAUCUGGUUUGAUUCUUUCAAGUCCGAUUCAUCAAGUUCUUCACGAACUAACUUGUGUAGCCAUUAAAGUUUCAACAGCAACAGAUUAAAUAUAUCUACAAGACUACAUUAAUCCUAAUGGCAUGGUAGCAUCUCCAUGCAACAUUACAUUAACAUUUCAUCAUCAAUCAAUUUUGAAGAUAUGAUAUUAAAAACAUUGACUUCAUAAUUUUAUGUAAUUUCAUAUAAAAGAUGUAAUUGAUUUUGAGUUAGUUUAACAUAUAAAGAAAGAGGAAUAAGGAAUGAUAUCAAUGUGGUGUGUGAUGAGUAAUGAUAGAUAGCAAAUAUUAAUCAUCUAAUAACGAAACAUGUAUUUACAAAAAAAUAUUUGGCAAUAAAAUGAUGCUAUAAAAAUUUAAUAUUAGUUGCAAGAAAAUAAUUUGGUGAUUAAAAUUCACAGAUAUAUAUGCAAUGCUUUGAGUUUAUUUUAUCACUUCGUUAAGCAUUUUGUAACUACAUAUUAAUUAGAUCGUCCAAAGCUGUGCAUUUUUUUAAAAAAAAAAAAAAAAAAAAAAAAGAAGCACGGUCUGCUACUAAUACUGUAGCAUGUUAGCUACUAUAUAAGCUCCUGUCUAAUUACCAAAUAAAUUCCACUUUAACGAAGAAUAAAAGCUAAUUUCAUUGUUACUGCCUGUUGUGCUUUUAUUUUUUUUUCUUUUUUUCUUUUUGUUAUUGAAGUUACCUCGCAAACUGCUCGGAUGCUAAUUACAAAAUUUCCUCUUACUCUAGGAUCUCUUGAAUGGUCCUGCAAUUUGUAUUCCUUUAUGUGGGAUUGGUUUUUUCUUUGAGCAAAAUUUCAAGGAUAAGAAACCUUACCCAUCGAAAACCAACUUUGAAAUUUAUUAUUAUUCAAACUUAGAAAACUGCAAAAACAAAGCGCCUUCAUAGCACCAGUUAAGCUCUGUCUUGUUACCAUGCUAGUUCUAUUUUUACUUUAUUAAAUGUAUACAAAAUUAAAUUACCUGAGCCUCUAGUUUCACUAGUUUCCAACUUGAAAUUAAAACGCUGAAUUAAUGGUAUUGGAGUUCGUUAUUUAAUUUUUCUUGAGUUCAUGGGGAAUCAGAUGGCCAUCCAUUUUUAUGUCUAUUUUAUGUACUAUUGGCCACUAAGUAGCUUGCCCAUAUAUGCGUAUUGGGAUGUCAUAGGCCUUAAAGCUGAAAAUUAAUCCCCAAUCUAAAGUGAAAAACAGUAGCUAGAACAGAUUCUAUGUUUUGAUGUCUUUGUUUAUAAGCUCAAACAAAUUAAUAGUGUAUAGAAAAUGCAUGAUAGAACCCAAAACUCAUAUUGAUUUUUAGUUUCGAAAUUCAUUUCAGAAAAUCUGUUCCGUUCAACAGAUUUAACUAAAUUAUCAACUAAACUCUAGCCAUGUACUUGCUUAUCUAUGGGUAGAGCACUAGGUCAACAAAGGAGUCCAUCUUUAAGGCCUUGUCUAAGACUGUGGUUGCCUUUUUCAUGAGCUUCUGGCUUUCCAGCUUGCUGAGCGACGUACACAUAAAGAGGUUAUCCUUCUCUUUUUUUCUCUGUUUUCAUAUCACAGAAUCCAUUUUUGAAUAUAUGUAUUUAGGUACACACACACAUGAAUAUGCAUGUUUUUAUGAGGAUAUUCAAGUAUAUUAUUUGACAAUCACAAAAACAACGAUCUACUCCAAUAAAUCUCAUAACAAAUACAUGCUCUAUCUUUUUAGGACUAAUUCAAAGAGAAAAUACGAAGGACACAUAAUUGAAUUCUGUCCAUGAUAAAGAACUCUAAACAAAUUCAUAUACUUAUUGCAGUACCUGUUAAAAAUUCAUUUGUUUCUUCUUUUCCUUUGAUCAACAGCUAAAUACAGCCUUGAAAUUUCAUUUAGUUUUGGUUAAUUUUCUGUGGAGUUGUGUUGUGUGUAAUAGUUUUGUUUCACGAAAUCGGUAGGGGAAGAGAAUUUUUAAAAGCAUAUCAAUGUAAUGAUCAAAGAGACGAAAUCAAUACAAAUAUUGAUUGUCUCAAGUUAGAUUAUACAAAGAAGAAAUAAGCUAAUCUAGCAAUUCAAUCAUAAUAAUUUGAUUUCCAUUAUAUUAAUUAUGUGCAAUCAUGCUAUUUUAAUAAAGAACACUCGAGCAUUUAUAAAUAGUCAACUUAUGAAAUUAAUUACAAAACAAUCUUUCGCAGAGUUUGAUGAAAAGACUGUGUAUUGUGUUAUCUUGAGGUCUUAUAUCAAUUAAAGCCAGGCUGCGCUUUGGCUGACAGCGAGAUAUAUCCAAACAUAAGUGCUGCGAAUGAACUGGGAAGACGGUAGGAAGAUUAAGCUGCUGAGGAGAAGAUAUAUGCAAAAGAAAUAAAGCUAAUCUGUUUUUAUGUAACAAGCUGCUAUGUACUCUGCUUUUAUGGUCUUUCUCUUUGCGGUUGUUAGACAAACUGGAACGUAAGUUUCUAUCUUAUGUGUGUCCUAAUCCUUUUAGAUAGCUUGAGAUUGUUGAUUUAUAUAUGACGUUUGGUAUCCAAAAUUCAGAUGAUGAUAAUCUUGGCAGUACUUUUAUAAAAUUUUCUUUUGUGUUGGUGUUGACUUAAUAAAAUAUUACAAAGGUGCCUAAUAUAGUGAAAUUAACAUUGAGCUCAUGAGAUUGUCGUUAGAUAUAUUGAAAAAGAAAUUAAUGCAAGAAACUGAAAAUUAAUUGAUACUGGAUCAGGUUGGAUAGUUAGUUGUUAAUUAUUGUUGAGUGUGAACCAGAAUUCAGUGUGCAGGGCAAACAACAAUGUCGACCAUCAGACUUGGCAGAAGACGACAUGUCCAAUAAAAGCUUAUCAGGGCUGUACGACAACCUUCCCAUGUCAAUCAGAAUUCGUUAAGUAAUGCACGUGUGUAACACGUGAUCUCCUAAUAACAUAUUAACUGAAACGUCUACUUACUACUGUCGUUUUGGGAUAUAUAUGUUACGCACACGCUCAGCACAUGGGGGAUUGGUUACCAGUUAAAAGAAGCGGGAAAAUUCUGGGGUUAACUACUUAACUGUAACAAACCCAGAAUGAUUUGCAGGCUUCUGAGAUAGGUUUCUAGGAGCUUCAAAGCUUGUAUAAAAAGGGUCCUGAUGACUGAAGUUGAGAGUGGUUUUUUCCUUGUAAUCUCUGAAAAGGCUUGAGCCUUGUUUCCUGCAUUAAUAAAUAAUCAUAGCCCUGUUUCUCAAAGAGGAUGUAGGCUGUAAUGGCUGAACCUCUAUAAAUCCUUUCUGUGUUUUUUCUUUCUCUGUUGUGUGUUUCUAUUCUUGUUUUAGAUUGUAUUGAUUCCUAAUAAAACUGUUAAUCAUUCUUGAUACUGAAUUUUAUUAAAUCUCUUCUUCUCUUUUGAAUAAAAUUUCUUUAAAAUUCAAUUCAUAAAAAAGAAAAUCUCCUUAUAAUUUAAUAUGUUUCAGUUGUCUCAGUGGAAUGAUGCUAUUUGUUUCAAUCAAAGUUUUGAAGCAUCCUAAAAUUUUGAGAUCCAAAUGAAAAUAAAUUAAUUUAAUUCGUGGUGUACUCUAAAUUUUCAGCUAUAAAAAAAUAGCGAAAUUGAAGUGCACUUGGGCAAGAAGAAACAGAGACUGCGAUUAUACAAUUUCAGUGUUUGACUCUAUCGGCAAAAAAAGAAAAUAAAAAAGAACUCCCAUUGUUCCAUUGUUUUUCCCAUAAAUAAUAAUAUACAGAGAAUUUUGUUUAACGAGAGAUAUAAUAGGUAUUUAGGUGAGUUUAUAGCGUAAAUUUUAAAAUUUUAAAAUUUAAUAAUGGAUUUAAUAAGUAAUUGGGUUCAAAUAGUAUUUUAGUGGUUUUAAAUAGCCCCACCCUUUUUAUUUUAAAAAAAGAUUUAAUUACAAAAAUAUUACUUCCAAUCGACAACAUUUUAUAUUUUAUUUUAUUAAAUAUUAUUUUAUUUUUGAAUUACUAAUAAUGCACAAAACGGCAUCAUUUAUUGAUAUUUUUAAAUUGUUUAAGAUUUGUUUAAUUAGAAAAUUUCCAUUGUUGAUAUUUAAAUAAUUUUAAAAAAUAAAAUAAUAAAAUUGGUGUCGUUUAGUUUUGUUAAAUAUACUAAGGGCUCGUUUGGUAUGCCGGAUUGGAUUGGAUCAGAUUGGAUAAGAUAAAAUUGGAUUGGAUAAUAAUGGAUUAUAUAUAAUACUAUAUUGGGUUUGGUCCAAUUUUAGAUUGAACUAUAAAUAAUCAUCUCUUAUAUUAUAAUAUUAUAAUUUACAAGUUAUUAUUAUUAUUAUUAUUAAUAUAAACUAAAAUUUUGUAUUAUUAAUUAUACAAAUCAACCUCAAUGAUAUUAAUGAAAUAUAAAUCAUAAUUUAAAUAAUUUUUAUUUUUUUAAAUAUUUUUAUGAUAUUUUUAUUAUUUUUAUUCAAUAAUCUAUUAUUUUAUAAAAAUUUAUAUUUGUGAAUAUUAAUUUAAUAAUAAUUUAUAAUGUAAAUUUGAAAUUAUAAAAAUAUUUAAUAAAGCAAAUAAAUAAAAAUAAAAUUUUCAUUCAAUGUGAAAUUAAUAAUGAUUUUUAGUAUAAUUUAUUAUUAAAAUUAUUAAAAUCAAUAUUUUUUAUUACAUUUAUCACAUAUUACUAUAAUUUUAAUAUUUAUAAAUUAUUAUGUUUAAUUGAAUUAUUAAUAUAAUCUAAUACUAACUAAUCCCAUAGCCCCCUUGAAAUAAUUUCUUUUACAAAAUUGAAAUUAGCUUUGGGGCUCACGAUAAAUAAAUUCUAAUACUUUUGACAGCACUAAAUAUAGGAAUAGGAUAAAAUUUUAACAAAGAGUUUAAUCUCCACUUUUAAUCCUCCUCCAACCAAACAUGCCCUAAGCUAACGGAUCAUGGCAAAUUUGUAGUAAGUGAUGAACGAUUUGAUAAGCUCUACCCCAUCAGUUCCUUAAUUGAGAAAAUUCCCAAGCCCGUGCAGCCUCACAAUUGAUAGAGACCCGAAGCCACCAAACUCGACAAUCAUCACUCAACGUCGUUGCAGGCUACCGGUCGCUCAACAAGCACCAGUUCCUCACUCUACAGCCAUCACUCAAGCGCUGCCAUUUCCUGUUAAUUAUUCGCUCGAAUUAGGGUUCUGAUAAUUGGGGAUUUUUUUCUUAAUUGUGGAAUUAUGAAGUAAUGAUGAUGACGACGAAGAUGUGGUGGUUGACGACGGCAAAGGCAACGUUGAAUAUUGAGGCACUGGAGAAACAAGCAUUGGCUAUUAUCUUGGUCGAUUUGCCUCGAAUUGAUCACUAAAAAUGGGGAUAUCGUGGGCCGAGCUUCAACGCAGUCGCAAAUUUCAUUUGGAUAACUGAAUUUUAUUUUAUUUUUGUGUUUAAUUUGUUUAAAGUUUAAUUGUUUAGAUCUAGGCUAAAUUUUAAUGAUCAUUUUUAUGAUUAAAUGACAUGAGUAUGCUUAAGUUUUUUUCCUUCAAAUUGAUUUUCUGAUGUUACAUUUUGUUAGCAAAAAGUUAAAAAAUAGUAGAAACUGUCAGAAUUUUUGUUAUGAAGAUGUUGUUUUAGUUUGAUAUUGGGAAAAUAUCAUUAUACAUAUUGCCAUCAUAUUCAUGGGAGACCAAAAUGGGAAUGAUGGCAGGCUAUGCAUUGCUCACAACUAAUUUAAAACUCACUAUUUCUGUUUUUGGUGUUUUAGUAAUUCUGGGGGCAUUCCAACUAUAAUUAAUAAGCUAUAAACUUGUUUAGUAAUUACUAAUCAACUUGCUAGAAAGAGUCACAAACUAAUUAGCUUUCUCUUGUAAUUUUUACAGAUCAUCAGUGGAUAAGAACUACAAGGAGUUGAAGACUUAAAGAUAAGAACUACAAGGAGUUGAAGACUUUAAACCCUAAACUUCAUAUCUUGAUUUACAAGUGCAAUGGGGUUUCACCCCAAUUAUGGGCUAGAGAUGUACUCUUUCUGUUCUUGGUGCUUCCCACCCCCCCCCCCCCCCCCGCCCCCCAAAGUCAUUUUUUGUUCUCUACUCCAUUGUAAAUUUGUAUUCAAAAGUCUUUUUCUUUGUCUUUAGUUUUUAAAUUUAUGGAGAUGAUCUUAUGAGGUCUUAAAUAAAUAGUUGUAGAGCUUUACUAAAACUAUGUACAAUCUUAUUGAGAUUUGGGUGUGAUUUUGUAAGAUUGCUAAAAAAUUCAUAUUUGGUAUUUGUUUUAUUUUCCUAGUCGAAUUUCUUGCUUGUAGAAGAUAAAAGAAAAGUGCAAUUUCAUGUUGCAAUAAUUUUUUUUCCUUCCCUCUUUUUCUUCCCAUAUAGUCUGGCUCUGGAUUUGGUGCAGUUGAUGGUUUUAAUACAGUGAACCAAUUUCGUCAGAAUCAUCUUAAAGGAUUAAAGUGGCUUCCUUUUGCAACUGGGUAAGUCAAUGUUACUUCCUGAAUUCAGUUUGGAGUUCUUUCGGAAUAGAUUUCCUUCCCUUACAUUACUUAGCUUCUAGUUGCAUCUUCUUGGCCUUCUCCAGCUGACUUUCCUAUUGGCAAAUUCCUUCGCUUCUAUUGUUUUCAGGUGCCAGUGCUGGAUUUGGAGGUAUGAAUCAUGCCUUCAUUUUUACUUUUUAUGAUUAUUUUUUUAAGGUGUAUGGUACUGUAAUAUAGUUCUUUGUAUAGCUAGUACAAAAUAGUUCUUUAACUUCUUACGUUCGGCUAUAAUGGUCUUGACAUAUGAUAGGGCAGCUCUAUCACCAAUUGACGUGGAAUGAGAAAUAGGAGACAAAUGGGAUUAGAAAAAUAAGAAACAUGACAAAAAUAAAAAUCUAAUCUACUCAUAUAAGCAACUCAUCAAAUAAGUGUAUCGCAUACUUAAGUGAAUAACAAUCUGUAAUUUCCACGAAUCAAAGUAAAAUUAUAAUAUUCUUUAAAUAAGACUCAUAAGCUUGUUAGGUGUUAUAUUGAAUCAUCUAAGUUGAAUAAUCUUUUGGGUCGAAUAUUUAAUUUCUUAUUCCAUACGUUUCAGUCUCUCAAUAGUUGAAUUAGCAAUGAAAAUUUGAAAAUGGAAAAAUCCAAUGCAAUUAUUUUAGCUGCUUAUCAUAGAUAAGAAUUUCAAAUUUGACACUUUAUUGUCUGUUGUCAAAUUCAUAAAGUAUGAACCUGCAUUAGCUUAGUUCUCUAAUAUUUAUAAAUAAGUAAUACUUGAAUUAAGAUGAAAGAAAAUUGAAAAGUAGAGUUGCUUGAUUGAAUAGCGUCAUAUUUUACAUCACAGAAACUCAAUUUUCAUUGCCAUACGUAGCUCAAAAGUGCAUGAACAUUUAAAAGUCAGCUAACUUAUACUAAUUAAUUAAUACGAGUCUCAGUUCUUACUUCUUAGUACUUGGCAACAUCCAUCCAUAAGAGUGAAACUCCUAUUGAUUUCAUAUAUACAAAAUAAAUAACUUACAAAGGCAAUAUAUACAAUCACGACAAAAACACCAAUUCACUCCAAUAAACAACAUAGCAAAUACAUGGUCUAUAUUGCAAGUCUUUUUACUAUUUUAAUUAAAAGAGAAAAUACGAAGGACAUAUUAUAUAUAAUUGAAUAUUAUCCUUGAUAAUUAGACAAAAUAACACUAAUCUAGCUAACUAAUCCAGUCAUCAUAAUAAUCCGAUUUCCUUCAUUUAAUUAUGUCCAUUGAUGCUAUUUUAAUAAAGAAUACUGAACACUUAAGUAUUUAUAUGCUCAACAACUUCGGCCACGUUUGAAAAGAUCAUAUUAAUUAUUAAUAUAAAGAAAAUAACCCUACAAGGUACAUAUUACAUAUGCAUGUAGUUGCAAUAAAUACAUAAUAAUAAAGAUUGUAAAAGUUCAGGGCCAUUAAUUCAACAAUUACUAAACCAAUAUCCCAAUAAUUGUUUGAUUACUAAUCUUAGCAUUAAAAGAUCUGCAAACUUUAUUCGGCCAAAACAAAUGCUUCCUUAUUGCUUCCUUGAUCUUAUCCUGCCUGGUGAUUCCUGAAUGUCCUUCCCAUUCUGAUAUGCUGAGUUGUUUGCUGAUUAUAAAUACAAAUCACCUUAAAUUUUCUUAGUCUUGUUCUUCAUGCGAAAUUCUACGUAAUGGCUUAGUUGGUUUAAAUUCUUCUUUUUUCUUUGAAUUGUUGAUUUGUAAUGUUCUUCUCGCUCUCACAUGUGGCAUUCUGCACUCUUCCAAUGCUAUUUCUUGUUAUGGCAGCAGAAUUCUAGAUUUUCUCCCAGUUUCUUUUGUAAAGACUUCUAAAGAGGCAUCCAGAUACUGAGAUACAAUCCAAUCUAAACCCAUACAUAUAUACACCUCACCUUCCCCCAUUUCCCCAGAAAAUCAACAAACAGUUUGCUUGAAAACAAACACUCUAAAAAAACUAUCUAGCCACCCAGAUAGCCAAAUCAAGAAUUCUUGCAAUGGCAAUGUCAUUUCUUGUUAGGGCGGCAACAUUGAAGAUCAUGGCAUCACAAGUGAAUGCUCUGAUGCCGUACACAAGAUCACCUCUCUUUGACAUAAUGCUCCCUAUGACGGAAGAUCCUUUCAAGGUUCUUGAACAAAGCUCUCUAACAAUUCCUAAAGGAGGUCGAGAGCAGACUGGAAGGAGACACGAACAGCACACGUGAUCACACUCGACAUUCCAAGGAUGAAGGAAAAUGAUGUGAAGAUUGAAGUUGAAGAGAACAGGGUACUGAGAGUGAGUGGGAGAGGAAGAGUGAUGAUUAUUAUAAGGAGGGAGUUGAAGGAGAGAAAUGGCACUGAGCUGAGAGGACAAGUGGCACGUUUUGGAUGCAGUUUAGGAUGCCAAUGAGUGCUGAUUUGGAACAUGUUAAAGCUCUUUUGGAAAAUGGAGUUCUGAGGAUCACAGUACCAAAGCUUGCUGAGGAGAAGAAGAGCCGGCCUGAGGUUAUUAGCAUUAGUGGAUUCUUUUGGUGAAGAUAUUAAAGCCACCAAGGCUCAAAUGUAAUUAAUCAACGAAAGUAAGUGUUUGGCUUGGUUUUGUGGUUCUCUUUGGAUGUUCUGUUUAUGUUUUUAUGGGUUUUUGAAGAUGGCUCACAGGUAUUAGCACCAAUAAGUGCUUUUUAUAAAUCCUGGUCCUAAAUUUGUAAAAAAAAAGUUAAUGCGCUUGGUUUAUUGUUAAUUAAAAAAAAAAAAAGUCCUUUCCUUUGGCAUUUAUCAUGCAUUUGAAAAAAAAAAUUAUUCCACUGUAAUUCAUAAAGAUAUAUUUUUCCCCGGAUCCCCGGUUACAUUAAAGCGUUGAUACGAAUAUCCGUUGUGAUUAUAAAAAAGUUAAUCAAUCCGAAUAUUCAAUAAGUGGUAAAUUGGCACAAAAACAAUUAAGUCACGAACUUGCAUAUAGUGCAUUAAAUUGAAGAGCAUAAAGAAUUUUGUAAUGCAGUCCAGCAAUCAAAAACCAUUUUACAACACCAUUAAAAAAUCAUUGCAGCACUAUUGCUGAUGAGGCAGCUGGUAAUUCCUCUGGUGAAGAUAUUAAGGCCGCUGAAGCUGAAAUGUAAUUAGUGUCGUCAGAAGAUUAUGUAAUAAAGUGCUUUAGAUUAAUCUUGGUUGGAUUACUAUUCAUUAACCAUAUUUAAUUUAUGUGAUCAAUCGGUAUUUGCUAGCAUCAUUGUUAUACAACAACAUAUUAAUUAACUACUGAACUCUGCCAGCGAAUUAAUGAGCAAAUCCUCCUCAAAUUAUGCAUGUAUACGAUCAAAAUAAUUUCAAUUUCACCAUAUACGCGCGUGUGUGUAUACAUAUAUAAUACUUAAUAAUCACCAAACCAACAAUUCCCAAGUUGGAUUAUACAUAGACGAAUAAAUAAUGCUAAUCUAGCAAGUCCAAUCAUAGUAAUUUGAUUACCAAAUAUUAACCAUGUCCAAUCAUAUUCUUAAAUAAUCGCCGAACCAACAAUUUGCAAGUUAGAUUAUACAUGGAAGAAUAAAUAAUGCUAAUCUAGCAAGUCCAAUGGUAAAAAUUUGAUUUUCAUUAUAUUAACCGUGUCCAAUCAUGCUAUUUUAAUAAAGAACACUUGAAUAAUAUUUUCAUGUCCAGCAGGUAAAAUUUCAAAACAAUUUUUGCCAAAGUCCUCCUCGGCUAAAUUAAUUUAUGCAUUAAUAAAGUCCUCCUCUUCUAAAUAAUAAAAAACCUGUUACGUUAUUCUACCAUUUUUUUUUAAAAAAAAAAGCAUUCUACUAUUUAAAAAAAGAAUUCGAAAACUGGUUCUAGACAUACACCGAACCAUAUUAAUUUAAAACAGUUUUCAACUGAGAUUUGAAAUUACACACACAAACACACCGAGUCCUUUAUAUAAAGUGCUUUUAAUAAAUUAUGGUCGGUUUACUAUUAAUUAAUCAAAUUUAAUUUACUCAAAUUACUCCUGUACACGAUCAAAAUAAUAUCAAUUCUAUGAUAUAUAUAUACGUGCACAUACAUACAAAAUGUAAAUAACUUUCAAAUAUAAAAUAUUUAAAAUAGACGAAAUAACUUUCAAAUGUUUAUUGUAUUUUGAUGGGUUUUUGAGGAUGGUUGUAUGUAUUAGCAACAACAAGGUGCUUUUUAUAAAUCCGGGUCCUAAUUUUGUAAAAGAAAUUAAUACUCUCGGUUUAUUGUUAAUAAAAAAGAAAAAAGAAAAAGCAUUUUUCUGUGGCAUAUAUUAAGCAUUUUGAGAAAAAAAAAAUUACAUUCCAAUUCAUGAAAGACAUUCCUUCUGUCAUAUUGAUGUGUUAAUAGAAAGAUCUAUGUGAAUUAUAACAAUUUUGAUGAAUCUAAAUAUUUAAUAACUGAUAAAUUAUAUUUAUAAAUAUUAAUACCGGUGGCACAUAAGCACUUAAUUCAAGAACUCGCCUAUAGUGCAUUAAUUUAAAGAGUAGAAAUAUUUAAUAAAUCAUGCCCGGUUUACUAUUAAUUAAUAAAAUUUAAUUUACUCAAAUUACUCCUCUACAUGAUCAAAGUAAUUUCAAAUAUACAACACACAAAAUGUAAAUGACUUUGAAAUAUAAAAUAUUUAAAAUAAUCACCCCACUAACAAUUCACCACAAAGAUUAUAAAUAGUCGAAAUAAUGAUAAUCUAAGGGGUCCGGUCAUAAUAAUUUGAUUUUUAUUUAUAUUAAUUAUAUAAAAAAGAGUACUCGAGAUUAUAUAUAUCCAACAGCUAAAAUUUCAAAACAAUAUUUGCCAAAGUCUGAUGAAGAGAAUACAUAUAUAUAACAUGCACUCGCACACAUUCUAUUGUUUAAUUAAAAAAUUCGAAAGCCCAUUAUAUACAUGAUAAAGACUUACCGACACCGAACCAUAUUCAUUUAAAGGAAUUGUUUUCAACUGAGAUUUAAAAUUAUUUACACAAACACGCCCGAUUUUUUCUUUUUUUUAAAAAUUACUAAUAAUAAAAUAUUUCAGUCGUCCUCUGUUCGGCUGUCAAAAACCCAUUAAGAUCGAUUUGAACAGAAGGUAUAUGGGUUAACAAUCCUCCAUCCUUUCUGCACUUCUCUUCCAUCAACGGACAGCGAUAGAUACUUAAUUGCAAAAGUGAGGAAGGCAGGCCCUUCUCCGGAAAGUAUUUGAGCUUGGGACAAUCCACGAGAUUUAAGUGGGUGAGGUUUUGAAGAUCAACAAUUGAAGAAGAUAGGCGUUCCAGAUUUGGAAAAUCUACAAUCCUCAGAGAUGUUAGAGAGGCAGGAAGAGGAAGCGCGGUCCCUAAUCUUUUGUCCUCUAGUGGAAAUGACACCAUGUCGUCAUCACAUCCUUCGAUUGUAAGAUGUCGCAGAGAAGAGAAUCUAUGAAAUCCCCGACCCCGCUCAAUCAUUGACUUCCAAAUCUCCAUAUUACCCCAAAUAUGAAGUGAAUGAAGGUUGGUGGGAAGGCCAUCUUCUUCAAGGCUUGGAAGCUCACCUCCUAUUGUUAAUUGUUGAAGAGAGGUCAGAUUGUGCAAUCCCUUGGGUAAGGCCUCCAGUCUCUCACACCCAUAGAUCCUGAGCUUACUCAGUUUCGCACAAGGCAAUCCCCCUUCGGGAAAGGACACCAGAUUUUCACAUUCCCAUAUUUCGAUCUCUUGAAGCUGGCCGAGAUUAUGUAAACCACUCGGUAAAAUUUUCAGAUUUUCACACCCAGAAAUAUUGAUUGUUUUCAAGAGAUGUGUUGUUGUCCAACCUUUCUGCUAUUGACUCCAGCUUUGGACAAUACCAAACAAAAAGGGACUUAAGAGACGGAGGUAGAUUGCCAACUUCAAGGGACUCAAGCGUGGCAGGUAACUCGUUUUUUGAAAAUAUACAUGUCAGUGAUGGACAAUCCCUAAUUUCUAACUUCUCAAGAAGAGAUGAGGUGUACCUUCUAUUGCUGCUGCUGCUGCUGCUACUCUGGAUGCCCUCUUCCACUGUCAAAGUCCUUAUAUUAUCACAACUAAGGAUGUCCAACCUCUUAAGGCUCCGUGGUAGCUGGACUCCAGCAAGAUAUGUCAACGUACGACAAUGCUCAAUAUACAAGGUCUCGAGAGAUGAAUUGGUGUCGCACAUCCAUGCCUCUGGUAAUGAUUUCAGUGCGUCACAACCUUCAAUCUCAAUUAUCUUCAACUUGGAAGGCAGAGCAACCUCAGGAAAGGAAACAAGGGAACUGCACUUGUAGAUUUCUAUCUCUCUCAAGGAACUGAGGCUGAGAGAUGAUUGUGGCAGCUUCACAAGGCCUUCGCAAUAACUCAAUCUUAGAUAUUCGAGUCUGCAUGACAACUCGCAGAGCUGCUGUUGUUGGUCUUUCUCUUCCUCCGCCACCAAGGAUUGAAGUUUGGGACAGCUUGUAAUCGUCAGUCUUCUGAGAGAGCAAAUGUCUUGCAGUAAUUCGUUAUGACUCUUCCAAAUAUAUGUCUGCUCUUUCAUAUCAUUUAUCUUCAAUUCUUCCAAUUUUGGCAGUCGCGGCUUUAAUGGCCCUGCGAGAAACAGUUGAUUUGAUGUAUCUCUACAAACCACUGAAUUCUGUGAGCCGAGAUGAUCAGCUGCACUUCUCCACACAACCUUUUUACAUCCACCAAUUUCAAAUUUGCAAAGAGCUGGAAGACUUGUAACUGAAACUGACAAUUCUUCACAUCCUUUAAUAACAAGCUUCUCCAAUGCAGGAAGGUGCUCUGGAAGUGUUCCUUGCAGUUUAGAACAUCUUAAAAUGUGAAGCUCUCUCAAUUUAGGAAACCCUUCAACUCCUUGACCGGAUCCAUGAGGAAUCCAGUCUUCCCAUUCUUCCAUGUCUUCAAAACAAAGAGUCUCCAAGCAUGGAAAAGGAAUUGAAGCAACCUUCCCAUAGAACUCUGGAUCAAAUCUCCUUACGCUGCUCAUUCCACAUACUACAAGCUGCUUUAGAGAGGGUAGUUGCCCGACCGACGGCAGGGCAGUACACAUGCUACAAUAUUCAAAUUUAAGUGUUACUAAAUUUGACAAUGAGGAAUUUCCUAACCAAGUUGAAAAAUUUGUGCCUCCAUAGCCGCUGAUACAAAAUUGUUCCAGAUUUUUAUGGGGUUUUAGCAUGUCAAGCACGCCCUCUUCAGCUUCUGCCUCCCUUGAAGAUGAACCAUUAGUAUUGCGAGUCCAUCGAAGCCAUAAUUCUUUAAGAUUCUCCUUUCUAUCCAAUUGAGCGUCCUCGGCAUCAAUAAUGUGUUUUACAUUCUCCAAAUUUGAAAUGCAAAGUGUCCCCCCAAGUUGCGUCAAGGACUUUAGCUCUCGUAACGGGAACCACUGUCUUUUCCCACAACAAAAUUACACAACGUCUGAAGACAAGUCAGCCUACCAAUUCCGACUGGCAUUUCCUCCAACGAAGAUGUAUUUGAAUUAUUGAGAUGAUGCAAUUUGAUGAGGUUUCCCAUGGCUGCACACAACUUCUUCAGUCGCCAACAGCCCUCCAACAGAAGGGUGUGCAAAUUGUAAAGCUUGUUGACUGAUUCAGGCAGAGUUCUAAUCUCAGUUCCAGAUAGGUUAAGGUACCUUAAAUACCUCAAAUCACCAACUGAAUCCGGCAGCUUGGGGAUGAAAUAUCCACACAGAGAGAAGACCCUCAAUCGUUGGAGUUUGAACAACUUAGGAAGAAUGCUAAGAGCAAAGUAUCCAUGCGACCUAUUUGACCGCCUUACUGGUAGAAAAGUUCGCAAAUGCUGGAUAUUGUACAAGUCUUCAAACCUUUUACCGCCUUCAUAAUAUUCAGGAAUGUAUGACAGAUGAUGAAGAUUUAUGGAAAAACUUUGUUGCUUGUUAACCUCCGAGGUAUACUCCAUUGUGAAGUAUAUCUCCCCCGCAGCCCAUUGAGCAAGGUCAUUGACGAGGUCGUGCAUCACAAAUCGUGAUGUACCGUUGCUUGAUUGCUGGAAAAAAGAUCUUGCACGUAGCUCUUGAAAGAACCUUCGACCUAGAUCUUCACUUGGAUUCCCGCUCUCUCCGUGAUCAAGAAACCCACAGCACUCCAUAAUAAAAUUAUCUCCUCCUCUUCGAAUUCAUAAUCCUUUGGAAACAAUGAGCAGUAUGCAAAGCACUGUUUCAAAGGUGCCGAGAGAUAAUAGUAGCUCACUCUAAGCGCCGGUAUAAUGUCACAUCUCUCUUCUGGUAAAUCCCAUAUGUUGCAACUGAGCACACCUUCCCAAUCACUUCGGUCACAUUUACCACGUAAGAGUCCACCAAAGUUUUUUGCAGCUAAGGGCAAGCCGUUGCAUUUGAUCACAAUCUUCUUGCCAAUUUCCUCCAAUGACUUGUUUGAACUGAAAUCUUUUGUCCCCAAAGAGUGUUGAGCGAACACGGACAGACAAUCAUCAAAUGACAACUUUUUCAAUUCAUAAGCUGGAGCAGUUCCCAUGAUGGCUGCAACCUCUUGAUUACGAGUUGUGACAAUAAUCUUACUUCCCGGUGCGCCAGCUUCAAACGGACGGCUCAUGUCAACCCAAUCAUUGUAUUUCUCAUUCCAAACGUCGUCUAAACAAGCAAAAAUUUCUUUUGAGAUAACUUCUUCUUCAGCUCCUNAAGUUUAAUUGUUUAGAUCUAGGCUAAAUUUUAAUGAUCAUUUUUAUGAUUAAAUGACAUGAGUAUGCUUAAGUUUUUUUCCUUCAAAUUGAUUUUCUGAUGUUACAUUUUGUUAGCAAAAAGUUAAAAAAUAGUAGAAACUGUCAGAAUUUUUGUUAUGAAGAUGUUGUUUUUAGUUUGAUAUUGGGAAAAUAUCAUUAUACAUAUUGCCAUCAUAUUCAUGGGGAGACCAAAAUGGGAAUGAUGGCAGGCUAUGCAUUGCUCACAACUAAUUUAAAAACUCACUAUUUCUGUUUUUGGUGUUUUAGUAAUUCUGGGGGCAUUCCAACUAUAAUUAAUAAGCUAUAAACUUGUUUAGUAAUUACUAAUCAACUUGCUAGAAAGAGUCACAAACUAAUUAGCUUUCUCUUGUAAUUUUUACAGAUCAUCAGUGGAUAAGAACUACAAGGAGUUGAAGACUUAAAGAUAAGAACUACAAGGAGUUGAAGACUUUAAACCCUAAACUUCAUAUCUUGAUUUACAAGUGCAAUGGGGUUUCACCCCAAUUAUGGGCUAGAGAUGUACUCUUUCUGUUCUUGGUGCUUCCCACCCCCCCCCCCCCCCCCGCCCCCCCAAAGUCAUUUUUUGUUCUCUACUCCAUUGUAAAUUUGUAUUUCAAAGUCUUUUUCUUUGUCUUUAGUUUUUUAAAUUUAUGGAGAUGAUCUUAUGAGGUCUUAAAUAAAUAGUUGUAGAGCUUUACUAAAACUAUGUACAAUCUUAUUGAGAUUUGGGUGUGAUUUUGUAAGAUUGCUAAAAAAAUUCAUAUUUGGUAUUUGUUUUUAUUUUCCUAGUCGAAUUUCUUGCUUGUAGAAGAUAAAAGAAAAGUGCAAUUUCAUGUUGCAAUAAUUUUUUUUCCUUCCCUCUUUUUCUUCCCAUAUAGUCUGGCUUCUGGAUUUGGUGCAGUUGAUGGUUUUAAUACAGUGAACCAAUUUCGUCAGAAUCAUCUUAAAGGAUUAAAGUGGCUUCCUUUUGCAACUGGGUAAGUCAAUGUUACUUCCUGAAUUCAGUUUUGGAGUUCUUUCGGAAUAGAUUUCCUUCCCUUACAUUACUUAGCUUCUAGUUGCAUCUUCUUGGCCUUCUCCAGCUGACUUUCCUAUUGGCAAAUUCCUUCGCUUCUAUUGUUUUCAGGUGCCAGUGCUGGAUUUGGAGGUAUGAAUCAUGCCUUCAUUUUUACUUUUUAUGAUUAUUUUUUUAAGGUGUAUGGUACUGUAAUAUAGUUCUUUGUAUAGCUAGUACAAAAUAGUUCUUUAACUUCUUACGUUCGGCUAUAAUGGUCCUUGACAUAUGAUAGGGCAGCUCUAUCACCAAUUGACGUGGAAUGAGAAAUAGGAGACAAAUGGGAUUAGAAAAAUAAGAAACAUGACAAAAAUAAAAAUCUAAUCUACUCAUAUAAGCAACUCAUCAAAUAAGUGUAUCGCAUACUUAAGUGAAUAACAAUCUGUAAUUUCCACGAAUCAAAGUAAAAUUAUAAUAUUCUUUAAAUAAGACUCAUAAGCUUGUUAGGUGUUAUAUUGAAUCAUCUAAGUUGAAUAAUCUUUUGGGUCGAAUAUUUAAUUUCUUAUUCCAUACGUUUCAGUCUCUCAAUAGUUGAAUUAGCAAUGAAAAUUUGAAAAUGGAAAAAUCCAAUGCAAUUAUUUUAGCUGCUUAUCAUAGAUAAGAAUUUCAAAUUUGACACUUUAUUGUCUGUUGUCAAAUUCAUAAAGUAUGAACCUGCAUUAGCUUAGUUCUCUAAUAUUUAUAAAUAAGUAAUACUUGAAUUAAGAUGAAAGAAAAUUGAAAAGUAGAGUUGCUUGAUUGAAUAGCGUCAUAUUUUACAUCACAGAAACUCAAUUUUCAUUGCCAUACGUAGCUCAAAAGUGCAUGAACAUUUAAAAAGUCAGCUAACUUAUACUAAUUAAUUAAUACGAGUCUCAGUUCUUACUUCUUAGUACUUGGCAACAUCCAUCCAUAAGAGUGAAACUCCUAUUGAUUUCAUAUAUACAAAAUAAAUAACUUACAAAGGCAAUAUAUACAAUCACGACAAAAACACCAAUUCACUCCAAUAAACAACAUAGCAAAUACAUGGUCUAUAUUGCAAGUCUUUUUACUAUUUUAAUUAAAAGAGAAAAUACGAAGGACAUAUUAUAUAUAAUUGAAUAUUAUCCUUGAUAAUUAGACAAAAUAACACUAAUCUAGCUAACUAAUCCAGUCAUCAUAAUAAUCCGAUUUCCUUCAUUUAAUUAUGUCCAUUGAUGCUAUUUUAAUAAAGAAUACUGAACACUUAAGUAUUUAUAUGCUCAACAACUUCGGCCACGUUUGAAAAGAUCAUAUUAAUUAUUAAUAUAAAGAAAAUAACCCUACAAGGUACAUAUUACAUAUGCAUGUAGUUGCAAUAAAUACAUAAUAAUAAAGAUUGUAAAAGUUCAGGGCCAUUAAUUCAACAAUUACUAAACCAAUAUCCCAAUAAUUGUUUGAUUACUAAUCUUAGCAUUAAAAGAUCUGCAAACUUUAUUCGGCCAAAACAAAUGCUUCCUUAUUGCUUCCUUGAUCUUAUCCUGCCUGGUGAUUCCUGAAUGUCCUUCCCAUUCUGAUAUGCUGAGUUGUUUGCUGAUUAUAAAUACAAAUCACCUUAAAUUUUCUUAGUCUUGUUCUUCAUGCGAAAUUCUACGUAAUGGCUUAGUUGGUUUAAAUUCUUCUUUUUUCUUUGAAUUGUUGAUUUGUAAUGUUCUUCUCGCUCUCACAUGUGGCAUUCUGCACUCUUCCAAUGCUAUUUCUUGUUAUGGCAGCAGAAUUCUAGAUUUUCUCCCAGUUUCUUUUGUAAAGACUUCUAAAGAGGCAUCCAGAUACUGAGAUACAAUCCAAUCUAAACCCAUACAUAUAUACACCUCACCUUCCCCCAUUUCCCCAGAAAAUCAACAAACAGUUUGCUUGAAAACAAACACUCUAAAAAAACUAUCUAGCCACCCAGAUAGCCAAAUCAAGAAUUCUUGCAAUGGCAAUGUCAUUUCUUGUUAGGGCGGCAACAUUGAAGAUCAUGGCAUCACAAGUGAAUGCUCUGAUGCCGUACACAAGAUCACCUCUCUUUGACAUAAUGCUCCCUAUGACGGAAGAUCCUUUCAAGGUUCUUGAACAAAGCUCUCUAACAAUUCCUAAAGGAGGUCGAGAGCAGACUGGAAGGAGACACGAACAGCACACGUGAUCACACUCGACAUUCCAAGGAUGAAGGAAAAUGAUGUGAAGAUUGAAGUUGAAGAGAACAGGGUACUGAGAGUGAGUGGGAGAGGAAGAGUGAUGAUUAUUAUAAGGAGGGAGUUGAAGGAGAGAAAUGGCACUGAGCUGAGAGGACAAGUGGCACGUUUUGGAUGCAGUUUAGGAUGCCAAUGAGUGCUGAUUUGGAACAUGUUAAAGCUCUUUUGGAAAAUGGAGUUCUGAGGAUCACAGUACCAAAGCUUGCUGAGGAGAAGAAGAGCCGGCCUGAGGUUAUUAGCAUUAGUGGAUUCUUUUGGUGAAGAUAUUAAAGCCACCAAGGCUCAAAUGUAAUUAAUCAACGAAAGUAAGUGUUUGGCUUGGUUUUGUGGUUCUCUUUGGAUGUUCUGUUUAUGUUUUUAUGGGUUUUUGAAGAUGGCUCACAGGUAUUAGCACCAAUAAGUGCUUUUUAUAAAUCCUGGUCCUAAAUUUGUAAAAAAAAAGUUAAUGCGCUUGGUUUAUUGUUAAUUAAAAAAAAAAAAGUCCUUUCCUUUGGCAUUUAUCAUGCAUUUGAAAAAAAAAAUUAUUCCACUGUAAUUCAUAAAGAUAUAUUUUUCCCCGGAUCCCCGGUUACAUUAAAGCGUUGAUACGAAUAUCCGUUGUGAUUAUAAAAAAGUUAAUCAAUCCGAAUAUUCAAUAAGUGGUAAAUUGGCACAAAAACAAUUAAGUCACGAACUUGCAUAUAGUGCAUUAAAUUGAAGAGCAUAAAGAAUUUUGUAAUGCAGUCCAGCAAUCAAAAACCAUUUUACAACACCAUUAAAAAAUCAUUGCAGCACUAUUGCUGAUGAGGCAGCUGGUAAUUCCUCUGGUGAAGAUAUUAAGGCCGCUGAAGCUGAAAUGUAAUUAGUGUCGUCAGAAGAUUAUGUAAUAAAGUGCUUUAGAUUAAUCUUGGUUGGAUUACUAUUCAUUAACCAUAUUUAAUUUAUGUGAUCAAUCGGUAUUUGCUAGCAUCAUUGUUAUACAACAACAUAUUAAUUAACUACUGAACUCUGCCAGCGAAUUAAUGAGCAAAUCCUCCUCAAAUUAUGCAUGUAUACGAUCAAAAUAAUUUCAAUUUCACCAUAUACGCGCGUGUGUGUAUACAUAUAUAAUACUUAAUAAUCACCAAACCAACAAUUCCCAAGUUGGAUUAUACAUAGACGAAUAAAUAAUGCUAAUCUAGCAAGUCCAAUCAUAGUAAUUUGAUUACCAAAUAUUAACCAUGUCCAAUCAUAUUCUUAAAUAAUCGCCGAACCAACAAUUUGCAAGUUAGAUUAUACAUGGAAGAAUAAAUAAUGCUAAUCUAGCAAGUCCAAUGGUAAAAAUUUGAUUUUCAUUAUAUUAACCGUGUCCAAUCAUGCUAUUUUAAUAAAGAACACUUGAAUAAUAUUUUCAUGUCCAGCAGGUAAAAUUUCAAAACAAUUUUUGCCAAAGUCCUCCUCGGCUAAAUUAAUUUAUGCAUUAAUAAAGUCCUCCUCUUCUAAAUAAUAAAAAACCUGUUACGUUAUUCUACCAUUUUUUUUUAAAAAAAAAAAGCAUUCUACUAUUUAAAAAAAGAAUUCGAAAACUGGUUCUAGACAUACACCGAACCAUAUUAAUUUAAAACAGUUUUCAACUGAGAUUUGAAAUUACACACACAAACACACCGAGUCCUUUAUAUAAAGUGCUUUUAAUAAAUUAUGGUCGGUUUACUAUUAAUUAAUCAAAUUUAAUUUACUCAAAUUACUCCUGUACACGAUCAAAAUAAUAUCAAUUCUAUGAUAUAUAUAUACGUGCACAUACAUACAAAAUGUAAAUAACUUUCAAAUAUAAAAUAUUUAAAAUAGACGAAAUAACUUUCAAAUGUUUAUUGUAUUUUGAUGGGUUUUUGAGGAUGGUUGUAUGUAUUAGCAACAACAAGGUGCUUUUUAUAAAUCCGGGUCCUAAUUUUGUAAAAGAAAUUAAUACUCUCGGUUUAUUGUUAAUAAAAAAGAAAAAAGAAAAAGCAUUUUUCUGUGGCAUAUAUUAAGCAUUUUGAGAAAAAAAAAAUUACAUUCCAAUUCAUGAAAGACAUUCCUUCUGUCAUAUUGAUGUGUUAAUAGAAAGAUCUAUGUGAAUUAUAACAAUUUUGAUGAAUCUAAAUAUUUAAUAACUGAUAAAUUAUAUUUAUAAAUAUUAAUACCGGUGGCACAUAAGCACUUAAUUCAAGAACUCGCCUAUAGUGCAUUAAUUUAAAGAGUAGAAAUAUUUAAUAAAUCAUGCCCGGUUUACUAUUAAUUAAUAAAAUUUAAUUUACUCAAAUUACUCCUCUACAUGAUCAAAGUAAUUUCAAAUAUACAACACACAAAAUGUAAAUGACUUUGAAAUAUAAAAUAUUUAAAAUAAUCACCCCACUAACAAUUCACCACAAAGAUUAUAAAUAGUCGAAAUAAUGAUAAUCUAAGGGGUCCGGUCAUAAUAAUUUGAUUUUUAUUUAUAUUAAUUAUAUAAAAAAGAGUACUCGAGAUUAUAUAUAUCCAACAGCUAAAAUUUCAAAACAAUAUUUGCCAAAGUCUGAUGAAGAGAAUACAUAUAUAUAACAUGCACUCGCACACAUUCUAUUGUUUAAUUAAAAAAUUCGAAAGCCCAUUAUAUACAUGAUAAAGACUUACCGACACCGAACCAUAUUCAUUUAAAGGAAUUGUUUUCAACUGAGAUUUAAAAUUAUUUACACAAACACGCCCGAUUUUUUCUUUUUUUUAAAAAUUACUAAUAAUAAAAUAUUUCAGUCGUCCUCUGUUCGGCUGUCAAAAACCCAUUAAGAUCGAUUUGAACAGAAGGUAUAUGGGUUAACAAUCCUCCAUCCUUUCUGCACUUCUCUUCCAUCAACGGACAGCGAUAGAUACUUAAUUGCAAAAGUGAGGAAGGCAGGCCCUUCUCCGGAAAGUAUUUGAGCUUGGGACAAUCCACGAGAUUUAAGUGGGUGAGGUUUUGAAGAUCAACAAUUGAAGAAGAUAGGCGUUCCAGAUUUGGAAAAUCUACAAUCCUCAGAGAUGUUAGAGAGGCAGGAAGAGGAAGCGCGGUCCCUAAUCUUUUGUCCUCUAGUGGAAAUGACACCAUGUCGUCAUCACAUCCUUCGAUUGUAAGAUGUCGCAGAGAAGAGAAUCUAUGAAAUCCCCGACCCCGCUCAAUCAUUGACUUCCAAAUCUCCAUAUUACCCCAAAUAUGAAGUGAAUGAAGGUUGGUGGGAAGGCCAUCUUCUUCAAGGCUUGGAAGCUCACCUCCUAUUGUUAAUUGUUGAAGAGAGGUCAGAUUGUGCAAUCCCUUGGGUAAGGCCUCCAGUCUCUCACACCCAUAGAUCCUGAGCUUACUCAGUUUCGCACAAGGCAAUCCCCCUUCGGGAAAGGACACCAGAUUUUCACAUUCCCAUAUUUCGAUCUCUUGAAGCUGGCCGAGAUUAUGUAAACCACUCGGUAAAAUUUUCAGAUUUUCACACCCAGAAAUAUUGAUUGUUUCAAGAGAUGUGUUGUUGUCCAACCUUUCUGCUAUUGACUCCAGCUUUGGACAAUACCAAACAAAAAGGGACUUAAGAGACGGAGGUAGAUUGCCAACUUCAAGGGACUCAAGCGUGGCAGGUAACUCGUUUUUUGAAAAUAUACAUGUCAGUGAUGGACAAUCCCUAAUUUCUAACUUCUCAAGAAGAGAUGAGGUGUACCUUCUAUUGCUGCUGCUGCUGCUGCUACUCUGGAUGCCCUCUUCCACUGUCAAAGUCCUUAUAUUAUCACAACUAAGGAUGUCCAACCUCUUAAGGCUCCGUGGUAGCUGGACUCCAGCAAGAUAUGUCAACGUACGACAAUGCUCAAUAUACAAGGUCUCGAGAGAUGAAUUGGUGUCGCACAUCCAUGCCUCUGGUAAUGAUUUCAGUGCGUCACAACCUUCAAUCUCAAUUAUCUUCAACUUGGAAGGCAGAGCAACCUCAGGAAAGGAAACAAGGGAACUGCACUUGUAGAUUUCUAUCUCUCUCAAGGAACUGAGGCUGAGAGAUGAUUGUGGCAGCUUCACAAGGCCUUCGCAAUAACUCAAUCUUAGAUAUUCGAGUCUGCAUGACAACUCGCAGAGCUGCUGUUGUUGGUCUUUCUCUUCCUCCGCCACCAAGGAUUGAAGUUUGGGACAGCUUGUAAUCGUCAGUCUUCUGAGAGAGCAAAUGUCUUGCAGUAAUUCGUUAUGACUCUUCCAAAUAUAUGUCUGCUCUUUCAUAUCAUUUAUCUUCAAUUCUUCCAAUUUUGGCAGUCGCGGCUUUAAUGGCCCUGCGAGAAACAGUUGAUUUGAUGUAUCUCUACAAACCACUGAAUUCUGUGAGCCGAGAUGAUCAGCUGCACUUCUCCACACAACCUUUUUACAUCCACCAAUUUCAAAUUUGCAAAGAGCUGGAAGACUUGUAACUGAAACUGACAAUUCUUCACAUCCUUUAAUAACAAGCUUCUCCAAUGCAGGAAGGUGCUCUGGAAGUGUUCCUUGCAGUUUAGAACAUCUUAAAAUGUGAAGCUCUCUCAAUUUAGGAAACCCUUCAACUCCUUGACCGGAUCCAUGAGGAAUCCAGUCUUCCCAUUCUUCCAUGUCUUCAAAACAAAGAGUCUCCAAGCAUGGAAAAGGAAUUGAAGCAACCUUCCCAUAGAACUCUGGAUCAAAUCUCCUUACGCUGCUCAUUCCACAUACUACAAGCUGCUUUAGAGAGGGUAGUUGCCCGACCGACGGCAGGGCAGUACACAUGCUACAAUAUUCAAAUUUAAGUGUUACUAAAUUUGACAAUGAGGAAUUUCCUAACCAAGUUGAAAAAUUUGUGCCUCCAUAGCCGCUGAUACAAAAUUGUUCCAGAUUUUUAUGGGGUUUUAGCAUGUCAAGCACGCCCUCUUCAGCUUCUGCCUCCCUUGAAGAUGAACCAUUAGUAUUGCGAGUCCAUCGAAGCCAUAAUUCUUUAAGAUUCUCCUUUCUAUCCAAUUGAGCGUCCUCGGCAUCAAUAAUGUGUUUUACAUUCUCCAAAUUUGAAAUGCAAAGUGUCCCCCCAAGUUGCGUCAAGGACUUUAGCUCUCGUAACCGGGAACCACUGUCUUUUCCCACAACAAAAUUACACAACGUCUGAAGACAAGUCAGCCUACCAAUUCCGACUGGCAUUUCCUCCAACGAAGAUGUAUUUGAAUUAUUGAGAUGAUGCAAUUUGAUGAGGUUUCCCAUGGCUGCACACAACUUCUUCAGUCGCCAACAGCCCUCCAACAGAAGGGUGUGCAAAUUGUAAAGCUUGUUGACUGAUUCAGGCAGAGUUCUAAUCUCAGUUCCAGAUAGGUUAAGGUACCUUAAAUACCUCAAAUCACCAACUGAAUCCGGCAGCUUGGGGAUGAAAUAUCCACACAGAGAGAAGACCCUCAAUCGUUGGAGUUUGAACAACUUAGGAAGAAUGCUAAGAGCAAAGUAUCCAUGCGACCUAUUUGACCGCCUUACUGGUAGAAAAGUUCGCAAAUGCUGGAUAUUGUACAAGUCUUCAAACCUUUUACCGCCUUCAUAAUAUUCAGGAAUGUAUGACAGAUGAUGAAGAUUUAUGGAAAAACUUUGUUGCUUGUUAACCUCCGAGGUAUACUCCAUUGUGAAGUAUAUCUCCCCCGCAGCCCAUUGAGCAAGGUCAUUGACGAGGUCGUGCAUCACAAAUCGUGAUGUACCGUUGCUUGAUUGCUGGAAAAAAGAUCUUGCACGUAGCUCUUGAAAGAACCUUCGACCUAGAUCUUCACUUGGAUUCCCGCUCUCUCCGUGAUCCAAGAAACCCACAGCACUCCAUAAUAAAAUUAUCUCCUCCUCUUCGAAUUCAUAAUCCUUUGGAAACAAUGAGCAGUAUGCAAAGCACUGUUUCAAAGGUGCCGAGAGAUAAUAGUAGCUCACUCUAAGCGCCGGUAUAAUGUCACAUCUCUCUUCUGGUAAAUCCCAUAUGUUGCAACUGAGCACACCUUCCCAAUCACUUCGGUCACAUUUACCACGUAAGAGUCCACCAAGAGUUUUUGCAGCUAAGGGCAAGCCGUUGCAUUUGAUCACAAUCUUCUUGCCAAUUUCCUCCAAUGACUUGUUUGAACUGAAAUCUUUUGUCCCCAAAGAGUGUUGAGCGAACACGGACAGACAAUCAUCAAAUGACAACUUUUUCAAUUCAUAAGCUGGAGCAGUUCCCAUGAUGGCUGCAACCUCUUGAUUACGAGUUGUGACAAUAAUCUUACUUCCCGGUGCGCCAGCUUCAAACGGACGGCUCAUGUCAACCCAAUCAUUGUAUUUCUCAUUCCAAACGUCGUCUAAAACAAGCAAAAAUUUCUUUUGAGAUAACUUCUUCUUCAGCUCCUCUUGAAGCAAAUUUAAAUCACUGUCAUCAAUAGUCUGCUUAGUAACGGAUCUUAGAAUUGUUUUUGUUAGCCUCUUAACGUCGAAAUCGUCAGAGACACAAGUCCAUGCCUUGAGAUCAAAAUGAUCCUGCACUCGCUUAUCAUUGUAGACAAGCUGAGCAAGAGUAGUUUUGCCCAUCCCGCCCAUACCUAUAAUAGGAAUAACAGAGAAUCCACCAUCGUUGCUUAAAUCAUCCCUCAACAGCAGUUCAACAACAUCCUUCUUUUCUGUUUCCCUGCCAUAUACUUUGGCUUCAGUCACUAAAGAGGUUGUCUCUAGCCUUUGACUGGCUUUUUUGGACCCUCCGGCUGAACUUUCUUUCAAAUCUAGCAAGUUUUUCUGUGUCACAAUUUCUUGAAAUCUGCUGUUGAUCUCUUUGAUUUUGGACAUCAAGCCAUAAUCGAACUGAAUCGAUUGUGGAGUAAAAGUGGUGCAGCAAGGAGGAAUGAGCUUCCGAAACUUACUUGUUCUGGUACGACUGCUACUGGGUUGAUCAUGAGCAGCAGCUGGUUCUCCAUUUCCAAGCAGCAACAUCCUCCGGAAAGCCUCAGUUUGAAACUCAUCCAACAAGUCUUCAACAUCAUAAGCCAAGUUCUGAAGCUUGCCAAGCCACUUCUUCACAGACCGAUUAGUCGUCUUCUUCUCCUCAGCAUCAUCAAGCACCGCCUUGAUCAUCUCCAACAUAUUCUCCCACUUCAUUAGAUCGUCUUGGAUCUUCUCUUGGCGUGCAAAAAACAGAAUCCCCUCUGAAGCUAACUUAUUGACCAGCAAAUCAACGGACGCCGUAAGGAUUGCCUCUCCGAUGAUUGACAUUUUUUUUCUUUUUUUUUGGGCAAAGGAAGAAAGGAGCAGAAUUAUGGGUUAUGGAAAGCAGAAUGAGAAAAUUGAACGGGUGAGAAAAUGGAUAAUUAAGCAGAAUGAGUUUGUGAUUGUGAAGGGUCUGGCCCAGCUAGAAAUCACGCGUUUAUACUUUAUUGACCAAUGACUAAUAAUUUGGCAAUUCACCCAUCACACCACCACUUGGUAAGCAAAAUGAAAAUGCUUAGUAAUUAAUAAGUGUCAAGGGUCAAGCAAAAUACGACGUAAAAUGUGGCAAGUCUCCCCACUUGUUUUCCUUGCAGCUAAGAAAAGAAAAACACAGCCCACCACCCAUUAAUAAUUUAGCAAUUCAUCAAUCACCACCACUUGUUACGAAAUUCCUUCCGUUAGAUAUUCGUAUAGGUCAAGGAGUUAAUCCAGUGUCAAUUACUUAGAACCUUCACUUUACAAAUCUUCAACUCAUAAACCAAGAUAAAUCAAAACGUUUCUCUCUCUCUAUUUUUUUUUUUUUAAACUCCUAAAACGUUUCUUUUUAGAAAUAUUUUACUUUAUUCAUCUAAUAUGUUAUCUAACAAAUAGACACAGAUGAAAUCACUCUAAAGUGAAGAUGAAAGGGGAAAAAAAACAUUCCAACCACCAAUAAUUUAGCAAGCUAACGUUUUCAAAAUAUUGUUCUUUAUAAUUGAACAGGAAAUAAGACUAAGUUUUGGACAUUUUCAUAUUCACUUACUUUCAAAAGCAGUAUUUCGAAACAUUUUACAGAAUCAAGUAACAGUUAUAUAACGAGAAAAGUGCAAAGUUGUGUAAUUCUAAUUUUUUUUUUUAUCACAGACACUCAGAUCAUUUUUUGUUUGGGUCGCCAACUCGCCAAUGAACCUAUGAUUGAAUGAGUGUUUAGAAAGAAAAUCAAUGAAAAAUAGUUUAUUUUGGCCGUCGAAAUAUAGUAAGUGAGAAAGAUUAUUCUGUUUUUUUUUUGUUAAUUAGGUUAGUAAUUAUGAUUGAGUGACUCAGAACUAUAUUCUAGAUUGGGAAUCAAUGGUUCUCCCACACUGAGAGGCUGUAAGUUUAAGAUUGUCGUUUGCUAUUUCAUCGACAAGAGAGCACUCGAUUUUAUUAAAAGGAGAAAGUCGUAAGAUUUCCUUUAUUAGAAAAUGUAUCUGAUCAUUCCUUUUUACUUGAAAAUUUCAUAUAUAAAAACAUAUUAAUAAAUGACAUACUAUACAUAAAUUAUUAAUUCACUUGAUAGUUGAUUAUCGAAGGACAUGUGACCCAUGGGAGCAUGCAGUCAAUAAAAUAAUUCUUUUUUUUUAACAAAAAAUCGGUGAUGUUGAAAAGCAUUACUUUAUACUAUUAUUACUCUAAUUGGGUGAACAUUUCAAAAAAAGCAUUACUUUUUUUUUAUUUCCAAUCUUUACCAAAAGAAAAAUAUUUAUUGAUCCCUUUUAUCAACUUGCUUUUAUUGACUUUCUUCCUAAUAGAAGUGAAAAGAGAAACCAAUAAGUGUUACCAGAUUAAAUUCAUAAGCUUCGAAGAAGUAAAUUAGUCAAAUUAACCAAAACAUCCAUUAAGCUGGUCAGAGGAUCAGACCGCUCUCUAUCCACCCUUAUCACGGCCUGGUCCAAACUCAUUUUUCUUUGAAAAUAGACAAAUAAUAAAGCCACUACAAGUUAAGCAGAUCAAAUAAACAGAGGAAAUAGCUGAUCAAUUCUUUGUGCAAUGGCCACGGCAACAACAAAAAUAUGCCUACAUGACUACAUUAAUCCGACUGGCGUGGUACCAUCGCCAUGCAGCAUUACAGCAACAUUUGAUCAUCUAUCAAUUUUCAUGAUAUGAGAUUAGAAACAUUGAGUUUAUAAUUUUAUGUAAUUUCAUAGAAAAGAUAUAAUUGAUUUGAGUUAGUUUACCAUUUAAGGAAGGAGUAAUGGGGAAUGAUAUCGCUGUGGCAUGUGAUGAGUAAAGAUAGACAGCAAAUAUUGAUCAUGUAAUAGUGAAAUAUGUAUUUACUGAAAAAUAUUUGGCAAUAAAAUGACGCUAUAAGAAUUUAAUAUUAGUUGCAAGAAAAUAAAUUGACAAUUAAAUUAAUAGAUAUAUAUGCAAUGGUCCGAGUUUAUCUUAUCAGUUCGCUAACCAUUUUGUAACUACAUAUUAAUUAGAAGUUCAAUUAAUUUUGACCAAAGACUCCAGAGGAUGUCGAGAAGAGAUUUGAUUUUGGUAUUAAUAAAAAUAGAAAUAAAAUAAGUCAAAAACAAUUACAAGAACAACAAUAAAAGCAUAUUUUAUAAAAGCCACAAAUACGUAAUAUAAAUUUGAUUUUGAAUUACGUAAUUACUAAUUUAUAUAGUAAGAGGGUCUUAUAGAAAAAUAGGAAUUUUUUAAAAGAGAUUUGCUUAAGGAAAAAGUUUAGUUUGGUCUAGUUUGUGAAGGCUCGAGUAAUUGAAAGCAAUGCAAGUGAAAGAAACACAAACUUCUAAUUUUUACAAAGUAAUCGCUAAAAUAUUUGACGAGUUUGAGAUUUUAAAAAGGCUGAGAAAAUAGACCAAUAAUAAAGACCUACAAGUUAGCAGAACAAAUAAACUGAGGAAAACAUGGUAGAUAUUUACCAUUAUACAUUUUUUAUUUUAUUUUUUCCAAAAACGAAUGUUGCGAAUUUUUUAUGAUAAGAGAACAGAACUCAUGGUUCAGCAAUAAUCAUCAGCUCACUGGCCGUUAGUUCAGAAUGACAAUUCUUAUUAGUCAAAGAAUCAAAAUGAUUUUUAGUUGUUUAUAAGUAGAGCACUAGAUCAACAAAUAAUUGAAGACUUGCUUUUGCUAUUGAACCAUGCGAUGGCAAUUCGAAGACUACAGCUUAACUCUGCCAUUCGAAGUAAGCAACUCAGCUGCCCAAAGACUGCCAAGCCACCAAGACAAUGCCAAGAUACAACAUCAAGAAUUACAUACAGGCCGUCACAUAUUACAUCUCUCCUCUGUUUUAAGAGAGAUUUACGAACUCACGCAGUAGGAGUAAUUAAUUAAUUUAUACAGUUCAGUACUCAUUUCUCCACUAUUUCAAAUCCAAACCAUUUAUUAUGACGCAAGGUACAUGGGUUAGCAGGUGCCGAUAUUGUCCUCCAUCCUUUUGUAUACGUUUCUUCUAUCGGAACAAUUUACAAUUAAAUAAAUCAUUCAAAAUCUCCUUUAGUCGAACCCCCAUUUAUAUGGUUUAAUAAAAUAUCACAAAGUUGCCUAAUACAGAGAAAUUAACAAAUUCAGCCCAUGAGAGUGCCAUUUUAAUGCAAGAAAUUGAAAGUUAAUUAACACUGGAUUAUGUUGGAUUGUUACUUGUUAAUUACGAUGGGAAUAUAAUCUUGGUCUUUUAAUUAUCAUCUAGCUAACCCAUGCGCAAAAGCUUCAUUUGUGUCUGUCGCUAAAGAGUAAAGUUGCUUGAUUGAACGGUAUCAUAUGACAGAAACUCAAACUCUAUCAUUGUCCGAGUAUACCAUGCCACAUGUGUAGCUCAAAGGUACAAUAACAUUGAACAUUCAGCUAGCUAGCUCAUACUAAUUAAUUUAUAGGAUUGUUAGUUCUUUAUGAUUAACUUAAAGUGAAAAAAUUUGAAUAUCACGAAAACAAUAACAAUUCACUCCCAUAAACAACAAAAUAAAUGCAUAAUCUAUAUUGCAAGUCUUUUUAGGAUUUUAAUUAAAAGAGAAAGUACGAAGGACAUAUUAUAUAUAAUUGAAUGUUCUCCUUGAUAAUUAGACAAAAUAACAUCAAUCUGGCUAACUAAUCCGAUUGUUAAAGUGCAAUUUAUGCACUAGUUUUGCAUUGUUUACUUCUCUUAAUAUCGAUGUUUUGCACUUAAUAAUAAUGAUUUACUUGUGUUUUACUUUUGUAGGUGCAAUUCUAUUGAUUAGUGAUAAAAUUGAGCUACAAGAUGAUGUUUAAGGAUGAUUGUUCUCUUGGAGAAAUUAUGAGCGGCAGAAGAACUUUGUUGAUAAGGCGUGGGCGCGUGCUGUCAACUACGGACCUGCAGUUUUUAGUUUAACGUGUUUUAUAUUUUUGGUUAUUUUUGUAAUUACGAAUUUAAUAUUUCAGAUAUUAGUAUUUUAUUUUAAAUAGAACUCUAAAAGAGAAGAGAGAGAGAGUAUUUAAGGGAGGAAUCUAUUGUGAAAAGGGGGAUUUUGAAUUGGAAAAAGAAAGAAACCCUAAAUCUAAUUUUUCUCUUCUCUCUAUGAAGAACUAAACCUAUUUUUCUGGUUGAAGGAGAAUGAAGCUUUGAUUCAUCAUUACUGUGAGAUCUUUCUUAUGCUUUAAUUGUUUUAUUACUUUUUGGGUAUUUGUUUAUUCUCUGAAUUAGUUUCAUGAUUAUGUUUGUUAAUUAGGUAAUUGUCCACUAUUUAAUUAUCAACUUAAUCUAUUGUCAAUUAAAGGAUUCAUCGUAUGAAGAAUUUAAUGUUUGUGACAAAUAACAUAGCAGAGAGUUGUGUUGUGAGAAUAAACAAUCUAAUUUAAAUGAAUCAUCAUAUGUGUUGAUUAGGAUUUGGGUCUCUCUAGUUUUUCAGGCUGUCAAUUGAUUAAAUCCUAUGAUCGUAUCUAGGGUUGUCUAUUGAUUAGGGAAAUAUCCAACGGUCGUACCUUGAUUAUCAACUAGUUAAGGAGAGAUUGGCUAUUAGAGGGUCUCAAUAGCUAUAACCGGUCUAUUCAUAAGUAAUAAUAAUCUAUAUUUGAAUCAAUGAUCAGUAGUCGAACCAAGCUGAGUUAAUUCCUUCAACCAGAGCUUUCUCCAAUUUGAAUUACAACUUUAAUUUGCAUUCUUAUUAUUUUAAUUUGAUUUUUAUUAUUGUCAACAAUUCCCCCAUUUUACGUUUUACGUUUCAAAAGGAUUUAAAUAAUUACCGAUCUCUGUGGACACGACCCUGCUCAAUCACUAUACACAAUUUAUUUAGAGUAGGAAUUUAUUUUUGUUGGCUUCGACAACCAUCAAAUUUUGGCGCCGUUGCCGGGGAUUGGUGUCAUUUAUUUAAUCCUUUUUACGUUUUACUUGGUGUAUGGUUCGUUCUUCUCGUACAGGUACACUUUCGUUUGAUCCUGAAAUUGAGAAGACAGCUCGCCAGUUGAGACAGCAGACGAAGCGAGCUAAGCAACGAUCCUCGUCGCCUUUGCUUUCUGAAACAGAUACAGUGCCUGAUUUAGUUGAAUCAUCUAGCGAUUCAGAAGAACAAGUGAUGGAUAGACCUGCACCUGUAGAAAGAACUCUUAGAGAGUUAGCUGAACCAGACUUGAAUCAACAACCACUCUGCAUUCAAUAUGUAGACUUGGAGGUAAAUUUUGAAUUAAAGUCUGGUCUUAUUCAUUUAUUACCCAAGUUUCAUGGUUUUGCAGGUGAAGAUCCUCAUAAACAUCUCAAGGAAUUUCAUGUUGUAUGCUCAAGUAUGAGGCCACAAGGCGUGACUGAAGAGCAGAUUAAGCUGCGUGCUUUUCCGUUCUCUGUAGAUGGGCUAGCUAAAGAUUGGUUGUACUACUUGCCUCCUGGAUCGAUUACAACGUGGAAUGGUUUGAAGAAGCAGUUCCUUGAGAAGUACUUUCCUACUUCAAGAGCUGCCAACAUCAGAAAAGAUAUUUGUGGGAUCAGACAACUUCCUGGGGAGACUUUGUAUGAGUAAUGGGAGCGAUUCAAACAAUUGUGUGCCAGCUGUCCUCAGCAUCAGAUUUCUGAUCAACUUCUUAUUCAAUAUUUUUACGAAGGACUAUCAUUAAUGGAUAGGAGUAUGAUAGAUGCUGCUAGUGGAGGCGUGUUAGUGAACAAGACCCCUACUCAAGCAAGGGAGUUGAUAUCAAAUAUGGCUGCCAACGCACAACAAUUUGGCAGUAGGCAAGAUCUCACUUCAAGGAAGGUGAAUGAGGUAAAUAUUUCUUCUGUUGAACAACAUUUAGAUAAACUUACUUCUCUUGUGGAAAAGUUUGUUGUAGGUAAUGUGCAACAUGUGAAGACUUGUGGCAUUUAUUCCAAUAUGGGUCAUUCAACUGAUAUGUGUCCUACACUUCAAGAAGAACCCGUUGAACAAGCCAAUGUAGUUGGAGAAUUUCCAGGCAUGCCUCAGAGGAGGUAUGAUCCUUAUGCACAAACAUACAAUCCGGGAUGGAAGGAUCAUCAUAACUUCAGCUAUGGAGUUAGGCAAUCAGGAUUCUCACAACAAUAUCCACCAAGACAACCAGCACCUCCACAGUCAAACUCCAAGUCAGGUAUAUCUCUUGAAGAAAUUGUUAAAUCACUUGCGACUAACACUCAACAAUUUCAACAGGCAACUACAGCAAGCAUUCAGAACUUGGAGAACCAAAUGAGUCAAUUGGCGACUACAGUGAGCCGUCUGGAGUCUCAAGUAUUAGGGAGAUUGCCUUCACAAUCUGAGGUGAAUCCAAAGCAAAACGUUAGUGCUGUCAUCCUUAGAAAUGGGAAAGAGUUGCAAGAGUCUAGUAAGAAAGUGACAAAGCAUGUAGAAGAUGAGCUUGAGAAGAAUGAAUUGAUGCCUCAAUCUCAAGAUGCGCAACCUACCAAAGCGAAACCCCGACCUAUUGUGAUACCUCCUCCUUUUCCAAGCCGGUUUGCAAAAUCCAAGAAGGAGGAACAAGAGAAAGACAUCCUUGAGACAUUUCGCAAGGUUGAGGUAAAUAUUCCUUUAUUAGAUGCUAUAAAACAAAUACCUCGAUAUGCUAAAGUCCUUAUGGAACUGUGCACCUCUAAGAGAAAAUUAAGAGGAGAUGAAAAAGUUCACAUGGGGGAGAAUGUUUCAGCAGUUUUCCAAAAGAAACUACCUCCUAAGUGCAAGGAUCCAGGUAUGUUUACUAUCCCUUGUAAAAUUGGUAGUGUUAGAAUUGAAAAGGCUUUGUUAGAUCUAGGAGCUUCUAUUAAUGUCAUGCCUCAUUCCAUUUAUUCAUCUUUGAAUAUUGGUCCAUUAAAAGAAACUGGUGUGAUAAUUCAACUAGCUGAUAGGUCUAAUGCAUAUCCUGAUGGGGUAUUAGAAGAUGUUUUAGUACAAGUUAAUAAGUUGGUUUUUCCUGCUGAUUUUUAUGUACUUGAUAUGGAAGAUGAUAACUCCUCUAAUUCUGUCCCAAUUUUGCUAGGAAGACCUUUUCUUAAGACUGCUAGGACUAAAAUGGAUAUACAUAAAGGGACUCUCACUAUGGAGUUUGAUGGAGAGGUUAUAGAAUUCAAUAUGAAUGAUGCCAUGAAAUAUCCUAGUGAAGAACAUUCAGUAUUUUCUGUGGAUGUUAUUAACCCUAUAGUGCAGGAAGUUUUUUACAAGGAAAAAACGAAGACAUUUCAUGAUAGAAUGAUUUUGAGAAAGGAGUUCUCUAUUGGUCAAAAAGUUCUUCUUUUUCAUUCUAAGCUUAAACUUUUUCCGGGUAAAUUACGUUCUUGCUGGGUUGGACCUUUUAUUGUUACUAAUGGUUUUCCUCAUGGUGCAGUUGAGAUUCGGAGUCCGACCUCUAACAAAGUUUUUAAGGUUAACGGUCAUCGCUUAAAACCUUUUUAUGAAGGUUUUUCGGUGAAUAUUGUGGAGGAUGUGGCUCUCGAGAGUCCUAAUUAUGGAGAUUGAUGCAUAAAUGUGUCUAACCAAAGACAUAAAACAAAGGCGCUUUUUGGGAGGCAACCCAAAUGAUUUAUUUAUUUUGGUUUUUGUUAUAUCUUCUUUUAAUUUUGAUUCAGAUUUUUUUUUAAAAAAAUAAUGUGUUAGCUUAUUUUGGUCAGAAGAAAAUUUUCGAUAAGGCGUGCCCACGUCUUAACUAAUAAGUACUUCUGUAAUUUUUAAAGUAAAAUAGUUUUAAGGCAUGCCCACGUGCUUAUUGGAAAAGUACUUCUGAAAUUUUUAGUGUCUCAAAGUGAUUCAUCACUAAAAAAUAAAAAAAAUAAAAAAAAUUAAAAAAAAAAAUUAAUUUUAUUUAUUUUAUUUUUUUUAUUUCUUUUGUUCUUUCUUUUAUAUAUAUUUUUUAUUUAUUUAAAAAAAUCAUUGUUCAAAAAAAAAAAAAUUUUACUGUUCACAAAAUCCUUAAUUUUCCAGAACUUGCUUUCUUCUCCAGCCGCUCGCAGCACCAACAGCCCACAAACCAGCCGCAGCGCGCAACAUCAGUCCCAGCAGCAAGCUCCAGCAUCCCCAGCCCGCGCGCGCAACGCGAAUCAGCCCUAGCCGCCGCACGCAGCAUCGCGCACCGCAACCAGCAGCAGCGCGAAUCAACCUCAGCGCAGCGCAUCAGUCCCGCGCGCGCAGUGCAACAGAUCCGCAAAGCAGACCCGCAACGCAAAUCGGCUCUCGCGCGCAGUACAGCAGUGCGUAGAUCCAGCACCGCAACCAGCAGCACGAACCAGCUCCAGCCAAGCAGCAACGCAACGCAACCAGCCUACGCCCUGUAUUCCAGCCGGGUAAAUCGAAAUCCGUGAGUGCAAUUAUUGUAACAAUGCCAAAGAGGAAAGCAUCUACUUCCAAGUUAUCGAAAAAGACACCCGUCGCAAAGAAAUCUAAGAUUGCCGCUCCCACUACGGUUCCAUGGAACACAAUUUCAGAUUCACGCCAAGCCGUGAGACAAAGAUCGAAGCAUGGAAAAGGCAUGAGUGUUUUGCCACUUGCGGAAUCCAAUCUCGGAGGGUGCCUCGCAUUCGCGACUCAACAAGAGAAAGAGGUGUGGUCGAAUUCAAGGAGGGGAGAUUUCAGUUUACUGAACCAGGACCCACUCAACUUCCGAAGAAGAUUUAUGCUAGGAGUGGUGCUGCCUCUGAUGACGAGUUUGACGACGACACUAUUGCCCUGCCAACUAUUCCUUCUACAUCCGCACCACUUUUGAGCAUUCAGUUAGAGAAAAUGGAGCACAAGCUGAACAAGAUGGAGCAGAAUUUGGCCGCAUACUUCGAGAGUGUGAGAUUUACCCCACCAUUUCCGCCAAGCCCAUAGACGUUAUGUGGAUCAAAGCUCACAAUUCAGGGAAGUUUCUUUUUGCCUUUAAUCUUUUAUCCUUACGCUUUAAUUUUUAUGUGAGCUUUGAUUAUCUUACAUUGGGGACAAUGUAAGUUCUUGGUGUGGGGGAGGGAUUUUUACAUUAUUGAUGCCUGGAAUUAUUAUUUUCACUCUACUCAUCCUUAAAUGAUUUUGGAGUUAGUAUGCUUUAUAUAUUAUUUUUUCUUUUCUUUUCUUUCUCACUACUUUUUUUCCCAUCUAUCUCAAAUUAUUUACAUCUAUUUUUAUUCCAUCAUACUCUUUCAUCACUCACAUUUUAUCUUUCACUUUUCAUCUUUCUCACUUCUUAUCAUUUUUACCUUUUCUUUUAUAUCUCACUCAUACCUUCUUCUCAUUCUACACCACUAUUGAUGGUUGAUUCAUUUGAAGAGUGUACAUGAUUUGAUGGCAAAUUUACCAACUUUGUGAGGAUUUGAGCCUAUGAGCAACCACUUUGCUCUAAUAUUUUUGUUAUGUGAAUAUCAAUCUUAGUUUGUUUAUUCUAGAACUUGCUUUGUUAUGCAUGUUGAAGCCGCAUUACGGGAUUUUAUGCAUUAAAAUGAUAAGGGCAAACCAUUUACCAUUUUUCCAUUCUCGCAUUUUCCUUUUUCUCUACCCGAAGACCUUUAUUUGCUACCUUUGUUUGAGCCUUAACCAUUACCCAUCUAAUUCUCUCCGUCUACUUAACCAUUUUUCUUCUUUUGAGCCUCGAUUUAAGGAGAUUUUUGGACUCAUUGUGUGGAUAUAUUUUGUUGCUUUUUCUACCUUGUAUUAAAGUUUCUCAAUUAGAUCAACAAGCAUUAUGCUUGAAUUAAAUUGUGCAAGGUUCGUUUCUUUUGUUUGAUUCAGAAAAAAAAAAGAAAAAAAAAGAAAAGAAAAGGAAAAAGAAAAAAAAGAAAAAGAAUAAUCGAAAAAAAAGAGGAAGAAAAAAAAAUGUUUACAUUCUUGGUGACUUGAGUAGAAAUAAGCAUUUUGAUAUCAUAAGUUCAUUCUUCUCAUUUUGAUCUCUUUUUCUUUCGUAAACCUUUCUUUUUCAUUUCACCCAUUUAACCCCAUUACAACCCUUUUAAGACCCUUAGAUUUUUGCAUUUUAUUCAUGUUUUGUGGAUUGAGAUGUGAUAUAUGAGCAAGCUUAUGGUAAUAGCAUUCUUUGAUUUGAUUUGAGUGGAUAAAUGACACCCUAAACACUUUGAGUGCAUGGAGUGAAGUUAUUGAGAGGGCUAUUAAAUCUUGUUGCACUUGAAUUUUGAAUGGAUCUUCUUGGUGGUUGAAUGUUCUUAUUCUAUCUUAUGAAAUUCUAUGCUUUAAAAUCCUUAUCUCUCGAAUGUUGAACGACUUAAUUUCUUGAGGUAUGCUUGCUUAAAAUUGUUUUUGGAUGAGUUGAGAUGAGAAUUUAGUGGAGAUUUGAGAUUAGUCUUGAGUUAUAUGCUUGAGGACAAGCAUCAUCUUGGUGUGGGGGAAUUUGUUAAAGUGCAAUUUAUGCACUAGUUUUGCAUUGUUUACUUCUCUUAAUAUCGAUGUUUUGCACUUAAUAAUAAUGAUUUACUUGUGUUUUACUUUUGUAGGUGCAAUUCUAUUGAUUAGUGAUAAAAUUGAGCUACAAGAUGAUGUUUAAGGAUGAUUGUUCUCUUGGAGAAAUUAUGAGCGGCAGAAGAACUUUGUUGAUAAGGCGUGGGCGCGUGCUGUCAACUGCGGACCUGCAGUUUUUAGUUUAACGUGUUUUAUAUUUUUGGUUAUUUUUGUAAUUACGAAUUUAAUAUUUCAGAUAUUAGUAUUUUAUUUUAAAUAGAACUCUAAAAGAGAAGAGAGAGAGAGUAUUUAAGGGAGGAAUCUAUUGUGAAAAGGGGGAUUUUGAAUUGGAAAAAGAAAGAAACCCUAAAUCUAAUUUUUCUCUUCUCUCUAUGAAGAACUAAACCUAUUUUUCUGGUUGAAGGAGAAUGAAGCUUUGAUUCAUCACUACUGUGAGAUCUUUCUUAUGCUUUAAUUGUUUUAUUACUUUUUGGGUAUUUGUUUAUUCUCUGAAUUAGUUUCAUGAUUAUGUUUGUUAAUUAGGUAAUUGUCCACUAUUUAAUUAUCAACUUAAUCUAUUGUCAAUUAAAGGAUUCAUCGUAUGAAGAAUUUAAUGUUUGUGACAAAUAACAUAGCAGAGAGUUGUGUUGUGAGAAUAAACAAUCUAAUUUAAAUGAAUCAUCAUAUGUGUUGAUUAGGAUUUGGGUCUCUCUAGUUUUUCAGGCUGUCAAUUGAUUAAAUCCUAUGAUCGUAUCUAGGGUUGUCUAUUGAUUAGGGAAAUAUCCAACGGUCGUACCUUGAUUAUCAACUAGUUAAGGAGAGAUUGGCUAUUAGAGGGUCUCAAUAGCUAUAACCGGUCUAUUCAUAAGUAAUAAUAAUCUAUAUUUGAAUCAAUGAUCAGUAGUCGAAUCAAGCUGAGUUAAUUCCUUCAACCAGAGCUUUCUCCAAUUUGAAUUACAACUUUAAUUUGCAUUCUUAUUAUUUUAAUUUGAUUUUUAUUAUUGUCAACAAUUCCCCCAUUUUACGUUUUACGUUUCAAAAAGAUUUAAAUAAUUACCGAUCUCUGUGGACACGACCCGGUUUACGUUUGUUUAAUCUAAUGGCUAUAACAUGUGUACCGUCAAAAGCUACAGUAUCCAUCUUUGUUUGUCCUCGUGGCAUCCUUGAUCUUAUAUUAUCCCGGUGGUUCUUGAAAGUUCUUCUCAUUCCCAUGUGCUGAGUUGCUUGCUGAGAUGAUGAAUACUUGAUGGUCCUUCCUUGAGACAUCUGAUGAGAAACGAUGUAAUCAAUAUAGUUCUAUUUUGAAAAAUCAAUAUAAAUCAAUCCCCUUAGAUUCUCUCUGUCUCAUAGCACAAUGGGUGAUGAUUUGAUGAGAAAUAUUAAUAUGAAUGCGUCAGAUAGAAGCUUGGUUGCAAUCAGAUAUUAAGUAUAUUUGUCAGAAUGGAUGCAACAAAAAUUCUAUCUGAUCUGUAGUUCAUGAAAAGCGGCCGAAUGCUUCCGGCAAUUCAAGCAAAUAGAAGCUUGGUUGAUUGAUUGCUCUUCAUGUGAAAUUCUACCUAAUGGCUAUACUUUUAAUGGUUUAAAUUCUUCUUUUUUUCUUUGAAUUGUUGAUUUAUACUGUCUUGUAUGCAAAUUAAAUUCGAAAUUUCGGAUGAUGAUAAUCUUGAUUUAGAACAGAUUAGGUAACAUGUGGCAUUCUACAAUCUUGCAAUGCCAUUUCUUGUUAUGGCAGCAGCAUUUUUUUCUCAAUUGUUUGUGUGGACUAAUUUUCUGAAUUCAAAACUUGGCGUAUUAAAACGUCAUCGUUUUGUCCAUUAAGAUUUUUCAACUGUUCAUGAAGGUGUUUUUGCUAAGGACAGCCUAAGUUUUAAGUUCUGCACGUGACAAGCACGUGAGAGAAGAAUCAAGUUAGUUAUAAGUUGUUAUACACGUGGCUGGAUCUGGUGCAAUCUGGUGUUAUGAACAGCCGUUAUAUAAGCUGAGCUUUCAGGCAGUUUCAGCAAGAUGUAAAGAGCUUUCUAGAGAGAAUGAAGAGAGAGAGAAAGUAUCAUCUUAUUCCUUGUUAGUUGCUCCGUGUGAUCUCUGUAAAAUUACUUUGAAUCAUAAAUAAAACUCAUUUUGGUCGAUUCUCCCUUGGAUGUAAGUUGUGUCUCAUUGCACAGCUUAACCACGUAAACAGUGCUGGUUUCUGUGUGUGAUUUUUUGUUAAUCUUGCUUAUUUCUUGUAUCCUAAUGGCUGAAAUCUUGCUUUAAUUUCCCAAGUCAUCUAUUGAGUUCAUCGAGGUCAUUCAAUUGUUCAUAUGUAGCUAGUUUGAUCUUGAACAAGGUCUUGGGCUGUGUUUUGAUAGCUUGAUUAGCGGCUAUCUUGACAGUACAAUUGGUAUCAGUGCUAGGUCUUCAGAUCAAGAUCCAAGUAUGGCUACAUCAAAGAUUGAUCUUGAGCUUGUAGACUCAGUGAUAAGGGAAGUGGCAAAAGAAUCCACGGUUGCUGACUUAUGGGCUAAGUUGGAGAGUGUGUACAUGAGAAAAUCCCUUGCUAACAGAUUGUACUUAAAGAAGAGGAUGUUUGCCUUAAAGAUGAUUGAAGGCUCAUGUCUUGAUGAUCAUAUUGAUGGGUUCAACAAAGUGUGUGACACUUUGAAAAGCAUUGAUGCAGAAUUAAAUGAUGAAGAUAAAGCCUUGCUAUUAAUGAGCUCCCUUCCCAAAGUCCUAUGAGCAUUUUUUUGAUGCCUUGAUGUGUGCAUAUAUGCAUAUCAUAAAUUUUAUUUUAUGAUCGCGGCUAAUCCGACGACUUUCGAGUACAUUCAUUCAAAUAUUAAACGUACCAGGUCUACAGAUUUACGUUUUGCCAUUUGUGGCAGGAUAGCAAAAAUUGCAAAUGGUCAUUCCCAGCACGAACACCUAUGGCUCUUUUCCUUUAAUUUUCUUCUUUGAAUUUUCCUUUGAUUAAUCAUUAGAAAAACUGCUUUCUUUUUUUUUUCUUUUUUAAACACGUGCCGUUAACAUUUACAUGGUUAAUCUCAUCGAAAUCAAAUGGCUGUUAUUCCCAUUGCAACCAUAUAUUGUUAUAAAUUGCAUUGUUUCCUAUAACAAAUAUAAUAAAAUCUCAAUAAAUUAAUAGUUCUGGGACCAAUGAAAAAUUAGUUAAAAUUUAACGAAUAUCAAUUAGUCGAUAAGUUAAUAAAUUAUUAAUUUAUGAAAAUAUUCAUUAUUUUGGAAAAAAAAAUGAUUACGUUUAUAGUAUUGAUUUACCUUGAGUUAGAAUCUAUUUUUUUUAUUUGAAUAGUAAUUUUCUUUUAAGAAGAUUUUUUAAUAGUUAACUACUUUAUAAUAAGACUAUUGUAUGAUUUAUAUUUUUCCUUGUUAGAGAUGAUAGUUCUGCUAUGCAAGCUGUUUCGAUCAAAGGAUUAGAUGAUAUUGACAUUGAAUAAUUUUUUGUUGCAAAAUGACAACACCAAUUAGAAUUUCUUUUCGCAUUACAAAAGUAAAAAAUGAGAUCCAAUUCUAAAUUAAUUUAAAAAGAAAGCCAUAUAGACAUAUCAUAUGGAUUUUGUUUUAUACUAGGUAAUCUAUGUGGUAAUAUAUUUCCUUCAAAAUGUACUAUUUGAUUUUGAAAUUAUUUUUAAAAAAUUUAAUAUCACAAUAAUAGUCAUGAUUCCAUCAGUUUGAGGUUUUUUUCUUUUUUUUGUUUAAGAAAAAAGAUGGGAAAAUAGUCAAAUGAUGAAAACACAUGCUAAGCGGAGCCAAUAAACAGGGGAAAGUGAACUACUGUCCUUGAACACGUUCUCUAAUAAUCUCAAUAUUCUACGUACAUUUUUGUAAAUUCAUGUCGCAUACAAAAGCCUUAUGGGUUUUGUUGCAUCAAUUCUUUGGGGAUUUAUCUUGUUUUAUUAUUUUGCGACGCAAGAGUCCUCGAAGCAAUACAUUUGGAAUAAAACGAUUUAAUUUAUUUUUCGUUGUUAUUAACAAAAACUAUAUAUUAUUAAUUAAUCAACUCAUCGAGAUAUUGGUUUCAUUUGUAACAAGUAGCUAAUUGCUUAGUACAUUGUUGUACUUACUCAUUAUCAUAUCAAGAAGAAUUUGUAAAUAAGAACAUAGACGUGGUACGCUGUGAUGUGAUAAAUUUAAUUCAAAUCUAAAUUAAGAGAUGAUUCAUAUAUAUAUAGGUACAUACUGAAAAAAGAUAUUCAAACAUAAGCACUCCAUUUUAUGAUAUACCUAACGAUAAUCGGUUUAUUGUCCAUAGGAAAUGAAGUGAAUAGAAACAGAUGUAGAAAGACAAAAAGAUGAAAAAGCGCACAUGACUAUUUAUAAAAUAAUAAAUUAAAUUUAUAUCGUUUUUAAUAAGUGUGAGAUUAUUUACAUUUUUAAAUUUAUUUUGAAUGCUCUUAUUUUUUAUUACAAAACCUCAUAAUUCAAUUUACUAUUAAGAGCAAUUCAAUAUAAAUAAAUAGAACAAUAAUACCUUUGACACCCACCUAGAGCGCACACACCCAUGUAAAAUUAUUAAACCUUAAACCGAAGAACGUUCUUCCUCAACAUUAAAACUCGUGCAUUAUUUAAAAGUAUAUUUAACAAAUUUUCACAAAGAGACUCCAGCAAAAAUUUUCACAAAUUUUUACUCGGCUGUCAAGGAGAUUGCACUAAAUAAACAACAGCAGAAAAACAAAUAAAAAACUUGAUACACGAGUAGAAUAUACUCAUUAAAUUUUAAUUUUCGGCACAAUUAUGAGCUGCAUAUUUAUACACACACACAAAUAACUGUUCUGCAAAUAUGUACAAAUCAAUUUCAGCCAUCCAAAUUUUUUUCGAAUUUUAAUGAAUAUAAAUUUUAUAAGUUGGGCAACUAUGAAACAUAAAAUUAGCAAAAUGAUAUUAUUAACAAAUAAGGAGAGCAAAAGGUAAUUAUAUCUUGGUGUGCUAAAUAUUUUUAUGGGUGUAGUGAAAAAACUAAAGAUAAUGGAAGAAAUGUUAUUGAGGAGUAAGUGAAAAGUGAUUUCCUAAAAUCUAUUAACUAAUGCGCAAAAUAGAAGGGCAUUUUGAGAAAAUUUUAGAUUAAAAAUAGUCCCAUCCUUUUAAUAAUAUUCUUCAAUCAAUCUGUUUAUUUCAAAAUAAAAAUCCAUCUCAUUUUUACUUUCUAAUUAGUCAUAUUAAUGUGUUAAUAAUUACGAAGAACCAGUAUUAUUUGUAUGAUGUAGGAAGCCCUUUCGACACAAUAACCCAAAUUUCUAAGAGUAGCGGCUGGACUUGAUUGGGAACAACUUCGAUUCAGUUUAAAAGGUUAAUCUCAAAAUUUCGUGAUAUUGUGCCUAAAGAGCUUCCUGCAUCAGUAUAACAGUUUCUAAAUUAAUAUAAUUGUGUGUUCAUUUUUUAUGAUUUUCCUUUAAUUUGUUUUUUAGAAACUGUUGUUCUUCAAUAAUUAUUCUAACAAUGUUGCUUUAAAGUGAUGUUGAUACGGGAGUCGAUGAGUCUUUAUCUGAAACAAAAAUUUACAAAAAAAAAUAUUAAAUUAAAAAAAAAGUACAUCAAAUAUUGGGCUCCCCCAAGUUUUACAUUUGUCUUCCACAAUGAGACAAGCCCUUUUUUCAAGUGAAGACUUUUGAUGUACAAUUUGUAAAGGAAAUUUGCCCCAUAUAAUUUUCCUUGCUACAACUUGCAAGCUUAUGUAAAUCAUAUCAACUUAAAAGAUUCCAAGAUUUGGUAUUUUGGUGAUUUGAGUAUCCAAUGGUGAUGACACAUACGCAUGGAAGUCCCCUGAUUUGAGUUUGACUAAAAUAAUCUCAAUAAUUUAAAACAACACAUCAGGCCAAAGUCCUUAAGAGAUGAACUGGAUUUCAGUGCAUCACAUUCCGAAAUUGAUACUAACCUUAAUUGGGAAGGCAGAACAGCCUCUCUUUCCUACUGUUGCACAAAAUGGCAAGUCAAGCCAAUUCAAGGAACUUCCCUGUUUUUUACUGAAAAAUACAUAAUCUGAACAAUUUAUAAUCAAAUAAAUCAUUCAAAAUAUCCUUUAAUCGAACCCCCGUUUCCAUGGUUUAAUAAAAUAUCACAAAGGUGCCUAAUACAGUGGAAUUAACACUCAGCUCAUGGGAUUGCCAUUAUAUAUAUUGAAACAGAAAUUAAUACAAGAAACUGAAAAUUAGUUGACACUGGAUCACGUUGGAUCGUUAGUUGUUAAUUUUGAUGGAAAUAUAAUCUUGAUCUCUUACUUAUCAUCUAGCUAAUGCAUGUGCACUAGUUUUAAUUGUGUCUAUCACUGUAAAUAGUAGAGUUGCUUGAUUGAAUAGUAUCAUAUUACAUCACAGAAACUCGCUCAAUUUUCAUUGCCAUAUGUAUCUCAAAAGUGCAUGAACAUUGAACAUUCAGCUAACUUAUACCCAACAACAUCCAUCAGUCAGAGUGAAACCCCAAUUGAUUUCAUAAAUACAAAAUAAAUAACUCGCAAAGGCAAUCUUUGACAAUCACAAAAGCAACAACAAUUCACUCCAACAAACAACAUAACAAUUAUAUGGUCUAAAUUGCAGGUCUUUUUAUGAUUUUAAUUGAAAGAGAAAGCACGAGGGACAUAUUAUAUAUAAUUGAAUGUUAUGAUUGAUAAUUGGGCAAAAUAAUACUAAUCUAGCUAACUAGUCCAAUCAUCAUAAUAAUCUGAUUUUCAUUAUUUAAUUAUGUUCAAUCAUGUUAUUUUAAUAAAGAACACUGAACGCUUGAGUAUUUAUAUGUUCAACAACUUCGGCUAAAUUUGAAAAAAAAACGUAUUAAUUAUGAAUAUUAAUAAAUUACCCUACAAGCCACAUAUUGCAUACAUAUGCAGUUGCAACAAAUAUAUGUGUAAUAAAAAGAUCAUAUGUGCUUAGAAAAUGAAGCAUCAUUGAAUAAAUGAAAAAAAAAAGAAAGAAAAUUAAAAUCAGCGUCCAGCGAAAAGAAUCCAUCUUUACGUAUUGCCUCCAAUUUGGUACAUCUAUCGAACUUUAAAAAAAUUGCAGUAGAAAUUAGAGCUCAUUUUUUUAGAUAUGGCUCAUAUACAAUACAAGUGUCAAGAUGUAAUUAGAGUUUACAUAUAUACACGUGUCUAAUUCUAAUUGACAGACAAACUAAUCAUAAAUACUCAGGUGUUUCUAAAUGAUUGAAUAAUGAUAUUGUAGUGACUUCAUUGCUUUGUUCUCUGAUUAGAAAUAAAUCACUGUCCAAGAACCUUUGUCAAGAUCUGUUCAAGUUGCAAUUAAACCAACACCAAUCUGAGGCUUCAAUGCUGAUUCACACCUUAGCUCUAGGCUAAUGGAGAUUAAAACAGAAGAUUAAAUUGAACUAGAAGCAGCACACACUCACACAAAGAACAGGAUUUAACGUGGUUCGAUUGUGCAUAAAUGCACAAUCUACAUCCUUGGCAGAAGCCACAGAAAAAGCUUUAUUGAUGAUUCAAAAUGAAUUUUACAGAGCUAAUACAGAGGAGAUUACAAGGAACAAGAAGACUCUUUCUCUCUUUCUAAGAUCUCUGUGGAAAGCUCUCAAAAUCCUAUGCAAUUUUUUUCAACAACCAGCCUCUUUAUACCCCUGAUAUUUGAAACCCAGAUUGCACAGCUUUUGGACGCGUGUAUAACGGCUUCAUAACGAAUUUGAUUCCCUUCUCACAUGCGGUCUCACGUGCUUCACUUAAACUUGCUCAAAACGACUGAAAGUAGCGUCGUUUUUGCUUAGGUUUAGUGAAGAAGAUAGCAUGUGUGUUGCACGUGACUCGUAAAUGGAUUCGCUUACUCAAAACACAGCCGCUUCAGGGCUUCGAGUUUUGGAUUCAUUGCACUCUAGUCCACAGAUAUUAUUGGUAUUUAUAAAUUUCAAAGAGGUGAUAACAGAUGGUCUAUUAUAAACACUAAGAAGGGUCCCUAGCAUUGCCUGAACAACUUUACUUAUGGUUUCUCAUCAAAUAAUGUUACAAAAAAGAAAUAAAUAAGUUAGAAGAUUCACAGCAUAUUGGAGUGUAAUUUUUACUUGAGUGACAAUGAAUGAAGUUAUGUUAAUUUACAUUAAGUAGAAACCUUCCUAAAUAGGAAUAGAAAUACUCUAUUAAACAUAUCAAAUACUACCUUAAUAAAAAUUUAGUUGACAAAAAUUAAAAAAAAAAAAGCCUUGAAGGCUUGAAAUAAUUAACCCCAACUAAAUAAUUGUCUUACAUCACCGAUUUUUCCUUUUUUUUUUCAUUUUAAUAAGACAUCACCACACUCCUGACUUUAUAAAGUAAAGCAUAAAAUAUAAUGGAGACGUUUGAGUUUAAAAAAAUAAAGUUGGGAGAAUGACUUGUCAUGCUGUCUUUGAUCAUUGAGCACAUAAUUCUCUGAAAAAAAACUCAAUUGUAUUUGUGUUUGUUGUAGAUUCAUGUCAUUUACUAGUCCUUUGGGUUUUGUUGUAUCAAUUCUUUGGUAAAUGUUUAUCUCAUUUUCGUUUUUUUAUGAUGUGAGAUUCCUGGUUAUAUUAGGAAUCAGAGUGAAAUCUAAUCUUAAAAUUUGGAGAAAUAAAACGUAAUAUAAUUUUUAAAAUUUGGAGAAAUAAAAUGUAAUAUGAUUUUUUUACGAAUAAAACGAUUUAAUUUAUUUCUUUUCUACUAGUAAAAAUUAUUAAUUUAUUAACCCAUCAAGCUAUUGGUUUCAUUUGUAAGCUCGUCAGUCAGUUUUUUACUUUGAGUUGUUAUCUUUCAAAAGAUAUUAGAAAAAUCUUACUUUGAGUGUACUUUAUCACUUCACUGAUUAUAGGGUAUUUACAAGUUAGAAAAAUAAAUUAUUUCUGGCCAAAGACACUAGAAAUUAAAGUUCAUAUGACUUUGUAAUACUGUUUGGUAAGUGAGAAAAUUGCCGAGAAAAUACAGAGCAAAUAGAAUCUUUAAGAAGAUGUAAAUUUCUGUAUUUUAUUGAUCUAAAAAAUUAUACAAGCUCUUAUAUACAAUUGUAAGAUUCUACACACUCACAAUGGAAUAUCACGCUACUAGUAACUAACAACCUUUAUAACAAACUCAACUGAUUCAGGCUGACUCCAGAGAAUGUCGAAAGGCGUUUGGCUAAUUUUUGUAUACACACAUAACACAAAAUUAAAUUAUUUGGCAGCGUUGGCAGUGAGUCGUUUUUGGCCAUCCAUAAGUUCACAAAUGUGCAUGGACAUCUGUUGCCAACCCUUUUAUUAUUUUAUAUCUCCAAAACAUUAUUAGAGUCCCACAUUUAUCACACAUCAUUAAGUAGAAUGCGCUAAUUAGGAAGCCAGUUUCUUUGUUCUGUUUUCUUGCAUAUGUUGCAAUUUUCGAGUAUCACUGAAAAUUUUAGACCGUCAAAACCUGCAGGAAAAUUAUAUACAUAUUCUAUCAUUCAACCUCAACAAAUAAAUUCUUUUCACUGGAAUCCAACAAUCGUUAAGUGUUAACCUUGUAGUUCUCAAAAGCAGAAAUUGUUGUACUAAUUUUUUCAAAGUGUCUCUCUUAAAAGAACACUAAAGAUAGGAGAGAGUGAAAUUUUAACUGAGAUCUUGCCACAUAAGACGAUCGAUUUAAUCCGACAAAAUAUGCGUUAGGUUAAUAAGAGCCAAUACUGCCCUGAUCCUUUCUGCAUCUUUCUUCUAUCAGCGGACAAUCCUUGAUAUACAGUUGCAAGAGCGAGGUAGGCACGCUCUUGUCCAAAAAGUAUUUUGGCUUCGGACGAAUAUAAAGCCAAAGAUACACCAACGACGUGAGAUUUUGACCAAUUGAAGGCAGGCAUUCCAUGCUUUGGAAAUCAUAAAUCCACAAAAGGGUUCCUAACUCCUGUGGCGAAAUGACACCACGUCAUGAAGUCCUCCGAUUGACAGUCGUUGUAGAGAUGAGAAUCUGUUCAAUCCCCCUUCCCCCCACCCCAUCGAUGGCUUCCAAAUCUUCAUAUCAUGAAUAUAAAGUGACUGAAGGCCGCUGGGAAACAUACCAUCAUCUGCCUCAACUGGGAAGCAAUACCAUAUACGCUUGCCAGACCUCCUCUGUUUCAUUCUUGAAGACUGUGCAUGUCCUUGGGUAAGGCCUCUAGCUUAUCACACCACGUUAUCCGGAGCUUAGUCAGUUCCGCAGAAGGCAGUCCUCCUUCAGGAAAGGGUCAUUUCAAUAAAAGCACAGUACAAUUGCAUAACUAAUUUUUUGAAAACAGAGAUAUGAGAGAUUGACAAUUUACAAUUGCUUAACUGCUCAAGAAGAGAGCACGCUUGAAAUAUGAAAUACGAAAAAGAGAGUACAAAUGAAAAAUCUUAAGGAAUCAGCAGGAUUCAUAUCCGACCAACUCCACGCUGCUAAAGCAAAGGAUUAAUUUUUGAGAAAUUGUAAAGAAAUUAAUACAAGUGAAAUGAGAGCCUGUUCAUUUGAUUAUUGGCCAAGGGUGAUUUCAAUAACGUUUUCAAAGAAGAUAUAGAACAAAGAUCAAAACGAAAAAUAAGCAAUUUCAGUCGUUGAAAAAAAAAGAGCAAGCUUCACACAUGCAUGCAUGUGUCGGACCAACAGAACAUGGCUUGUGGUAAGGAUCAAUCAAAGAAAUAUAAAUUCACUGUUUUAUAAAGUAAGCAUCAAAUGUUUGACAAGUUUUAGAUUUGUAGAAUAUUGGGAAAACGGACAAAUAAUCAAUGAAGACACUGCAAGUUAAGCAGAUCAAUUAAGUUGCUGUGAGCUUAUAAGUUGCUGAUGUGUUGGGCUUAAAUGCAAGAUUCGAAGAGUUCUUGUGGCUGUGUGAAGACUGACUUCAGUUGGAGGGGUCUUAUUGUAAAUUUUAUGCUGAUGUGGCAGAGUUCGUUGAGAAUUCGUUAUGCCUUUUCCAGAAAUAUCAGAACAAAAGGCGCUGGUCUGGUGAUUAGCCCCUGAUCUGAGAUCAAUAUCUUCUUCAUUUCUUGUUCAUUUUGUUGGCAAUUUGGUUCUCUGUGAUCCUUGUAAUUUUCUCUUCGUAAUCAACCUGUAUCUCGAUUGUUAUGAUCAAUAAAAGAGCAGUUUUGUACUUGAAACAGUACUCUGUGUUCUAUUCUUGGAAUUGCUUUCGUGUUUGGUUGAUCUGGUUUGAUUCUUUCAAGUCCGAUUCAUCAAGUUCUUCACGAAUUAACUUGUGUAGCCAUUAAAGUUUCAACAGCAACAGAUUAAAUCUGUCCACAAGGCUACAUUAAUCCUAAUGGCGUGGUACCAUCUCCAUGCAACAUUACAUUAACAUUUCAUCAUCAAUCAAUUUUGAAGAUAUGAUAUUAAAAACAUUGACUUCAUAAUUUUAUGUAAUUUCAUGUAAAAGAUGUAAUUGAUUUUGAGUUAGUUUAACAUAUAAAGAAAGAGGAAUAAGGAAUGAUAUCAAUGUGGCGUGUGAUGAGUAAUGAUAGGUAGCAAAUAUUAAUCAUGUAAUAACGAAACAUGUAUUUACAAAAAAAAUAUUUGGCAAUAAAAUGAUGCUAUAAAAAUUUAAUAUUAGUUGCAAGAAAAUAAUUUGGUGAUUAAAAUUCACAGAUAUAUAUGCAAUGCUUUGAGUUUAUUUUAUCAAUUCGUUAAGCAUUUUGUAACUACAUAUUAAUUAGAUCGUCCAAAGCUGUGCAUUUUUAAAAAACAAAAAAGAAGCGCAGUCUGCUACUAAUACUGUAGCAUGUUAGCUAGUAUAUAAGCUCCUGUCUAAUUACCAAAUAAAUUCCACUUUAACGAAGAAUAAAAGCUAAUUUCAUUGUUACUGCCUGUUGUGCUUUUAUUUUAUUUUCUUUUUUCUUUUUGUUAUUGAAGUUACCUCACAAACUGCUCGGAUGCUAAUUACAAAAUUUCCUCUUACUCUAGGAUCUCUUGAAUGGUCCUGCAAUUUGUAUUCCUUUAUGUGGGAUUGGUUUUUUCUUUGAGCAAAAUUUCAAGGAUAAGAAACCUUACCCAUCGAAAACCAACUUUGAAAUUUAUUAUUAUUCAAACUUAGAAAACUGCAAAAACAAAGCGCCUUCAUAGCACCAGUUAAGCUGUGUCUUGCUACCAUGCUAGUUCUAUUUUUACUUUAUUAAAUGUAUACAAAAUUAAAUUACCUGAGCCUCUAGUUUCACUAGUUUCCAACUUGAAAUUAAAACGCUGAAUUAAUGGUAUUGGAGUUCGUUAUUUAAUUUUGCUUGAGUUCAUUGGGAAUCAGAUGGCCAUCCAUUUUUAUGUCUAUUUUAUGUACUAUUGGCCACUAAGUAGCUUGCCCAUAUAUGCGUAUUGGGAUGUCAUAGGCCUUAAAGCUGAAAAUUAAUCCCCAAUCUAAAGUGAAAAACAGUAGCUAGAACAGAUUCUAUGUUUUGAUGUCUUUGUUUAUAAGCUCAAACAAAUUAAUAGUGUAUAGAAAAUGCAUGAUAGAACCCAAAACUCAUAUUGAUUUUUAGUUUCGAAAUUCAUUUCAGAGAAUCUGUUCCGUUCAACAGAUUUAACUAAAUUAUCAACUAAACUCUAGCCAUGUACUUGCUUAUCUAUGGGUAGAGCACUAGGUCAACAAAGGAGUCCAUCUUUAAGGCCUUGUCUAAGACUGUGGUUGCCUUUUUCAUGAGCUUCUGGCUUUCCAGCUUGCUGAGCGACGUACACAUAAAGAGGUUAUCCUUCUCUUUUUUUCACUGUUUUCAUAUCACAGAAUCCAUUUUUGAAUAUAUGUAUUUAGGUACACACACACAUGAAUAUAUAUGCAUGUUUUUAUGAGGAUAUUCAAGUAUAUUAUUUGACAAUCACAAAAACAACGAUCCACUCCAAUAAAUCUCAUAACAAAUACAUGCUCUAUCUUUUUAGGACUAAUUCAAAGAGAAAAUACGAAGGACACAUAAUUGAAUUUUGUCCAUGAUAAAGAACUCUAAACAAAUUCAUAUACUUAUUGCAGUACCUGUUAAAAAUUCAUUUGUUUCUUCUUUUCCUUUGAUCAACAGCUAAAUACAGCCUUGAAAUUUCAUUUAGUUUUGGUUAAUUUUCUGCGGAGUUGUGUUGUGUGUAAUAGCUUUGUUUCACGAAAUCGGUAGGGGAAGAGAAUUUUAAAAACAUAUCAAUGUAAUGAUCAAAGAGACGAAAUCAAUACAAAUAUUGAUUGUCUCAAGUUAGAUUAUACAAAGAAGAAAGAAGCUAAUCUAGCAAUUCAAUCAUAAUAAUUUGAUUUCCAUUAUAUUAAUUAUGUGCAAUCAUGCUAUUUUAAGAAAGAACACUCGAGCAUUUAUAAAUAGUCAACUUAUGAAAUUAAUUACAGAACAAUCUUUCGCAGAGUUUGAUGAAAAGACUGUGUAUUGUGUUAUCUUGAGGUCUUAUAUCAAUUAAAGCCAGGCUGCGCUUUGGCUGACAGCGAGAUAUAUCCAAACAUAAGUGCUGCGAAUGAACUGGGAAGACGGUAGGAAGAUUAAGCUGCUGAGGAGAAGAUAUAUGCAAAAGAAAUAAAGCUAAUCUGUUUUUAUGUAACAAGCUAUGUACUCUGCUUUUAUGGUCUUUCUCUUUGCGGUUGUUAGACAAACUUGAACGUAAGUUUCUAUCUUAUGUGUGUCCUAAUCCUUUUAGAUAGCUUGAGAUUGUUGAUUUAUAUAUGACGUUUGGUAUCCAAAAUUCAGAUGAUGAUAAUCUUGGCAGUACUUUUAUAAAAUUUUCUUUUGUGUUGGUGUUGACUUAAUAAAAUAUUACAAAGGUGCCUAAUAUAGUGAAAUUAACAUUGAGCUCAUGAGAUUGCCGUUAGAUAUAUUGAAAAAGAAAUUAAUGCAAGAAACUGAAAAUUAAUUGAUACUGGAUCAGGUUGGAUAGUUAGUUGUUAAUUAUUGUUAAGUGUGAACCAGAAUUCAGUGUGCAGGGCAAACAACAAUGUCGACCAUCAGACUUGGCAGAAGACUACAUGUCCAAUAAAAGCUUAUCAGGGCUGUACGACAACCUUCCCAUGUCAAUCAGAAUUCGUUAAGUAAUGCACGUGUGUAACACGUGAUCUCCUAAUAACAUAUUAACUGAAACGGCAACUUACUACUGUCGUUUUGGGAUUUAUAUGUUACGCACACGCUCAGCACAUGGGGGAUUGGUUAACAGUUAAAAGAAGCGGGAAAAUUCUGGGGUUAACUACUUAACUGUAACAAACCCAGAAUGAUUUGCAGGCUUCUGAGAUAGGUUUCUAGGAGCUUCAAAGCUUGUAUAAAAAGGGUCCUGAUGACUGAAGUUGAGAGUGGUUUUUUCCUUGUAAUCUCUGAAAAGGCUUGAGCCUUGUUUCCUGCAUUAAUAAAUAAUCAUAGCCCUGUUUCUCAAAGAGGAUGUAGGCUGUAAUGGCUGAACCUCUAUAAAUCCUUUCUGUGUUUUUUCUUUCUCUGUUGUGUGUUUCUAUUCUUGUUUUAGAUUGUAUUGAUUCCUAAUAAAACUGUUAAUCAUUCUUCAUACUGAAUUUUAUUAAAUCUCUUCUUCUCUUUUGAAUAAAAUUUCUUUAAAAUUCAAUUCAUAAAAAAGAAAAUCUCCUUAUAAUUUAAUAUGUUUCAGUUGUCUCAGUGGAAUGAUGCUAUUUGUUUCAAUCAAAGUUUUGAAGCAUCCUAAAAUUUUGAGAUCCAAAUGAAAAUAAAUUAAUUUAAUUCGUGGUGUACUCUAAAUUUUCAGCUAUAAAAAAAUAGCGAAAUUGAAGUGCACUUGGGCAAGAAGAAACAGAGACUGCGAUUAUACAAUUUCAGUGUUUGACUCUAUCGGCAAAAAAAGAAAAUAAAAAAGAACUCCCAUUGUUCCAUUGUUUUUCCCAUAAAUAAUAAUAUACAGAGAAUUUUGUUUAACGAGAGAUAUAAUAGGUAUUUAGGUGAGUUUAUAGCGUAAAUUUUAAAAUUUUAAAAUUUAAUAAUGGAUUUAAUAAGUAAUUGGGUUCAAAUAGUAUUUUAGUGGUUUUAAAUAGCCCCACCCUUUUUAUUUUUAAAAAAGAUUUAAUUACAAAAAUAUUACUUCCAAUCGACAGCAUUUUAUAUUUUAUUUUAUUAAAUAUUAUUUUAUUUUUGAAUUACUAAUAAUGCACAAAACGGCAUCAUUUAUUGAUAUUUUUAAAUUGUUUAAGAUUUGUUUAAUUAGAAAAUUUCCAUUGUUGAUAUUUAAAUAAUUUUAAAAAAUAAAAUAAUAAAAUUGGUGUCGUUUAGUUUUGUUAAAUAUACUAAGGGCUCGUUUGGUAUGCCGGAUUGGAUUGGAUCAGAUUGGAUAAGAUAAAAUUGGAUUGGAUAAUAAUGGAUUAUAUAUAAUACUAUAUUGGGUUUGGUCCAAUUUUAGAUUGAACUAUAAAUAAUCAUCUCUUAUAUUAUAAUAUUAUAAUUUACAAGUUAUUAUUAUUAUUAUUAAUAAUAUAAACUAAAAUUUUGUAUUAUUAAUUAUACAAAUCAACCUCAAUGAUAUUAAUGAAAUAUAAAUCAUAAUUUAAAUAAUUUUUAUUUUUUUAAAUAUAUUUAUGAUAUUUUUAUUAUUUUUAUUCAAUAAUCUAUUAUUUUAUAAAAAUUUAUAUUUGUGAAUAUUAAUUUAAUAAUAAUUUAUAAUGUAAAUUUGAAAUUAUAAAAAUAUUUAAUAAAUAAAUAAAUAAAAAUAAAAUUUUCAUUCAAUGUGAAAUUAAUAAUGAUUUUUAGUAUAAUUUAUUAUUAAAAUUAUUAAAAUCACUAUUUUUUAUUACAUUUAUCACAUAUUACUAUAAUUUUAAUAUUUAUAAAUUAUUAUGUUUAAUUGAAUUAUUAAUAUAAUCUAAUACUAACUAAUCCCAUAGCCCCCUUGAAAUAAUUUCUUUUACAAAAUUGAAAUUAGCUUUGGGGCUCACGAUAAAUAAAUUCUAAUACUUUUGACAGAACUAAAUAUAGGAAUAGGAUAAAAUUUUAACAAAGAGUUUAAUCUCCACUUUUAAUCCUCCUCCAACCAAACAUGCCCUAAGCUAACGGAUCAUGGCAAAUUUGUAGUAAGUGAUGAACGAUUUGAUAAGCUCUACUCCAUCAGUUCCUUAAUUGAGAAAAUUCCCAAGCCCGUGCAGCCUCACAAUUGAUAGAGACCCGAAGCCACCAAACUCGACAAUCAUCACUCAACGUCGUUGCAGGCUACCGGUCGCUCAACAAGCACCAGUUCCUCACUCUACAGCCAUCACUCAAGCGCUGCCAUUUCCUGUUAAUUAUUCGCUCGAAUUAGGGUUCUGAUAUUUGGGGAUUUUUUUCUUAAUUGUGGAAUUAUGAAGUAAUGAUGAUGACGACGAAGAUGUGGUGGUUGACGACGGCAAAGGCAACGUUGAAUAUUGAGGCACUGGAGAAACAAGCAUUGGCUAUUAUCUUGGUCGAUUUGCCUCGAAUUGAUCACUAAAAAUGGGGAUAUCGUGGGCCGAGCUUCAACGCAGUCGCAAAUUUCAUUUGGAUAACUGAAUUUUAUUUUAUUUUUGUGUUUAAUUUGUUUAAAGUUUAAUUGUUUAGAUCUAGGCUAAAUUUUAAUGAUCAUUUUUAUGAUUAAAUGACAUGAGUAUGCUUAAGUUUUUUUCCUUCAAAUUGAUUUUCUGAUGUUACAUUUUGUUAGCAAAAAGUUAAAAAAUAGUAGAAACUGUCAGAAUUUUUGUUAUGAAGAUGUUGUUUUAGUUUGAUAUUGGGAAAAUAUCAUUAUACAUAUUGCCAUCAUAUUCAUGGGAGACCAAAAUGGGAAUGAUGGCAGGCUAUGCAUUGCUCACAACUAAUUUAAAACUCACUAUUUCUGUUUUUGGUGUUUUAGUAAUUCUGGGGGCAUUCCAACUAUAAUUAAUAAGCUAUAAACUUGUUUAGUAAUUACUAAUCAACUUGCUAGAAAGAGUCACAAACUAAUUAGCUUUCUCUUGUAAUUUUUACAGAUCAUCAGUGGAUAAGAACUACAAGGAGUUGAAGACUUAAAGAUAAGAACUACAAGGAGUUGAAGACUUUAAACCCUAAACUUCAUAUCUUGAUUUACAAGUGCAAUGGGGUUUCACCCCAAUUAUGGGCUAGAGAUGUACUCUUUCUGUUCUUGGUGCUUCCCAACCCCCCCCCCCCCCCCCCCGCCCCCCCAAAGUCAUUUUUUGUUCUCUACUCCAUUGUAAAUUUGUAUUCAAAAGUCUUUUUCUUUGUCUUUAGUUUUUAAAUUUAUGGAGAUGAUCUUAUGAGGUCUUAAAUAAAUAGUUGUAGAGCUUUACUAAAACUAUGUACAAUCUUAUUGAGAUUUGGGUGUGAUUUUGUAAGAUUGCUAAAAAAUUCAUAUUUGGUAUUUGUUUUAUUUUCCUAGUCGAAUUUCUUGCUUGUAGAAGAUAAAAGAAAAGUGCAAUUUCAUGUUGCAAUAAUUUUUUUUCCUUCCCUCUUUUUCUUCCCAUAUAGUCUGGCUCUGGAUUUGGUGCAGUUGAUGGUUUUAAUACAGUGAACCAAUUUCGUCAGAAUCAUCUUAAAGGAUUAAAGUGGCUUCCUUUUGCAACUGGGUAAGUCAAUGUUACUUCCUGAAUUCAGUUUGGAGUUCUUUCGGAAUAGAUUUCCUUCCCUUACAUUACUUAGCUUCUAGUUGCAUCUUCUUGGUCUUCUCCAGCUGACUUUCCUAUUGGCAAAUUCCUUCGCUUCUAUUGUUUUCAGGUGCCAGUGCUGGAUUUGGAGGUAUGAAUCAUGCCUUCAUUUUUACUUUUUAUGAUUAUUUUUUUAAGGUGUAUGGUACUGUAAUAUAGUUCUUUGUAUAGCUAGUACAAAAUAGUUCUUUAACUUCUUACGUUCGGCUAUAAUGGUCUUGACAUAUGAUAGGGCAGCUCUAUCACCAAUUGACGUGGAAUGAGAAAUAGGAGACAAAUGGGAUUAGAAAAAUAAGAAACGUGACAAAAAUAAAAAUCUAAUCUACUCAUAUAAGCAACUCAUCAAAUAAGUGUAUCACAUACUUAAGUGAAUAACAAUCUGUAAUUUCCACGAAUCAAAGUAAAAUUAUAAUAUUCUUUAAAUAAGACUCAUAAGCUUGUUAGGUGUUAUAUUGAAUCAUCUAAGUUGAAUAAUCUUUUGGGUCGAAUAUUUAAUUUCUUAUUCCAUACGUUUCAGUCUCUCAAUAGUUGAAUUAGCAAUGAAAAUUUGAAAAUGGAAAAAUCCAAUGCAAUUAUUUUAGCUGCUUAUCAUAGAUAAGAAUUUCAAAUUUGACACUUUAUUGUCUGUUGUCAAAUUCAUAAAGUAUGAACCUGCAUUAGCUUAGUUCUCUAAUAUUUAUAAAUAAGUAAUACUUGAAUUAAGAUGAAAGAAAAUUGAAAAGUAGAGUUGCUUGAUUGAAUAGCGUCAUAUUUUACAUCACAGAAACUCAAUUUUCAUUGCCAUACGUAGCUCAAAAGUGCAUGAACAUUUAAAAUUCAGCUAACUUAUACUAAUUAAUUAAUACGAGUCUCAGUUCUUACUUCUUAGUACUUGGCAACAUCCAUCCAUAAGAGUGAAACUCCUAUUGAUUUCAUAUAUACAAAAUAAAUAACUUACAAAGGCAAUAUAUACAAUCACGACAAAAACACCAAUUCACUCCAAUAAACAACAUAGCAAAUAUAUGGUCUAUAUUGCAAGUCUUUUUACUAUUUUAAUUAAAAGAGAAAAUACGAAGGACAUAUUAUAUAUAAUUGAAUAUUAUCCUUGAUAAUUAGACAAAAUAACACUAAUCUAGCUAACUAAUCCAGUCAUCAUAAUAAUCCGAUUUCCUUUAUUUAAUUAUGUCCAUUGAUGCUAUUUUAAUAAAGAAUACUGAACACUUAAGUAUUUAUAUGCUCAACAACUUCGGCCACGUUUGAAAAGAUCAUAUUAAUUAUUAAUAUAAAGAAAAUAACCCUACAAGGUACAUAUUACAUAUGCAUGUAGUUGCAAUAAAUACAUAAUAAUAAAGAUUGUAAAAGUUCAGGGCCAUUAAUUCAACAAUUACUAAACCAAUAUCCCAAUAAUUGUUUGAUUACUAAUCUUAGCAUUAAAAGAUCUGCAAACUUUAUUCGGCCAAAACAAAUGCUUCCUUAUUGCUUCCUUGAUCUUAUCCUGCCUGGUGAUUCCUGAAUGUCCUUCCCAUUCUGAUAUGCUGAGUUGUUUGCUGAUUAUAAAUACAAAUCACCUUAAAUUUUCUUAGUCUUGUUCUUCAUGCGAAAUUCUACUUAAUGGCUUAGUUGGUUUAAAUUCUUCUUUUUUCUUUGAAUUGUUGAUUUGUAAUGUUCUUCUCGCUCUCACAUGUGGCAUUCUGCACUCUUCCAAUGCUAUUUCUUGUUAUGGCAGCAGAAUUCUAGAUUUUCUCCCAGUUUCUUUUGUAAAGACUUCUAAAGAAGCAUCCAGAUACUGAGAUACAAUCCAAUCUAAACCCAUACAUAUAUACACCUCACCUUCCCCCAUUUCCCCAGAAAAUCAACAAACAGUUUGCUUGAAAACAAACACUCUAAAAAAACUAUCUAGCCACCCAGAUAGCCAAAUCAAGAAUUCUUGCAAUGGCAAUGUCAUUUCUUGUUAGGGCGGCAACAUUGAAGAUCAUGGCAUCACAAGUGAAUGCUCUGAUGCCGUACACAAGAUCACCUCUCUUUGACAUAAUGCUCCCUAUGACAGAAGAUCCUUUCAAGGUUCUUGAACAAAAGCUCUCUAACAAUUCCUAAAGGAGGUCAUCAUCAAACUCUGGCCCUGGCGAGAGCAGACUGGAAGGAGACACGAACAGCACACGUGAUCACACUCGACAUUCCAAGGAUGAAGGAAAAUGAUGUGAAGAUUGAAGUUGAAGAGAACAGGGUACUGAGAGUGAGUGGGAGAGGAAGAGUGAUGAUUAUUAUAAGGAGGGAGUUGAAGGAGAGAAAUGGCACUGAGCUGAGAGGACAAGUGGCACGUUUUGGAUGCAGUUUAGGAUGCCAAUGAGUGCUGAUUUGGAACAUGUUAAAGCUCUUUUGGAAAAUGGAGUUCUGAGGAUCACAGUACCAAAGCUUGCUGAGGAGAAGAAGAGCCGGCCUAAGGUUAUUAGCAUUAGUGGAUUCUUUUGGUGAAGAUAUUAAAGCCACCAAGGCUCAAAUGUAAUUAAUCAACGAAAGUAAGUGUUUGGCUUGGUUUUGUGGUUCUCUUUGGAUGUUUUGUUUAUGUUUUUAUGGGUUUUUGACGAUGGCUCACAGGUAUUAGCACCAAUAAGUGCUUUUUAUAAAUCCUGGUCCUAGAUUUGUAAAAAAAAGUUAAUGCGCUUGGUUUAUUGUUAAUUAAAAAAAAAAAGUCCUUUCCUUUGGCAUUUAUCAUGCAUUUGAAAAAAAAAUUAUUCCACUGUAAUUCAUAAAGAUAUAUUUUUCCCCGGUUCCCCGGUUACAUUAAAGUGUUGAUACGAAUAUCCGUUGUGAUUAUAAAAAAUUUAAUCAAUCCGAAUAUUCAAUAAGUGGUAAAUGGCACAAAAACAAUUAAGUCACGAACUUGCAUAUAGUGCAUUAAAUUGAAGAGCAUAAAGAAUUUUGUAAUGCAGUCCAGCAAUCAAAAACCAUUUUACAACACCAUUAAAAAAUCAUUGCAGCACUAUUGCUGAUGAGGCAGCUGGUAAUUCCUCUGGUGAAGAUAUUAAGGCCGCUGAAGCUGAAAUGUAAUUAGUGUCGUCAGAAGAUUAUGUAAUAAAGUGCUUUAGAUUAAUCUUGGUUGGAUUACUAUUCAUUAACCAUAUUUAAUUUAUGUGAUCAAUCGGUAUUUGCUAGCAUCAUUGUUAUACAACAACAUAUUAAUUAACUACUGAACUCUGCCAGCGAAUUAAUGAGCAAAUCCUCCUCAAAUUAUGCAUGUAUACGAUCAAAAUAAUUUCAAUUUCACCAUAUACGCGCGUGUGUAUACAUAUAUAAUACUUAAUAAUCACCAAACCAACAAUUCCCAAGUUAGAUUAUACAUAGACGAAUAAAUAAUGCUAAUCUAGCAAGUCCAAUCAUAGUAAUUUGAUUACCAAAUAUUAACCAUGUCCAAUCAUAUUCUUAAAUAAUCGCCGAACUAACAAUUUGCAAGUUAGAUUAUACAUGGAAGAAUAAAUAAUGCUAAUCUAGCAAGUCCAAUGGUAAAAAUUUGAUUUUCAUUAUAUUAACCGUGUCCAAUCAUGCUAUUUUAAUAAAGAACACUUGAAUAAUAUUUUCAUGUCCAGCAGGUAAAAUUUCAAAACAAUUUUUGCCAAAGUCCUCCUCGGCUAAAUUAAUUUAUGCAUUAAUAAAGUCCUCCUCUUCUAAAUAAUACAAAACCUGUUACGUUAUUCUACCAUUUUUUUUUUUUAAAAAAGCAUUCUACUAUUUAAUAAAAGAAUUCGAAAACUGGUUCUAGACAUACACCGAACCAUAUUAAUUUAAAACAGUUUUCAACUGAGAUUUGAAAUUACACACACAAACACACCGAGUCCUUUAUAUAAAGUGCUUUUAAUAAAUUAUGGUCGGUUUACUAUUAAUUAAUCAAAUUUAAUUUACUCAAAUUACUCUUGUACACGAUCAAAAUAAUAUCAAUUCUAUGAUAUAUAUAUACGUGCACAUACAUACAAAAUGUAAAUAACUUUCAAAUAUAAAAUAUUUAAAAUAGACGAAAUAACUUUCAAAUGUUUAUUGUAUUUUGAUGGGUUUUUGAGGAUGGUUGUAUGUAUUAGCAACAACAAGGUGCUUUUUAUAAAUCCGGGUCCUAAUUUUGUAAAAGAAAUUAAUACUCUCGGUUUAUUGUUAAUAAAAAAGAAAAAAGAAAAAGCAUUUUUCUGUGGCAUAUAUUAAGCAUUUUAAGAAAAAAAAAUUACAUUCCAAUUCAUGAAAGACAUUCCUUCUGUCAUAUUGAUGUGUUAAUAGAAAGAUCUAUGUGAAUUAUAACAAUUUUGAUGAAUCUAAAUAUUUAAUAACUGAUAAAUUAUAUUUAUAAAUAUUAAUACCGGUGGCACAUAAGCACUUAAUUCAAGAACUCGCCUAUAGUGCAUUAAUUUAAAGAGUAGAAAUAUUUAAUAAAUCAUGCCUGGUUUACUAUUAAUUAAUAAAAUUUAAUUUACUCAAAUUACUCCUCUACAUGAUCAAAGUAAUUUCAAAUAUACAACACACAAAAUGUAAAUGACUUUGAAAUAUAAAAUAUUUAAAAUAAUCACCCCACUAACAAUUCACCACAAAGAUUAUAAAUAGUCGAAAUAAUGAUAAUCUAAGGGGUCCGGUCAUAAUAAUUUGAUUUUUAUUUAUAUUAAUUAUAUAAAAAAGAGUACUCGAGAUUAUAUAUAUCCAACAGCUAAAAUUUCAAAACAAUAUUUGCCAAAGUCUGAUGAAGAGAAUACAUAUAUAUAACAUGCACUCGCACACAUUCUAUUGUUUAAUUAAAAAAUUCGAAAGCCCAUUAUAUACAUGAUAAAGACUUACCGACACCGAACCAUAUUCAUUUAAAGGAAUUGUUUUCAACUGAGAUUUGAAAUUAUUUACACAAACACACCCGAUUUUUUCUUUUUUAAAAAAAUUACUAAUAAUAAACUAUUUCAGUCGUCCUCUGUUCGGCUGUCAAAAACCCAUUUAAGAUCGAUUUGAACAGAAGGUAUAUGGGUUAACAAUCCUCCAUCCUUUUUGCACUUCUCUUCCAUCAACGGACAGCGAUAGAUACUUAAUUGCAAAAGUGAGGAAGGCAGGCCCUUCUCCGGAAAGUAUUUGAGCUUGGGACAAUCCACGAGAUUUAAGUGGGUGAGGUUUUGAAGAUCAACAAUUGAAGAAGAUAGGCGUUCCAGAUUUGGAAAAUCUACAAUCCUCAGAGAUGUUAGAGAGGCAGGAAGAGGAAGCGCGGUCCCUAAUCUUUUGUCCUCUAGUGGAAAUGACACCAUGUCGUCAUCACAUCCUUCGAUUGUAAGAUGUCGCAGAGAAGAGAAUCUAUGAAAUCCCCGACCCCGCUCAAUCAUUGACUUCCAAAUCUCCAUAUUACCCCAAAUAUGAAGUGAAUGAAGGUUGGUGGGAAGGCCAUCUUCUUCAAGGCUUGGAAGCUCACCUCCUAUUGUUAAUUGUUGAAGAGAGGUCAGAUUGUGCAAUCCCUUGGGUAAGGCCUCCAGUCUCUCACACCCAUAGAUCCUGAGCUUACUCAGUUUCGCACAAGGCAAUCCCCCUUCGGGAAAGGACACCAGAUUUUCACAUUCCCAUAUUUCGAUCUCUUGAAGCUGGCCGAGAUUAUGUAAACCACUCGGUAAAAUUUUCAGAUUUUCACACCCAGAAAUAUUGAUUGUUUCAAGAGAUGUGUUGUUGUCCAACCUUUCUGCUAUUGACUCCAGCUUUGGACAAUACCAAACAAAAAGGGACUUAAGAGACGGAGGUAGACUGCCAACUUCAAGGGACUCAAGCGUGGCAGGUAACUCGUUUUUUGAAAAUAUACAUGUCAGUGAUGGACAAUCCCUAAUUUCUAACUUCUCAAGAAGAGAUGAGGUGUACCUUCUAUUGCUGCUGCUGCUGCUGCUACUCUGGAUGCCCUCUUCCACUGUCAAAGUCCUUAUAUUAUCACAACUAAGGAUGUCCAACCUCUUAAGGCUCCGUGGUAGCUGGACUCCAGCAAGAUAUGUCAACGUACGACAAUGCUCAAUAUACAAGGUCUCGAGAGAUGAAUUGGUGUCGCACAUCCAUGCCUCUGGUAAUGAUUUCAGUGUGUCACAACCUUCAAUCUCAAUUAUCUUCAACUUGGAAGGCAGAGCAACCUCAGGAAAGGAAACAAGGGAACUGCACUUGUAGAUUUCUAUCUCUCUCAAGGAACUGAGGCUGAGAGAUGAUUGUGGCAGCUUCACAAGGCCUUCGCAAUAACUCAAUCUUAGAUAUUCGAGUCUGCAUGACAACUCGCAGAGCUGCUGUUGUUGGUCUUUCUCUUCCUCCGCCACCAAGGAUUGAAGUUUGGGACAGCUUGUAAUCGUCAGUCUUCUGAGAGAGCAAAUGUCUUGCAGUAAUUCGUUAUGACUCUUCCAAAUAUAUGUCUGCUCUUUCAUAUCAUUUAUCUUCAAUUCUUCCAAUUUUGGCAGUCGCGGCUUUAAUGGCCCUGCGAGAAACAGUUGAUUUGAUGUAUCUCUACAAACCACUGAAUUCUGUGAGCCGAGAUGAUCAGCUGCACUUCUCCACACAACCUUUUUACAUCCACCAAUUUCAAAUUUGCAAAGAGCUGGAAGACUUGUAACUGAAACUGACAAUUCUUCACAUCCUUUAAUAACAAGCUUCUCCAAUGCAGGAAGGUGCUCUGGAAGUGUUCCUUGCAGUUUAGAACAUCUUAAAAUGUGAAGCUCUCUCAAUUUAGGAAACCCUUCAACUCCUUGACCGGAUCCAUGAGGAAUCCAGUCUUCCCAUUCUUCCAUGUCUUCAAAACAAAGAGUCUCCAAGCAUGGAAAAGGAAUUGAAGCAACCUUCCCAUAGAACUCUGGAUCAAAUCUCCUUACGCUGCUCAUUCCACAUACUACAAGAUGCUUUAGAGAGGGUAGUUGCCCGACCGACGGCAGGGCAGUACACAUGCUACAAUAUUCAAAUUUAAGUGUUACUAAAUUUGACAAUGAGGAAUUUCCUAACCAAGUUGAAAAAUUUGUGCCUCCAUAGCCGCUGAUACAAAAUUGUUCCAGAUUUUUAUGGGGUUUUAGCAUGUCAAGCACGCCCUCUUCAGCUUCUGCCUCCCUUGAAGAUGAACCAUUAGUAUUGCGAGUCCAUCGAAGCCAUAAUUCUUUAAGAUUCUCCUUUCUAUCCAAUUGAGCGUCCUCGGCAUCAAUAAUGUGUUUUACAUUCUCCAAAUUUGAAAUGCAAAGUGUCCCCCCAAGUUGCGUCAAGGACUUUAGCUCUCGUAACCGGGAACCACUGUCUUUUCCCACAACAAAAUUACACAACGUCUGAAGACAAGUCAGCCUACCAAUUCCGACUGGCAUUUCCUCCAACGAAGAUGUAUUUGAAUUAUUGAGAUGAUGCAAUUUGAUGAGGUUUCCCAUGGCUGCACACAACUUCUUUAGUCGCCAACAGCCCUCCAACAGAAGGGUGUGCAAAUUGUAAAGCUUGUUGACUGAUUCAGGCAGAGUUCUAAUCUCAGUUCCAGAUAGGUUAAGGUACCUUAAAUACCUCAAAUCACCAACUGAAUCCGGCAGCUUGGGGAUGAAAUAUCCACACAGAGAGAAGACCCUCAAUCGUUGGAGUUUGAACAACUUAGGAAGAAUGCUAAGAGCAAAGUAUCCACGCGACCUAUUUGACCGCCUUACUGGUAGAAAAGUUCGCAAAUGCUGGAUAUUGUACAAGUCUUCAAACCUUUUACCGCCUUCAUAAUAUUCAGGAAUGUAUGACAGAUGACGAAGAUUUCUGGAAAAACUUUGUUGCUUGUUAACCUCCGAGGCACACUCCAUUGUGAAGUAUAUCUUGCCCGCAGCCCAUUGAGCAAGGUCAUUGACGAGGUCGUGCAUCACAAAUCGUGAUAUACCGUUGCUUGAUUGCUGGAAAAAAGAUCUUGCACGUAGCUCUUGAAAGAACCUUCGACCUAGAUCUUCACUUGGAUUCCCGCUCUCUCCGUGAUCCAAGAAACCCACAGCACUCCAUAAUAAAAUUAUCUCCUCCUCUUCGAAUUCAUAAUCCUUUGGAAACAAUGAGCAGUAUGCAAAGCACUGUUUCAAAGGUGCCGAGAGAUAAUAGUAGCUCACUCUAAGCGCCGGUAUAAUGUCACAUCUCUCUUCUGGUAAAUCCCAUAUGUUGCAACUGAGCACACCUUCCCAAUCACUUCGGUCACAUUUACCACGUAAAAGUCCACCAAGUGUUUUCGCAGCUAAGGGCAAGCCGUUGCAUUUGAUCACUAUCUUCUUGCCAAUUUCCUCCAAUGACUUGUUUGAACUGAAAUCUCUUGUCCCCAAAGAGUGUUGAGCGAACACGGACAGACAAUCAUCAAAUGACAACUUUUUCAAUUCAUAAGCUGGAGCAGUUCCCAUGAUGGCUGCAACCUCUUGAUUACGAGUUGUGACAAUAAUCUUACUUCCCGGUGCGCCAGCUUCAAACGGACGGCUCAUGUCAACCCAAUCAUUGUAUUUCUCAUUCCAAACGUCGUCUAAAACAAGCAAAAAUUUCUUUUGAGAUAACUUCUUCUUCAGCUCCUCUUGAAGCAAAUUUAAAUCACUGUCAUCAAUAGUCUGCUUAGUAACGGAUCUUAGAAUUGUUUUUGUUAGCCUCUUAACGUCGAAAUCGUCAGAGACACAAGUCCAUGCCUUGAGAUCAAAAUGAUCCUGCACUCGCUUAUCAUUGUAGACAAGCUGAGCAAGAGUAGUUUUGCCCAUCCCGCCCAUACCUAUAAUAGGAAUAACAGAGAAUCCACCAUCGUUGCUUAAAUCAUCCCUCAACAGCAGUUCAACAACAUCCUUCUUUUCUGUUUCCCUGCCAUAUACUUUGGCUUCAGUCACUAAAGAGGUUGUCUCUAGCCUUUGACUGGCUUUUUUGGACCCUCCAGCUGAACUUUCUUUCAAAUCUAGCAAGUUUUUCUGUGUCACAAUUUCUUGAAAUCUGCUGUUGAUCUCUUUAAUUUUGGACAUCAAGCCAUAAUCGAACUGAAUCGAUUGUGGAGUAAAAGUGGUGCAGCAAGCAGGAAUGAGCUUCCGAAACUUACUUGUUCUUGUACGACUGCUACUGGGUUGAUCAUGAGCAGCAGCUGGUUCUCCAUUUCCAAGCAGCAACAUCCUCCGGAAAGCCUCAGUUUGAAACUCAUCCAACAAGUCUUCAACAUCAUAAGCCAAGUUCUGAAGCUUGCCAAGCCACUUCUUCACAGACCGAUUAGUCGUCUUCUUCUCCUCAGCAUCAUCAAGCACCGCCUUGAUCAUCUCCAACAUAUUCUCCCACUUCAUUAGAUCGUCUUGGAUCUUCUCUUGGCGUGCAAAAAACAGAAUCCCCUCUGAAGCUAACUUAUUGACCAGCAAAUCAACGGACGCCGUAAGGAUUGCCUCUCCGAUGAUCGACAUUUUUUUUCUUUUUUGGGGGCAAAGGAAGAAAGGAGCAGAAUUAUGGGUUAUGGAAAGCAGAAUGAGAAAAUUGAACGGGUGAGAAAAUGGAUAAUUAAGCAGAAUGAGUUUGUGAUUGUGAAGGGUCUGGCCCAGCUAGAAAUCACGCGUUUACACUUUAUUGACCAAUGACUAAUAAUUUGGCAAUUCACCCAUCACACCACCACUUGGUGAGCAAAAUGAAAAUGCUUAGUAAUUAAGUGUCAAGGGUCACGCAAAAUACGACGUAAAACGUGGCAAGUCUCCCCACUUGUUGUUCCUUGCAGCUAAGAAAAGAAAAAACAGAGCCGUAAUUAAUGACAGAAUUUUAAAAAUAAUAAUAAGAGAAAAACCUACACAUUUUCGACUUAGAGUGGAACCGUAAUUAAUGCUAAAAUUUACUCAGCUAACUUUUUCAAAAUAUUGUUCUUUAUAAUUUUCAAAAUCCUAAUUAAGGUUCAUCUCAAAUGUUUGAAGAGUCUAUCAAUUCUUCUAAGUUAAGAAUAUCAAAAUUUUUACUUUUUCUUCAAACGUUGAAUAAUGAAAAAAAAAAUGUUGAAUAUGGAGGAAAAUAGAAUGCAUCCAUAUUUGCUGUAGAAGUCUUCUACUUAUACAAACAAGUUAGAAUAAACGAUUCUAAUCUCUCUUUUUAUUCCUGUACAUUUUUUUUAAUCUCAAUGCGAAUCGUAUCAUAAUGUUAUAUUCCUAUUGUAAAACGAAAUUUUAGAUAAAACAAAUUCGACUCAUUUGUUAAAAGUAUAUAUUUAGUAGGUUAAUAACAUAUCUAAUAAAACGUGAUUACUACACUAAAUGAAAUAAAUGACAGUACUACCACCCAUUAAUAAUUUAGCAAGUUUCCCAUGCUCGUGUUUCCGGAAACAUUAAUCAAUUAGUGAAGCAAACAUGUAAUGAUUUGUAAAGAUCCCUAGCAUCACAUUAUUGGGAGGUAUUGCGCUUAGUAUUGACAAUUUUUGUAAGAUGAAUUUGUAAGACUUAUUAAUUUCGAUGAAAAUGUAUCGUUAUUAAGCUAUUAUUUAAUUCAUUAAGUUAACUUGAGGUAUUAAUAUUCACUAAUUGUGGUGCUGAUUAAUUUACUUAACUUGUCAUUAUUUGUAAUUAAGAAUGAGGUUCAAUCAAUUUAUUGGGGAAAAAAAACAAAGAUAGUGUUUUUUUUUAGAUUUUAAUUUUUAGGAUUUGAUUUCUCUCUCUUUCGCUUUUUGAUGUUGCUAAAGAGGCAAUAAAAAACUUGUUGAAUGUCAUCAAAUACUUGUAUCUCAUCUCACAAAUUGGCAAUAUUUGUUUGGUAUUUCAUCUUAACGGGACGCCGUAAGGAUUGCCUCUCCGAUGAUUGACAUUUUUGUUUCUUUUUUCCCGCACAGAAAGAAACAGAAUUUUUAGUUUUAAAGCAAAAUGAGAAAAUUGAGCAGUAAGUGUGAAGGGUCAAGCAAAAUGCAUGUAUCAAGUCUUCCGCUUGUUUAUUCCAGUAAAGUGAAAAUAAAAACAGAGCCCACCACCCGUUGAUAAUUGGAAAAUGAUAAAUGAACGAAAGCGCGACGAAGGAACGACAUAAAACGCGUUCCCUCAUCAAAAUUUUCUUUUGUGGGACUUAUUAUAAAUAAUAAAAUAUUUUUUAUGUGACUGACUAUAAAUAGUAAAAUAAGGAAGGAAAAGAACAUAUAGACUCCCAACGUUUGGAUAAGGGACACAAAAUCCCUUAAUGUUUCAAAAAAAUAUUUAGACCCCCAUUUGUUAAUAGAAACCAUUUCUUUUAACAAAAAUUAUAAUUUUAAGGUGCAAUUACCAUUAUACCCUUAUAGCAUACUAAAAAAUAAUUGUUCAUUGUGCAAUUUAUCCCUAUAUUAUUAAUAAAAUUACGAAUAUACCUUCAUUACCCAAUUUUUCCAUUUAAUUUUUUGUCAAAUUUUCUCUUCAAACUAAAUAAAUUUAAUCCAUUGCUCAAGAAUAAAAAUAAAUAAAAUUACUUAUUAAUGUCAUAAGAAUAACAAUUUUCCAUAUGUCAAUCAUUUAAACUUGUAUAAUCCACAAAAUAAAAAAAAAUUGGUUACAACAAUAAUUACAAAAUCUUAAUUGUACUAAAUAACAUAUCCAAUAGACAUAAAAACCAUCAAUCUAGUAAACAUAACAAAAAAUCCUUGUAUUAUAAUAUUGUAUCAAAUUAGUAUUGGUAAACAUUACAACAUAAUAUUUUUUGAAAAAAAAAAACAUAAUUUGUUCACAAAUAAAAUAAAAAAAACAUAACCACUCCCUCGUCAUCCCAAUUUAAUCCCAUUUCAUCAUCAACAGUUGUUAUGUCUUCAUUGUCAUCAUUUGACCAAUAUGCUUCAUCAUCUUCUUGUUCAAAAAAAUAAAGUGAGUUAGUAUUCAGGUUUUGGGACGACUAAUCAACCUCAGCUUGAAAUGAUUCUUGUUGGGCUGUCUUUGUAGUAUUAUAUGAAAGCAUGCCAUUAUUUGUUACCAUCUGCAAACCAGUACAUUCUUUUCAUUAAUAAAUUAAGCACAAAAUUCACAUGCUCCAGGACCAUUAAAAAAAAUGCAUAAUAUCUCACCUAGGUAGAAUUCUAACCCAACUGGUUAGAUAUAACAAAAUAAAAUUGAUUCAUUUAUUCCAUGCACAUCUAAAAUUGAUAAAGCAAAGAAAUAACAAAAGUAAUUACCAAGAAAUCUCCAAUAAACCGGACAAAUUAAGAACUAUAUUCAUCAAACAACCAUAAACCAAAAAAAAAUUCUCGUAAUCAUUUACUUAUAUUCUCUCACAUACAUCACAUAUGCAUCAAACAUGCUAGAGAAUUGAACCACUUUAAUCUAUUAGAAUUUUUUUCUCAAAUCUCAAAAGCAUAAAUUUUCAAUGAUAAUGAAAAGAAAUAAAGUUAAUUUAGUAAAACAAAUGAAAAUUAAAGAGAGAAAAAUAGGUUUUAAGAGAAUUGAAACUUGGAUUCCACAAGCAAGAGCAGCAACCAAACAUGAGCACGAGCAGCAGCCAAAUAAAGGCAGUUCCAGCAGCCAAACGCGAGCAGGUCCAGCAACUUUCUCGAUCGCGAGCAGUUCUUGCAACCAGACGUGAUCUCGAUCGAUGGACGAGCAAAAGUUCUAGCAGCUUCCUCGAUCAGGACCAGUUUCGGCAACCAGACGCGGUCUCGAUCGACGCACGAGCAGAAGUUCCAGCAGCUUCCUCGAUCGCGAGCAGUUCCGGCAACCAGACGUUUUCUCGAUCGACACACGAAUAGAAGUUCCUGCAGCUUCCAACAGCGCGAGCGGUUCCAGCAACUUCCGGCAGCCCCAGCAGUUUUCGGCAAACCGUGAGUGUGCGUGUGUUAAAGGAUUUGUCUGGAAGUAGUGUGUGUGUGUGGUUUGUUUGUGUGUGUCAUGUGUGCGUGGAUUUUUAGUCAAUUCAUUUGUUAUUAAUCUACAAUUAUGAUAUUAACCUUGUAAUGAUUUAACGAAAAAGUUUCGGUUAACCAAUGAGGGUUUGAAUUUUUUUUUUGAAACAUUAGGAAGUUUUGUGUCUCUUAUCUAAACGUUGGGGGUCUCUAUGUCCUUUUCCCAAUAAAAAAUGAAAAAAAGAUACUGAAAACGAACGAAAGUGCGACGAAGGGACGACAAAAAGCGCGUUCCCUAAUCCAAUAUUUCUUUUAUGGGACCGAUAACAAAUAAUAAAAUAUUCUUUUGUGGGACCGAUAAUAAAUAAUAAAAUAUUCUUUUGUGGGACCGACUAAAAAUAGUGUCAAAUCAAUUGUAUUUGAGUUGGAAUCUCUGUUUGGUUACUGAGAAAUAGAGAGAAAGUUGCUGAAUAUUCUGAAUCUUAUUCAAUUAAUAAAACGUGAUAGAUCUUACUGACUUUAUAUAUUUACAUGAUCAUUAGUAAAAGCUUUAACUAACUAAUUUGCAUUACAUUGAAAACAACCAAUCAAAUCAGUAAGAGACUAGCUAAUACUAACUAACUUUUGCACACGUUAACACUCAUUGUUGCUUAACAGAAUCAGCUGACUCAGCAUUGUUGACGUGGCAUUGCUGAUGUAUCUUAACUGCUGGCUUCCUCUCUCUUUUCAAUUCAGCACAAUGAGCUUUCUUCACAGCCCCUCUCAAACUCAAGGGGCAUAAAUGCACAUUGAGUUUGGUUCUCAGAUAAAUGAAUUGAGGAGAGUUUAAGGACUUAGUCAUUAUGUUUGCUAUCUGCUCUGCACUAGGAACAUAGAGUAUCUUAAGAUUGUUGUGAAAAUUUUAUUGAACUCGCAAGCGCACGAAUCUAUUGUAGAAUAGACUAAUGGUGACGAGUGUCGAUCCCACGAGGAGGUGGAUUUUAAUUAUAUGUAGAAUUAAUUUUGUAUGAGGUGGUUGGAUUUUAUGGUGAAAGUGACUUAGAUUAUCCUAAAAUUGGAAUUGAAAUGGCGAGAAUAAAUUGAAGAGAAAUCUAUUGAAAUGACGUACUUAGGUAUCUGGAUCCGUAUCAACAUGCAUCAUGGGCUAAAUAAUCCUUAUUAAUGCCAAUUAAAUCAUGAGGGGGGAAUCCACACCUCAUGAACCACGCUCUAAUCAAUAUGGUGCUAAGCGCUUAUCGUGCCAAAUAAUAAUAAUAGUGUACUAUAGAGCCCGUGAAACCAGGGCGGUACUAGACAAGAAUAUUAUUAUUUAUCGACGAGAAGUCAAAACAUCCUAAAAAACUAGAGGGGAAGAGAAAAUAAAUUUACCAAAUAAAGCCCAUGACACAUGUUGAGACUUCACCUUCAACCCAAGCUUGAAAGAAAAUUAGCUAUUCAUAAUUGAACUAGGGGUAAAAUAGAAAUUUAUUAAAAUAUGUAGAAAAUACAAGAUAGAGAAAGAAUUAUAGAAAAUGGAGUCCAAAAAUAGAUUCAGAGGUAACAAAUUAGGGGGGAGAGGUCCCCUUUUUAUAGAUACAUUGAGUAAAUCAUGGCCAUCGGAUUUAAAAUAGUUUUGAUGCUCAGGAUUACGCCACGUCAUCAGUCAACAGUACGCGUGAACAGUACGCGGAUUGACCAUGCGGUUUGACCACGCGGUUUGAACAGUGACAUUGUUUGAACAGUAACGCGGUUUGGUUGAAAAUAAUCUCAUUUGUUGCAUGUACCAUACGCGGGUUUUUGGUCCACUAAUAUGCUUCCACGUCACCAUCAACAGUGCAUAAGAAUUUUAGUCCAAUAGGAUCAUGACACCUCAUCAGUCUAUGCCACAUCAUCCGUCAAUGUCACGUCAUCGAUCCGUCUAUGUGAACAGUGUCGUGCACAGUAACGUAGACAGUACCGUACAUGUGAACAAUACCAUUUUUCCUUUUAUGCUCCUCCUAAGGUUUUCGACCAUCCUGAGUUCAAAAGUGAGGUCCGUUUUACCGUUUGAUCUCUCGUUUAUUGUGAAAUGACUAUGAUGCCCCUAAAAUACAUAAAAUACUUAAUUAAAAUAAAACACACAUAAUUAAAUUACAAGAAGCUUAAAUACAUAAAAAUAAGGGUUGUUAGUAAGACUUGAAAUAUAAAACGAUGAUUUUCUCCUUUAUAAAUAUACAUUUUCUAACAUUCAACAAAGAUCUCUAGCUAGAACUUUAUCCCUGAUAAAAUGUAGAUCGAUCUCUAUGUGCUUUGUUCUUGAAUGAAACAUUGGAUUAUGAACAAGUUCUUUAGCACUCACAUUAUCACACUAUAUAAUUGGUUUCUCCACACAACAAAGAUUAAUCUCAACAAAUAAAGACUUUUAACCAUGUUAUCUCUGAGACAACAGCUGCAAGAGCUCUGUAUUCACUCUCUGCAGAAGAUUUAGUAACUACUAAUUGCUUAUUUGAAGACCAUGAGAUUAAGUUGUUUCCCAGAUACACACAAUAGGCACCAGUAGAUCUUCUAUCAUCAAGGUCACUCCCCCAAUCUGCAUCUAUAAAUGCUGUAAUUUUUAGCUCACCUUCUUUAACAAAUUUCAGCCCAUAGUCUUGUGUUUCCUUCAAAUACUUUAGCACUCGUUUGCAUGCCAUAAGAUGUUGAAGUGUUGGUGAAGAUACAUACUGACUUAGCUUAUGAACAGAGUAGGUUAUCUCAAGUCUUGUCAAAACUAAAUACUGAAGACCUCCUACUAUGCUUUUGUAAUGAGAAGGAUCUUCUAUGUAGUAACCCAUUUCUCCAUCAACAUUCUUCUGUAAUCUGUAAUCUUUAUUGCUGCUCAUUGGUGUAUCUGUUCCUUUGCAUUCAAGCAUAUCAACUUUAGUCAAUAAGUCUCUAAUAUACUUCUUUUAAGACUGAUACACACUAUCUAGAUCAUACAAAAUUUCUAUUCCAAGAAAAUAAGACAGCUUUCCCAUAUCCUUUAAUGCAAAUGCAGAACUGAGCAGCUUGAUAAAAUUUUCCAACUCAUCACAAUUUGAUCCUGUAAUCAGUAUGUCAUCUACAUAUAUCAGGAUUAAAAUGAUUGAUCUUUUAUUCCUCUUCAAGAAUAAAGAUAAGUCAGACUUGGAGUUCUCAAACCCCCAUUGAAUAAGACUAUUUUUCAACUUGUCAAACCAUGCUCGUAGAUCUUGUUUCAAACCAUAGAGUGCCUUGUGAAGUUUGCACACAAACUCAGGUCUUUUUGAAUUAAUAAACCCUUCUGGUUGACUCAUAUAUACCUCCUCAGUUAGAUCUCCAUUUAAGAAUGCAUUAUUCACAUCAACCUAUCUUAUCUACCAUUGAUUCAUCACUGCUAGGCUCAAGACCACUCUAACUGUUGCUGCUUUCACCACUGGACUAAAUGUCUCAAAGUAGUUAACUCCCUCUAUUUGCUGGAAUCCUUUAGCAACUAACCUUGCCUUAUAUUUUGCAACACUUCCAUCAGUGUUUGAUUUUACUCGAAACACCCAUUUGUUGCCAACCAGCUUGUGGUUUUAUGUUCUUGGCACAAGUGUCCGGGUACCAUUUGAUAUUAGUGCAUCAUAAUCAGCUUUCAUUGCCUGAAACCAUCUCUCAUCAUUGAGAGCCUCCUAAACAGUGUCUGGUUCUUUAUGUAACAAUACUGCUAUAUAUACCUUUGGCUUAAAGAUACCUGCUUUCCCUCUAGUAAUCAUGCGAUGUUGGUUUAGAGAUGGUGAGGUUACCACUGUUUGGUUAAGAUGGGAAGUAUUAUUUUGUUGGUUUUGUGAAAUUUCAUCUGAAGGUUGAUUAAAUGUUGUAUCAAGUACAGAAGGUAACAUUGUAUGUGCAGAUGGAUUAUUUGUAUCUGUGUUUGAGGGUUGCUGGUCUGAGCCAUUUGCCUGUGUUGAGACUACUGUUGAAGGGAAAAUAUUGCCACUGGAGUAUGCUUGAGAGAAAGAUUCAUUGCUGCUGACUGAAAAAUUUGAUAUGACAUGAAAUGUUGAUAAUUGAAAAACUUGUAUAGGAGUGAUUGUGCAAUAUGUAUCAGACUGGGACUUGUUUGAAAAAUGAAAGCUAGGAUAUGAAGAAAAUGGAUAUGAGUGUUCAUCAAAGACAACAUGCCUAGUUAUAUAUAUAUGACCAGAGGGAUGAAAAUACUUGUAGCCUUUAUGAGAUGGACUAUAACCAAGAAAGAUGCACUUAGUUGUGUGAUAGUCAAACUUAUGCUUAUUAUAAUCUCUCAAAUAUGGAUAACAAGCACAUCCAAAGCAUUUCAGCAUGUUAUAAUUAGCCUUAUGUUUGUAAUGUUUUUCAUAUGGAGUAGACAUCUUAAGUGUAGAAGUAGGGAGUCUAUUAAUGUGAUAGAUUGAGGUAUGAAAAGCAUCCCACCAGAAUUGAAAAGGAAGUUUGGCUUGAGCUAGAAGUCCUAAUUCUACAAUCUGCCUUUGUUUUCUUUCAACAAGUCCAUUUUAAUGGUGAGUGUAAGGGAAAUAGUGCCUAAAAAGAAUGCCACACUCAUUUAGGAAGGAAGUAAAUGGUAUGUAUUCACCCCCACAGUCAGAUUGUAGACCUUUGAUAGUAGUUUGAAAUUGUUUUUCAACUUGAAGUUUAAACAGUUUGAACACUUCUAGAGCUUCUGAUUUAAGUUUCAAAGGAUAAAUCCAGGUGUAUCUAGUGUGAUCAUCCACAAAGCUAAUGUAAUACCUAUAACCAUCUCUAGAUUAUGUUGGUGAAGGACCCCAUAGAUCAGUAUGAACAAGUCUAAAGCUGAUGUGGAUUUGAUAUCAGUAAUUGGAAAAUGAAGUCUAUGAAAUUUGCCCAACUGACAUGCUUCACAGAAAUGCUUUGUUGCUUGAUUAAAAAUAUUUGUAGAGCACAAAUUGGGAUGCACAAUCUUAAGUAACUGAACCAGGCUUUGAGUAUUAGGGUGGCCAAACCUUUUGUGAAGUAAAGACAUUUUAUUGAAUGAAUCAAUGCUAUAAGUAUUCUUAUUUGACUGAAAACAUUUUCCAGAACAAAAACUAUUGACUGUAGUGUUAAGAUAACACUGAGAUAAUAUAGAGACAGGUGUAUUUAUUGAACAUUGAGAUAGAAAAGAGGUAUAUAUAGAUUGUGAUGAUGAAUUCAACUGCAAUUUGUAUAAACCUUUCUCAGCAAUACCCCGUAGUAGAAUUUUCCCCUUCAGUAUAUCCUUCACAAAACAAACAGAUUCAAGGAAUUCAACAAAUAAGUCAUUAUCAGUGGUAAGUUUUGAAACACUUAGUAGAUUCUAUGUAAUAGAUGGAAUAAGCAGUAUAUCCUUAAGUGCAAUGCAUGUAUUGGCAUAUUGUAUUUUAGAGCUUUGAAUUGUAAGAGUGGUGUUACCAACAUGUGUGAUUGACAUACCUUUACCAUCACCAAUGAUAAGCUUGUCAUUACCUCUGAACUCAUUACUGACAUGCAUAUUUGCCAUGCUAUUUGUUAGAUGGUAUGUAGUUCCGCUGCCAAGAUACCAUCCUUCAUCUAUUGGUCCUUCAAAAUUAGCAACAUAAGCAGCUCCAGUUCCAUUCACAUGCAAGCUCAUUGAAUCAGAUAUGUAUGAAGAACAUGAUGGAUUAUACAUGGGAGGUAUUCCUGAAUAAGCAGCUGCAGUAGGCCAUAAAUCUUCAGUGGGUGCAUUAAAGUAUGUCAUAUAGGCUGAUAUCUGAUUUCUUCCUCUUUUCAUGUGUUGGGGCAUAUAGUUUUCUUCAAAUCUAUGCCAACAUUCUGCUGCUGUGUGUCCAGAUUUAAAGCAUAUUUGACAUACAACACCUUGCUCAUCAUUACUAUCCGAAUUUGACAAACCAGAGUUAGCACUAUAUUGUCCUCUCAUGAAUUGUGCCUGCUUAUUAUUGUUUCCAACCAUUUGACCUCUACCAAGAUUGUUACCAAAAUUUCCAGAUCCAAAUGGAAAACCUCUUGGAUGAGAAUUGAUAAAUUGUCCUCUUCCAGCAAGAAAAUUAUUCCUUCCAAAUUGAUUUCCACCAUGAAAUCCUCCAUUAUAUCCACCUCUUCGAGCAUUACCUCUUGCUUGAGCAUAAUAAGCAUUCAUCAUACCAUAGCUAUUAUUAUUAUGGGAAACAUUAGCAAGAUUUGCAUUGAAUAUCUAUUUUUCAUUUAGACUCUGUUCCAAUCUUGUUUCAUGUGUGAGCAGCAAUGCAUAUGCAUCAUCAAAAUCUAGUUUGCUAGCAGUAAUGAAAGUUGCUAAAUCUAGAUAGCCUAGUUCAAGACCAUUAAGGAUUUGUUGUAGCAAAUCUUUGUUAGAAACUAGAUUACCAGCACAAGCUAAUUUAUCUGCUAUUUGUUUCAUUUUCAAACAAUAAUCUUCUAUAUUUAGUGAAUUUUUUCUCAAAACACUCAUUUCAUAUUUGAGUUGAAGAACUCUAGCUUAAGAUUUUGCACCAAACUUUUCUCCAAUGUUUUCCACACAUCAUAUGAACUAUUACAAGAAUGAACAUGACUGAGAAUACCUUUAGUGAUCGAGCUUAAUAGCCAGCUUAGUAAUGUCUGAUCAUGUGAUCUCCAGAUCGUAUAUUCUGGAUUUUCAACUUGUUGAGUAACUCUUUCCAUUGCUUCAGCAUAGCUUCUAGAAGUAAGAAACUAAGUAAGUGCUACUUUUUCUCCAUUGAUAUAGCCUUCAAGCCUGUUUACUCUUAUCAAAGUUAAUACUUGAUUUCGCUAGAGCAUGUAAUUGGAUCUAUCCAAUUUGAUUAGUGUAAUGAAUGAAAAGGUAGUUUGUAUUGAUUGAUUCAUGUUUGUUGUGUUUAAAUUGCUUGAGCUUGCCAUAUUCGUGGCUCUGAUACCAUGUCAAAUCAAUUGUAUUUGAGUUGGAAUCUCUGUUUGGUUACUGAGAAACAGAGUGAAAGUUGCUGAAUAUUCUGAAUCUUAUUCAAUUAAUAAAACGUGAUAGAUCUUAUAGACUUUAUAUAUUUACAUGAUCAUUAGUAAAAGCUUUAACUAACCAAUUUGCAUUACAUUGAAAACAGCCAAUUAAAUCAGUAAGAGACUAGCUAAUACUAACUAACUUUUGCACACGUUAACUCUGAUUGCUGCUUAACAAAAUCAGCUGACUCAGCAUUGUUGAUGUGGCAUUGCUGAUGUAUCUUAACUGCUGGCUUCCUCUCUCUUUUUAAUUCAGCACGAUGAGCUUUCUUCACAAAUAGUAAAAUAAAAAAUGAAAAAAAGGAUAGUGUGCAAUUUUUCUUUUAAUAAUUUGGCAAUUCACCAAUCACCGGUCACCACCACUUGUUACCAGAUUCAAUGAAUGUAAAAACGCACCUCGACAUUUGUAGGGUCAAGCAACAUUAAUCCAGUUGUUCGGGUAAAUGCUAAAUAAAGUGGAAAAUGGGAUGUAUCUACUACGAACCUUCCCUUUACAAAUCUUCAAACUCAUAAGCCAGAGGCAGCCCCCACCACCAUCAAUAAUUCAGCAAGUUUCACAUGCUUGUGCUUGUCUGCUUGACGAACCGGAAAUGGGUGGACCAGGCACCAUUGAAUAAUUGGAAAAAAAAUGAAAAAUAAAAAUCCGUGUCUAACAAAAAGAAUGCAUCUUCAUGUGUUGCUUCCUAUUCAGUACCUCUAGUCAUCUACCUAGCAUUUAAAAAAAUGGAAGUAGUAAUUAAAUCUGACUUUUUUAGAUAUGGCUCAUAUAUAUUACAAGUAUCAAGAUUUAAUUAGAGUACACGUAUUUACAAUGUGUCUAGUUUUAAUUGAGAGAUAAACCAAUCAUUAAUAAUGAGGUUUUUCUAAAUGAUUGAAUAAUGAUAUUAAUUAUUGAUAUUUACAAAAUUUCUAAGAAGUGAUAACUAACACGUUGGGGAUAUGUAUUUGUGCGGAAUGGUAAAUAUAAAGAAUAGCAAUAAAAAUGGUGGAACUUUAAUUGUAUAAAAUUAAUAUGUAAUUCAAGGUACGAUACAAAUAUCACUUUUCUUAAGACAUUAUUUACCCCUAGCAAUUGAGUGAUGCACAUGAGUUAAGCAAAUAUGCCUUUAGGAUAUAAUGAAACAUUUAUUUAUUUGCUUCCGUUGUGCAUCAACGAAAGUAAACCUGAAUACUCUUGAAUAUUGCAAGUCUGCUAGGAAUCAAUAUGUUGAUUCUGUUAAAAAACAAUGUAUUGGAUAUUUGAUGCAUAAAAAAUAUAUGUUAUUUGAUGAAAUUCAUUUUAGGAAAUAGGGGUAAGAAAAGAGUGGUGAAGGAUUAUCUUAUUCAUAUCUAAACUUCUAAAUAAUGGAUUUAUUUAUUAUGGUGACAUAAUAAUAAUUGUAAAUUAAAAAUAAAUUUACUAUUAAAAAAAUAAAAUUUAUUAAUAAAAAUAAGGGUUAUAUAUCUUUUUUAAAAUGUUAAGAAGUUUUAUAUCUCUUUUUUGGAUUAAAUUUUCUAUUUCCUAUUAAGCAAAACCCACGUCAAAAGUGAAAAGGAAAAACAGAGCCCACAGAAUAGAGCCCAUUACAAAUAUAAAAUCGGAGGAGCUCAUGAUCAUGCCUUUUGCUUUACAUACUAAAUUAAAUAAAAGCCAAACCAGAAUCUUGCCUUUCCUUAACAUGAUUAAUUAGGCCCUGCAUCAGAGAGAACAUGAAAGCAAUGAACCAUUUUGUUAAUCUUAAAUGUCAGGAAUAUAAUUAGCUUGGAAUAAAGUUGCAUUCUUCUCCUCUGACUGUCUCUUCAGGUUCAUUUUAAAAGUUUGAAGAGAGUUUCAAUUCUUCUACACUUUAGAAUAUCAAUGUUCUUGCUUUCUUCAAAUGUUGAAUAAAGAGAAAAAAAAAUUGUUGAAUGUAGAAGGAAAAUAGAAUGCAUCCACCUUCGCUUUGGAAGUCUUCUACUUAUAAAAGCAAGCUAAAUUAAAAGAUUUUAAUCUCUCUUUUUAUUAUUAUAAGUGCACUGCAUUUUUUUUAAAUAAUCACCUAUACAAAUUUGUAAUGUAAUGAAAUAUUCAUAUUCCUGUAGUGUCGAAAUGAGAUAAAAUGAAAUUUUAAAUAACACAAUUUCGACUCGUUUGUUAAAGGUAUAUACUUAAUAAGCUAAUAACAUAAUUAACAGAACCCUAUUAUUACACUAAAUGAAAUAAAAGACGGUAGCCACCAAUAAUUACACUAGCAAGCUUCGCAUGCUCGUGUUUAAGGAACUGGACAUUGGUGAAUUAAUCACGGAUAAGAAACAAUUUCAAAAAACAAAAUGGAUACUAUACAUUUUCUUUUUUUAAAUUGUACAGAAAAUGGGACUAAUUUUCAAAUAUUUUCAAAUUCACUUAUUAACAAAAGCUAUACAAAAUGAUUUCCUUUUUAUUUUGAAAUAUUAUACGGAAUCAAAUAACAGUGAUUGAGAGAGUGUAAAGUGGUAAUUCUCCGAUUGUAUUUUCUCUCUUUUUUAAAAGGAGAUGGUGGGGUUUGGUUGUUUACAAAACUAUUGGUGUGAGGGUCUAUUUGUUUUUGUUUUCACUUUAUUAAUUAAUUACGAAGCAAACAUGUAAUCAUUUGUAAAGGGGCCACUAGCAUCGGAUCAUGUAAGAUGAAUUCGUAGGACUUAUUAAUUUUGAUGAAAAUGUAGCAUUAUUAAGUUAUUAAUUCAUUAACUUGAGGUACUAAUAUUUACUAAUUGUGGUGAUUAAUUUAUUUAACUUUGUCAUAAUUUUCAAUUGAGAAUGAAGUUCAAUCAAUGUAUAAAAAAAUAAUUUUUUUAGAUUUUUAAUUCCUAUGAUUUAAUUUCUCUCUGUUUCGAUUAUUGACGUGUUAAAAGCUUGCAGAAUAUCAUGAAAUGCUUGUAUCUCACCUCACAAAUUGGCAAAUAUCGGAAGGCUUCCAUGACGAAUUGAAAUUAAAAACAACCACCAUCGAAAUUUAAUUUUAAGAAUCUUUUUUACUUGAAAUUUUUGAAAAAAAAUUAACCAGAUUAAAUUAGAGAUAUCAACCUUAACUUAGUGUUGUGCACCACAUUGGCCACUUCUAAUUGUGAAAAGAAAUAGAACUUUUGUAUCGAUGAAACUUAUUUUAUUAGUAUUAUUCAUCAUAUGGUUAAUGGCUUAGCCGAAGGAGAAGGGGUCAGCCAAAAUAAAUAAAGUACCUUCUCAUGCAUUAACCUUUAUUAACUGUUGUAGUUAAAAUAAUUUUAAAACAAGUUAAAACAGUUCCAAUUCAAAAUCAGUAGGCUGCGAUUGGGUUGUUACACAUAUUUCUAAAUUUCAGUCUAAUUUAAUUGUGUAUGGACAAAUUAACUUUUAUCACUUCUUUUAUAUUAAUACUCAUAAAUUUCAAUCUAACUUAACAAAAAUAAUGUUCAAAUUGUCACAAAAUGUUCUUUUCUUAAAAAAGAAAAGAAAAUCAUAUAUAUAGUAGUUAAUUUUUCUUCUUCUUUACUUCAGGAUCCAACUCCGUACUCCACUUUUUUGUUGUUAUUGUACCUAGCCGUUAGAUUUUAAUUACGUUGUUUUAACGGUUUGGAUUUGUAAAUGAAUAACGACGUAGUGUUUGACUACCAUCUGAACCCACUGCAUCUAAUUGGUUUUGUGAUUUUUUGCUUUCUUCAAUAAAAAAACAGUUUAUUUUUGGUCGUCGAAACAUGGUAAGUGAGAAAGAUUAUUCUGUUUUUUUUUUUGUUAAUUAGGUUAGCAUUUAUGAUUGAGUGACUCAGAACUAUAUUUUAGAUUGAGAAUCAAUGGUUAAGAUUGUCGUUUGCUAUUUUAUCGACAAGAGAGCACUCGAUUUUAUUAAAAGGAGAAAGUCAUAAGAUUUCCUUUAUGAGAAAAUGUAUCUGAUCAUUCCUUUUUACUGGAAAAAUUAAUAUACAAAAACUUACUAAUAAAUGACAUAAUAUACAUAAAUUAUUAAUUCAUUUGAUAGUUGAUUAUCGAAUGACAUUUGAUCCAUGGGAGCAUGCAGUCUAUAAAAUAAUUCUUCUUUUUUUUUUUUUAAACAAAAAAUCGGUGAUGUUGAAAAGCAUUUCUGUAUAUUAUUAUUACUCUAAUUGGAGUGAACAUUUCAUAAAAAGAAUGCCGUAUGAAACUAAAUUAUUAAUUCGUUUGAUAGUUGGUUAUUGAAUGACAUGUGACCCACAGUAAAUAGUUAAAUUUGGCGGCAACAAUAAUUACAAGACGAACUUAAAGCAGCGCAUAGGUUUUUCUUAAAAAUACAUAAACAAUUCGAUAUUUGAAAUUCUAAUAUCUCAAUAAUAUUGAGGGUCCUUCUAUCUUACAUGCAUGUAAGAUACAUUCCUCUCACAUGAAUAGUGUGUGGGUCCCACAUAUGCACUAUUCAUGUGAGGGGGAUGUAUCUUACAUGCAUGUAAGAUAGGGUUUGCCUAAUAUUGAUCAUGAUUCAGUUACCAAUUAGAUCCACUUACAAUUUCUUUUUUUCUUUUUUUUGAUUUCCAAUCUUUACCAAAAGAAAAUAUUUAGUGACCCCUUUUAUCAACUUGGUUUUAUUGACUUUCUUCCAAUCAUAGAAGUGAAAAGAGAAACAGAGGCCAGCACCAAUAAGUGUUACCAGAUUCUGUAAAGACAAAAUCAGUGCCCAGCAAAAAGAAGCUAUGUUUUCGUUAUAUGCUGCUUCCUAUUUAGUACAUGCAUAUAAAGAUAUACACGUGCACAUGCAGCACAUCUAUUUAAAAUUUAAAAAACGGAAUUAGAAAUACAGGAUUUAUGGUAGAAAUACAACAGGAAUAAGAGUGAAAUUCCAAUUUUAAAAUUUGGGAAAAAUGAAAUACGAUAUUUUUUUAUGAAUAAAAUAAUUUAAUUUUUUUUAAUUCUACCAGCAAAAACCAUUAACUUAUCAAGUUUUUGGUUUCAUUUACAGUUGACAGUCGGUUUCUUAGUUUCAUUCCUUAAUUCUACAAGAAAAAAACAGAAUACUUGACAUUUUUUAUUUGACAAUUUUUAAGAAAUGUCAAACAUAUAUGACAUUUUGUGAAAAACUGAGUAAUUGUGAAAUAUAAAUGACAAUUUAUUUAAACGUCAAAUAAUUGUGACGUUUUAUCAAAUAAAUGAUAAAUAUAUUACAUUUUUAUUGAAUAAUUAUCAUUUACCUUUUCCUUUUAUUGACUUGAGAAAAAACAAAAAACAAAAAAAUUGACUAUACUGCUUUUGUUUUCGUUCAUAGAACAGAUUUUAGUUUCUUUUGAGAAAAUUCAAACUCAUUCCCAUUACUUUCUUUUCAAAAAUCACCUCUCAAUUUUUCAUCAAUCACUCAAUUCCGAAUUUCAUCUCCAUUCUCUUUCGAAGAAGAAUGCACGAAGAAUUUUAGCUUGCUUUCGCUGCUUCUCGAAUAUUGGGUAUUGUUUCCUUUAGUUUAGAUAAUUUUUUUUUUAUAUCUCUCUUUCUAGUUUGAUAAUUUAGGGUUAUACUUGAAUUAAUUGUAUUUUUAAUCAACCAAGGUUGGUUUAAUUGAUUCCAAGUCUCAAUUUCCUGUUCAACAAACAAGGAACGCACAAAUAAUUUUCAUUUUCAUACUCAACUUUGAAAGAAUCAAUUUAUUUUAUCUUUGGUUAGCACACUUCUGUUCAAUUUUUGUUUAUUUAACUUAAGAUAUCUUUUUCUUUCUUUUCUUCAAGCAGAUUAUAGAUUAUAUUGAGAACAGAGCUUUCUCCUUAAUUCCGCCAAGAGCAACGUUGAUUUCAGGUGAUAAUUGAAUGUGUAAUAUUUUCAAUUGAAAUUAAUUGAGUCUCGUAAUAAUAAUAGGGAUUUGAGAUUUACAUCCUGUUGAAAUAAUUUCAGAGUGUUCUGCUAUUUGAAUGCGCAUUAAUUGUUUGAUUAAAUGUCUCUUUAAAAGAUUAUUUUUGUUUUUAGCAAACAUCUUAAUGCACUUUGCAAAUUGAAUCCAACAAGGGAAAAUUAUAGAACUGCAACAGUUUUCAAAUUGAUUGCAUAUUAGAAGUAAUGUUAAUUUAUGCUGCAACAGUUCAAUGGGCUGGGCACAAGUUUAGGACUUUAGUUGCUCAAUUAAUGAAUCCACCACUCAUCAGACUUGGAACUUAUAGCUAUUGAAUCAAUAAAAAUAGUUGAUGGAAUCAAUGCCGAAAGCUUCAUUUGAUAUUUAUUUAUAACAUCUGUUAGAUUCUGCACAAUCACAAAUAUAUAGUAGCAGAAACUAUGUUAGAGACACUGUAGUUGCUUAAUUAGUGAAAUUGUGAUCUCAUUGCCCCCUUGUUUUGGUUGAUUCUAUAAUUUUAUUAGUUGUUCUUGUGGUUGUAAACAAUAUCAAUUUCUAAUAUUAAUAAAACUGAAUGAAUAAAAUGCGAUGCAUUUGCCGGAAAGUUAAUAGUUUAAAUAUGGAUAAAUCUUGGAUGUUGAUGGAUAGAAGGUCUAUAGAAUAUGAGAACGCGGUAAAUGAGUUUCUCAAGUUUGCAGUACUUCAUGCUAGUCAUCCUGAGCUUUUGAGAUGUCCAUGCCAAGCAUGUCUUAGUUUAUAGGCUCAAACAAUUAAGAGUAUAGAAAAUGCAUGAUAGAACACAGAACUCAUAUUUUAGCAACAAUCCUCAGCUCAUUGGCCCUUAGUUCGGAAUGACAAUUCUUAUUAGCCAAAGAUUCAAAAUGAUUUUUAGUUGUUUAUAAGUAGAACACUAGAUCAACAAAUAAUUGAAGACCUGCAGCUUGGCUAUUGAACUAUACGAUGAUGCCAAUUCGAAGACUACAACUUGGCUCUGCCAUUCGAAGUAAGCAACGCAGCUGCCCAAAGUCUGCCAAGCCAUCAAGACUCCAAGUAUACUUCAAAGCUACAUCAAGACAAUACUAAGAUACAACAUCAAUAAUAAUAACAUCAAGAAAUGCAUGGAGGCCAUUACAUGUUACACCCACCCCAAUAAGAAAAAUACAGUCCUAAACAUUUACAAACCCGUGCAGUCGGAAUACUAAUUAAUUUAUACAGUUCAAUACUCGUUCCUCUGUUUCAAAUCCAAAUCCACUGGUCUACUAUUCAUUAUGACAAUGCAUAUGCCGAUAUUGUCUUCCAUCCUUUUUGUACCUUUCAAUUUAGUGAGGUUUUGACAGGGGUUCCAGAUUUGGUAAAUCAACAAUCACCAGAUAUGUAGAGCGGCCGGAAGAGGAAGCAUGGUUCCUAAUCCUAAUCUUGAUUUAGAGCAGAUUAGGUAACAUGUGGCAUUCUACAUUCUUGCAAUGCCAUUUCUUGUUAUGGCAGCGGCAUUCUUGGUCAUGGCAUCACAAGCAAAUGCUUUGAUUUGAAGACUUGCUUGGCUAUGAGAAAUAAGGAGAGCAAAGGUAAUUAAUCUUGGUGUGAUCAACAUUUUUAUGGGGGUACCAAGAAAAAUAAAGAUAAUAUAAGGAAUGUUGUUGAGGAGUAUUUUUAUAUUUACAAAAGUGUUCAAAGUAAAAAUUGAUUUCUUAAAACCCAUUAGCUAGCGCACAUAAUAAUGGGGAGAAAAUUUUAGACUACGAAUGGUCCCACCCAUUUAAUAAUAUUCUUCAACCAAUUAUGUUUACUUCAAAAAAAAAAAAAACCAUCUCUUUAUUACUUUCUAACUAUUCAUAUUAAUGUGUUAAUAAUUAUGAAGAACUGGUGUAAUUUAUAUGAUGUAGGAAGCACUUUAGGCAAAAUCAUUUGAAUCUCAAAAUUUCGUGAUAUUGUGCCAAAUAUCCAAAACAGAGCUCCCUGCAUUUCAUUGCGCUAGCUAAUUUCUUGUACCAAAAUUAGGAAUUACUGAAGAGUAGAGUUACGUGACUGAAUAGUAUCAUAUCACAGAAACUCAAAACUCAAUUUCAUUGCGCGAGCAUACCACGCCAUAUGUAGCUCAAAAGUGCAAUAACAUUGAACAUUCAGCUGGCUAGCUUAUAUUAAUUAAUUAAUACUACUACUAGUUCUUUAUGAUUAAUUAAAAGAUGAAAUAUUUGACAAUCACGAAACAUUAUUCCAUCACUAAAGAGUAGAGCUUCCUACAUUGUUACCCAAGCUCUUUUGUAUCUCCCAAACAUUAUUAGAGUCCCACAUUUGUGGCACAUCAUUAAGUAAAAUGUGCCAAUCAGGUGAUUGUUUUUCAUUAUUGCGGCUACUUGACACAAUUAUGUUAUUGCAAGACGAGCUUUCUAUUUUGUCUGGUUUAAGCCAUAAGAUGGGUUUCAAGAUUCAUUCUGAUUGGUUAUCUGUUAGCUUUUCGUUUUAAGAACUUAUUUACGAAAGCCAAAUUCUUCUUUCUAGGUUUAUUCAUAUUCAGAAGUUGCUUUUGUCAUAUCAGAAGAAGAGGCUGCUAAGACUGUUGAAGUACUAGAAGUGACUACUGCGCUGAUUGGUCAAAACUACUAUGGCUGCCUUUUUCAUGAGCUUCUAAUAUCCAAUGUUGAUUAUCUCUUCCAUUUGAGCAUGAGAGUAAUCAGAUAGUUGAUAUUUAUGUUACAAAAGUUGGAAGCGACUUAAGCAAUUCAGUAUCAUGCGAGGACUAUAAUAAUAACCCCGAUUCUUUUGCCUCUUGGAUUUUUUUGUUAAUUCACUUGCUGUAUGCUUAUCCGACCUCUGAUUUUUUCUUAAUAUUUCUUUGUAGUUCACUUCACAGCACUUAUAGCCGCUGCAUUGGCAUUUUCUGCUAUUUGUUAUUGGUCAUUGAAGCAACUUAGCUUACGAAGUUUCUUUUUGAUAAAUGUUUUUCAGAGGGUUGUGAGAGGCCAAAUCAAUUGAGAUGACCGGGUUUUCUAGAUCAGCCAUCUUUGUCGUCAACAGUGCUAAACUGUCAAUUACUGAGACACCAAACUCUAACCUGAUUCAUAUGGAUGUAGACUAAAGCUUCUUGCCGAUACCAUCCCCAGUCAAAGCUGCUAUCUUUGAAAGUUUCGCAAGACAAAACAAUGUUGGUUUCCCAGUCGAUACAAAUACAGAUUUCAUAUAUGCAGAUUGCUCUCAAUCUCUGUUUAAUUAGCUAGUCCUCUGCUGUAUCCUAGAAGGUGGAACAAUACAUUAUGCUUCCCAGCAGGCUCCAAUGGGAUCUAUAUAUGUUUCUGCUGCCAAAUUUUUUAAAGCGAUCAUUGUGACUAUCCCUGGGCAGUCUGAAGUGGGCUUUGAUACUUGUGACAAUACUCGAUCGAGGCUGUAAAGAAGCCGUGGGUGUACAUUUCUGGUCCAACAAUCAAUCUAACUGGCUUACUUUACAGCAACAAAGAGAUAGAGAAUAUAUUAACUGCUUGUGCAGAAUAUGGAGCAAGAGCUUAUUUAGUGUCGUGUCAAAAUAAAUAUAACAAAGUUUUAGCUGAAUAUAAAUUGUUAAUUACAGGCAGAGCAAGUUGAGUUUAAAAAAUGCGAAGCACCCAGUCCCAAAACAGAGAAGCUUGACGUUGGCCGGCAGGAUUAAUAUAUAUAUAUAUUUUUAACAACAAUCAAAGCCAGUUGGGAAUUUAUUAAGAGGUUAAUUAGUUGAAGUAUAAAAAAGGAAUUAGCAGGAUUCACGCUCGACCAAAUCCACAUGGCCAAAGCAAAGGAUUAAGGUUGAGAGAUUAUAAUGAAAUAUAAGUAAUGAAAUAUAAGUAAGCGUCGCACAUGCAUGCGUCUGACUGACAGAACAAAUGAAGGAAACAUAAACUUAUCAUUUUUAAGAUGUAAGCAUCAAAACAUUUGACAAGUUUGAGGUUCGUGAGAUAUUGGGAAAAUAUACAAAUAAUAAUGCCACUACAAGUUAAGCAGAGCAAAUAAACAGAGGAAAUAACUGAUCAAUUUAGUUCUUUGUGCAAUGGCCACAGCAACAGAGAAAAUAUGCCUACACGACUACAUUAAUCCUACUGGCGUGGUACUAUCACCAUGCAAAUUAACAUUAACAUUUCAUCAUCAAUCAGUUCUGAUGACAUGAUAUCAAAAACAUUGAUUUCAUAAUUUUAUGUAAUUUCAUAUAAAAGAUAUAUAUAGUUUAUUUGAGUUAGUUUAACAUAUGAAGAAAGAGUAAUGGGGAAUGAUAUCACUGUAGCGUGUGAUGAGUAAUGAUAGACACCAAAUAUGGAUCAUGUAAUAAUGAAAUAUAUAUUUACUGAAAAAUAUUUGGCAAUAAAAUGAUGCUUUAAAAAUUUAAUAUUGUUUGCUAGAAAAUAAUUUGACAAUUAAAAGUAAAGGAUGUAUAUGCAAAGCUUUGACCUUAUUUUAUCACUUCACUAACCAUUUUGUAAGUACAUCUUAAAUUGAAGUUCAAUUAAUGCUGACGAAAGACUCCAGAGAAUGUCGAGAAGAGAUUUGAUUUUUGUAUACCAAAAAAUUACAGAUGAGAUAAGUUAAAAUCAAUUACAAGAACAACAAAAAGAAUAUAUUUUAUAAAAGCCACAAAUACAUAUAAUAUAUAAUCAGUUUCGAAUUAAGUAAUUAUUAACUUAUAUAGUGAGAAAGUGUUAUAGGAAAGUUGGAAUUUUUUAAAAGAGAUUUGCAAAGGAAAAAGUUUAGUUUAGUUUAGUUUGUGAAGGCUCAAGUAAUUCAAAGCAAUUAGCAAUGCAAUUGAAGGAAAUAUAAACUUCUAAUUUUUACAAAGUAAUCGCUAAAAUAUUUGACAAGUUUGAGAUUUUCAAAAAGCUGAAAAAAAUAGACAAAUAAUGGAGACCCUACAGAUUGGUAGCGCAAAUAAACGGAGGAAAAUAGGGCAAACAUUUAUUUUUUCCAAAAAGAAUAAAAGCACGUGUCUAAUUACCAAAUAACUUCCACUAAAAAAGAAUAAAUGCUAAUAUCAUUGUUAGCCCAUGUUGUGCAUUUUUUCAUUUAUUUAUUUAUUUAUUUGCUUUUACUUAUUGAAGUUACUUUGCAAACUGCUCCAAGCAAACUACAAAAUUUCUUCUCACUCUAGGAUCUUCGCAAUGGUCCUGCAAUUUGCUUUCCUUUCUAUUAGGUUAGCUGUUUAUUCAAAAGAAAAAAAAUUGGGGAAAUGGAAACCUCACCCUCUAAAUACAGAUUUUGAAUUUUAUUAUUAUUAUACAAAAUUAGAUAACUAUGCAAAUAAUGGGCGGUUAUAACCAGUGAAACUGUGUCUAGCUACGAUGCAGGUUUAAUUUUCACUUGAUUAAAUAUAAACAAAACUAAAUCACCUGAGCCUCUGGUUUCACUAUUUUUCAACUUGAAAUUAAAACGCAAAAAUUGAUGGUAUUGGAGUUCAUUGUUUAGUUUUGCUGUAGGUCAUGAGGAAUCAAAUAGCCAUCCAUUUUUAUGUCUAUUUUAUGUACUAUUGGUCACUGAGUAUUGGGAUGUCAUAGGCCCGAAAAGAUAAAGCUGAAAAUCAAUCCCCUAUCUAAAGUGGAAAACAGUAGCUAGAACAGAAUCUAUGGUUUGAUGUCUUAGUGUAUAGGCUUAAACAAUUAAUAGUAUAGAAAAUGCAUGAUAGAACUCAUAUUUUAGCAAUAAUCCUCACCUCACUGGCCGUUAGUUCAGAAUGACAAUUCUUAUUAGUCAAAGAAUCAAGAUGAUUUUUAGUUGUAUAUGAAUAGCGCAGUAGAUCAACAAAUAAUUGAAGACUUGCUUUUGCUAUUGAACCACGCGAUGGCAAUUCGAAGACUACAGCUUAGCUCUGCCAUUCGAAGUAAGCAACUCAGCUGCCCAAAGACUGCCAAGCCAUCAAGACAAUACCAAGAUACAACAUCAAGAAUUACAUACGGGCCGUCACAUAUUACAUUUCUGCUCUGUUUUAAGAGAGAUUUACGAGCCCAUGCAGUAGAAGUAAUUAAUUAAUUUAUACAGUUCAGUACUCAUUCCUCCUCUGUUUCAAAUCCAAAUCCACUGCUCUGCCAUUUAUUAUGACGCAGGGUAUAUGGGUUAGCAAGUGUCGAUAUUGUCCUUCAUCCUUUGUGUACCUUUCUUCUAACAAGGGACAGCACGAGAUCUCUAAUAACAAAAGAGAGGCAGGCAGGCCGUUCGCUGGAAAGUACUUGAGCUUGGGACAAUUACAGAGUUUCAAUGAAAUGAGGUUUUGAUGAUCAACAAUUGAAGAAGACAGGCGUUCCAAAUUUGGUAAAUCAACAAUCACCAAAUAUGCUAGAGUGGCAGGAAGAGGAAGCGUGGCUCCUAAUCCUACUCUUGAUUUAGUAUUGCGUAUGUAACAUGUGGCAUUCUACAUUCUUGCAAUGCCAUUUCUUGUUAUGGCAGCAGCGUUCUUUCACCAUGGCAUCGCAAGCAAAUAUUUGACUUGAAGACUUGCUUUGCCAAGAAAAAUAAGGAGAGCAAAGGUAAUUGAUUUUGGUGUGAUGAAUAUUUUUAUGGGUGUACUAAGAAAAAUAAAGAUAAUAGAAGUAAUGUUAUCGAGGAGUAUUUUGAUAUUUACAAAAGUGUUCAAAGAAAAAAGUGAUUUUUUGAAAUCUAUUUGCUGGUGAACAUAAUAAAAUGGCAUUCUGACUUCUGAGUAAAUUUAAAACUACAAAUAGUCUUACUCUUUUAAUAAUAUUCUUCAAUUAAUUCUGUUUCUUUCACAAUAAAAAAUCCAUCUCUUUAUUACUUUCUAACUAGUCAUACUAAUGUGUUAAUAAUGAAGAACCAGCGUAAUUUAUAUGAUAUAAGAAGCCCUUUAGCACAUUAACCCGAAUUUAGCUAAUGCAUGUGCCUAAUAUAGCGAAAUCAACAUUCGGCUCAUUAGAAUGCCAUUAUAUAUACUGAAAAAGAAAUUAAUACAAAAAAAAACUGAAUAUUAAUUGACACUGGAUCAUGUUGGAUUGUUAGUUGUUAAUUAUGAUGGGAAUACAAUUUUCAUCUUUUGAUAAUCCGCUAACUAAUGCAUGUGCACUUUCAUUUGUGUCUAUAUAUACAAAAACUUGUAUCCGAUGGUUUACAUAUGUAUGAAGAUAAUGUAAUAAAGUGCUUUUGAUAAAUUCCCCUGGUCUGUUUACUUCACUAAUUCAUUAAUGUGCAAGUCCUCUAUAGAGCUGUGUUGUGCGUACAAGUUUUGCUACAUGAAAUCCUUAGGUGAGGAGAAUUUUUAAAAGCAUACAUCAAAGUAAUGAUUAAAGGGACAAAAUCAACAUAAAUAUUGAUUAUCUUGAGUUAGAUUACACAAAGAUGAUAAUGUAGUAAAUUUAUCAUAAUACACUACUAAAAAAUGCAUUUUAAUGACACAAAUUUUAUGACAUACAUCUUUAUGUCAUGAAAAUACUUGCAUGAUGUAUAAUGCUUCUGUGAUUAUUUGAUGAUAAAUUCAUAAUUGAUGCAGAUACAAAAUGAAGUGAUGAUAGGUAAAUAUCAUGUGAUUUUUUUUAUGGGUAAGAAUAUUUGAACCCACCAAAUUACUCUUUAAACUUACUUUUUUAUUGAUAAUUUUAUUACAAAAUUACCGAUAAUUUGAAUUACUAUUACAGACAAACAAUAAUUAUAUAAAAUUAUUUUACUUUUACUCAUUGUUUAAACCUACCGCAAAACUCAAUCAAAGGAUGCUUAUUUUCUUCUUCUGCACAAGUGUAGCAAAGUUUUUAAUAAGUUCCUCCUUCAUCCACAGUUGAGAACUUUCUAACUUUUGUUUCUUGUUCUAGUAAUUUGGAUAUGCUGUGUUAGAUACUGAAUUUAUUAAAUUUCUUCUUCUCUUUUGAAUAAAAUCUCUUUAAAAUUCAAUUCAUAAAAAAAAAAUUAAUCUCCUUAUAAUUUAAUAUGUUUCGGCUGUCUUAGUGGAAUGAUGCAAUUUGUUUCAAUCAAAGUUUUGAAGCAUCCUAAAUUAUAUAUUUUUUUGUUUAAUUUGUUUAGAGUUCAAUUGUUUAGAUCUAGGCUAAUUUUUAUUGAUAAUAUUUAUGAUUAAAUUAUAUGAGUAUGCUUAAAUUUUUUUUUUCCUUCAAAUUUAUUUUCUGAUGUUGCAUUUGGUUAGCAAAAAGAUAAAAAUAGUAGAAAAUGUCCGAAUUAUUGUUAUGAAAAUGUUGUUUUAGUCUGAUAUUGGGAAAAUAUCCUUAUACAUAUCGGCAUGAUAUUCAUGGGAGACCAAAUUGAGAAUGAUGGCAGACUAUGCAUUGCUCACAACUAAUUUAAAACUCACUAUUUCUAUUGUUUGUGUUUUAGUAACUUUGGGGGAAUUCCAACUAUAGUUAAUAAGCUAUAAACUUGUUUAGGAUUACUAAUCAACUUGCUAGAAAGAGUUGCAAACUAAUUAGCUUUCUCUUAUAACUUUUACAGAUCAUCUGUGGAGGAGAACUGCAAGGAGUUGAAGACUCUAGACCCUAAACUUCAUAUCUUGAUUUAUAAGUGCAAUGGCCAUAAGUCCGAAUUAUGGGCUGGAGAUGGUAUAUGUAAUCUUUCUGCUCUUGGUGUUUUUUUUUUUUUUUUUUUCCCUCUAGUUAUUUUUUGCUCUCUACUCCAUUGUAUAUUUGUAUUCAAAAGUAUUUUUUCUUUGUUUUAAGCUUUCAAAUUUAUGGAGAUGAUCUUAUUAGGUGUUAAAAAAAUAGUUGUAGAGCUUUACUAAAACUAUGUAAACUCUUAUUGAGAUUUGGGUUUGAUUUUGUAAGAUUGCUAAAAAUUUCAUAUUUUAUACUUGUUUUAUACUUUUCUAGUCGAAUUUCUUGCUUGUGGAAGAUAAAAUAAAAGUCCAAUUCAUGUUGUAAAAAUUUUUUUUCCUCCCUUUUUUCUUCCCUUAUAAUCUGGAUCUGGUUUUGGUGCAGUUUAUGGUUUCAAUGCAGGGAACCAAUUUCAUCAGAAUCAUCUUAAAGGAUCAAAGUGGCUUCCUUUUGUAACUGGGUAAGUCAAUGCUACUUCCUGAAUUCGAUUUGGAGUUCUUUCGGAAUAGAUUUCCUUCCCUUACAUCACUUGGCUUCUAGUUGCAUCUUCUUGGCUUUCUCCAACGGACUUUUUUAUUGGCAAAUUCGUUUGUUUCUAUUGUUUUCAAGUGCUAGUGCUGGAUUUGGAGGUAUGAAUGGUGCCUUCAUUUUUAUUUUUUUAAUUUUCUUUUGGGUGUAUAGUACUGUAAUAUACUUCUUUGUAUAGCUAGUACAAAAUAGUUCUUUAAUUUUAUUUGUCAUGAUUUAUUUCUAUUGCCUGGUGAUGACACCCAUCACGACUUAGUAGUCGUGAAUAAAUCGAAAAUCAAAUUGCACUGGUUUUUACCGGUUAUCAACAAUUGUGAUGUUUUGAGAUUAUAACAUACUUGACAACGCCGACUAGCGUUCUCUCCUAUGUGAAUUGGGACAAAAAUUAUUUUCCCAAUCACGCUUUCGUUUGAACAAUUCCACUUCAGAUAUAUAAAAUAAUGAUGAAAUUGUGUUUUAAAAUUAGUUACGAGUAAUUGGUUCAAUAUUAAUACAAAACUAUUUUAAGUAACACGUGGCAUAUUCUAAUUCCAGUGAGCUUCUAACUCAGAUUCCCAAAUCAAAAGAAACGUUUCAAUUUUCUCCAGAACGUUCUGCAAAACAUUUCUUCGAGUCUCUACGUUGUGCUAGAAUUUUCUCUCAGUUUCUUUUCCAUAGACUUCUAAAAAAUUGUCCAGAUACCGAGAUAUAAUCCAAUCUAAGUGUACAUAUUGUAAGAAAAACGAUACACAGUGAGAUAACAAUUUAAAUAGUAGCUAAUUUAAACAACAAUGUAAACUAGCAAUGGGAAACAACAAAUGAAGAACUGAAGAGAAAGGAGACCAAAACAGAAAUAUAAACCCGAGGCCUGCGGACAGUUUCCUUAAACAUAUUUACCCCCUCUUGGAGUGCUUUAGGUCAGCUGGUAUCUGUUUCCCAGGAUACAACAGGCACGAAUUUUCGGCUAAGCACAGGCUAGAAAUUCUGGCGAACCACAACAACGAGCUCGAUCAGAGAAAACAGACGACGAAGAUGGAGGAAGGAAAAUAAGUGUGCUGGUUUUUUCAGUGUGCAAAAAAACAGAAGAGGAGAUGCCUUUUUAUAGUCAUAUGAGGAUGUAACAGCUACUUUGUAUUGAAUUUCUGAAUUCAAUAUAUUUUAUUUAAUUGUUAUAACAGCCAAAUCAAUUCAAUGAAUUGAUUUCAAAAUUGAAUUAAAAAAAACGUGAAUUAUAUAACAGCUAAAAAUAAUUGUUGAAGCUGUUACAAAUCCUUUGAAUUCAAACGUGAAACUGUUACAAUAAAAAAAAUUCAAAAGGAAAUUAAAAACGUGCCAAGCUUGCAUGGAUGAUUUUGGGCUGACAUUCGCGUACGCAGACGAGUUCAACCAAAUCGGUCAUGGAUUUGCACCCCCCUGCACACGCGCACGUGGAGAGAGCCUCUAUCCUUAUAAUUCUUGAACAAGCAUGGUUAAGUGUUUAUAUAUAAACACUAAUCCCUAGGCUUCUUUUUCCCAUGUGGGAUAAGCCUAAUUUCUUUUCAAAUUUCCAACUUCAAAGGUGAACUUUGAGAGACAAUUUCUCAUUCACCCAAGCACCAUUUUGAGAAAAUAAGAUUAUACUUUUGAAGUAUCAAAGGAGUAGAAUCCGAACCUCACAAGAUUUUCCACUUUCGUUAAGUGGGACCCACUCAAAAUAUGCCCUCAAAAUAGCAUCUAUAUAUGCUAUUUUUUCAACAAUCCCCCACAUGAAUGAAAAUUGGCAGUAAAACAAAAAACCGCUAUAUUUUUUUUACAUCAAAACCAGUUUUGACCUUAAUGAUUGAGUUUAUUGGAUUGAUACCUAGCACAUGAUAGGUUGGUGUUAUCCUUUUAACCUUCCCUUGUAAUAGUAUAAUUACUUUACUGGCUGAUCAGUAGACGCGAUGUCUUUGAACUGUGCGGCCGUUAGUGUAAACGAUCAUAUACUACACAUAGGUAUUUCUCCUAACACUGUUGAGUUCUCAUGGUUAUGUUCGUUUUGGCCUUGAACAUCUACCUGGUUCUGCAAGAGUUUCUAAGAGCUAAACCCAUCAUAGCUCCCUUUGAAGCGGCCCCACUUCUCUCUCACAUAGGUGAUAUCUUAAUUAAGAGUAACCCGCAUUACUCCGCUCGAAUUUUCCGACGCAUAAGAAUCAUUAAGAGCCUAGCUCAACCUUAUUCCCCACGAGCAUCAUUGUUUCAUAAUAGGAAUGGUCAAUGAGGUAAUCUUCUCAAGAGAAUAAACCCCACAAUAAUCCAACUUUAGUCUUUAACAAAUAGGUUGUUCAAUUGAACCUAGAUCUUGGGAUCUCCAGUCUACUAGGUUGGGUUUUCCUUCGUUAUUGACUAAUCAAUCUAUGAGUUUUAAUCCCAUUCCCCUCGAUGAUUUUUCUACUAGCUCUCUAUUUAACCCUUUGGUUAGCGGAUCCGCAAUGUUAUCCUUUGACCUCACAUAGUCAAUAGAAAUAACUCCAGUAGAAAUAAGUUGUCUAAUGGUAUUAUGUCUAUGACGUAUGUGUCUACACUUACCAUUAUACAUAUUGCUUUGUGCCCUACCGAUAGCUGAUUGACUAUCACAAUGUAUACAAAUCGAAGGCACAUGCUUUGGCCACUUUGGAAUACCUUUUAAAAAAUUGCGUAGCCAUUCUGCUUCUUCACCACAUUUAUCUAAUGCAAUGAAUUCAGAUUCCAUUGUAGAUCUAGCAAUUACUGUCUGUUUAGAAGAUCUCCAUGAUACAGCUACACCUGCUAGUGUAAAUACAUAGCCGCUAGUAGAUUUUGAAUCUUUUACAUCUGAUAUCCAGUUAGCAUCACUAAAUCCUUCUAAUACUUCUGGAUACCUAGUAUAGUGCAGUCCAUAAUUACGAGUGUAUCGAAGAUACCUAAGUACUCUUACGAUAGCUUUCCAGUGAUCAGUUCCUGGAUUACUCGUAUAUCUACUAAGUUUACUUACCGUAUAGACUAGAUCUGGUCUGGUACAACUUGUUAAGUACAUCGGACUGUCUAUUAUUCUAGCAUAUUCUACUUGAGAAAAACCCUCUUCUCUAUUUUUCGAUAGAUGGAUACUAGUAUCUAAUGGAGUUUUAGACAUAAUAUUAUCAUUUUUAUUAAAUUUUCCAAGAAUUUUAUCUACAUAAUGAUUUUGACUUAGAAUAAGUCCAUUAGAAGCCCUUCAGAUUUUAAUUUCCAAAAUGACAUUUGCAAGACUCAUGUCUUUCAUGUCAAACUUAGACUUCAACAUAUUCUUGGUAGAUUUAAUCAUGUCAUCAUCACUUCCAACAAUGAGCAUGUCAUCAACAUAUAAACAUAAAAUGACAUAGCCAUUUUCCGUUUCUUUGACAUAAACACAUUUGUCACACUCGUUGAUUUUAAAACCACUUGUGAUCAUCGUAUGAUCAAAUUUCUCAUGCCACUGUUUCGGUGCUUGCUGCAAGCCAUAUAAUGACUUUACCAAUUUACAAACUUUCUUUUCUUGUCCUGGAGCUAUAAAACCUUCAGGUUGCUCCAUAUAGAUUUCUUCAUCUAAAUCUCCAUUUAGAAAAGCCGUCUUUACAUCUAUUUGAUGUAUCUCGAGAUUGCGCAAAGCUGCAAUUGCUAUUAUCAUCCGUAUGGAAUUUAUUCUCAUAACAGGAGAAUAAGUAUCAAAGUAAUCAAGGCCUUCUCGUUGCCUAUUACCUUUAAUUACAAGCCUAUCCUUGUAUUUAUUGAUUUAUCCAUCAGCUUUCAUUUUCCUUUUGAAAAUUCACUUAUACCCCAAAGGUUUACAUUCUGGAGGAAGAUCUGCUAGCUCCCAAGUAUGAUUUUGUAAAAUGGAUUCAACUUCACUGUUAAUGGCUUCUUUCCAUAAAGUGCCUUCAGCUGAAGUUACAACCUCUUUGAAGCUUUGAGGUUCACUUUCUAGCAAAUACGUCAGAAAGUCUAGACCAAAAGACUUUUCUAUCCUAGCUCUUUUGCUACGUCUAACCUCAAUUUCUUGUUCUUGAUCUUCUUCUUCUUCUUCUUCUGGUGCUUCAUCAUUUUCUUCAUUUCCAAGUGUUGUUUCAUGAAAUUGUCGCAAUUCUCUCGAUUCCACUCUAGAAUUGCAAGGAAACACAUGUUCGAAUGAUGCAUUUCUUGAUUCUAUUAUCAUAUUUUUGUGGACAUCUGGAACUUUAGACUCAUGUAACAAAAAUCGAUAAGCACUACUGUUUUGUACAUAACCAAUGAAAAUGCAGUCAACAGUUUUUGGUCCUAUUUUUACUUUUUUAUUGAAAGAACCACUACUUUAGUAAGACACCCCCACACUCGUAAGAAUUUAUAUGAAGGUGAUCUAUUUUUCUAUAGCUCAUACAGGGUUUUAUCUUCUUGCUUUCGGGGUAUCUUAUUUAAUAAAUAAUUAGCUGACAAAACAGCUUCUCCCCACAUAUUCUGGGGUAACCCAGAACUUAUCAACAUUGCAUUCAUCAUUUCCUUUAAAGUUCGAUUCUUUCGUUCUGCAAUCCCAUUAGAUUGAGGUGAAUAUGGAGUCGUGACUUGAUGUAUGAUUCCAUUUUGUUCACAUAGUGACAUAAACAUAACAACAUACUCACCACCACGGUCACUCCUUAAUUCUUUGAUUUUUCUAUUAAGUUGAUUCUCAACUUCAUUUUUGUCGAGAAUAAACUUUUUCAAAGCUUUAUCUUUACUUUUCAAUAAAUAUACAUAGCAAUAUUUUGUGCAAUCAUCUAUAAAGGUAAUAAAAUAUUUAUUAUCACCUCUUGUUUGAAUGGAUUUAAAGUGACAAAUAUCAAUAUGUAUUAAAUCAAGUGGUUCGGUGUUUCUGUUAAUUAUUUGGAAAGAUGACCUAGUUAGUUUUGCCUCAACACAAGUUUCACACUUAUGUUUCAAAUCAAUUUGGAAAUUGGGAAUAUGCUUCAUGUUAAUUAAUUUACGCAAAGAAUUAAAAUUAACAUGUCCUAAUCUACCAUGCCAAAGAUUAGAAGACUCAAGCAAAUAAGCAGAAGAAGUAGCUUUAUUAUUAAUUAUUGGUUUCAGAGUCAUUACAUUGAGCUUAAAUAGCCCAUCAUUAACAUAACUCUUUCCCACAUACAUCCCAUUUUUAGACAAAACUACCCUAUCUGACUCAAACACCAUUUGGAAGCCAUGUUUGUUCAACAGCGAUCCAGACACCAAGUUCUUCUGAAUUUCUGGCACAUAAAACACAUUGUUCAGAGUCAGUUCUUUCCCAGACGUCAUCUUCAAAAUCACCUUCCCUUGACCCUCAAUCUCAGACGUAGCCGAAUUCCCCAUGAAUAGCUUCUCUCCAUUGCUAACUGCUUCAAGUGAAGUGAACAAUCCUUUGUCCGAGCAAACAUGUCUGGUUGCUCCCGUAUCAAUCCAUCAUUCUCUCGGAUUAUAGCCAACCAGAUUCACUUCUGAAACCACUGUAGAGAGGUUUAUGUCUGAAACAUGUUGAGUGAUGUUUUCCAUCACAUUCUCCUCUCGCUUCUUUUUAGGCAACCUGCAAUCUGAAGCAUUGUGACCCAUCUUAUCACAAUUAAAACAUUUUCCUUGAAACUUUGUUUACUUCUUGGAAAUUCCUCCUUUCGGACCCAAUUUUUUAUUUUUAUUUUUAGGUCCAUGUUCGACAAAAUUUGCCUUUGCCAUAGAAAUAACUCCUUUUCUUUUUGCAUUUCUGUUAUCUCCCUCAAUUCUGAACUUAACAACCAGCCCUUCAAUAUUCAUCUCCUUUCAUUUGUGCUUCAAAUAGCUCUUGAAAUCUUUCUAAGCAGGAGGCAAUUUUUCAAUAAUUGCGGCAACUUGAAAAGUUUCACUUAGAUGCAUCCUUUCUGCAAGGAUUUCAGAUAAUAUAAUUUGAAGCUCGUGUACUUGACUUAUUAUAGUUUUAGAAUCCACCAUUUUAUAAUCUAGGAAGCGACCAACAACAAACUUUUUGGUUCCCGCAUCCUCGGUUUUAUAUUUCCGGUCAAAGGAUACCCAUAACUCCUUGGCUGUUUUCUUUCCUAUGUAUACAUUAUACAAGGAAUCACUAAGGCCAUUCAUUACAUAAUUUUUACAUAAAAAAUCUUAAUGAUGCCAUGCAUCAAUUGCACUUGCAACUUGAAUAUCCGUUUCACCCUCUUUAGGUUUAGGAGCAUUCUCGAUCAAGAAACUUGCAAGGUUCAGCAUGGUCAAGUAAAAGAAUAUCUUUUGCUGCCAACGUUUGAAAUUCUGGCCAUUGAAUUUUUCAGGCCCUUCCGCAUGAUUGAUAGGAAUUGCCACAGAGGCUGGUUCCUUUACAACAGUUGGUGCAGCAACAGAAGAUGAAACUGGGACAUACGGAAUAUCAUCAACGGUUUCAGUUGCCAUCUCAAUGAUAAUUGAUUCUGUUUUAAGAUUGUAAAAAAAAUGAUACACAGUGAGAUAAUAAUUUAAAUAGUAGCUAAUUUAAACAACAAUGUAAACUAGCAAUGGGAAACAACAAAUGAAGAACAGAAGAGAAAGGAAACCGAAACAGAAACAUAAACCCGAGCCUUGCAGACAGUUUCCUUAAAACAGAUUUACCACUCUUGGAGUGCUUUAGGUCAGCUGGUAUCUGUUUCCCAGAAUACAACGGGCACGAAUUUCCGGCUAAGCACAGGCUGAAAAUUCCGGCGAACCACAACAGCGAGCUCAAUCAGAGAAAACAGACGAUGAAGAUAGAGGAAGGAAAACAAGUGUGCUGGUUUUUUCAGUGUGCAAAAAACAGAAGAGGAGGUGCCUUUUUAUAGUCAUAUGAGGAUGUAACAGCUGCUUUGUAUUAGAUUUCCGAAUUCAAUAUGUUUUACUUAAUUGUUAUAACAACCAAAUCAAUUCAUUGAAUUGAUUUUAAAAUUGAAUUAAAAAAACAUGAAUUAUAUAACAGCUAAAAAUAAUUGUUGAAGCUGUUACAAAUCCUUUGAAUUCAAAACGUGAAUCUAUUACAAUAAAAAAAUUCAAAAGGAAAUUAAAAACGUGCCAAGCUUGCAUGGAUGAUUUUGGGCUGACAUUCGCGUACGCAGACGAGUUCAACCAAAUCGGUCUUGGACUUGCACCCCCCCUGCACACGCACGUGUGGAGAGAGCCUCUAUCCUUAUAAUUCUUGAACAAGCAUGGUUAAGUGUUUAUAUAUAAAUACUAAUCCCUAGGCCUCAUUUCCUUUCAAAUUUCCAACUUCAAAGGUGAACUUUGAGAGACAAUUUCUCAUUCACCCAAGCACCAUUUUGAGAAAAUAAGAUUAUACUUUUGAAGUAUCAAUGGAGUAGAAUCCGAACCUCACAAGAUUUUCCACUUUCGUUAAGUGGGACCCACUCAAAAUAUGCCCUCAAAAUAGCAUAUAUACAUGCUAUUUUCCACUUUCGUUAAGUGGGACCCACUCAAAAUGUGCCCUCAAAAUAGCAUAUAUACAUGCUAUUUUUUCAACACAUAUCUCUAUGUCACCUCCCUCCAUUUCACCAGAAAAUCAACAAACACUUAGCUUCAAAACAAACACUCUAAAAAAGCUAGCUAGUUGAUGGCAAAAUCAAGAAUUCUUGCAAUGGCAAUGUUGUUUCUUGUUAUGGCAGCAACAUUGAUGAACAUGGCAUCAAAGCAAAUGCUCUGAUGCUGUACACACGAUCACCUUUCUUUGACGUAAUGUUCCCAAUGACGGAAGAUCCUUUCAGGGUUCUUGGACAAACCCUGUUAACAAUCCCAAAAGGAGCUGAACAUCAUCAAACUCUAGCACUGGCGAGAGCAAACUGAAAUGAGACACCAACAUCACACGUGAUCACACUCGACAUUCCAAGGAUGAAGAAAGACGAUGCGAAGAUAGCAGUUGAAGAGAACAGGGUACUGAGAGUGAGUGGGGAGAGGAAGAGCGAUGAUUAUUAUAAGGAGGAAGUUGAAGGAGAUAAAUGGCACAGAGCUGAGAGACCAUUUGGCAAGGUUUGGAGGCAGUUCAGGAUGCCUAUGAGUGCUGACUUGGAUCAUGUUAAGGCUCAUUUGGAAAAUGGUGUUCUAAGGAUCACAGUGCCAAAACUUGUUGAGGAGAAGAAGAGGCAGCCUAAGGUUAUUAACAUUGAUGAAGAGCCUGGUAAUUCUUCUGAUGAAGAUGUUAAGGCCGCCAAGGCUCAAAUGUAAUUGAUUAAAGAAAGAAGUGUUUGAUUUGCUUGAUGUGCUAUUUGUUUUGUGAUCUUUUCUUGGUUUUGUUGUGGGAUGUUUUUCUUUGGAUGUUCUGUUUAUUGUAUUUUGAUGGAUUUUUAAAGAUGGCUUUUAUGUAUUAACAACAAAAGUGUUUUUUAUAAAUCCGGGUCCUAAAUUUGUAAAAGAAAUUAAUAAUACUCUUGGUUUAUUGUUAAUAAAAAUAAAAAAGAAGAAUCUUUUUCUUUAGCAUAUAUUAUGCAUUUUAAGGAAAAAAAAAUUAUCACAUUCUAAUACAUAAAGAUAUUCCUCUUCUGUCAUAUUAAUGUGUUAAUACGAAGGUCUAUUGGAAUUAUAAUAGUUUAGAUGAAUCCAAAAUAUUCAAUAAUUGAUAAAUAGUAUAUUGACACACAGAAAAUGUGCGUGUGUAUGUAUAUAAAUGAGGUUUCAACAGCUGAGAAAGAGAUAGCCAUUAUACAUUACACAUUUGCACUCAAUAAGAAAUCAAUUCAUUAAUAUAGCCAUUAAUACGCCUGGUUUAUUGUUAAUGAAAAUUAAAAAAGAAAAAAAGUCUUUUCUUUGGCCUUUAUUAUGCAUUUUAAGAGGAAAAAAAAUUUAUCCCACUCCAAUUCAUGAAGAUAUUCUCUUUUCUGUCAUAUUGAUGUGUUAAUAUGAAGAUCCAUUGCAGUUGGUGAAUUCAAAUAUUCAGUAACUGAUGAAAUUGUAUUUAUAAAUUCAUACUAAUAGCAAUUGAAGAUUAUAAUUAAUUUUGUAAUAUGGUCUAGCCCUCCUGUGUUUAAUUAGCACUCAAAAACCACUUUACAAUAGGGCAUUAAAAGAACAUUAUAACGUCAUUGCUGAUGAGUUCUGGCGAAGACAUUAAGUUAAGGCCACAAAAAUCGAAAUGCACGUAGCUUCGUUUGUUUUUUAUUUUUGAUUCUCUUUGGGGGCAAAUGCUUGGCUUCGUUUGCUUUUUCGUUUUUGAUAUUUUAUUGGGCUUUAUUGUGUGGCAUCUUCUUGUUUUCUUUUGAUUUUCUGUUUUGGUUGUUAUGGGAUUUGAUGACGACGUACAUGUACGAAGAUUAUAUAAUAAAAUGUUUUUGAUAAAUUAUGGUCGGUUUAGAAUUAAUUAACUAAAUUUAAUUUACUUGAUCAAUUGAUAUUUGUAAGCAUUGUUGUUAUACAAACACAACAAAAGAAGAACAUUAAUGUACUAAUUAAUUACUAAUAAGAACAUUAAUAACUUUUGCCGAAGAAGAGAAAUAUUACACAUAUGUAACCGUGCAGCAUAUGUAACCGUGCAGCUAAAUAAAAGAAACUGAAGUUUAUUUCAACAGCUAAAGAAUGAGAUACGCAUAAGAAAUUAAUCCAUUAAUUAAUUAAUUAAUUCAUAGUCCCCCGCUGCUAAAAUAAAGCGAGCGUCUUACUCUACCUAACAUUUUUCCUUUUAUUAAUUUAAAAUAGUUUUCAACUGAGAUUUGAAUUUUAAAAUUACACGCUUGAUUUAGAAGAAAAAAAAGUCAAAUAUAUGUAACCGUACCGCGGAAAAGACAAAUAUAAGAAACUGAAGUUUCAACAGCUGAGAAUGAGAAUUUAAUUCAUUAAUUAAUUAAUAGAGUCCUCCUUUGCUAAAUAAUGCGAACCCAUUGUUCUUUUUAUUUCCAAAACCCAUUAAUCACCAACACAUAAUACACGCCCAAUUUAAAAAAAAAAACUAAUAAUAAAAUAUUUCAGUCUUCCUUUGUUGAGUCGUCAUUAAAAACCCAUUUACCAGCUAUUCGAGCAUAAGGUAUAUGGGUUAACAAGUCCCAAUAUUGUCCUCCGUCCUUUCUGCACUUCUCUUCUAUCAACGGACAGCGAUAGAUUCUUAAUUGCAAAAGUGAGGAAGGCAGGCCCUUCUCCGGAAAGUAUUUGAGCUUGGGACAAUCAUAGAGUGUCAAUUUAGUGAGGUUUUGAAGAUCAACAAUUGAAGAAGAUAGGCUUUCCAGAUUUGGAAAAAAGGCAAUGCUCAGAGAUGUUAGAGAGGCAGGAAGAGGAAGCGUGGUCCCCAGUCUUCUGUCCUCUGGCUCUGGUGGAAAUGACACCAUGUCGUCAUCGCAUCCUCUGAUUAAAAGAUAUCGCAGAGAGGAGAAUCUGUGAAAUCCCCGGCCCCGCUCAAUCAUUGACUUCCAAAUCCCCAUAUUACCCUCAAUCCUCAGUGAAUGAAGGUUGGUGGGAAGGCCAUCUUCUUCAAGGCUUGGAAGCUCACCUCCUAUUAUUGUUAAUUGUUGAAGAGAGGUCAGAUUGUGCAAUCCCUUGGGUAAGGCCUCUAGUCUCUUACAAUCAUAUAUCUCCAGCCUCCUGAGUUUCGCACAAGGCAAUCCCCCUUCGGGAAAGGACUCCAGAUUUCCACAACCCCCAAUACCAAUCUGUUGAAGCUGGCACAGAUUAUGUAAACCACUCGAUAAAAUUUUCAGAUUUUCACA
rnacentral:lncRNA from 1 species